UAUACGUAGGCACAGUCUACAUCUGCAUCCAGACGUUCAGAACCUGCAGCCAAUGUUCAUGCUUGCAAUAGCCGACUCGGUUUAUUGCCUAAGAAUAGCCUCCUCAGGAAAGAAGCAGCAGGAGCUCUGCUAGUCUGCUAUAUAUAUCGCCUAAGAACACCGAGCUCAAGUAUCUUGUAUCAAAUUCUAAUACGCCGUUCUUACGAACAGCCGGGGCUCUGAUAUUUAUUGCCAUAAGAGCAUUUCAAGAAUCAUCGUGUAUUGUUGUAUUGUGUCAAACAUUUAUUUUUGUUCCGUCCAUGUACGUGCUUGUACUUGCAUUUGUUUGCAUGAGCUCGAGUUCAUAUGGUGUAAAUCCCGGCAAAAUAUCAGUAAGAAGAAAUGAAGUAUGUGACGAAAGUUUGGUUGUUGCUUCCACCACUACCAUCGAUGCAUAUCCCUUCCUACCCUUUUUUUUUCUCGUGCACUCUGCCACCGGUUUUUCUCUUCCGCAGUGUCCAUCCUUCAGCAGUUCAGCAGAUCUAUUUCCUUUCUUUGAGUCCUAAUCCCGAACAAAUCGCGCGCCUUCCUACCCGCCGCCGCGCGCCCGCACCUCCGCGACCUCCCCUCUCACCUAGCCCCACGAUCGCCUCUCUCUUCUUCUCCCAUGGCGCCCACGGCGCCUCAAGGGAACGGGCAUGUGCUCGACUUCCUCGUGGGGCUCAACGCCUGCCGCGGGUGCACUCGGGCUCGCUGCCCCCUUCCCCUGUACGCCACGGCCUGCACCGCCGCGAGCGCGACGCAAGGGCGAUGAAGGCGGUGCAGAGGAAGAGCCGGAAGUUUGUGGGAGGGGUUGCGUUGGGGGAGAUAGCCGUGCUACACCGGAUGUACUGAGACAUGGAGCAGUUCGGCAUCAAGGGUUUCAGUUGGCAAGGAAGGGGGACGUCAGGACGUACGAGGACACGGGCCUUACACGGUGCCCACAGACCUGGCAACCUGGGCCAGCCCGGCCCGCCCCAUAUGCCCCAUAUUUCCGACUCGCUGAAGGGGCGAGCGAGGUGGGCUGGCCCACGAGCACGGGAGCCCACAGCCUACUUUCUUUUUCUUUUUAUUUUUUCUUAAAUCUUUUAUUUUUGUUUAUAAUAUAAAAUAUUCUUGUUUAUGCUGUAAAUAAAGCAUUUAGAAAAUUUUAAAUAAAUAUGAGAAAAAUGUUGAACAAGUAUUUGACAAAAAUAUUAAUCAAGCAUUCGAAAAUGUUGAACAAAUAUUUGAAAAAUGGCAAACAAGCAUUUGAAAAAUCAUGAUCAAGUAUUUGCAAUUUUUUAAUUAAGUAUUCAAAAAAUGUUGAACAUGUAUUUGAAAAAUGUUAAUCAAGCAUUCGAAAAAUGUUGAAUGUGUAUAGAAAAAUGUUGAUAAUGUAUUACACAUGAAAAAAUAUAUUUAAUCAUGUAUAUAAAAAUGUUAACCAAGACUUUGUAAAAAUGUUGAACAAGAUUUAAAAUUGUUAAACAAGCAUUUAGGAAAUGUCAAAAACGUGUAUAGAAAUAAUGUUGAUGAUGUAUUAAAAAAUGAUGAAUUUUUUGAUCGUGUAUAUAAAAAUGUGAAUCAAGCAUUUGAAAAGAAACAUUGAACAAGUGUUUGAAUAAUGUUAAUCAAGCAUUUGAAAAGUGUUGAAUGUGUAUAGAAAAAUGUUAAAUCUUUUUAGUUGAAAACUGUUAAUCAAGCGUUUGGAAAACGUUUAAAAGUAUGUAUAGGAAACAUGUUGAUCAAGUAUUCAGAUAAUUGUUAGUCUUGUAUUUGAAAAAUGUUAAUCAAGCAUUUGAAAAAUGUUAAUCAAGCAUUUGAAAAAUGUUAAAAAUAUGUAUUAAGAAAAGUAGACCAUGUAUUAAACAUGUUAAAUUUGUAUAGAAAAAUGUUAAAUGUGUAUUAGAAAAAUGUUGUUGACAUAUACAAAAAAUGUAGAAUGAAAAACAAAAGGAAGCCAAAAAAAAUUGAAAACCCCAAAAGAAACAAAAUAAAUCGAAGAAAAUAUGAAAAAAAAAAUGAAGAAACAAAUGCAAAAAGGAAUGAAAAAAACCCCCGGAAAAACCAGUGAAAAAUAUCUUGUUCCGCCUAAAGUAAGCCGCACCCAACUAGCUAAUCACGAAACGAACGGCGAGCCGAGUGGCUAGGAUCGAUCCCUUGGUGCCCCCAUUUAUUCCUGAUUUUUUAAGUAUGUGCACGCUAUAUGGGCCUGCCCGAUACUGUUCUCGCUCGACGGGAGAGAACCUUCGGUCCUGCUUAAUGCGAGACAUAGCUCUCGUGACAUGGAAGUAGCUCUCGCACGAAAGAAUCCCCUCUUCUGUCGUUUCUGGUUGGCCCGUUUUCUGUGAGUUGUUCGUUGGUUUUAGUCUGGUUUUCCUCUGUUUCCUUUAUUUUGUUGUUUCAUGAUUUUCUUUGGUUUUGUGUUUUCUUUGUUUUCUUUGUUUUUGUGUUUAUUUGUUUUUGUGCUUUCUUUGUUUUUCGUUGAUCUUAUUCGCUCCUUUCUCAGGUUUCAUUGAUUUGUUUUUUCUUUUCUCUCCUUUUCUUUGUUUUCUUACGUUUUGUUUUUUUUGUUUCUCCAUUUUCAAUGUUUUUUUCGUUUGUUUACUAUUUUCCUUCCGUUUUUUAUUUCUGUUUUGGUUUUCAUUUAUUUCUUUUCUUCCUCGGUUUUCACCGCGUUCAUUCUUCUGCACUAGUUUCAUUGGUCUUCAUUUUUUUUAUUUUCUUAGUUUUUUCUCUUUUCGUAUAGAACAUGAAUAUUUUCUAUACCCGUUUAACAUUUUUUCAAAUAUAUGAAAAAAUUCAUAUACAUCUGAAACAUUUUUCUCAUACACGCUUGAAUAUGUUUUUAAAUACAUGGUUAACAUUUUUUGAAACGUAUAUUUUGAUGUCAACUUUUUACAUACAUAUUCAACAUUUUUUGUAUAUAUAUGGAAUUUUUUUACAUACAUAUUUAAAGUUUUCCAAAUGCAUGAUCAACAUUUUUUAAAAUUUAUAUUUUUCUAUCUCUACCUAUUUUCAUACACAUUGUACAUUUUUUAUCCAUCAGGGCCAUUUUAUAUAUACAUGUUUAACAUUUCCCAAUUAUAUAAAUAUAAUUUUAAAGUUAUAUUUUUGUGCCUACUCUUUCCGUAAACAUUGUACAACUUUUUUUAUACAUCAGUAAAAAAAAUUAUACGGACAUUCACAUUUUUGUCCCUAACUCAAACCCACUACUCAGAUUUGCCCUUAAUUUCGAAGCAUGCUCUAACUUGCCCCCCUGUCGUUAGAUGCACUUAUGAAAAUGCCCCUUCGUGCCGUUACCGUCCAGUCAAAGGGCCUUGAACAUUUUCUAGGCGUUUGCUGGACAUUUUUGCCCAUGGAAAAAAAGAAAACAAAAAUUGAAAAAGAGAGGAGAGAGGGCGCGCUUACCGUUUGGCCCAGGACGGCCCAACCAACCUAGCCCAUUGGCUGGUCAUCUCCUUCCUCUGCCGAGGCCGAGGGAACGUUACCCGCGUGCUCACUCGAGCCACGGUUCCCGUGGCCAAUGUCGCUGAGAAGCCCAACCAUCAUGUCUCCGAGCCCCGCCAUCAAGCUAAGAAUCACCACGCCGAUGAUAGUGACCUCGGGUGCCCUGCAAUUCCGCAACCAACGCCAUCUCCGCCACAUCUGUUAGCCGGCCGUCAUCUUUGAUUUGCCGUUGUCCGAGAUCCCCCCGCUCCCUUACUGUCAUAGAGAUCCAUUCGCUGUAGUGGAUUUUCCAGACACCUCAUUGAUGAGCUCCUCUUUAUCCAGCCCCCUCCCCACGACGCCUCGCUCCAGCGGUCGCAGACGAGUUCAGCCACUAUCGGCCCUUGCCAGCCCCUUCUUCCACUAUGGAAUACUCGCGGUGAUCCCCUGAUUCCGAUGCACCUCUAUCCCCUCUUCCCCGUGCCUUCUAGCCCCUCUACUACCAAGCUUCGAACGGGGCCGCCGCUAGUCUCGACCAUAGCCGACACUCCAGCCGUCCCCGCUUGCCCUGCCACUUCCAUUCGACGCGGAGUGAGCCCAGGCGUGCGUAGGACAAAAUUACCAGCCAUUUUGGUCGCCAGACAGAGCUCCAUGCCCUCUGCCGUGGCUCGCCGGUGGGUUGAUUAGGAUAGUGAGCUUCCCAUGACAUGUGGGUCGCAUUAAUUAGUUUAGCCCUAAUCCUACCUAGUAUUAACAAUAUGCUUAUUAAUGAGACUAAUCCGUGGGCCUUAAGAGUUAACAAAACUGGGAAAUCAUUUUAGAAAAAUAACUAGACACUUACAUGUGGGGUCCACAGGUAAGUAAGAGAGAGGUUUUUUUGCUUUUAUUCUUCAGUGGGCCCACAAGUGAGUGAGAAGGUAGAUAGGGUUUUUAUUUUUAUUUUUCUUCAAUGGGUCCCACUUGUAAGUAUCACAUGAAGAGAGGGGCAAAAUUGUCCAGCAAACGCCCAGAAAAGGUUAAAGCUCUUUGACUUGACGAUAACGGCACAUAAGGGCAUUCUUAUAAAUGAAACUAGUGGCAGAGGGGCAAAUUUGAGCAUGCUUCGAAAUUAGGGGCAAAUUUGAGUAGUGAGUUCAUGUUAGUGACACAAAUUUGAGCAUGCUUGUUUUGAUAGCGAUAUUUGGGAUGUAUUUAUCAAAAACUUGUUUUUAUAAGAUUUUCAGUAAUAUCGGCUUUGCUAGUUUUUAUAUUAAUAAGCAGCUUAUAGUAGAAUCACGUUUGGUGUCAAAAAGGCUAAAGUUGGCCUCUCUAAUUUCUUGUUUUUCUGGGGUUUCACUGGUUUUUUUUUCUUUUCUUUGUGUUUCUUAGGUUUUCUUUGUUUCUUUCUCCAUUUCAAUGGUUUUUUCGUUUGUUUACCGUUUUCCUUCCGUUUUCUUUAUUUCUUUGUUUCUUUCUCUGUUUUCACUAUGUUUCAUUCUUCUUGCACUAAUUUCAUUGGUUUUCAUUGUUUUUUUCUUUUCGCAUAGAACAUGAAUAUUUUUUAUACCUGUUUAAAUUUUUUUCCAAAUAUAUGAAACAUUUUUCAUAUACAUCUGAAACAUUUUUCCUAUACACGCUUGAAUAUGUUUUCAAACACAUGGUUAACAUUUUCUGAAACAUAUAUUUGAUGUCAACUUUUUACAUACAUAUUCAACAUUUUUCGUAUAUAUCAGUAAUAUUUUUACAUACAUAUUUAUAGUUUUCAAAUACAUGAUCAACAUUUUUGAAAAUUUAUAUUUUUCUGUCUCUACCUAUUUUCAUACACAUUGUACAUUUUUAUCCAUCAGGGCCAUUUUAUAUAUACAUGUUUUAACAUUUUCCAGUUAUAUAAUUAUAAUUUUUUAAAGUUGUAUUUUUCUGCCUACUCUUUCCAUAAACAUCAUAUAGUUCUUUUAUACAUCAGUAACAUUUUUUUCUCGAAUACGCAUAAGCAUGUUUAUCAUAUAUUAAAGAAGGAGCGGCAAUGAAGCCGGAUACAACGCCUUUCGGCCAUUUCCAUGCCAAUCACAAAGAUUAGCAUCCAUAUCGACCCACACACCCACCACGCUAACUAUGAUACAUGCUAUACCUAGGCCAACCUCAUGCCAAAGGCAAUGAGGCAAGCCACAUAGCAACCAGGCCACGUCACAACCGAUGCCGGAGACCUCUACAACAAGACCAAGACUCGAGGACAAAGCAGACCAACGCACCCCACCCAACGCGCCAAGAAGAAGUUGGCAAGUGGACGACAUGACCUGGGUAGACCUAAAGACGGCGUCGUUGAGAGGGCGCCAGCGAUGGUGUACAUUGCGCACCGGAGGCCCACGCCCAUAGUAGUAGCCAACACCGACUUAAGCCUUGCAACAUGUACUCCUCGAGCUAUAGGACCGCGCCUACAAGGAGGGAACGAGGGCAUGACACCGCCGCCGCCUGGUCUAGAGCCCGGACCAAGGGUUUCCCCUAAGCAUGAGGAAGGGAGUCGGAUUGGGGCCAAAGCAACAGCUUCAGGGACGGGACGGCGUCCUCGGACUUCGACGUUGCUAGCCUUGGCAUGCGAAGAAGGGAUUUCUCGCAGCCCAAGAUCAGAACACCUAAACCGGAGCUGCUCAAGCAGGCCGACCACUGCAAUGGGAGUCGUCGCAUCGCCACACAGCAGCCACCGCCAUGCCACCACCUCACAAACGAGCCUCCAUGGCCAAGGUCAACCCUCCACCUCCACAUCCACGACGCCAUGAGCCUCACCGAUGGGAAGGACACCACCAAUCUCUGCCAUCCUCCGCCACCCGGAGUCGCGCAUCCACCCACCACCAUCCACCUUCUUCUCGGAGCGGCGGCCACCUCCGACCUCUAGCCGCGGUCACGGUGAGUCGAGCCGCCGCCCCUACAAAGGCCAGACCCAGACGGAAGGGACGCCCAUUGAGUCGUAGCCUCCACCUGGACCACCGCCGGCACCACUACUCCUGCCCAGGCCGCCCCGAGCUCGCGGUCGACUCCGGCGUGCACCCAGCCGCCACGAGAGCCUCCGCUAGAUCUGGCGUCCCACGCCACCUUGUACGAUGCGAGAGGAAGAGAUAACAUGCCCCAUCACAGACCAUGCUGCGCGGGCUUUGCCCGGCGACGCCUGAUAACCCACAAGUAUAGGGGAUCACAACAGUUUUUGAGGGUAGAGUAUUAAACCCAAAUUUAUUGAUUCGACACAAGGGGAUCCAAAGAAUAUUCGCGAGUAUUAGCAGUUGAGUUGUCAAUUCAACCACACCUGAAAGACUUAAUGUCUGCAGCAAAGUUUUCAGUAUCAAAGUAGUAUGGAAGUAACUAUAAUAGUGGCAAAAGUAACAGUAGUAGUUUGUAGUGAUUUGUAACAGCAGUAGCAACGAAAGUAACUUAGCAAAGAUCAAUAUGUGAAAAGCUCGUCGGCAAUGGAUCGACAAUGAUAAUUGUGUUGGAUGAUAUUCGUCAUGUAGCAGUCAUAACCUAGGGUGACACAGAACUAGCUCCAAUUCAUCAAUAUAAUGUAGGCAUGUAUUCCAUAGAUAGUCAUACGUGCUUAUGGAAAAGAACUUGCAUGGCAUCUUUUGUCCUACCCUCCCGUGGCAGCGGGGUCCUAAUGGAAACUAAGGGAUAUUAAGGCCUCCUUUUAAUAGAGAACCGGAACAAAGCAUUAGCACUUAGUGAAUACAUGAACUCCUCAAACUAUGGUAAUCACCGGAAAGAAUCCCAAUUAUUGUCACCUUGGGGUAUGUGGAUCAUAACUCAUAAUCGGUGUCUACAACUUGCAAGAUAGGAUCAAGAACUAACCUUCUCUUUGAUUUCUUUCUCCGUGAAUAGGUACUUAUAGAAUUAGAGUUAGGGACGAAGGACGUCCAGGGGGCCCACAAGCCUGCAAGGCGCCCUAGGGGGGUGGGCGCCCCCAGGGCUUGUGGCCUCUUGAUGGUCCCCCCUGGUAACUUCUUGCGCUAGUAUUUUUUAUAUAUUCCAUGAAAAUUCUCCGUAAAUUUUCAGGUCAAUCUGAGAACUUUGAUUUCUCACAAAAAUAACACCAUGGCAAUUUUGCUGAAAACAGCUCCAGUCUGGGUUAGUUCCAUUCAAAUCGUGCAAAUUAGACUCCAAAACAAGGGCAAAAGAGUUUGGAAAAGUAGAUACGAUGGAGACGUAUCAACUCCCCAAAGCUUAACCCAUUGCUUGUCGUCAAGCAAUUUAGUUGACAAACUGAAAGUGAGAAAGAAAAACUUUUACAAACUCUGUUUUAUCUUGGUGUUGCAAAUAUGUCUAGCCAAUAUUCAGGUUUUGAGCAAAGAUUAUGAACUAACCAUAUUCACAUUAACAUUUAGGUCUCACAUUUACUCAUAUCAAUAGCAUAAUCAAAUAGCGAGUAAUAAAAAUAAAUCUCAGAUGACAACAAUUUUUCAAAACAAUCAUGAUAUAAUAUGACAAAAUGGUAUCUCUCUAGCCCUUUCUGAGACCGCAAAACAUAAAUGCAGAGAACCCCUGAAGAUCAAUGACUAACUAGACAUUAUAAUUCAUGGCAAAAGAGAUCCACUCACCCUCAUACUCAACAUCAAUUAAAAACAAAGCAUAUAAAUGAAAAUAGUGCUCUCGAGCUGGUGCUUUUAAUAAGAGAUGAUGACUCAACAAUAAAGGUAAAUAGAUAGGCCCUUCGCAGAGGGAAGCAGGGAUUUGUAGAGGUGCCAAGAGUUCAAAGCUUUUAAAACAGAGAUGAAUAUAGUUUUGAGCGGCAUGCUUUCAUAGUCAACAUAACAACCAAGAGAUCUCACUAUCUUCCAUGUUAGAUACAUUAUAGGCAGUUCCCAAACAGAAUGGUAAAGUUUUUACUCCCCCUCCACCAACAAUCACACUCCACGGCUAGCCGAACCCACGGGUACCGUCCAUACCAACAACAGUCCUGUGGGAGUUUUGUUUUAUUAUUAUAUUUUGAUUUGAUUUUGAGCAUGGAACUAGGCAUCUCGAAUACCAGCCACUUUCUCGUGAAUUACAAGUGAAGAAACACUCAUUGUGAGAAUAACCCACCUAGCAUGGAAGAUAAUGAUAGCCCCCAGUUGCUACAUGAGCGAUUCGGGCAUACAAAACAUAUUAUUAUUUGAAGGUUUAGAGUUUGGCACAUGCAAAUUUACUUGGAACGGCAGGUAAAUACCGCAUAUAGGUAGGUAUGGUGGACUCAUAUGGAACAACUUUGGGUUUAAGGAAGUGGAUGCACAAGCAGUAUUCCCACUUAGUUUAAGUGAAGGCUAGCAAAUAGAUCGAGGAGCAACCAACUAGAGAGCGACAACGGUCAUAAACAUGCAUUGAGGUUAACCAACAUUGAGUGCAAGCAUGAGUAGGAUAUAAAUCACCAUGAACAUAAAUAUCAUGGAGGCUAUGUUGAUUUUGAUUCAAUUACAUGCGUGAACAUGUGCCAAGUCAAGCGACUUGAAUCAUUUAGAAGAGGAUACCAUCCUAUCAUACAACAUCAUAACCAUUUUAAAUGCAUGUUGGCACGCAAGAUAAACCAUUAUCCUCUCCUAGUUAAUUAAUAAUGGCAUGAUUAAGUAUAAUCUCUAAUUGUCAUUGCAAACAUGUUUCAUUCAUAAUGGGCCGAAUCAAGAACGAUGAGCUAAUCAUAUUUACAAAAACAAAAUAGGUCGAGUUCGUACCAGCUUUUCUCCACCUCAAUCAUUUCGUCAAAUAUCGUCAUUAUUGCCUUUCACUUGCACGACCGAAUGAUGUGAAUAAUAAUAAGAGUGCACGUGCAUUGGACUAAGCUAGAAUCUGCAAACAUUUAUUCAAAGGAGAAGACAAGGUAAUAUGGUCUCUCUGUUAGAUCAACAUCAAUGCAUAUGAAAUCCACUCAACAUUUUCAUCAUGGUCUUUGUCGUGGACUUAACACGACAGAUGCCCUAGCGAAAGGACUUAGGUGUGGAGCCAUCACAACUAGGUUAGGUUGAAGGGUUUAAUCGGGACAAAGGACACAAAGAGUUUAUACUGGUUCGACCCCUCGCAAAGAGGUAAAGGCCUACUCAAGUUUGGGGUUGUAUUUCUUGGAUUUUGAUCACCAGGGAGAGAAUACGCUUGACCUAGUUCUCGAUCUCUUGUUUCUUUCCCUAACCCGCCGCCGGGUCACCCCUUUAUAUAUACAGGUUGAUGCCCAGCGGCUUACUGAGUCCCGACCGGCUCAUACACAACGUGUCCGGCUCGAUGACUAACUAAGAUUUCCUUACAAUACAAGUUAAACAUAUGGCGGUUCAUCCUCUUGGGCCUCAGGUCGCCUCUGGGUCUUGGGCCUUCAAUAAGCUUGCUUCAUAACCCGCUGUCGGUGUCAAAACCAGCAGAUCUCGGGUAGGGGGUCCCAAACUGUGGAUCAUGGAUCGAUGGGUAACAGGAGACAGGGGACACAAUGUUUACCCAGGUUCGGGCCCUCUUAAUGGAGGUAAUACCAUACUUCCUGCUUGAUUGAUCUUGAUGAAUAUAGAGAUUACAAGAGUUGAUCUACCUCGAGAUCGUAUGUUGUGGUCUAAACCCUAGAGGUAUGAUGAGUAUUGUCAUAAUAAUCUAUCAACUAGCCUGGCCUUGGCUUAUAUAAUGUACCAGAGUCCUAGGAUAACAAGAGUCCUAGAAGAAUACGCUAGUGGAGAGGAGUCCUUGUCUUGAUCACCAAGUCUUGUGGAAACUUCCUCGUGUAUACUUCGGCUGUCCGAACUGGCCCAUGAGUAAACGGUCAUGGGGGUCCUUGGCCCAAUCCAACCGAUCGGGAGACGACGUGGUGAGUACCCUCGGGUCCAGGACACCGUCAGUAGCCCCCUGAACCGGUCUUCAAGUUGGGGACGCUCCUCGAUUCUUCCAAAAUGUUCUUCAUCUUCAGUCGUCGGUCUUGAAAACUGGUUCAACAAAUCUUCUCAUCUUCGAUCUUGAGGAUCGCCGAGGUGAAUCCGAAGAGUUUACACGUCGGGUAUCCGAGGAGCCCCUUUAAGUUCUCGACCUUUAUCGAUGCCUUGUUAUUUUUACGCCCACCUCGGGUUUGAAGUUGUUCCCGGGCGGCGGUGUCCUCUUGCAUCUGAGCUCCAACGCCGGACUGUAUUCGAGGUAUCUUUUGCAGCCGAGCACCAACGCCGGACUAUAUCCGAGCUCCAACGCCGGACUGUAUCCGAGCUCCAACACCGGACUGUAUCCGAGCUCCAACGCCAGACUAUAUCCGAGGUGUUAUAGAUCACCUUGGCUUGAAAAAGUUUGAAGGAGGUUAUCCGAGUUUAACGCUGAAAAAUUCUCUAUGGAACGAGCCAUUCAAAUCCGGGAUUUAUGCCGGACCACUUCCGAGCUCCAACGAUGGUCAGCGUCCGAGGUGUCGUAAACUACCUUGGUCUUUUAAAAGAUUGAACGAAUUUAGCCGAGCUUAAUGCCGGAAAUGCCCUCUAUGGAGCCAGCCACUGGCGCCCGAGCUUUAUGCCGGACUGCUUCCGAGGUGGUGCACCACCCUGACCACGGGCUGAUUUUUAUGAAUAUUUUUUAUUGGUGCAAUUUACUCUCUGCCGAGACAUAUAGCCAGUAUAUGUAUAUCCAGUAGCCCUCAAGGUGUGUGUCGGUCUAAACCCAAGAUGCACCUGAAGGAAAACAUAAAACUGCUGAUCCUAGUAGCCCCUGAGACUCAGGUCGAUUUGCAAAAUCGGCCUGAGGAUCAACUUCUAGCUCGGCAACAUACGUAGGAAUAGAAACGCAGUGUAAUAUAUUAGAGAUAAUAGUGAUCGGCGAACGGGCCCUUGAGAGAGGGUCUUGAGAAGUUGCCGCAAUAUAUUAGCUUGACGCCAGAUAGGUUCAGAUGGUACCUAUUGUUGUCCGAAGAUGCGUUUGCCCAUAGUUCGGUCCAGCCGAACACUAAGCACUUUGAAUUUUCUGCAUUGAACAGGCAACACAGUAGCCCCCGAGACAUUGGUCGGGUGGCAACACCAGAUCAGGGGAUCGAUGUGCCCCUUUAAUAAAAUAAUAAGCCCGAAGCCCAGUAGCCCCUGAGCCUUAAUGCGGGCACGGUGGCCGAAUUAAGGGUCGAUAUCCGUAGUAAAAUAAAAAAUUAUGUGUAAUGAUUCUAUGUAUCCAAGUACUCUAUAUCAUUAAUGCUCGAAUCCGUAUUGUACAAAACCUUGUUGACCGACCAUCGGCUUCAACCUCUUCGGCCAGUAGCCGAGGAGUGUUUUCCUACUUUAUAAAGCCGUUAUAAGGGCAAAGAUUUAUGGAAAACAAGGCAAUCCGGCCAUACGGUUUUAUAAACAAAGGUACACAGAGAGAUAUGUUAUAUUACGUUUUAACGUAAGAAACAUCUUCCAAAGAAAAUAGUCCCGCUAUCGGUUCCUUUCUUUGGGUCGUCAUGCUUAUCAUGAUCAUGAAACCUCAUCUCUGAUCCGAUCAAUGUGGGAGGAAAAUAUUGAGGAUUUAGUUCGGGGAAAGUUCCCGAACUCUAUGGUAUUAAUGAACCAAAAUUUUCACUUCCGUCAUUGCCGACCAAUGUGAUCCUUUAAGAUUGCUAGCUUUCGGCUUCACCCAGUCUGAGGUACUAACUCGGAUGACCCGGUAGUAACAAUCACAAAGGUGCUCCCUUUACCGCCUAGCCGAACAAUCGGGAACAUAGGGGUAAGCACAGGAGGCAGGUAACCCAGCUUGGCCAAAAUCUUAAGUCAAAUUGAUGCAUAUUUAUGGCUUUAUAUAAUGUUAACUACGGAAGGCAACACUUGUAUAAUGAAUACAAACGCUGAUGAUAUAUACUUAUUUUGACUCCAUUGCGACCGUUUAUCAGUUGAAAGUGGCUCAUCGUCGGCUUCUACCCCUUUGUAGAUACUACGCAGGGUGUUUCCGCAAUAACAAGACAACCCUUAGCCGACGUCUCGGUGCCCGAAGGCGGUUGCGUUAGCGGAAAUGAGGUAAUCAGAUAUGCGGGCUUUAUAACUUUCACUUAGUAAUAGGAGCUUUAAACUGGGGAAGCUAGCUACGAGCCCCCGGUUAGUGUUCGGCGACAGCCGAGGUCAAGCCGUAAACACUUCGGCCAAUGUUAUGAACGGCCCGUCAUUUAACAUAGUCAUCGGAUCGCUACCAGUUUAUGCUUAUUGUGACAGUUAGUUUUCGGCUUUCUCCACUGAGGUGCUUAACCAUGUGAGCUGGAAGCACAAUCGCAGUGGUUCUCCCUUUGCACACCUAGCCGAACAAAGCGGAACGUAGGAGGCAAGCACAGGAUCCGGGAAACCCAACCAUUGACCGAAGACACAAUUCGAAACCGAUGCAUAUAUAGCAAUAUCCAAGAAUGUUUUUGCCGAAUCUCUAAAGGUGUCCGGCGCUACACUGCGAGACUUAUGCUGGAAACACACAAAUAGUUUAAAAGUGCCAUAGGCUUGGAAAACCAAAAAAAAUCAGUAGAAACUUGACGUCCGAACUAGAUCAAGUGUUCGGUGCCAAUCUGAAAAUUGGAGAAAAAAGAAAAAAAAAUGUGCUUCUGUCGUGCUUUAACAUGACACAUCCGAUCUCAAGACUUUCAAGCGGCUCAGCCUACGGCUUCAAGCUCCUUAUCCCGAAGGAGGAGUACUUCUCCGAGGCCAGUUUAGCGAACUAAACUCGAGCGACUUUUAGAGAGAAGACAGGCUAUCCAGCUAUUGACCAUACACUCGAGUCGAAAAAGGAGCGGUAGAAAAAGACUUUGCAAUGACCAAGGAGAAAACACAUUUACUAUAAAACGGCUCAUACUAAUUUAAGAGCCCCCAAGUGACUUGGGUAAAAGAAUUUUAUGUAUAAUGAUUGUAUGUACCAAAGUACUUAUAUCAUAUCUGUAUUCACCCAAACUUUAAACGCGUCUUAACCGACCGUCGGCUUCUCCCUCUUCGGUCAAGGGCCGAAAAGUGUUAUGUACUCCACCUGUCGAGAACAUCGACGGUGUUUCCGAUAACCAGGCAAUCAGGCCAUAAGGCUGUAAUAGACAAAGCGCGCUCAGAGAACUUAUGCUAUAUUACCGACGAAGUGUAAGAAGCAUCUUCGAAGAAAAUAGUACCCCCACCGAUACCUUUCUUCGGUUGCUCAUUGUUACCAUGAGACUUGUGCAAUAGAUUUUUUUGUACUCAUGAGUUCCAUUGUGUGCCGACCACGAUUGAAAACAAUAAGAGCGCUAGCUUACGGCUUCACCCAGUCUGAGGUCCGAGCUCGGAUGACCCGAUCGUGACAAUCUGAGAGGUGCUCCCUUUACUCCCUAGCCGAACAAUCGGGAACGUAGGGGUAAACACAGGAGCAAGGCAACCCAGCUUGUGGAACACUUAAGUCAAUAUGGUGCAUAUUGUGGCGUAAUACACGAACAAGGAACGAAGCCAUACAAGUAUAAUCAUAUGCAAGAGGAAAGGCUUCAUAAAGGAAGCCCCGAAGUAAACGGGGUAUUUGAAUUUGUGUGUCACAAACAAAGUUUUGACAAGGAAGCUUUUCACAAACAACUUUUUGCCAAAAAAGUAUAAUGCUUGAUCGAAUCGAAUAAAAUUUAAAACUGAAAGUCUUUGAGCAUGGAAGCGACUUAGCUGGUUAACGUGCUCGGUGUUGAUGAUGCGAUUCGUGCUUGUGGCGGGACGAAGACGCCCAUUGAUCUGAGACAGAUCCGACAAGGUUCACAGUCCCCGGCAUGGCGAGGUCCCAGCCCCCAAGCCCGAGGUGUUCGAGCAAGGAGUUCGGCACUCCGGAGUAGUGAGACGGCUCGGCCGAUGUGGUAAGGCGAAGCCCCCAGUCUAGCCGAGCUGGCAGAGUUGGUUGGCAAGGUGACAAUGAAGCCCCCACGCCAGUCGACCUGUUCGGCAUGGUAGACGUCAGUUUGACGAAGCGACGACGCUGCACGGCCGAUGUGGCGAGAUGAAGUUCUUAGUCCAGUUAACAUGGCGAAGCUGUGAUCGGCGGAUGCCGAAGUCUAAUGCGGGUCAGCUGGUGAUGCCGAAGUGACCGCGUAACGCAGUCAAAAUCGAUUACCUGCACACAUAAAACAGUGCGGUCCAAAUAAUAAUAAUAAUAAUAUAUAUAAUCCUUGCAUAAUUGCUUUACGCAAAAAUAAGUUAUUUAAAGAGAUGUGGUCUGGCGCCGAAGCCAAUGUCGAUGCAGGGCAUCGGCGUGACGCAGUGAAGGCGUGACAAAGCCUGAAUUUGCAGGGCGGUCCGGGCUCUAGAUGCAGCGUUCGCCGAACUGCGGACGGGAAACAGACCGAACCAUCGCGCAACCAUCAUCAAUGCGGCCAUCAUUUGACAGACCUGUGUACAGAUGAUGGAACAAACCAGAGUAAUAAUUUAUUGGAAAAAUAAGCCCAAUCAAGAAAAAAAAUACUAGGAUUAAUAGCACCUGGUUUGUCUGUUGUAGCAAUCUGAAAAAAGGUUACUCCCAAAAUUGGGACUUGAUCCGCACACCCAUUGCCUGGUGAGCGAUGGAGCGGUGGCAUGGCGAUGCUGGCAAAGGUUGGCUUGCCGAGGUAAAGCCCUCGGUCCAGCUAACGUGACGAAGUUGGUCGGUUGACGACGCCGAAGUCUCCAGAUAGGUCGAUGAAGGGAUGGCGAAGCCCCCGUUCUAGACGAGGAGACGGAGCAGGUCGGUAAGGAGAUGUUGCAGCUGCCAUGUCAGCCGAGGUGUUGAAGUAGUUCGGCGUGAUGGACAUCGGCUCGAUGAAGCAACGGUGUGGCCACGCCGAUGCAGGUCGUAACUUGUGGCGUGGUCAAUGCUGGCUUGAUGAAGUGACCGUGCGGCGAUGCCGGUGUGCCCGCUCUAUAUAAUCCAUGGGGCGGCGAUGUUGGUGAUGAUUUAUCCUUCGCGAUGCCGAACUCUUGUUCGGCUUGCCGAGAUGAUGAUCUGAAGAAUUUGAGCUCGGCUCAACAAAGCGACGACGUGUCUAGCGCAGGUCGGCAGCCGUAGACCAACGUUGUCGGGCUAGUUUGACACCAACGCAAUGGUGAAGAUCAUAUUGGAAAAGACUUUAAAAUUAGCGGGAUGUGUUUGGGAACAAAACACAAUACCCCAUACAAAACUUCCUUCAAAAAGGAUGACCGGAAUCCCGUUCAUAAAAAAGAUGAACUCGGGUCGGAUUCGUUCUCGCGCAGAAAACAGAUCUAAAAAGUGAUGCACUAAUCAGAAGGUUCCCGGAGUUUGGACGGUCGGAUCGAGCUGAAAUUUUGAGGGGUGGUAGAUAUGGGAAUUCCGCAACAGAUGAACGGUUGGAUCGUCCAAAGGACCUCCGAGCUGGGCUCUGGAGACCACGCCCUAAACUCAUCCAGAUUCCCGUCCAGAUUUGACAGGGCUCCGGUAUUUCGGAACUCGACGAAAAUUUCCAGGGUUGUUGUAGACUCAAUUCCGCAUAAUUCCACCGAAGCAAUCGUUAAAAGGAUACUCGAGGAGGCGGUGGCGGUGGAUACAAGUUUGCUGUCCAGAAAAACAACACGAUCGCCCGAGGACAAUGUUGACGUUGAGCCCCGAGCUCCAUGGAUGAUUCCUCCAUGAUCUUGAUAGAGAUUGGAGUUAAUGUUGAUGAAGGCCCUCGUCCGAAUAUGAUGAUUGGAGGUAGGGCACAGUCCUCGGUCAAGCCAAGGUGACCAGUCGAGGCGGCGACGAAGACGCUGAUGUCGCAGUUGAUCUGCAGGCGAGCCAUUGAUCCUUUUGCCGAUCACACAGCGGAACUCUCAAUGAAAGCACCAUUGUCGGUGUCAAAACCGGCAGAUCUCGGGGUAGGGGGUCCCAAGCUGUGGAUCAUGGAUCGAUGGGUAACAGGAGACAUGGGACACGGUGUUUACCCAGGUUCGGGCCCUCUUAAUGGAGGUAAUACCCUACUUCCUGCUUGAUUGAUCUUGAUGAAUAUAGAGAUUACAAGAGUUGAUCUACCUCGUGAUCAUAUGUUGUGGUCUAAACCCUAGAGGUAUGAUGAGUAAUGUCAUAAUAAUCUAUCAACUAGCCUGGCCUUGGCUUAUAUAAUGUACCAGAGGCCUAGGAUAAUAAGAGUCCUAGAAGAAUACGCCGGUGGAGAGGAGUCCUUGUCUUGAUCACCAAGUCUUGUGGAAUCUUCCUCGUGUAUACUUCGGCUGUCCGAACUGGCCCAUGAGUAAACGGCCAUGGGGGUCCUCGGCCCAAUCCAAAUGAUCGGGAGACGACGUGGUGAGUACCCCUGGUCCAGGACACCGUCACCCGCCAUCUUCAACUUUAAGUCGCCAGUGGUAUGACCCGGCCCCUCCUGGGCGGGUCAUACCCAAUAGUUAUAUCCCCAACAUUAGGCCCCAGGUUGAUUUGAACUUAUUCACAUCAAUCUUCAGUACUUGACUUAGCAGAAUCUUCCAUCAUCAACCUUAUAAACUUGCUGUAACCCGCCAUGACGUCAGCUCACAAAUUUGUGUUAACCCGCCAUGACGUCAUCUCGUAUUAACUUCACACAAAACCGAGAUCAUCUGAUCAUAUCCUUUGUUUUUAAUGGACCUCCCAAAAAUCAAGGUGUCCUUGUAGCCACAUGACCUUUUUUUCAGCCUCCUUCAUUCCCGCGCAUGCCAUUUAUCCACCUCCUUAUAAAUAGGGACAGGGGGGCCCUGUUUCCACUUUUACCCUUGCCCCCUUGUCUCCAUCUUCUUCCUCUCAAUGCUCCUGCGCACCCGAGCUCCGCCGCCGUCGGCCUCCGUCCACUGCAUCAACUCUGGUCGCUGCAUCACCCUAAACACACGAGAGCUCCGCGGUGCACCUCCGCAGUCCAUCAGCAUUAGUAAGUUCAACUUCACCCCAGAAUAGAUCUGCACUUAGGGUUUUCACUUGUUCGUCGGUGUUCUUUGCCAUUCUUCGUUUUCUCCUCUAGAUCAAGUAGUUUUUGAUCUGAAUAUAUGGUACCAAACUUGUGCGGUAGCAAUUUAGCACUCGUUUUUAAUAUCCGUAGAAGAUCUCAUAUGAGCACACGAACUUUUCUGCUGUCGCCACCUUAGGUUUAGAAUUUAUUUUAUUUUCAAACUACCGUAGAUCCAAAUUUUCGGCACCAACCUGUAAAAUUUGUUUGUUCAACACUUAGCCAUUCCUCACUUAUAGAUCUGAAAUAUGACAACUGUUCGGGCGGCUUAACUGAUAAUCUGUAACCCGGUAUGUACCGUUAGUCCCCUUUUAAGCCGCCAAUAGAUAUAUCUGCAUAACUCAACGCUAUCUUCCGGCUUAACAUAUUGGCUCUUUAUAGCACUUUACUUUUGAAUCAAUGGGCCGACAUUAGCAGCAUAAUCUUAAACCGGUAAUAUUUCUUUCCUUCAGGCCUUCAUCCUUAAAAAUGACUAAGACUGUCACCGCAUGCAACUGGGUCGUUUCCUGGGUCACCGAGGAAGCAUUGAAUGAGUAUGUCCAAACAUGCGUUCUAGCUCAAAAAGAUGUCAUGCAUUGGAGGGUCCCAGGCACAGAAACCCCUCCUGAGCCCAAGGACGGUGAAGUAAUUGUUUUCACUGAUCAUCUGCUCCAGGGUUUUAGCCCUCCCGGCUCAAAAUUCUUCCGCGAUGUGCUGCACUUUUUCAAGCUCCAUCCUCAAGAUAUUGGGCCAAAUUCCGUUUCAAACAUCUGCAACUUUCAAGUGUUCUGUGAGGUGUACCUUCAACAGGAGACCACUAUAGAACUAUUCAGGGAAUUUUACUAUCUAAACCAGCAGACCGAGUUUACAGAUGGGCACAUCCUAGAAUUAGGUGGCAUUUCGAUUCAAAGGCGGAAAGAAGCCACUUCCCCAGCCGCCAAACUGCCCAGUCAUCCCAAGGACUGGAACCAAACUUGGUUUUAUUGAAAAGAUACUUCUCCAGAAGGGGAAAGCCCUCUGCUGGGUUAUCGUGCCAGCCGACUUAGCAACAGGCAUCCUCUUCCGGACCGCAUCAGCAUAGCGGAACAGAAAAAAAAAUGCUUGUCUUUUUAAAGAUCCGAGCCUUAAUGUCGGUGUCAAAACCGGCGGAUCUCGGGUAGGGGGUCCCGAACUGUGCGUCUAAGGCGGAUGGUAACAGGAGGCCGGGGACACGAUGUUUACCCAGGUUCGGGCCCUCUCGAUGGAGGUAAUACCCUACUUCCUGCUUGAUUGAUCUUGAUGAUAUGAGUAUUACAAGAGUUGAUCUACCACGAGAUCGUAGAGGCUAAACCCUAGAAGCUAGCCUAUGGUAUGAUUGUUGUUGUCCUACGGACUAAACCCUCCGGUUUAUAUAGACACCAGAGGGGGCUAGGGUUACACCGAGUCGGUUACAAGGGAGGAGAUCUAUAUAUCCGUAUUGCCAAGCUUGCCUUCCACGCCAAGGAGAGUCCCAUCCGGACACGGGACGAAGUCUUCAAUCUUGUAUCUUCAUAGUCCAACAGUCCGGCUGUCCGAGGACCCCCUAAUCCAGGACUCCCUCACUUAAUGGCCAACGGUUUGACCGGGAUCGAUCUGGUUUGAUGCUGGGUCGCCUGGAGAGUUCUGUCCUUAAGCCGCCACCCUGUCUUCAUGUGCGAGUACACCAGCGACUUAAAAGAUCCACAACGCCGCUGCCAGAUUCAGUUGAUUGAUGAGGAUAUCAAUAACAUGACCAAGUCUCGGUUAAACGAGAGCUUGGCAGAUUGUAGCAAAGCCGGACUGAAUCCUUUCUGCACUCUCAACAAGCCACCAGUUGUAAGCUUGUAACCAUUUUUAGUUGAACCAUAUUUUUACUUAAAUUGUCCUCUUAUAAUCAUUUGAUUUUCAUAGGACGAUUCUCCUUUUUGGAAUAGGAAGCUGCAGGAUAAGCCGGGCAAGACGACCCAGACGAAGAAUAAGGCUCGGAAAAAGCCUGCCAAGAAGAAGACCAACACCUCCGAGCUAUUUGACUUGGAGGACAUUGAGUCGGAGGUAGAACUUGACUCCCUUGGCUCAUUUUUUGUACAUCUUAUUGACAAUGAUCACUAUUAGGAUGACGCGGAAGGCAGCCACACAGAUGGCGAAGAGGUAACUAUCCUUUCCUCCGACUCAGAAACUCUGCCAAGACAGAAAGUUCGUCAAGCAAGCCGGAAAGUAAGGUUUUCUCAUCCUUUAACUUAUUUGGAUCCCAACUUUAUUUUGAAGAAGCAGCAAUAUGAAGCUCGCCGCACGACCCGGAAUAGCGGUGGCGGGAUUCUCUCAUCCGGCUUACCAAGCACACCGGCUCCUCGCAAGUGCGGUCCAGAGGUUUCACAGACUUCCGACUUAGCUUAUCCCAAGGCGGGUCUUUUUCGACAGCCUCUUAACCCUUCUGACUCAAAUUACCAGGGAACAUCUCACUCCUCCUCCGGCGACUCAACUGGGACCCAAAUCCCAGUCUUCAAGACCGUGCCUGGGUGAGAAUAUUAAGUCUAUCCGCUUUCAAUCAUGCACUUAAUUGUCGUAUUAAUCCUGUCUUGUGCUUCAUUUUCAACGCUAUGGCAAAGCCCAGCAAGAAGCUGAAGGUGACCAAAAUGGCUGAAGACUAGAAUCUCAAUGAACCGGAGAAGCAAAUAACAGAAACUUCUCUCCAUGCUGCUGAGGCCACCAUUGAUGACCCACCACCAGAGGAGCACAACGUCACCAUAGACCAUAGGAUGUUGAACCGGCCACUACCAAGCCACCAAGUUCCAUCAAGCCUACUGAAGAGAAGGCUGAUGAUGUUAUCAUUACCGGGCUUGGUUACAUGGCACCGGGCAACCCCACUUUCUUGUCAAAGCACAGUGCUAAGGAAGGGUUAUCCGUUGCUGACAAAGGCAAAUGGUCGGUGAAUUUGGAAAGCUAUGCCCAAUAUAGCGCUCAAGAAAUCCACUCUGGGUAUCUAAAUCAUCUUCAUACAAGUUGUGACUUUGAGGCCGGCUUAGUCAAUCUUAUGAAGGAAUGUUUUGAGGUAAAUGUUAUAAUCUUCUUCAUAUGAGUAUACUUCUGCCAGCCUCCAAGUCUACUGGAUAUGAUAGAAUUGAAUGUGCUAUAGACUUUAGAUAGCCUUAUAUAUAUCAACAUCAAAACAAGAAGCCCCCAAGGGCCGGCUUAAACUGUCAAGUUAAGCCGGGACUUCAAAUAGUAGUAAUCAAUUUUGCACCUGUGGCCCCAAGGACCGGCUUAAUCAGUAUGGAUAAGCCAGGACUUAUCACCAUUAUUGUGAAUAAAAUCUAAGUAUGUAGCCCCCAUGAGCCGGCUAUAGUCAUAAAGUGUAGCGGGGUCAUCAUAGAAUUGUCUUCAAAAAAGAGCAAUGUGCAUUAUCCCCCAAGUGCCAAGUGAAAUAAUUGUAUUGUGCUUGGGACUUCAAAGAAAAUGAUUGUAAUGCUGCCUGUCAUUUACAUAUUACAGGCGGAGCUAAACACGAAAGAAUCCAAGUCGCCGAUCUUCAGCAAAAUAUCAAGUCUCAACAAUUUGAAACUUCCAAGGCCAAAUCAGAAUUGACAACCGCCUUGGAAGAGAUGCAGAAGUUGAAAAAGGACUUCAAGGCUGUCAGGACAGGCUAGGAGACUGAAAAGACAACUCUGUUGAAAAGAGCCAAGGAAGCAGAGGUUGCCCUUAAGCCGGUGGCUGACGAGCUUUCCAGCUUAAAGCGUCAAAUUAACAUCAUGACAGCCGCCAUCUUUGGUAAGUAACACUGUACUUCAAUCUUUCCAUAGCAAUUUAUAUAAAUCAUUACCCGGUUUACCAAUAUUUUGCAUUGAUGCAGGCCCGAGAAGCUCCAGCCUUGGUCAAGAUAUGCGCGUUAAACUCAAGGCCACAUAUACUCUUGUGGAUCAAUUGUACACUAGCGCUCAACGAGCCAUCUCUGCCGCCUUACACAAAAAGUCACCACCUUCUCUCAUCAAGGAAGUGCUGGAGAGGCUUUCUGUGUUACCGCAAAGAAUCGAAGAGUUGAAGCGACCAGCCUCCAGGGCCGGUGCCAUCACCGCAUUAAGCCGGGCAAAGGCGUGGCAAGCAGAUCUUGAUCCAGAAGAUUUGGCCAAUGGCUGCCCAAGUGUAAAACAAGACGGGUCUCCCUUCAGCGCUAUUGACUUUGCCGAAAUAGUAAGGGGAAUGCAUCCAUUAGCAAGCAAGCUCGCGGAAGAUACAGACCUGUCUUAGUAUCAGGCGGUUUAUGAUGCUAAAAACAAGGAGGUAAAGGCGCCAGUUCAUGAAGCCCAGGACCUCAUUCCGCCAAUUCGUAAGCACACCUUUGCCCCUGAUAUUGACCCAUCAACACUUAUUGAUGACGAGGCUGUGUUCCAAGCUUUGACUGGGAUCGAUUGGUCAUAGCCUAACUUCCAGACAACAGAGGAAGAAGAAGAACUAGCGCAGGAUGAUCCGGAAGCCUCGACGCGCCAAGACUAGAAGUCUUGAUUCAUGAGCCGGUUUAUCAACCACAUCAUUUGGAUGCCGUGUGUCUCAAAACGCUUAUUCUUUUUGGUUGCAUGAUGCCUUGUAAUAGGCUAGUUGAAAAACCAUGGUCUGCCACGCCAUCGUGCGUGUUUGUUUGCAUAACACUUUUGAGCCGCCCGAUCUGAUUUGAAGAUCCGUUGUUUAUGCUCAUAAUUAUUGUGAAUCUUGCAGAUCAUGUUAUCAUAAGCCCUGCACAUAAGCAGAUAACAUGUGCCCUGGCAGUUUACCCCAGGGCGGGUCACAAUGCCCCAUAUAAAAUCCACUGGUGACUGCAUAGUCCAUAACCAGGGCGGGUUUAUCAAAACCUCAUAUAAUCAUAACAAAGUAAAUAUCAUACCUGUGAUAUUUGUUCAUAAUGUCGGCUUACCAUGCCAUAUGCAGUAAGGGUAACAACCCAAAGACUUAGAGCGCAGCACCCUGUUCAAUUUAUUCAUACUGCCGGCUUACAACACCAUAUGCAGCAAGGGUAACAUCCCAAAGACUUAGAGCGCAGAACUCCAAGCAUAUAAUCAAGACACACUGGCGACUUAUCAUCCAAAGCCAGUCCGGGUUAUCAGAACUCCAGAUAAAUUCAAAUAUGAAUCAUACGAAUCAAGGCAACAUGGCCUGAACCAAUUUUAAAGCAUAUAUCAAUACAGUACACAAGAUGAACUCAAAAAUGUUCAAAGCAAAUACAAAUUAGAAAAACAAGGCCUUCAUAGGCUGCCAAACCUCAAUAUCAAAUGCUAUUCAAAGGCUGCACAGCCACUGAGUUUAACCUUUAUUCAAACCUGUAAGUCGGGCCUCACAUGACCAAUCGUUGUUUCAACUUUUACAAGUUCAGGGUCUUUAUAUGAUUGACUGUCAAGAGUACGGUGAGUCAUUCCAGGAUUACUUGGUCGGAGUGGCAGGCAUACUAAGGCAGGAUAACCCAGAUUUUUGGUGAAUACACAUGGCGUCCAAGCCAAUCAAAAGGGUAAAUAAGGCUAUGUUCAUGAAACAGGAAGCCCCAAAAUGAUUUUUUCAACAAGCCAUCAAGGUAGGUUACCUAUGUUUGAACUGUUCAUUGUCACAAGUUCUCUUUGGUAACCUUUUAACUUUAGGAAAAGAACUCCCAAGUUAUUUGCAACCAGGCGUAUGAGCCAGAUCAAAGGGUAGUCAUAGCUAUGCUCAAUGAGCAGGAAGCCCCCAAGUCAUUUGUAAACAAGGCGUACAAGCCGGAUCAAGAGGGUAGUCAUAGCUAUGCUCAAUAAGCAGGAAGCCCCCAAGUGAUCUUAUGAAGUAACAAUAAAGACUCAGAUUCUCAGAAAUGAAACAAUAGAGGCCCUAAAUUGUCAGGGAUGCUGGCUUUAUUAUAGUAAUCAUAAUAUAUACAUUGAUAGAAGUAUGUACAUCACAAGAGCCAGUGGCUCAGGUGUAAUAAGGCCGAAGAUGAGCAAUAUUCCACGGCCGCCGAGUCUCCUCCUUAGAUUUGCGUGAAUCCUUGUGCUCUCAAACAUCAAUGAGGUAGUAAGAUCCGUUGUUCAGAUUUUUGCUGACCACAAAGGCCCUUCCCAAGGUGGGGAUAGCUUGUGCAUGUCAGUUUGAUCCUGGAUGAGCCGGAGCACCAAAUAUCCUUCUUGAAAGGUCCGGGUUUAACCCGACGGCUAUGAUAACGACGCAGAUCUUGCUGGUAAUUCGCCGAACGAGCCACCGCAAGGUCACGCUCCUCAUCCAGAAGGUCAAGAGCAUCCUGACAUGCUUUUUCAUUAUCAGCUUCAACAUAAGCCGCCACACGGGGCGAGUCGUGACUGAUGUCACUUGGGAGAACCGCCUCUGCUCCGUACACCAUGAAGAAAGGCGUGUAACCUGUAGAUCUGUUGGGGGUGGUAUUGAGACUCCAAAGCACUGAAGGCAACUCCUCAACCCAACAACCCGGCGUCCUCUGCAAAGGGACCAUAAGCUGGGGUUUUAUGCCUCUCAAGAUUUCUUGAUUGGCUCUUUCAGCUUGGCCAUUGGACUGGGGGUGAGCCACUGAUGAUACAUCAAGACGAAUAUGCUCUCGUUGACAGAAUUCUUUCAUAGCACCUUUAGACAGAUUAGUGCCAUUAUCAGUUAUAAUGCUGUGAGGGUAGCCAAAAUGGAAAAUCACCUUUUUGAUGAAUUGAACCGCCGUUGCCACGUCACACUUACUGACCGGCUCUGCCUCAACCCACUUUGUAAACUUGUCAACCGCCACCAAAAGGUGGGUCUUUUUAUCCUUGGAUCUUUUAAAAGGUCCAACCAUAUCCAUCCCCCAGACUGCAAAUGACCAACUAAUUGGAAUCAUCCUCAAUUCUUGAGCCGACACAUGAGCUCGUGUUGAAAACUUCGGACAACCAUCACAUUUACUGACCAAGCCCUCUGCAUCAACAUGAGCUGUCAGCCAAUAAAACCCAUGAAGAAAAGCUUUAGCCAUGAGAGACUUAGAGUCGGCAUGAUACCACAAUCUCCUUCAUGAAUCUCUCAUAGAAUCUCACAGGCUUCCUCAGGAGAAACACAACGUUGAAACACCCCUAUGACACUGCAUCGGUGCAACUCUCCAAUGACAAUAGUCAUUGACUUAGACCACCGGGUUAUCUGCCUGGCCAAAGUUUCAUCUUCAGGUAACUCGCCCCGUGUCAUAUAAGCCAAAUAUGGAACUGUCCAAUCAGGAAUAGGCGCCACCAACUGCGCCUCCGGGUCAGGAACAUCAAGAUCUUCCUCCGUAGGCAAUUUGACUAAAGGAUUAUGCAGGAUUUCAAGGAAAACAUUAGGUGGUACCGGCUUAUGCUGGGACCCUAGCCUGCUUAAAGCAUCAGCCGCCUCAUUUUUCCUGCGAUCAACAUGUUCCAGUUGAUAACCUUUGAAAUGACCAGCAAUAGCAUCAACCUCUCGGCGAUAAGCCGCCAUGAGUGGAUCUUUAGAAUCCCAAGUGCCUGAAACUUGCUGAGCCACCAAAUCUGAGUCGCUAAAACACCUCACCCGGCUUUGAUUCAUCUCUUUAGCCAUCCGAAGACCAUGGAUCAAGGCCUCAUACUCAGCUGCAUUGUUAGUACAAGGGAACAUCAACCUUAAAACAUAGCAAAAUUUAUCACCUCGCGGGGAAGUCAAAACAACUCGAGCCCCCGAGCCUUCCAACUGCCCGGAUCCAUCAAAGUGAAUAGUCCAAUAUGUGCUAUUCGACUUCUCCUCAGGCAUCUGCAACUCUGUCCAGUCAUUGAUGAAAUACACAAGUGCUUGAGAUUUGAUGGCUGUUCGAGGCAUAUACUUCAAACCAUGGGGUCCAAGCUCAAUGGCCCACUUGGCUACCUGACCUAUGGCUUCUCUGUUUUGAAUAAUAUCCCCUAAGGGAGCAGAACUGACCACAGUGAUGGGAUGACCAAAGAAAUAUUGCUUCAAUUUACGACUAGCCAUGAACACCCCAUAAACCAGCUUCUGCCAAUGUGGGUACCUCUGUUUGGAUUCAAUGAGUACAUCACUGAUAUAAUAAACAAGCCGCUGAACCAGAUAUUCCUUGCCUGCCUCUUUCUGUUCCACAACAAUUGCCACACUGACGGCUCGGCUAUUAGCAACCACAUAUAACAAUAAGGGCUCCUUAUCAAUAGGAGCUGCAAGGAUCGGCGGCUCAGCCAACUGCUUUUUCAAUGCCUCAAACGCCUGAUUAGCAGCAUCACUCUAGACAAAGUGAUAUGUUUUCUUCAUCAUCUGGUACAGAGGGAUAGCCUUCUUGCCCAACCGGCUUAAGGCCGCAAUACGACCCGCCAGACUCUGGACAUCAUUAAUACACGCCGGCCUAGCCAAGGAAGUGAUAGCCUUGAUUUUCUCCGGGCUAGCUUCAAUGCCCCUUUCAGAAACCAAAAAACCCAAGAGCUUGCCUACUGGCACACCAAGACACACUUGGUCGGGUUAAGCAUCAUCUUGUAGAUCCGAAGAUUGUCAAAGGUCUCUUUCAAAUAAUCUAUCAAGGUCUCCUUCUUCCGGAAUUUCACAACAAUAUCAUCCACAUAAGCAUGAACAUUGCGUCCAAUCUGGUCAUGGAGGCAAUUCUGAACACACCGCUGAUAAGUCGCCUGGGCACUCUUGAGCCCAAAAGGCAUAGACACAUGGCAGAAGGCGCCAAAGGGAGUGAUGAAAGCUGUCUUCUCCUGGUCUUUAACCGCCAUCUUGAUCUAAUGAUAACUAGAGUAAGCAUCCAAAAAACUCAAACACUCACAACCUGCCGUAGCAUCAAUGAUAUGAUCAAUACGAGGGAGAGCAAAAGGAUCAGCUGGACAUGCCUUGUUAAGGUCUGUGUAAUCCACACACAUACGCCAAGUGCCAUUCUUAAGUACCAGCACUGGGUUAGCCAACCACUCAAGAUGAAAAACUUCAAUGAUGAACCCAGCCGCCAAGAGCCGGGCCACUUCUUCACCAAUGCCUUGCGCCUCUCUUGAUUAAAACGAUGAAGGAAUUGCUUGACCGGUUUAAACUUUGGAUCAAUAUUAAGAGUGUGCUCAGCGAGUUCCCUCGGUACACCUGGCAUGUCAGAAGGUUUCCAUGCAAAGAUGUCCCGGUUCUCACGGAUGAACUUGAUGAGCGUGCUUUCCUAUUUCGGAUCCAUAUUAGCACUGAUACUGAAUUGCUUGGACGAGUCGCCAGGAACAAAGUCAACCAGUUUAGUGUCAUCUGCCGACUUAAAGUUCAACAAAGGGUCAUGCUCUGUGGUUGGCUUCUUGAAAGGUGUCAUAUCUGCCGGGUCAACAUUAUCCUUGUAAAAGUUCAACUCCUCUGUUGCACAAACAGACUCAGCAUGAGCAGCAUUGCCCUCUUCGCACUCCAAGUCUAUCUUCCUGUUCCCAUGCACUGUGAUGGUACCCUUACGACCCGGCAUCUUAAGCUGCAGAUAAACAUAACAAGGUCUUGCCAUAAACAUAGCAUAAGCCGGCCGCCCAAACAAGGCGUGAUAAGGGCUCUUGAUCUUGACCACCUCAAAAUUCAAUGUCUCAACUUAUAAUCAUGAUCAUCACCGAAAGCCACUUCCAAAGCUAUCUUGCCCACCGGAUACGCCGACUUACCAGGCACCAUGCCAUGGAAAACAAUAUUAGACGGCUUAAGAUCUUUGUGAGUCAAAUUCAUACGAAGGAAAGUGUCAUAGUAAAGGAUAUUGAUCCUGCUGCCUCCAUCCAUGAGCACCUUAGUAAACUUGUACCCUCCAACCCGAGGCGCAACCACCAAAGCCAACUGACCCGGAUUGUCAACCCGGGGCGGGUGAUCCUCACGGCUCCAAACAAUAGGAUGUUCAGACCAUCGCAAAUAACGAGGGACCGCCGGCUCAACUGCGUUCACUACCCUUUUAUGAACCUUCUGGUCUCGUUUACAUAAAAUUUUGGUGAACACAUGAUACUGCCCACUAUUCAGCUGCUUCGGAUUACUUUGAUAACCAGACUGCUGCUGCUGAUUCCCUUGACCAGAUUGUUGAUUAAAACCACCUUGAUUGCCUUGGCCCUGAAAACCGGAGUUUGAGCCACCACCACCAACGCCAGGUCCAUGAUAGCCGGAUCCUGAGCUGCCAUUCAGGCCAUGAUUAUUCUGGAAGAAAUUAGAAUUUCUAUACUCCCUCAUGAUGAAGCAAUCCUUCCACAGAUGGCUGGCCGUCUUCUAUUGCAUACCGUGCUUUGGGCAAGGCUGAUUCAUCAUCGCCUCAAUAUUAAUAUUUGGCCCUCCAAACCGGGGCAUUGACGCUUUCCCCUUACGACGCUGAUUAUUUUUCUGUAUAUUGGUAUUAGCCACAAAGUCUAAACCGCCGUCAGCUUUGUGCUUACCAUUGCCACUUUGACCCGCCGUAUUAUGUUGCUGCCCCUUUGCACUGCCGCUCUCCUUCCCCUUGGCAGCCUUCUCCUCAUCAGACUCAGGGUCCUUCGUAUUAUCAGAAUUGGUAUAUUUGACAAGAGCUGCCAUGAGCUCCCCCAUAUCGUUGCAAUGGCGCUUAAGUCACCCCAGCUUCUGCUUAAUGGGAAGGAAACGACAAUUCUUCUCCAGCAUCAGGACCACUGAACUGGCGUUGAUACUGUCCGACGAGUGUAUAAAGGUCGAGAUGCGGCGCGCCCAAUUGGUUGUUGACUCGCCCUCACCUUGGAUGCAAGAGUCUAAAUCCAGAAUCGACAUAGGCUGCUUGCACAUGUCUUUAAUUUUUUGGAUAAAACGCGUCUUCAACUCCGCCCAUGACCGAAUCGAGUUAGCGGGCAACCCUUUUAACCAAGUACGAGCCGGCCCAUCCAACAUCAUAGUGUAGUACUUAGCACACGCAGCGUCACUAACAUCCAACAUCUCCAUGGCCAUCUCAUAGAUCUCAAUCCAGGCCUCUAGGGGUUGAUCCGCCGUGUAAUUAGGCACCUUGCGAGGGCCCUUGAAAUCCUUAGGCAGGCGCUUGUUACGCAGAUCCGGCACUAAACAUGGCACACCAAGGGUUCUAGAGGUCACUCCUGCCUCCACAGAUGCUGAUGGGUAAGCCGGAGAUUGCUAUUGAGUCGUCAACUGAGCCACCAGCUUUGCCUCCACACGCGCCCUGCCCUGGUCCACCAAAGUCUGAGCAUCAUUAUCACCAUGCGGUGGGUCAUGCCUAUGAGGCUGAUUAUGGCGCACUCACUGCUUGAAACUACUGGCGAGUCAAUAUGCCUGCUAUAAGUUCGACUUGGACGAGGGGGUAGAAUGAAUCCUUUCAUGGCUGUAUGAAUAAGCCGCCUGUUGAGCCACCGCUGUCUGAAGAAGCUCUCCAGCCCUCCGUAUCUCCAUCGCGGCUAGAGACUCGCCUUCAACGGGAAUAGCCGCCAACCGUGUCGCCACAGCAAUCAUAUUAUCCAGAGGGUUAGAAUAAUGACCCAGCGGUGUCGGAACAUGCUGAGGCGGAGUCAUAUUCAAACGAGGCGGGUCCACAUCACGUGACUGAAUUGGCGCUCCGGUCAUGGGUGGCUCAACAGCUCGAUUCACCACGGGCGGGUCACUGGUCCCUGCCCAGGAGUGUUGAAAAGAUUCCUAGCCUCAAACUCUGUGGGUAUACGGGUCUGGUGCCUCCUCCUCAUGAUGGCGUUUGAAGCGUUUUGAUCCAAGCUAAGCCGAAAGACUCUGCAUGAACCCAUUGUUCCUGAGCAUCCAAACCAGCUCAUUACUUGGCCAUCCUAGCGUUCUCAGCUGCCAGUUCUUCCUUGGCUUGAGCUAUCUCAUCUCGUAGCUUCGCGACAUCCACUUUAUGUUGUUCUUGAGUCUCCGGGGUUACCUCUGCCCCCAUUAGAGUCGCCAAAGCAUCCAACAGCUCGGUCAGAACCUGAGCCGGCGGGCGCGCAGAGCCGCUAGCACCAGCCGUCAUCGCAGCCGUUGAGCUGGAGGUCAUAGCCGCGGCGGUCGUCGAACCAAGCACUGGUCGCGUACUGGCCAUAAAGAUUGCAACCCUGUCCGGCGGCUCAUAGGGGUCCGGAAUACUGUCACCAUCGGAAUAUCCCCCAAGCAUGACGUCCUGCAGUUGAUACAUUGAAUCGGUCCCACCAGUUGAGGACUCACCAUCAGAGUAGAUUACUGCCUCUCCCCUGGAUAUAGAUCCUUCCUCAGAUCCGCCCCAUGGAUGAAACCAACAAAGGCAUGCUUCACAGCGGCUUGAACCUUGGCGGGUCGUGCGCACUGAGCCGUCUCGACGAUGUCGGUGCAGGUGUCCGGCUCAGGCCCUGACUCGCCGAUCUUGCCGAUGAAGACGUGGAUUCCGCCAAAGGGGACCCGGUACCCGUACUCAAUUGAGACGGCCUCGUGGACCCAGCCAGCAUCGUCGACGUAGAGCUUGCCGCGACGACUUUUGGUCAUCCGGCCCAUGGCGUAUCCCUUGAUCCCUGCGAAGCUGCCCUUCAAGAACUCGAAACCACCGUGCGUUGGCCCCACAGUGGGCGCCAACUGUCGUGGACUUAACACGGCACAUGCCCUAGCAAAAGGACUUAGGUGUGGAGCCAUCACAGCUAGGUUAGCUUAAAGGGGUUAAUCGGGACAAAUGACACAGAGAGUUUAUACUGGUUCGGCCCCUCGCAAGGAGGUAAAGGCCUACUCCAGUUUGGGGUUGUAUUGCUUGGGUUUCGAUCACCAGGGAGCGAAUACGCUUGACCUAGUUCUUGAUCUCUUGUUUCUGCCCUAACCCGUCACAGGGUCACCCCUUUAUAUAUACAGGUUCAUGCCCGGCGGCUCAUACACAACGUGUCCGGCUCGGUGACUAACUAAGCUUGCCUUACAAUACAAGUUAAACAUAUGGCGGUUCAUCCUCUUGGGACUCAACUCGCCUCUGGGUCUUGGGCCUUCAAUAGGCUGGCUUCAUAACCCGCCAUCUUCAACUUUAAGUCGCGACGCCCUUCCUGGGUGGUUCAUACCCAAUAGUUAUAUCCCCAACAGUCUUCUCCUUAUGACCCAAAGAAAAGAAUUUCAAAGAAACACACUGAAAUAUUUUUGGAGUUUUUGUUUUUCUAAAGAAAGUAAAAAUGAAAACGAGAAAAACUAUUCACGCGGGAAAGUUCCCAACAAGUAGAAGAAGAAGAGAAAUCCUUUUGGGUUUUCUUUUAAUACUACUACUAAAUAAACUAGGAAGAAAAACUAAAAAUAAGCAAGAAAUAUUUUUGGAUUUUAUCAAAGUUUUUCAAACACACAAGAAGAAAGCCAGAAAAAUAAACUAAUAUGAAUUAUACAAUGAAAAAGGAUGAACAACGACAACUGGAAUGAAUGUGUGGACAUGAAUGUAAUGUGAGUGAGAAAUACGUACUCUCCCAAGCUUAGGCUUUUGGCCUAAGUUGGUCUAGGGCCACAGCUCGAAAUAACCCUCUCCUCGAUACAGCGGAGGGUCCUGAGGGUUCCACUGGUUGGCGAGCUCCUAUGGCCCUCACUGAUAAGCAGGCUCCUGAUACAGAUCAGAAACUGGUGCUGGUGGUUGUGUCAGCCUCCAGUACGUGUAAAUGUCCUCGGGCAUAAUGGUGUACCUGCCUGAACGAUUAUCGAACAAAGAAGGAGUAGGCAAGGUAAUAAUCUCACAAGUACCCUGACUAAAUACUAGGUUGUAGAGGAGUCACUUGUCAUCGUCUUUGGCAAUAAAAUAAUGUGUUAUCAUACUAGCAUAGUUUAAAUAUUUAGUUGGUAACAACAUCUCCUCCUUCUCAUCAUGCCUAAUGGGCAUCUCAAAAUGUUUAGCAAGGCAGGAUGCAUAGACACCUCCAAAAAUAGUACCCUUCGAGCGGUUCAUGUUCAAUCAUUGAGCAACAAUAGUGACCAAACUAAAAGUUCUCUCAGCAAAUAAAGCAUGGCGCAAAAUGGCAAGGUCAGGGGCACUGAGGCCUCCACUCUCCCCACGACCAAUCAAACAUCUCCCAAAAAAUAAUGAAUAAUAGCGUAAACAGCAAAAAUGUAAACUAGCCACUCUAGCUUCAAUACCCCUCUCUCUCCCCCACAGUAGUUUCAGAAAGGAAAUCCUCCACAUCCCUAGGACGUGGCUCACUCAGGCUGCCCUCAUAAGGUAUUUUGCAAACAUCGCAAAAAUCAUAAAGUGUCAUAUCUUUAGCCUCAUCAUACAAGUGAAAUUCUACCAUGGGAGGAUCCUUCCUAGAACAAAAUCGAUAGCAACUACUCCUACAAGUGUCUAGAGGCUAUAUCAUGCAACAAAACCACUUUGGACCAUAUAAAUUUUACAUGCAAGCUCAAGAACAUGGUAAUCACAGCAGCAAAAAUUUGCAAUAUAUAAAGCACUAGAACAAAAAGUAAUUGGACCAUUGGAGGAGUCACAUACCACAAAAUAAUCCCCCAAAACAGUUCCAGAAUGGAGUUCCGAGCAAGGAGAUCGAAAAUGGCAGUAACAUGAGCAAGAACACGGGUUUGAGCAAUGGCGGUUUUUUUUUCUGGAGUAAGACGAAGUGGAUGGGUGUUGGAAUAAGUGAGGGGGACCCACGUGGAAUCCACAAGCCCUGUAGGUGCGCCCUAGGAGGGUGGGCGCGUCCUAUGGGCUUGUGGCCCACUGGUGCACCCCCCUGAGGUGUUUUCAGUGCCAAAAAAUUUUAAAUACUGCACAAAAGGCAUGCUAAAUUUUCAUGGCAUUUGGAGAACUUUUAUUUUCUGGUCAUUUUUAUUGCACGGAUAAUUCAGAAAACAGUAAAAUAGUAGCAUUUCUAUUUUAUUAAUUCUAAAUAACAGAAAGUAAUCAGUGGGUACAGAAGGUUGUGUUUACUAAAUUCAUCCAUCUCAUGCCCGUCAAAAUGAAUCCAAUAACAAGGUUGAUCAAGUCUUAUUAACAAACUUCUUCCGAAUGACAUGAAACCGGAGAAUCUUCGUAUAACACUAGGUUCCCUCAACGGGGAUAUGCAUGUCCCCAACAAUAAGAAUAUCAUAUUUCUUUUUGAUAGUAGGAAUAGGGAAUUCAAAACCUGCAAUAGCAAUUGUUGAAAAUUUUCCAAUAGAAUUGAUGCUAUUUACUUGAGGUUGUUUCUUUGGAAAGUUUACCGUAUGCUCAUUACCAUUAACAUGAAAAGUGACAUUGCCUUUAUUGCAAUCAAUAACAGCCCCUCCAGUAUUCAGAAAGGGUCUACCAAGGAUGGUCGACAUAUUGUCAUCUUCGGGUAUAUCAAGAAUAACAAAGUCCGUUAAGAUAGUAACAUUUGCAACUACGAUAGGUACAUUCACAAAUACCGAUGGGUAUAGCAGUUGAUUUAUCAACCAUUUGCAAAGAUAUUUUAGUAGGUGUCAACUUAUUCAAAUCAAGUCUACCAUAUAAAGAUAAAGGCAUAACACUAACACCAGCUCCCAAAUCACAUAAAGUAGUUUUAACAUAGUUUAUUUUAAUGGAGCAUGGUAUAGUUGGUAUUCCUGGAUCUCCUAGUUUCUUUGGUACUCCACCCUUAAAUGUAUAAUUAGCAAGCAUGGUGGAAAUUUCAGCUUCCGAUAUCUUUCUUUUAUUUGUAACAAUUUCUUUCAUAUACUUAGCAUAAGGAGACAUUUUCAGAAUAUCAGUCAAACGCAUACGCAAAAAAGACAGGUCUAAGCAUUUCAACAAAGCGCUCAAAUUCUUCAUCAUCCUUUUUCUUGGAUGGUUUAGGAGGAAAGGGCAUGGGCUUCUGAACCCAUGGUUCUCUUUCUUUACCAUGUUUCCUAGCAAUGAAGUCCCUCUUAUCAUACCUUUUAUUCUUAGGUUGUGGGUUAUCAAGAUCAACAGCAGGUUCUAUCUCCACAUCAUUAUCAUUGCUAGGUUGAGCAUCUACAUGAAAAUCAUCAUUAACAUUAUCACUAGGUUCAUAUUCAUCACCAGAUUGUGUUUCAGUAUCAGAUAGAAAUAUCAUUUGGGUUUUCAGGUGUGUCUACAAUAGGUUCACUAGAAGCAUGCAAAGUCCUAUCAUCUAUCUUUUUCUUCUUAGAUGGACUAGGUGCACUAGUAUUAAUUCUUUGAUAACCUUGCUCAAUUCUCUUAGGAUGGCCUUCAGGAUACAAAGGUUACUGAGUCAUUUUACCACCUCUAGUCAUAACUCUAACAGCACGAUCAUUCAUCUAAUUAUUCAUUUCAUUAAGCAGAUCAUUUUGUGCCUCCAGAACUUGUUCUACUUGAGUUUUUACCAUAGAAGCAUGUUUACUAAUAAUCUUGAGAUCAUUAACAAUUCUACACAUUUAAUCAUGCAACCGUUCAAGCAUAUAAGCCUUUUGUUUCAAUUGUCUACUAACAUAUGCAUUGAAGUUUUCUUGUUUAAUAAUAAAGUUGUCAAAUUCAUCCAAGCAUUGACUAGCAGAUUUAUUAUAGGGAAUAUAACCUUCAUCCAAUAUAUAGAGAGAACUUACCUGUACUACCUGUGUUGGGGUAUUGGGACCAUGUAUUUCUUCAAUAUGUGGUAAAUUCUUAACAUCUUCAGCUUUAAUACCUUUUUCUUUCAUAGAUUUCUUUGCCUCUUGCAUAUCUUCAGGACUGAGAAAUAGAAUACCUCUUUUCUUCGGAGUUGGCUUAGGAGGUGGUUCGGGAAGAGUCCAAUCAUUAUCAUUACUCAAUAUUAUUCAAUAGUACUCCAGCUUGUUCAAUAGUUUGUUCCCUGAAAACACAACCAACACAACUAUCUAGGUGGUCCCUAGAAGCAUCGGUUAGUCCAUUAUAAAAGAUAUCAAGUAUUUCAUUUUUCUUGAGAGGGUGAUCAGGAAAAGCAUUAAGUAAUUGGAGAAGCCUCCCCCAAGCUUGUGGGAGACUCUUUUUUUCAAUUUGCGCAAAGUUAAAUAUUUCCUAUAAAGCAGCUUGUUUCUUAUGAGCAGGAAAAUAUUUUUCAGAGAAGUAGUAAAUCAUAUCCUGGGGACUACACAGAUGUCACGACCGGUUUUUCAAUAAAAUAAUUAUUGAGAAACCAAUCCCUGUUACGGACCAGCGAGGAAGAAUUCCUUCUCACUGAUAGACAAUACAUUGGUCACAGAAGAAAAAUACCAGGAGUACUAAAUAUAAUACAAAGUUGAGCAGAGACUGCCCAACAAUUUAUUACAUGCACGCCGAUAAAACAAUACGGCGGAUAGGGUGGCAAACUACUAACUCACGAUAAAAACGGUGGUGGAAAUAUCAUCGCGAAGCGAGUGACUUGAUUCCAGAAUACUACAACUCUUCGAGCGUCGGAGGGAGGCUCGAGAAGACUUAUUGCGGGUGACGGAAGCGUAAACGAUACAAGUGACCAAAAUCCGGGAUCGCGCAGGACUGACUGGGACUUCUCUAGGCGUCGGACGCGCUAUCAAACUCUUCAUCCAAGAGAUCGCCUUCGUCAACAUCUGGCCAAAUCAACAAGCCAGGUGAGUACUAUGAAAGUACUCGCAAGACAGUUCGGACAUAAGGUAUAACAAAUGCAAACAUGAAGCACAUGAAUAAGUUAACCAGUGCGAUCAGACAUAGAGAUAAUAAAUGCUGGGUGCCAAACGAGGGUCUGAAUGACGCCUCGAGCGGAAACUGCAGAAUAGUAAUACUGGUGCCAAACGAGUGUCUGAAAGACUCCUCGAGAGGAAAAUGCGGAAUAAUAAUACAGGUGCCAAACGAGUGUCUGAAAGACUCCUCGAGCGGAAAAUGCGGAAUAAUAAUACAGGUGCCAAACGAGUGUCUGAAAGACUCCUCGAGCGGAAAAUGCAGAAUAAUAAUGCCACAGUCGGGCGUCGGGGCGACACCACAUAAAGGGCUUAUAACAGAGAGUAAAGACAGUGCAUGCCACAGUCGGACGUCUGAGCGACAUCUCAUAAAGGGCUUAUAUUUAAAGUGAGAAACGAGUACACGCCACAGUCGGACGUCUGUGCGACGUCACAUAAAGGGCUUAUAUUGUAACACAACAAUACAAUAGUUCGGGAACAUAAUUUAUCACAAGCAUGAGACAAAUAUAAUAUUAGUCCAUCCACAGGGAUAACAAUGAAAUUGAAUUUACCACUUGAGCUUGUUCACCGGGGGCAAGAUUCUCAUACGGAUAGAUUUGGAUGUAAAGUCUACAUUACUGAUCAUGGAUACGAUGAUUUGGAAAGAAUUGACUCUGCAGAGUUUGUACUUAACCACAGCCAACGGAUUUCAGUAGUCACGGGGACUAGUUCCGUCUAUGGUGUUCUGGAAGGAACACGUCUAACCAGUACACACCCAAUUUAACCAUCCGAAGCCAGGGAUCACCCUCGGCAACAUUCAGGAAAAACCCUGAGUCGGGGAGGCUACAACCUCGCGUAGCAUGGGAUCAAAUUUCUAUACGCGCGCUAUAAGGGGGUGCCCCCCUCUCGGUCCCAACCGGAAACACCCAUGCCCCCUGACCGAAUGACUGGCUUUAAUCCUGGGCCAAGGUACCAUCAUCCCGGCCUCUCUGUUUGGUGUGUACACGGAAAGAGGUUACCAACUUACUAAACCGUAUCCUGGCAAUGAGACAUGUGGUAGCACGGAAAGGGGAAGGGACGAUAACACGGCUCCAACCAUGUUAACGUCGGAAAAGUCGGAUGACACAAGGCUGGCAUGCUACAACAAUACCACCUUGCUGCCCUUCAUGUCACCACAUGAUUAGGCCACCUCUCAUCAGAGGUCAUCGCAACUUUGGAACAUGCGGGAAAAGAUCGAUAACGUGGCUCCAACCACGUUAACGUCGAAGAAAGUCGGAUGACACAAGGCUGUCAUUCUACAACAGUACCACCUUGCUGCCCUUCAUGUCACUACAUGAUUAGGCCACCUCUCAUCAGAGGUCAUCGCAACUUCGGAACAACCGGGUCGUUGCCUUAUGAGCAACGAGAUAUUUAUCGACACUCACAUGCCACGCACAAACUUUCACAUGAACAUGCAAAACAUCUGCCAUAUCAAAUGUUCAAACAUGCUUGCCUGGUUCGGAGAAGUCGGAGUCUAGCUCGGCGAAGUUCGCGGCUCCGUCCCCUCUCCCGGAACCUACGGCAAUCACGAAACGGGGUACUAACGUGAAAACCAACACAUGCACAGAAACUUUGCCAAAUAUUUUUCAAAUAAAUCCCGUAAAAAACUAGAGAAAAUUUGGAGAUUGACAGAAAAAGAAUCACUCAAAAAUACCUUUUCAUUAAAAAGUUAUAAAGGUUUCUGUCCAGGGACUUAUCUGUAAUGAAACAGAAAAGUUCCAGGGUUUUAACUGAGAAAACAGAAAACGCUUCGGCUGGGAAUGCGCAAGCGCAAGGAGAAAAUGUAUUUUGCCCGAAGGCGCCAACAGAAAACGGUUCGGGGAAAUAAAACAGAGGCUGACACGCGGGGCCCGCAUGUCAGGUUUGAAAGCUCGCCGGCGCCCGAAGACGGCGAUGGACGCCGGCGUCGAACCACGGCGAGUUAGGAGAAACGGAGGGUACCAAGAGCUUCAGUGUCUUCUUCCGCGUCGGUGGGUGGUGGACUCGUCCAACGGGGAGCACCACGUCAACGGCGACACUAUCUCCGGCGGACGGCGGUUCGGGUGAGGUUGGGGAAAGAAGUUUGGUGGUAAAAGUCCAAACAGAAAAUGGAGUUCCUUUGUAAAUCUCCAAGUGCUAUAAGAGAAGACAGAAUUUUUUUUUGAAUAGAAUUUGAAUGGAAAUGAUCACAUGAGGAGGUUCAACUUGCUGGAUUUGAUGCAAAUCAUGAUCCAGAGGUGAGGGAAGGGUUAGGAGAGAGGAUUUGCACUUAUGCCAUGGCAAGAAGGAAUAGUUGAAAGUGGUAAAGGACUUUCCAAAAGCCAUAGUGCAUUCUCAAAGAUAUUUCAAAGGUUUUCAAAAGUUAUUCUCUCAAAUGAAAAACAUUUUGUCUUGAGCCCAAAUGAAGAGCAAGAACCUCCAAGACCAAAGGAUGAUCUUGGGUGAAUUCAAAUAAAAUUUUUGCCAUAAAGAAAAAUAUUUGAGAGUGAGAGUUCUCUUGAAGAAAAACUUUUAAAUCACUCCCUUCAAGUCAAAUAAAAUCUUUUGAAAAAUCCAAAAAAAAAACUUGGGUGUCACAACAGACAACCAGGAGUGAGAGAAUUAAACCAUAUCUUAGCAUCAACCAUUAAUGAGAAAGGAAACAACUUAAGAAUAUAGUAAUAGUGAUUUUUUUUCCUCAUGAGCAAAUAGGGUGGCUAUGUCAUUCAAUUUAGUAAGAUGUGCCACAACAGUUUCAGACUCAUAACCAUGGAAAGGAUCAGAUUCAACCAAAGUAACUAACUCAGGAUCGACAGAGAGUUCGUAAUCCUUAUCGGUAACAAAGAUAGGUGAAGUAGCAAACUUAGGAUCAUAUAGCAUUCUAGCAUUCAAAGAUUUUUCUUUCAACUUGACUAGUAAUUUCUUAAGAUCCUCUCUAUCCUUACAAGCAAGAAAGUCCCUAGCUACCUCUCCAUCCAUAACAUAACCUUUAGGUAUAACAAGCAAUUCAUAUCUAGGAGUGCUAGGUCUAAUGGGUGUUUCAAAGUUUUCAGUUUCAAUAAUUUCAUCAGUUUCAGAAAUAUCAUCAGUUUCAGCAUUCUCAAUAUCUUUAGCUCUAGCAUGUUGUUCAUCAAGAAAUUCACCUAGUGGCACAGUCUUAUCAACCAAAGUAGUAGUAUCAUCGUAAGCAUCAUGCAUAGCACAAGUAGCAUCAUCAAGUACUUGCGACAUAUCAAAAUCAAUAGCAGGUGUAGGUGUCACAAGUUUACUCAAAACAAAAGGUGAAUCAAGUGCAGAGUUUGAUGGAAGCUCCUUACCUCCCCUCGUAGUAGAGGGGAAAUCUUGGUUCUGAUAUCUUUCAGAUUCCUCAUAGUGAUCAACCGAUAUAAAUCCCAAGUGACUCGGCAAAUAGAGCUAUGCUCCCCGGUAACGGCGCCGAAAAAAGGUCUUGAUAACCCACAAGUAUGGGGGAUCGCAACAGUUUUCGGGGGUAGAGUAUUAUUCAACCCAAAUUUAUUGAUUCGACACAAGGGGAGCCAAAGUAUAUUCGCGCGUAUUUGCAGUUGAGUUGUCAAUUCAACCACACCUGAAAGACUUAAUAUCUACAGCAAACUUUUCAGUAGCAAAGUAGUAUGGAAGUAACUGUAACUGUGGCAAAAGUAAUAGUAGCAGUUUGUAGUGAUUUGUAAUAGCAGUAGCAACGAAAGUAACUUAGCAAAGAUCAAUAUGUGAAAAGCUCGUAGGCAAUGGAUCGACAAUGAUAAUUGUGUUGGAUGAUAUUCAUCAAGUACCAGCCAUAACCUAGGGUGACAAAGAACUAGCUCCAAUUCAUCAAUAUAAUGUAGGUAUGUAUUCCGUAUAUAGUCAUACGUGCAUGACAUCUUUUGUCCUACCCUCCCGUGGCAGUGGGGUCCUAAUGGAAACUAAGGGAUAUUAAUGCCUCCUUUUAAUAGAGAACCGAAAAAAAGCAUUAGCACUUAGUGAAUACAUGAACUCCUCAAACUACGGUAAUCACCGGAAAGAACCCCAAUUAUUGUCACCUUGGGGUAUGCGGAUCAUAACUCGUAAUAGGUGUCUACAACUUGCAAGAUAGGAUCAAGAACUCACAUAUAUUUAUGAAAACAUAAUAGGUUCAGAUCUGAAAUCAUGGCACUCGGGCCCUAAUGACAAGCAUUAAGCAUAGCAAAGUCAUAGCAACAUCAAUCUCAAAACAUAAUGGGUACUAGGGAUCAAACCCUAACAAAACUAACUCGAUUACAUGAUAAAUCUCAUCGAACCCAUCACCGUCCAGCAAGCCUACGAUGGAAUUACUGACGCACGGCGGUGAGCAUCAUGAGAGUGGUGAUGGAGGAAGGUUGGUGAUGAUGAUGGCGACGAAUCCUUCUCACCGGAGCCCCGAACGGACUCCAGAUCAGCCCUCCCGAUGAAGAAUAGGAGGCGGCAGCUCCGUAUUGUAAAAUGCGAUGAAUCCUUCUCUCUAAUUUUUUUCUCCGCGAAUAGGUACUUAUUGAGUUGGAGUUAGUGUCGGAUGAGGUCCAGGUGGCCCACAUGCCAGCAGGGCGCGCCCUAGGGGGUGGGCGUGCCCCCAGGGCUCGUGUCCUCUCGGUGGCCUCCCUCUGGUAACUUCUUGCGCCUGUAUUUUUUAUAUAUUCCACAAAAAUUCUCUAUAAAUUUUCAGGUUAAUCCGAGAACUUUGAUUUCUGCACAAAAAUAACACCAUGGCAAUUCUGCUGAAAAUAGCAUUAGUCCGGGUUAGUUCCAUUCAAAUCAUGCAAAUUAGAGUGCAAAACAAGGGCAGAAGAGUUUGGAAAAGUAGUUAUGAUGGAGACGUAUCAACGCCCUCCUGCGGCGGUGGAGGAGGGAGGCGAGGUGGGGGAAAGCUACGGCGGCGGGCUAGGGUUUCCUCCCAGGUGGCCCGCGGGGGUGCCACGGAGGGGAGGGGAGCGGGGUAUACACUGUUAGUUCUUGUUUUGAGAGCGAUAUUUGGCAUGUGUUUAUUAAAAACGUGUUUCUAUAAGAUUUUUAGUAAUAUCAGUUUUGCUUGUUUUUCUAUGAAUAAUCAACUUAUAGUUGAGUCAAGUUUGGUGGCAAAGAGGCUAAAGCUGGCCUCGCUAAUUUUUGUUUCUUUUUUGAGAAUCUAAUUUCUUGUUUGGACAACUAUCUCCCGUGAGUAUAGGAAAGAGCGGGCUGUGAGAAACGAGCGCGACAUGGACAAUUCAGUUGCGAUCCAGCAUUUAUGAAACAUAUUUUUGGAGAAACCACUAAGAGCAUCUAUAGCCGGAUACAGUAAAUCGGACCCUCAAACACCUGCGGACGUGCCCGGGCACGUCGGCAGGUAAUGACCGGUGAGGCCUCAAAUAAUCGAUUUCACAACCUGAUACCUCAAAUCCAUACUAUUACAUACCACGUAAACCUAAUCAUAAGCAGAGCUCGUCCGGCUCCGCAGUGCCCAUGUUCGGCGGCUGGCUGUGCCCUUCAGAGUGUUGGUUCGGUCGCUAGCGAUGUAGAGUAGGACAUAGGACAUAGACCAGCUCAUGGGACUCAAGGCGCCUCUGUCUCGCAUGCCCUACUCUUCCUCAUCGGAGCCUGGAACCCUGGCGGUGUGGGUGGACGUGAGAUCAAUGAUGGGUCCAUCCUAGGAGGAGCCGAUGACAUCCACCACGACGCGGUUGCAGCAACCGGUGACGGUGCAAAAUACUAUUAGAUCCCUCGAUAGGGGUCCAAGCACAGCUGGAAAUCUCGGAUCGGAGGUGGCACAAAGGUUUUGCCCAGGUUCGGGCCUCCAUAGAGUAAUAACCUACUUGCUUUUGUUAUUCGUGGCGGAGGGAUACCUCAUGCGAGGGGUUACAAUGGUCUAUGGGGUUGCUACCGAGAGUUGCUAUCUGAGAUUAGAUGCCCUAGAGGGUUCCCCGACCUCACUAUAUAUGGGCAGGGAGGUCUAGGGUUUACAUGAUGGUAGAUGCGAUCUUCAGCGCCGUCGUCCUUGUCUUGGAAGGAAAGAAGGUCUUCGGUGCUUCCUUAGCGUUUCUCCUUUGCCCUGGGCCUUGUGGGACCCGAUAGACACCAAGGUCGGGCUCCCUUGAGAGAACCACCCUCGAUGCAGGACACUGUUAGUAGCCCUCGAGCUUGGCGGAGGUCGGAAGGGAGGUCCCUGAGAUCUUCGUCGGGCUCUUGUACCCCUUUGAGUCUUGCCUUGGCCUUCUCUCGUUGGGAAGCCAGGUACUAGACUCGCAUUACCAUGUUGUCGUGUGGGAGGCCAUGCGGCUGAUCGGUGCUCCAGGUCGGAGAAAGAUUGAGUAUUACCAGGAAGGCACUUGAAGCGUAUCCCGAUCAACUCGGGGAAUAGCGGUGAUGUUGCCACAACUUUCGCAUGAGCCCCCCUGGAAAAAAGUAAAUCACUAAAAGGAAAGGCACCUAUCUUGUUUCUGGGGUCCGGUGCUUCUGUUUCGUGCGACUAUAAGAGGAGGAAAAGCAGAGGGUUUUUAGUUUCACCCUGCCUUUGCUCAUUUCCACUCCUUCCUCUCCCACCAACGUCAUUGAUGCGCCGCCAAUAUAUCGUCUUUGUGCUCCCGCCGCGUGCCUCGCCGCCCCCAUUUCCUUCACUGCUGAUGGCCAGGGAUGAGUAGCGUGAGGGGGGAGCUAGCCUCUAGCCAGGAGUCAUCGUCAAGCGCCGCUGGUAAUAAGCGGAAGUGGAUUGCCUCCAAAAGUGGAGAGAAGCUAGUGCGAUCCGCUCCUAAGUCCACGGGGAAGUGGUUCCCCUCCACAGCCACAGAAGGAGAAAUCUAGGCAUACAAGGACCAGGUCCUUAUGUCGAUGGAUCUGAGUGUCUGACUCCCAUCCGGAGAAGUUCCACCCGAGCCUCGCGAAGGUGAGCACGUCCUGUGCUUGGGGUACUUUGGGAGAGGGCUCAGAUUCCCGCUCCAUGGCUUCGUGCGUGGCCUCCUUUGGUUCAUCAGCAGCUAGUUGCACCACAUUCAACCCAACGAGGUGCUCCACAUCGCCAACUUCAUCACCUUCUAUGAGUGCCACCUCGAAACAGCCCCUCACUUCGACCUAUUCUGACAUUUCUUUCAGGUUUGCGUCGAGAAGAAUGAGGGCAUAGUCUAUGACCUUGGGGGAGCCAUCUUGGAGCUUCGCCCCAAUUCCACCUUCAUCUCCUCUGACCUCCCUAAAUCCGCUCGGGAGUGGCACAAGUCUUGGUUCUACAUGGAAGACCUCGGCGAUGAUCUGCUGGCCUUUGUGAACGAGCCCAACAAAAGCUGCAGUCAUGGGCUCCACUAACCAGGUUGUUGCCAGAGGCCAAGGCAUUGGUAGAUGCUACCGCCUGGUCAAGGAAGGGCGGAUUGACCGGAGGCCACAUUGUGCAGAUAUGGGUGGCGCGCCGCGUCUUGCCACUGCAGACCCGGGCUCUCCCCCUAUUCGAGUACGUCGGUCCAAGGGACCCCGCAUGUGUCUCCUAGGAGAAGCUGAGCCCAGAGAACAUCGAUACCCAUCUUGGUUUCUUGGUGGGGUCCGACCCCAUCAAGAAGUCAUAGAGGAAGGCCAUCAAGCCUUUUUCGGCUAACCUCCCAUCGGGCAACGUAAGUAUUCUUUGUAGCUCUAUCUUUAUUGGAGGAUGAGGUAUUUUGUCAUACCGCUCUUUGUUAUUAUUAAAUUGGGGUUCUCCAUCUUUGUGGUGUACCACUCAGAGCCAACACCAUCGGGGCAACACGUGAGCCCUGCCCUAGACACUCUGAUGAUGGGAGCCCCUCCUGAGCCCAUCCGAGCAAAGGGAGGAUCCACUAAGAAGCGAAAAGGGAUCCCUAUGCAGAGGUCUUUGAAGAAGAAGGAUCCAUAGCAGAGGCCUCUUGUGACACGGAUGAGGGAGACCCCGUCGAGCAGGAGGGCGAUGAGGGUGCAGCCUCUUCAUCUAGCGGCCGCGGUAUCGGUUGCGGCAGAGGUGGUGUUGACGAUGAUGAUUGAAAGGAACGAGAAGAUGGGUCUAGAGGGGGUGAUUAGACCCUUAACAAGCAAAAGUGGCAGUUUUUAAUUUCUUCAAGUUAAGGUGGAGUUUAGCACAAGUUAAAGCACAUACAAUACAUUUCAAGCAAGCAUGGCAAGAGUGUAGGCAGCAGAAAAGGUAAAGCAUGCAAUUUGCAAGAAAGUAAGGGAUGGGAUUGGAGUGUGCAAACGCAAUGGAGACGCGGAGAAUUUUUGGCGUGGUUCCGAUAGGUGGUCCUAUCGUAUGUCCACAUUGAUGGAUACUUCAACCCACGAAGGGUAACAGCUGCGUGAGUCCAUGGAGGGCUCCACCCACAAAGAAGCAACCUUGUCUAUCCCACCAUGGCCAUCGCCCACGAAGGACUUGCCUCACUCGGGUAGAUCUUCACGAAGUAUGCGAUCUCCUUGCCCUUAAAAACUUCUUGGUUCAACUUCACAUCACAAGGAGGCUCCCAAGCGACACCUAACCAAUCUAGGAGACACCACUCUGCAAAAGGUAAUAGAUGGUGUGUAGAUGAUGAACUCCUUGCUCUUGUGCUUCAAAUGAUAGUCUCCCCAGCACUCAACUCUCUCACACAGAUUUGGCUAUGGUGGAAGACGGUAUUUGUCGGUGUUCUGGGACCGGGGGUGCCCAGACUUGCCUGCCUACGGCCCGUGGCGUGGCUCCACCAAUGGCCUGGUACGGCCCAGCUUCAGCAGCGACAAACCCAAGACCCUCGCGAGGGACCGAGCCUCGUGAGGCGGACGACGCCAAGACCUCCCUCGGGGUGGCCUCACUAGGCUGGCUCCCGAGGAGCGGAGAUAUCUAUGCAAGGGGCACCUCGCGAGGCUCGCGUGACGUGAGCCAUGACGACCAAGGCCAGGCGGGCGCCAGUGGGCGCAGUGUACCAGUUUCCUCUUUGGUGCUAAGGAGGCAAGCGCAGGCGUAGGGUCUCGAGGCAUCAGGCAAAGGUUUCCAUAUCGGUGCAACAAGACCAAGACCAGCAGGACGGCAAGACGGAGGUCAUCGUGGAGCCCACAACAGCAUCACCACCAGAGCCUUUGGCAGGCGAAGACUACCUUUUGUUAGGGUAGCUUGUACUAGCUGUCCCCCUUCAAACUUGGCCACUGUGGGAUCCCUUCCCGCCUAACAUUUGGGAAGAGGACCAGGGCCUCUAUAAAUAGGACUAGCCACCACCGUAGGAGGGGGGUCGGAUCGGGGACGGAUCAUUCAGAUCAUCCUCACACACAAGCUCAUCGAGCCCAAGAGCACCUCACCACCUGAGGCUGUUCAUCCACUAUACUAGUUCAUCCUCAGCCCCUCGAGGUAAUCCACCACACACUGGAGUAGGGUAUUACACCGCAAGGUGGCCCGAACCAGUAUAAACCCCCGUGUCUCUCUGUUCUUCGGGUUCGUCGAGCUAGGCCGUGGGAUCAUUGACCGAGCGAGCUAGGGAGAGAGUGUUCUUCAUGCGCACCCUAGAGUUUGAACCUCACAAGGGUUUGCUGGAACCCGUAAUCCGACAUUUGGUGCACCAGGUAGGGGUGCGCCGGAGCUCCGCCUCUCCACUUGUUCCGCCCCUCCGCUCGCUUCGUCACUCUGUCCGGCUUUCAUGGCAGGCGCUGUACCACCGGCUGGAUCGACGGGCGCACGCGGGAGCGCCGGGGGCCUCCGGGCCUUCACCCCCGCCUUACCACAGGUGCAGUGGCCACACAAGUUGAGACAAAGGGUUUUCCCCCGCUUUAUAUUAUAAAGCAAACACCCGAUACAUCCAACUCGCUUGGGCCGCAGCACAGAUAAGCCCAAAAGAAAAACAAGAAGAAGAAAGAGAAAUAAAUGUCAACACUGGCAGAUCAACGGAGAAAGGAGACCGGCAACCGCUGCACCCUCUGAAGAAGUACCACCAUGCUCCCGGCAUCCCGAUGCGCCGCGCCCCAAACAACACCUUCAAGAAGGAAUGCGACGAUGACGCCGCUGUUGCCCGAACAAGUUCUAGGGUUUCCCCCGGUACGCGAGGGAUAGUGGGGAAGGGGUAUACCCGAUGCCCCUCAGGAAGGUCCGACUGCACCCGAAGGCGUCAUCACAUCAGUGCCGGCCAGGCCGACAGGGAUUUCUCCUGAUCCACAACCACCACCACCACCUCAGGCAUUUUGAAAUGCACCACCUCCUCGGUGACCCACCAGCUUGUGCCACCACGAUUAUCGGACAACCCUCCCCGCUUCACUGGAGCUGUCAACACGAGGCUUGGAGAGGAAGAGGAGACACUAGCCACGGGAGCAACCACAACUCGACCGGAAGGAGGGGACAGCCUCCACACAAGUUCAGGACGGAUAUGCCGCCUCGCUACGAUGGCGCGGCGGAUCCAGCAACCUUCCUUCUGGAGUACAGGAGGCCGUUCAGGAAGCCGGAGGCGAUGACAAGGUCACGACCAACUGGUUCCCCAUGGCCCUGGUCGGCGUGCCGCGCGCCUAGCUGCUCAACCUGCCAGAAUCCUCUGUGGCUUCCUGGGAAGGGAUGCAUGGUCUCUUCAUCGCGUGCUUCGUAGCACCAGCGCCCCUCGCCAUUGCAGCCAUCCUCGGCGGCUCACAGGCACCGCCCUUAGAUCGCCACGUCUAGCAGUUUGUCCGCCAGAUGGGCGCCACCCGUGUAUAGCAGGGGGCUCCUCCGGGAUGGGCGGCACCCAAGACCGACCUCAUCUUCGACUCGGGUGACCAUCCGGCAACCACGGCAGGCUCGAGCACGCUCCCGAUGCAUUACACACCUACCAUCUGCAACAUGGCGGUCACCAAGACCCUCAUCGAUGGAGGAGCCGGCCUGAAUGUGCUUUCUGUGGAAGCCUUCAGCUUGUUCCACGUGCCACUUGGCCGGCUCCGGCACGCCAAGCCAUUCUCCGGGGUUGGCGGCUGUUCCAUCAGCCCCCUAGGGCAGAUCCGCCUCCUUGUCACCUUCAGUACCCGCGACAACUACCGCACCGAGCUUAUUGACUUCGACAUCGCUCGCAUCGGCCUCCCGUACAACGCCAUCCUCGGAUGCCCUUCCCUGGCUCAAUUCAUGGCGGCGACCCAUCCCGCCUACAACGUCAUGAAGAUGCCAGGGAGCAGCGGUGUCCUCACCGUGGUCGGAGACACCAAGGAGGCCCUGAUGGCCCUCAGGCUUGCCUUCAGGGCCGCAGCGGUAGCUCGCCCCACUGACGAAGCAUUCUCUGGGGCUCAGGGGGCUACGCCGGCAAAGAAGAAGCAGUUAUUCUCACAAGAUCGAGCCAAGAAGAAGCAAGUACCGGUCGAUGAAGACGGGGCCUCGGGAGCCACCUUCACCAUAGGCGCCAACCUCGACCCGGACCAGGAGAGGCACUAGUGAAAUUCUUGCGCGCGAACAAGGAGGUAUUCUCCUGGGAGCCCAAGCAACUGGUGGGGGUCCCCAGGGGAGUGAUCGAGCACCACUUAAGGGUGUGCCCUAAUGUGCGCCCGGUGAAGCAGAAGGCGCGACGACAGUCCACAGAGAAGCAGUCCUUCACCAUCCAGGAAACACGCAAGCUACAGGCAGCAGGUGUCAUCCGCGAAGUCCGGUACCCGGAAUGGCUGGCGAGCCCCGUUGUUGUGCCCAAGAAGGGCGGGAAGGAACGCAUGUGCGUCGACUUCACCAACCUCAACAAGGCCUGUCCUCAGGACCUGUUCCCGCUUCCGCGCAUCAAUCAGAUCAUUGACUCCACCGCCCAGUGCGACCUGUUAUGUUUCCUAGAUGCCUUCUCAGGUUACCACCAGAUCAAAAUGGCAGUGGAGGACGUAGAAAACACGACUUUCUUAACUCCGUGCGGGGUGUACUGCUACACCUGCAUGCCGUUCGGGCUGCAUAAUGCUGGGGCGACCUUCCAGCGGCUGAUGCACAUUGCUCUAGGCCAACAGCUCAGGCGGAAUGCUAAGGCCUAUGUCGACGACAUUGUGGUAAAAUCUCGGGAGGCGAGGACCCUCAUUUAGGAUCUGGAGGAGACUUUUGCCAGCCUUCGCAAAGUGGAUUUGCGGCUCAACCCGAAGAAAUGCGUGUUUGGCAUCCCCUCCGGCAAGCUGUUGGGUUUCCUCAUGUCCCACAGGGGGAUCGAGGCAAACCCGGAGAAGGUCAAAGCAAUAGAAGACAUGAGCCCGCCGCAGACUCUCAAGGAAAUGCAAAAGCUCGUGGGCUGCGUGACCUCACUGGGGCGCUUCAUCUCCAAGCUGGGGGAGCGCGCCCUCCCAUUUUUCAAGUUGAUGAAGAAGAAGGGCCCAUUCGAGUGGACCCCAGAGGCCGACACGGCAUUUCAAGACCUCAAGAGAUACCUAACAAGCCCACUGGUGAUGGUGGCACCGCGUCCCCUCGAGCCCCUGGCGCUUUACCUGGCUGCCACGCCCCAUUCCGCUAGCGCGGCGCUGGUGGCCGUCCAGGAGGAGCGCCAGGCCAAGAGCCUGCCGCACGAUGCUGAGCAUUUGGUCGGAAUGAUGUAGCACCAAGACGGCACCACUGAAGCCGCAGCAGCGCCAGCAGUGGCCAGGCUCCACAAGAUGACCCUCAGGAAGCGCCCCAGCCUCAGGAGAUCUUGGAUCCCGCCAACACCCCCGUCCGCGUCGAACACCCGGUGUACUUCGUCAACACGGUACUACGAGACGCGCGGGCACGCUACCCCAUGCGUAGAAGCUUCUGCUCGUGCUCCUUGUGGCCUCGCACAAGUUAUGCCACUACUUUCAAGGCCACCCCAUCAAGGUCGUCUCAGCUUACCCACUGGAGAGGGUACUCCGGAGCCCCACUGCUGCGGGGAGGGUCGCCGAAUGGAACAUCGAGCUGCAGGCAUUCCAGCUGGAGUUCAGCACCACCAGGGUCAUCAAGGGAGCCGCACUCACCGACUUCGUGGCGGAGUGGACCGACGCUCUAGGGCCCGAAGCAGGUGAGGACUGGUCUGUCUCGCCAGGGAGCGAAGCGCCAGACGGUUGGGUCAUGUACUUCGAUGGCGCUUUCGCAUGCCAGGGCGCGGGGGCUGGCGCCGUGGUCAUCUCGCCCACCCAGGACAAGCUCUACUACGCCGUGCAGCUCUGCUUCUAGCAGGGCGAGAAGGUCUCCAACAACAUCGCGGAAUAUGAAGGGUUGAUCAUCGGCCUCAAGGCUGCAGCAGCCCUGGGGGUGAAGCGCCUCACCAUCAAGGGCAACUCACAACUCCUCGUCAACUUCUACUACAAGGUGUAUGAGCCGAAGGACGAGCACAUGGAGGCAUACCUCACGGAGGUACGCAAAAGGGAGAAGCAAUUCUCGAGCCUGGAACUGCAGCAUGUGCCCUGCGGCACAAACAAGGAAGCAGGCGAUAUCGCCAAGAGGGCAUCUAGCCGCCAGCCACAGGAGCCCGGCGUCUUCGAGGUGCUGCUCUUCAAGCCUUCAGCGGCCCCUCCGAUUGUAGAGUCGGCACCGCCUCAGGAGGAACUUCCCCCGCCAUCGACCUCAGGAGCCCCCGCCUGCGGCCCGACCUCAGGAGCGCGGCUGCUCCUCGCGCUCGAACCUCAGGAGGGGGGUUGGACCAAAGAAUUCAAGGCGUACCUGCUGCAAGGGACCCUGCCGGAGAAGGAGGAGGAUGUGGAACGCGUGGCACAGCGAGCUACAGCCUACUGCAUCCGGGACGGUGAGCUAUACCAAAAACGACCGAAUGAUGUUUCCUUGCGAUGCAUCUCCAGGGGGCAGGGAUGUGAACUGCUAGCUGACAUACACGGCGGAGAUUGCAGGCAUCACUCGUCGUCACGCACCCUGGUGGGCAAGGCGUUCCGCAGCGGAUUCCACUGGCCCACAGAACUCAACGACGCGACCGAGCUGGUGAGAUCCUGCGAGGCCUGCCAGUUCCAUGCCAAGCAAAUCCACCAGCCGGCUCAGGGUCUCCAGACUAUCCCACUCUUGUGGCCGUUUGUGGUCUGGGGGCUGGAUAUCCUGGGUCCAUUCCCUCGAGCGCCCAGGGGCUACCGCUACCUCUACGUCGCCAUCGACAAGUUCACCAAGUGGGCGGAGGUGGAAGCCAUCCGCACCAUCCCAGCCGACUCCACAGUCAAGUUCAUCAAGGGCCUAGUGAGCCAUUUCGGAGUCCCUAAUCACAUCAUCACCGAGAACGGCUCACAGUUCACUAGCAAUCUAUUCAAAACAUAUUGUGCUAAUCUUGGAACGCAGAUAUGCUACGCCUCAGUGGCACACCCCAGAAGCAAUGGCCAAGCUGAGCGCGCCAACACGGAGGUCUUGAGAGGCCUCAAGACAAGGACCUUCAGGAAGAAACUCGAGGCCUGCGGCAGGGGCUGGCACGACGAGCUCCAGUCCGUGCCGUGGUCCAUCCGCACCACCGCCACCAAGCCGACAGGCGAGACCCCGUUCUUCCUCAUCUACGGAGCCGAAGCGGUUCUCCCUCACGAGGUCAGGCAUCGCUCCUUUCGGCGUUCUGGGAACGAGGGUCCCCAUACUUUCCUGCCUGCGGCCCAGGGCGUGGCUCCACCAGUUGCCUGUUACGGCCCAUCUUCAUCAACAACCACUCAAGAUCCUCGCGAGGGGCCAGCCUCGCGAGGUGGAUGUCGGUGUCAGAACUGGCGGAUCUCGGGUAGGGGGUCCCAAACCGUGCGUCGAGGAUCGAAGGUAACAGGAGACAGGGACACGAUGUUUACCCAAGUUUGGGCCCUAUCGAUGGAGGUAAUACCCUACUUCCUGCUUGAUUAUCUUGGAUGGAUAUGGGGUUUACAAGAGUUGAUCUACCUCGAGAUCGUAAUGGCUAAACCCUAGAUGUCUAGCCUGUAUGAUUAUGAUUGCCUCUACGGACAAAACCCUCCGGUUUAUAUAGACACCGGAGGGACCUAGGGUUGUAUAGAGUCGGUUUACAUAGGAAGGAAUCUUCACAUCCGAACGCCAAGCUUGCCUUCCACGUAAAUGAGAGUCCCAUCCAGACACGGGAAGAAGUCUUCUGUCUUUGUAUCUUCAUGGCCCAUUAGUCCGGCCCACAUCACAUAGCCCGGAAGCCCGAGAACCCCUUAAUCUAGGACUCCCUCAGUAGCCCCUGAACUAGGCUUCAAUGACGAUGUGUCCGGCGUGCAGAUUGUCUUGGACAUUCUUCUGUCUUUGUAUCUUCAUGGCCCAUUAGUCCGGCCCACAUCACAUAGCCCGGAAGCCCGAGAACCCCUUAAUCUAGGACUCCCUCAGUAGCCCCUGAACCAGGCUUCAAUGACGAUGUGUCCGGCGCGCAGAUUGUCUUGGACAUUGCAAGGCGGGUUCCUCCUCCGGAUACUUCAAAGUAGUCCUCGAACACAGAAAACGUGUCCGGCUCUGCGAAACAGACACCAUACACAACCACAAUAGGGUAUAAUAUUUAACAAGUCCCAUCUACUGACAACUUUUUUGGCGAGACGUUACAUCCCUUGCCUGGUUAUUAUUUCGAACCAUUUUUCAGCCUCUCGCUCCACGUUACGAGACGCGGUCUUUAUUGGCACAUCUUGUCAAAGAAGAGAUCGUUCCCCCUUAUCACGGGAUUCUUAUAAAUAUGGGCGUGGGUAAUCCAACCGUGUUGUUUGCAUGACCCCUUGGGAAUAGGCAAGCUUUAAGGUCCGUGAGGAGGCGUUCGAUAUUCGUCGCCUUUAUAAAGGGGUAUAGACCCGUCUUUCUCCCCCAUGCCUACCUCUUCCUCAGCCUUUCUAGCCUCAAGCUCCAGCGCCCAGGUCUCGAUUUCUUCCAUUGUUACCAAGCCUUCUAGUUAUGUCCGGAUCCAGCUCCCAAGGCAGGUGCACGGUCUCCUCGGUCACCGAGGAAGAUAUCGUGAAGCUCCGGGAGGCGAUGUACCUGACUGCGGAAAUCCCCCACAGGCUCCCUGCCAAGGGGCAGGUUAUCCCCACACCAAAAUCUGGCGAGAGGGUUCUAUUCAUCUCUCACUUCCUCCACGGGCUAGGGCUCACUCUCCACCCCUUCGUUCGUGGCCUUAUGUUCUAUUAUGGGCUAGAUUUUCAUGAUCUAGCUCCGGACUCCUUUCUUCACAUCUCGACGUUUAUCGUCAUGUGUGAGGCUUUUCUCCGCAUCCCUCCACACUUCGGCCUAUGGCUCAAGACCUUCAAUGUGAAGUCGAAGAUAGUCGACGAGGAGCAGGCAGAGUGCGGCGGUGCUAUGGUGAGCAAGCUCGCCAAUACUAUCUGGCCAAAAGGCACCUUCACGGAAACCUCCAACUUAUGGCAGCGCGAGUGGUUCUAUAUCACCGAACCCCGCGGUACGAAAUGGGCGGCCACACCUACGUUCCGAUCUGGCCCUCCAUUGCGACUCACAUCAUGGAUUAAUAAAAGGCUAGACUGGGGAUCAACUGACGAAGUGUAGACGCUGCAAAGUCGUAUCCAGAGCAUCCUCGAUAAGGACACCGACCUCAUUAACGUGAUCCAGGUGAUGCUAGUCCGCCGGAUCCUCCCGUGCCAGCGACGGCCUCUCCACAUGUGGGAGUUCAAUCCGGAAGGACCGCGGACCCUUCAGCAAUUCUUUGGCACAACGCGUAGAGGGAUGUGGAAACUAUUCUUCAACACUCGAAAGAAGUGGCCGGACACAUCCGAGGACAUCGGCCUCGACCGCAACCAUCCGGAUACCUCGGUAAGCACCCAACUUCUGAAUGCAACUCAGUUGAUUAUCCCAUAGCGAUGUACUGAGAAACCUAUCUUCGACCAGGGCUGGAUAAAGAAGGCGGAAUAAAUAAGGUGUUCGGCUCCACUUCUCGAAGAAUUAGCUGAUCCUAUGUUAAUGAGGAUGCUGGCCCCGGGGCCGUAUCAAAUCCGGCGAAGGAGGACAAGAAGAAGAGCAAAAGGGCUGAUGGUGGCCUCCGCUCUAAAGGUAUACUAGACGCUACGUCCGGGGAGACUGAACUUCCCUCUUCUAAAGAUGAAGACGAAGGGGAAGGUGAAGGUGAUAUCCCUUCUCCCCACGGGAAGAAAAGGACUGCCUCCGAAGACUUGGAGGUGGAGGCACCCAAGAGAGGGAAGAUGUCCCUGUCAGAUGGUUCGGGUUCAGAAGCCGAUGUUGACGCAGAGCUCCUCUCUAGGGACAAGCCCUUUGCCGAAUCGUAAGUGAACAAGGAUGCUCUAGACAUGUCCCGUUCUUUUCGGUUUGCCAGGGUAACAUUUAAACUAUAUGUUUGCAGUCCGGCCUGCUAUCUACCUCAACAGUCCUCCUCAUUGGGGGACUUGCCUCCGGAGAUGAUGGAAAGCGAGACGCCUCCACAAGCUUCCUCGCCCCUAAGGGCGGACGACUUCGAGGUGUCGUCCCGGCGGAUCUCCCCUGACCAUCCCGCGGCGUAGGGGACAAUGAAGACAGCGCCCGAAGGUGAUACUUCGACUGUCAAGGGUCCCCGGGAGGCAGCCCCCACGGGGACCAACAACGAGGGCCCUGAACUAUCAGGUUUACAGCCGAAGACGACUCUAGGGUCGAGUAAGCGUACCCCUUUGAAGGGAGUCCGUACUCCCGCAGCAGCCUCUAGGAAUCCGGAGGUGCCGGAUACACUGAUGGGCACAUUGAAAAGUGCGUCCAUCUCAGAGGAACAUCGUACCUUAAUGGGUACAGUAGUUGAGAGGAUUCUGUCCGCGAGAAGCGGAUUGAAUGAAACCUUCACGGGCCUGCUGAGAGGCUUCGAGGUAUGCAAUGUAAUAUCUUCAACCGCUCUUUACAUGCAAAAUGCGCCUGUGUAUAGAUAGUAGCCACUGAGACUCUGGUCGAUUUCCAUCGGGUGGUGAUCAGAGGAUCAAAAAGAUAUGCUCAGGAAGUAACAUAAUUAAUUUGAAAACAGGCUAUUAUGUCAAUGGCGACCACCCAAGCUGCGGAAGUUGCAGAUCUAAAGCAUAAACUUGAGUUAGCUGAUGAGGACAUUACUCUUAUUAACAGGCGGCUCAACGAGGCACAAGGUAUGUUUUGGGACAGCCCGCUUAUGCAUGUAUAAUAGUAUGAGCACGAAGAUGCAAAUUAUACACUGUGACAUGCAUAACUGUAGAUGGUGCUGCCGCGGUUGAGACCCUUCGGGCCGAGCUUGCCCGGGCCAAGGAGCAGGCCAGAGUGAGCAAUGUGGCUGCCAAGAAGGCGCUGCUGAUUUAAAGGCCGAACAGGCCACUCGGCGUCAGUGCGAGGAAAGAAUAUCUACCAUAGAGCGAGAGUUAAAGGAUGCCACUGGCAAAUGCAAAUCACUCGAGGAGGAUAACAAAGCCAAGGCAGCCGAACUCGACAAGGCCUUACAAGAGGCGAGAGAAGCACGGUCCAAGUCUAGAGCGGCUCGGGAGGAGAUCCGGCAAGCUGGGGAGAUAACGGGUGGUAAGCCCUUUCUUUUACAGACUAAGUUCGGUGACCCGAAGUAUGCUCUGCUUAAUCAAUUGUGGAGUUCUCCAGACGCGUUCUUGGACCUGCCGAAGAGUGUCUCCGAUGCGGCGCGGUUCUUCCAAGCAUAGGAAGGACGUGCUGCGGAGAAGCUUUUCUGGUCACAAUUCAACGUGCCACGGCGUCCGGCGUUGCUGAACAAACAGAUGGUCCAGUGGGCCGAGCUCCACAAGAUGUCCGGAGCUGCCAUGAAGGACAUCGUGGUCCAGCUAUGGCCUGCUGAACCCAUUCCGAACAACUAUUUUGGUUUGGUGCAGCGACUUGUCGAUGCAGUGCCGCGUAUCGACGCCGUUAAGCGGUCGGCGUGCAUAGAAGGUGCCCGGAUGGCCUUCGCCCGCGUCAAGAUGUACUGGGCAGAGAUGAAGGCCACCGAUGUUGCAGCUAAGGGCCCGCCCGGAGGCAAGGACCAUCACACGCCGGAGCAUUAUUUGGAGGACGUCCUAGAGGGCACCCGCUUGAUAGAGGGUCAGUGCUCGAAGGAUAUUAUGUUCGAAUAAAUGCGCCGGAAUUGUGAGAACAAUAUUAUGAUACAUUAAGGCUGUGUUAUAUUCAUACCUUUGCCUGAAAGUUAUUUCCUCCUGUGCGGCCGUUUUUUAUAAUCUGAAAGUUUGCCAGUCGUCCGCUUCAGCCCCCUCGCAUAUAAUACAGGGGUGUUCGGAAUAGCACCUGAUCACUCUUGACCCAACGUCUUGGUCCGUAACAGAGGUGUCAGUGCGGCGAACUAGGCAAUCCGACUAUAGGGCUUUAACACUUUCACUUAGCCAUAGGAGUUUGAUGGUGGGUCUAAGAUGUAGCCCCUGGUAUGUACGCAGUUAUCCGAAUACGGUUGCAUUACAUAGGUGACCAGAAAACGGUCCUUCGUGUAGUAUGGAAGAAAUCGCAAAAGAUUCUGAUAAGUCACCGAGUGGUUGACCAGCUCUCGCCACAUCAUGACAGUAAUUUUUCGGCUUUCUCUACUGAGGUGUUUAACCAGGUGAACCGGAAACACAAUCGCAGUAGUUCUCCCUUUACUACCCUAGCCAAUAAGACGAAACGUAAGGUAGUAAGCACAGGAGCCGGGCAACCCAACUAUUGACCAAAGACAUGAUUCGGAGCUGAUGCAUAUAAUGUCAAACUCGUGACGUCGAAGUAUGCUGUAGAGCUGUUCGGACUUUUCGGCAACCCAUAUGUUGUCAUAUCGAGCCCCUGGCGAUUUGUGCCGAGGUGUGUGGGUGAGACAACCGAAGAAGCAAAAUACAGUUCUAUGAGGAGAAGCAAAUGCUGAAGACGGAUUAUGUUCACGGGAACCUGAUUGAUACGUCGAAACACAAUCUUAUAGAUUAUAACACCACUACCUAGGCCAUUUUACAUGCCAGGGGUCGAAGGCUAAGGAAAAAGGCUCUAUACAGGUUUUAAAUAGAGUGUUGGUCUACAGAAAAUCUUUUGGACCUCCUGUCGCACGUCUGUGCUGCCUUUGCCUCAGCGAAAAGGAUUCCUUAAAAGGAGUAAUCUUUGGUUAUUUGUACGAAACCGGGCUCAGAAAGAGUCCUUGCAGGUCCGUAGGAUGAACCGGUUUUGAUUCACCUGUGGCAAAAUAUAAGAUAUUGUUAGAAAAGAGAAGAAGGCUGUAGGAGGGCGAACCGUACUGUAGGCCUGUCCGUAUUUUGCCUCUGUUGAUGACCAAGGUAUUUUAAGUGCAUAAUUAUGCAUGCGGGAUACGAACUUCGCGGGUAUAUGCGGCAAAGGACGGAGACGGAAUUGCUAAUCUAGCUCUAAAAUUGACCAGUCCUGUGUAAUAGAGGCCGGUGGCUUAAUGGCCGAUGAGAUAUGCGGCUUGACGGGGCCGCUUUGUACUUCGGCUGCGAUGGCCGUGGUAUGCUCCUCGGUACGGAGGGAGCGUUCCGUGUUUCCGUUGAUCGUGAUGACGCCGCAUGGACCGGGCAUCUUAAGCUUUAGAUAGGCGUAGUGUGGGACCGCAUUGAAACGAGCAAAAGCGGUCCGCCCGAGCAGUGCAUGGUAGCCACUUCGGAACGGGACAAUAUUGAAGGUCAAGUCUUCGCUUUGAAAGUUGUCUGGCGAACCGAAAACGACUUCCAACAUGAUUGAGCCCGUGCAGUGAGCUUCAACGCCGGGUAUUACUCCCUUGACGGUAGUUGUGGUGGGCUUGAUCCUUGAGGGGUCAAUGCCCAUCUUGCGGACAGUGUCUUGAUAAAGUAAAUUAAGGCUACUGCCGUCGUCCAUAAGGACUCGCAUGAGAUGGAAUCCAUCGAUAAUUGGAUCGAGGACCAGAGCUACCGAACCUCCGUGACAGAUAUUGGUUGGGUGGUCCUUGCGAUCAAAAGUGAUCGAGCAGGCCGCCCAUGGGUUAAAUUUUGGGGCGACCGGCUUUAUGGCGUAGACGUCUCGUAGUGCGCGCUUGCGCUCCCUUGUAGGGAUAUGCGUCACAUAUAGCAUGUUUACUAUUUUGACUUCGGGGGGAAAUUGCUUCUGUCCCCCGGUGUUCGGUUGGCGAGUCUCUUCGUCUUCGCUGUCACUGGGCGGCCCCUUCCCUUUGUGUUCAGCAUUGAGCUUGCCGGCUUGUUUGAAUACCCAGCAAUUUCUAUUGGUAUGGUUGGCGGGUUUGUCAGGGCUGCCAUGAAUCUGACAGGGCCGAUCCAGUAUCUUGUCUAGACUGGAUGGACCAUCUAUGUUUGCCUUGAAUGGCUUCUUCCGUUGACCAGAUUUGGGACCACUGAAUCCGGCGUUGACCGCCUUAUCUUGGGUUCCUGCAUUAUUGUAUCGACGCUUGUUUUUAUUGCGUCAUGGCUUGCCAUUGCCGUCCCUGGAUUCGGAGGUGCCUGGAUCACUGGUGCUAUUGCUUCUACGAGCAAGCCAGCUAUCUUCUCCCGCGCAAAAGUGGGUCAUCAGUGCGGUAAGAGCUGCCAUGGACUUAGGUUUUUCUUGGCCGAGGUGACAGGCAAGCCACUCAUCUCAGACGCUAUGUUUAAAGGCCGCGAGGGCUUCAGCGUCCGGAUAGUUGACAAUUUGGUUCUUUUUAAUUAGGAACCUAUUCCAGAGUCUCCUGGCUGACUCUCCGGGCUGCUGGAUGAUGUGACUGAGGUCAUCGGCGUCCGGAGGCCGGACAUAUGCACUACAAAAAAAAGACACUUCCGUGAUGAUACGUGUUUGUCACAGUAGGUCACGUUUUCUGUCAUGCAUGUACAUCCAUGACAAAUUUAUGACAGAAUCAAGAUAGUCAUACCUGUGCUUCCGUAGAAGUGUUCCAUGACAUUACCAAAAUUAUCAUCACGGAAGUGUCCACUUCCAUGACGAUAAAUCGCGCGUCAUAGAAGUGCUUUCGUCAAGGGUGACCGGCACGUGGCAUCCACCGUAACGGAACCGUUAAGCUACCGGGUCCGGUUUUGGAUCCGAUAACCCGUUAACAGCCCUGACCAAUGGGGAUUUUCCACAUGUAAAAUCAUCAUUGGCUGGAGGAAACACGUGUCGGCUCAGCGUUGGGACAGACGUCAUCCACUAAUUGGACAUGAGGCACCUAUGAUACGUCGACACGUGGCACGGCCCAACAGAGGCCAUUCCUGUGAAAAGGCCGACCCGUUUGACUUGGUCAAAAGGUGGCGGGCCGGCCCACGGCAAGCCUGUUAACGGCCUGUUCACAUAUAGCCCAUUUACAACCCGCUAACCCAUGGCCCGUUUACGGCCUAUCCGAAUUAGGCCCAGUAGCUCAUCUGGGCCGUCCAAUGUAAUUCCAGCCUGUUUUAACUUCCGGCCCAUGUAUGGCCCAUGAAGUCUUUUGGCCCAUAUGAGGCCCUUAGUAACCCUCGGCCCACUAACGGCCCGUGGUAAAACUGGCCCGUAAUGAACAGUGUAUCACUUUAUACCCAUUAACAGCCCAUUAUUCUGUUGGGCCGUUUCCAGCCCAUGUUAUCUUUCGGCCUUCUUAGGGCCCAUUUAUUCUUGGGCUCAUUUCUAGCAUUCGUUUACUUUCGGCCCGUUACUAUAAUUUUCUGCUUGUGGGCCAAAUACAGCCCAUGGUUACAGUCGGCCCGUUUGUGGCCCGUUAAUACGUUGGCCGUUUUCAUAGUGUCAUCAAAUACAGCCUAUUAACGACGGCCCGUUAUGGUCGGCCCAUGAACGGACGAUUUCAACUCUAGCCCAUUUACGGCCAUAAUGUGGUCUGUUAUUGGCCCAUGUUUGGCCAACCGAUCAUACGGCCCGUAGAAGGCCCAUUGUGUCUACGCCCCGUAGAAGGCCCAUUGUGUCUACGCCCCGUAGAAGGCCCAUUGUUUCUACGUCCCUUAGAAGGCCCAUUGUUUCUACGGCACGUAGGAGGCCCAUGUUAACUACAGUAAAUAUGUAGCCCAUUGUUAAUGUGGCCUAGUUUUAAAAAUAGGUUAUUCCGGCCACUAGUAAACCGCAGAAAAAGAACUGCACUGACUAUAAGAAAACAAAUAAACAAGACAAGGAUAUAAAUAAGCAAGUAACUUACGCUAGGCUAUCACGGCUAUUACACACAUUACAUCCACUGGGCAUCAAAGUUUGCCACAAAUGCAAAUAUAGGGAACAAAGCAGCAUAUAAACGCCGCAGCAAAACAAGUCCAGAACUGAAACCACUUCAGAAGAGCUCAAGAAACAAUAUGUACGCAUAAUGCUGGCAAGAUGCUUAGCAAGCUUAUUAACUUUCUCUUGUUUGGCACUUAAAUCCUCCAGCACUUGCUGUUGCACCAGAAAGUAUGCAUCUGAAUUCUGCAGGGACUUCCUCAGUCCUUCGGCUUCCUGUCGUAUAACAUCUGAUCGAUGUCAUUCAACUUGAAGUUGAGAAUCAAGAAGCCGAACUGAUUCAUGCAGCGAGUACGAAGAGCUGGUGCCAGCAGUAGUAGCCAGUAACUCGAACACUACAUCAAGACAGGACUUUGGGGUUGUCUCAGUGUCUUCAAUAUAGUUUUUAUCAGCAUUCUUGGAGAACAACGGGGAUGUCUCACUAUCUUGAACCUGAUCUGCAUUACUUCCUUUUCCAUUGCAUAACGGGGUACUCUUCUCCAAUAUUUUAUCCGCGUUCUAAAGGAGAAACAAACAAACACAUCACAUGUUUACAAUGUAGUAUAUGAAACUCAUUUUGGUAAACCACUUUAGUAGUAAGGUGGACAGGAUAACAACAUGAAACAACCAUAUAUCUAUGUAGUAUGGUCACUGUAUGGUCUAUAUCAUUCUAUUUUAUGUUGCCAAAUCAAGAUAGAUACAGUUCGAAUCAUAUCUAUUUAAGACAAAGCAGCAUAGACAGAAUAUAAGUGUGGGAAACUACACAGCAAUAGCAACACUUGUAAUGUGCAUGGCAUGAGAACAUAACUAUUUAUUCAAUUGAAACUGAAAUCAACAUAGAGCAAGUUACUUGUUUGAUGUUCACAAAGGACUUCUUAUCAAGCAUCUUCACAAAUUCUAUAACAAGGUUGAUGUUCCUUGGGUGACCCUGAUAUGGAAGAGCUACUAUGAUCAUGGGGUUCCACAGGCAACAAGUAAUGCUGGAUCUUUCUGGUGGAGGGAUGUUCUGAAGCUGCAUGAGGCUUACACUGCUAUAGCCUCAGCUCAUAUCAACAUGGGUGAUUCUGCUCUGUUCUGGACAGACUCUUGGCACAUUGGCGGCUCUGCUAGACCCAUAUGUUGGAGAUUGCAAGGUUGUUUUCUUUUGUCAAUUAUGAUAGGAUCUCUGUGCGGGAAUUUCUUCACUCCCAGGACCUUUACUCUAUGUUUUAUUUGCCUCUUUUUCAUGAGGCUGCUGCUGAGUUACACAUGCUGGAAGGUUGGAUCAUGCAGUUGGACAGAGACCCCACUACACCUGAUGUCUGGAUAUGGCCUGGUCAAUCAGGAGGAUACAGUGCCAAAAGUUUUUACAUGAUCAUGCACUCACACCUACCUACAAUACAACCUUGCAAAUGGCCAUGGUAGAGUAAGUGCACCAUGAAGAUCAAGGUGUUCGGCUGGCUAUUAUUCUUUGACAGACUUAACACCAAGGAUAUGCUGGUUAGGAGACACUGGCGCUCAAAUCAGGAUGACAAUCUUUGCCUCAUUUGCAGUGAGCUGGCGUAUGAGGAUAGAAUCCAUCUGUUUUUUAAAUGCACCUUCAGCUGUAGAGUCUGGAGCUACUUGGGCAUUGAUUGGUCUGGAGGCUCAGAUAUUCUGCAAUGUAUCCUGCAUGCUAGGUCCAGCUUCACGCACCCUUUCUUCGUUGAAGUUAUGCUCACAGCAGCAUGGAAUAUUUGGAUUUUGAGAAAUGGCAGAACCUUCAGAGCUGAGAGAGCUACUUUCAGUGCUUGGAAGUGUAAAUUCAUCCAUGAUAUCUCUUUGCUUGCUCAUAGGGUGAAGGAUGGUACAAAACCAAAACUCUUGGCUUGGGUUGCUUCUUUGUUGUAAUGCAGGUAGAGUUGUUUAGCCAUAGGUAGGCUCUUUUACUUUUUCCUUCCUUGUAUAGUCUGUAAUUUGUUUGUAUAGUUCUGCUUUCUUUAAUAAAGGGCUAUGGGGCUUUGCCUCACAGUAAAUAUUCAAAAAAAACAUAGAGCAAGUUACAACAGCAAACACGUUAAAGAAACAGGUUUAAAACAUACCAGUUGCACCAUUGGAGUUUCAAUUGCAUCCUUCAAAUUUGAAAUUGGUUGGUAUGAGUAAAUACAGUGAUGCAAGAGCAAAGUAGUAUGAACCAUAGCUACGGAACUUGGCCUGAGAACAAUUCUUCUUCUGCUUUAAGCGUUGACUUGGGGUUCGGAGUGGUGGUCGUCGUGCUUUGGGCACUGCAGUUGCCUUACUAACUGCUCAUGUUUGGGUGCUCUGUGGUGGAGACGGUGUUGUGUCAACGAGAACUGGGUUACUAUCUGCUGGGGUUGGGGUUAGAAGGGGUGUAGCUAGUUCUCUGUCCAACUGGGUAGGGGUACAAUCUGCGUGAGUCUGGGUUAUGUGUGGUGGGGCUGGUUCUUGGGCAAGUACAACCGUGGUUCUAUCUCCAUCGACAGGUAGCACGAUCUUUUCUGAAGACCGUGUUUUUACUCCCACAGAUACUGCCAUCACCCCUCCAAUUGAAAUGGCUGAUAAACAAGAAAAGUAAUUGAAUGUACAGACAUUGUAAGAUAGACAGGUGCAAUGGAUAGUAAGGAAGAAAACAGGGCAUGAAAUAAUUCACAUUUAUGUUGUCUAACCAAACAGAAUAGCAGGACAUAAUUUCAAAUAUAUGAUGGGUAAUUAAACAGGAUAGCAUGACACAAUUUCACAUGUAUGAUGGCUAACUAAACAGGAUAGAAUUACGUACUUCAAAAUAUGAUGACUAUGUAAACAGGAUGACAUGAUAUAACUAUACGAUGUGUCUAUUAAAGUGGUUGGCAUGCCAUAAAUCACAAACAUGCCGUCGAUGGAAACAUGAUGGCAUGAUACAAUUCAUGGAUAGAAUGACAUAAUUCAAAAUAUGAUGACUAUGAGAACAGGAUGAGAUGAUAUAACUAUAUUAUGUCUUUAGAAAAUGGGUUGGCAUGCCAUAAUUUAGAUACAUGUUGUCUAUGUAAACAUCAUAGCAUGAUAUAAUUCAAAUAUAUGAUUUAUAUGUUGGGGAACGUAGUAAUUUCAAAUCAUACGCACACGCAAGAUCAUGGUGAUGCAUAGCAACGAGAGGGGAGAGUGUUGUCCACGUACCCUCGUAGACCGAAAGCGGAAGCGUUAACACAACGCGGUUGAUGUAGUCGUACGUCUUCACGAUCCGACCGAUCAAGUACCGAACGCAUGGCACCUCCGAGUUCAGCACACGUUCAGCUCGAUGACGUCCCUCGAACUCUGAUCCAGCCGAGUGUUGAGGGAGAGUUUCGUCAGCACGACGACGUGGUGACGAUGAUGAUGUUCUACCGACGCAGGGCUUCGCCUAAGCACUGCUACGAUAUUAUCGAGGUGUAAUAUGGUGGAGGGGGGCACCGCACACGGCUAAAAGAUCGUUGAUCAAUUGUGUGUAUAGAGGUGCCUCCCUGCCCCCGUAUAUAAAGGAGCAAGGGGGGGUUCAGCCGGCCUAGAGGAGAGGCGCGCCAGGAGGAGUCCUACUCCUACCGGGAGUAGGACUCCCCCCUUUUCCAUGUUGAACUAGGAGAGAAAGGGGGAAGAGGUNNNNNNNNNNNNNNNNNNNNNNNNNNNNNNNNNNNNNNNNNNNNNNNNNNNNNNNNNNNNNNNNNNNNNNNNNNNNNNNNNNNNNNNNNNNNNNNNNNNNNNNNNNNNNNNNNNNNNNNNNNNNNNNNNNNNNNNNNNNNNNNNNNNNNNNNNNNNNNNNNNNNNNNNNNNNNNNNNNNNNNNNNNNNAUUCGGACUGGGGGGGGGGGAGGGGUGCGCGGCCCUUCCCUGGCCUCCUCUCCUCUCUUCCACCUAGGCCCACUAAGGCCCAUUAAGUUACCGGGGGGUUCCGGUAACCUCCCGGUACUCCGAAAAAAAUCCCGAUUUCACCCGGAACACUUCUGAUGUCCAAACAUAGGCUUCCAAUAUAUCAAUCUUUAUGUCUCGACCAUUUCGAGACUCCUCGUCAUGUCGGUGAUCACAUCCGGGACUUCGAACAACCUUCGGUACAUCAAAACAAAUAAACUCAUAAUAUAACUGUCAUCGUAACUUUAAGCGUGCGGACCCUACGGGUUCGAGAACUAUGUAGACAUGACCGAGACACCUCUCCGGUCAAUAACCAAUAGCGGAACCUGGAUGCUCAUAUUGGUUCCUACAUAUUCUAUGAAGAUCUUUAUCGGUUAGACCGCAUAACAACAUACGUUGUUCCCUUUGUCAACGGUAUGUUACUUGCCCGAGACUCGAUCGUCGGUAUCUCGAUACCUAGUUCAAUCUCGUUACCGGCAAGUCUCUUUACUCGUUCCGUAAUACAUCAUCCCGCAACUAACUCAUUAGUCACAAUGCUUGCAAGGCUUAUAGUGAUGUGUAUUACUGAGUGGGCCCAGAGAUACCUCUCCGACAAUCGGAGUGACAAAUCCUAAUUUCGAAAUACGCCAACCCAACAAGUACCUUUGGAGACACCUGUAGAGCACCUUUAUAAUCACCCAGUUACGUUGUGACGUUUGGUAGCACACAAAGUGUUCCUCCGGUAAACGGGAGUUGCAUAAUCUCAUAGUCAUAGGAACAUGUAUAAGUCAUGAAGAAAGCAAUAGCAACAUACUAAACGACCGAGUGCUAAGCUAACGGAAUGGGUCAAGUCAAUCACAUCAUUCUCCUAAUGAUGUGAUCCCGUUAAUCAAAUGACAACUCAUGUCUAUGGCCAGGAAACACAACCAUCUUUGAUCAACGAGCUAGUCAAGUAGAGGCAUACUAGUGACACUCUGUUUGUCUAUGUAUUCACACAUGUAUUAUGUUUCCGGUCAAUACAAUUCUAGCAUGAAUAAUAAACAUUUAUCAUGAUAUAAGGAAAUAAAUAAUAACUUUAUUAUUGCCUCUAGGGCAUAUUUCCUUCAUUAUAUACUAAGGAAGUGAGCAGAGGGCAAUCGCAUAUAUGAUGUGUCAACUAAGGAGAUGGCAUUCAAUAUCGUGUAUAUGAUGUAAAAACUAAGCAUUGCAAUACAACACAUGCAUGAUAGGAGUAAUAUAACCCUGUCAAGUUUGAGCAUACACCUCAGGGGGAUAAUAGGACUAGUCAUCUGUCUCUGAAUCCUCCUCUGAAGAGCUAUCUGUAACCAGCAACAUAUCUGCUUCACCAGGUAGCAUUGUCUGCUCUGAAGACCUUGUUUUCACUCCAGAUUUCUCCAUCACCAAUUCAAAUGGCUGAUGCACAGGAAGAGCAGUUGAAUAUACAAACAUUGUCGACAAAAGCAAUGAGAAAUACAAAAAAAGGACGGCAUGAUAUAAUUCACAUAUAUGACGCUUGGCUAAACAACAUGGCAUUGCAUAAUUCACAUAUAUAAUGCCUUGCAACAAGAUAGCAUUGCAUAAUUCACAUAUAUAAUGUCUUGCAAAAAGAUGGCAUUGCAUAAUUCACAUAUAUGGUAAUUAGACACUAAACAGGUGGCAUUCACACAAAUCAUGUCUAAACUAAGCAAAUGACAUAGCAAUGCAAGAUACCAUACGCAUGAUAUGAGCAACAUAACCCUGCCAAGUUAGAGCAUGCACCUCGGGGGGGGGGAUAGGACUGGUCAUCUGUCUCUGAAUCCUCCUCUGAGGAUCUAUCCGUAACCACCGAGAUAUGCGCUUCGUCAGAUAGCAUAGUCUGCUCCGAAGACCUUGUUUUCACUCCAGAAUUUUCCAUCACGGUGUCAAAUGGCCGAUGCACACCAAGAGUAGUUGAAUGUACUAACAUUGUUGACAAAUGUAAUACGUAACGAAAAAAAGGGUGGCCUGAUAUAAUUCACAUAUAAGAUGACUGGAUAAGCAGGAUGGCAUUGCAAAAUUCACAUAUAUGAUGCCUGGCUAAACAAGAUGGCAUUGCAUAAUUCACAAAAACGAUGAAUAAACUAAACAGAUGUCAUUCACACAAAGCAUGUCUAAACUAAGCAGUUGACAUAUUUGAUGUAUAAAGUAAGCAAUGCAAGGCACCAUAUGCAUGAUAUAACCAACAUCGGCAUGCCAAGUUAGAGCGAAGACCUCAUGGGGUAAAUAGGAGUGGUCUUCUGCUUCUGAAUCCCCCUCAGAACAGUUAUCUUCCUCUUGAUUACGAUCCAAAAUGGGUGGAGGGGGGCUGCCUUUGCGCCCACCAUGGAGCGACGUCUGCAUGAAAUUUUAUUGCCACGCAAGGCUCGUCUCUUUUGCUCUACAUGUUCGGUUCCAUUGUGUACAAUAACUGACAUGCAUAGGAAUAAAACAUAGUGAGAGUAUGUAAGGAGUGCAUGCACAAAUCCAGAGUGAUGGUAGCAAAUUGUGGAUAGACCCAAAACCAAUGAUAGCAGGCAGAUAAUAACUUUAGUUAAAAAUACAGAUAAUGGCUCCUUUAAUGUUUGUUUGCACCCAACAUGAAACUCAUAGUAGACACCCGAGAUUAACCAGAUAGUACUGAUUGCUGCCCCAAUAUGUACCCCACAACCAUUUAAAAACUCAAGUUUCAGCAUAAGUUUGGACCCGAGUCAGAGUCUAAUAGGUGAACACGAUGAUAAAGUAGCAUGUCAUCAUAUUAAGCGAUGUAUAACGUAAGCAGACACGGAAGAGUGCGACCUCUCUUGCGGACCCGUGUAGUCCUCAAGGUCAUCUGCUCAGUUGAUGAUGGUAAUGCAGUUGUCGUGGCUGCAGGCGGUGGGGAAGAAGAUCUGAGGCGGCGAAAGACAGUCUGGAGAGCGGAUCCCUGCUGUGGUGAACCCUUCCGUCGUUGGAGCAGCUGAGCUGGGGUGGAACACAGCACCGCAGGAGCAGGACAAACCACACAAGGUUUUCUUUGACACAUAUCUGUAACAGAAGUAAUUUUCUAAGGGCUUGUUUGAAUUUGAGGAUUCUAACAAUGCAGGGAUAGGAAAUAGACAGGAAUAGGAUAGGAAUGCAUGUGCAAAACAGAGAAUUUAAAAACACAGGAUUUCUGCCCAUCUGGGUGUUUGGUUCACAAGAAUUGGAAGAUCACAGGAUGCAAAGAAGCAUGGUGAGAUUAAGUCAAACCACAAGAAGUGUACAACCUCUUUGGCGAAGCCAUGUCGAUCUCAGCGUGAUUGGGUUGGCCGGUGAGGAUGCUCCGGCUGACUUGGCUAUCGGAGGAGGGGAAGAAGAUCUUAGGCGUCUGGAGAUGGAGCCCGAGGUACUGCUCCGCUGUGAUGGAGGGUUUCGUCAUUGGAGCAGCUCCGGUGAGUUGUACGACGCCGAGGCUGAAGCAGGACAAGAGAGACAACGUUAACCUGAGUGGAAUUCUAAUAGCAUCUCCAAUAGAUGACGUAAAAUACAUAACCACAAAGUGCUAGAUGUAUACAUCAGCCGCUCAUCUCUGAACUUAACUGUGGAAAUUGAAUUUAACAAUCAAAACUGAACUUAACUGUCGAAACUGAAUUUUGCUGUCGAAACUGAACGCACUAGAGGUGAGGCUACACGUCAGUCGACUGACUUUUUCAUCUCUGGUCAGUCGAUUUUGCAGCCAUUGGAUAUGAAAUCAAGGGCCUGCAGUUCAUCUUCAACCUCCACCCCCUGAGCCGCCAGCCACCACCGACCAAACAGCCGCCCCCCGCUGCCCGCGGCCGGCGGAGCGCCGCCCCGCCCGCCCCGAAAACACUCCCCACAGCCGGUCCGCCGCCGCCCUGGCCAUCCCUCUAGGCCCCCCAUGCCGAGAUUUUUCUCCGGCGAUCCCCACGCCAGCGCCCCACCACCACCGGCGACCACCGCCCCCACCCUGAACCCUAAGAUAGAUAGUGGGGUACUUCUCCGGCGAGCCCCCCUCCCCGCUGCGGUUGGUUCUUCCUUAACUCCGGCGAGCCCCCACCCCCUGAAAAUUGACUGACCCAAAAGUCGAUUCAGUCGACUAAAGUGUAGCUAAAUCGGAGCAGCAUCGCAAGCAAGAGCAAGAGCGAGAGCAGCAGCGCGAGCAAGAGCAAGAGCAAACCAGGCAGGGGACCGAGAGCAAGAGCAGAGUAGCAGCGCGAGCGAGAGCUAAAGUAGCAGCAGCUCCUACUGAUGUGGACGUCGCCGCCGAGGGAGCGACACCGUGGAGGAAGUGGCCGGCGAUGCCGCGGUGGAUGGAGCCGUGCCGUGUCGGCUCGGACCGAGCGCCGGAAGCACCAUGAGAUCGAAUUAAGAAGAAAAUCCGGCGACUAGUGUACAACCUCUUUAGUGGCGCCGAUUAGGCCGCAGCUUCAUCCGGGGAAACAGUGAUGCUGAUGCUCUUCCGGUGGUGUAGGUGAAGACGGCGGUGUGGGAAUGGAGGUGGUGCGAAAGACGAGGGGAACUUCGGGGCAGCUCCUUGGAGGUGGAGGACGGGGUGGCUGAACCGGCGGGACGACCAGAUCAACGACGGAUCCUCAUCCGGUACGGUGGAUGAGGGACGUCGAGGUGUUGCUGUGGACGACGUCGUCGGGGAAGAGGCUCCGGCUGGGUGGCCGACGGAGGAGGGUGUGGGGCUUCACGGGUUUUCCCGGCCUCGGUGUACGAAUGGGUGGGCAGAUGGGAUGGGAGUGGGGAACCAUGGCUUAGGGACGCGCUUGUCCGAAAUGUGGGGUAAGUUACGAAAGUACCCCACCGAUUUGAGGCGGUUCUUUCGGUUCAGGGGUAUCACGGGCAUUUCGCGUGUCAGGAUUUCACAGGAGGUUUGAGUUUUUGCGCGCGUUGUAAUUUUGGAAUAGCAAGGCGUGGGUUGAGAUGGAGGGAGUUGUCGGAGCACAACGAGACAAAGAUAUAUCUUAAAUAUUUCGGGCUAACAAGGCACGGGUUGGAAUUUCUGGACAAGCCUAACGUGUACUGUACCAAAUCAAUUCGCACUACAAAUGUCAUUCAAAACUUUGAAUUCAUGUUAUGUUCAAUUAAAAUAUUGCGCUACGUGUAUAAUGCAUGCAACCAAGUACUCAAAUGAACGUUUUAGUGCAUUCCAAACGUAUAUACUACUGCUUCAAUAUGAACUAAAUUUGAAUUCGUUUCUCUAUUUGAAUAAGAUCUACAAUAAUGAUUGUUGUGAAGUCAAAGCGUUUGAAUUCGUUUCUCUAUUUUAAUAAGAUCUACAAUCGUCAUUAUUGUCAAGUUAAACCAUCGUUUGUGUAUUAUCUUCACAGCACACCACAUGAUUAGUCUCGAGUUACAUAUGAACUAUGUGUACUAUAUGAACUCGAACUCGAUUUUUUGUCCACUUUAUGUUGAUUUCAAAUCAUAGUACAUUUCAAGCUCUAGCUAGAUCUUCACAAACUAAACCGUGUCUCAUAUGUAUAAUGUGUUUAUCACAUUAUGUAUGGUACCCCGCCCCCUACGCCUAGAAGUAUUUAGAUGUGAGUUGCAAACACCACACAUUACCACAAAUUCAAAUAUGUGAGAAUGUUCGAUAUGUAGUAUUGUUUAGAUUGUUCGAUAUUUAGUUGUAAGCUGCAAACGCCACACAUUAUCACAAAUUCAAAUAAAAUGUGAGAUUGUUUGAUGUAUAGUAUGGUUUAGAUUGUUCAACAUUUAGCUGUGAGUUGCAAACGCCAUGCAUUAUCACAUUAUGGUAUAACAUGUGCAAAACCACAACACGCGUAUCACCGCUAUAUUCAUGCAUGCAUAUGUUUAAAACACUAUGAUCUCCUAUUCAAAUAUAUGAAUCCACUUCCAUACCAAAUUAUGAUCUUUGUUAGUCUCUUACACCCACACAAUCCUCUAACCAUUGUAGCUACCACUAACUUUCUCUCGUGCAUGCACACGCCCUCCUCGCCCUCCCCCUCCCUCAGCAUUCUAUCCAUCGCGCACAUUCAUUUUUCUUCUUCUUUAGGUCGUUCUCCCACAGUCUCCACAACUCCUUUCCGACACACACCGAUCGAUGAACCUCUCCAGCGAUGUCCACCUACAACAUACACAUGCACCUUCAAUCUCCUCCUUUAUGUGUCCUUGCCUCGUGUCUCUCAUACGGUCCAACUCACGUGUAAACUCUCGCCCCUCUUUUCAUCGAUCUCACAACCGCACACUGCUCCCCCUAUCUAGCUAGUAGCUGGGCCUCUCGCACCACCUCCUAGCUCCAUUCUCUCUGUCUAUCCGUCUCGCCGGGCCUUAUUUGCCUCUAACAAAUGGACAUACACCGAUCGAUCUCCCGCUAUACAUAUAGCUCGCUAGGUCCUUAUAACUCGUUUUCCCCCACGCGUCGAUCGAUCUACCUCAUUAGUUAUGUCUCUCCCUUCCUCCGACAAACAACAAUUGAUCUACCGAUCUAGUUAGGUUUGGUUACCAAACACAUGGUUCCCCUUCAUCAUCCAUGGAUGUGUCCCGACAGAUCUAUCACGCACAGGCACACACAGAAACACAUCCCCACUCUUAUUGAUAAUAUUGCAGUUCCACCCUCAGUUUGUCUAGUAGGCCUCUCCCACCAUCUUCGAGAAGCAACUCCAUCACCCAUCCAUCACUCUACCCCUCUCCCUCCCUCUCUCUCUCCUCUCUCUCUGUCCCAUCCUAUUUCCCGUCCUUCAGUUAUGUAUGGAUGUCGACCGAUCUCCCUAGAGACAUAGCUGGGUGAUGUAUACUACACAACCUUCUUCUUGUAUACGUUGUUGGGCCUCCAAGUGCAGAGGUUUGUAGGACAGUAGCAAAUUUCCCUCAAGUGGAUGACCUAAGGUUUAUCAAUCCGUGGGAGGCGUAGGAUGAAGAUGGUCUCUCUCAAGCAACCCUGCAACCAAAUAACAAAGAGUCUCUUGUGUCCCCAACACACCCAAUACAAUGGUAAAUUGUAUAGGUGCACUAGUACGACGAAGAGAUGGUGAUACAAGUGCAAUAUGGAUGGUAGAUAUAGGUUUUUGUAAUCUGAAAACAUAAAAACAGCAAGGUAACUAAUGAUAAAAGUGAGCACAAACGGUAUUGCAAUGCUAGGAAACAAGGCCUAGGGUUCAUACUUUCACUAGUGCAAGUUCUCUCAACAAUAAUAACAUAAUUGGAUCAUAUAACUAUCCCUCAACAUGCAACAAAGAGUCACUCCAAAGUUACUAAUAGCGGAGAACAAACGAAGAGAUUAUGGUAGGUUCCGAAACCACCUCAAAGUUAUCCUUUCUGAUCGAUCUAUUCAAGAGUCCGUAGUAAAAUAACAUGAAGCUAUUCUUUCCAUUCGAUCUAUCAUAGAGUUCGUACUAGAAUAACACCUUAAGACACAAAUCAACCAAAACCCUAAUGUCACCUAGAUACUCCAAUGUCACCUCAAGUAUCCGUGGGUAUGAUUAUACGAUAUGCAUCACACAAUCAGAUUCAUCUAUUCGAACCAACACAAAGUACUUCAAAGAGUGCCCCAAAGUUUCUACCGGAGAGUCUAGACGAAAACGUGUGCCAACCCCUAUACAUAAGUUCACGAGCGGAACCUGCAAGUUGAUCACCAAAACAUACAUCAAGUGGAUCAUGUGAUAUCCCAUUGUCACCACAGAUACGCCCAUGCAAGACAUACAUCAAGUGUUCUGAAAUCCUUAAAGACUCAAUCCGAUAAGAUCACUUCAAAGGGAAAACUCAAUCCAUUACAAGAGAGUAGAGGGGGAGAAACAUCAUAAGAUCCAACUAUAAUAGCAAAGCUCGCGGUACAUCAAGAUCGUACCAUCUCAAGAACAUGAGAGAGAGAGAGAGAUCAAACACAUAGCUACUGGUACAUACCCUCAGCCCCGAGGGUGAACUACUACCUCCUCAUCAUGGAGAACGCCGGGCUGAUGAAGAUGGCCACUAGUGAGGGAUCCCCCCUUCGGCAGGGUGCCGGAACAGGGUCCCGAUUGGUUUUUGGUGGCUACAGAGGCUUGCGGCGGCGGAACUCCCGAUCUAUUCUGCUCCCCGAAGUUUUUAGGGUAUAUGGAUAUAUAUAGGCGAAAGAAGUCGGUCAGGGGAGCCACGAGGAGCCCAUGAGGGUGGGGGGCGCGCCCAGGUGGGCAGGCGCGCCUCCCUGCCUCGUGGCCACCUCGUUGCUUCCCUGACGUGCACUCCAAGUCUCCUGGGUUGCUUCCGUUCCAAAAAUAACUCUCCCGAAGGUUUCAUUCUGUUUGGACUCCGUUUGAUAUUCCUUUUCUUCGAAACACUGAAACAAGGGAAAAAACAGAAACUGGCACUGGGCUCUGGGUUAAUAGGUUAGUCCCAAAAAUAAUAUAAAAGUGUAAAAUAAAGCCCAUAAACAUCCAAAAUAGAUAAUAUAAUAGCAUGGAACAAUAAAAAAUUAUAGAUACGUUGGAGACGUAUCAGGAUCCCCAAGCUUAAUUCCUGCUCGUCCACGAGUAGGUAAAUGAUAAAAACAGAAUUUUUGAUGUGGAAUGCUACCUAACAUAUUUAUCAAUGUAAUCUUCUUUAUUGUGACAAGAAUAUUCAGAUCCAUAAAAUUCAAGUCAAAAGUUUAAUAUUGACAUAAAAAUAAUAAUACUUCAAGCAUACUAACAAAGUAAUCAUGUCUUCUCAAAAUAACAUGGCCAAAGAAAGCUAUCCCUACAAAAUCAUAUAGUCUGGCUAUGCUCUAUCUUCAUCACACAAAAUAUUUAAAUCAUGCACAACCCCGAUGACAAGCCAAAUAAUUGUUUCAUACUUUUGAUGUUCUCAAACUUUUUCAAUCUUCACGCAAUAUAUGAGCGCGAGCCAUGGAUAUAGCACUAUAGGUGGAAUAGAAUGGUGGUUGUAGAGAAGACAAAAAGGAGAAGAUAGUCUCACAUCAACUAGGCGUAUCAACGGGCUAUGGAGAUGCCCAUCAGUAGAUAUCAAUGUGAGUGAGUAGGGAUUGCCAUGCAACGGAUGCACUAGAGCUAUAAGUGUAUGAAAGCCCAACAAAAGAAACUAAGUGGGUGUGCAUCCAACUCGCUUGCUCACGAAGACCUAGGGCAUUUUGAGGAAGCCCAUCAUUGGAAUAUACAAGCCAAGUUCCAUAAUGAAAGAUUCCCACUAGUAUAUGAAAAUGACAACAUAGCAGACUCUCUAUCAUGAAGAUCAUGGUGCUACUUUGAAGCACAAGUGUGGUAAAAGGAUAGUAGCAUUGCCCCUUCUCUCUUUUUCUCUCAUUUUUUAUUUUUUAUUUGGGCCUUUUCUCUUUUUUUAUGGCCUCUUUUUUUAGUCUGGAGUCUCAUCCCGACUUGUGGGGGAAUCAUAGUCUCCAUCAUCCUUUCCUCACUAGGACAAUGCUCUAAUAAUGAUGAUCAUCACACUUUUAUUUACUUACAACUCAUGAAUUACAACUCGAUACUUAGAACAAAAAUAUGACUCUAUGUGAAUGCCUUCGAUGGAGUACCGGGAUAUGCAAUGAAUCAAGAGUGACAUGUAUAAAAAUUAUGAACGGUGGCUUUGCCACAAAUACAAUGUCAACUACAUGAUCAUUCAAGGCAAUAUGACAAUGAUGAACGUGUCAUGAUAAACGGAACGGUGGAAAGUUGCAUGGCAAUAAUAUCGGAAUGGCUAUGGAAAUGCCAUAAUAGGUAGGUAUGGUGGCUGUUUUGAGGAAGGUAUAUGGUGGUUUAUGAUACCGGAGAAAAGGUGCGCGGUAUUAGAGAGGCUAGCAAUGGUGGAAGGGUGAGAGUGCGUAUAAUCCAUGGACUCAACAUUAGUCAUAAAGAACUCAUAUACUUGUUGCAAAAAUCUAUUAGUUCUCGAAACAAAGUAUUACGCGCAUGCUCCUAGGGGGAUAGAUUGGUAGGAAAAGACCAUCGCUCGUCCCCGAACGCCACUCAUAAGGAAGACAAUCAAUAAAUAAAUCAUGCUCCGACUUCAUCACAUAACGGUUCACCAUACGUGCAUGCUACGGGAAUCACAAACUUUAACACAAGUAUUUCUCAAAUCACAACUACUCAACUAGCAUGACUCUAAUAUCACCAUCUUCAUAUCUCAAAACAAUUAUCAAGUAUCAAACUUCUCGUAGUAUUCAAUGCACUUUAUAUGAAAGUUUUUAUUAUACCCAUCUUGGAUGCCCGUCAUAUUAGGACUAAAUUCAUAACCAAAGAAAAUUACCAUGUUGGACUCUCAAAAUAAUAUAAGUGAAGCACGAGAGUUCAUCUAUUUCUUCAAAAUAAAUCCACCGCCGUGCUCUAAGAGGAUAUAAGUGAAGCACUAGAGCAAAAGACAAACUACUCCGAAAGAUAUAAGUGAAGAUCAAUGAGUAGUUGAAUAAUUAUGUAACUAUGUGAAGCCUCUCUACCAUUUCAGAAUUUCAGAUCUUGGUAUUUUAUUCAAACAUAAAGCAAAACAAAAGAAAAUAAAAUGACGCUCCAAGCAAAACACAUAUCAUGUGGUGAAUAAAAAUAUAGUUCCAAGUAAAGUUACCGAUGAACGAAGACGAAAGAGGGGAUGCCAUCCGGGGCAUCCCCAAGCUUAGGAUCUUGGUUGUCCUUGAAUAUUACCUUGGGGUGCCUUGGGCAUACCCAAGCUUAGUCUCUUGCAACUCCUUAUUCCAUAGUCCAUCGAAUCUUUACCCACUUGAAAACUUCACAACACAAAACUUAACAGAAAACUUGUAAGCCCCGUUAGCGAAAGAAAACAAAACACCACUUCAAGGUACUUUAAUGAACUCAUUCUUUAUUUGUAUUGGUGUUAAAUCUACUGUAUUACAACUUCUCUAUGGUUUAUAAACUAUUUUACUAGCCAUAGAUUCAUCAAAAUAAGCAAACAACACACGAAAAACAGAAUCUGUCAAAAACACAACAAUAUGUAGUAAUCUGUAACUAACGCAAACUUCUGGAACUCAAAAAAUUCUACCAAAAUAGGAAGACCUAGAUAAUAUGAUUAUUGAUCUGCUGCAAUUGGAAUCAGUAUUUUAUCACGUUCUGGUGAUUUUAAACAAUUGUUUUCGUGAACAGAAAAUUUCUGGAAUUUUCAGGAAGAUCAAAUAACUAUCAUCCAAGAAGAUCCUAUAGGUCUUACUUGGCACAAACACUGAUUAAAACAUAAAACCACAUCUAACCAGAGGCUAGAUAAAAUAUUUAUUACUAAACAGAACCAAAAAGAAAGAACAAAAUAAAAAUUGGGUUGCCUCCCAACAAGCGCUAACGUUUAACGCCCCUAGCUAGGCAUGAUGAUUUCAAUGAUGCUCACAUAAAAGAUAAGAAUUGAAACAUAAAGAGAGUAUCAUGAAGAAUAUGACUAGAACAUUUAAGUCUAACCCACUUCCUAUGCAUAGGGAUUUUGUGAGCAAACAACUUAUGGGAACAAUAAUCAACUAGCAUAGGAAGGCAAAACAAGCAUAACUUCAAAACUUUAAGCACAUAGAGAGGCUUGUUGGAAUUAUUGCAAUUCCUACAAGCAUAUAUUCCUCCCUCAUAAUAAUUUUCAGUAGCAUCAUGAAUGAAUUCAACAAUAUAACCAGCACCAAAAGCAUUCUUUUCAUGAUCUACUUACAUAAUUUUUUUACUACUCUCCACAUAAGCAAUUUUAUUCUCAUGAAUAGUAGUGGGAGCAAACUCAAUGAAAUAACUAUCAUGUGAUUGGAAAUUAAGAUCAAGAUGACAAGUUUCAUGGUUAUAAUUGUCCUUUAUAGCAUACAUAUCAUCACAAUAAUCAUCAUAGAUAGGAGGCAUGCUUUCAUCAUAGUAAAUUUGCUCAUCAAAACUUGGGGGACAAAAAAUAUCAUCUUCAUCAAACAUAGCUUCCCCAAGCUUGUGGCUUUGCAUAUCAUUAGCAUCAUGGGUAUUCAAAGAAUUCAUACUAACAACAUUGCAAUCAUGCUCAUUCACAUAUUUUAUGCCAAGCAUUCUAUGUAAUUCUUCUUCUAGUACUUGAGCACAAUUUUCCUCCCAUCAUUUUCACGAAAGACAUUAAAAAGAUGAAGCAUAUGACGCAACCUUAAUUCCAUUUUUUGUAGUUUUCUUUUAUAGACUAAACUAGUGAUAAAAAAAGAAACUAAAAGAUUCGAUUGCAAGAUCUAAAGAUAUACCUUCAAGCACUCACCUCCCUAGCAACGGCGCCAGAAAAGAGCUUGAUGUCUACUACGCAACCUUCUUCUUGUAGACGUUGUUGGGCCUCCAAGUGCAGAGGUUUGUAGGACAGUAGCAAAUUUUCCUCAAGUGGAUGACCUAAGGUUUAUCAAUCCGUGGGAGGCGUAGGAUGAAGAUGGUCUCUCUCAACCAACCCUGCAACCAAAUAACAAAGAGUCUCUUGUGUCCCCAACACAUCAAAUACAAUGGUAAAUUGUAUAGGUGCACUAGUUCGGCGAAGACAUGGUGAUACAAGUGCAAUAUUUAUGGUAGAUAUAGGUUUUUGUAAUCUGAAAAUAUAAAAACAGCAAGGUAACUAAUGAUAAAAGUGAGCACAAACAGUAUUGCAAUGCUAGGAAACAAGGCCUUGGGUUCAUACUUUCACUAGUGCAAGUUCUCUCAACAAUAAUAACAUAAUUGGAUCAUAUAACUAUCCCUCAACAUGCAACAAAGAGUCACUCCAAAGUUACUAAUAGCGGAAAACAAACAAAGAGAUUAUGGUAGGGUACGAAACCACCUCAAAGUUAUCUUUUCUGAUCGAUCUAUUCAAGAGUCCGUAGUAAAAUAACAUGAAGCUAUUCUUUCCAAUCGAUCUAUCAUAGAGUUCGUACUAGAAUAACACCUUAAGAUACAAAUCAACCAAAACCCUAAUGUCACCUAGAUACUCCAAUGUCACCUCAAGUAUCCGUGGGUAUGAUUAUACGAUAUGCAUCACACAAUUAGAUUCAUCUAUUCAAACCAACACAAAGUACUUCAAAGAGUGCCCCAAAGUUUCUACCGGAGAGUCAAGACGAAAACGUGUGCCAACCCCUAUGCAUAAGAUCACGAGCGGAACCCGCAAGUUGAUCACCAAAACAUACAUCAAUUGGAUCACGUGAUAUCCCAUUGUCACCACAGAUACGCACAUGCAAGACAUACAUCAAGUGUUCUGAAAUCCUUAAAGACUCAAUCCGAUAAGAUCACUUCAAAGGGAAAACUCAAUCCAUUACAAGAGAGUAGAGGGGGAGAAACAUCAUAAGAUCCAACUAUAAUAGCAAAGCUCGCGGUACAUCAAGAUCGUACCAUCUCAAGAACACGAGAGAGAGAGAGAGAUCGAACACAUAGCUACUGGUACAUACCCUCAGCCCCGAGGGUGAACUACUACCUCCUCGUCAUGGAGAGCGUCGGGAUGAUGAAGAUGGCCACCGAUGAGGGAUCCCCCCUCCGGCGGGGUGCCGAAACAGGGUCCCGAUUGGUUUUUGGUGGCUACAGAGGCUUGCGGCGGUGGAACUCCCGAUCUAUUCUGCUCCCCGAAGUUUUUAGGGUAUACGGAUAUAUAUAUAGGCGAAAGAAGUCGGUCAGGGGAGCCACGAGGAGCCCAUGAGGGUGGGGGGCGCGCCCAGGAGGGCAAGCGCGCCUCCCUACCUCGUGGCCACCUCGUUGCUUCCCUUACGUGCACUCCAAGUCUCUUGGAUUGCUUCUGUUCCAAAAAUAACUCUCCCAAAGGUUUGAUUCCGUUUGGACUCCAUUUGAUAUUCCUUUUCUUCAAAACACUGAAACAAGGGAAAAAACAGAAACUGGCACUGGGCUCUGGGUUAAUAGGUUAGUCCCAAAAAUAAUAUAGAAGUGUAAAAUAAAGCCCAUAACAUCCAAAACAGAUAAUAUAAUAGCAUGGAACAAUAAAAAAUUAUAGAUACGUUGAAGACGUAUCACUGGGUCUCUCCUUCUCAACACAUAUACGAGUCGUUCUACCUCUAUAGUUAGGCCUCUCCCUACCCUCCCCCCACCCCCUCGCAAACACACACACACACACACACACAUCGAUACAUCGAGCGCUCUAGUCAUGUCUCCCUGCCACACACAAACUUGACGUGUGCCCUCUGACGUUCCAGUAGCUAGGUCAGUCGCCCUAUAUCUUUGACUUGCACACACACACAAUUUCGAUGCCUCUCUUCAUCGAUCUGGCACCCACCCACUUGAUCCUCUCUUCGACUCUAUCGAUAUCUAUGACCCCUCCCUCUCUUCUCGUGGAUCGCCCGACCCUCUACAUAUGAUAUGGAUAGGCCUCCAUUUCACACACAUUGCAUGCAAAAUUUUGUUUGAGAUGUCAUCGACACAUAUUCCCACAAAUACAUUCACGAAAUCAACCUCCCCCCAAAACAAAAAACACUCACGAACGCACAAGCCAUUUGUCUAGGUUUGUAUCUCUCACACACACCCACGUAGGUGGGGGACGUGCACGAAGAGAAGAGGUGCAUGCACACGCACGUACUCCCGUCUCUUUCCCAACCACACCCGCGCGGGUACACGGCGGAGCUCAUUUCUGUACGAAAAGGCAGCCCACGUGGUAACUUGACACGUGUACUGGUUGUCCACUAGAUGGACGGAGGAUUGUCUACCACGGGUGAACAAACAAAUUGCGACUUGACGUGUUAUGUUAAAAAAGAGGCAAGCCAUGUGGGGCCUACCUUAGAGGCAAGGCUCUAUACACUGGAGUACUUUUGAUGUGUCCCGUCAACUCGUAGAACGAGGAGAAGCUUGCUUAGUACGCCGUCACCCCCGCCCACAGGUGCGGUGGCUCACAGGAUGAGGUGAUGCUUGCUUACUACGCCUUACGCCCGCUCCCUCGCCCACGCGCGCGGUGGCUCGCAAGACGAGGAGAAAAUUUUACUAGUACUCUCUCCGUUUACUCCUCGUCCCUACCUUGGUUAGAGAGAUUAUCAUAUUGUUUGGAAUAUAUGUCCUUUAGUAGAUUUCAAUAUGAACUACUAGUACAUACUCCAAACACUGAUGUAUAUAGACGUAUUUUAGAGUGUAGAUUCACUCAUUUUGCUCCGUAUGUAGUCCAUAUUGAAACAGACGUAAUAGUACGCACUCUCCCUCGCCCCUCGACCCUCGGCACGUGGUGGACGUGCAGCAAUUCAUUCGGUCUCACAUAGCCAGAACGAUAUAUACUGCAGUACCAUUAUUGCUCGACUUCCCGAAGAGGCGAAGAGCCAAUCGCAAGGUUAAUAGUUUGGAGAUGCCAAGCGCAAGGUUUAUAGGAGAACGAGUAUUAGGUACCGCGUCAUUUAUAAAUAAAGUUUUUUUUCUUCAGUGGCACGUACGCAAUAUAAAUAGGUUCAUAUGGAGAGAAAAGAAAACCGCUCCAUUUUAUACAUAGGCAGGACGAGCCUACACGGUUGCUUGCUGGGGUUGCUCUCUUCAGUUUUCACACUCUCUCGCACAAAACCACCGUGGCCACAUCUCUAACAUCCUGGCGGAUCACGUCCGCCGGGGGAAGGGUUGAUGCUUAGUGUAGAUGCGGUCUCUGUCGCCGACGGCAAAAACCCACUGUCGGCACGUCCCGAUACGGGGUCCCCGCCAUUCUCUCUCACAAAGCCGGUGAGGUUGCCUUUGUCCAUUGCUCACUGCCGACGUGGGUAGUUGCCUCCUCCCGCCACCCUCCUCUAGGUUGAGCUAUGUCCCGACAUCCCUCAGGUACAACUCCCUUUACAGCCGGCUUGCACCACUGCUCCAGCUGCCCACAUCACUCCAUGUGGAUAUUUCUCUACUUCUUUGCCCCGCACAUACCUCUACUGGCUUCUACGUACUGUAUUUGUGAUGAGUUUAUGUCUCAUCAACUAGUCCCAGUAAUCUUAUUUUAAUCAGCUUCUUCAAUUUCUUUGUCACAGGGAUGCUCAUCUCAAUUUUGGUGAAACUGCACAAAAUGAUCCGAUGGUCGAAGGGUUGCAAACUUCAUUUCUUAGGAAGAGCCGACGUUGCCAGCAAAUUAAAGCCUGGUUAGGGUUUAUGGUUCAAGGGCUAGGGACUGCAUGGAUCGUUUUUUUCUUUAGCUGUCUCUAUUUGUAUGGCUAGCGACUGCAUGAGUAGUAGUAGUACUGUACGCCUUACACCCGCUCCCUCGCCCAUGCGCGCUGUGGCUCGCAGGACAAGGAGGAAAUUUUAUACUCCCUUCGUUUACUCCUCGUCCCUACUACCUUGGUUAGAGAGAUUAUCAUAUUGUUUGGAAUAUAUAUGUCCUUUAGCAGAUUUCAAUAUGAACUACUAGUACAUACUCCAAACUGUCGGAUGUGGGGUUCCGGCAAACCCUUAAGGUACGAACUCUGGGGUGCGCGCGAAGUCUUUCCCUCCUACCGAUCCACGCCCUAGCUCACUAAGAUCUCGCGAACGAACUCAACAGAUUCGCAACACAGAAAGACACGAGAUUUAUACUGGUUCGGGCCACCGUUGUGGUGUAAUACCCUACUCCAGUGUGGUAGUGGUGGAUUGCCUCUUGGGCUGAUGAUGAACAAUACAAGGGGAAGAACAACCUCCUGAGGUUGAGGUGUUCUUGUGCUUGGUGAACUGGUGGAUGAGAACCCCUCCCUACUCUGGUGGCUAGCUCUACUUAUAUAGGCCAUGGUCCUCUCCCCAAAUAUUGAGCGGGAAGGGAGCCAACAACGACGGACGAAUUUGAAGGGGGACAACUAGUACAAGCUAUCCUGACAAAAGUGGUCUUUGCCUGCGAAAGGCUCUGGUGGUGACGCCGUCUUGGGCUCCACGAUGACGUCCGUCCUGCUGUCCUUCUGGUCUUGGUCUCGUUGCACCGAUAAGGCAACCUUUGCCUGAUGCCUCGGUACUCCUCGCCUGUGCUCGCCUCCUUAGCACCAAAGAGGAAACAAGGACGCUGCGCGCGCUGGCGCCCGCCUGGUGCCGAUCGUCAUGGAUCACGUCACGAGAGCCUCGUGAGGUUUUCCCCGCCUUGAUGUCUCCGCUCCUCGUGAGCCUGCCUGGCUAGGCCACUCCUGAGGAGGUCUUGCAUCGUCCGCCUCGCGAGGGUCUUGGAUGCCUUGUUGAUGAAGAUGGGCCAUACGGCCCGCUGACUUACCCACGCCGUGGGCCGCAGGCAAGCAAGUCUGGGGACCCCCGUUCCCAGAACGCCGACAGUAGCCCCCAGGCCCAAGGUGCACUCGGGCUUGGCUUCGCGGCGAAGCCAAGAGUCAAGUACGGAGCGCCGCGGGCCCCAAAAGCCUGCGGCCUCGGUUGACGCGUGGCGGUUGAUUGGAUGUGGGCGUCUCCGCUCCCCCACACUGCCUUUGAACCCGCCUGGCUAUGCGGUCCCCGCAUCUCACACAGUUAUUCCUCCACCGCCUACGCCCUGCUUCCCCAAUCUCCCUGCUUCCUCGAGACUCUGCUUCUCUUCUCCAAUCUGACCUGCCCUCUGCCCGCUUCGUUGCCAUGCCGCUGAAACAAGUAGAUAAGGGAAAGAAGCCCUUGUCUCCGCCAAGCGCUCCUCCGGCCGUUGAGCCGGCACUAGGUCGAUCCCGAGUGCUCAAUGACGAGGCCAUGGACAAGGUGCGUCAGAUGCUGGCUUCUAGCUUCAACGAGUGGGGAGAGAUGGUGGCUUGGCCUGCGUCUCGCACUCGCAUUGCUCGGGCAGCCACUGAAGUCCCAAUCUUCAUAGACGCCCUCUGGCUGGCCUGAUUCCUUCCUUCUCCGCCUUCUUCAAUGCGGUUCUCGAGCAUUAUCAGAUCCACAUGUUGCACCUUGACCCUCAAUCUGUGACCCUUCUUGCUGUUUUCGCCUUCUUGUGCGAAGCCAUGGUGGGCAUCGCUCCCUCGGUGGCCCUUCUCCGCCAUUUCUUCUCGUUGCAUCUAGCUGAUCCUUGUCAGAGCUCGUGGUGUGUGAGCUUCCAGGCCGUGGCCGCGAUGGCCGGCGCGGGGAUUGACUUCGAGCUUCCUUCAUCCAUGAGCGAGUUCCGUACACGAUGGGUGUUUGUUGACGCCGGCGUGCUCAGCCCCCUGCUCCAAGUUCCGGCGUGGCCUGCUGUUCCAGACUCCGGCUGGGGCCAUCAAAAGCUCACGAGCCCCCGCCUUGCUCCCGUCUGGGCUAGGUUGAGGAGGUUGAAGGAUCGCGGCAUGACUGCGCCUAUGGUGGUGAAGGAGUUCGUCAAGCAUCGAGUCGCACCACUUCAGCACCAUUCCCACCCAAUGUGGGACUUGCUCAACAGUCAGGACCAUAUGAGGUUUCAGGAGAAGGGGCUUCCUCUUACGACGCGGCAAAUGGUGCUUGCGGUCCUAUCGGGUGUCCCUCUGCCGGACGACAUGCCCAGGAAUAGCUGCCUGCUGUACCGCUGUGAGAACAAAGCCGCAUUUUCCACGAGCAUGCCUUCCUUUGAUGAGUGGGGGCUGCGCCCAAUCGGCCUGGUGGGCUCCUGCGAGAACCCCAUCGACGUGGUUCCCUUCCUCGCCGCCGGUGCCGAGCUCGCCCCAAGUGAGGGUGCAGGAGGGCGAGCUCCGACGGGGGCCGGUGGCUCGAGUGCUGCAGAGCACAUGCUGAGUGGUGAUCUCGGGGCGUCAUCCUCGGGAGCUUGCGACCCCUCUCCUGAGGCGUUGGUCACUAAGGAGACGCGGCAUGCGGCUCCCGAGGCCAAGGCUCCAGGAGCCUCGGGAGGUUGUGGUGAGACGGUGCUUGGCUGUUCGCCGCAGCCGGGCACCCCUGAAGCUGUCCUUCCCAGCUCUUCUUCGGCCCCGCUGCGCACCGGCCGUCACGUCCAGUGCUUCGGUCGUCUUUGUGUGGACUUCGAGGAGCUCCGUAAGAGGAAAGGAUCCCCUAGCGGCAGCAGUAUCUUUGAGCCGUUGAAGCGACGAAAGUACAUCGUCAUCGACAUGUAAGUAUCUUAUUGUCAUGGCUUCUUGCGUGCAGUCUUCUUAUCCUGACGUCAGUCCUUCAGGGCUCCUUCCGCUGAAGCUGCUGCGUCUCCUGAGAAGCGUCCUCCCCCUUCCUCGACUCCCCCAUCGACCUCAAGCGUUCCUGGUCCACUUGCCGCCCCUGGAGCAGGGUCGGUUGAGGGAGCGUUUAUGCCUUCGUGGCGCGCUGAGCCUGCGGCUUUGUCACCCCUCCCCAAUGGUCUGGUGUGGAGCUUGGCGGGCAUGCCCGAGACCCCUCCUUUGGUCAUGGACAGUAGUUGGUUGGCUUCGGUCUUCGAUUCCUCUUCAAGCAGCGGGCCCCGAUUGGCUUGGGCUCCUCGCGAGGACUGGAUGACGUCAGGUGCAGCGCCAGCCCUCAGGCCCCUGCCGAGAGGUAGUGCGCCUCUUGGUGCCCCACUCGCAGCCCCGAGGUGGAGGACGAGGUGGACCGGGCGUUCGAGCUUGAGCGCGGGCGGAGCAUAGUUUGUCACAAGCUCUUCUAGGAGGCAAUGGGUGCAAUGAACCGACUUGGUGAAGAGCUCGCAGGGGUCGACUCGCGCCUUGAGGCCGAAGGUCUCCGGUUGGCGGAGGAAUGGCGCAAGCUGAGGGUGGCUACCAACCUCGGCCGCUACCAGCGUGAUCUUGACAAUGCGAAGGCUGAGGCGUCCCUCAAGGUUUCCCGCGAGGCUUGCUCCCGGGCCUUGGAGGAGGCUCAUGAGGCCGACCGCCGUCGCGAGGCCGCGGAGAAGCGCGCGUGGGAGCUCCACACCUGGAGCGCAUCCCUAGAGCAGCAGGUGGAGGCGCGCAGAGCCGCCCUUGCGUCGCUGGGGGGGACACCUGCCGAGGAGGAAGAGGUCCGGAAGCGCGAGGAGGCGUUGGCGCUGGCGGCCGUGGAGCGCAGCCUCGAGCUUGAACAAUUGGAGACGAGGGAGCGUCAAGUUACCCAAGCAGAAGAUGUCGUCGGGGUUCGCGAGGCGAGGGUCCAGGAGGAGGUGGACCGCCGGGUGGCUGAGGUUCACGCAAAACUGGAGGGAAGGUAUGACUUGAAGUUGAAGCUCGGAGGUACGGAGGGUGCGGCCAGGGCUGUUUCCCUCAGGCCCAGGUUGGACGAGGCUGAGAGGCGUGCGGAGGCCACGACUGCCGCCCUGGUCAUGGCACAUGCGGACUUGGCCUCCGCCCGCGCCGAGCUGCUUUCUCUUCGGGAGCAGGUCGAUGACGCCGACGCCAUCGCACGGCAAAACAGGGAGGAGGUGCUCCAACGUCGGACGCUGGAGCGCGAGCACGCUCCUAUGCUUCAGGAUCUCCGGAACAGGGCCAAUACCGCACUGGGCUACAUCUGCGACGAGAAUGCUCUUGCCCCCCACUCGAAUGACUAUGCCAGCCACCUGACCUUCUUCACCGACGUGGUGACGCGCCUGGAAACCCGGUCUGACAGGGCUCGCCGGCUCGUGGAGGAGAGAAGUCGGGGCCUGCUCAGGCGCGCGUUCUCCCGUGUCUUCAGCCACCUCAGGAACACCUUCCCCGACUUCGAUGCCGCCAUUGCCCCCGUACCGCAGGCCGUCCGGGGCGAUCUAGCGCGGUGGGUGGAGGACAACGUGGACGCGCUGGUCAGAGCCUUUGCCUCUAACGACGACGCGGUGGUGGUCGCCGUAGACGAAGGCGACGUGGUUGAUGACGGCGACGGUGGCGUCGCCGAAGGCGGCGAUGGUGCCGGCGAAGACGACGACGACGCGAGUGACGCGUGCGAGGGCGAUGUAGCGAGUGACAUAUCUGGUUGAUCUCAUGUCCCCCUGUCAUUUUACCCUAUACCUAAAAACUCGGGCGUGGCCCUUGGAAAACUUGUAAGAGCAUUUUGAGAGGGGAAGCCCCUCAUGUAACCAGGUUGCAGCCAUUACUUUCCUAUGCGGUACUGAAUCUGUGCCUUCAUGGACUCAUGAGUCCGAGGGCGAGUUCCCCGCCGUGGUUUACCUUAGUCAGCGCCAGCCUUGAGUUGGGUAAUGAGGCUACGAGUUUCUAAGAAUCCUGCGGAGCUUGUUGACCUGUCAGAAGGGGGCCCCGCAAGAGGCAAGCGCCAGCUGCAGCGUUAGCGCGCGCUCGGCGCGCGUGUGCUUCGCGCAGUCCCGCUCGCGAGGGGCUGAUGAGGGGAAGGCGACGGACAUGAGUCCCAGACUAAACGAAAUCUAGAAAGCAAGAAACUGCUCAAACGAGAAGAGGCACCCCCCGCGCGCAUCGACAAAAACUCGGCUUCAACUUAAAUCCAGAUCCAGAAAGCAAAGCUACAGAAAGAGAGAUCCAAAGCAAAUGGCCGCGUCCGGCACCUAGUCUAGUCUUCUGGUCUUCAAGUCUUCUCACCAGCACGGAGCUAAGUGCUGCCACUAGGCGUGGGAGGGAGCCCCAGGGCCUGAGGCCGGCACCCCUGAGAUUCCGGGGCGUGUACAACCCCAACUCAUUAUUACGUGCGAGUGUCACGGGCGGCGAGCUUCACAGGCACUGGGCCUUCUUCAUAGGUACCGUCCUUGCUUCAUAUCGCCAGACGAGGGCCCCGCCUUGCGCCACCCUCGACCACCUUUGAGUCGACCGGCAACCUGGAUGACACAAAGGGGGGAAAGGGGACGCCAGCGGUGCCCUCGGCGACCACAGGUCCUCUGCCCGGGGAAGGGUCGUCGAAGCCUCCCCGACAGAGGGCCUACCUCCGGGUGUCCCCUGGCUUCGCGCGCCGUGGGGAGGGGCCUGGCUCCCGGCCCCUCUCCUGCAGCCCCCAACACGAUCCCCCUGGCGUCAGGGAGGCCGCCGAGCUAGGGCCACCGGCCGUUGUGGUGAUCUGUUCCUCCUGCGACUCAUGGUUAGCGUAAGCUUGCUCCUGAGGGAUUAGGGGUACCCUGUAGUGGUCGUUGCACACGCGGUCGUGGUGGUUCCCCGGCGGCUCCUGGAAGGCUUCGGCUCCUAGCGCCCCUUCUUCCCAAUCUUCUCCAUGAACGAGCCGGGGCCGUCCUCCCGUGUGUACUCCUGGUCCAUUAUGCGGGGCACGUAGGCUUCCCGGGCUGUUACCCCGAACACCUCGCCGUAGUGCCCCACACUCCAUGUUGCCCGGCCCAGCGUGGUGUCCUGAGGAUAGUAGCGCGACAUCUCGCCGGGACCAUGGGGGGCGACACUUGUGCCCGUGCUUGUCGCGGGCGGUAUGGGGGCGGCGGAGCCCUCGGCAUCGCCGGCCGCGCUGGUGUUGACGAAGCCCCCAUGCAUGCCCGACGGCGCGUGGUUGCGGUGAGGCCCGCCAUGAGGCCCCAUAACGGCCUAAGAAGGGAGCCGAUAGCAGAAAGGCGGCGCUCCCGAGGCCGCCGCGUCCAGCAGCUCGGCAACGCGUUCCAGCAGCGCGUCCCGGCCGCUCUCCAUCAGCCGGCACCGCAACAGCUCCCUUGCCAUGGUGAGUGCUACCCGCAUGUUUGCCUGCUCUCCCCGCGAGUGCGGCGCCGUUGCCGCGGCGUGGCUUGCUGCCCUUGCAGCGGCUCGUACCUGUCGUGGAGUGAGAGUGGACGACGCCUGGCCACGCCGCUCGCGCCCCGCAGCGUUGGACAGCGCCCGCGCCGCCUGGAGCGCGGGGUCGAGGUCUUCAUGAGCAGGCAUCGUCGCCCAGGCCGGCCAGGCUGCCCAGCGGUCGGAGUCAGCUCUUGGGUCGCCGGACAUCUUGACCGUGGAGCGUUGGCAAGUCGAUUGUCGAGGAAGAAGCUCCGGCGCACCCCUACCUGGCGCGCCAAAUGUUGGAUGUGGGGUUCCAGCAAACCCUUAAGGUUCAAACUCUGGGGUGCGCGCGAAGUCUUUCCCUCCUACCAAUCCAUGCCCUAGCUCACUAAGAUCUCGCGGACGAACUCGACGGAUUCGCAACACAGAAAGACACAAGAUUUAUACUGGUUCGGGCCACCGUUGUGGUGUAAUACCCUACUCCAGUGUGGUGGUGGUGGAUUGCCUGUUGGGCUGAUGAUGAACAAUACAAGGGGAAGAACAACCUCCUGAGGUUGAGGUGUUCUUGUGCUCGGUGAACUGGCGGAUGAGAACCCCUCCCUACUGUGGUGGCUAGCUCUACUUAUAUAGGCCCUGGUCCUCUCCCCAAAUAUUGAGCGGGAAGGGAGCCAACAACGGCUGGCGAAUUUGAAGGGGGACAACUAGUACAAGCUAUCCUGACAAAAGUGGUCUUUGCCUGCGAAAGGCUCUGGUGGUGACGCCGUCUUGGGCUCCACGAUGACCUCCGUCCUGCCGUCCUUCUGGUCUUGGUCUCGUUGCACCGAUAUGGCAACCUUUGCCCGAUGCCUCGGCACUCCUCGCCUAUGCUCGCCUCCUUAGCACCAAAGAGGAAACAAGGAUGCUGCGCGCGCUGGCGCCCGCCUGGUGCCGAUCGUCAUGGCUCACGUCAUGAGAGCCUCGUGAGGUUUGCGCCACCUUGAUGUCUCCGCUCCUCGUGAGCCUGCCUGGCUAGGCCUCUACCGAGGAGGUGUUGCGUCGUCCGCCUCGCGAGGCUUGGCCCCUCGCGAGGGUCUUGGAUGCCUUGUUGAUGAAGAUGGGCCGUACGGCCCGCUGACUUAGCCACGCCGUGGUCCGCAGGCAGGCAAGUCUGGGGACCCCCGUUCCCAAAACGCCGACAAAAACACUGAUGUAUAUAGACAUAUUUUAGAGUGUAGAUUCACUCUUUUUGCUCUGUAUGUAGCAUAAAGUUGAGACACUUAUUUUCGAACGGAGGGAGUACAUAUUUGCUAUGAUCUGUCAAUCAUUGAGAUGCAGUAGCAUGCAUGUUAGUCUCCUUUGUAUUUGAUGAAAUGUUGCAACGGGCAACCUUGGAUGCAGGAUACAUGUAACAGAAGCUGGAAGCUUCAUAGCAUUGUACUAUCUCGCUGAUAAAUUACAGUACGUACUAUACAAGUACUUCCUCUGUUCCUAAAUAUAAGUCUUUGUAGAGAUUUCACCAUGAACCACAUACGGAUGUAUAUAGAUGCAUUUUAAGUGUAGAUUCAUUCAUUUUGUUCCGUAUGUAGUCCACCUAGUGGAAUCUCUACAAAGACUUACAUUUAGGAACGGAGGGAGUACUAUGUAAAGAGUUAGGUGUCGCACGGUGUCCAGAAAAUAUGGUGAUAGUGUGAGGUGGGCCAUGUAAUCACUGAGCCUGCGUGUUUUCACUGCUCUUGCACUCCUCCACCGUAAGAAUGGAGAAAAUUGUAAUCUAGUAGUACCUCCUUUCACCGAGAGCGUGGGACAUCCAGUAGUCCUACCACCUCAGUAAUAAAGACCAAUGAGCCAUCAAAUCACAUAGACCCAGCAGUAAGUUCGACGGACGAAGCAACCAUCACUCUUGAAUCCGCUUCUCCCUUCAACGCAGGCGCCAGUGAGAGGUCGCGUCCGCUCGGCCCGGGCAUGAAUGCGGCACCAAUUCUUUGGAGCGGCACUGACCGUUUCGGGCGGGAAGCGCGCGCGGGCGAUGGAGGGGCUUUGGGUGGGCCAGGCUGGUCAGGAGCGGGAGCCGCCCUCUUCUUCAUAUCUUGCUUGAUAUUGGUUUCAUAAUGAAAAGAGGAAGGAGUGUCGAAGCGAUGUCGCUUCUCUGCUCUCAGCUCUUUGCUCGAGAUGAUGUGAUCUGAUCGAUCAGUCUAGAAUCUGUAACCGAAAAGAGAUUUCCUUAUCAGCAAGCCAGCUUUCAUUCCUACUUUUGAUGAAAGAAAGGUCAGUUGCUGCCGACAAGUCGACUAAAUUUCAUGGGCGUGGCAGUUGUCCGCCCAUCCCUACCGGACGCGCAGAAACGAGAGGAUGCACCGAUUCUCGUGGGUAAAAUCAUACACUACACACCAUCUCUCUAUAGGAGUAGGUCGAUCUGUCACUCUCUCUAACACACACAUGUUGUUAAACACACACACGCACACGCACACGCACACACAUGUUCAUAGAAUAGGAAAAUCGUGCGAGUGUGAAGCCACAUGAAGUGAGAUACAAAUGGAGUACGUACAAGAAGAGAAGAGGCAUCUCAUAGUUGUUUGGAUUAAUUGUUGCGUUGAGACAGAAAUCAGGGCUUUGAUUGGAGGAAUGACCGGUCAAGUUUCUCCUUCUCCUCCAAUCUGCUUGCACCUUGGUCCCGCUGCACCUUCUAACGUGACUUAUUACACCUAGACGGAGGGAGUCGUACGAGAUACGGUGGCACACUGACUUAGGUCGAAUACAAGUGCCCAAAAUUGUGUGCAUGUUAUAAUAAGGAUUCACUUAAAACAGUACGUGAGCGAACAGAGGGAUCAAUUGGACAGUGUUCCCGAGCAGUAGCGAGAUGUGUGAGGUAAGAUACACCGCUGGCGCUUUUAUUUUUUCUUAUUAAUUUGUUUGUUUCACCCUCUGACUGGUGGGACCCAACGUACUACGUGGAGUGAGGUAAGGUGACUAAGGCUGCAUUAUUUCUGCACCACUGUGGAUAGUCUUACCACCAAAGCCACAUGACACGAUUAUGAUUUAAAUACCAAUGACUCCCACACACAAAAAACACGACAUGCUUGUCACACGAAUGGAGGAAUGUAUAAAAGGUUAUUUUCCUCUCGUUGAACAUAACGGGAGGGUUGUGUAGCUGGUUAGCCUAUUCGCUCAUCAAACUUGAGCUCUCGGGUUCGAUAACUACACUUGAGAAUAAUUCAUGCCAGGAGGAUUCUUUGACUGGUCAAAAUGGAUGGAUACGGAGCUAUACGAUCUCGUAGUGACCGUAUAAUCACCUCAUCACGUAUAAGCUGCAGCCUUGGCGCUUGUUUUCUAGGGUUUGCACUCUUCACACUCUCUCCAGUAUAUAUAUACACGCUGGAGCCUCAGCGCUUGUAGUUGCUCUCUUCACACUCUCUCACCCUCUCCAGAUCUAAACAAGACUUCGUUGGCCUCUCUCUCUCCCCUCACUGCUGGUCUGCUUGUAGUUGCUCUCUUCACACUCUCUCACCCUCUCCAGAUCUAAACAAGACUUCGCUGGCCUCUCUCUCUCCCUCACUGCUGGUCAAAGAGCCGGCAGGAUCUGUCCGCCGGGAAGGGAAGGAGGCUUAACGCUGUCGCCCUCGGCGAGGGAGGGAAUCCACUACCGGCGCAGCUGUUCACUUUCACCCAGCGGCGGCGCGGGAGGGCCUCCGACCCCUUCUUCUUCGCCGCCGUACAUAGUGUGGGUCGAACGGCCUCCGGUCGCCCACCGAACCACACCCCAAGAACCUUAAGGUAUAAUUUACUUAUUCCACAUGCAUUGCUCUAGCUGCAUGUGGGCUUUUUCCGCUUCUGCACUCAAAUCUAGGUGUUGGAUCAAACAGGAAAGUAGUGGGGAAAGUUGUAUACCAUGAAUCUAGGACAUGGUUCAAAGAGGAAAGGAAUGUGGGAAAGUAGUGGGAAAAGUUGUAUAGCAUGAAUCUAGGACGUGGUUCAAAAAGGAAAGGAAGGGGGAAAGUAGUGGGGAAAGUUGUAUCACAUGAAUCUAAGACGUGGUUCAAAGAGGACAGGAAUGGGGGAAAGUAGUGGGGAAAGUUGUAUAGCAUAAAUCUAGGACGUGGUUCACAGAGGAAAUGAAGUGGGGAAAGUACUAGUACAGACUGGCUGUCCAGCACCUACGUUGGUCGAAAAGGGAAAACAAUGACAAAUGCAGUACACACAUCUGUACAAACUGAUCUUUUGUUUUAGGGGACAAGGCUGUAGAGUUUGAGAAGGACUAGAUUUGCUGCACUCACAUAGGGAAAGGUGUCUAAAGAUAACAAAACAGGGACCAACACAAAUAUGCUCCUUGGUUGCUUGUUCUUUGUUGCAACAGACUAUGCAUCACCCCAGUACAUCGGUAGAUGCACAUGGUGCUGGUGCGUCCACUGUCCCGUGCAACUCUUUAGCUGUUGUUAAUCUAAGGCCCUGUUUGGUUAAAAACUCCCUAGUCCCUACCUGCUUGGUUCCAGGGACUAAACAUGGACCAGAAGUUAUUAAAUGACAUGCUAAAAGACCAUGUUACCCCUGGUAGUGAACUAAUAGAGACAAGGUGCGAUGCGUGGCAGGGGUAACUGUUGGAAAAAGUCCCAAAAAGACUCUCCCUCGGGGUCUUCUUUCUUUAGUCCCAAAUGCCCACUUUUAGUCCCUAAAAGUCCCUCCUGUUUGGUUUAGAUGGGACUGACACGGAGUUUUUUUAGUCCCUCCACCAAAAUGUCCCUGUAAACAAACUGUGACACCCAAGUUUUUAUUUGGAUUUUUCAAAAGAUUUUUUUUCAUUUGACUUGAGGGGAGUGAUUUAAAAUUUUCCUUUAAGAGAAGUCUCCCUCUCAAAUAUUUUUUUUAUGGCAAAAGUUUUAUUUGGAUUCACCCAAGAUCUGUCUUUGGUCUUGGAGGUUCUUGCUUUUCAUUUGGACUCAAGACCAAAUGUUUUUCUUUUGGGGAAAACAACUUUUAAAAAUCUUUUUGGAAAUGCACUAUGGCUUUUGGAAAACUCCUUUGCCACUUUCAACAAUUCCUUCUUGCCAUGGCCUUAGUGCAAAUCCUCUCUCCUAACCCUUCCCUCACCUUGUAUCAUGAUCUGCAUCAAAUCCAACAAGUUGGACCUCCCCAUGUGAUCAUUUCCAUUUGAAUCUUAUUUAAACAAAUUUCUGUCUUCUAUCCUACUACUUGGAGGUUUACAAAGAAACUCCAUUUUCUGUUUUGAUUUUUGCCCCCAUACCAACUCUCCUCCCUAGUCCUUUGAGCCCUCAACCAAGAUCCAUGAAGAUCCACUGGUCUUCAGUUCAAAAUUUUCAAACUACACUUGCUGCAAGUUUGGACCAGAUUUGUCAAAUUUGGUGAAAUUCAUUCAAAACCUUCUCCAAAAAUUCCAAGUAACAUCAGGCAGCCUCUGGGUGCAUUGAGUGGUCAUCUCACCAAGUUACAGCUCCAGAAAAAUUCAUCUCAUUGCAAAAUCUCUCUGUCGAACACCUGCAGUGCAUGGUCAUGUCAUGUUCAAAAAGUUCAGAGAUUCAGUCAGUGGCCUGCUUUCGUUUUCUUCAGAGAAGGACGUCGAUCUCGCCAGUGCCUCUACGUCGCCUUGCUCCUCGUCCCCUCCCCCUUGUUCCUGCACCGCACGAACGCCUGGCGCCUUGCGGGCGUCGGCGACGAGCAGCAGAAGGUGCGCCGCCCCGUGACCGACGCCGGCGGCGGCUUUGCGGGCGCCAGCGGGAGACACGGCGCCGACGACGCCACCCAGCGCCGCCCAAACCACCGGAGCCCGCCGCGUGGCCUUCCACUCCCCCGAAUACGCUGCCACUCUCGUCGUGAACCGCAGGGCGCGGAGCGCGCUCUCUGCCGCCGUUGAGCCCGUGCGGUCACCUCACCGUGGACCGACGCCAUUACGCGAAGACCGUCUCCGUUUAGCUGUGAAACGACUCCGGUAACCUCCACUGAUGCUGCCUGGCCGCUCAAACCACCUGCCAAUCCACUGCUCUGCCGUAAUCGCUCGCCGGAGAUUCUCCUUCACGGCCACCCCGUCGAUCUGCCUAUAAAUAGAGGCCCAGAGCUUCGACUCGAGCACCCACCAUCCCUACACUCCCCCUAGAGCACGCCUAGCCACUGGAAGGGCCCCGAGGAGGUCUCCUUCCUCGACUCCGGCCGCCGCGACCCGCCACGGGAUCCAGCCCGAUUCGCCCCCGUGUGUGCUCCUCCGCCUCCAUUCUCUUACCAGUAGCUUCACCAUGCAUCCCUCUUUCUGACCCGCACUUCAAUUUGAAGCUUGCAGCCCUCCACCGGAGUUCCCCAUCCUCACCCGAGCCACCGUCCGCCGGAGAAAGUGUCGCCGUUGACGUGGUACUCCCCGUUGGACGAGUCCACCACCCACCGACGCGGAAGAAGACGCUGAAGCUCUUGGUACCCUCCGUUUCUCCUAACUCGCCGUGGUUCGACGCCGGCGUCCACCGCAGUCUUCGGGCGCCGGCGAGCUUUUCAAACCUGACAUGUGGACCCCGCGUGUCAGCCUCUAUUUUAUUCCACCUUGAACCGUUUUCUGUUGAAGCCUUUGGGCAAAUACGUUUUCUCCUUUGCGCUUGCGCAUUCCCAAUCGAACCGUUUUCUGUUUUCUCAUUUAAAACCCUGGAACUUUUCUGUUUCAUUACAGAUAAGUCCCUGGACAGAAACCUUUAUAACUUUUUAAUAAAAAGGAAUUUUUGAGUGAUUCUUUUUCUGAAAAUCUUCAAAUUUUGUCUAGUUUUUUAUGGGAUUUAUUUGAAAAAUAUUUGGAAAAGUUUCUGUGCACCCAUUGGUUUUCACGUUAGUACCCGUUUCGUGAUUGCCGUAGGUUCCGGAAGAGGUGACGGAGCCGCGAACUUCGCCGAGCUAGACUCCGACUUCUCCGAACCAGGCAAGCAUGUUUUGAACAUUUGAUAUGACAGAUGUUUUACAUGUUCACUUGAGAGUUUGUGCGUGGCAUAUGAGUGUCGGUACAUACCUCGUUGCUUGUAAGGCAACGACCCGGUUGUUCCAAAGUCGCGAUGAUCUCUGAUGAGAGAUGGCCUAAUCAUGUGGUGACAUGAAGGGCAGCAAGGUGGUACUGUUGUAGCAUACCAGCCUUGCGUCAUCCGACUUUCUCCGACGUUAACGUGGUUGGAGCUUCGUUAUCGUUCUUUUCCCGCAUGUUCCAAAGUUGCGAUGAUCUCUGAUGAGAGAUGGCCUAACCAUGUGGUGACAUGAAGGGCAGCAAGGUGGUACUGUUGUAGCAUACCAGCCUUGCGUCAUCCGACUUUUCCGACGUUAACGUGGUUGGAGCCGUGUUACCGUUCUUUCCCCUUCCAUGCUACCACAUGUCUCAUUGCCAGGAUGCGGUUUAGUACGUUGGUAACCUCUUUCCGUGUACACACCAAACAGAGAGGCCGGCAUGAUGGUACCUUGGCCCAGGAUUAAAGCCAGUCAUCCGGUCAGGGGGCAUGGGUGUUUCCGGUUGGGACCGAGAAGGGGGGCACCCCCUUAGAGCGCGCGUAUAAAAAUUUGAUCCCAUGCUACGCGAGGUUGUAGCCUCCCCGUCUCAAGGUUUUUCUUGAACGUCGCCGAGGGUGAUCCCUGGCUUCGGAUGGUUGAAUUGGGUGUGUACUGGUUAGACGUGUUUCUUCCAAAACACCGUAGACGGAACUAGUCCCCGUGACUACUGAAAUCCGUUGGCUGUGGUUAAGUACAAACUCUGCAGAGUCAAUUCUUUCCAAAUCAUCGUAUCCAUGACCAAGUAAUGAAAACAUUAUAUCCAUAUCUAUCCGUGUGAAAAACUUGUCCCCGGUGAACAAGCUCAGUGGUAAAUCCAGUUUUAUUGUUACUCCUGUGGAUGGACUAACUUUAUAUUCGUCGCAUGCUUGUGAUAAUUUAUGUUUCCGAACGAUUGUAUUAUUGAGCUGUGAUAUAAGCCCUUUAUGUGACGUCGCGCAGACGUCCGACUGUGGCGUGUACGUGUUUCUUACUUUAUAUAUAUAAGCCCUUUAUGUGAUGUCGCACAGACGUCCGACUGUGGCAUGCACUGUCUUUAUUUUCUGUUGCAAGCCCUUUAUGUGGUGUCGCCUCGACGCCCGACUGUGGCAUUAUUAUUCUGCAUUUUCCGCUCGAGGAGUCUUUCAGACACUCGCUUGGCACCAGCAUCAUUAUUCCGCAUUUUCCGCUCGAGGAGUCUUUCAGACACUCGCUUGGCACCUGUAUUAUUAUUCCGCAUUUUCCGCUCGAGGAGUCUUUCAGACACUCGUUUGGCACCAGUAUUACUAUUCUGCAGUUUCCGCUCGAGGCGUCAUUCAGACCCUCGCUUGGCACCCAUUAUUUAUUAUCUCUAUGUCUGAUCGCACUGGUUAACUUGUUCAUAUGUUUCAUGUUUGCAUUCGUUAUACCUGUGUCCGAACUGUCUUGCGAGUACUUUCAUAGUACUCACCUGGCUUGUUGAUUUGGCCAGAUGUUGACGAAGGCGAUCUCUUGGAUGAAGAGUUUGAUAGUGCGUCCGAUGCCUAGAGGAGUCCCAGUCCGUCCCGCGCGAUCCCGGAUAUUGGUCACUUGUGUUGUAUACGCUUCCGCCACCCGCAAUAAGUCUUCUCGAGCCUCACUCCGACACUCGAUGAGUUGUAGUCUUCUGGAAUCAUAUCACUCGCUUCGCGAUGAUAUUUCCACCACCGUUAUUAUCGUGAGUUAGUAGUUGCCACCCUAUCCGCCGUAUUGUUUUAGCGGCAUGCAUGUAAUAAAUUGUUGGGCAAUCUCUGCUCAACCUUGUAUUAUAUUUAGUACUCCUGGUAUUUUUCUUCUGUGACCAAGAUAUUGUCUACCAGUGAGAAGGAAUUCUUCCUCGCUGGUCCGUAAAAGGGAUUGGUCUCUCAAUAAUUACUUUAUUGAAAAACCGGUCGCGACAAGCUUGGUAUCAGAGCCAGGCUGACUGUAGGAAGCCACUAGGUGCGAGCGCUAAUCGGUUAUUAGCGUUUUUGUGAUUUUUCAGCAUUUUUGCAAUUGUAGCUAUUUUCUGUUGGUCAUCAUAAAUUUAUGACAUGACUACUCAGAAUUUUUGCCUACUUUUGUAGAUGGCUGGUAGCAGCUGUGAGAAUCGAGUGUUCACCAACGUGCCCGAGGGGUUUGUCAAGCUCCUCGUCUCCAUCACCAAGCUCGCGAUCGGGCCAGCAACUCGCCCGGAGUUCACACUCUAUCAGCACAAGCUCAGUGACGACGUGUCUAUGCACCAAGCUGUGUUGCAGUUCAAGGGAGGACGUUCUGCUGCACGCCACUUCCGUUUUGUGGGAAGGGCCAUGCCUACGGAGAGGCAUGCCAUGCAGAUGGCUGCCCGUGAGGCGAUAGCUCGCCUUCGGGACAUCCUUCCUACGAUGAAGACUCGUCGCUACCGCUACCUCCCAUGCCAUGUGCCAUACACCAGCCACUAUGCGUUCGCCUGCCAUCGGGGAGAACGAGAUGAAGCCAUCGAGAUGGUUGUGGAGUAUCUCAAGGCUCUGGAGGAGUCUUUCGACAACCUCGUAGAUGAUCUUGUGGCUGCCCGCAUGGACUUAGUCCGGGGCGGUCCUGCCAGCAGGAAGGAGCUUCUCCACACGGCGCCGCCUCUGACAUUCGUCUCGUCUUCAGCCCCGUAUGCACCGGCCGUUUUGGCCACUGCUCGCCGUCUGCCUACCACUGAGGAGUUCGACCGAGUCAUCGCUCCUACUCCAGUCAGAGCCGCACCGCCUGCCGCACGCGCUCUACCACCAGUCGCCCCCGCACCAUCACCGCAGCGCAGCGUCACGCGCCAGGAGCCAGCUAGAGAGGAGGAGGUUGACUCUCCUGGACCGCUGAGCCUUGCCAUCGGCAAGGGGAAGGAGAUCUUCACCAUCUCCGACGGAGAGCACCGAGUAGCCGCGUGUUAUGCCUGCUUGUAUGAUGUGUUGUUUUAUCUGUACGCUAGUUUGUAUUGGUGUGUUUGCUGCCUUCCGGAGUAGUACGCUAGUUUUUAAUAACAUGUCAGGAUUGUGUACGCGCAUCCUGAGUGCUGUAUCUUGUGUUUGCUUUUCGCAUGUAAGAUUUAUGUUAAGCACUUCUUAUCCAUGAAAAAUCAUUUGUGUUUCUUUGAAAACCUUGAAGCCUUUUGAUUAUUGCCUUUGCGAGAUUUUUUUUGUGCUACACAAUUUUUCUCAUGGGUUUUGCAAAUAAUACCCCAGAAUGGAAAAAUGUCUCGCCCGUGGACUCGCUCCAUGCCCAAUCAGCCAGAAGAGGUUUACGGGGCACAGACCAGCAACAAUUUCACUCAGGGUCAGUCCAGCCAACAAGACAGCGAAGCAGCACUGUCACAAGUAUGCCGUCUCUUCGAGCAAAGCCAGCAACAGCACCAAGAGAUGAUGAAUCAUGUCAUCAAUAUGGGAAACCACCGUGAACCCUAUCAACCACAUUCCAAGUUAUCCGAGUUACAGAAGACUCGCCCCUCAACUUUUGCUCACACCGAUAGACUGCUGGAAGCCAAUGAUUGGCUUCGUGAGAUUGAAAGGAAACUGAUUAUUGCUUAGUGCUCAGAUCAUGAGAAGGUGCUCUAUGCACCACACUACCUUACUGGAGCAGCCGCAGCAUGGUGGGAAAACUUCCUACACAUGCAUCCCAGGGAACACAACAUCACCUGGGAAGAAUUCAAGGAAGGCUUCCGUGGGGCACACAUCCCCAGGAGCAUCCUAAAGAUCAAGAAGAGAGAGUUUGAUGACCUGAAGCAAAGAGGCAUGUCAGUGACAGAGUACAAUGGUCAGUUCACUCAGCUGUCUCGUUAUGCCUACGACGAGCACAUGACAGAAAGCAAGAAGAUGGAAAAAUUCCUGGACGGCCUGGCACCAGCGUUAAGAUGCCAACUGAUCGUACACACCUUUCCGGAUUUUAAGACACUGGUGGACAAGGCCAUCACCCUGGAGAAUGAGCGCCGUAGUCUGGAAGAUAUCCGUAAGCGGAAGAGGGACAAGACGACUCUUGCCCGCAGCAACCGAGGCAAGACUGAGGUCCCAAGGACAGACACAAGGAGAUCCACGACUACUGAGCCAAGGCCCGUCGGACAAUUUCAUGCCAGGGACAAGGAGUUCACAUACCGUCCAGGGGUCACCUGCUAUGCUUGUGGUCAACAAGGGCAUUAUGCUAAACAGUGCCCGAAGCCAAGAGACUCGGCACCCAAGCCGAACAAUGGUGGAAACAAUCCAGCCCCCAAGCGCAACAACUUCAACCCCAGCAACAACCACAGGAAGGGUCACCUGAACCAUGUGACCAGGGAAGAAGCGCAGAAUGCCCCAGACAUCGUGCUCGGUACGUUCCCUGUCAACACAGUACCUGCCACGGUUUUGUUUGAUUUUGGAGCUUCCCAUUCGUUCGUUUCGAAGAGUUUUGUUUCGCAACAUGGUUUUCCGAUACUUCCCUUGGAAAAAUCUAUGAUCAUCAAGUCCCCCGGAAAUAAGCAAAUCGCUCAGGGUUACUGCCAAGGAGUGGUCAUUGAGUUCGAAGGACUACAAUUCCACGCGAAUCUCAUCGUGUUGGAAAGUAAAGGACUGGAUGUCAUUUUAGGGAUGGACUGGUUGACCACCAACAAAGGAUUCAUCGACUGUUUCAAUCGGACAGUGAUUCUCACUCACCAUCACGGAAAGACGAUAAGGGUUUCCGCCCAAGAAAGGCCACGAUCACAGCAACCAAAACUGAACAAAAUGGACAUUGCAGAACUGAGAAAAGUUCCAGUGGUAUGCGAGUUUCCUGAUGUGUUCCCUGAAGAACUACCAGGCAUGCCACCAGACCGAGAGAUAGAAUUCAGCAUUGAACUAGCACCUGGCACCGCUCCCAUCUAUAAGAAGCCGUAUAGGAUGGCACCCUCAGAAUUGGUGGAGUUGAAGAAGCAGAUAAAGGAGUUGUUGGACAAAGGAUUUAUUCGAGCCAGCUCCUCACCAUGGGGUUCGCCAGUGUUGUUCGCCAAGAAGAAGGAUGGGACAUUGAGACUGUGUAUAGACUAUCGAGCCCUCAAUAUGGUCACCAUCAAAAACAAAUAUCCGAUGCCACGGAUAAAUGAUUUGUUUGACCAUCUCGCACAAGCCAAGGUAUUUUCAAAGAUUGAUUUGAGAUCGGGAUACCAUCAACUGAAGGUACGGACAGAAGAUAUCCCCAAGACAGCAUUCACUUCCAGAUAUGGGUUAUACUAGUUUACAGUGAUGCCUUUUGGACUAACGAACGCCCCCGCAUAUUUCGUCCACCUCAUGAACAAAGUGUUCAUGAAAUACAUGGACAAAUUUGUGGUGGUAUUCAUUGACGAUAUUCUGGUUUACUCAAGGACACCAGAAGAGCAUGCUGAGCACCUCAGGAUUGUUUUGGGAGAAUUGAGGAAACAUCAGUUGUACGCCAAAUUUAGCAAAUGCGAAUUUUGGCUAAGACAAGUUGGUUUCUUGGGCCAUAUAUUGAACCAAGAAGGCGUGGCCGUAGACCCAGAAAAAGUCAAGGCCAUACUAGACUGGAAGCCACCCGCCAAUGCUACAGAUGUGCGGAGUUUCCUAGGAAUGGCCGGAUAUUACAGGAGAUUUAUUGAAGGAUUCUCCACUGUGGCAAAACCUAUGACGCAGUUACUCAAGAAGGACAAGAAAUUCGUAUGGACGGAAGCAUGUGAGCAGAGCUUCCAAGAACUCAAGAAGAAGCUGACAACCGCACCGGUCUUAACUGUGCCAGACAUACACAAGAGCUUUGAAGUGUAUUGUGACGCGUCCCGAAAAGGUCUCGGAUGUGUGCUAAUGCAGGAUGGCAAAGUUGUCGCAUAUGCCUCCAGGCAGCUGCGAAAACAUGAGGAAAAUUACCCAACACAUGACUUGGAGCUAGCAGCAGUUAUACAUGCACUCAAGGAGUGGAGGCACUUUCUGUUGGGAAAUCGCUGUGAAAUAUAUACGGACCAUAAGAGCCUCAAAUAUAUUUUCACACAGCCAGAGCUGAAUUUACGCCAACGACGCUGGUUGGAACUAGUCAAGGACUAUGACGUCGGUAUUCACUACCACCCAGGGAAAGCAAAUGUAGUGGCCGAUGUCCUUAGUCGAAACCCCAGCCCGGACAGUGACGGUCAGCAAAAUUUGAGGCCUGGGUUUCAGCGAGAGUUCACUAGGCUCAACAUGAUGUUAGUCUCUGAGGACACCGUAUCGAACCUGGAGAUACAACCCACCCUGGUGGAACAAAUUAAGAAGGCUCAACAGGGACAUCCCAGCAUCGAAGGCAUAAAGAAGAAAAUGAAUCUUAGUAAGACUUCAGAGUUCGUCACAGACAGUGAAGGAACAUUAUGGUAUCGAGACAGACUUUGCGUACCUAACAUUGAGGAACUCAAGCAACAGAUCUUGACGGAAAGCCACACCGCCCCAUACUCGAUCCAUCCUGGAGGAACCAAAAUGUACAAGGACAUCCAGGAAAGAUUUCGGUGGCACGGUAUGAAAAGAGAUAUAGCCACAUUCAUUGCUUGUUGCGAUUCAUGUCAGCGCAUCAAGGCCGAGCACCAAAAGCCAGCAGGGCUACUCCAGCCUAACAGGAUACCAGAGUGGAAAUGGGAUGAAAUAGGAAUGGACUUCAUUGUCGGAUUACCCCGAUCACUACGCGGAAAUGACGCCAUAUGGGUCAUCACAGACCGACUAACCAAGGUUGCUCAUUUCAUUCCCGUGAAGACUACCUACUCCACACAAAGACUGGCAAAACUUUAUCUCUCCCGUAUAGUUUGCUUGCACGGAGUCCCAAAGACUAUAAUAUCAGACCGAGGCACCCAAUUCGUCUCCAAAUUUUGGGAUCACCUACAACAAGCUCUGGGCACGCAACUAGCUUUCAGUACAGCAUACCACCCUCAUACUGAUGGACAAACAGAACGUGUAAACCAAAUCCUAGAGGAUAUGCUAAGAGCCUGCGUGCUCACCUAUGGAUCCAGUUGGGAAGAGAGUUUGCCGUAUGCCGAAUUUGCUUACAACAACAGUUACCAAGCCAGCUUGCAAAUGGCACCCUUUGAAGCGCUGUACGGACGAAGGUGUCGUACCCCUCUGAAUUGGUCAGAAACAGGUGACAGCCGUAUCUUCGGCCCAGACAUGCUUAAAGAGGCCGAGGAGAAAGUUAAACAAAUCAGGGACAGACUCAAGACAGCACAGAGCCGACAAAAGAGCUACUAUGAUCAGAAGCAUCGUGAGGUCAGCUUUGAACCUGGUGAUUCCGUAUACCUCCGAGUAUUUCCUAUGAGGGGUCUGCAACGGUUCAAAAUUAAGGGGAAGCUAGCCCCAAGAUUUAUUGGACCAUUUUGUGUAAAGGCACGAAGAGGCACAGUGGCCUACCAACUAGACCUACCCAAGGAACUGUCAGACGUCCAUGACGUAUUCCAUGUCUCGCAGUUGAGGAAAUGCAUGAGUAACCCGGAGAAACAUGUACCUCAUGAAGACAUUGAUAUGCAACCAGAUCUCACCUACAGAGAAAGGCCAGUAAAGAUUUUAGAAGACUCUGAACGGAGGACCCGUUAGAAAACGACAAGAUUUUUCAGGGUUCAGUGGAGCAACCACACUAAGGAUGAAGCCACAUGGGAAAGGGAAGAUUUCCUCCGAGCAGAGUAUCCAUAUCUAUUUGAGGAGCAGCAGAAAUCUCGAGGACGAGACUUUUCCUAAGGGGGUAGGUGUUGUGACACCCAAGUUUUUAUUUGGAUUUUUCAAAAGAUUUUUUCAUUUGACUUGAGGGGAGUGAUUUAAAUUUUUCCUUUAAGAGAACUCUCCCGCUCAAAUAUUUUUUUUAUGGCAAAAGUUUUAUUUGGAUUCACCUAAGAUCUGUCUUUGGUCUUGGAGGUUCUUGCUUUUCAUUUGGACUCAAGACCAAAUGUUUUUCUUUUGGGGAAAACAACUUUUAAAAAUCUUUUUGGAAAUGCACUAUGGCUUUUGGAAAACUUCUUUGCCACUUUCAACAAUUCCUUCUUGCCAUGGCCUUAGUGCAAAUCCUCUCUCCUAACCCUUCCCUCACCUUUGGAUCAUGAUCUGCAUCAAAUCCAGCAAGUUGGACCUCCCCAUGUGAUCAUUUCCAUUUGAAUCUUAUUCAAACAAAUUUCUGUCAUCUAUCCUACUACUUGGAGAUUUACAAAGAAACUCCAUUUUCUGUUUUGAUUUUUGCCCCCAAACCAACUCUCCUCCCUAGUCCUUUGAGCCCUCAAUCAAGAUCCAUGAAGAUCCACUGGUCUUCAGUUCAAAAUUUUCAAACUACACUUGCUGCAAGUUUGGACCAGAUUUGUCAAAUUUGGUGAAAUUCAUUCAAAACCUUCUCCAAAAAUUCCAAGUAAAAUCAGGCAGCCUCUGGGUGCAUUGAGUGGUCAUCUCACCAAGUUACAGCUCCAGAAAAAUUCAUCUCAUUGCAAAAUCUCUCUGUCGAACACCUGAAGUGCAUGGUCAUGUCAAGUUCAAAAAGAUCAGAGAUUCAGUCAGUGGCCUGCUGUCGUUUUCUUCAGAGAAGGACGUCGAUCUCGCCAGUGCCUCUACGUCGCCUUGCUCCUCGUCCCCUCCCCCUUGUUCCUGCACCGCACGAACGCCUGGCGCCUUGCGGGCGUCGGCGACGAGCAGGAGAAGGUGCGCCGCCCCGUGACCGACGCCGGCGGUGGCUUUGUGGGCGUCGCGGGAGACACGGCGCCGACGACGCCACCCAGCGCCGCCCAAACCACCGGAGCCCGCCGCGUGGCCUUCCACUCCCCCGAAUACGCUGCCACUCUCAUCGUGAACCGCAGGGCGCGGAGCGCGCUCUCUGCCGCCGUUGAGCCUGUGCGGUCACCUCACCGUGGACCGACGCCAUUACGCCAAGACCGUCUCCGUUUAGCUGUGAAACGACUCCGGUAACCUCCACUGAUGCUGCCUGGCCGCUCAAACCACCUGCCAAUCCACUGCUGCGCCGUAAUUGGUCGCUGGAGAUUCUCCGUUCACGGCCACCCCGUCGAUCUGCCUAUAAAUAGAGGCCCCGAGCUUCGACUUGAGCACCCACCAUCCCUACACUCCCCCUAGAGCACGCCUAGCCACUGGAAGGGCCCCGAGGAGGUCUCCUUCCUCGACUCCGGCCGCCGCGACCCGCCACGGGAUCCAGCCCGAUUCGCCCCCGUGUGUGCUCCUCCGCCUCCAUUCUCUUACCAGUAGCUUCACCAUGCAUCCCUCUUUCUGACCCGCACUUCAAUUUGAAGCUUGUAGCCCUCCACCGGAGUUCCCCAUCCUCACCCGAGCCGCCGUCCGCCGGAGAAAGUGUCGCCGUCGACGUGGUGCUCCCCGUUGGACGAGUCCACCACCCACCGAUGCGGAAGAAGACGCUGAAGCUCUUGCUACCCUCCGUUUCUCCUAACUCGCCAUGGUUCGACGCCGGCGUCCACCGCAGUCUUCGGGCGCCGGCGAGCUUUUCAAACCUGACAUGUGGACCCCGCGUGUCAGCCUCUGUUUUAUUCCACCUUGAACCGUUUUCUGUUGACACCAUCGGGCAAAUACGUUUUCUCCUUUGCGCUUGCGCAUUCCCAAUUGAACCGUUUUCUGUUUUCUUAGUUAAAACCCUGGAACUUUUCCGUUUCAUUACAGAUAAGUCCCUGGACAGAAACCUUUAUAACUUUUUAAUAAAAAGGAAUUUUUGAGUGAUUCUUUUUCUGACAAUCUUCAAAUUUUGUCUAAUUUUUUAUGGGAUUUAUUUGAAAAAUAUUUGGAAAAUUUUCUGUGCACCCAUUGGUUUUCACGUUAGUACCCGUUUCGUGAUUGCCGUAGGUUCCGGAAGAGGUCACGGAGCCGCGAACUUCGCCGAGCUAGACUCCGACUUCUCCGAACCAGGCAAGCAUGUUUUGAACAUUUGAUAUGACAGAUGUUUUACAUGUUCACGUGAGAGUUUGUGCGUGGCAUAUGAGUGUCGGUACAUACCUCGUUGCUUGUAAGGCAACGACCCGGUUGUUCCAAAGUCACGAUGAUCUCUGAUGAGAGAUGGCCUAAUCAUGUGGUGACAUGAAGGGCAGCAAGGUGGUACUGUUGUAGCAUACCAGCCUUGCGUCAUCCGACUUUCUCCGACGUUAACGUGGUUGGAGCUGCGUUAUCGUUCUCUUCCCGCAUGUUCCAAAGUUGCGAUGAUCUCUGAUGAGAGAUGGCCUAACCAUGUGGUGACAUGAAGGGCAGCAAGGUGGUACUGUUGUAGCAUACCAGCCUUGCGUCAUCCGACUUUUCCGACGUUAACGUGGUUGGAGCCGUGUUACCGUUCUUUCCCCUUCCGUGCUACCACAUGUCUCAUUGCCAGGAUGCAGUUUAGUAAGUUGGUAACCUCUUUCCGUGUACACACCAAACAGAGAGGCCGGGAUGAUGGUACCUUUGCCCAGGAUUAAAGCCAGUCAUCCGGUCAGGGGGCAUGGGUGUUUCCGGUUGACCGAGAGGGGGGGCACCCCCUUAGAGCGCGCGUAUAAAAAUUUGAUCCCAUGCUACGCGAGGUUGUAGCCUCCCCGUCUCAAGGUUUUUCUUGAACGUCGCCGAGGGUGAUCCCUGGCUUCGGAUGGUUGAAUUGGGUGUGUACUGGUUAGACGUGUUUCUUCCAAAACACCGUAGACGGAACUAGUCCCCGUGACUACUGAAAUCCGUUGGCUGUGGUUAAGUACAAACUCUGCAGAGUCAAUUCUUUCCAAAUCAUCGUAUCCAUGACCAAGUAAUGAAAACAUUAUAUCCAUAUCUAUCCGUGUGAAAAACUUGUCCCCGGUGAACAAGCUCAGUGGUAAAUCCAGUUUUAUUGUUACUCCUGUGGAUGGACUAACUUUAUAUUCGUCGCAUGCUUGUGAUAAUUUAUGGUUCCGAACGAUUGUAUUAUUGAGCUGUGAUAUAAGCCCUUUAUGUGACGUCGCGCAGACGUCCGACUGUGGCGUGUACGUGUUUCUUACUUUAUAUAUAUAAGCCCUUUAUGUGAUGUCGCACAGACGUCCGACUGUGGCAUGCACUGUCUUUAUUUUCUGUUGCAAGCCCUUUAUGUGGUGUCGCCUCGACGCCCGACUGUGGCAUUAUUAUUCUGCAUUUUCCGCUCGAGGAGUCUUUCAGACACUCGCUUGGCACCAGCAUCAUUAUUCCGCAUUUUCCGCUCGAGGAGUCUUUCAGACACUCGCUUGGCACCUGUAUUAUUAUUCCGCAUUUUCCGCUCGAGGAGUCUUUCAGACACUCGUUUGGCACCAGUAUUACUAUUCUGCAGUUUCCGCUCGAGGCGUCAUUCAGACCCUCGCUUGGCACCCAGUAUUUAUUAUCUCUAUGUCUGAUCGCACUGGUUAACUUGUUCAUAUGUUUCAUGUUUGCAUUCGUUAUACCUUAUGUCCGAACUGUCUUGCGAGUACUUUCAUAGUACUCACCUGGCUUGUUGAUUUGGCCAGAUGUUGACGAAGGCGAUCUCUUGGAUGAAGAGUUUGAUAGUGCGUCCGAUGCCUAGAGGAGUCCCAGUCAGUCCUGCGCGAUCCCGGAUAUUGGUCACUUGUGUUGUAUACGCUUCCGCCACCCGCAAUAAGUCUUCUCGAGCCUCACUCCGACGCUCGAUUAGUUGUAGUCUUCUGGAAUCAUAUCACUCGCUUCGCGAUGAUAUUUCCACCACCGUUAUUAUUGUGAGUUAGUAGUUGCCACCCUAUCCGCCGUAUUGUUUUAGCGGCAUGCAUGUAAUAAAUUGUUGGGCAAUCUCUGCUCAACCUUGUAUUAUAUUUAGUACUCCUGGUAUUUUUCUUCUGUGACCAAGAUAUUGUCUACCAGUGAGAAGGAAUUCUUCCUCGCUGGUCCGUAAAAGGGAUUGGUCUCUCAAUAAUUACUUUAUUGAAAAACCGGUCGCGACACAAACACCCUCUAAUAAUGGCGCUGGAAAAUUGAUGCAAUGCCACAGUUAAAAGCAAAUUACAUGUUUAACGAAUUUUAUUGUUAAUACAAUCUCUCUGUUAAUAUUAAUCAAUGCCACAGUUUGAGAAAUGCUACUAUCUUGCUUUCUUUCCCAUUUAGAUAAGGUAGAUGCUUCUUUUUGUUGGCUUCUGUGUCGUCCACCGUUAUUGACCACUAUUUGUUUCCUUUGCACCUCUGUGUAAAUAGGGUUAUCUACUUCACCUCGUUGCCAUUGUGACCUUUUGUUGCACUGCACAAAACACUUUUGUUUUAAGAGUGUUUUCUACAGUUCAACCAAAAUGCCACACCGACAACGUUGCUUGAUUGCUUGAUCUUAGUGGAACUGCACAAGAGGAGAUCUUACUUCCUAUCCGUGUUGGCAAAUUUGGUUCAGAUCUUCUUCUUGUGAGUUGUUUGAAUUCCGCGUCAUGAGAGGUCAGUACUAGCCUUCUUUCACAUGAUUCUGCAGUGUGCUUUCAUAUGUUGUGCUACUUGUACGGUAAUGUUGCUUGAUUUUAGUGAACUGCACAAAUGGAGACAAGACUUCCAAUCUGUAUGUGCACCGUAAUAUCCCAUUGAGGUAAGAUAAGGGUAUUUCACAACUGUUGGCCUGUAUUUUGCCACUUUCAUCAGAAAAUUAAUGUCAUUGUUUAGUGCUAUACUUGUGCAACCUAAUUGACAUGCAGAAUCUUACAUUGAAGGCGAAGCUUGUCUGUUAUUGAACCAAGUGAUGAAGGGGAAGAACAAGUGGAAGAAAAACAAAAAUCAACUCCUGGUGCUGUAAUGAAGCACUCGAACUAUGAUGACACAAGUAAUGAUAUAGUUUUGCAUCUUAAUUUAUUGCUAUGUCUGGAACGAGCAAUUGUUUUGCCACGGAUUUGAUGCCACUCUUAAUGUAAUACGUAAUUAUCUCUACUUGUGCAAACAGGGAUCUUCUUUGAAGAUUCCAUAUAUUUUAGUGGAACUGCACAAGAAGAUGUUGGAAACAUUAAUCUAAUCGAGGAGUAUAUAGUAAGCAUGGUCACCACAGUAGAUAGCAACAGAUGGUUCCGGAGAAGUGCUUCAUCUGUAUGCUCUACACAAUAAGCCUCCUAACAAAGGUUGGUACUUGCCCACUGAUUUCAUCCAUAUGUUUGAGCUUUGUCAUCUCUAUUGGUGUUGUGCUACUGUUUAGAUGCUGUCAUCAGAAAGUGGUAUUGUCCUUGAGAAGUGCUUCAUCUGUGCUGUUUUAAAUAUUUACUUUCCUUUUUUUUGAGCAAACAAGGAUGCUAGCAUUUAGUUAUCCUCUUGUCUUUGCACAACAGGAUCAUCCUCCUCUGAAGAAGAAUAUGGAGUACGUGAAGUGACUAGUUCCGAUUAUGCCAGGAUGAAGAAGCCCUGUCUAUCUUCCCAUCAGAAGGAGCAAUUGAAGGAUGGUUACAUUACCCCCACAAGACCAAACUAACUUCAGCUCAGACGGACUAACAAAUCUCCAUUUUCUUGCUGUGAUGCGCGAGUACAAUGUUGUUCUAGGAUUCUUUCCGGUGAGUUCCAUUUUUGUAAAUGUGUGCUCUACAUGGACCAUGUAGGUGCCUGUUUAAACUGUCAAUUCAUAGUACAGUUUGCUUUAUACUAAUCACUUUUCUUGUAUUUGUGCAAACAGGGGUGCUCAGCUUGAUUUCAAUGGGAACUGCACAAAAUGUUCAUGAAUACAUCGAUUCAUUCAUUUCCACCACAAGAAAGGAGGUGCCGAUAAGUUCAAGGCGUUGCAACAUAUAAGGGUGAAAUCAUACAAGCUACGCGCGAAUUUGGUUGAUUUUUGUGGAACUGCACAAAAAGAACAGCUGGUUUAUUUAGCACAUGGUGCCAUGUCAAUGUCAGAACUGAUGGCAAACCCUGCCCAUUCCACAAUCGUAGGCAUUUGAUAUUUUGGAAUGGGAAAACCUUGUCAAAUUUUGCUCAUUAAUUUUAACAAGAACACAUGCAUUUGAUAUUUUCGAAUGGGACACCCUUUGCUGUCAGCAGCGUCGAUCCAUUUUUUCUUUAUUCUUUAGUUGUGAAGUAAAUAAUGGCUCUGGCAUGUGAACUGCUGAGAUGCAUAAUCAUCGACUGUUUUAAAUGUUCUCUAUGACAUGUGAAUCGCUGUGAUUGCAAUGUACAGGAACGCUAAAAAGCUGCUCAAACUCUUUGUACUCCUUCUGUUCCUUUUUACUUCACACAUUGUCCGGUAACAUACAACUGAAGUGCUCAAGUUCUCUAGCAAAUGACUGUAUCUCAUGAGCUUGCUCAACCACGGAGCGCUCUUCAAUCAUCCUAUAAUCAUAGAAUUGCUCCGUGAUGUACAGCUCAAUGCCAGCAACCGGAGGGUAGCAGCGGUGGCCUUACUUGGACCCGAGCGGCGACGACCUACCGUGUUCUACUCUUCCUCGUUUUCUGUGUGGCGCGGCCUCGUUGGCAGCGGGGCGGGGCCUCGGCGGAGCCGGCGAUGUCCUCUGUCUCGUUGCCGGCGGGCGGCGCCUCGGCAGAGCGGGGGAAAAUCCUCCCCCUCGUUGCCGGCAGGGUGGGGCCUCGGCGGAGCGGGCGGUGUCCUCUGCCUCGUUGUUGGUGCCGCGGGGCCUCGGUGGAGCAGGGCCUCGUCGACGGCAGCGGAGCGGGGACUCGUCAGAGCCGGCAUUGUCCUCUGCCUCAUCCUCGGUCUCGCCAAACAGCGCCUCGGCCGCUUCAUCGCCCUCUUUGUAGGCGGCCGCAGCCUCCGCCACCCACAUGCGGUACCACCAGCGCUCGAGGCGGCCCUCGCGGGCGGAGUGGUACGAGUCGAGCAGCGCCUCCUGCUCCACCCGCUCCGCGGCGAUCUGCUCCUCCGCCUGCAGGUGCUCCUGGAGGAGAUGGUGGUUGUAGGCAGUGUCGGCCUGCGCCUCCCGGAACUGCUCCUCACGCUUCUGCCUCACCGUGUCCAUAUAUUGGGCACGGGCCUCGCCGAUGGUCAUGGUGAAAUGCACCAGCGAGGAUGGCGCGGAGGAGGGGGUUGGCGCCGGAUCGUCGACUACCAUGUUCUCCAUUGGGACGUCGGCGUCCUCCGGCUGCCUGCCGGCCAGCCAGUUGGCAGCAAUGGCUGCAAUCUCCUUGUGGUCCGUCGUCCGCCCGUCCUGAAGAGCGAUGGAGCGUGAGGAAGCCAUGGUGGGCAGUAGUGGUGUGGAUGGGAGAAUAGGAACGGAUGCGGAUGACUGCAGCUAUGGCCGGAGCAACAGUUUAUAUAGCAAUGGUGGGCAGCGGAGGGACGGACGUGUGGCGCCGGAGUAGCCACCUCAGCAACCGCGUAUCAUUAAUGUGGGCGGCAGAAGGACGGAUGGACGGCACUUGUGUCAUUUGAAGGCGGAGCAAUCGCAUGCACGGGAAGAGGGGCGGGCGGCGUGAACCGUUUCGGGCGGAAAGCGCGUGCAGGCGAGGGAGGCGGUCUGGGUGGGCCAGGGUAGUCAGACUCGUGCUUGGCAGCGGGUCGGUCCCGCAGCCGGACAUGCUGGCUCGCCAGCUACCUCGCCGAGCUGAGCGACGACAAUCAGACGAUGGACGUCGCUUCUGACCAGGAGCCGGCGCCACUGUCCAAGCUGGUUCAUGCCGUGUUCACCAUAGAGCAGGUGCGGCCGCACUUCGACACCCUAAUGGCGGAAGAGCUACCAGCACAGGAGGACCUGUGCUGCAACCUCCGUCUCCUCAACGAGCACCGGUGAACAAGCGAACGACAAUGCCGUCGCAGACAUGUGUCCCUAUGAUCCUGGCUUCUCGAAUGAGCAGCGGGCGCUGUAUCAGACCAACCGUAGGGCCCGCGAGGCCCUCUCCGUCGUCCUUUGAGUUGUUGUGCUCGCCGUGGCGCCGCCGGCUCGCGUUGUCAACAUGGUCAACGGACAUGAGGAUGAGGAGAUGACUUUACUUGGAGAGGAUGACAACAAGUGCCUCCUUAUUAGUAUAUAAAACUAUAAUUUUUUUGCUUCCUCCUGGUUUCCUGACAUCACGGUCCCACACCAUUGUGAACCUUUGUAGUCAAUAAACGAGAGAAUUGCACAAGAAGCGGCCGACAGCUAGGACCAAGCAGCUCGAGCAGUAUUUUUGUUUUUGAGGUGUGAGCACUGCAGAGUUUUUCUUGUGCGAUGUUUAGCCCAGAUAUUAAUUUUUCUCCUCUGAACAACAAGGAAAACAUCGCUGCAGCUAUUAACUGGGCGGGCUAUGGCCCGUCUAGCCCAUGCCAGAUAUCCAGCCCAGAUAUUAAUUUUUUUUCAAGCUGAAAAUGGCUAGCCCAGCUAUACUUUUUUUAGGAAUACCCAGGCAAGGUCAAGUUGUUAUUCUCCGCCCCGCUGGGCUGCAAAUCUUUCCUAGGAGGGAUGCAUUAGGCUUAACAAGAAAAUGGGCUUUAAAAAAUAAUAAAUGGGAUGUAAUUAUAAAAACUAGGCAGUAACUAUAAAAAAUGCACCAAACACGUAAAUACUUUAUAAAAUAUUAUUUUUGGAUAUUGAAAAUUUUAAUUUCAUUAAUUGUUGCGACCGCAAUGUUUCAUUGGAUUUUUACGUAAUAUAAAUUUAUAUUGAAAUUGUAUUUAAUCUGACUAGAAAUUUCGGGACAAAAAUAUUUCAGAUCCCAUCAAAAUGUGGGAAAUUUUAUUGAAUUCUGUUUUGAACGGUCGGUUGAAAUGGGCUGUACUUUUAACAAACUGUAAAUGGGCUGUAGUAAAUUCCAUUAGAAUUCAAAAAUUGGCUGCACAUUCUUACAAAUCACAAAUGGACUAUAAGUUCUCUGCCACACACUUGUGGCCUUACUAAGUUGACGCGUCCCCUAAAAAAAAGAGAGUUGACGCGUAUGCAAGGCUUUGUCAACUUAUAGUCAACACACGGUUCUAGCAGCAGUGGCCGUUGGAUGUCCAUCCAACGGAUGCCGUGCUUCUUCUUCAAUCUCGGAUAUUCUAGCUUCACCCGCCCAAAAAAUGAUUCCUCCCCCUGUCAUCUGGGGCGCACCGUUUCGGAAGCUGACCUGUGGGCCUACUAAGUUGACGCGUACCAAGGGCUUUGUGAACUUAGUCCAUAUAAACGAUUCUAGCUGCAGUGACCGUACGAUGUCCAUCCAACAGCCGUAGUGCUUCUUCAACCUCUGGUCUUCUUGCUCCAGCCGCCCAAAGCAGUGCCGGUCGUGCCGCAUGCUCCUGCCUCCCGUGGCCGGCUGUGCUGCCGCAGAGGCCUCACCGCCCCUACUAUUCCCACCGCUGGCCAGGCCCUGCGGCGACGGCAGCCUCACACCGCAGCCGAACCAGUGAACCCUCGUACUCCUCUCCGCGCGGGCUUCCAAUGCCGCGUCUUCCCCGGCUCCGCGUCGCCCCCUUCCUCGGCCUCGCCGUCGUCCACCGCCCUGGUGCUCUCGGUGCGGCGUGGUCAACGUGGUCAAGGAACGGCUUCCAUCGGACAUGGACUGUACGUGGAGAGGCUGACAGCUGGGUUCACGAUGGCAGCAAGGAAGUGCCCCCUCAUUACACGGAAAAUAAUGAUUCCUCCACCUGACAGCAGGGGCCCACCGGACGGGCCACCGUAUUUUGCAAAAAAAAAAACAUUUCCCCCUGACUGCUGGGACCCACUGGACGGGCCACCGUAUUGCGCAAAAAAAUGCCCCCCCCCGCUGUCAGCUCGGACCCACCGGAAGUGCCUCCUUAUUACGCACGAAAAAAUGAAUACUCCCCCUGCUGGUUGGGACCCACCUUGGUGGGAGGCUGACUUGUGGGCCUACUAAGUUGACGGGGACAGAGUGCUUUGUCAACUUAGUCAAUAUGAACGAUUCUAGCUCCAGUGAUCGUACGUUGUCCAUCCAACGGCCGUGGUGCUUCUUCAACCUCUGGUCUUGUUGCUCCAGCCGCCCAAAGCAGCGCCGGGCGUGCCGCAUGCUCCUGCCUCCUGUGGCCGGUUGUGCUGCCGCGGAGGCCUCACCGCCCCCUACUAUUCCCACUGCUGACCUGGACCUACGGCAACGGCAGCCUCACACCGCAGCCGAACCAGUGAACCCUCGUACUCGUCUCCGCGCGGGCUUCCACUGCCGCGUCUUCCCCGUCUCCGCGUCGUCCGCUUCCUAGGCCUUGCCGUCAUCCACCGCCCUGGUGCUCUCAGUGCGGCGUGGUCAACGUGGUCAAGGAACGACUUCCAUCGGAAGAGUACUGUACAUGGACGGGCUGACAGCUGGGUCCACAGCGGCCACAAGGAAGUGCCUCCUUAUUACGCGCAAAAUAAUUAUUCCUCCACCUGACAGCAGGGACCCACCGGACGGGCAACUGUAUUUCGCGAAAAAAACAUUUCCCCCUGACUGCUGGGACCUACCAGCUACAUCUUCGCACGCAAGGAAGUGCGUCCGGGCAAAAAAAAUGAUUCGCCCCCUUACUGCUGGGACCCACCAGCUACAUCUUCGCAGGAAAGGAAGUGGCUGACAGUUGGGACCCACCUGGUCGAAGCGUACGUAGCGUUGUCAUUCUGGUUGCGAACGUGCACGUACAUACUGGUCGAUGUAGAGGCGCGCACGUGUCGUAGUAGAGGCGCGCACGUAGCAUGUACACGUACGUAUAGUGGCCAGUGUGCAAGAAAGAAAAUACGGCCACGUACGUACAUACGGGCAGGGUCUCGAAUGCCUACUCGCGCAUACGUACGGCCAGGGAUCGUGUACAUUGCUGGGUCGGAACAGAGAAACAGCGUCGUUGUCGUCGUGUUCAUGGGGAGCCAACCGGCUGGGUCGGAACGGAAUGCAUCGUCGUGUUCAUCGGGAGGGCUUGGACGGAACAACCGAUGGAAACGAGGCCUGGCGUACCGCAGAACAGAGGAAACGGCCUUGUGUUCGACCGGCCACGUUUGAAACGGGAUCAUGUUCAUCAGGAGGGGUCUGGCGUACCGCAAAACGGAGGAAACGGACCUCGUACGGUCGAAACGGGGGUCCUGUUGAUCGGGAGGGGUGUGGCGUACUGCAAAACGGAGGAAACGGACUUGUGUUGGAGCGCUACGGUCGAAACGGGGGUCCUGUUCAUCAGGAGGGGUGUGGCGUACCGCAAAACGGGACUCCACGGGAUAUUGUUCAUCUCCACCAUCGACCUCCUCCAGCCUCCACGGGCUACUGUUCAUCCAUCGUCGACCUCCUCCAGCCUCCACCUGCGAGUGUUCAUCCACGGGCUCCUGUUCAUCCAGCCUCCACCGCGCGCUACUCCACCGGCUACUGUUCAACCAGCCCUCUCCAUGGGCUCCUGUUCAACCACCCCUCCAUGGGCUACUAUUCACCCAGCCCUCCACCGUCUACUGUUCAUCCUGCCCUCCACGGGGUGGUCCUGUUCAUCCUGCCCUCCAUGGGGUCCUGUUCAUCCAGUCCCAACCGGCUCGAUCGAUCGGGGUCCUGUUCAUCCAGAGGCAACACCACGGGGUCCUGUUCAUCCACCCCCACCGGGAACUGUUCAUCCAAACCCCCCAGCAACGCUCACUGUUCAUCCAGAGGCAGCAUCGAUCGGCUUCAGUUAGCAGGAGAAGCGAAGGAAUUGCUCGAUGCGGUUCAGUUAACAGCCAUUGAUCGAUCGCUCGGGUUCAGUAACGCGUAGCCUGCAGUGCAAUCACUCGGGUUCAGUUAGAGCCCAACGCCUUGCUCGGGUUCAGUUAGAGCCCAACGCCUCGCACCCACGCGCGUGCAUGUACGAGAGAAACACGCAUCGCUCGGCCCCGACCACCCACCGUAACCGGGAACACCCCGAUAUUUUCCUCGCCCUCGCUUCUACCACGGUUUUUUCCGUCAUGGACAGCCCAAAGAAUGUCAUGCAGCUGCGUCUCCGGCCCGCCCAGGACGAACAUCCCAUUUUCUGUCAUGAUUUUUUGUCAUAGAAGUAGGACCCCACCACAUCUAUGAUGAUACCAGGUUUUGUCACAAUUAUCGUCAUAGAAGUGUCAUAAGUAUGACAUAAUUUUUUUCGUUCGGCCCAAAAUGUCACGGAUGUGUCUUUUUUUGUAGUGAUGUACCUUGGAAGUUGUCGCGAAAGGCGUCUUCCAAGUCUUCCCAGUUGCCAAUGGAGUUCUCUCGGAGGCUGUUUAGCCAGUGCCGAGCUGGCCCCUUUAAUUUUAGUGGGAGGUAUUUGUUGGCAUGGAGAUCAUCACCGCGGGCCAUGUGGAUAUGGAGAAGAAAAUCCUCGAUCCAUACUGCGGGGUCGGUUGUUCCAUCAUAUGAUUCGAUAUUCAUAGGUUUAAACCCUUCUGGGAAUUCGUGCUCCAUUACUUUCUCGACGAAGCAUAGGGGGUGUGCGGUGCCUUUAUAACGGGCGGCGUCGCGACGGAGUUUGGCGGACGUUCCUAUGCGGUUUUCAUCCCGAGUGAGGUGGUGUUGAUCACGCCUGGCCUCAUAGCCAUCCUAUCGUGUUGGGACACAUCCCCUUGACCCGUAGAUUGAUUUGCUAGGCCUGCCCAAGGGUCCAGGUCCUGGUCCUGCCGAAGGUCGUAGGUGUAAUCCUGGGCUACUGUCUCCAUGCCUUUACGGCGGGGGCAUGUGGGCUGGUGUUCGGCUUGAGUAGCCGUUCUGUCUCGGCCACGCGGUGGCCGGUCUGGUUUAUCGGCUGCGUUACACGCUGAUGUUAGGGGCUCCUGCGCCUCAAUGUCGAAUUGGGGUAACAACUUGCACUUCGGGUAGCUUUUGAUUGGUCGUGCGAGGCCGUAUUCCUCGGCUGCCAGGACAUUAGUCCAUCUGUCAUUGAGCGUAUCCUGUUCGGCUUGAAGUCGUUGCUGCUUCCUUUUCAUGCUCCUCAUGGUUGCGAUGAGCUGUUGCUUAAAGCGUUCUUGCUCGAGGGGUUCCUCUGGCACGAUGAAGUCUUCGUCGCGAAGGAUUGUUUCGUCUUUGGAGGGUGGCAUAUAAUUGCUGUCCUUCGAGUCCUCGUUCCGACUGGCUCGUCAGGGUUACCCUACCCCUCCUCUCUAUCAUCCUGUUUGGAUGUUGGUUCGACGGGGGCGUCUGGGUCUUCGGCCUUCUCCAGAGUGUUAUCGUCUCCAUUGUCGGUAUUGCUUUCUUUGUCGUGGCGUGAUUUUGAACGGCGCCGCUGAUGCCGCCGCUUUGGUGGUUUAUCAGUGUUAUUGUCCUUGAUUGGAUCCUUACUGCCUUCAUCGCCAUCCUCUUUUGGCGUAUCCACCAUGUAUACGUCGUAUGUGGAGGUGGCCGCCCAGUGUCUGGUAUGCGGCGGGUUUUGGCUUUGUUCGUCUCCGGCAUCGACGUCCAUACCAUAGAUGUCUUCGGAGUUAUGGUCAAGCAUGUCGGUUAGGUCCUCGACAGUGGCUAUGAAGUGGGUGGUGGGUCGGACGUAAAAUUCCCCACUCUCAGCCCCUAGUCCAGGCUGGGCGUAGUUCGGACAUUCCGCCUCUGUAAUGACGAGGGAUCGCAUUAAGUCCAGAGCCUCGCUUAAAGGCGAUAUUUGACCAGGGAGAAGAGAGUCCGUGGAGUACGGCGGGAAGAAAACUCCUUGGCCGAGCUCACACGCUGCCGACUCCGAGGGUCCGGAGCCAGUGUUCGGAGAAGAGUCCGGCUUAAUGAUGAUUGCCGGUGACACUACCUCCUCCGGCUCUCCCGUACUAGGCUCAAUAGCCGUAGAGAGUCCGGCGGGCUCGGCCAUUCCGUCUUCAGACCUGGUGACGUGCUCCGGAUCUAAGGCCAGAGCGCAGGUUAGGGUCGCGAACCCUUGGAAGAUCAAAUCUCCUCGAAUAUCGGCGAAAUAAUCCAGAUUUCCAAAACUAAUCUGGUGACCUGGGGCGUAGCUGUCGAUCUGCUCUAGAUGGCCAAGCGAGUUGGCCCGCAGUGCGAAGCCGCCGAACACAAAGAUCUGGCAGGGGAGGAAGACCUCCCUUAGGGCAGCAUUGUUGUCGAUGAUUGAUGGAGCCAUCGAGCCUUUGUCGACUGUACAGUGGAACUCUCAAUGAAAGCACCAAUGUCGGUGUCAAAACCGGCGGAUCUCGGGUAGGGGGUCCCGAACAGUGCGUCUGAGGAUCGAAGGUAAUAGGAGACAAGGACACGAUGUUUACCCAGGUUCGGGCCCUCUCAUUGGAGGUAAUACCCUACUUCUUGCUUGAUUAUCUUGGAUGAAUAUGGGGUUUACAAGAGUUGAUCUACCUCGAGAUCGUAAUGGCUAAACCCUAGAUGUCUAGCCUGUAUGAUUAUGAUUGCCUCUACGGACGAAACCCUCCGGUUUAUAUAGACACUGGAGUGACCUAGGGUUGUACAUAGUCGGUUUACAGAGGAAGGAAUCUUCACAUCCAAACGCCAAGCUUGCCUUGACGUAAAGGAGAGUCCCAUCCGAACAUGGGAAGAAGUCUUCUCUCUUUGUAUCUUCAUAGCCCAUUAGUCCGGCCCACGUCACCUAGCCCGAACGCCCGAGAACCCCUUAAUCUAGGACUCCCUUAGUGGACGACGCAAAGGCCUCCUCAGGGGCAGCCUCACUAGGCUAGCUCCUGAGGUGGGGAGAUAUCUAUGCAAGGGGCACCUCGCGAGGUUCGCGUGAUGUGAUCCAUGACGACCAAGGCCAGGCGGGCGCCAGCGGGCGUAGUGUACCGGUUGCCUCUUUGGUGCCAAAGGGGCAAGCGCAUCCGAGGAGUCCCGAGGCAUCAGGCAAAGGUUUCCAUAUCGGUGCAACGAGACCAAGACCAGUAGGACGGCAGGACGGAGGUCACCACAGAGCCCACGACGGCGUCACCAUCAGAGCCUUUGGCAAGCGAAGACCACCUUUUGUCAGGAUAGCAUGUACUAGCUGUCCCCCUUCAAAUUGGCCGUUGUGGGAUCUCUUCCCGCCUAAUAUUUGGGAAGAGUACCAGGGCCUCUAUAAAUAGGACUAGCCACCACCAUGGGGAGGCAUCUCAUCUUGGAUGGGAUCCACUCCACCAAGGCAAACUCAUUAGCUCCCCGAGCUCAAGAGCACCUCUCCUCAGGAGGCGGUUCAUCCCUUGUACUUGUUCAUCCUUAGCCUACAAGGCAAUCCACCACACCACACUGAAGUAGGGCUCUACACUACAACGGUGGCCCGAACCAGUAUAAACCCUUGUGUCACUUGCUCUUUGGGUUCGGCGAGUUAGGCCUUGAGAUCGUUGUGCGAGCGAGCUAGGGAGAGAGAUCUUCAUGCGCACCCCAGUGUUCAAACCUCAAGGGUUUGCCGGAACCCCUAAUCCGACAUUUGGCGCGCCAGGUAGGGGUGCGCCGAAGUCCCGGUCCUCCGCCGGCUUCGCCCCUCCAUUCGGUCCCCAUGGCCGGCGCCGCUCCUCCGACUGGACCGAUGGGCGACCACGACGGCGCCAGGGGGCUCAGGGCCUUCACCGCCUCCCUACGACGAGUGCAGUGGCCACCCAAGUUUAGGCCGGAGAUGCCGCCUCACUUCGACGGCGUGGUGGAUCCGUUCAUCUUCCUGCUGGCUUACGAGGAGGCCGUGCUGGAGGCGGGAAGCGAUGACAGGGUCAUGGCCAACUGGUUCCCCAUGGCCCUCACUGGCACCCCGCGCGCCUGGCUACUCAACCUGCCAGGAUCCUCUGUGGCUUCUUGGGAAGAGCUGCAUGGCCUCUUUGUCGCACGCUUCGCGGCGCCGGCGCCUGUCGCCAUCGCGGCCCUCCUCGGCGGCUCGCAAGCGCCACCCUCAGAUCCUCGGCGGCCCACCAUCUGCCACGUCGCCAUGACCAAGACGCUCAUUGAUGGAGGAGCGAGCCUCAACGUGCUCUCCGUGGAAGCUUUCGGCUUGCUUCACAUGCCGCACAGCCGGCUCCGCCCCACCAGGCUUUCUCCGGAGUUGGUAGCGGAUCCACCAGCCCCCUGGGCAAAUACGCCUUUCAUUCACCUUCGAUACCCGGGACAACUACCGCACCGAGCUCAUCGACUUUGACAUCGCCCGCAUCGGCCUCCCGUACAACGCCAUCCUCGGGUACCCUGCCUUAGAUCAGUUCAUGGCAGCGACCCCUCCGGUCUACAACCUCAUGAAGAUGCCGGGCAGCAAUGGUGUCCUCACCGUGGCUGGAGACAACAAGGAGGCUCUGGCGGCCCUUAAGCUUGCCUUCAGGGCCGCAAUGGCGGCGCACCCGGCCAGCGAGGCCGCCCCAAGGGCUAAAGAGACUGCGCCGGCAAAGAAGAAGCAAUUGUUCACUCAAGAUCGGGCCGGAACAAAGCAAGUACCAGUCGAGGAAUAUGGAUCCUCGGGAGCCACCUUCCCCAUAGGCGCCAACCUCGACCCAGAUCAAGAGGAGGCAUUGGUGAAGUUCUUGCGCGCGAACAAGGAGGUCUUCGCCUAGGAGCCCAAGCAGCUGGUGGGGGUCCCCAGGGGGUAAUUGAGCAUCACUUAAGGGUGUGCCCCAAUGUGCGCCCUCUAAAGCAGAAGGCGCGGCGACAAUCCACGGAGAAGCAGUCCUUCAUCAUCCAGGAAACUCGUAAGUUGGAGGCAGCAGGUGUCAUUCGCGAGGUCCGAUGCCGGGAGUGGCUGGCGAACCCCGUCGUCGUACCAAAGAAAGGCGGGAAGGAACACAUGUGUGUUGACUUCACCAACCUCAACAAGGCCUGUCCCUAGGACCCGUUCCCGCUUCCGCGCAUCAACCAGAUCCUCGACUCCACCACCGAGUGCGACCUGCUGUGUUUCCUGGACGCGUUCUUAGGCUACCACCAGAUCAAGAUGGCGGUGGAGGACAUGGAGAAGACCGCCUUCUUGACCCCGUGCAGAGUAUACUGCUACACCUGCAUGCCGUUCGGGCUGCGCAAUGCUGGGGCAACCUUCCAGCAGCUGAAGCACAUUGCCCUAGGCCAGCAGCUAGGGAGGAACGCCGAAGCCUACAUCAACGACAUCGUGGUAAAAUCUUGGGAGGCAAGGACCCUCAUUCAGGAUCUGGAGGAGACCUUCACCAGCCUGCGCCAAGUGGACCUACGGCUCAACCCAGAGAAGUGCGUAUUUGGGGUCCCCUCUGGCAAGCUGCUGGGCUUCCUCGUGUCGCACAAGGGGAUUGAGGCAAAUCCGGAGAAGGUCAAGGCGAUAGAUGACAUGAGCCCGCCGCAAACUCUCAAGGAAAUGCAGAAGCUCGCAGGCUGCGUGACCUCGUUGGGGCGCUUCAUCUCCAAGCUGGGGGAGCGCACCUUGCCAUUCUUCAAGCUGACGAAGAAGAAGGGACCGUUCGAAUGGACCCAGAAGCCUACCUGGAGUUUCAAGACCACAAGAGAUACUUGACCAGCCCUCUAGUGAUGGUAGCACCGCGUCCCCUCAAGCCCUUGGUGCUCUAUCUGGCCGCCACACGUCACUCCACCAGUGCGGCGCUGGUGGCUGUACGGGAGGAACGCCAGGCCAAGAGCCCGCCGAGCAACGCCGCACCCUCGGCAGGGACGACACGGCACCAAGACAGCGCCACCAAAGCCACAACGGAGCCGGCUGAUGGUCAGGCCUUGCAAGACGGCGCUCCCGGGCCUGCGAAGGCCCCGAGGGGCGACCAGGCUCCUGAGGUCCACGCACCUUAGGAGGCACCACAACCUCCAGAGGACACAGGCUCCAUCAACGCCCCCGCUCUUGUCGAGCACCCAGUAUACAUCGUCAGCACAGUGUUACGGGACGCAAGAGCACCGUAUCCCAUGCCACAGAAGCUCUUACUCGCGCUCUUGGUGGCCUCACGCAAGCUACGCCAUUAUUUCCAAGGCCACCCAAUCAAGGUCGUCUCAGCCUACCCCCUGGAGAGGGUGCUCCGGAGCCCCAAUGCCGCGGGGAGAGUCGCUGAGUGGAACAUUGAACUGCAAGCGUUUCAGUUGGAGUUCAGCACGACCAGGGUCAUCAAGGGAGCCGCGCUCUCCGACUUUGUUGCAGAAUGGACCGACGCUCCGGAGCUCGAAGCGGGCGAAAGCCGAUCCCUCUCGCCAGGAGAUGAAGCACCGGAUGGCUGGGUCAUGUACUUCGAUGGCACUUUCGCACGACAAGGUGCGGGAUCUGGCGCUGUGCUCAUCUCGCCCACCCAAGACAAGCUAUACUACGCCGUGCAGCUCUGCUUGCAGUAGGGUGAGAAGGUCUCCAACAACAUCGCGGAAUAUGAGGGGUUGAUCACCGGCCUCAAGGCCACCGCGGCCUUGGGGGUGAAGCAUCUCACCAUAAAGGGCGACUCGCAGCUCCUCGUCAACUUCUCCAACAAGGUGUACGAACCGAGGGACGAGCACAUGGAGGCGUACCUCGUGGAGGUGCGCAAGAUGGAGAAGCAAUUCUUGGGCCUAUAGCUACAGCAUGUGCCAUGCAGCACCAACAAGGAGGCCGACGAGACCGCCAAGAGGUUGUCAAGGCGUCUAUCCCAAGAACCUGGUGUCUUCGAAGAGCGACUCUUCAAGCCUUCAGCGACCCCCGCGGCCGUGGAGACUACACCAUCUCGAGAGGAACUCCCCCAGCCACCAGCCUCGGGAGCCCCCGCUUGCUGUCCGACCUCAAGAGUAGGUCUGCUCCUGCCGCUCGAGCCUCAAGAAGGGUGCUAGACUGAGGACUUCAAGGCGUACCCGGAGCAAGGGACACUGCGGGAGAAAAAGGAGGACGCGGAGCGUGUGAGCCGACAGGCUAUGGCAUACUGCAUCCAGGACGGUGAGCUGUACAGAAGACGACCAAAUGAUGUUUCCUUGCGAUGCAUCUCUAGGGAGCAGGGGAACGAGCUGCUGGCUGACAUACACGGCGGAGACUGCGGGCAUCACUCAUUGUCGCGUACGCUGGUUGGCAAGGCGUUCCACAGCGGGUUCUACUGGCCCACGGCACUCGGCGACGCAACCGAGCUGGUGAGAUCCUGCAAGGCCUGCCAGUUCCAUGCCAAGCAAAUUCACCAGCCGGCUCAAGGCCUCCAGACCAUCCCACUCUCCUGGCCAUUCGCGGUCUGGGGGCUGGAUAUCCUGGGCCCCUUCCCUCGGGCGCCCGGGGGCUACUGCUACCUCUUGAGCAUGCGUUGGUUUUCCCUUGAAGAGGAAAGGGUGAUACAGCAAAGUAGCGUAAGUAUUGCCCUCGGUUUUUGAAAACCAUGGUAUCAACCUAGUAGGAGAUAACACGCAAGUCACCUAGUACCUGCACAAACAAUCAAGAACCUUGCAACCAAUGCGAUAAAGGGGUUGUCAAUCCCUUCACGGUCACUCGCAAAAGAGAGAUCUAAUAAAGAUAGUAAGAUAAAUAUUUUUGGUAUUAUUGUUGUAUAGAUUGGAAAGUAAAGAUUGCAAAAUAGUAAAACGAGAUGUGAUGUAAAUAAAAGAGAUGCAAUAUAAUAAGAAAGAGACCCAGGGGCCAUAGGUUUCACUAGUGGCUUCUCUCAAGAUAGCAUAUAUUACGGUGGGUGAACAAAUUACUGCCGAGUAAUUGAUAGAAGAGUGCAUAGUUAUGAGAAUAUCUAGGCAAUGAUCAUGAAUAUAGGCAUCACGUCCGUGUCAAGUAGACCAAAACGAUUCUGCAUCUACUACUAUUACUCCACACAUCGACCGCUAUCUAGCAUGCAUCUAGAGUAUUAAGUUCAUAAGAACAGAGUAAUGCAUUAAGCAAGAUGACAUGAUGUAGAGGGAUAAAAUCAAACAAUAUGAUAUAAACCCCAUCUUUUUAUCCUCGAUGGCAACAAUACAAUACGUGCCUUGCUGCCCCUACUGUCAAUGCGAAAGGACACCGCAAGGUUGAACCCAAAGCUAAGCACUUCUCCCAUUGCAAGAAAGAUCAAUCUAGUAGGCCAAACUAGACCGAUAAUUCAAAGAGACUUGCAAAGAUAUCAAAUCAUGCAUAUAAGAAUUAAGAGAAGAACCAAAUAUUAUACAUAGGUAAACUUGAUCAUAAAUCCACAAUUCAUCGGAUCUCGGCAAACACACAGCAAAAGAGUAUUACAUCGAAUAGAUCUCCAAGAACAUCGAGGAGAACUUUGUAUUGAGAACCAAAGAGAGAGAAGAAGCCAUCUAGCUAAUAACUAUGGACCCCAAGGUCUGUGGUAAACUACUCACACAUCAUCAGAGAGGCUAUGGUGUUGAUGUAGAAGCCCUCCGUGAUCGAUUCCCCCUCCGGUAGAUCGCCGGAAAAGGCCCCAAGAUGGGAUCUCACGGGUAGGGAAGGUUGCGGCGGUGGAAAAGUUGUUUCGUGGCUUCCCCUGAUGUUUCAGGGUAUAAGAGUAUAUAUAGGCGAAAGAAGUACGCCGGUGGAGCUCCGUGGGGCCCACGAGAGUGGGGGGCGCGCCUACCCCCCUGGGCGCGCCCUCCUACCUCGUGGCUGCCUCACGGAGUUCCAUACUUCAACUCCAGGUCUUAUGGAUUGCAUUUGUUCCCAGAAAGAUCAUCGCGAAGGUUUCAUUCCAUUUGGUAUUCGUUUUCUGCAAAACACUGAAAUAGGCAAAAAAAACUGGCACUGGGCCUUCGGUUAAUAGGUUAGUCCCAAAAAUAAUAUAAAGGAGCAUAUUAAAGCCCAUUAAACAUCCAAAACAGAUAAUAUAAUAGCAUGGAACAAUAAAAAAUUAUAGAUACAUUGGAGACAUAUCAAGCAUCCCCAAGCUUAAUUCUUGCUCGUCCUCGAGUAGGUAAAUGAUAAAAACAGAAUUUUUGAUGUGGAAUGCUACCUAAGAUAUUUCUCAAUGUAAUUUUCUUUAUUGUGUUAAGAUCCGAAAGAUUCAAGACAAAAGUUUAAUAUAGACAUAAAAAUAAUAAUACUUUACGUAUACUAACCAAGCAAUUAUGUCUUCUCAAAAUAACAUAGCCAAAGAAAGCUCAUCCCUCCAAAAUCAUAUAGUUUGGCUAUGCUCCAUCUUCGUCACACAAAAUGCUCCAAUCGUGCACAACCCCGAUGACAAGCCAAGCAAUUGUUUCAUACUUUAGUAUUCUCAAACUUUUUCAACUUUCACGCAAUAUAUGAGCGUGAGCCAUGGACAUAGCACUAUAGCUGGAAUAGAAUGGUGGUUGUGGAGAAGACAAAAAAAAGUGGAAGAUGGUAUCACAUCAACUAGGCGUAUCAAUGGGCUAUGGAGAUGCCCAUCAAUAGAUAUUAAUGUGAGUGAGUAGGGAUUGCCAUGCAACGUAUGCACUAGAGCUAUAAGUGUAUGAAAGCUCAACAAAAGAAACUAAGUGAGUGUGCAUCCAACUUGCUUGCUCACGAAGACCUAGGGCAAUUUGAGGAAGCCCAUCAUUCGAAUAUACAAGCCAAGUUCUAUAAUUAAAAAUUCCCACUAGUAUUUGAAAGUGAAAACAUAAGAGACUCUCUAUCCUGAAGAUCAUGGUGCUACUUUGAAGCACAAGUGUGGAAAAAGGAUAGUAACAUUGUCCCUUCUCUCUUUUUCUCUCAUCAUUUUUUUAUUUGGGCCUUCUCCUUUUUUUAUGGCCUCUUUUUUUAUUUUUCGUCAGGAGUCUCAUCCCGACUUAUGGGGGAAUCAUAGUCUCCAUCAUCCUUUCCUCACAUGGGACAAUGCUCUAAUAAUGAAGAUCAUCACACUUUUAUUUAGUUACAAAUCAAGAAUUAUAACUCGAUACUUAGAACAAAAUAUGACUAUGUGAAUGCCUCCGGCGGUGUACCGGGAUGUGCAAUGAAUCAAGAGUGACAUGUAUGAAAAAUUAUGAAUGGUGGCCAUGCCACAAAUACGAUGUCAACUACAUGAUCAUGCAAAGCAAUAUGACUAUGAUGAAGCGUGUCAUAAUAAACGGAACGGUGGAAGGUUGCAUGGCAAUAUCUCUCGGAAUGGCUAUGGAAAUGCCAUAAUAGGUAGGUAUGGUGGCUGUUUUGAGGAAGGUAAAUGAUGGGUAUAAGGUACCGGUUAAAGUUGCGCGGCACAAGAGAGGCUAGCAAUGGUGGAAGGGGUGAGAGUGCGUAUAAUCCAUGGACUCAACAUUAGUCAUAAAGAACUCACAUACUUAUUGCAAAAAUAUUUUUGUUAUCGAAACGAAGUAUUACGCGCAUGCUCCUAGGGGGAUAGAUUGGUAGGAAAAGACCAUCGCUCAUCCCCGACCGCCACUCAUAAGGAAGGCAAUCAAAGAAACACCUCAUUCUUCAAAUUUGUCACACAACGGUUACCAUACGUGCAUGCUACUAGACUUGCAAACCUCAACACAAGUAUUUCUCAAUUUCACAGUUACUCAACUAGCACGACUCUAAUAUCACCAUCUUCAUAUCUCAAAACAAUCAUCAAGUAGUAUUCAAUGCACUUUAUAUGAAAGUUUUUAUUAUACCCAUCUUGAAUGCCCAUCAUAUUAGGACUAAUUUUAUAACCAAAGCAAAUUACCAUGCUGUUCUAAAAGACUCUCAAAAUAAUAUAAGUGAAGCAUGAGAGAUCAAUAAUUUCUAUAAAAUAAAACCACCACCGUGCUCUCAAAAGAUAUAAGUGAAGCACUAGAGCAAAAUUAUCUAGCUCAAAAGAUAUAAGUGAAGCACAUAGAGUAUUCUAAUAAAUUCUGAGCAUGUGUGUCUCUCCCAAAAGGUGUGUACAUCAAGGAUGAUUGUGGUAAACUAAAAAUCAAAGACUCAAAUCAUACAAGACGCUCCAAGCAAAACACAUUUCAUGUGGUGAAUAAAAAUAUGGCCACAAGUAAAGUUACCGAUAGACGAAGACGAAAGAGGGGAUACCUUCCGGGGCAUCCCCAAUCUUAGGCUUUUGGUUGUCCUUGAAUUUUACCUUGGGGUGCCUUGGGCAUCCCCAAGCUUAGGCUCUUGCCACUCCUUAUUCCAAAAUCCAUCAAAUCUUUACCCAAAAACUUGAAAACUUCACAACACAAAACUUAACAGAAAAUCUCAUGAGCUCCGUUAGUAUAAAAAAAACCCACCACUUUAAGGUACUAUCGACAUGCAAGUCGUGAUUCCUAUUACAAGAACAUGAUCAAUCUCAUACAUCACAUAUAUCAUUCAUCACAUCCUUUUGGCCAUAUCACAUCACAUAGCAUAUGCUGCAAAAACAAGUUAGACGUCCUCUAAUUGUUGUUGCAAGUUUUUUACGUGGCUUGUAUAGGUUUCUAGCAAGAACGUUUCUUACCUACGUAAAACCACAACGUGAUAUGCCAAUUUCUAUUUACCCUUCAUAAGGACCCUUUUCAUCGAAUCCGUUCCGACUAAAGUGGGAGAGACAGACACCCGCUAGCCACCUUAUGCAACUAGUGCAUGUCAGUCGGUGGAACCUGUCUCACGUAAGCGUACGUGUAAGGUCGGUCCGAGCCGCUUCAUCCCACAAUACCGCCGAAACAAGAUAAGACUAGUAGCGGCAAGAAGAAUUGGCAACAUCGACGCCCACAACUACUUUGUGUUCUACUCGUGCAUAGAAACUACGCAUAGACCUAGCUCUGAUACCACUGUUGGGGAACGUAGCAGAAAUUCAAAAUUUUCUACGCAUCACCAAGAUCAAUCUAUGGAGUAAUCUAGCAACGAGGGGAAGGGGAGUGCAUCUACAUACCAUAGUAGAUCGCGAUGUGGAAGCGUUGCAAGAACGCGGAUGAGGGAGUCGUACUCGUAGCGAUUCAGAUCGCGGUUGAUUCCGAUCUAAGCACCGAAGAACGGUGCUUCCGCGUUCAACACACGUGCAGCCCGGUGACGUCUCCCACGCCUUGAUCCAGCAAGGAGAGAGGGAGAGGUUGGGGAAGACUCCAUCCAGCAGCAGCACGACGGCGUGGUGGUGAUGGAGGAGCGUGGCAAUCCCGCAGGGCUUCGCCAAGCACCGCGGGAGAGGAGGAGGAGGGAGAGGGGUAGGGCUGCACCGAAAGAGAGACAUUCUCAUGUGUAUGGCAGCCCCAAACCUCAACUAUAUAUAGGGGGGAGGGGGCUGCGCCCCCUCUAGGGAUUCCACCCCAAGGGCUGGCGGCCAGCCCUAGAUCCCAUCUAGGGGGGCGGCCAAGGGGAGGAGAGGGGGGGCGCCACUAGUGUGGGCCUUAAGGCCCAUCUGGACCUAGGGUUUGCCCCCUCCCACUCUCCCAUGCGCCUUGGGACUUGGUGGGGGGCACACCAGCCCACUUGGGGCUGGUCCCCUCCCACACUUGGCCCACGCAGCCUUCUGGGGCUGGUGGCCCCACUUGGUGGACCCCCGGGACCCUCCCGGUGGUCCCGGUACAUUACCGAUAUCACCCGAAACUUUUCCGGUGACCAAAACAGGACUUCCCAUAUAUAAAUCUUUACCUCCGGACCAUUCCGGAACUCCUCGUGACGUUCGGGAUCUCAUCCAGGACUCUGAACAACAUUCGGUAACCACGUACAUACUUUCCUAUAACCCUAGCGUCAUCGAACCUUAAGUGUGUAGACCCUACGGGUUCGGGAACCAUGCAGACAUGACCGAGACGUUCUCCGGUCAAUAACCAACAGCGGGAUCUGGAUACCCAUGUUGGCUCCCACAUGUUCCAUGAUGAUCUCAUCGGAUGAACCACGAUGUCGGGGAUUCAAUCAAUCCCGUAUUCAAUUCCCUUUGUCUAUCUGUAUGUUACUUGCCCGAGAUUCGAUCGUCGGUAUCCCGAUACCUUGUUCAAUCUCGUUACUGGCACGUCUCUUUACUCGUUCCGUAACUCACAUCAUCCCGUGAUCAACUCCUUGGUCACAUUGUGCACAUUAUGAUGAUGUCCUACCGAGUGGGCCCAGAGAUACCUCUCCGUUUAAACGGAGUGACAAAUCCCAGUCUCGAUUCGUGCCAACCCAACAGACACUUUCGGAGAUACCUGUAGUGCACCUUUAUAGCCACCCAGUUACGUUGUGACGUUUGGUACACCCAAAGCAUUCCUACGGUAUCCGGGAGUUGCACAAUCUCAUGGUCUAAGGAAAUGAUACUUGACAUUAGAAAAGCUAUGAGCAAACGAACUACACGAUCUUGUGCUAGGCUUAGGAUUGGGUCUUGUCCAUCACAUCAUUCUCCUAAUGAUGUGAUCCCGUUAUCAACGACAUCCAAUGUCCAUGGUUAGGAAACCGUAACCAUCUAUUGAUCAACGAGCUAGUCAACUAGAGGCUUACUAGGGACAUGGUGUUGUCUAUGUAUCCACACAUGUAUCUGAGUUUCCUAUCAAUACAAUUCUAGCAUGGAUAAUAAACGAUUAUCAUGAAUAAGGAAAUAUAAUAAUAACCAAUUUAUUAUUGCCUCUAGGGCAUAUUUCCAACAGUCUCCCACUUGCACUAGAGUCAAUAAUCUAGUCCACAUCAGCAUGUGAUUAACACUCAUAGGUCACAUCACCAUGUGACCAACACCCAAGAGUUUACUAGAGUCAACAAUCUAGUUCACAUCACCAUGUGAUUAACACUCAAUGAGUUCUGGUUUGAUCAUGUUAUGCUUGUGAGAGAGGUUAUUAGUCAACGGGUCUUGAACCUUUCAGAUCCGUGUGUGCUUUGCGAAUAUCUAUGUCAUCUUGUGGAUGCUACCACGCGCUAUUUGGAGCCAUUUCAAAUAAUUGCUCUACUAUACGAAUUCGGUUUACUACUCAGAGUCAUCCGGAUUAGUGUCAAAGUUCGCAUCGACGUAACCCUUUACGACGAACUCCCUUUCACCUCCAUAAUCGAGAAAAUUCCUUAGUCCACUAGGUACUAAGGAUAAGUUCGACCGCUGUCAUGAGAUCCUUUCCCGGAUCACUAUUGUACCCUCUUGACCAACUCAUGGCAAGGAACACUACAUGUGCGGUACACAGCAUAGCAUACUAUAGAGCCUACGUCUAAAGCAUAGGGGACGACCUUCGUCCUUUCUCUAUCUUCUGCUGUGGUCAGGUCUUGAGUCUUACUCAAUACUCACACCUUGUAACACAGCCAAGAACUCCUUCUUUGCUGAUCUAUUUUGAACUCUUUCAAAAUCAUGUCAAGGUGUGCGUUCUUUGAAAGUAUCAUCAGGCGUCUUGAUCUAUCUCUAUAGAUCUUGAUGCCCAAUAUGAAAGCAGCUUUAUCCAGGUCUUCCUUUCAAAAACUCCUUUCAAACAACCCUUUAUGCUUUCCAGAAAUUUUACAUCAUUUCGGAUCAACAAUAUGUCAUUCACAUAUACUUAUCAGAAAUGUUGUAGCGCUCCCACUCACUUUAUUGUAAAUACAAGUUUCUAACAAACUUUGUAUAAACCCAAAAACUUUGAUCGCUCCAUCAAAGCUUAUAUUCUGACUCCGAGAUGCUUGCUCUAGUCCAUGGAAGGAUCGCUGGAGCUAGCAUACCUUUUAGCAUCCUUAGGAUCGACAAAACCUUUCUGAUUGUAUCACAUACAACCUUUCCUUACGAAAACUGGUAAGGAAACUUGUUUUGACAUCCAUCUGCCAGAUUUCAUAAAUGCAGCUAAUGCUAACAUGAUUCCGACGGACUUAAGCAUCGCUACGGAUGAGAAAAUCUCAUCGUAGUCAACUCCUUGAACUUGUGAAAAUACUCUUUGCCACAAGUCGAGCUUCAUAGACGGCAACCUUACCGUCCACGAUCGUCUUCUUCUUAAAGAUCCAUUUAUCUCGGAUUUCAUGGCUUCUAACCAUUUGUCGGAAUAUCGGCCCACCAUCGCUUCUCCAUAGCUCAUAGGUUCAUCGUUGUCCAACAACAUGACUUCCAAGACAGGAUCACGUACUACUCUGAAGUAUUACGCAUCCUCGUCGUCCUACGAGGUUUGGUAGUGACUUGAUCCGAAGUUUCAUGGUCACCAUCAUAAGCUUCCACUUCAAUUGGUGUAGGUGCCACAGGAACAACUUCCUGUGCCCUGCUACACACUAGUUGAAGUGACGGUUCAAUAACCUUAUCAAGUCUCCACCAUCCUCCCACUCAAUUCUUUCGAGAGAAACUUUUCCUCGAGAAAGGACCCAUUUCUAGAAGCAAUUACUUUUGCUUCCAGAUCUGAAAUAGGAGGUAUACCCAACUGUUUUGGGUUUUCUAUGAAGAUGCAUUUAUCCGCUUUGGGUUCGAGCUUAUCAGCCUGAAACUUUUUCACAUAAGCAUCGCAGCCCCAAACUUUUAAGAAACGACAACUCAGGUUUCUCUAAACGGUGUCGUCUCAACGGAAUUGCGUGGUGCCCUAUUUAAAGUGAAUGCGGUUGUCUCUAAUGCCUAACCCAUAAACGAUAGUGGUAAUUCGAUAAGAGACAUCAUGGCAUGCACCAUAUCCAAUAGGGUGCAGUUAUGAUGUUCGGACACACCAUCACACUAUGGUGUUCCAGGAGGUAUUAAUUGUGAAACACUUUCCACAAUGUCUUAAUUGUGUGCCAAACUCGUAACUCAGAUACUCAUCUCUAUGAUCAUAUCACAUACAUUUUAUCCUCUUGUCAUGACGAUCUUCAACUUCACUAUGAAAUUACUUGAACCUUUCAAUAAUUCAGACUUGUGUUUCAUCAAGUAAAUACACUCAGCAUCUACUCAAACCAUCUGUGAAGUAAGAACAUAACGAUAUCCACUGCAUGCCUCAGCACUCAUUGGACUGCAUACAUCAAAAUGUAUUACUUCCAAUAAGUUGCUCUCUUGUUCCAUCUUACUGAAAACGAGGCCUUUCAGUCAUCUUGCCCAUGUGGUAUGAUUUGCAUGUCUCAAGUGAUUCAAAAUCAAGUGAGUCCAAACGACCCAUCUGCAUGGAGUUUCUUCAUGCAUAUAUACCAAUAGACAUGGUUCGCAUGUCUCAAUCUUUUAAAAAAUGACUGAGUCCAAAGAUCCAUCUACAUGGAGCUUCUUCAUGCGUUCUAUACCAGUAUGACUCAAAUGGCAGUGCCACAAGUAUGUGGUACUAUCAUUACUAUUUUAUAUCUUUUGGCACGAACAUGUGUAUCACUGCGAUCAAGAUUCAUUUUAGGUGCAAGACCAUUGAAGGUAUUAUUCAAAUAAACAGAGUAACCAUUAUUCUCCUUAAAUGAAUAACCGUAUUGCGAUAAACAUAAUCCAAUCAUGAUCAACGCAAACACCAAAUCUCGAUAGUAGAGGGAGCAUGCGAUGCUUGAUCACAUCAACCUCGGAAACACAUCCAACACACAUCGUCAUCUCACCUUUAGCCAGUCUCCGUUUAUUCCGCAGCUUUUAUUUCGAGUUACUAACACUUAGCAACCGAACCGGUAUCUAAUACCCUGGUGCUGCUAGGAGUACUAGUAAAGUACACAUUCAUAUAAUGUAUAUCCAAUAUACUUCUGUCGACCUUGCCUGCCUUCUCAUCUACCAAGUAUCUAGGGUAGUACUGCUUCAGUGACCGUUCCCCUCAUUACAGAAGCACUUAGUCUCGGGUUUGGGUUCAACCUUGGGAUUCUUCACUAGAGCAGCAAAUGAUUUGCUGUUUCAUGAAGUAUCCCUUUUGCCCUUGCCCUUCUAGAAACUAGUGGUUUUACUAACCAUCAACAAUUGAUGCUCCUUCUUGAUUUCUACUUUCGCGGUGUCAAACAUCGCGAGUUGCUCAAGGAUCAUCAUCUAUCCUUGAUAUUUAUAGUUCAUCACGAAGCUCUAAUAGCUUGGUGGAAGUGAUUAUGGAGAACCAUCACUAUCUCAUCUGGAAGAUUAACUCCCACUCGAUUCAAGCGAUUGUGGCACUCAGACAAUCUGAGCACAUGCUCAACGAUUGAGCAUUUCUCCCUUAGUCUGCAGGCUUAAGAAACUUGUCAGAGGUUUCAUACCUCUUGACGUGGGCACUAGUCCGAAAUCCCAAUUUCAGUCUUCGGAACAUCUCAUAUGUUCUGCGACGUUUCAAAAACCCGUCUUUGGUGCCACAAUUCUAAACCUUUAGCAUUACUCACUGAACUAUCACGUAGUCAUCAAAACGUGUAUGUCAGAUGUUUCGCAACAUCUAUAGACGACGCUGAGGUUCAGCACACCGAGCGGUGCAUUAAGCACAUAAGCCUUCUGUGCAGCAAUGAGGACAAUCCUCAGUUUACGGACCCAGUCCGCAUAAUUGCUACUACCAACUUUCAACUAAAUUUUCUCUAGGAACAUAUCUUAACACAUAGAACUAAAGCGCAAGCUAUGACAUAAUUUGCAAAGACCUUUUUGACUAUGUUCAUGAUAAUGAAGUUCAUCUGAUUAUGAACUCCCACUCAGAUAGACAUCCCUCUAGUCAUCUAAGUGAUACAUGAUCCGAGUCAAACUAGGCCGUGUCCGAUCAUCACGUGAGACGGACUAGUCAUCAUCGGUGAACAUCUCCAUGUUGAUCGUAUCUUCUAUACGACUCAUGCUCGACCUUUCGGUCUCUUGUGUUCCGAGGCCAUGUCUGUACAUGCUAGGCUCGUCAAGUCAACCUAAGUGUUUCGCAUGUGUUCCGAGGCCAUGUCUGUACAUGCUAGGCUCGUCAACACCCAUUGUAUUCGAACGUUAGAAUCUAUCACACCCGAUCAUCACGUGGUGCUUCAAAACAACGAACCUUCGCAACGGUGCACAGUUAGGGGGAACACUUCUCUAUAAAUUUUAGUGAGGGAUCAUCUUAUUUACGCUACCGUCGUUCUAAGCAAAUAAGAUGUAAACAUGAUAAACAUCACAUGCAAAUCAUAAAGUGACGUGAUAUGGCCAAUAUCAUCUUGCGCCUUUUUAUCUCCAUCUUCGAGGCGCGGCAUGAUCACCUUCGUCACCGGCAUGACACCAUGAUCUCCAUCAUCGUGUCUUCAUGAAGUUGUCUCGCCAACUAUUAAUUCUACUACUAUGGCUAACGGUUAGCAAUAAAGUAAAGUAAUUACAUGGCGUUUUCAUUGACACGCAGAUCAUACAAUAAAUUAAGACAACUCCUAUGGCUCCUGCCGGUUGUCAUACUCAUCGACAUGCAAGUCGUGAUUCCUAUUACAAGAACAUGAUCAAUCUCAUACAUCACAUAUAUCAUACAUCACAUCCUUUUGGCCAUAUCACAUCACAUAGCAUAUGCUGCAAAAACAAGUUAGACGUCCUCUAAUUGUUGUUGCAAGUUUUUUACGUGGCUUGUAUAGGUUUCUAGCAAGAACGUUUCUUACCUACGUAAAACCACAACGUGAUAUGCCAAUUUCUAUUUACACUUCAUAAGGACCCUUUUCAUAGAAUCCGUUCCGACUAAAGUGGGAGAGACAGACACCCGCUAGCCACCUUAUGCAACUAGUGCAUGUCAGUCGGUGGAACCUGUCUCACGUAAGCGUACGUGUAAGGUCGGUCCGGGCCGCUUCAUCCCACAAUACCGCCGAAACAAGAUAAGACUAGUAGCGGCAAGAAGAAUUGGCAACAUCGACGCCCACAACUACUUUGUGUUCUACUCGUGCAUAGAAACUACGCAUAGACCUAGCUCUGAUACCACUGUUGGGGAACGUACCAGAAAUUCAAAAUUUUCUACGCAUCAGCAAGAUCAAUCUAUGGAGUAAUCUAGCAACGAGGGGAAGGGGAGUGCAUCUACAUACCAUUGUAGAUCGCGAUGCGGAAGCGUUGCAAGAACGUGGAUGAGGGAGUCGUACUCGUAGCGAUUCAGAUCGCGGUUGAUUCCGAUCUAAGCACCGAAGAACGGUGCCUCCGCGUUCAACACACGUGCAGCCCGGUGACGUCUCCCACGCCUUGAUCUAGCAAGGAGAGAGGGAGAGGUUGGGGAAGACUCCAUCCAGCAGCAGCACGACGGCGUGGUGGUGAUGGAGGAGCGUGGCAAUCCCGCAGGGCUUCGCCAAGCACCGCGGGAGAGGAGGAUGAGGGAGAGGGGUAGGGCUGCACCGAAAGAGAGACGUUCUCAUGUGUAUGGCAGCCCCAAACCUCAACUAUAUAUAGGGGGGGAGGGGGCUGCGCCCCCUCUAGGGUUUCCACCCCAAGGGCUGACGGCCAGCCCUAGAUCCCAUCUAGGGGGGCGGCCAAGGGGAGGAGAGGGGGGCGCCACUAGGGUGGGCCUUAAGGCCCAUCUGGACCUAGGGUUUGCCCCCUCCCACUCUCCCAUGCGCCUUGGGCCUUGGUGGGGGGCACACCAGCCCACCUGGGGCUGGUCCCCUCCCACACUUGGCCCACGCAGCCUUCUAGGGCUGGUGGCCCCACUUGGUGGACCCCCGGGACCAUCCCGGUGGUCCCGGUACAUUACCGAUAUCACCCGAAACAUUUCCGGUGACCAAAACAGCACUUCCCAUAUAUAAAUCUUUACCUCCGGACCAUUUCGGAACUCCUCGUGACGUCCGGGAUCUCAUCAGUAACCACGUACAUACUUUCCCUAUAACCCUAGCGUCAUCGAACCUUAAGUGUGUAGACCCUACGGGUUCGGGAACCAUGCAGACAUGACCGAGACGUUCUCCGGUCAAUAACCAACAGCGGGAUCUGGAUACCCAUGUUGGCUCCCACAUGUUCCACGAUGAUCUCAUCGGAUGAACCACGAUGUCGGGGAUUCAAUCAAUCCCGUAUUCAAUUCCCUUUGUCUAUCGGUAUGUUACUUGCCUGAGAUUCGAUCGUCGGUAUCCCGAUACCUUGUUCAAUCUCGUUACCGGCAAGUCUCUUUACUCAUUCCGUAACUCACAUCAUCUCGUGAUCAACUCCUUGGUCACAUUGUGCACAUUAUGAUGAUGUCCUACCGAGUGGGCCCAGAGAUACCUCUCCGUUUACACGGAGUGACAAAUCCCAGUCUCGAUUCGUGCCAACCCAACAGACACUUUCGGAGAUACCUGUAGUGCACCUUUAUAGCCACCCAGUUACGUUGUGACGUUUGGUACACCCAAAGCAUUCCUACGGUAUCCGGGAGUUGCACAAUCUCAUGGUCUAAGGAAAUGAUACUUGACAUUAGAAAAGCUCUGAGCAAACGAACUACACGAUCUUGUGCUAGGCUUAGGAUUGGGUCUUGUCCAUCACAUCAUUCUCCUAAUGAUGUGAUCCCGUUAUCAACGACAUCCAAUGUCCAUGGUUAGGAAACCGUAACCAUCUAUUGAUCAACGAGCUAGUCAACUAGAGGCUUACUAGGGACAUGGUGUUGUCUAUGUAUCCACACAUGUAUCUGAGUUUCCUAUCAAUACAAUUCUAGCAUGGAUAAUAAACGAUUAUCAUGAACAAGGAAAUAUAAUAAUAACCAAUUUAUUAUUGCCUCUAGGGCAUAUUUCCAACAAUAUGACCCUCAGGAGGUUCUUUGGUUUUAUUAAUGAUCAAACUCCGAGGCAAGAAAUCAAGAAAUUCAUUUGUAGCAAAAGGUUCCUUAAUGAUAUCGAAAAAAUUGGGCUGAACACUUAUUGAUUUGAGGUCUUCAUUUUCCUUAGUAGAAGAUUCACCCUUAUUUUUAGGAACAUAUAUAAACUUGGAAACUUUGGUAGGAGGAGGAUUUGAGGUAUUUUUUACAGCAGAAAAAGCGGAUCCCAAGUUGGUAAUAAUAUCUGCGGGUUUAUCAAUUCUAGUGGAAUCUUGGUUUAUCUUCUCAUUAACUAUGGGUUCCUUUUCCCUAAGAUUUUUCAGAGUAACUCCUACCUUAGAUCCAUAUUGGGUAAUGUGGUUGUGGAUCUUUUUAUACAAAUUUUCGAUUAACUCUAUGGUGGCAAUUUUAGUUUCAAUGAUAUCAAGCCUUUGUUUUUUUUGCGGGUCAAUGAUAUCAAGCCUUUCCAUCACAUGUUCCAAAGUUAAAAUAGUUCCAUUGACCAAAAGAGGAGGUGGGCCUAAAAAAUCUAUCAUAGCAUUAUAAGAAUCAAAAGUAUGCUCCCCAACAAAUUCCCUCCGGUAAUGGUGUCAAGAACAUAUCUAUUCCAAGGAGUAAUGCCUACAUAAAAAUUGCAAAGAAGAACGGAAGUGGAUUGCUUUUUAGUAGAUCUAUUUUGAGCAUUGCAAAUUCUAUACCAAGCAUGUUUUAGAUUUUCUCCCUCCCUUUGUUUAAAAUUGAGAACUUCAUUAUCGGGAGUAUUAACAAUGAUAGGUGGGCUAGCCAUGACGGCGAAACAAAUGAUCUAACACACGGACACACAAGAGGCAAGCGAAAAGAGGCGAACGGAAAAGAGGCGAAGAAAGGCAAAGUUUUUUGAAAAUCGUUUUAGAAGUGGGGGAGAGGAAAACGAGAGGCGAAUGGCAAAUAAUGUAAUGCGAGGGAGAAGAGUUUAUGAUGGGUACUUGGUAUGUCUUGAAUUGAGCGUAGAUCUCCCCAGCAACGGCGCCAGAAAUCCUUCUUGCUACCUCUUGAGCAUGCGUUGGUUUUCCCUUGAAGAGGAAAGGGUGAUGCAGCAAAGUAGCGUAAGUAUUUCCCUCAGUUUUAGAGAACCAAGGUAUCAAUCCAGUAGGAGAUGACAUGCAAGUCACCUAGUACCUGCACAAACAAUCAAGAACCUUGCAACCAACGCAAUAUAGGGGUUGUUAAUCCUUUCACGGUCACUCGCAAAAGUGAGAUCUAAUAAAGAUAGUAAGAUAAAUAUUUUCGGUAUUUUUGUUGUAUAUAUUGGAAAGUAAAGAUCGCAAAAUAGUAAAACGAGAUGCGAUGUAAAUAAAAUAGAUGCAAGAUAAUAAGAAAGAGACCCAGGGGGCAUAGGUUUCACUAGUGGCUUCUCUCAAGAUAGCAUAUAUUACGGUGGGUGAACAAAUUACUGCCGAGCAAUUGAUAGAAGAGCGCAUAGUUAUGAGAAUAUCUAGGCAAUGAUCGUGAAUAUAGGCAUCAUGUCCGUGUCAAGUAGACCAAAACGAUUCUGCAUCUACUACUAUUACUCCAGACAUCGACCGCUAUCCAGCAUGCAUCUAGAGUAUUAAGUUCAUAAGAACAGAGUAAUGCAUUAAGCAAGAUGACAUGAUGUAGAGGGAUAAACUCAAACAAUAUGAUAUAAACCCCAUCUUUUUUAUCCUCGAUGGCAACAAUACAAUACGUGCCUUGCCGCCCCUACUGUCACUGGGAAAGGACACCGCAAGAUUGAACCCAAAACUAAGCACUUCUCCCAUUGCAAGAAAGAUCAAUCUAGUAGGCCAAACUAAAUGAAUUAUUCAAAGAGACUUGCAAAGAUAUCAAAUCAUGCAUAUGAGAAUUCAGAGAAGAACCAAAUAUUAUUCAUAGAUAAGCUUGAUCAUAAAUCCACAAUUCAUCAGAUCUCGGCAAACACACCGCAAAAGAGUAUUACAUCGAAUAGAUCUCCAAGAACAUCGAGGAGAACUUUGUAUUGAGAACCAAAGAGAGAGAAGAAGCCAUCUAGCUAAUAACUAUGGACCCGAAGGUGUGUGGUAAACUACUCACACAUCAUCAAAGAGGCUAUGGUAUUGAUGUAGAAGCCCUCCGUGAUCGAUUCCCCCUCCGGCAGAUCGCCGGAAAAGGCCCCAAGAUGGGAUCUCACGGGUACAGAAGGUUGCGGCGGUGGAAAGUUGUUUCGUGGCUCCCCUUGAUGUUUUUAGGGUAUAAGAGUAUAUAUAGGCGAAAGAAGUAUGUCGGUGGAGCUCUGUGGGGCCCACGAUGGUGGGGGGCGCGCCUACCCCCCAGGGCGCGCCCUCCUGCCUCGUGGCCGCCUCUCGGAGUUCCAGACUUCAACUCCAAGUCUUCUGGAUUGCGUUUGUUCCAAGAAAUAUCAUCAUGAAGGUUUCAUUCUGUUUGGAUUCCGUUUGGUAUUCCUUUUCUGCAAAACACUGAAAUAGGCAAAAAAACCAGAAACUGGCACUAGGCCUUCGGUUAAUAGGUUAGUCCCAAAAAUAAUAUAAAAGAGCAUAUUAAAGCCCAUUAAACAUCCAAAACAUAUAAUAUAAUAGCAUGGAACAAUAAAAAAUUAUAGAUACAUUGGAGAAGUAUCAGCUACCAAUACCUCUACGUCGCCAUCGACAAGUUCACUAAAUGGGCGGAGGUGGAAGCCGUCCGCGCCAUCCCUGCCGGGUCCGCGGUCAAGUUCAUCAAGGGUCUCGUGAGCCUGUUUGGGGUCCCUAACCGCAUCAUCACCGACAAUGGCUCGCAGUUCUAGCAAUCUCUUCAAGACAUAUUGUGCUAACCUUGGAACGCAGAUUUGCUACACUUCGGUGGCACACCCCAGAAGCAAUGGCCAAGCCGAGCGCGCCAAUGAGUAGGCCCACAGAGGCCUCAAGACCAGGACCUUCAAGAAGAAACUCGAGGCCUGCGGCAGGGGCUGGCACGACGAGCUCCAGUCCAUGCUGUGGUCCAUCCACAACACCGCCACCAAGCCAACAGGCGAGACCCCAUUCUUCCUCGUCUACGAAGCAGAAGCGGUUCUCCCUCAUGAGGUCAGGCAUCACUCCGCGCGGGUCCUAGCGUUCGAUGAGAUGCAACAGGACGCCAUGCGGGGGAUGGACCUUGUGCUGGGGGAGGAACACCGUCGUGAAGCCUCGCUUAGGGAGGCAAGGUACCAGCAGGCGCUGCGGCGGUACCACUAUCGCAGUGUCCGCUCUAGGACGCUCGAGGUGGGCGAUCUCAUCCUGAGGCGGGUGCUCUCCAGGGAAGGGCUGCAUAAGCUCUUACCCAUGUGGGAGGGCCCAUUUAGGAUUGCCCGUGUCUCCAGGCCUGGCGCCGCGCGCCUGGAGACGAAGGACGGGAUCCCCAUCCAGAACUCCUGGAACAUCCAGCACCUCCGAAAGUUCUACCCAUGAAGCAAGGCCCAGUGCCUGUGAAGGUCUCCGCUCGUGACACUCUCACAUAAUAAUGAGUGGGGCUGUACACGCCCCGGAGUCUCCGGAGUGCCACCCUUGGGCCUCGGGGGCUCCCUCCCACGUUCUAGUGGCAACACUUAGCUCCGCACUGGUGAGAAGACUAGACUAGGUGCCGGACGCCGCUGUUCAUUUGCUUUCUGUAGUUGGCUUGCCCCUUUUCAUUUAAUGAAUUUGAAGUUCUCGUGUUUCUCUAUGGCUUGGUUGAACCGCCUCUUCUUUCUGAUUCUUCCCUUGAUUCUUCGUUUUGCGCCAGGGAGGGCGGCAGUUGCCCGACGCUCUCCCUCGCGUGCCUCGCGAGGGGGCUGGAUAGGUAUAUGCGCGUGCGCACUCCCCUAAUCUCCGCGACGCGCCCUUGUUUGAGCUUGUGAUCGGCGCAUCCCUUUUUAGUCCGUGCCCCAUGGGUACCGCGACGCGAUGCGCUUGGCUUGACCAGCCCAUGCCUGAGGCCUCGCGCAAUAAGGGAUAAGGAUUUCUUAACGAAUUUUUGCAGCUUCACGACAUUGCCCGAGUCGGCAGCAGGGAAGACCCAUCAGGUGCCCAGAGGCGCGCGCCCUCACAAGAUCAAGUCUACCCUGGAUACAACAAGCUAAGUUGCCCCUCUACACCCGCAUAAGGCACAGAUCUUACAACGCAACCCGAAAACAAUAAACACACCACAAAAGCAACAUAAGCACCAUGGUUCAUUACACGCCCUUGCAGGGCCCCAUACUCGUUUCUGGCAAUGCGGGGGUAACGGGGAAGGAGAGGACAAGCAAAAGCGGCUCCUACAACGCGGAUGCUCACGAGGAUCGGCCCCCCAGACACAGGCGGAGCCCUCCUCGCGCUUCACCGGGGCGCGACGACGGGACGACCCGCCACCGUAAUCGAAGCGAGCCCGACGGCGUGGCGGCUGGUCGUAGCCACCGCUGCUGGAGCUUUCGCCGGAGGAGGAUCUGCCAUAGCUGGGCGAACCGCGUCCGCCACCGAGGGCGAGGUCUCCUUCGUCCUCGUCACGGCCAUCGCCAAGGCCGAGCACCUCGCCACCAUCGUCGUCUUUAGGGCAGCAUCCGGCGCGGCGACCGUCUUCCCCGAACACCCUCACGAAGAGGGUCGCUGCACCGUCGUACUUAAAGUGGAUGGUGCACCACCUGCUCAGGCCGCGUGCGUGGGCGAACGUCUGCCAGCCGCGGGCCAGGGCUACGUUGCCUACGACGGAGAUCUCCACCGUGUCCCACGAAGCUUGGCUACAGCAACCGUCGGCCUGCAGCCAGAGACUGCUAGGACCCCUGGGCAGCAGCUCGCCGGCAAAGGAGUGCGAAAGCUGAAGCUAAGUGUCGGCCGAGUUCUCCCACCACACGACAAACUCCGGGAGCACCUCCGCUGAGUGCAAGCGCGGCCGGGGAGGCUGUGCGACCAUGGCGUGCCUCCCCUCAUUGACAGGGCUGCCACGAUCCGAGCGGCUCCCGCCGCGCGAAGAGGCGUCGCCGUGGCCGCCAGGGACGGCACCAGACCCUGGGGAAGUUCGCCCGCGCCCAUCACAGGCCAUGGAGGGAGUUGCGGCAUGCUUGCGGGGGCGACCGCGCCCCCUCUUAGGCGGUGGCGAGCCGGGCCCCUCCUGGCAGGCCUUCCCCUUCUCUGCGGCUGAGAACCUCUUCGCCGGCGCCAUGAGUCUCGCUGCAAGACGGCAGAGCAAGGAGGAGGAAGAAGAAGCAGGCGGGAUGGAGGAAGAGAUGAGCGACAGGGGCUCCGCCCGUCUCCUCAAUUAUAGCCAGAGGGAGGCCAACCGCCGGCCUCCACGAUCGUAGGUAAUGAUGGUUUUUCUGCAUGCAGCAGGGACUCGUCAAGUCGGGCAGUUGCCGAGGCAGCAUGGGGAAGCGGAGAUGCCCACGUCUUGUCAAUUACCACAUGUCAAUCAAGGCCUCAUGCUAUUGGGGCCCGCGACGCUCCACACUUGACCUUUGGCUUCGCCUUGAAGCCAUGUCCGAGCGCGCCUUGAGAUCGGGGGCUACUAUCAGCAUUCUAGGAACGGGGGUCCCCAAACUUUCCUGCCUGCGGCCCAUGGCGUGGCUCCACCAGCGGCCUGGUACGGCCCAUCUUCAUCUACAACCACACAAGACCCUCGCGAGGGGCCAAGCCUCGCGAGCUGGAUGACGCCAAGACCUCCUCAGGGGCAGCCUCACUAGGCUGGCUCCCGAGGAGUGGAGAUAUCUAUGCAAGGGGCACCUCGCGAGGUUCGCGUGACGUGAGCCAUGACGACCAAGGCCAGGCAGGCGCCAGCGGGUGCAGUGUACUGGUUGCCUCUUUGGUGCUAAAGGGGCAAGGGCAGGCGAGGAGUCCCGAGGCAUCAGGCAAAGGUUUCCAUAUCGGUGCAACAAGACCAAGACCAGCAGGACGACAUGAUGGAGGUCACCAUGGAGCCCAUGAUGGCGUCACCACCAGAGCCUUUGGCAGGCGAAGACCACCUUUUGUCAGGAUAGCAUGUACUAGCUGUCCCCCUUCAAAUUGGCCGUUGUGGGAUCCCUUCCCACCUAAUAUUUGGGAAGAGGACCAGGCCCUCUAUAAAUAGGACUAGCCACCACCACGGGGAGGCAUCUCAUCUUGGAUGGGAUCCACUCCACCAAGGCAAACUCAUAAGCUCCCCGAGCUCAAGAACACCACUCGUCAGGAGGCGGUUCAUCCCUUGUACUUGUUCAUCCUCAGCCUACAAGGCAAUCCACCACACCACACUGGAGUAGGGUAUUACACCACAACGGUGCCCGAACCAGUAUAAACCCUUGUGUCACUUGCUCUUUGGGUUCGGCAAGUUAGGCCUUGAGAUCGUUGUGCGAGCGAGCUAGGGAGAGAGAGAUCUUCGUGCGCACCCUAGUGUUUGAACCUCAAGGUUUGCCGGAACCCCUAAUCUGACAGCUCCGUGCGAGUCUUGGCGUUUGACGAGGCACGUAAGGACGUCGUGCGAGGGAUGGACCUCGUGCUAGGGGAGGAACGCCGCCACCAAGCCUCGCUCUGAGCGGCAAGGUACCGGCAGGCGCUGCGACGGUACCACUGCCACAGCGUCCGCUCCAGGACGCUCAAGGUGGGCGAUCUUGUCUUGAGGCGGGUGCUCUCCAGGGAAGGGUUGCAUAAGCUCUCACCCAUGUGGGAGGGCCCGUUUAGGAUCGCCCGUGUCUGCAGGCCUGGCGCCGUGCGCCUGGAGACGCAGGAUGGGAUCCCCAUCCAGAAUGCUUGGAACAUCCAACACCUCCGGAAGUUCUACCCAUGAAGCAAGGCCCAGUGCUUGUGAAGGUCUCCACUCGUGACACUCUCACGUAAUAAUGAGUGGGGUUCUACACACCCCGGAGUCUCCGGAGAGCCUCCCUCGGGCCUCGGGGGCUCCCUCCCACGUCUUAGUGGCAGCACUUAGCUCCGUGCUGGUGAGAAGACUAGAAUAGGUGCCGGACGCGGCUGUUCAUUUGCUUUCUGUAGCUGGCUUUGCAACUUUUUAGUGAGAUUUGGAGUUCUGGCGUUUCUUGAUUGCUUGGUUGAGUCCCCCUUUUUUCUCUGCUUCUUCACUCACUCCUCUGUUUUGCGCCAGGGAGGACGGCAGUUGCCCAACGCUCUCCCUCGUGCACCUCGCACGGGGGCUAGGCAGGUGUGUGCGUGCGCUGGGCUAGCCUAAACCACGGGUACGCCUCGCCAAAGCCCUGUCGCUCUAGAGCUUCGGCUCCCUUGAUUUUCGUGAGGCACCCUCGAUUGAUCUCUUGAUUGGCGCACCCUCCUAAGUCCGUGCCCCAUGGGUACCGCAACGUGGUGCACUAGGCCAUGACCAGCCCAUUCCUGAGGGCUCGCGCAGGGAAGGAUAAGGCACCCGACGGAUGUCCUAACAAAUUCUGCAUCUUUGUGAUGCCUCCAGAGGUCAACGGCUCCUGAGUCGGCAACAAGGAGGCCUCACCAGGUGCCAGAAGGCGCGCCCUCACAAGAUAGAAAACUACCCCGGGAGCAUCAAGCUAAGUUAUCCCUCUACGUGUAUAUGGAGCACGAAUGUCACAACACAACACAGAAACAAUAAACAUAGCAUGGCGGCAUGAAAAUCACAGUUCAUUACAUGCCCUCGCAGGGCACCAUACUUGUUUCUUGAAAUGCAGGAACAAAGGGAAGGACGAGCAAAAGUGGCGCGCACACCCACAACAGCUCACGAUGGUCGGCUCCCAGUGCCCUCCGGACUCAGCCGGAGCCCUCCUCGCGCUUCACCGGAGCACGGCGACGGGACGACCCGCCACCAUCCUGAAAACGAGCCCGGCGGCAUAGCGGCUGCUCGUAGCCGCCGCUGCUGGAGCUCUCGCUGGAGGGGGAGCCGCCACCGCUGGACGAGCCACGGCCGUCGCCAUGAGUGAGCUCGCCCUCGGUGUCGUCGUGGCCAUCAUCAAGGCCAAGUCCGUCAUCGCCGCUGUCUUCGGGGAAGCACCCCGCGCGGUGACCAUCUUCCCCAAAGACCCUCAUGAAGCGGGUCGCGGCGCCAUCGUACUUUAAGUGGAGGGUACACCGCCUGCUCAGGCCACGCGCGUGGGCAAACGUCUGCCAGCCACGGGCCAAGGCCACGUUGCCCGCGAUGCAGACCUCCACAGCGACCCACGAGGCCUUGCUGCAGCAACCGUCGGCCUCCAGCCAGAGGACGUCAAGACACCUGGCUGGCAGUUCACGGCAAAGGAGCGCGGGAGCUGGAGCCAGGUGCCGGUCGGAUUCUCCGACCGUACGACGAACUCCGGGAGCACCUCCACUGAACGGAAGAGCGGCUGAGGAGGCCGGGCGACCACGGCACAACUCCCCUCGGUGCAAGGGCUGCUCCGUCUGGAGCGACCCUCGCCGUGAGAGGAAGCACCGCUGCGGCCGCCGAGGACGGUGCCGGUCCCUGAAGGAGCACGACCGCGCCCCUGAGGAGCCAUAGUAGGGGUCGCGGUGUUCUUACGGGGAAGGUCUCUCCGCCUCUUGGGCGGCGGUGAGCUGGGACCCUCCUGGCGGGCCUUCCCCUUCUCCGCGGCCGAGAACCUCUUCAUUUGGCACCAUAGGAAGGUAGCAAGGCGGCGAGACAAGAAGGAAGAAGAAGAUGCAGGCGGCGUAGAGAAGGAGAUGAGCAACGGGGGCUCCACGCCUCUCCUCAUUUAUAGCCAGAAGGAGGCCAACCGCCGGCCUCCAUGAUCGUAGGUAAUGAUGGUUUUCUUCUGCAUGCAGCAGGGUCUCGUCAAGUCGAACGGUUGCCGAGGCAGCAUGGGGAAGUGGAGGCGCCCACGCCCCAUCAAUCGCCUCGCGUCAGUCAAGGCCGCAGGCGGUUGGGGCCCGUGGCGCUCCGCACUUGCCCUUUGGCUUCGCCUCGAAGCCAAGUUCGAGCGCGCCUUGGGCCCGGGGGCUACUGUCGGCGUUCUGGGACAGGGGGAGCCCAGACUUGCCUGCCUACGGCCCAUGGCGUGGCUCCACCAACAGCCUGGUAUUGCCCAGCUUCAGCAGUGACAAACCCAAGACCCUCGCGAGGGGCCGAGCCUCGCGAGGCGGACGACACCAAUACCUCCCCGGGGUGGCCUCACUAGGCUGGCUCCCGAGGAGCGGAGAUAUCUAUGCAAGGGGCACUUCGCGAGGCUCGCAUGACGUGAGCCAUGACGACCAAGGCCAGGCGGGCGCCAGCGGGCACAGUGUUCCAGUUUCCUCUUUGGUGCUAACGAGGCAAGAGCAGGCGCGGGGUCCCGAGGCAUCAGGCAAAGAUUUCCAUAUCAUUGUAACAAGACCAGUACCAACAGGACGGCAGGAUGGAGGUCAUUGCGGAGCCCACAACAGCAUCACCACCAGAGCCUUUGGCAGGCGAAGACCACCUUUUGUCAGGGUAGCUUGUACUAGCUGUCCCCCUUCAAACUUGGCCGUUGUGGGAUCCCUUCCCGCCUAACAUUUGGGAAGAGGACCAGGGCCUCUCUAAAUAGGACUAGCCACCACCGUAGGAGGGGGAUCAGAUCAGGGGCGGAUCAUUCAGAUCAGCCUUGAUGUCUACUACGCAACCUUCUUCUGGUAGACGUUGUUGGGCCUCCAAGUGCAGAGGUUUGUAGGACAGUAGCAAAUUUCCCUCAAGUGGAUGACCUAAGGUUUAUCAAUCCGUGUUAGGUUUAGGAUGAAGAUGGUCUCUCUCAAGCAACCCUGCAACCAAAUAACAAAGAGUCUCUUGUGUCCCCAACACACCCAAUACAAUGGUAAAUUGUAUAGGUGCACUAGUUCGGCGAAGUGAUGGUUAUACAAGUGCAAUAUGGAUGGUAGAUAUAGGUUUUUGUACAGGUGCACUAGUUAGGUCUUACUUGGCACAAAUACUAAUUAAAACACAAAACCACAUCUAAACAGAAGCUAGAUGGAUUAUUUAUUCCUAAACAGAACCAAAAAGCAAGAAACUAAAAUAAAAUUGGGUUGCCUCCCAACAAGCGCUAACGUUUAACGCCCCUAGCUAGGCAUGAUGAUUUCAACGAUGCUCACAAAAAAGAUAAGAAUUGAAACAUAAAAAGAGCAUCAUGAAGAAUAUGGCUAGCACAUUUAAGUCUAACCCACUUCCUAUGCAUAGGGAUUUUGUGAGCAAACAACUUACGGGAACAAUAAUCAACUAGCAUAGGAAGGCAAAACAAACAUAACUUCAAAACUUUAAGCACAUAGGGAGGAAACUUGAUAUUAUUGCAAUUCCUACAAGCAUACAUUCCUCCCUUAUAAUAAUUUUCAGUAGCAUCAUGAAUGAAUUCAACAAUAUAACCAGCACCUAAAGCAUCCUUUUCAUGAUGGACUUGCAUAGAAAUUUUCCUACUCUCCACAUAAGCAAAUUUAUUCUCAUCAAUAGUAGUGGGAGCAACCUCAACAAAAUAACUAUCAUGUGAUUGAAAAUUAAGAUCAAGAUGACAAGUUUCAUGGUUAUCAUUAUUCUUUAAAGCAUAUGUGUCAUCACAAUAAUCAUCAUAGAUAGGAGGCAUGCUUUCAUCAUAAUAAAUUUGCUCAUCAAAGCUUGGGGGACAAAAAAUAUCAUCUUCAUCAAACAUAGCUUCCCCAAGCUUGUGGCUUUGCAUAUCAUUAGCAUCAUGGAUAUUCAAGGAAUUCAUACUAACAACAUUGCAAUCAUGCUCAUCAUUCAAAUAUUUUAUGCCAAGCAUUCUAUGUAAUUCUUCUUUUAGUACUUGAGCACAAUUUUCCUUCCCAUCAUUUUCACGAAGACAUUAAAAAGAUGAAGCAUAUGAGGCACCCUUAAUUCCAUUUUUUUGUAGUUUUCUUUUAUAGAAUAAACUAGUGAUUAAACAAGAAACAAAAAGAUUCGAUUGCAAGAUCUAAAGAUAUACCUUCAAGCACUCACCUCCUCGGCAACGGCGCCAUAAAAGAGCUUAGUUGACGGGAUGUGAGUGCCGCUUACCUAGCCUCCCAGGCAACGGCGCCAGAAAAGAGCUUGAUGUCUACUAUGCAAUCUUCUUCUUGUAGAUGUUGUUGGGCCUCCAAGUGCAGAGGUUUGUAGGACAGUAGCAAAUUUCCCUCAAGUGGAUGACCUAAGGUUUAUCAAUCCGUGGGAGGCGUAGGAUGAAGAUGGUCUCUCUCAAGCAACCCUGCAACCAAAUAACAAAGAGUCUCUUGUGUCCCCAACACACCCAAUACAAAUGGUAAAUUGUAUAGGUGCACUAGUUCGGCGAAGAGAUGGUGAUACAAGUGCAAUAUGGAUGGUAGAUAUAGGUUUUUGUAAUCUGAAAAUAUAAAAACAGCAAGGUAACUAAUGAUAAAGGUGAGCACAAACGGUAUUGCAAUGAUAGGAAACAAGGCCUACUGUAACACCCCGGAUGUAACUUUCCAUAUUUGUAACUCCAACUCUUGCCAUUUUCGGCUAUGUGUUAUGGUAUUCCCUCCGUGGUCGGGUUUUGCCUUUCGGUUUGUAUUUUGUUCAUAUCAUGCAUUUCAUAUCAUGUCAUCAUGUGCAUUGCAUUUGCAUACGUGUUCGUCUCAUGCAUCCGAGCAUUUUCCUCAUUGUCCGUUUUGCAAUCCGGCGCUCCCAUCUCCUCCGGUGCACCCCUUUUGUUUCUUUUCGUGAGCGGGUGUCAAACGUUCUCGGAAUGGACCGAGGCUUGUCAAGUGGCCUUGGUAUACCACCGGUAGACCACCGGUCAAGUUUCGUUCCAUUUGGAGGUCGUUUGGUACUCCAACGGUUAACCGGGUAACCGCAAAGUCCAUUUAUGUGUUGCAGCAAAAACCCCUCUCUAAACAGCCCAAAACCCACCAAACUCUCUUCCCUGCUCUAGGUCGUUCGAUCACGAUCGUGUGGGCGAAAACCGUACCUCAUUUGGACUCUCCUUGCUCCCUCUAGCUAUAUAUAUGCAUCCCUUCCCGUAUACAAUCGCAGUCCAAACCCUACCUUUCUUCCACCUCGCGCCCGGACAAAAUCCCCGCCACCGCCACGUCAGCGUCCACCGCCGCCCGUACCGCGGAGCCCAGGNNNNNNNNNNNNNNNNNNNNNNNNNNNNNNNNNNNNNNNNNNNNNNNNNNNNNNNNNNNNNNNNNNNNNNNNNNNNNNNNNNNNNNNNNNNNNNNNNNNNNNNNNNNNNNNNNNNNNNNNNNNNNNNNNNNNNNNNNNNNNNNNNNNNNNNNNNNNNNNNNNNNNNNNNNNNNNNNNNNNNNNNNNNNNNNNNNNNNNNNNNNNNNNNNNNNNNNNNNNNNNNNNNNNNNNNNNNNNNNNNNNNNNNNNNNNNNNNNNNNNNNNNNNNNNNNNNNNNNNNNNNNNNNNNNNNNNNNNNNNNNNNNNNNNNNNNNNNNNNNNNNNNNNNNNNNNNNNNNNNNNNNNNNNNNNNNCGCCGCACCCGUGCCGCCGCGCCUCCGCCUCCCGUCGCCCGGCGCCGCCCCUCUCCCCCGCGAGCCGCCGCCCGUCGCCUCUCCUCCGGCCGGCCACCGCCUCCUCCUCCGCCCCAUCGCCCUAGCUCCAGCGAGCACCGCUCGACCCCGGCCCCGAUCGGAUCUGGAGUUCCUCGAGGUUGACUUUUCCCGAGACCCCCCGAAAUUUCCCAAGUCUAAGAUUUCACAGCAUUUGCACCUGUUCAACGCUUCAUAACUCUCUGCAUGUAGCUCCGUUUCGCGCGUGUAAUAUAUCGAAACGUUCGUCUCGUGAUUCUCUACAUUUUGUUCAAUUGCACCAUGUUCAUUAGAGUCCAUCUUGAUUCCCAAAUCUCUGGUGCAAGAGUGCUAGUUGCUGUUGUCUGCUGGUUCUUAGCAGAACUUGGAGAUUUGUCAUUUUUGUAUCAUUUAAUCUGUGCAUCUUAUGGGCAUGAGAUCUACAUGUGUUUUGUUGUAUGCCAUGCCAUCUUUCCAAGGGUGUAUGCCACGUAUUUUUGUGAUCUCUGUGGUGACUAGCACAAGCAUGCAAACUAGGCUCCGUAAUGUUUCUGAUUUCAGGGACUUGGCGAUUUCUCUAAGUCUUUGUCUGCCAGAAAUAUUUCAGAGAUCCAUGCAUAUUUUGGAGAUGUUCAGUAAGGAUGUUUUGUAGAUAUUGUUGUAAUUGAUCCAUUCCUGCCCUUGUUUGCAAUUAUGGAGUGCCAUAGCAGGACUGAAUCUUGCUCUACUUUUGCUAUAAAAUAUUUCUGGCAGAUUGUUUAUGUGUUAUUCAAUUUUGCCAAGCUUGUUGUAGUUGAUCCAUACAUGCUAUGCUUUUGUUCUUGCCAUGGAUAGCUUCACAACCAUGCCAUAUUGCUGUAGGUAUGCUAGUUUUGUCAUGCAUUGCUUUGUCGUGAGUGCAUCAAGCUCAUCAAGAUGCCCUCAUAUUAUUGUUUCUGCCAUGCUCUGUUUUCUGCUGUCUGAAACUUGUUAACGAAAUUUGCUAUGUUUACAUGCUUGCCAUCAUAUCUUCUGGUCCUUUUUGGCUGAUGGUCAGUAAGGGACUUUUUCCAUUUGCAUUUAGUAGAAUACUUCCAUGCCUUGUUUUGCUAUGUUAAGUUUCUGUAGCAUUCUGAUUUCAUGCUCUGAACAUUGCUACCUGAUGCUGUUUCCUGCCAUGUCCAGUAAUUUCACUCUGUGUGAACCUGUUAUCUUUUGCACUUUUGCCAUGCUUGUUUGAGCCCGUUGUGUUGUGAACUAGCCGUAGCUCAGUGUUCAUCUUUUGUCAAGCAUCUCCUUUAGAUUACUUCCAUAUGCUUUAUUGCUAUGUUGGAGUGCUGUAGCAUUGUUACUUGUUGCAUUUUAAGUGCUAUGAUGCUGUUAAUCGCAGAUUCGUGUCAGUUUUGUUUUGCUUGCCAUUUGCAAACCGUGCAUCCGUUUCCGGUGAUCUUUAUAUCGAUUUCGACCGAAAUCAUCUCAUCUUUCCAGUGGAAUGCUUGGUUUGCCAAGUUACUGCCUUGUUCAUCAUUUUCCUUCCGGAGCACGCAUAUGCAUCGCAUAUCAUAUCUCGCAUUUCAUACAUGUUUUGCAUCAUGUUGGUUGUGCAUUUCUCGUGAUUGAUUGUGGUUCCGUUGCUUGUGUUCUUGUCUUGGGUAGAGCUGGGAGACGAGUUCGUGAAUGAGGAACCUGUUGAGUACGCUUACGAGGAUCAAGCUUUCGACAACUCUGAGAACCUUGCAGGCAAGAUGACCACCCCUUGAAAUCACUUCUAUCUUUGCUUUGCUAGUUGUUCGUUCUAUUGCCAUGCUGCGCUACCUAUCACUUGCUAUAUCAUGCCUCCCAUAUUGCCAUGUCAGCCUCUAACCAUCCUUUCCUAGCAAACCGUUGUUUGGCUAAGUUACUGCUUUUGCUCAGCCCUUCUUAUAGCAUUGCUAGUUGCAGGUGAAGAUGAAGUUGGUUCCAUGUUGGAACAUGGACAUGUUGGGAUAUCACAAUAUCUCUUAUUUAAAUUAAUGCGUCUAUAUAUUUGGUAAAGGGUGGAAGGCUCGGCCUUAUGCCUGGUGUUUUGUUCCACUCUUGCCGCCCUAGUUUCUGUCUUACCGGUAUUAUGUUCCUUGAGUUUGCGUUCCUUACGCGGUUGGGUGAUUUAUGGGACCCCCUUGACAGUUCACCUUGAAUAAAACUCCUCCAGCAAGGCCCAACUUUGGUUUUACCAUUUGCCACCUAAGCCUUUUCCCCCGGGUUUUCGCGAGCCCGAGGGUCAUCUUUAUUUUAAACCCCCGGACCAGUGCUCCUUCGAGUGCUGGCCCAAACCGAGCGAUGUCCGGCGCCCCCUGGGCAACCAGGGUCUAUGCCAACCCGACGUCUGGCUCAUCCGUUGUGCCCUGAGAACGAGAUAUGUGCUGCUCCUAUCAGGAUUUGUCGGCACAUUCGGGUGGCUUUGCUGGUCUUGUUUUACCAUUGUCGAAAUGUCUUGUAGACCGGGAUUCCGAGACUGAUCGGGUCUUUCUGGGAGAAGGUUUAUCCUUCGUUGACCAUGAGAGCUUAUGAUGGGCUAAGUUGGGACACCCCUGCAAGGUAUUAUCUUUCGAAAGCCGUGCCCACGGUUAUGAGGCAGAUGGGAAUUUGUUAAUGUCCGGUUGUAGAGAACUUGUCACUUGACCCAAUUAAAAUACAUCAACCGUGUGUGUAGCCGUGAUGGUCUCUUCUCGGCGGAGUCCGGGAAGUGAACACGGUUUGAGUUAUGAAUGACUUAAGUAGGAGUUCAGGAUCACGUCUUGGUCAUUGCUAGAUGAUGACCGCUCCGUUGCUUCUCUUCUCGCUCUCUCUUGCAUAUGUUAGCCACCAUAUGCUUAUUGCCUGCUGCAGCUCCACCUCAUUACACCAUCCUUUCCUAUAAGCUUAAAUAGUCUUGAUCUUGCCGGUGUGAGAUUGCUGAGUCCUCGUGACUCACAGAUUCUACCAAAACAGUUGCAGGUGCCGACGAUGCCAGUGCAGAUGAUGGGAUCGAUCUCAAGUGGGAGUUCGAUGAGGAACGUGGUCGUUACUAUGUGUCUUUUCCUGAUGAUCAGUAGUGGAGCCCAGUUGGGAUGAUCGGGGAUCUAGCAUUUGGGGUUAUCUUAUUUUCAUUUGGAUCUUGACCGUAGACGGUCUAUGUGUGUAUUUUGGAUGAUGUAUGGAUUAUAUUUAUGUAUUGUGUGAAGCGGCGAUUGUAAGCCAACUCUUUAUCCCAUUCUUGUUCAUUACAUGGGAUUGUGUGAAGAUGACCCUUCUUGCGACAAAACCACAAUGUGGUUAUGCCUCUAAGUCGUGCCUCGACACGUGGGAGAUAUAGCCGCAUCGUGGGAGUUACAAGUUGGUAAUCAGAGCCAUCCCCGACUUAGGAACCCCCUGCUUGAUCGAAUCGCUGGCGUUGUUGAGUCUAGAACGAAAAUGUUUUGAGUCUUAGGAUUAUAUAUAUCGGAGAGUAGGAUUCUUUUUACUCCUCAGUCCCUUCGUCGCUCUGGUGAGGUCUCCUGACGUAGAAGUUUUGACUAUUCUCUCCUCAAAUUUCACAAAAAAAAAAUUAGGAUCACGCGGGUAUCUUAGAAUCGUGCCGAUGGUUUUGUGACAAGAACAUUGUUCUUGGUGCCUCCUGACAUUUAGGGGUUGUGGCAGUGUCCCGGGGAGUUGAGCUCCGAGGUGUUGUCGUCACAAUUUUAUCGUUGCAGUUCUGGAAUACCUGAGUUUCGCCGGCAUCGAAAUCUCUUUUAUGCAGUUGUUGGUGAGAUCACCUCGACGCCACCCAGUACUGGGGCGGGAGUUCGGGAGUAUUGCCAUAACUUGUAUAACAGAUGCUUUUCGAAGGUUGAGGUAAACGAUUUCCGAAGGUUUCUUGGUUAUGUGUUGACGGAUGGAUACAACUGGAUCUAGGGAUUGCUAGUUUGGGUGAUAUAUUUUGUGUCCCCUGUAUCCCCAACACCAGAUUGCAUAACCAGAAAGUUUCGGGAGUUUAUAAGUGGGAAUUCAAGUAGCUUUAGGAUAUCUUUCCGACAGACACAUGAUAUGAGAUUGGGGUUCGACGUCUAGUGGUCCGCCUGUACACGGUUGGUUUUACAGUGGUCUCGUAGUGUCUUAAAGAGUCCUUGGCUAUGCCGACUCGGGGACGCUUCGUAUGUCAUGUGCACAGCCUUGUACAUGAUGGUGCUGUACGAUCGAGCCCGUGUGGGCCCCACCACGAAAACUUCGGACGAAAUAUCUAUCAUAUGUUUGUUCCGGCUUAUUCUGCAAGCCAAUACUUGGUUUUGUUUUGAAUUGUGGUAUUCGAGUUGCUUCGAAGUCAUAUGUUGAUUCCAUAUCUUUUUCUAUGUGGCUUCUCAACUUAUGGAAGUGUGAUGAUUUACUACGGAAUUCAUUCGUUCAUCUUCGUUCGAAUGUUAUUGUGAACACUAUAUGUUGCAAUUUCUAUCCGUUGAUUCUACUUGUCUAUUUGUCUAUCAAGAUGCUAACGGAUGUCACCCUCUUCAGGAUGGCUCCGCCAACGCGUCAGAAUCCGGAUCGCAAUGAAGGGAGUCAAGCGAACCCUCCGCCACCACCUCCGCCUCCGAAAGCAUGGCAAGCUAUCAUGGCAGCCACCAACGCCAAUGCUCAGAUGAUUCUGCAACUCUUGCAAGAACGCACCCAAGGGCUAGGCAAUCAAGGCAAUCAAGGUCAAGGCAACAAUCAGCCUCACUUCGCUACACUCAACCAGUUUCUCGCAAAUCAGCCCAAGUCUUUCAGCUACUGUGCCGAGGCCACGGAUGCCGAUGAUUGGCUCGUGGACAUCAACAAGUAUUUUGAAUGUAGCAAUGUCAGGCCUGAGGACUAUGUCAAGUUUGCUUCUUUUCAGCUCAAGGACCAAGCUGCUGAUUGGUAUCAACAAUACAAGGAUUCCAGAGGAGGUCGUGUGAUCACUUGGACUGACUUCUGUCGGGAUUUCAAAGCGCACCACAUUCCACAAAGUGUUGUUGAGAGCAAGUGUGAGGAGUUCCGCAAUCUCAAGCAAGGCAACAUGUCUGUGUAUCAAUUCAACAUUCAGUUUCAGAAACUUGCUCGCUUCGCUAAACAAGACAUUCCUGGUGAAAAGAGCAUGAUCUAUCACUUCAGAGGUGGCCUUAGAGAGGAUCUGCAGUUAGCUCUCGUUCUUGUUGAGCCUACUCAGUUUGAUCAAUUCUACAAUAUGGCACUGAAGCAAGAGGCUGCUCAGCUCAAGUGUGAGGCUUCUAAGAAGAGAGUAAGAGAUGCAGUUCAGUCUUCUUCCUCACUUGUGGCAGCUAAGCAACAGAAGUUCUGGUUGCCUCCUCCUCCUCCGUUUCGUCAGCCUUACCGGCAGAAGAACAAAGGUGGCCAUGGUUCUUCCAACUCUUCCAACUCUGGCUAUCAGAACAAGUCUCAGAAUCAAGCUCCAAAGUCCAAUGCUCCUUAUCACCAUCCACUCUCAGAGGUGACUUGCAACAAAUGUCAGCAGAAAGGUCACUAUGCUAACAAGUGCUUCAACCAAAGGCGCUUGCCCCCUCCUCCUCCUGUCAGAUCUUCCAGCAAUGCAGUGGUCAAGCAUAAUCCAAAGUCUGCAAAGGUGAACAUGAUGAAUGCAGCUCAAGCGGAGGAAUCUACUGAUGUGAUAAUGGGUAAUCUUCCUGUUAAUGAUAUUCCUGCAAAAGUUCUUUUUGAUACUGGUGCAUCGCUUUCUUUCAUAUCAAGACCAUUUGCAUUUAAGCAUGAGUUGGUUUAUCAAGAUUUGCCUAGACCGUUAUCAGUUGUUUCUCCGGGUAAAUUCAUGAACGCAAGCUCUAUGGUUCCGGAUGUUUCCAUCAAGAUGGGAAACUAUAAAUUUAUGUCUUCUCCAGUUGUUCUUGGUGACUCGGAUAUUGAUCUUAUUCUCGGGAUGGACUGGCUUUCUAAGAACAAGGCUCAACUUGAUUGUGCUGCCAGGGAAAUUCAAUUGGCACACUCUUCUGAGGAUGUGAUUAUUUAUGCCGCUCAUGAUGAAACCAUUCGGUUUUUUUCUCUCAACGAGAAGGGCGAAUUGAAUGCCAUCUCUCAAAUUCCAGUCGUUUGUGAGUAUCAAGAUGUCUUUCCAGAAGAGCUUCCGGGUAUGCCUCCUCAUCGGCCAGUUGAGUUCGUUAUCGAACUAGAGCCUGGCACUGAACCCGUUUGCAAGCGUCCAUACAAGCUUGGACCCAACGAGCUGAAGGAAUUGAAGAAACAGCUCGAUGAACAAGAGCGUCUGGGUUUGAUCAGACCGAGUUCAUCUCCAUGGGGUUGUGGUGUUCUUUUUGAAAAGAAGAAGGAUGGCACGGACCGACUUUGUGUCGACUACCGUCCAUUGAACAAGAAGACAAUCAAGAACAAGUAUCCACUUCCCAAGAUCAAUGAGCUUUUCGAGCAACUCAAAGGUGCUAAAGUAUUCUCCAAGCUUGACCUUCGUAUGGGUUAUCAUCAGAUUCGCAUUCGUGAAGAAGAUAUUCCCAAGACAGCAUUCAGAACAAGCUUUGGUUCUUAUGAAUAUACUGUCGUGUCUUUCGGCCUUGUCAAUGCUCCUCCAGUUUUCUCUCGGAUGAUGAAUUUCAUCUUCAACCCCUAUACCAAUGAAUUCGUCCUGGUGUAUCUCGAUGAUAUAUUGGUCUUCUCCAAGAAUAAGAAGGAUCAUGCCAAACAUUUGCGAUUGGUGCUCGACAAGCUCAGAGAGUAUCAAUUCUAUGCGAAGUUCUCAAAAUGUGAGUUUUGGCUUGAUGAAGUUCUUUUCCUUGGUCACAUCAUCUCUGCCAAGGUCAUCGCUGUUAACCCCGAGAAGGUGUCCGCAAUUGUGAAUUGGGAACCUCCUCAGAAUGUCAAGCAGCUCCACAGUUUUCUUGGUCUUGCAAGCUAUUGCCGAAGAUUCGUUGAGAAUUUCUCCAAGAUUGCAAAGCCUCUUUCCAACCUCCUCCGGAAGCAUGUGAAGUAUGUCUGGUCUCCUGAGUGUGAUGUUGCUUUAAACACUCUCAAAGAGAAACUAUUCACAGCUCCUGUCUUAACUCCUCCUGAUGAAUCCAAGCCAUUUGAAGUUUUCUGUGAUGCUUCUCUCCAAGGUCUCGGUGCUGUGUUAAUGCAAGAGAAGAAAGUUGUGGCCUAUACCUCUCGUCAGUUGAAGCCCAACAACAAGAACUACCCCACUCAUGAUCUUGAGUUGGCGGCAGUUGUCCAUGCAUUAAUAACGUGGAGACAUCUCUUGUUGGGAAGACAAGUGGGCAUAUUCACCGAUCACAAGAGUCUCAAGUACAUCUUCACUCAGCCCAACCUCAACCUCAGGCAGACUCGAUGGGUCGAAAUGAUUCAAGAGUACAAUCCGAGUAUUGAAUAUACUCCAGGCAAGGCCAAUGUCAUUGCAGAUGCUCUAAGCAGGAAGGCUUAUUGCAACAGCUUAAUUCUCAAGCCAUUCCAACCUGAUCUUUGUGAAGCUUUCCGCAAGCUGAAUCUCCAAGUUGUUCCUCAAGGCUUUCUUGCCAACCUCAUAGUCUCUCCUACUUUGGAAGAUCAAAUUCGUGAGGCACAACUCCUAGAUACCAUGGUGAAGAAGGUGAAACAUGGUAUCGACAAGGGUCUUUCCAAAUACAAGUGCUAUCGCAUUGAUGACAGAGACACUUUAUUCUUCGAGGACCGGAUUGUGGUUCCUAAAGGUGAUCUAAGGAAAGUCAUAAUGAACGAGGCGCACAAUUCUCUUCUGUCCAUUCAGCCUGGAAGUACGAAGAUGUAUCAUGACCUCAAGCAGUCGUAUUGGUGGACUCGAAUGAAGUGAGAAAUUGCUCAAUUCGUGAACGAAUGUGAUGUCUGUCGAAGAGUGAAAGCAGAACACCAACGACCAGCUGGUCUCCUCCAACCUCUUGCUAUCCCAGAGUGGAAGUUUGAUCAUAUCAAAAUGGACUUCGUGACUGGAUUUCCAAAGUCCAAGCGUGGAAAUGAUGCUAUCUUCGUUGUCAUCGACAAGCUUUCUAAAGUGGCUCAUUUCCUUCCAAUCAAAGAAUCUAUCACAACAACUCAGUUAGCAGAUCUAUACACCUUCAGAAUUGUCUCCUUGCACGGCAUUCCACAAUUGAUUUCUUUAGAUCGUGGAAGCAUUUUCACCUCUAAGUUCUGGGACUCCUUCCAGAAGGCCGUGGGCACAAACAUUCGCUUCAGCACAGCUUUCCAUCCUCAAACUAGUGGCCAAGUCGAGCGAGUCAAUCAAAUUCUUGAAGAUAUGCUCAGGGCUUGUGUCAUUUCCUUUGGCAUGAAAUGGGAAGAUUGUCUUCCAUAUGCCGAAUUCUCCUACAACAACAGCUUCCAAGCGAGUUCGGGCAAGGCCCCAUUCGAGAUUCUCUAUGGCAGGAAGUGCCGUACUCCUCUCAAUUGGUCAGAGACUAGUGAACGCCAACUUCUUGGCAAUGACUUAAUCACAGAAGCUGAAGAAAUGUGUAAAGUCAUCCGUGAUAAUCUCACAGCCGCGCAAUCGCGCCAGAAGAGUUACUAUGAUAGUAAGCACCGUGAUGUGGCUUUCGAGAUCGGAGACCAUGUCUACCUCCGCGUCUCACCAAUGAAAGGCACUCGUCGCUUCGGUAUCAAAGGGAAGCUUGCCCCUAGAUACGUGGGUCCUUUCAAGAUCAUUGGCAAAAGAGGCGACCUCGCCCAUCAACUUGAGCUUCCUUCCAACUUCGCGAACAUGCACGAUGUGUUCCACGUGUCAAAGCUCCACAAGUGCUUUAAGACGCCUGAGCGCACUAUUAACUUCGAAGAGAUUGACCUCCAAGAAGAUUUGUCUUAUCAUGAGCACCCCGUUGCUAUUCUUGAAGAAACUGAGCGCAAGACUCGCAACAAGUCAAUCAAAUUCCUGAAAGUGAAGUGGUCGCACCAUUCCGACCGAGAAGCCACCUGGGAACGCGAGGACCAUCUCCGUUCCGAAUAUCCGGAGUUCUUUCAGUCCUAGAUCUUGGGACGAGAUCCUCUCGUAGUAGUGGAGUGUUGUAACACCCCGGAUGUAACUUUCCAUAUUUGUAACUCCAACUCUUGCCAUUUUUGGCUAUGUGUUAUGAUAUUCCCUCCGUGGUCGGGUUUUAUCUUUCGUUUUGUAUUUUGUUCAUGUCAUGCAUUUCAUAUCCUGUCAUCAUGUGCAUUGCAUUUGCAUACGUGUUCGUCUCAUGCAUCCGAGCAUUUUCCCCGUUGUCCGUUUUGCAAUCCGGCGCUCCCAUCUCCUCCGGUGCACCCCUUUUGUUUAUUUUCGUGAGCGGGUGUCAAACGUUCUUGGAAUGGACCGAGGCUUGUCAAGUGGCCUUGGUAUACCACCGGUAGACCACCGGUCAAGUUUCGUUCCAUUUGUGGGUCGUUUGGUACUCCAACGGUUAACCGGGUAACUGCAAAGUCCAUUUGUGUGUUGCAGCAAAACCCCCUCUCUAAACAGCCCAAAACCCACCAAACUCUCUUCCAUGCUCUAGGUCGUUCGAUCACGAUCGUGUGGGCGAAAACCGCACCUCAUUUGGACUCUCCUAGCUAUAUAUAUGGAUCCCCUCCCGUAUACAAUCGCAGUCCAAACCCUACCUUUCUUCCAGCUCGCGCCCGGACAAAAUCCCCACCACCGCGACGUCAGCGUCCGCCCCUGCCCAUACCGCGCCGGCCCGCGGCGCCCAGGGAGGGCCCGCGCGAGCCCGCGCCUCCAUCGCCCCCGCCCGAGUCGGCGCCUNNNNNNNNNNNNNNNNNNNNNNNNNNNNNNNNNNNNNNNNNNNNNNNNNNNNNNNNNNNNNNNNNNNNNNNNNNNNNNNNNNNNNNNNNNNNNNNNNNNNNNNNNNNNNNNNNNNNNNNNNNNNNNNNNNNNNNNNNNNNNNNNNNNNNNNNNNNNNNNNNNNNNNNNNNNNNNNNNNNNNNNNNNNNNNNNNNNNNNNNNNNNNNNNNNNNNNNNNNNNNNNNNNNNNNNNNNNNNNNNNNNNNNNNNNNNNNNNNNNNNNNNNNNNNNNNNNNNNNNNNNNNNNNNNNNNNNNNNNNNNNNNNNNNNNNNNNNNNNNNNNNNNNNNNNNNNNNNNNNNNNNNNNNNNNNNNNNNNNNNNNNNNNNNNNNNNNNNNNNNNNNNNNNNNNNNNNNNNNNNNNNNNNNNNNNNNNNNNNNNNNNNNNNNNNNNNNNNNNNNNNNNNNNNNNNNNNNNNNNNNNNNNNNNNNNNNNNNNNCGCCGCACCCGUGCCGCCGCGCCUCCGCCUCCCGUCGCCCGGCGCCGCCCCUCUCCCCCGCGAGCCGCCGCCCGUCGCCUCUCCUCCGGCCGGCCACUGCCUCCUCCUCCGCCCCGUCGCCCUAGCUCCGGCGAGCGUCGCUCGGCCCCGGCCCCGAUCGGAUCUGGAGUUCCUCGAGGUUGACUUUUCCCGAGACCCCCCCGAAAUUUCCCGUCUUUAAGAUUUCACAGCAUUUACACCUGUUCAACGCUUCAUAACUCUCUGCAUGUAGCUCCGUUUCGCGCGUGUAAUAUAUCGAAAUGUUCGUCUCGUGAUGCUCUACAGUUUUUUCAAUUGCGCCAUGUUCAUUAGAGUCCAUCUUGAUGCCCAAAUCUCUGGUGCAAAAGUGCUACUUGCUGUUGUCUGCUGGUUCUUAGCAGAACUUGGAGAUUUGUCAUUUUUGUAUCAUUUAAUCUGUGCAUCUUAUGGGCAUGAGCUCUACAUGUGUUUUGUUGUAUGCCAUGCCAUCUUUCCAUGUGUGUAUGCAAUGUAUUUUUGUGAUCUCUGCGGUGACUAGCACAAGCAUGCAAACUAGGCUCCGUAAUGUUUCUGAUUUCAGGGACUGCGAUUUCUCUGUCUCUGUCUGCUGUUAUUUUGUUGCCAUGUAAACUUGAUGCUACAGAGAGAUCCAUCCAUAUUUUGGAGAUGUUCAGUAAGGAUGUUUUGUAGAUAUUGUUGUAGUUGAUCCAUUCCUGCCCUUGUUUGCAAUUAUGGAGUGCCAUAGUAGGACUAAAUCUUGCUCCACUUUUGCUAUAAAAUAUUUCUGGCAGAUUGUUUACGUGUUAUUCAAUUUUGCCAAGCUUGUUGUAGUUGAUCCAUACAUGCUAUGCUUUUGUUCUUGCCAUGGAUAGCUUCAUAAACAUGCCGUCUUGCUGUAGGUAUGCUAGUUUUGUCAUGCAAUGCUUUGUGGUGAGUGCAUCAAGCUCACCAAGAUGCCCUCAUAUUAUUGUUUCUGCCAUGCUCUGUUUUCUGCUGUCUGAAACCUGUUAACGAAACUUGCUAUGUUUACAUGCUUGCCAUCAUAUCUUCUGGUCCUUUUUGGCUUAUGGUCAGUAAGGGACUUUUUCCAUUUGCAUUUAGUAGAAUACUGCCAUGCCUUGUUUUGCUAUGUUAAGUUUCUGUGGCAUUCUGAUUUCAUGCUCUGAACAUUGCUACCUGAUGCUGUUUCCUGCCAUGUCCUGUAAUUUCACUCUGUGUGAACCUGUUAUCUUUUGCACUUUUGCCAUGCUUGUUUGAGCCCAUUGUGUUGUGAACUAGCCGUAGCUCAGUGUUCAUCUUUUGUCAAGCAUCUCCUUUAGAUUACUUCCAUAUGCUUUGUUGCUAUGUUGGAGUGCUGUAGCAUUGUUACUUGUUGCAUUUUAAGUGCUAUCAUGCUGUUAAUCGCAGAUUCGUGUCAUUUUUGUUUUGCUUGCCAUUUGCAAACCGUGCAUCCGUUUCCGGUGAUCUUUAUAUCGAUUUCGACCGAAAUCAUCUCAUCUUUCCAGUGGCAUGCUUGGUUUGCCAAGUUACUGCCUUGUUCAUCAUUUUCCUUCCGGAGCACGCAUAUGCAUCGCAUAUCAUAUCUCGCAUUUCAUACAUGUUUUGCAUCAUGUUGCUUGUGCAUUUCUCGUGAUUGAUUGUGGUUCUGUUACUUGUGUUCUUGUCUUGGGUAGAGCCGGGAGACGAGUUCGUGAAUGAGGAACCUGUUGAGUACGCUUACGAGGAUCAAGCUUUCGAGAACUCUGAGAACCUUGCAGGCAAGAUGACCACCCCUCGAAAUCACUUCUAUCUUUGCUUUGCUAGUUGUUCGUUCUAUUGCCAUGCUGCGCUACCUAUCACUUGCUAUAUCAUGCCUCCCAUAUUGCCAUGUCAGCCUCUAACCAUCCUUUCCUAGCAAACCUUUGUUUGGCUAUGUUACCGCUUUUGCUCAUCCCUUCUUAUAGCGUUGCUAGUUGCAGGUGAAGAUGAAGUUGGUUCCAUGUUGGAACAUGGACAUGUUGGGAUAUCACAAUAUCUCUUAUUUAAAUUAAUGCAUCUAUAUAUUUGGUAAAGGGUGGAAGGCUCGGCCUUAUGCCUGGUGUUUUGUUCCACUCUUGCCACCCUAGUUUCUGUCUUACCGGUAUUAUAUUCCUUGAGUUUGCGUUCCUUACGCGGUUGGGUGAUUUAUGGGACCCCUUGAUAGUUCGCCUUGAAUAAAACUCAUCCAGCAAGGCCCAACUUUGGUUUUACCAUUUGCCACCUAAGCCUUUUCCCCCGGGUUUUCGCGAGCCCGAGCGUCAUCUUUAUUUUAAACCCCUGGACCAGUGCUCCUUCGAGUGCUGGCCCAAACCGAGCGAUGUCCGGCGCACCCUGGGUAACCAGGGUCUAUGCCAACCCGACGUCUGGCUCAUCCGUUGUGCCCUGAGAACGAGAUAUGUGCAGCUCCUAUCGGGAUUUGUCGGCACAUUCGGGUGGCUUUGCUGGUCUUGUUUUACCAUUGUCGAAAUGUCUUGUAGACCGGGAUUCCGAGACUGAUCGGGUCUUUCCGGGAGAAGGUUUAUCCUUCGUUGACCGUGAGAGCUUAUGAUGGGCUAAGUUGGAACACCCCUGCAGGGUAUUAUCUUUCGAAAGCCGUGCCCGUGGUUAUGAGGCAGAUGGGAAUUUGUUAAUGUCCGGUUGUAGAGAACUUGUCACUUGACCCAAUUAAAAUACAUCAACCGUGUGUGUAGCCGUGAUGGUCUCUUCUCGGCGGAGUCUGGGAAGUGAACACGGUUUGAGUUAUGAAUGACGUAAGUAGGAGUUCAGGAUCACGUCUUGGUCAUUGCUAGAUGAUGACCGUUCCGUUGCUUCUCUUCUCGCUCUCUCUUGCGUAUGUUAGCCACCAUAUGCUUAUUGCUUGCUGCAGCUCCACCUCAUUACACCAUCCUUUCCUAUAAGCUUAAAUAGUCUUGAUCUCGCGGGUGUGAGAUUGCUGAGUCCUCCUGACUCACAGAUUCUACCAAAACAGUUGCAGGUGCCGACGAUGCCAGUGCAGAUGAUGGGAUCGAUCUCAAGUGGGAGUUCGAUGAGGAACGUGGUCGUUACUAUGUGUCUUUUCCUGAUGGUCUAUGUGUCUUUUCCUGAUGGCCAGUGCAUUUGGAGUUAUCUUAUUUUCAUUUGGAUCUUGAUCGUAGAUGGUCUAUGUGUGUAUUUUGGAUGAUGUAUGGAUUAUAUUUAUGUAUUGUGUGAAGUGGCGAUUGUAAGCCAACUCUUUAUCCCAUUCUUGUUCAUUACAUGGGAUUGUGUGAAGAUGACCCUUCUUGCGACAAAACCACAAUGCGGUUAUGCCUCUAAGUCGUGCCUCGACACGUGGGAGAUAUAGCCGCAUCGUGGGAGUUACACCUAGCGUUCAUACUUUCACUAGUGCAAGUUCUCUCAACAAUAAUAACAUAAUUGGAUCAUAUAACUAUCCCUCAACAUGCAACAAAGAGUCACUCCAAAGUCACUAAUAGCGGAGAACGAAUGAAGAGAUUAUGGUAGGGUACGAAACCACCUCAAAGUUAUUCUUUCCGAUCAAUCUAUUGGGCUAUUCCUAUAAGUGUCACAAACAGCCCUAAAGUUCAUAGUAAAAUAACACCUUAAGACACACAUCAACCAAAACCCUAAUGUCACCUAGAUACUCCAAUGUCACCUCAAGUAUCCAUGGGUAUGAUUAUACGAUAUGCAUCACACAAUCUCAGAUUCAUCUAUUCUCAAAACAGAUAAUAUAAUAGCAUGGUACAAUAAUAUAAAAGUGCAUAAUAAAGCCCAUAAACAUCCAAAACAGAUAAUAUAAUAGGAUGGAACAAUAAAAAAUUAUAGAUACGUUGGAGACGUAUCAAUCCUCACACACAAGCUCAUCGAGCCCAAGAGCACCUCACCUCCUGAGGCAAUUCAUCUACUAUACUAGUUCAUCCUCAGCCCGCGAGGCAAUCCACCACACAAUGGAGUAGGGUAUUACACCGCAAGGUGGCCCGAACCAGUAUAAACCCCCGCGUCUCUCUGUUCUUCGGGUUUGUCGAGCUAGGCUGUGGGAUCGUUGAGCGAGUGAGCUAGGGAGAGAGUGUUCUACGUGCGUACCCUAGAGUUCGAACCUCACAAGGGUUUGCUGGAACCCAUAAUCCGAUAGAUUUGGGUGGAAACAACUUGGGGAAGGCUAGAAAUCAAUGUUCAAAAGGUUGGAAUGGAAUCUCUUGAUCUAAACACAUGAGUAGGUGGUUCUCUCUUAGAAAAUGGAUGGUGGAAGUCUAGGCACAUUCUGAUGGUUCUCUCACAAAUGGAGAAGGGGGUGGAGGGGUAUAUAUAACCUCCACACAAAAUCCAACCAUUACACACUGUUGACCCAUCUCGGCGGAGCCAAUCAGAAAACUCAAUGGGACCGGUCUGUUCAAAAAUAUGAACAUUAGGAAUCUCGGUGGGACCGACUGGAACAAUUCAUGGACCGAUGUGCUAGGGCUUAGGGUAAACGUCAUCUUGGUGGUGCUGAUUGCAUCAACUCGGUGGGACCGAAGUGAAGCAAUAAGCAACAGAGAAUCUGUCAAGCCAACUCAGUGAGACCGAUUGCAUGAACUCGGUGGGAACAAAGCGAAAGGAAGAGAUCACAGAGCGCUGGCAAGGCCAUCUCGGUGAGACCGAGAUCCGUAUCGAUGUGACCGAAUUGUUAGGGUUUCUGGCAGUGGCUAUGUCAAGUAAACUUGGUGGCUCUGGGUAGAAAGAAUCGGUGGGGCCGAGUUUGGAUUUAGGUUUUAGUCAUAUUUGGAUGGAGAAAGUGGUUGAGGGUUUUGGAGCAAUAUCACUAAGCACUUGAGCAUGUAGACCAUUAAGUAACACCUCAUCCCCUUUUAAUAGUAUUGGCUUUCCUAUGGAGUCAAUGUGAUCUUGGAUCACUAAAAUAGAAAUGAAGAGUCUUAAGCGUUUCAUAUCAUUGUCCUUAUCAUUUUGAUGGGGUUCCACAUCCUCUUGUCCUAGCCACUGCAUUGUUGAACUUACCUGAAACAUGCUAGAUAAAACUAUUAGUCCAACAAAAGAUAUGUUGACAUUAAUUUCCAAAAUCACCUAGCACUUGUUCUUUCAAUCUCCCCCUUUUUGGUAAUUGAUGACAACAUACAUCAAAGCUUCAAGUAAAUGAUAUGAAGAGUAGUAGGUGAAGCUUUGGAAAAACAUGUAACAUGCAUAAGCUCCCCCUACAUGUGUGCAAUCAUGUAAUGAUGAAAUCGAGUAGCAUGUGAGUGCACAACAUGAAAGAGUAAGAAAUGAGUUACAUGUAUCUUGGUCAUAUGCAUCAGAGCAAAAACAAGUGUUCAUAUGUUCUACCUUCAUGCUUUAUGAAUCCCUCCUGCAAACAAUAUGUGCAGAAGCAAGAGAUCAUCAUGCACAUGAGUGUCAGGCAUAUACUUACCUUGUGGUUCUUGACCUGAUUCUAGACGAAGCAAUCUUGAGAAAACAAGGUUAAAUAACACAAGAAAACUUCAAGCAAGAAGGAUUUCAACAUCCACAAGAAUACCAAGACUGGGAUGACAUGUAAUAGGUGAGUAUCAUAGAGUGAGUACUUAAUUUUUAAAUAUAGACAUGUCCCUAAGAAUUUAAAUAUUUGCAAUGAAUUCUAAGGAUUUUGUCCCCUAAAACAUGGACUCUUCCUCCCCCUGAAUCUAACAUUGGAUAAUGGAGAAGGUAGGGUGAGAUAAAAUCAGAGCAGAGAUAAAUGAACCAAUCAGAGCGGAAAAGGAGAAGCAAAUACUAACAUGUCUUUUCCCUCUUAAAUACAUGUAACUUCUCUCCUCUUCUGACAUUGCAUCUCUCUUCCUUUCUUAGAAGAGUUAUAAGAGAAUAAGCUUUGAUGUGCUCUCUCUCCCCUUUGACAUCAAUUUCCAAGAAGGAUAGUUUUCAUGGAUAUGAGUCAAGUGAGUGUGGUCCUUGAGAGACACAAGUAAGCAUAAUGUAGCUGAAGAUGCAGAUAGAGGAAAAGAAUCAUUGAGUGGAGCUGAAGAAAAAAUAGGCAAUAAAAGAUGGCAAAUACUUUUCUUAGUAGUGAAAUCGGUGGCGCCGAGUUGUUUUAAUCGGUGACUCCGAGUUAACAGAACCACUGAAGGUGCUCAUUGGUGAGACCGAGUGAGUCCGUGUCGAUGAACUAGAUACAUGUAGAACUUGUAUUUCGGUUUGCCCGAUGGGCGUAAAUCGGUGACGCCGAGUUCAAUACAGAAGAAAAGUUUUGUCAACUCAGCUCACUUCGGAAAUGAAAUUUCACAAGGGUUUCAAGGAAUUUUCAUAAGGAUUUGCAAUAAAUUAACUAGAUACCAAUAAAACAGAAAUGAAAAGAGAUCUAGAUGAAGUUGAAGGGAAACACAAGAAGAAAUGCAAUGGAGGAGCAAUAUACAAAGGAUCACUAGAGAACGUCGUCUAGAGGUGGUCAGUGACAAAGUCACCUAUGUUAGAGUAUAUUGACUUAGGAGUCAAGUGAGAUCACUUGAUCGUUGGUCAUACUCAUUGUUAAGCACAAAAUGGGGUUGCCAUUUUUCAUUUGAGCAUCUAGAUGUAUUCACAUCUUGUUGAGUUGCUUUAACCCAUGGCUUGGAGUAAAGCUUCUCUAAGAUGGAACGACAUACCUUGGGUUGUUGUGUGGAUCUCGAUCAUGUAGUUGAACUUCUGUUGGAUGCUCAUGGUUGAUGUAGUGCAUCAAGGGUUGGAAGCAUCCUUUUAACUUGAAGUUCAUCUUCCUACAUGGGUUAGUCUUGCAAGGAAUAGCACUUGUGUAUCCAAAUUAACAAUCAUGAAUUUUGACAUAUAGAUAUUGUCAAAGGAUAUGUGGAGUAAGUUCAUGCUUCCUUGUCCUCAACAACCAAAGUAUAUAUAGAUACUUGGUGAUGUAGAGAUUGCUCAAGAUGUGAGUGAUCUGCAAUCUCAUAGAUUUAGGCUCAUCCGAGUACCUAUAAGGGUUAGAUAACAUGCAAGGGUGCCAAUAUAUCCAAGAUAAAUAGUCAACAUCAGAAGACAAACAUCAAGGAUUAGUCACAUAGGCUCAUGCCUUGCAGGUAUCCAAGGAGUAUCUACUGCAAAUUUGAGGCAUCAAUGUAUUCAAUUCACCUCUCAAACGGCAAAAUAUCUUUUCAUUAAGUGGUUUAGUGAAGAUAUCCACCAAUUGCUUGUCGGUACGAACAUGUUUAAGAUUGAUGUUACCCUUAGCAACAUGAUCUCGAAUGAAAUGAUGAUGAACUUCAAUAUGUUUAGUUCAAGAAUGAUGCACGGGAUUGUGAGCAAUCUUGAUAGCACUCUCAUUGUCAAAAAGCAAUGGAACAUGUUCUACAUGUAUCCCAUAAUCUUUAAGAGUUUGGGUCAUACAAAGUAAUUGAGCACAACAUGAUCCAGCGACAAUGUAUUCCGCUUCGGCGGUGGAUAAGGAUAUCGAGUUUCUUGGGAAACGUAGUAGAAAACAAAAAACAUUCGCACCUACGAUCACCAAGAUCAAUAUGAAGAUGCAUAAGGGUUGGGAUCAACGAUCGCCAACUCCGAAGUGCAGCGGAAGAACAAUAGUUGGUGUAGAUCAUGCUCGAAGUCCCUCGAACGAUGAUGAUGAUCCCGCGAACCGCCCUCAAACAAAAGACCGAAAGCAUGACCUCUCUACUUGGUUGUAAGCGUAUGGUCUUCACGAUCCGGCAGCGCUUCGCCGUCCAGAGCUAAUCAUCGCUGGAGAAUUAUAGGGAGGAGAUUAGAACCACACUGGGAUUGUAAUUAUGAGGAUUAGAGGUGGCUAGGGCUAUCUCUAAUUAGUCUAGGACCAACUAGAACUAGAACUAGACCCUAAAAAAAUUAGAAAUAGAACUAGAUCAACUAGAAGAGGCACCCAAAAACUUGUAUCUCAAUAGGGUGGAAAACCUCUAGUAUAUAUAGGUUAGGAGGGGAGGAGAGGGCAGCCACCAAUGGGGAAAGAACCCCUUGGGGCACCGACCAAGGGACGGUGCAUAGGACUCCCCCUCCAAGUAGGAUUCCCCCCCCCCCUUAGGAAAGGGGGCACCUCCCUUGUUGGGCCCUUGUGGACCAACUCCUUCUCCACCUCUUGGACUUAUUUGGCCCGUUGAUAUUAAAUUAAAUAUAUUUUUGUUCUAAACAUUUUCAGAGCAUAAUAUAUAUAAUUUAACAUCUCUAGAAACAUUUUAUACCUAUAUAUAUAUAUAUAUUAAUCGGCAAUACCUGGUAUUACCCGAUAUUCACCGAAACCUUUCCGGUGACCCUGAAACAUUUCCGGAACCUCUGGAAACUAUUUGGAUAUUAAUGAAACUAUUUCAUGAAUAUAUUCUCAUUACUCAUGUUCCACUAACACUCAGAAAAUCGUGAUUACCUUAAGCUUGUGAUCCCGUAGGUUCGGUAAUCAUAGACAUGAACGAAACUCCUUCGUUCAAUGACCAAUAACGGAACCAUGGAGAUCCAUAUCGGUUCGUAUGAUUACACAAAUGAUAUUCGAGUGAACCUUUGGUUAUCAUGUGACAUUCCCUUUGCUUCGUGAUACUUUACAAAACCCGAUGUGGAUUGGUAUCCUCCUGGAUCAUCACCAUGCCCACUGUACCCUUGCUCCCGUUAUCGGUUUUGUUCUUCUUUCUCGUUGACGUGUUCCGGCAUCCCUGUGACGUAGUCACCUAUGUCUGGCCAUACGAUGAUGGAUGCCGUCACACUGAGAGGGCUCUAAGAAUAUCUCUCCAUCGUUAGAGGAGCAAAUCCCACUCUUGAGUUGUCCGAUCAUUUAUCAAACUUUCUGGUGAGCCUGAAAGUUGUCAUUAUGAUCACCUUGUUACAGAUGACGUUUGCGCAGCCCCAAAGCCCACCAUCUGGUAGGAAAUGACCGAGACACUCUCACGGUCCGAGGAACUAAAACACAUGCUAACACUCUAUGUUAUAACAGAUGAUUUCAGAUGAUAUGAUCACAAAGUAUAACAUACAAGAUUGGGUCGAUUCAAUAUGAUCAUUCUUCUAACGUCAUAUCCUCAAUGUUGUUUUAGGACUAUCAUUGCACCUAACGAUAUCCUAAGAUCCGGAAAACAUGAUCACCAACAACACUUGAGCCAGUCCUAGAGGCUGGAUCGGGAACCUAUUGUUUGACUGUUUAUCAUUGCAUACGUGCAUAUGAGUUUUCCACUGAAUCACAUAUUCCAGGAUCAUAUCAGUUAUAGCAUGAAAUAUAAACUCUUAAUUAUGAAUAAUGGAAAUAUAAUAAUAAAAUAUUAUUGCCUCUAGGGCAUAUUUCCAAAAGUCUCCCACUUGCACUAGAGUCAGUAAUGUAGUUGCAUAACACUUAACAACUUAUGGCUUGUGGUAGAGCCUUCGUCAUUAGUUUGACACACUAAAAAAUUUAUGAUAUUUGAACUGGUAUUGUCUGAUUUCUAGAUCUUAAUCCAUAUAGUUUUCAGCCAUAAUAUUUUAUUCAAAGUAAAAUAUUAUUGGAUUUAUGAUCAUAAUAGUCUUAUGUCAAGAUUCUUCUUGAUCAUAUCUUGAAUUAACACAUUUUAUAAAGAUUCUUCUUGCAUAUCUUUUAUGGGUCACUUACAACUCUUGCAAUAUUUAUUCAGACAAAACAUUUAUGUGAAGACAUUUCUUGAUUCAAAUAAAAUUAAAACAUCUCAUGUUUUAAGACGUAUAUCCUUAUCGUUUAUAGAUUCAACAAAUUUGUUCAUAAAUAAUUCUGAAUUAUUAUAGCCCAAUCAUAACAACUAUGAAGUUUGAUAUUCAUAUAUUCUUAAUAAUGUAUUUCAACUUCAAUACCUCAGAAUAAUUUUUUAUUCUUUUGAGUUCCUUGAUAUUUUAUUUACUAACUUUUAGUAAAUAUACUUUGGCCAUUAUAUAUAUCAUAACUUAUCAAGACAAUUUUAUCUUCCAAGCUUAUCAUUCAUAAGCAUCAAGUUAUAUGACAUUUAGAGAAACCAAUUUCUCUAUUUUAAAACUCUUUUAAAAUUUUGUCAAAAAUAUAUGAAAACAUUGUUUUAGCUUAACCACACCUUAAUCUAUCUUCAUAGAUUCUUUCAUGCCCAAUUUUUCUUUACACUUUGAUGGAAAAAGUGUUUCAAAAUCAUUUUUGCUAUGUGCUUUAGGAACUUUAUAUUGUUUCUAUUCCAUAAUCUUUCAAAUACAUACAAGAUUAAAAACUUUGUACGGCUCCCACUGAGUUCUACAAAUCUAUUUUUUUAGUACUUGGGAUCUUCAUAUUAUUUCUAUUUCAUGAUAUGUCUUACAUAUAUAUGACUUAGAAAUAUUAUAUAACUCCCACUGAAUUUUACACAAACAUACUUUUGGACAAGUCCAAAACUUAAUGCUAGUUCAAAUCUUUAAACGGUUUUUCAAGUUUGCACAUUUAUCCGGUUAUCCUAAGGAUAAAAACUUUUUUUGGUUGUAUCAUUCAUACAUCCUUUCCCCAAUUUAGGAAACUUCUUUUGAAAUCCUUAUUUUACCCAACACUCCUUGAAGUAUUAUCAAGUUCUAAACUUGUCAGAAAAUAACAACUAAGUUCCAAACUUAUUGUAUUUGAAUUUUCAUUCCGGUGUGCAUGGCCAAGGACGAUUCCUUAUGAGCUAGGCGCCACCUUUGUUUCCUUGUAGUAUUUAUGUUCAUCUUCUUACAAGAUGAAAAGAACUUUGUCUUGUCAUUUCAUGAAUUCAACAAUGUUCUUGAUCAUGUUUUAGCUUUUAGAAUUUUCUACAUCUAAUGUAGUAACUAACGGUAUAUCUUGUAAAUAAUUUAUUAGAACAAAUUCCGAUUAGUUUUGUACCGUUAAAAGAUUCACUAAUCUUUCAAGCUAUAACAUCCUCCUACUUAUUCUUUUGACAAGAAAACCCUUUUCAAUGACAAAUAUUUUGCCUUUCAGAUAUUUUACUGGGAGAAAUCAUAUAAACCUACAAUUCAAAUGUCAUCUAGUUAAAUAAUAUUCAUAUCUCAUAUGAUUUCAUUUAACACGAUCUAUACAAGGUUUUUCUAUUUUAGUGUAUAUUUUUCUGUUUCAGUUAUAUCCCGAUUAUAAAUAGGAGAUAGAAUAAUUCCAUGAUCAUUCAAACAAUCUUGCUAAACUUAUGACUUUAGAUCUAUUUCUUAAAAUGAAGAAUCACAAUAUCAAUUGUCAUUAUUAUCCUUAAUCUUCAUUAAAAUAUUUGAACUUCAACAGAAAUUCAGAAUUUAUUUGAACUCUUCAAAUAAAUUCUUAAAUUCUGUUGAACUAUUCAAAUAUUUGAGUCUGAGUAAAACAUUUGUUUAUUUUAAUGAAGUUAAAUUAUCCACUAUACUUGUCGAAGUAAAUGACCAUGGGUAGCCUCAUCAGGCCCCCAUGGUAUUUCAAGACAUCGGGGCUGGCUGCGCCCCCUGAGCGUCAAAGACAGAGGGCUGCCUUCUUGGGGAUGGCUGGUCGAAACGGCCAGCUGCUGGAAGGCGGCGGAAUCCGGAAGACGGCCAGGAAGUGGGCCGACUCCUAGCAGGCGGAUUCCAGGGAGGCCGGCUCCUAGCAGGCGGCCCCUCAUGCCCUCAAAGUUAGCACCCACAUAAACAUGACGAGACGGCGCGUGGCUACACUGCAGCCUGCCACCCCCGAAUCCAGGGAGGAACGUGGCCACAGUGCAGCAUACCAGGCGGACAUCCCAUGUCUGGCGCGGCACUGUUGCCACGCUGCUCGUGACAUCACCCAUGACAGAGGGAGCUAUUCUCCCACGACGGGCUGUCGGUACGGCCCGUAGGCGGCGGGCCCCACUUGUCCGUGAGAAGCCAGAAGGCGGCGAGCCCUGACCAGUCGGCUCGGGGGGAGGCCGGCUCCUAGCAGGCGGCCCUCCCCCUUCCUUGAAGUUUGCACGCCAUUAACCAGAAGAGACGGGGAGUGGCUACAGUGAACACCCACCAGGCGGCGGGACUGUAGCCACGCUCUCCCCGACAAAGCAUGCAUCAUCAGUAGCACGGCUACAGUGCUGAGCAGCCGGCAGGACCCGCGAGCGGCGGGCGCGGCCUGUCGGCAAGUACAAGACAGCCGGCGGGACCCACCAGCCGGCGGGCCCCAGCAGCCGGCAGAAAAGCCGGCCACCAGAGACACUGACAGCCGGGUCCUACACCCCACCAGAUAUAAACCCCCCGGGGCACCCAUGCAAAGGGUUGAGCUUCUUAGAUAGCACACACACAUAGAGAGAGGCGUAGAGCUAGCCUUGCUCCUCUUCCUCCUCUAGCCAAAAUAGCUCAAGGAGCAAGCUUGUAGUCACCUUGUUGAGAUAGUGAUCAUGCGGAGACCCCGUAGAGCAGGACUAGGGGUGUUAUCUCCUAGGAGAGCCUCGAACCUGGGUAAGAUGCAUCGGCGUACGUGUCUACGCCUUAUCCCGUUUCCAGGCACCGGCGACGUACUACUCUCCCUCACCAUGAUAAGCCAUCCUUUGGCAUAUGUCACACGAAACCCCCGACAUUUGGCGCACACCGUGGGGCUAGGUGCACCGUCGUCCGGAGAUCUGUUCUGGACGGGUACCCUUUUUCUCCCUAGCGAGCGCAGCCAGCCCGGCACGCCCGAUGGCGUUUGCGCCAACGCGCUGCAGGGCGCAGAAGUCGCAUGCGCGGCGAGCGACCUCGCCGACCUCAUCGUCGGGAUCCACCUCUCUGACGAGCCCGCACCCGACGCGGGGGCAGCCAGCUCCAACAGCUGCCUCGUCUACCUCCUUGGCCAGCUCCACAUUGCCAAUGAGCCGGCCUCCGACCUAGAGUCAAUUGGCUCCACCGACCCGAUGCUCAUCGACUCGGACAUGACAUCCCUUGACGCCUUCCCCAUCAACGUGGUGGUCAUCAACGACCCGCUCCCUCGCGCGGACAGCGGUGGCAGCACCAUCAUAGAGGUGCUCGUCAUCAGCACAAUGAAGCCUCUGGCGGAGCCGGCCAGGAUCCGCUGCAAGCGACUCUGCAAGACCUGUCCGCGCCCAUCAUGGUAGAUGCUGAUGCCGAGACAUUAGAAGCCUGUCGCUUCUAGCUUGUCGACAGCGCCAAGAAGUUGGCUCCCAUGAGACGCCUCUCCGAGGCCUACCAGCGCGAGAUCGACCGUGUCGUCGGCGACACGCCGGCUGCUAGCGAGCCCAGCCGUGUGGGCACGGUCCGACAACGCGGCACGGCCAUCUCCAGCAUGUUCGGGGCAGACCGCCCUAUCUACGCCACACCUGUGGAAAACCUGCACGCCGCCCAGGCGGCGGCAGCCGAGCUAGACCAGCUGGAGGGCGACGAGCGUUGCUACAUGAUGGAGCGCGUCCAGCAGCUCACCGAUACGGCUGGCGCACAGCAAGAAGCCGGCCACCGCGUUGGAGAGACCAGCCAGCGAGCUGAGAACCUUCCCCUCACCGAGAGCAAGGCGCGACCUCCUGGACGCCGACAGGCGGCGUCCGCGAUAGACGAGACCGAGAGCUGACUGCUAGCCGCAGCCGAACAUGCGUCACCAUCGAGCGCGACCGAGACGGCCGCCCACGAGCAGUGGAACGACGGGAUGACUAUCCGCCUCCUCCUCCUCCUCGCAGGGAGAGGCGUACCUUCCGCCGCCUGUUGAGUACCCGACUCUCGGCGACAGGCUAGCCUGCCGCGAAGGAGUCGGAGAAAACGACGCCCGCCACUGGAUCGACCAACUAGCUCGGUCCCUGGCGGUAGAAGAAGAAGAUGCAAUCGGUCCGCCUUGUUUCGGCCCCCGCAUUCGAGACAAGCCCUUCCCCAAAGGGUUCUCGCGCCCCAGAGAUACGCCCAAGUACAACGGCUCUGUGAAGCCGGAAGAUUGGCUGGUUGACUACUCCACUGUGGUCAACAUAGCGAACGCCAACAAGCGCGUUGUCGUGAAGUACGUUCCGCUCAUGCCGCAGGGCACGGCCCAGACAUGGCUGAACACCCUCAAGCCCUACAGCGUCAACAGCUGGUUGGACUUCACCGAAGUCUUCAUUCGCAUCUUAACCAGCACCUACAAACGGCUGCCCAAGCCUUGCCAGCUUUCUGUGCGUCCAAGGUCCCACCGAGUCCACUCGCGACUACUUGACGUGGUGGGUUGAAUUGCGCAACUCCUGCGAAGGGGUGCACGAGGUGCAAGCCAUAGAGUACUUCACUGCUGGGUGCCGAGAGGGCACCUUUCUCAAGCACCGACUCCUCUGCGAUGAGCCGGCCACACUCGAUGAACUGCUGAUCAUGGCAGACAAGUACGACACUGCCGACUCCUCCAUGAAGUCGGAGCUCCAGGUGGACGCGUCCGGGAAGGUGCUCCCUCUGGCUCCUCGGACGCCGGCUGGUGACAACAGUCGGUGCCAGCAGCAGAACGACAACAAGCGCAAAGCCCCUCAGCCGGCUUCCACCAGCCGGCAGGUGGCGACUGUUGAGGAUCAGCAGCCGGAGGGACAACCCGGCCCUAAGAGUCAGAAGGGUGGCAAGCCUGCUUGGUUGCCCGCCUUCUCCUCUGAUCCAACCCUUGAUGCUCCCUACAAGUUCCACAGCGGUGUGAAGCCAUCCAACUGCAUCACCCGGAAGUGCCACUAGCUCACCCGAAUCUCCAAGGGCGACGGACUGCUGCCUCGCACUACAGAAAAAAGACACAUUCGUGACAUUUUGGGCCGAACGAAAUUUUUUGUCAUACUUAUGACACUUCUAUGACGAUAAUUGUGACAAAACCCGGUAUCAUAAUAGAUGUGGUGGGGUCCUACUUCUAUGACAAAAAAUCAUGACAGAAAAUGGGCUUUUCGUCCUGGGCGGGCCGGAGACGCAGCUACAUGACAUUCUUUGGGCCGUCCAUGACGGAAAAAACCGUGGUAGAAGCGAGGGCGAGGAAAAUAUCAGGGAGUUCCCCGUUACGGUGGGUGGUCGGGGGCUGAGCGAUGCGCGUUUCUCUUGUACGUAUGCGCGUGUGUGCGAGGCGUUGGGCUCUAACUGAACCCGGGUGAUUGCACUUCAGGCUACGCGUUACUAAACCCGAGCGAUCGAUCGAUCCCUUGCUGUUAACUGAACCCGAGUGAUUCCUUCACUACUGUUGCUAACUGAAGCCGAUCAAACACUGCUGCCUCCUUCCCUGGAUGAACAGUGAGCGUUGUUGAGGGGGUUUGGAUGAACAGUUCCUGGUGGGGGGUUGGAUGAACAGGAACCCGUGGUAGUAGAGGCCGUUGCCAAUGGAUGAAGAGUACCUCGAUCGAUCGAGCCGGUGGAUGAACAUGACCCCGUCGAGGGCUGGUUGAACAGUAGCCGGCGGAGGGCCGUUUGAAAAGUAGCCGGUGGAGGGCUGGAUGAACAGUAGCCCGUGGAGGGGUGGUUGAAUAGGACCCCCGUGGAGAGGGCUGGUUGAACAGUAGCCGGUGGAGAGCGCGCGGUGGAGGCUGGAUGAACAGGAGCCCGUGGAUGAAUAGUCAUAGGUGGAGCCUGGAGGAGGUCGACGGUGGAUGAAUGAUAACCCACAAGUAUAGGGGAUCGCAACAGUUUUCAAGGGUAGAGUAUAAAACCCAAAUUUAUUGAUUCGACACAAGGGGAGCCAAAGAAUACUCUCAGGUAUUAGCAGUUGAGUUGUCAAUUCAACCACACCUAGAUAACUUAAUAUCUGCAGCAAAGUAUUUAGUAGCAAAGUAGUAUGGAAGUAACUGUAAUGGUAGCAAAAGUAACAGUAGCAGUGGAAAAGUAAAUAAGCGAAGAACAAUAUGUGAAAAGCUCGUAGGCAUUGGAUCGGUGAUGGAGAAUUACGCCGAAUGCGAUCAUUCAUGUAACAGUUAUAACAUAGGGUGACACAGAGCUAGCUCCAAUUCAUCAAUGUAAUGUAGGCAUGUAUUCCGAAUAUAGUCAUACGUGCUUAUGUAAAAGAACUUGCAUGACAUCUUUUGUCAUACCCUCCCGUGGUAGCGGGUCCUAACGGAAAGUAAGGGAUAUUAAGGCCUCCUUUUAAUAGAGUACCGGACCAAAGCAUUAACACAUAGUGAAUACAUGAACUCCUCAAACUACGGUCAUCACCGGGAGUGGUCCCGAUUAUUGUCACUUCGGGGUUGCCGGAUCAUAACACAUAGUAGGUGACUAUAGACUUGCAAGAUAGGAUCAAGAACUCACAUAUAUUCAAGAAAACAUAAUAGGUUCAGAUCUGAAAUCAUGGCACUCGGGCCCUUGUGAUAAGCAUUAAGCAUAGCAAAGUCAUAGCAACAUCAAUCUCACAACAUAGUGGAUACUAGGGAUCAAACCCUAACAAAACUAACUCGAUUACAUGAUCAAUCUCAUCCAACCCAUCACCGUCCAGCAAGCCUACGAUGGAAUUACUCACGCACGGCAGUGAGCAUCAUGAAAUUGAUGAUGGAGGAUGGUUGAUGAUGAUGAUGGCGACGGAUUCCCCUCUCCGGAGCCCCAAACGGACUCUAGAUCAGCCCUGUAUCGUAAAACGCGAUGAAUAUUUCUCUCUGAUUUUUCUCUCCCCGAACACGAAUAUAUAGAGUUGGAGUUGAGGUCGGUGGAGCUCCAGGGGGCCCACGAGGCAGGGGGAGCGCCUCCCACCCUCGUGGACAGGGUGUGGGCCCCCUGGCCUUGAUUCUUUCGCCAGUAUUUUUAAUUAUUUCCAAAAAUAAUCUCCGUGAAGUUUCAGGUCAUUCCGAGAACUUUUGUUUCUGCACAAAGAUAACACCAUGGCAAUUCUGUUGAAAAUAGCGUCAGUCCGGGUUAGUUCCAUUCAAAUCAUGCAAGUUAGAGUCCAAAACAAGGGAAAAAGUGUUUGGAAAAGUAGAUACGACGGAGACGUAUCAACUCCCCCAAGCUUAAACCUUUUCUUGUCCUCAAGCAAUUCAGUUGAUAAACUGAAAGUGAUAAAUUAAAACUUUUACAAACUCUGUUUGCUCUUGUUGUUCUAAAUAUGUAAAGCCAGCAUUCAAGUUUUCAGCAAGGAUUAUGAACUAACCAUAUUCAAAAUAACAUUUAGGUCUCAUGUUUACUCAUAUCAAUGGCAUAAUCAACUAGCGAGCAAUAAUAAUAAAUCUCGGAUGACAACACUUUCUCAAAACAAUCAUAAUAUGAUAUAACAAGAUGGUAUCUCGCUAGCCCUUUCUGAGACCGCAAAACAUAAAUGCAGAGCACCUUUAAAGAUCAAGGACUGACUAGACAUUGUAAUUCAUGGUAAAAGAGAUCCAAUCAUAGUCAUACCCAAUAUAAAUUAACAGUAAUGAAUGCAAAUGACAGCGUUGCUCUCCAGCUGGUGCUUUUUAAUAAGAGGGUGAUGACUCAACAUAAAAGUAAAUAGAUAGGCCCUUCGCAGAGGGAAGCAGGGAUUUGUAGAGGUGCCAAAGCUCGGUUUUGAAAUAGAGAUAAAUAAUAUUUUGAGCGGUAUACUUUCAUUGUCAACAUAACAACCAAGAGAUGGCGAUAUCUUCCAUGCUACACACAUUAUAGGCGGUUCCCAAACAGAAUGGUAAAGUUUAUACUCACCCUCCACCAAAAAACAUCAAUCCAUGGCUUGCUCGAAACAACGAGUGCCUCCAACUAACAACAGUCCCGGGGGAGUUUUGUUUGCAAUUAUUUUGAUUAGAUUUGCAUAAAGCAUGGGACUAGGCAUCCCGAUGACCAGCCAUUUUCUCGUGAGUGUGAAGCGGAGUCCACUCCUCUUGAGAAUAACCCGCCUAACAUGGAAGAUACGGACAACCCUUGUUGAUACAUGAGCUAUUUGAGCAUACAAAACAGAAUUUCAUUUGAAGGUUUAGAGUUUGGCACAUACAAAUUUACUUGGAACGGCAGGUAGAUACCGCAUAUAGGAAGGUAUAGUGGACUCAUAUGGAAUAACUUUGGGGUUUAAGGGAUUGGAUGCACAAGCAGUAUUCCCGCUUAGUACAAGUGAAGGCUAGCAAAAGACUGGGAAGCGACCAACUAGAGAGCGACAACAGUCAUGAACAUGCAUUAAAAUUAAUGAACACUGAGUGCAAGCAUGAGUAGGAUAUAAUCCACCAUGAACGUAAAUAUCGUGAAGGCUAUGUUGAUUUUGUUUCAACUACAUGCGUGAACAUGUGCCAAGUCAAGUCACUUAAAUCAUUCAAAGGAGGAUACCACCCUAUCAUACCACAUCACAACCAUUUUAAUAGCAUGUUGGCACGCAAGGUAGACCAUGAUAAGCUCCUAGCUAAUUAAGCAUGGCAUAAGUAACUAUAAUCUCUAAUUGUCAUUGCAAACAUGCUUAUUCAUAAUAAGCUGAAUCAGGAACGAUGAACUAAUCAUAUUUACAAAAACAAGAGAGGUCGAGUUCAUACCAGCUUCUCUCAUCUCAAUCAGUCCAUCUUAUAUCAUCAUAAUUGCCUUUCACUUGCACGACCGAACGAUGUGAAUAAUAAUAAUAGUGCACGUGCAUUGGACUAAGCUGGAAUCUGCGAGCAUUCAAUAAACAGGAGAAGACAAGACAAUAUGGGCUCUUGGUUAUAUCAACAAUAAUGCAUAUAAGAGCCACUUCAACAAUUUCAUUAUGGUCUUCUCCUCUCGACCCCCAAAGAAAAGAAAAGAAAUAAAACCAUUUACACGGGAAAGCUCCCAACAAGCAAAAGAAGAACAUGAAAUAUUUUUGGGUUUUCUUUUUAAUUACUACUACUACAAGCAAGAAAGUAAACUAGCUAAACGCUACAACUAAUUUUUUUGGUUUUCUUAAGGUUUUUCAAACACACAAGAAGAAAGCAAGAAAAAGAAAAUAAACUAGCAUGGAUAUUACAGUGAAAAAGUAUGAGCACCGACAUCUAGUAAUAAAUGUGUGAACAUAAAUGUAAUGCCGGUGAGAAAUACGUACUCCCCCAAGCUUAGGCUUUUGCCCUAAGUUGGUCUAUUGCCACGGCUGGCCUGGCGGAUAUCCGAAGUUGUAACCGGGGUCGUACUGAGAUGCAGCGGCUAUUGCAUCGUGGGAUGCAGCUUGGAGGCAAGCUACCCUCGUCCUCCUCUCGUACUUAUUUGCCUCCUCCCUGGUUGUAACAUGUCUCCCUUUUGCCUGAAACUGAAAGAGAGUAGGAGCAGGGAGGACAAUAUUGAAGGCGUGACGCCUGUCAAAGAUUAGUCGGUACUGGAGAGGCGGUUCAUUCCUCUCAACAAACUGAUGGUGAACCAUGGCAUUAUAAUCUAGAUAAGCAGGAGGCAAUUCCAUAUCAUAAUCGCGAAUGGGUAUAUUAAGAAAAUUAGCUAAACGGGUUGCAUAAAUUCCACCAAAGAAAACUCCAUUAGAUCUAUUAUUAUGCAACCUACGUGCAACAAUGGCUCCCAAAUUAUAAUGUGUAUCUCCUAAUACAGCACUCCUGAGAACACUGAGAUCAGGGACACACAUGUGGCAUGCUUCAUCCUUACCAUUUAUGCACCUACCUAUGAAGAGAGCAAAAUAAUGUAUAGCAGGAAAAUGAAUGCUCCCUAUGGUAGCUUGUGUUAUGUCUCUAGAUUCCCCCACUAGCAAGAAAAUCUCUAAAUUCAAUUUGCGAGGUUCACUAGGACUACCCCAUUGUGGAAGUUUGCAAGCAGUAUUAAAAUCCUCCAAGUCCAUAGUAUAAGAAUUUUCAUAAAGAUCAAACAGGACAGUUUGAGAAUUCCCUGAUGAUGAAAAUUCAAACCUCCUCACAAAGGAAUCAGUGAGAUAGUGGUACUGACGGCACUUAUCUGCCUCGAAGCUCACAAGAUCAGCGUUACGCACAUAUGCGUUAAAUUCUUCCUUGAUUCCUGCUCGAUCCAUGAAGUCCUCUGAAGGCCAUUCACAAGCCCGCACUUGAGCGUCCCUUGGUGGUUCAUUGUCAGCAUCGCGCAUUGCGAGCCUGGGUCCUUGCUUCAUUGAAGGGCCACCUUGGUACAUUUUCCAAAACAUAUUUCUUCCUCUGAAAAAUUUCUGAAAAUUUUAGUAACUUCAAAUAAAAGUGAACCAAACUCAACAAAACUGAUAGAAACUACUCCCACAAGUGCCUAUAGACUAUAUCAUGCAUUAGAACUACUUGGAACCAUAUAAAUUUGACAUGCAAGCUCAAGAACAUGGUUACCAAGGCAGCACAAAUUUGCAAUGAAUAAAGAACUAGAGCAAAAACUAAUUGGACCAUUGGAGGAGUCACAUACCAAGGAACAAUCCCCCAAAGCAGUUUUGUGAGAGGUGCUUUGAGCAAGGAGAUCGAAAAUCGCAGCAAAAUGAGCUAGAACUCAUGCUUGAGCUAGUGGUGAUUUUUUUGGGAGGAAGAAGGAGUGUGUGGGUACAGGAAUAAGUGGAGGGGAGCCACCAUGGGCCCACGAGGCAGGGGGCGCGCCCUGGACACUCGUGGCCAGGUUCUUGCUCCCCAUGUUGUGUUCUCAGUGCCAGAUAUUCUCAAAUAUUCCAGAAAAAAACAUAUUUCAAUUUCGGGGCAUUUGGAGAACUUUCAUUUUCGGGGUAUUUUUUAUUGCACGGAUAAAUCAGAAAACAGACAGAAAAUAUUAUUUUUACUUUAUUUCAACUAAACAACAGAAAGUAAAAGGAGGGUACAGAAGGUUGUGCUUUCAAACUUCAUCCAUCUCAUGCUCAUCAAAAGGAAUCCACGAACAAGGUUGAUCAGGUCUUGUUAACAAACUCAUUCCGAAUCGCAUGAAACCGGAGAAAUUUCGAAUAACACUAAGUUACCUCAACGGGGAUAUGCACGUCCCCAAUAAUAAGAAUAUCAUAUUUCUUCUUGACAGUAGGAAGAGGAAAUUCAAAAAUCCAAAAAUAAUCGAUGGAAUUUUUCCAAUAGAGUUUAUACUAUGAACUUGAGGUUGUUUCCUCGGAAAGUGUACGUAUGCUCAUUGCCAUUAACAUGAAAAGUGAUAUUGGUUUUGUUGCAAUCAAUAACAGCCCCUGCAGUAUUCAAAAAAGGUCUUCCAAGAAUAAUAGACAUACUAUCGUCCUCGGGAAUAUCAAGAAUAACAAAGUCCAUUAAAAUAGUAACGUUUGCAACCACAACGGGCACAUCCUCACAAAUACCGACAGGUAUAGCAGUUGAUUUAUCAGCCAUUUGCAAAGAUAUUUCAGUAGGUAUCAACUUAUUCAAAUCAAGUCUACGAUAUAAAGAGAGAGGCAUAACACUAACACCAGCUCCAAGAUCACAUAAAGCAGUUCUAACAUAGUUUCUUUUAAUGGAGUAUGGUAUAGUUGGUACUCCUAGAUCUCCUAACUUCUUAGGUAUUCCACCCUUAAAAGUAUAAUUAGCAAGCAUGGUGGAAGUUUCAGCUUCCGGUAUCUUUCUUUUAUUUGUAGCAAUUUCUUUCAUAUACUUAGCAUAAGGAUUCAUCUUGAGCAUAUCAGUUAAUCACAUACGCAAAAAUCUCUCUUAUCAUAACGUUGAUUCUUUGAUUGUGGGUUAUCAAGAUCAACAGCAGGUUCAAUCUCUACAUCAUCGUUAUUACUAGGUUGAGCAUCGUCAUGAACAUCAUCAUUAACAUUAUCACUAGGUUCAUGUUCAUUACCAGAUUGUGUUUCAGCAUCAGAAAUAGAAAUAUCAUUGGUAUUCUCAUGUGUGUCUACAACAGGUUCACUAGAAGCAUGCAAAGUCCUAUCAUUUUUCUUUUUCUUCUUCUUAGAAGGACUAGGUGCAUCAACAUUAUUUCUUUGAGAAUCCUGCUCAAUUCUCUUAGGAUGGCCUUCAGGAUACAAAGGUUCCUGAGUCAGUUUACCAGUUCUAGUAGCCACUCUAACAGCAAAAUCAUUAUUCUUACUAUUCAAUUCAUUGAGCAAAUCAUUCUGAGCUUUAAGUACUUAUUCUACUUGAGUGGUAACCAUAGAAGCAUGUUCACUAAUGUGCUUAAGUUCACCCUUAACUCUAGACAUAUAAUCACUCAAGUGUUCAAUCAUAUAAGCAUUGCGUUUUAAUUCUCUACCAAACUAAGCAUUGAAAUCUUCUUGCUUAACCAUAAAAUCAUCAAACUCAUCUAAGCAUUAGCUAGCAAACUUAGUAGGAGGGAUUUCAGCUUUAUCAUAUCUAUAGAGAGAAUUUACCUUUACUACCUGUGUCGGGCUAUCAUGACCAUGUGUUUCUUCAACAGGCGGUAAAUUAAGACCAUGUAUUUCUUCAACAGGAGGUAAAUUCUUAACAUCUUUAGCUUUUAUACCUUUUUCUUUCAUAGAUUUCUUUGCCUCUUGCAUAUCUUCAGGACUGAGAAAUAGAACACCCCUUUUCUUCGGAGUUGGCUUAGGAGUUGGUUCAGGAAGUGUCUAAUUAUUCUCAUUUGUUAACAUAUUAUUCAAUAGAAUUUCAGCUUCAUCAACUGUUCUUUCCCUGAAAACACAACCAGCACAACUAUCUAGGUGGUCUCUGGAAGCAUCGGUUAGUCCAUUAUAAAAGAUAUCAAGUAUUUCAUUUUUCUUGACGGGAUGAUCCGGCAAAGCAUUAAGUAAUUGGAGAAGCCUCCCCCAAGCUUGUGGGAGACUCUCUUCUUCAGUUUGCACAAAAUUAUAUAUUUCCCUUAAGGCAGCUUAUUUCUUAUGAGCAGCGAAAUAUUUAGCAGAGAAGUAAUAAAUCAUAUCCUGGGGACUACGCACACAACCAGGAUCAAGAGAAUUAAACCAUAUCUUAGCAUCACCCUUUAAUGAGAACGGAAAUAUUUUAAGGAUAUAAGAGUAGCGAGUUUUCUCAUCAUUAGUGAACAGGGUGGCUAUAUCAUUUAAUUUAGUAAGAUGUGCCACAACAGUUUCAGAUUCAUAGCCAUAGAAAGGAUCAGAUUCAACCAAAGUAAUUAUAUCAAGGUCGACAGAGAAUUCAUAAUCCUUAUCAGUAACAAAGAUAGGUGAAGUAGCAUAAGCAGGAUCAUAUUUCAUUCUAGCAUUCAGAGUUUUUUGUUUCAGCUUAGCUAAUAAUUUCUUUAGAUCACUUCUAUCAUUGCAAGCAAGAAAGUCUCUAGUAGUUUCUUCAUCCAUAACGUAGCCCUCGGGCACAGCAGGCAAUUCAUAUGUAGGGGGAGAAUCUUCAUCAUCACUUUCAUCAAUAUUAUCAGUUUCAAUAAUUUCAUUCUCUCUAGCCCUAGCAAGUUGUUCAUCAAGAAAUUCACCAAGUGGCACAGUAGUAUCAAGCAUAGAAGUACUUUCAUCAUAAGUAUCAUGCAUAGAAGAAGUGGCAUCAUCAAUAACAUGCGACAUAUCAGAAUUAAUAGCAGAAACAGGUUUAGGUGUCGCAAGCUUACUCAAAACAGAAGGUGAAUCAAGUGCAGAGCUAGAUGGAAGUUCCUUACCUCCCCUCGUAUUUGAGGGAUAAAUUUUUGUUUUCGCGUCUUUUAAGUUCUUCAUAGUGACCAGCAGAUAUAAAUCCCAAGUGACUCAAAGAAUAGAGCUAUGCUCCCCGGCAACGGCGCCGGAAAAUAGUCUUGAUAACCCACCAGUAUAGGGGACCGCAACAGUUUUCGAGGGUAGAGUAUUCAACCCAAAUUUAUUGAUUCGACACAAGGGGAGCCAAAGAAUAUUCUCAAGUAUUAGCAGUUGAGUUGUCAAUUCAACUACACCUGGAUAACUUAAUAUCUGCAGCAAAGUAUUUAGUAGCAAAGUAGUAUGGAAGUAACGGUAACGGUAGCAAAAGUAACAGUAGCAGCGGAAAAGUAAAUAAGCGAAGAACAAUAUGUGAAAAGCUCGUAGGCAUUGGAUCGGUGAUGGAGAAUUAUGCCGGAUGCUAUCAUUCAUGUAACAGUUAUAACAUAGGGUGACACAGAACUAGCUCCAAUUCAUCAAUGUAAUGUAGGCAUGUAUUCCGAAUAUAGUCAUACGUGCUUAUGGAAAAGAACUUGCAUGACAUCUUUUGUCCUACCCUCCCGUGGCAGCGGGUCCUAGCGGAAACUAAGGGAUAUUAAGGCCUCCUUUUAAUAGAGUACCGGACCAAAGCAUUAACACAUAGUGAAUACGUGAACUCCUCAAACUACCGUCAUCACCGGGAGUGGUCCCGAUUAUUGUCACUUCGGGGUUGCCGGAUCAUAACACAUAGUAGGUGACUAUAGACUUGCAAGAUAGGAUCAAGAACUCACAUAUAUUCUUGAAAACAUAAUAGGUUCAGAUAUGAAAUCAUGGCACUCGGGCCCUGGUGACAAGCAUUAAGCAUAGAAAAGUCAUAGCAACAUCAAUCUCAGAACAUAGUGGAUACUAGGGAUCAAACCCUAACAAAACUAACUCGAUUACAUGAUAAAUCUCAUCCAACCCAUCAUUGUCCAGCAAGCCUACGAUGGAAUUACUCACACACGGCGGUGAGCAUCGUGAAAUUGGUGAUGGAGGAUGGUUGAUGAUGAUGAAGGCGACGGAUUCCCCUCUUCGGAGCCCCGAACGGACUCUAGAUCAGCCCUCCCGAGAGAGUUUAGGGCUUGGCGGCGGCUCCGUAUCGUAAAAUGCGAUGAAUCUUUCUCUCUGAUUUUUUCUCCCCGAACACAAAUAUAUAGAGUUGGAGUUGAGGUCGGUGGAGCUCCAGGGGGCCCACGAGGCAGGGGGCGCGCCCUGGGGGGGCAGGCGCGCCUCCCACCCUCGUGGACAGGGUGUCGCCCCCCUGGCCUUGAUUCUUUUGCCAGUCAUUUUAAUUAUUUCCAAAAAUAAUCUCCGUGAAGUUUGAGGUCAUUCUGAGAACUUUUGUUUCUGCACAAAGAUAACACCAUGGCAAUUCUGCUGAAAACAGCGUCAGUCCCGGUUAGUUCCAUUUAAAUCAUGCAAGUUAGAGUCCAAAACAAGGGCAAAAGUGUUUGGACAAGUAGAUACGACGGAGACGUAUCAAUGAACAGUAGCCUGUGGAGGCAGUCGAUGGUAGAGAUGAACAGUAUCCCGUGGAGUCCCGUUUUGCGGUACGCCACACCCCUCCCGAUGAACAGGACCCCCGUUUCGACCGUAGCGCUCCAACACAAGUCCGUUUCCUCUGUUUUGCGGUACGCCACACCGCUCCCGAUCAACAGGACCCCGUUUCGAGCGUAGGAGGCCCGUUUCCUCCGUUUUGCGGUACGCCAGACCCCUCCCGAUGAACAGGAUCCCGUUUCCACCGUGGCCGGUCGAACACAAGGCCGUUUCCUCCGUUCUGCAGUACGCCAAGCCUCGUUUCUAUCGCGUGUUCCAUCCAAGCCGGUUGGCUCCGAUGAACAACACACGUUUCGUUGCCUCCUGAUGAACACGACGCAUUCCGUUGCCUCCCCAUGAACACGACGGCGACACAGUUUCUCCGUUCCGACCCAGCCAUGUACAUGAGCCCUGGCCGUACGUAUGCGCGAGUAGGCGUUCGAGACCCAGCCCGUAUGUACAUACGUGGCCGUAUUUUCUUUCUUGCUCCCUGACCGCUGUACGUACGUGUACAUGCUACGUGCGCGCCCCUACUAAGACACGUGCGCGCCUCUACUACGACACGUGCCCUUCCUUACAUGGCCACGGUUCAUCGCUGCAGCCUGCAGACAGACCGAUCGACCAGUAUGUACGUACACAUUCGCGACCAGAAUGACAACGCUAUGUAUGCUUCGACCGGGUGGGUCCCGACUGUCAGGCACUUCCUUGCGUGCGAAGAUGUAGGUGCUGGGUCCCAGUAGUCAGGGGGCGAAUAAUUUUUUUUGCCCGUAAUAUGGACACACUUUCUUGCGUAUGAGGAUGUAGCUGCUGGGUCCUAGCAGUCAGGGGGGAAACUUUUUUUUUCAUGAAAUACGGUGGCCCGUCUGGUGGGUCCCUGCUAUGAGGUGGAGGAAUCAUUAUUUUUCGCAAAAUAAGGAGGCACUUCCUUGCUACGGCCGUGGACCUAGUUGUCAGCCUCUCCACGUACAGUACUCUUCCGAUGGAAGUCAUUCCUUGACCAUGUUGACCACGCCACGGCAAGAGCACCAGGGCGGUGGACGACGGCGAGGCCUAGGAAGGGGACGACGCGGAGCCGGGGAAGACGCGGCAGUGAAUGCCCACGCGGAGAGGAGUACGAGGGUUCACUGGUUCGGCUGCGGUGUGAGGCUGCCGUCGCUGCAGGGCCUGGCCAGCGGUGGGAGUAGUAGGGGGCGGUGAGGCCUCUGUGGCAUCACAGCCGGCCACGGGAAGCAGGAGCACGUGGCACGACCGGCGCUGGUUUGGGCGGCUGGAGCAACAAGACCAGAGGUUGAAGAAGCACUACCACCGUUGGAUGGACAUCGUACGGUCACUGGAGCUUGAAUCAUUCAUAUUGACUAAGUUGACAAAGCCCUCCGUCCCCGUCAACUUAGUAGGCCCACAAGUCAGCCUCCCACUAUGGUGGGUCCCAGCUAGCAAGGGGAGUAUUCAUUUUUUGUGCGUAAUAAGGAGCCACUUCCUUGCGUGCGAAGAUAUAGCUGGUGGGUCCAAGCUAUCAGCGGGAGUAUUCAUUCUUUUUGGCGUAAUAAGGAGGUACUUGCUUGCGAGCGGCCAUGGACCAUGUGGGUCCCAACUGUCAGCCUCUCCAUGUACGUCCCUCUUCCGAUGUUGUCGUUUGUUGACAACGUUGACCACGCCGUGCCAAGAACACCAGCGCGAUGGACGACGGCGAGACCCAGGAAGGGAAAGACCCGGAGGCGGCGAAGCCACAACAGUGGAGGGAUGUGGGUGAGUAGAGGGAUGGCCUAGCCAGCGGUGGGAGUAGUAGGGGCGGUGAGGCCUGUGCGGCAGCACAGCCGGCCACGGGAGACGGGAGUAGGCGGUCCCGCCGGCGCUGGAUUUGGCGGCUGGAGCAAGAAGAUCAGAGAUUGAAGAAACACGACGGCCGUUGGAUUGACAUCCAACGGUUGCGUCUGCUAGAAUCGUUUGUUGUCGUAUAUAAUAAGUAAAAAAGCAGCAGGAGUACUUAACAACCUUAACUGAAACCAGCAAGGGCACUUAACAACCAUAGCUGAAAGCAGUAUGAGUACUUAUACAGGUUCAACCGUACAAAGCAUGCCUCGAACAGUGCUACUUUGCCUACAGUUAACCAAAGGGUGAGGCCGCCAAGCCCCAGGACAAGGCACAGGCGCCACCCCACGCAUCCAAAACCUUGUGAAAGCCGCUUCAUCUUGUAAUGUGGUCAAUAAAUAGGAUAUUUUCUUUAGAACCAUGGAAAAGCAGGAACAUAAUCUUCUGUCCUAUUCUCCAAGAUGGACGGGCCUUCAUUAUUUGAGACCACCCAUGAAUAAGUAUCUUUUCACCUCCAAGGGGAAUGGAGUAGGUCGACAUAAACAUCAUGUUGUGACCAAGCGCAAGUCUGACCCGACCAUGGUCAGGCAUCUGUAUAGGAACAAUAGACCCGGGCAGUUCCUGUUUCAAGAAGAUCAUAGUUGUAAAACUGUGUAUAAGCAAGAGUUUAUGAACAACAUAUAUAACAGAAAACAGCUUGUACCAUAAGUUUCUCAACACAGUUGGACCUGUUCAAUGAGUGCAGCAGUGGCACACAUAUCCCACACGGCCUUCCACCAUUGAAACGCCCCACAAGGACCUUAAGACAAUCAAUAAAGUGUAGGAACUUGUGGAUGUCGUCCAAGUCAACUUCAGUGCCAUGAGUAACAGCUGAGUUCUUAUAGAAUAACAAAUGAGUAGCCUGCUUAACUCUGAAAAAACCUACACGUGCCACCAAUUAUAAGAAAAUAUUAGUUAGAAGUAGCAUCUUCGUGAGAGAUUCAUUGCUAAUUCUAAAGUUAAAUUGUGAUUAGUUAGACAUAAUAGGUGGAUUAUGAAGUAAUCGAGGCAAGAAGCAAGAACCAGAUACAAAACUAACAUGGAUGAACAAUUGGAACGACGUCGGGGUGGAAGAUCGCAGUGAAGAUGAGACCAGGUUCUGCUAUUUCCAUCAACAUUUGUGUGCCAACUUUCAGUCUGUAACACUUGAGAAGGUUUAUCCAUGUUCGGCCAUAAAAAAGCAGCGAUCUUCUUGGUUCAUGAACCCAACUCAAAACUUAUAUCCAUGGCUUGUCUUCACUGUGACCAUUAAACUGGUGUAUUCAGUUAUGGCAAGGCCGAGCAUCUUGAGUACUUGUAUUCUGGCAGAGCAAGGAAUGCACUGCAGGAAAAAUAAUAUGAGAACACAAUGUAUUCCCUAUAUCCAAAUCUAGAAAUAAUUUCCUCCUUCACGUCAGUGUUGACCAUGGUACUAGUACCUUUUAUCCAAAUAUAGCAAUCCAAAUUUCCAAAUUAGUUGACAUCAUGUUCAAAAAACCCCACCCUCCCAGAUAGAAAGAGGAUUCUAGGAACAUACUGUGCGCAUUUUAAAAUCCUGUGUUAGGAUGAGAAGCAACAAGUGUGGCGUCUCGCCGAGGGCGCAGAAACCUGUAGGGUCCUUGCACUUUGGGCACUGCAAAUGAAACACACUAGAUUCAGUAGGAAGAAAAAUGCAUCAAUGGCGGUGGCUGCCAUCCUAGGAGCACCCGCGACCAAGGGACUUGGAUUUAUCGAGGAUGGAUGAAGAAUUCGUACCAGGUUCUCCAUGAGAAAACCCUAUGCAAUUGCCGAGCGGGGUUUUCUCUGAACAAGCAGACGAGGGCGAAGGGGAUUCAGGCCCAGUGAAAUAUUGCCGCUUCGUCCGUCCAGCUUACUGCUAAAGCUGGAAAGGUGGGGUUUUUUGUGAUUUGACGGCUCAUUAGGCAUAACUGCAGUGCUACGACCGGGUUGUGUCUACCGUGCAGUUGCGCACUCUAAUUUGGUGCAUAUGGCACGUGGACCCCAUACUCGGAUGCCCCACUAAUACGUCCAUUUUGCAUCAUGCUUUUAUAUUGAUAUUUAUUGCAUUUUCGGCUGUUAUUACACGUUAUGUCACAAUACUUAUGCCUAUUCUCUCUUAUUUUACAAGGUUUACAUAAGGAGGGAGAAUGCCGGCAGCUGGAAUUGUGGGCUGGAAAAGGAGCAAAUAUUAGAGACCUAUUCUGCACAACUCCAAAAGUCCUGAAACUCCACGAAAGUUAAUUUUGGAAAUAAUAAAAAAUACUGAGCGGAAGAAAUACGUCAGGGGGCCUGUCCACGAAGGUGGGGGGCGCACCCUACCCCCUGGGCGCGCCCCCUGCCUCGUGGGCCCCCUGUUUGCCCUCCGGUGCCCAUCUUCUGCUAUAUGAAGUCUUUCGUCCGAAGAAAAAUCAUAAGCAAGCUUUCGGGACGAGACUCCACCGUCACGAGGCGGAACCUAGGCCGAACCAAUCUAGGGCUCCGGUAGAGCUGUUCUGCCGGGGACACUUCCCUCCGGGAGGGGGAAAUCAUCGCCAUCGUCAUCACCAACGCUCCAUCGUCUUCACCAGCACCAUCGCCUCUCAAACCCUAGUUCAUCUCUGGUAUCCAAUUCUUGUCUCUAAGUCUGGGAUUGGUACCUAUAGGUUGCUAGUAUUGUUGAUUACUUCUUGUAGUUGAUGCUAGUUGGUUUAUUUGGUGGAAGAUCAUAUGUUCAGAUCCUAUAUGCAUAUUAAUACUCCUCUGAUUAUGAAAAUGAAUAUGCUUUGUGAGUAGUUACGUUUGUUCCUGAGGACAUGGGAGAAGUCUUGCUAUUAGUAGUCAUGUGAAUUUGGUAUUCGUUCGAUAUUUUGAUGAGAUGUAUGUUGUCUAUCCUCUAGUGGUGUUAUGUGAACGUCGACUACAUGACACUUCACCAUUAUUUGGGCCUAGAGGAAGGCAUUGGGAAGUAAUAAGUAGACGAUGGGUUGCUAGAGUGACAGAAGCUUAAACCCUAGUUUAUGCGUUGCUCCGUAAGGGGCUGAUUUGGAUCCAUAUGUUUCAUGCUAUGGUUAGGUUUACCUUAAUACUUUUGUUGUAGUUGCGGAUGCUUGCAAUAGAGGUUAAUCAUAAGUGGGAUGCUUGUUCAAGUAAGGGCAGCACCCAAGCACCGGUCCACCCACAUAUCAAAUUAUCAAAGUACCGAACGCGAAUCAUAUGAACGUGGUGAAAACUAGCUUGCUGAUAAUUCCCAUGUGUCCUCGGGAGCGCUUUUCCCUAUAUAAGAGUUUGUCCAGGCUUGUCCUUUGCUACAAAAAGGAUUGGGCCACCUUUCUGCACUUUAUUUACUUUUGUUACUUGUUGCUCGUUACCAAUUAUCCUAUCACAAAAUUAUCUGUUACCUAUAAUUUCAGUGCUUGCAGAGAAUACCUUGCUGAAAACCGCUUAUCAUUUCCUUCUGCUCCUCGUUGGGUUCGACACUCUUACUUAUCGAAAGGACUACGAUAGAUCCCCUAUACUUGUGGGUCAUCAAGACUCUUUUCUGGCGCCGUUGCCGGGGAGUGAAGCGCCUUUGGUAGGUGGAAUUUGGUAAGGAAAAACUUAUAUAGCGUGCUGAAAUUUACUGUCACUUUUUACUAUGGAAAGUAAUCCUCUGAGGGGCUUGUUCAGGGUAUCUUCACCCCGACCAGUAGAGCAAAGAUUUGCUCCUCAACCUACUGAACCUACUGAAGAUGAAAAUGUCUACUUUGAGAUUCCUUCGGGUAUGUUAGAAAAACUGCUAGCUAAUCCUUAUGCAGGAGAUGGAACAAUGCAUCCUGAUGAGCACCUAAUAUAUGUGGAUGAAGUUUGUGGAUUAUUUAAGCUUGCAGGUAUACCCGAUGAUGUUAUUAAGAAGAAGGUCUUCCCUUUAUCUUUGGAGGGAGAUGCAUUGACAUGGUAUAGGCUAUGUGAUGAUACGAGGCCAUGGAACUACAAACGAUUGAAAUUGGAAUUUCAUCAAAAGUUUUAUCACAUGCAUCUUGUUCAUCGUGAUCGCAAUUAUAUAUAUAAUUUUUGGCCUCGCGAAGGAGAAAGCAUCGCUCAAGCUUGGGGGAGGCUUAAAUCAAUGUUAUAUUCAUGCCCCAAUCAUGAGCUCCCAAGAGAAAUAAUUAUUCAAAGUUUUUAUGCUCGGCUUUCUGAUAACAAUCGCACCAUGCUUGAUACUUCUUGUGUUGGCUCUUUUAUGAUGAAGACUAUUGAAUUCAAAUGGCACUUAUUGGAAAGAAUUAAAUGCAACUCUGAAGAUUGGGAUCUCGAUGAAGGUAAGGAGUCAGGUAUGACACCUAAGUUUGAUUGUGUUAUAUCUUUUAUGGAUACCGAUGUUUUCCGUAAAUUUAGCACUAAAUAUGGACUUGACUCUGAGAUAGUAGCUUCUUUCUGUGAAUCUUUUGCUGCUCACGUUGAUCUCUGUAACAUCCCAAUUUUCCUAAAUCAGGAUGUUAUUAGAUCAUUCAUAUGCAUAUCAUAUUUUUAUUGCAUUAUUUGCUUUUUUUCUGAAAUAUUCAAAUCAUUAUGCAACAAAGGCAAUUUAUUGGAGUGGAGAUAAUGUGACUUCUCCCCUGUUUAAAAAUGUUCAUAAUGUGCAGAAUAUUAUUUCCAGUUCAUCUAAUAUGUUCUGGUAAUUUUUGCAAUCUUCAAAAUAUUUUAUUUGAGUGUUUUGUUGCUGUUAUGUGUUGCCUAUUGCAUAAAAACUAUUUUCGAAAAUUGCAUUAGUGUUGGAACUAGUGUUCCUGUAGUUUAUAGCUGUAGUGCUAUUUUACUGUGUGUCUUAGUAUUUUUAUUUAGUUUUUAUACUGUUGUUUUAUUUUUAGUUUUUACUACUGUAGUUUUUGUUAAAGAAAAAAAACACAGCACGCAACACCGCAGCGCAGCCCACUACGCAGCCGAACGCUCGCGGCCCAGCACCACACCGCUGCAGCCCACAGCCACCACAGCCCACGCGAAGCGGUACGCACCCGAUCCGACCCGCACCAGCGCCCGACCCGCUGUCUCUCUCUCUCUGCCAGCGGGCCCCACACCUGUUCAUCCCCUUCACCAAGCCAGACACGCUGCCACGCGCACGCCGAGGCCGACCCGGACAAUCCGGUGCCUGGUCCAACCCCGUGCGACCUAGGGACACCGCACGCGAGCCCACGCCCACGAAGCACCCCCGCAUCCCCUCCCCGAUCAAUCUCGUUGCCACACGCUCGAGCGAGGGCGAAACGCAUCUCGCCGCGGAGCUCCGCCAACCGCCACUAUUCUCCUGACGCCACCUCUGUCGUAAGGACCCGCAGAGACACACCGACUGCUCCUUUCAAUCCGCCGCUCUGCGCCGCACUUGCUUGACUUAUUUUCGAGGCCGGAAUCGCAGUAGCGCGAGGGCGCCGACAUCGCCGGAGCACGCCGGAGUUCAGGAGCUCGCCAUCGCCGCUCGAGGGAGCCCCGUCGCCGUUGAACAUCACCACCACCUCCGCCACUCGUCGCUGAACCCAUCCGCCACUUCACCUUCGCCGGAGACCCGCCGAAGACGCGCCGACGCCGACGCCCGACCGCCGCCGCCAUUCUCCUCUGUUUUGGGUGAGCACACACGCCCGGCUAAUCAAGAACGACCAUGUGGCAAGUCGCUACAGGAGCUUCUACAGGAGUUCUCUACAGCGCGCAGGCAUUUUCUGUUGCUCUUUUUUUAGUUUUCCAACUAAAAUUCAACUAGCUAUAUCUUUUAUUCUAUAAGUCCAAUUUAGGUUAUUCUUUUUCCUGUGCACUCACAAAAACCAGCACUUUAUUAUAGUACCAAAAUCUCACAUGUUUUCACAUUUAAAAUUUGAAUUCGUUCGAGUUUGAAUUAAAACUUCCGGAGGCCAUAACUCUCAAACCGUUUGUCGGUUUGAAGUGAUUCUUUUUGCGUUGUGACCGUAGUGCAAUUUAGGUGCUGUUAUGCUGCUGUUGUUGAGUUUCAAAAAUGGUUUCCUUGCUGUUGGUUUUAUUUUGGUUCUAUUCGUGUUCCGAUGAUUGAUUUGUUGAAUUGUGUGAAACGUGUAGAUUGUCCGGAGUGCGACGCGAGCUAUUGUCAGCAGUGUGACUUUCUGAACCAGAACCAAGGCAUGUAGUUAUAUCACACUAUGAAUAUAUGCAUGUAUAGGAUUAAUAUAUAAAUUUUGUUAUGCUGUUGAGCUAUCUUCCCGUGUUUUGCAAAUCGUGGUAGUUGUAGCUUGCUAUGCUUUGUAGACGGGGGUGGUUCGUGUCUUCAUUGAGAUUAUGUGAGGACUAUAAAUAUAACAAAUUGAGUAGUAAUUAAGGACUUAAUUCACCUCUGGGCGGAAUUGGUAUUGAAGGGUGGUUUCAAGAACAUCAUGGUUCAUACCCUCUGAAUGUAAGUGGACGGCCGCCCAGGCUCAAAAAGAUCAGACAGACUUAGUGACUAGUAGCUUCCAUGCGCAACCACUAGCUAAAUGGGCUCUGGCUUAGUUGAGUAGGUUGUGGGAUCCUCGCCCAGGUAAGCUAGCAGAUGUAGAUAUGAGUAGGUGUACCGGCUGCCGGGGGUGGAGGUGACUUCUUCUGAAAGACUUCGUCUCAAUCUUCGGGUUGAGUCUAGUGGGUAAAGUGUGCAAAACUCUGCAGACUAUUAAAACUAAUCAUGAUUAGCCGUGCCCCCGGUUAUGGGUAACUUUGAGCCACUAUGCCAUUACAGUUGUUGGAUGAUCUUGACAGAUGUGACACUUAAUAAAUUUGUUGGGCAACUUAAUAAAGGGUAGGUUGGAGUUGAUUUUUCCAACUCAACCUUGUGUAUUUAAUUGUAGUAAUAAAAGAACUAAAUAAAAAUUUGACUAUUAGGUAGUUAUGAGGACAAAAUCAGCUUUCUGCAAAAAUAAACCCUCAAGCCUUCCUUUUGUUAUAUUAUGCAUAUACAUGUAGGUCUGCUAUAUUAUUACUCCUGUGCAACUUGCCAAUACAUUCCAAGUAUUGACCUAUAUGGCUACAACCUCUCAUGUUACAGGAUAUUCAGACAAAGAGUAAGGUACCGUUAGAGUCGCGAGUCUGCACUCAGCAUUGCCAGUGGGCUAUGAUGGGACUCGUCGUUAUUUUCUGCUACUUUCCGCUGUUUGAUUGAAUAAAGCUAGCCAAGUGCUAUGCAGAUUGUUUUAUUUUAUAUACUCUGGAUCAUACGUUGUAAUAAAUGAUGCUCUUGCUAUUCUGGUAUUCAUCUAUACUGUGUGUGCUAGCAAGUUCGGUCUAGGGACUAGCACAGUAAGCACAGAGACUCAAAUCCUUCGAGGUUUGGUCGUUACAAUAUCCCUAAGGAGAAGUGGUUUAAAUAUCAUCCUCCGAUAGAAGUAAAAGUAGCUGCACCUAUUAAAGUUGAAGAAAAGACUAUCACUUAUAAUGAUCCUAUUGUUCCUAUUGCUUAUGUUGAGAAACCACCUUUCCCUCUUAGAAUAAAGGAUCAUGCUAAAGCUUCAACUGUGGUUCGUAAAAGCAAUAUUAGAACCUAUACACCUCCUGAGCAAGUUAAAGUUGAACCUAAUAUUGCUAUUGUUAAAGAUCUCUUGGCUGAUAAUAUUGAUGGACAUGUUAUUUAUUUCCAUGAAGAGACUGUUAGAAUUGCUAAACCUUGUGCUAAAGAUAAACAUAGACCUGUGGUAGGCAUGCCUAUUAUUUCUGUUAAAAUAGGAGAUCAUUGUUAUCAUGGCUUAUGUGACAUGGGUGCUAGUGCUAGUGCAAUACCUAUUGACUUAUACAAAGAAAUUAUGCAUGAUAUUGCACCUACUGAGUUAGAAGAUAUUGAUGUCACAAUUAAACUUGCCAAUAGGGAUACUAUUUCACCCAUGGGAAUUGUUAGAGAUGUUGAAGUCUUGUGUGGGAAAACUAAAUAUCCUGCUGAUUUUCUUGUUCUUGGUUCCCCACAAGAUAGCUUUUGUCCCAUUAUAUUUGGUAGACCCUUCUUGAACACUGUUAAUGCUAAGAUAGACUGGGAAAAGGAUGUUGUUACUAUUGGUUUGGGUGAUAUGUCUCAUGAUUUUAAUUUCUCUAAAUUUAGUAGACAACACCGUGAAGAGGAAUUGCCUAGUAAGGAUGAAAUUAUUGGUCUUGCUUCUAUUGCUGUACCUCCUAGUGAUCCUUUAGAACAAUAUUUGCUAGACCAUGAAAAUGAUAUGUUUAUGAAUGAAAGAAGGGAAAUAGAUGAAGUAUUCUUUAAACAGGAACCUAUCCUGAAACACAAUUUGCCUAUUGAAAUCCUAGGGGAUCCUCCUCCACCCAAGGGUGAUCCCGUGUUUGAGCUUAAACCGUUACCUGAUACUCUUAAAUAUGCUUAUCUUGAUGAAAAAAAUAUAUAUCCUAUUAUUAUUAGUGCUAACCUUUCAGAGCAUGAAGAAGAGAGAUUAUUGAAAACUCUGAAGAAGCACCGUGCUGCUAUUGGAUAUACUCUUGAUGAUCUUAAGGGCAUUAGUCCCACUCUAUGUCAACAUAAAAUAAAUUUGGAGAAAGAUGCCAAACCAGUUCGUGAUCAUCAACGACGGCUGAAUCCUAAGAUGAAAUAAGUGGUAAGAUAGGAAAUACUAAAGCUCCUUGAGGCAGGUAUAAUUUAUCCCGUUGCUGAUAGUUAGUGGGCAAGUCAUGUCCAUUGUGUCCCUAAGAAGGGAGGUAUUAUUGUCGUUCCUAAUGAUAAAGAUGAAUUGAUUACGCAAAGAAUUAUUACGGGUUAUAGGAUGGUAAUUGAUUUCCGCAAAUUAAAUAAGGCUACUAAAAAGGAUCAUUACCCCUUACCUUUUAUUGAUCAAAUGCUAGAAAGAUUAUCCAAACAUACACAUUUUUGCUUUCUAGAUGGUUAUUCUGGUUUCUCUCAAAUACCUGUGUCAGCCGAUGAUCAAUCAAAGACCACUUUCACUUGUCCUUUCAGUCCUUUUGCUUAUAGACGUAUGCCUUUUGGUUUAUGUAAUGCACCUGCUACCUUUCAAAGAUGCAUGAUGGCUAUAUUCUCUGACUUUUGUGAAAAGAUUUGUGAGGUUUUCAUGGAUGAUUUCUCCGUUUAUGGAUCCUCUUUUGAUUAUUGUUUGAGCAACCUUGAUCAAGUUUUGCAGAGAUGUGAAGAAACUAAUCUUGUCUUGAAUUGGGAAAAGUGCCACUUUAUGGUUAAUGAAGGUAUAAAGUUUCUGCAAGAGGUAUUGAAGUUGAUAAGGCCAAGGUUGAUGCUAUUGAAAAGAUGCCAUGUCCCAAGGACAUCAAAGGUAUAAGAAGUUUCCUUGGUCACGCCGGUUUUUAUAGGAGGUUCAUUAAGGACUUCUCAAAAAUUUCUCGGCCUCUGACUAAUUUAUUACAAAAAGAUAUACCAUUUGUCUUUGAUGAUGAUUAUGUAGAAGCAUUUGAAAUACUUAAGAAAGCAUUGAUCUCUACACCUAUUGUUCAGCCACCUGAUUGGAAUUUACCUUUUGAAAUUAUGUGUGAUGCUAGUGACUAUGCUAUAGGUGUUGUAAUAGGGCAAAGAGUUGAUAAGAAAUUAAAUGUUAUUCAAUAUGCUAGUAAAACUCUAGACAAUGCUCAAAGAAUUAUGCUACUACUGAAAAAGAAUUCUUAGCAGUUGUAUUUGCUUGUGAUAAGUUCAGACCUUAUAUUGUUGAUUCUAAAGUAACUAUUCACACUGAUCAUGCUGCUAUUAAAUAUCUUAUGGAAAAGAGAGAUGCUAAACCUAGACUUAUUAGAUGGGUUCUCUUGCUACAAGAAUUUGAUUUGCAUAUUAUUGAUAGAAAGGGAGCUGAGAACCACGUUGCAGACAACUUGUCUAGGUUAGAAAAUGUCCUUGAUGACCCACUACCAAUUGAUGACAGCUUUCCUGAUGAGCAAUUAAAUGUCAUAAAUGCUUCUCGUACUGCUCCUUGGUAUGCUAAUUAUGCUAAUUACAUCGUUGCUAAAUUUGUACCACCUAGUUUUACAUACCAACAAAAGAAAAAGUUUUUCUAUGACUUGAGACAUUACUUUUGGGAUGACCCACAUCUUUAUAAAGAAGGAGUAGAUGGUGUUAUUAGACGUUGUGUACCUGAGCAUGAACAGGAACAGAUCCUAUGCAAGUGUCACUCCGAGGCUUAUGGAGGACACCACGCUAGAGACAGAACUGCACAUAAGGUAUUGCAAUCCGGUUUUAUUGGCCUACUCUUUUCAAGGAUGCCCGUAAGUUUGUCUUGUCUUGUGAUGAAUGUCAAAGAAUUGGUAAUAUUAGUAGACGUCAAGAGAUGCCUAUGAAUUAUUCACUUGUUAUUGAACCAUUUGAUGUUUGGGGCUUUGAUUAUAUGGGACCUUUUCCUGCCUCUAAUGGUUACACACAUAUUUUAGUUGUUGUUGAUUACGUUACUAAGUGGGUAGAAGCUAUUUCAACUAGUAGUGCUGAUCAUAACACUUCUAUUAAAAUGCUUAAAGAAGUUAUUUUUCCGAGGUUUGGAGUCCCUAGAUAUUUAAUGACUGAUGGUGGUUCACAUUUUAUUCAUGGUGCUUUCCGAAAAAUGCUUGCUAAAUAUGAUGUUAAUCAUAUAAUUGCAUCUCCUUAUCACCCACAGUCUAGUGGUCAAGUAGAAUUGAGCAACAGAGAGCUCAAAUUAAUUUUGCAAAAGACUGUCAAUAGAUCUAGAAAGAAUUGGUCCAAGAAACUUGAUGAUGCGUUAUGGGCCUAUAGAACUGCAUAUAAAAAUCCUAUGGGUAUGUCUCCGUAUAAAAUGGUUUAUGGAAAAGCAUGUCACUUACCUCUCGAACUAGAACAUAAGGCAUAUUGGGCUAUUAAAGAGCUCAACUAUGAUUUCAAACUUGCCGGUGAGAAGAGGUUAUUUGACAUUACCUCACUUGAUGAAUGGAGAACCCAAGCCUAUGAGAAUACCAAGUUGUUUAAAGAAAAAGUUAAAAUAUGGCAUGACAAAAGAAUACAAAAGCGUGAGUUUAAUGUAGGUGAUUAUGUAUUGCUAUACAACUCUCGUUUAUGUUUUUUUGCAGGAAAAUUUCUCUCUAAAUGGGAAGGCCCUUACGUUAUCGAGGAGGUCUAUCGUUCCGGUGCCAUAAAAAUCAACAACUUCGAAGGCACAAAUCCGAAGGUGGUGAACGGUCAAAGAAUCAAACAUUAUAUCCCAGGUAAUCCUAUAAAUGUUGAGACCAAUGUUAUUGAGACCGUAACCCCGGAGGAAUACAUAAGGGACACUUUCCGGAAUGUUUCAGACUCCGAAAAGGAAUAGGUAUGUGGUACGGUAAGUAAACCGACUCCAAAAUAGUUCUAAAGGCAAUUUUCUCCACUUUGGAAUAUUUAGAAAAAUAGAAAAAUAAGAAGCAGUCGGGGAAGGACACGAGGGCUCCACGAGGGUGGAGGGCGCACCCUACCCUACUGGGCGCGCCCCCCUGCCUCGUGGGCACCUCGUGCGCUCUCCGGACUCCGUUUUCUUGCACGAUACGUAUUUUGGUCGGUAAAAAUUCAUUAUAUAAUCUCCCGAAGGUUUUGACCUCCGUAUCACGCAAAUAUCUCCUGUCUUUGUUUCGAGCUAUCCUGCUGCAGAUUAGAGCAACAUGUCGUCCCAGGAUUCGAAAGGAGAAAGCUAUGUGGCUGAUUACCUUGCAGAUCCUAAGGUCUAUGGGGAUGUGGAGCAUUGUGGUUGGACUACGGAAGAGGAAGAGGACUAUGAGCCCAAGAGAAAGGAGGACAUGAGCUCAGAUGAAGAUGAAGUCCCAUUACCUCAACCUGGGGACAUGCAUGUGGAGUUCAAAAAGUCAGGCCUCCCUGAAAGAGCAAAGAAAUUUAAGAUCGAGUUUAUCCCUUUUCGCCUCUUGCAGGAAAACAAGCAGGAAUUAUGCAAAAAGAUAUUAAGCCUGGAGCAGGAGAUUGAUGACCUGAGGGAUCAAAAUUCUGUCCUCAAGCGCAAAUUAAGGAAGAAGGCUACGCCAUCAACUAAACCAUCAUCUUCGUCACCAACAAAGAAGGAGACAUAAUCACAUGGGUAUGGGCACUCCCCUUGGCAACUGCCAAGCUUGGGGGAGGUGCCCCGAUAUCGUAUCACCAUCACAUCUCUAUCUUUACCAUUUUUCUUAGUUCGAUCCUAUUAGUAGUAUCUUGAUCUAGUAGAAUAAAGUUUUGGUAUGAUCUAGUUUUGAGUUUUGCUUUAUGAUCACUCUAUGUAAUCGAGUCCGUGAGCUAUAUAAUAAAGGUUAGUGUUGAGUCAAGGGCUUGAUUAUCUUGCUAUGAUCUUGAGUGAAUAAAAGAAAAGAGAAAAGAAUAAAAAGAAACAAAGAGGUCAUAUUGAUCUUAUGGAGAGUAAUGACUUCACAUAAAAAGAGUAUGAUGAUUAAAAAUUGUUGAGAGUUGACAAACAUAGCUUUGGUCAUCGUUGCAAUUAAUAGGAAGUAAUAAAGAAAGAGAGGUUUCACAUAUAAAUAUACUAUCUUGGACAUCUUUUAUGAUUGGGAGCACUCAUUAAAAUAUGACAUGCUAAAGAGUUGAUGUUGGACAAGGAAGACAAUGUAAUGGGUUAUGUUUUCUUAUAUCUGAGAUAAAGUAUAUUGUCAUGGAUCAUCCAACAUGUUGAGCUUGCCUUUCCCCCUCAUGCUAGCCAAAUUCUUUGCACCAAGUAGAGAUACUCACUACUGGAAUCAGCUAAUUUGCCAUCUGCCAGCUCUUUGCCGUCUGCUAGCUGACGGCAAAGAAGCUCUUUGCCAUCAGCUACCCAAAAGCAGACGGCAAAGAAAGGGCAGACGGCAAAGAAGCUCUUUGCCGUCUGCCAGCUCUUUGCCGUCGGCCAGCGGACGGCAAAGAAUCUUUGCCGUCCGCUGGCGGACAGCAAAGAGUGAGGUGGCCCCCACCUCCCGCCCGUUUUUGAAAAACUUAAUGGGCCACCUCUUUGCCGUCCGCUAGCAGACGGCAAAGAGGCAAAAAAGCGGACGGCAAAGCGGGGCGGACGGCAAAGAGCCUACUACCUAACGGCCCGUACCCCCCGCCCGUUACUCACUUCUUCCCUCUCCCUCGCCGUUUCUCUCCUCCCAAACCGCCGCCCGCCGCGCGCCGCCGCCCCGUCGCCCCGGCUCCCCNNNNNNNNNNNNNNNNNNNNNNNNNNNNNNNNNNNNNNNNNNNNNNNNNNNNNNNNNNNNNNNNNNNNNNNNNNNNNNNNNNNNNNNNNNNNNNNNNNNNNNNNNNNNNNNNNNNNNNNNNNNNNNNNNNNNNNNNNNNNNNNNNNNNNNNNNNNNNNNNNNNNNNNNNNNNNNNNNNNNNNNNNNNNNNNNNNNNNNNNNNNNNNNNNNNNNNNNNNNNNNNNNNNNNNNNNNNNNNNNNNNNNNNNNNNNNNNNNNNNNNNNNNNNNNNNNNNNNNNNNNNNNNNNNNNNNNNNNNNNNNNNNNNNNNNNNNNNNNNNNNNNNNNNNNNNNNNNNNNNNNNNNNNNNNNNNNNNNNNNNNNNNNNNNNNNNNNNNNNNNNNNNNNNNNNNNNNNNNNNNNNNNNNNNNNNNNNNNNNNNNNNNNNNNNNNNNNNNNNNNNNNNNNNNNNNNNNNNNNNNNNNNNNNNNNNNNNNNNNNNNNNNNNNNNNNNNNNNNNNNNNNNNNNNNNNNNNNNNNNNNNNNNNNNNNNNNNNNNNNNNNNNNNNNNNNNNNNNNNNNNNNNNNNNNNNNNNNNNNNNNNNNNNNNNNNNNNNNNNNNNNNNNNNNNNNNNNNNNNNNNNNNNNNNNNNNNNNNNNNNNNNNNNNNNNNNNNNNNNNNNNNNNNNNNNNNNNNNNNNNNNNNNNNNNNNNNNNNNNNNNNNNNNNNNNNNNNNNNNNNNNNNNNNNNNNNNNNNNNNNNNNNNNNNNNNNNNNNNNNNNNNNNNNNNNNNNNNNNNNNNNNNNNNNNNNNNNNNNNNNNNNNNNNNNNNNNNNNNNNNNNNNNNNNNNNNNNNNNNNNNNNNNNNNNNNNNNNNNNNNNNNNNNNNNNNNNNNNNNNNNNNNNNNNNNNNNNNNNNNNNNNNNNNNNNNNNNNNNNNNNNNNNNNNNNNNNNNNNNNNNNNNNNNNNNNNNNNNNNNNNNNNNNNNNNNNNNNNNNNNNNNNNNNNNNNNNNNNNNNNNNNNNNNNNNNNNNNNNNNNNNNNNNNNNNNNNNNNNNNNNNNNNNNNNNNNNNNNNNNNNNNNNNNNNNNNNNNNNNNNNNNNNNNNNNNNNNNNNNNNNNNNNNNNNNNNNNNNNNNNNNNNNNNNNNNNNNNNNNNNNNNNNNNNNNNNNNNNNNNNNNNNNNNNNNNNNNNNNNNNNNNNNNNNNNNNNNNNNNNNNNNNNNNNNNNNNNNNNNNNNNNNNNNNNNNNNNNNNNNNNNNNNNNNNNNNNNNNNNNNNNNNNNNNNNNNNNNNNNNNNNNNNNNNNNNNNNNNNNNNNNNNNNNNNNNNNNNNNNNNNNNNNNNNNNNNNNNNNNNNNNNNNNNNNNNNNNNNNNNNNNNNNNNNNNNNNNNNNNNNNNNNNNNNNNNNNNNNNNNNNNNNNNNNNNNNNNNNNNNNNNNNNNNNNNNNNNNNNNNNNNNNNNNNNNNNNNNNNNNNNNNNNNNNNNNNNNNNNNNNNNNNNNNNNNNNNNNNNNNNNNNNNNNNNNNNNNNNNNNNNNNNNNNNNNNNNNNNNNNNNNNNNNNNNNNNNNNNNNNNNNNNNNNNNNNNNNNNNNNNNNNNNNNNNNNNNNNNNNNNNNNNNNNNNNNNNNNNNNNNNNNNNNNNNNNNNNNNNNNNNNNNNNNNNNNNNNNNNNNNNNNNNNNNNNNNNNNNNNNNNNNNNNNNNNNNNNNNNNNNNNNNNNNNNNNNNNNNNNNNNNNNNNNNNNNNNNNNNNNNNNNNNNNNNNNNNNNNNNNNNNNNNNNNNNNNNNNNNNNNNNNNNNNNNNNNNNNNNNNNNNNNNNNNNNNNNNNNNNNNNNNNNNNNNNNNNNNNNNNNNNNNNNNNNNNNNNNNNNNNNNNNNNNNNNNNNNNNNNNNNNNNNNNNNNNNNNNNNNNNNNNNNNNNNNNNNNNNNNNNNNNNNNNNNNNNNNNNNNNNNNNNNNNNNNNNNNNNNNNNNNNNNNNNNNNNNNNNNNNNNNNNNNNNNNNNNNNNNNNNNNNNNNNNNNNNNNNNNNNNNNNNNNNNNNNNNNNNNNNNNNNNNNNNNNNNNNNNNNNNNNNNNNNNNNNNNNNNNNNNNNNNNNNNNNNNNNNNNNNNNNNNNNNNNNNNNNNNNNNNNNNNNNNNNNNNNNNNNNNNNNNNNNNNNNNNNNNNNNNNNNNNNNNNNNNNNNNNNNNNNNNNNNNNNNNNNNNNNNNNNNNNNNNNNNNNNNNNNNNNNNNNNNNNNNNNNNNNNNNNNNNNNNNNNNNNNNNNNNNNNNNNNNNNNNNNNNNNNNNNNNNNNNNNNNNNNNNNNNNNNNNNNNNNNNNNNNNNNNNNNNNNNNNNNNNNNNNNNNNNNNNNNNNNNNNNNNNNNNNNNNNNNNNNNNNNNNNNNNNNNNNNNNNNNNNNNNNNNNNNNNNNNNNNNNNNNNNNNNNNNNNNNNNNNNNNNNNNNNNNNNNNNNNNNNNNNNNNNNNNNNNNNNNNNNNNNNNNNNNNNNNUUCAUGGUGAGUCUGCCCAACGUGACCGAGCUGAGGUGGAUCGUCGUCGCACCGACGAGCAUGGUACCGGUAUGGAAAACAUGGUGCAAGACUUUGAUGAUGCUCGGGAUUCGGACGAGGAGAUGGAGGAAUCUGCAAAGGCCUUCAAUGAAAUGUUGGAGUCUUCAAAACGUCCGCUCCAUGAGCACACUGAGCUUUGUCAGUUGGAUGCCAUCUCACAAGUAAUGGCUCUGAAGGCUCAGUUCAACUUGGGCAGAGAAUGCUACGAUGCAAUGAUGACAGUAUUUGGACGCUUUCUACCCAAAGGCCAUGUAAUGCCUGCAAACCUGUACCAGUCGGACAAAAUCCUCCGUGCACUGAAGAUGCCCUAUGAUAAGAUACAUGCCUGUGAGAAAGGAUGUGUCUUGUUUAGGCUUGACUAUGCGGACUUGAACUGUUGUCCCAUUUGCAAGUCUUCCAGGUAUGUUGUGGUAGACAACGGUAUGGGUGAGAUGAAACAGACCAAAAUCCCCGUUAGUGUUCUUCGGUAUAUGCCAAUCGUACCAAGACUUCAACGUCUUUUCAUGGUCGAAGAGACGGCCAGACAGAUGACAUGGCACAAAACGGGCAAAAGAACCGAACUAGAUGCAGAUGGGAAUCUGAUGAUUGUACACACAUCGGAUGGUGUUGCGUGGAAAAAGUUUGAUGAAUUACAUGGUGACAAAGCGGCAGAUCCGAGGCAUCCUCGAGUCGGCAUCAGCACGGAUGGGUUCAGUGUGUUUGGUAUGACGGCAGCCCAAUACAGUUGUUGGCCCGUAUUUGUCUUUCCACUCAAUCUCCCCCCCGGAUAGAUUAUGCAAAGAAAGAACAUUUUCCUGACGUUGAUAAUUCCAGGGCCCAACUAUCCGGGGAAAAAUAUGAAUGUGUACAUGCAACCGCUUAAGGACGAAUUGCAAGAAGCCUGGGAUAAUGGGUUCUAGACAUACGAUGCCUAUAGCAAAUGGAACUUCAUAAUGCGUGUCUGGUACAUGUACUCGACGCAUGACUUGCCGGCGUAUGCGCUAUUCGUUGGCUGGUGUGUGCAUGGAAGGUUCCCAUGCCCCACAUGCAAGGGAGCUCUUGAGUUUCGUUGGCUUCAGGCCGGUCGCAAGUUUUCUUGCUUCGACAUGCAUAGAGAGUUCCUGAAUCCUCGCCAUAAGUUCAGGAAAGACAAGAAGAACUUCAUAGAGGUAGAGUUGUCAAAAACUCUGCACCACAUGCAUUGACAGGCCAACAGACCCUGGAUCAGUUAAACGCUCUCGAGCCAGAUCCCGAGCGUCCAGGGUACUUCAAGGGGUAUAAUUCUAAGCACGCCUGGACUCACAAAACAUGCUUAUGGGAUCUGCCUUACUUCAAAGACCUCCUUUGCCCACACAACAUCGACGUGAUGCACACUGAGAAGAAUAUCGCCGAGGCACUUUUUGGUACAUUGUUCGGCAUAGAUGGGAAGUCAAAGGAUAAUACUAAGGCUAGAGUCGAUCUGGAGGCGCUAUGUGAUAGGCCGUUACAAAACAUGAAAGAACCGAAAGGAAAGCAGAACUGGACGAAGCCAAAGGCAUGGUUCAAUCUUGGAAGACCGGCUAUGAGGGAAAUUAUCUUGUGGGUGAAAAUGCAGUUGAUGUUCCCCGAUGGGUAUGCAGCGAAUCUACAGAGGGGAGCCAGUCUUGAUAAAUUGAAGAUAUUUGGUCUCAAGAGUCAUGAUUGGCACAUAUGGAUUGAGCUGGUAAUGCCGGUGAUGUUGCGUGGCUUCAUCCCUGAGGAUGAAUGGCUAGUACUGGCAGAACUCAGCUAUUUCUUCUGUGUUCUUUGUGCGAAAGAACUAUCGCCUGGCGUGCUAGAAGAAAUAGAAGAGUUGGCGCCGGAGUUGAUCUGCAAGUUAGAGAAGAUCUUUCCACCGGGCUUCUUUAAUCCAAUGCAACAUUUGAUUUUGCAUCUCCCGACCGAGGCAAGAUUGGGGGGCCCAUGCAAAAUCGUUGGUGCUACCCAACUGAGAGGAUGCAGAAGACGCUUCGACAAAAAUGUAAAAAUAAACGUAGAAUUGAAGCAUCGAUGGCUGAGGCAUUCAUCACUGAGGAGGCGGCAAACUUCGUGACAGCACACUACGAAGCCAAAAAUCGUCAUUUGCAUAAUCCGAAGCCUCGGUACAAUGCUGACGACCCUAAAAAGGGUGGAUCCAACCUCAGCCUAUUCAAAGGGAAUCUCGCACCAGCCAGUGUUUCAAAUCCAGUAUCUUUGGAUAACGAACAAUGGCGGACCAUUUCGUUGUAUAUCUUCAACAACCUGAUAGAAGUGCGGCCGUACAUCGAGUAAGUUCUCGGUACAUAGUUUCGCAACUUCUAUUUCCUUUGAACUGCUCUUAUUCCUGGAUAUUUCAUACAGUCGAUAUGUCGCCUUAUUCUCGUAUGGAGCGGUGAUCCAAAAGGAUUCUGUCGAAGAGUAUGAGCUUCUCACAAAGCAAGGUGGCGGCUAUCCCGGUUUCAUCUCUUGGUUCAAACAAACGGUAAUUUCUAUUAGACUUGUAGGCUAAUUUGUAGGCGGCUAUCCCGGUUUCAUUCGCUAAUUUGUGUGUAAUGCAACAAUCCUUUCAUAUUAAACUUGUAGGCUAAUUCAGAGUCUAUGGACGCCGAAUUGAGACAAGUCGCUAAUGGUUUUGACUAUAAGGUCCGUUCAUUUGACAAAUACGACAUCAACGGGUAUCGCUUUCGUACCUAUGGCAAAGAGCUAUCUAUGGCCGACCGAAAGUCUACAAAUUGUUGUGUAUCUGCUAUCGGCGAAGGAGGUACCGAGUAUUAUGGGAGAGUUGAAGCAAUUUAUGAACUUCUAUUCUAUGGUGAAAACCCACCGAAUGUCGUAGUCUUCAAAUGUUAUUGGUUUCAGCCGAAGGAGACUAUAAGAACUCAUGAACAUAUAGGGCUAGUUGAAAUCAACCAAAGCACCCAUUUAGAUGUUCCUGAUGUCUAUAUUACGGCUCAACAGGCGACCCAAGUAUUCUAUCUACCGUGGGCCUGCCAAACUAAUCCAAAUCUGAAAGGUUGGGAUGUCAUUUAUGAAGUGCCGCCACGUGCUAGACUAUCUCCCCCAAAGGAAGAGGAUUAUGAACCUCACAUUAACCCAGACACAUAUGAAGGAGAAUUCUUCCAAGAGACACGUCUUUCCAAAAAGUGUUUCAAGAACCGCUAUACUUCACCCCAAAACAUUGAAGUAGACAGUGACAGUGAAUCCGACAUCACCCCAGAGGAGGAACAAGAAGAGCCGGAACAAGAAGAGGUUACUGCUGCGGAUGACCUGUCAUUGCUUGACCGAUUACGUCAAGGUGGCCUUGCACAUGUUGAUGCCACUGAACCCUAUGAGCCCGUCAUUGAUUAUAGUGAUGAUGAUGAUUAUGCAUUUAUUGAUGAUACUGAUCGAGAUUAUUAGUAGUGUCAGGUAUUAAAUUUUUUAAUGUUGUACUUGAUGAUGAUACACUUAAGUGAUACACAUAUUAUUAUUCAUGUCGGUCUUUUUUUUAUGUUGUACUAAUUUCGUUUACUGUUUGUCAUGGCAGGUGUUGAAAGAUGGUGGGCGCUGGUCGGGAGCGCGCCAAGGCCCCUUCUUCCUCGGCGCGUGGUCUGAGGUCUUCGAUUCCAGAUGUACCUCUUCGCCGAGCGUUGCUUGACAGUAUGUCCACACCGCCGGGCCCUUCUUCGUCCACCGCGGUGCCCAGCAGGGGACGAGGUAGGAAGAGAGGAGGUGGGGCACGUGGUCGCGGGAGAGGAGGUAGGGUGACUGCUAGGGCGCCUUCCUCGCCGCCACCCCCAGCUGUUUCACCCGAGCACGUGACUGCUAGGGUGGACUCGUCCGAGGAGGAGGCUACACGGACUCCGGUCCACGAGCCUCCGGUCCACGGGUCUUGGGCCCACGAGCCUCGGGUCGACUGGCCUUCGGCCCACGAGAGUUCGGCCCACGAGACCCCGGAGGAGCACACGUUCGGAUGGGGUACCUGGCCGGAUCAGCCCGAGGAGCCGAGUGGCCAUGCUGAUGAUGGCGGGGAGCCGACUGAUCUUGAGGAGGAGGGUGGCACCGUCUACCAGCGUGGUGCUACACGGCUCCCGUCCGUGCCGGCGACCCGCGAGCAGAGGUGGUUGAUCUUCCCUGAUGGGGAGAGGUACGUAAGUGCAUUUAAUAUUUUUGUACCUUCUGCAUUCACGUUUCUUCAAAUAACUAAUGCGUUGGCCUUGUCAUGCUGCAGGGGUUGGGACCACCAUCAUAGUGUCCGCCGGCCCAACUCCGUCCUUGGAGUUCUUUGCCGGCAAAACUUCCCGGGGUUUGUCACGUUGCCUGGUGAGGGUCGGCUUCCAGAGCUUGGGUUGAGCUGGGAGCACUACGUGGCUGCCCCGGCCCCGCCGGAUGUCAUUAUCGACGGUGUCGUGUGCGACACGAGGGCAGACAUGGUGAUCAGGACGUUCUGGGUAAUUUCUCCUUUACACAUUUCAAAAUCUUCAACUAGCUAGUUAUUAAUUGUACUAAUCAAUAUUGUCUCAUUUGAUUGCAGACAUUCUACAGGUGUGAGGAGGGAUACGAGGAGGACUGCGCAAAUGUUAUCCAGAACGUCUGCAAGCGCCUACUCCAUAACUUACGGCACGAGGCUCGGGUGCAGGCUGUUCGAGACUACUACGCCUUGCGUGGUAUCAAGAAGACCAAGCCGGCGUGCCGCGAUAAGUUCCUGAGUAAGGAGCAGUACAUGAAGGUAAUUCUUAAGGCCUUCUACUUAAGUUCCUUCAUUUAGUAAUUCUUAGCCGUAGCGCUCAAGUUUCUAUUUGCUAACUUAGGCACCUCCGAGAUGGUGUGCGGAUCGGAUGGAUUGUUGGGAGGUGUUGGUCGAUGAGUGGUGCUCACAAGAAUGGCUAGCCCUCCACAACCAGGCCAAGGACAAACGUGCCCAAAUGGAAGGUGUGCCACACCAUCAAGGCAGCUCCAACUUAUAUCAGUUCGGGCGCAACUGGGUAUGUGGUUUGCUUCAUGAUUCAUGCAAUUCAUUCAUCAUGCUAGCUUGAGCCCUUUAAUUACUAAUUUUCAUUGUUUCUCUCUUUCAGGCACGCCACAAUAAGGCGGAUAAGGUGCCAGAGGUGUACGACCUGUAUGCCAUGGCCCACACUGGCUCUUACAAGAAAGUCAAGGCUUUCUCUCAGUCUGACCUCGAUGAUGCAAACAACUUCACCAACAUCUCCUCCCACAACAAGCUCGUGAGAUAUAGAGAUGAGGGGAAGGCGAGGAAAGGGGAGGACUUUAACCCGAGCCAGGGUCCCAUUGAUCCAGAGCUGGUGAUGAUAUCUGGUGGCGGGAGGUCCUAUGGCUCCAUAGCCAUUGGAGAUGGACUUAUCCGUUGUCCUAGCACUCUCCCGGAGAUCAAGGCGCGCCAGUCGAGCUCCGCUCCUGAGAUAAGGCCUCGUGAACGGCCAGUGCAACUCGCCAUCAAGGUUAGUGAUACGUACUCAGUUAUCUUUCUCCAUUACAUUGUGUGCGCUUCCAUCAAUGAUUACAAAUGGUCAUGUGAGUGGUGUUGCAGGCUGCUAUACAGACUGAGAGAGAUAGAACGGAGAAACUUCUGGCGGAGGCGGCGGAGAGGCAGCGGGAGAUGGAGGAGAGGACGAGAAAGAUGAUGGAGGAGGAGAGGGCACGGAAUGACAUGCAGGCAAGGGCCAUGUACGAGCUCCUUGUGGUAAGUUUCUUCUGCAGAUUACUUGCUAGUCUUAACAUUUGAGUCUCAUUACUAACUAGUAUGACUCUGUUCUGAAAACCAAAUGUGCAGUCUGUGUGCGAGAAGUCCGGUCAGCCCGCUCCGCCGAUGCCAGUGAUUGCUCCUGGGAGCACGGUGAGUUUAGUUUGAAUGGACAUUACUUGGUAGUCUUAACAUCUGAGUGUCGUAAUGCUAACGAGACAUUGGAAAUGAUCUUUGGUGCAGCUUAACUCCAGAAACGCAUCGCACGAUCCUUCUCCAGGUAGCGGCACUAGCCACCCCGCUCCUACACCUCCCUGAUCACGGUAAGUUUCUCUAGUGUUUUGCUUAACAAAUGCAUAAAGACCUAGACUUAGCUUUAUUUCCUCCAAUAUGCUUACCAUAAUGACCUAGAGUUAGCUUAUUUUCCUCCAAAAUGACCCAUUUUACCUAGGUUAGCUUAUAAAUAAUGCAGUUCAUCCAAGUUAGCUCAAAAAUGACCCAUUUUACCUACAUUAGCUCCUAAAUGAUCCAUUUUACCUACGUUAGCUUUAAAAUGGCCCAUUUCACCUAGGUUAACUCCAAAAUGACCCAUCUUACAUAGGUUAUCUCAUAAAUGAUCCAUUUCAACUAAUUUAGCUCAUAAACGAUCCAUUUGACCUAAGUGAGCUAAAAAAGAUCCAUUUCACCUAAAUUAGCUCUUAAAUGAUCCAUUUCACCUAAGUUAGCUCAAAAAGAUCCAUUUCAACUAAAUUAGCUCAUAAAUGAUCCAUUUCACCUAAGUUAGCUCAAAAACGAUCCAUUUCAACUAAAUUAGCUCAAAAAUGAUCCAUUUCAACAAAGUUAGCUUAAAACGAUCCAUUUCAACUAAGUUAGCUCAAAAACGAUCCAUUUGACCUAAGUGAGCUAAAAAACGAUCCAUUUCACCUUAGUUACCUCAAAAACGAUCCAUUUCAACUAAGUUAGCUCAAAAACGAUCCAUUUCAACUAGGUUAGCUCCAAAAUGACCCAUUUCACCUUACUUAGCUCAAAAACGAUGCCCUUCACCUUAGUUAGCUCAUAAACGACCCAUUUCAACUAAGUUAGCUCAUAAAUGAUCCAUUUCAACUAAGUUAGCUCAUAAACAACCCAUUUCAACUUAGUUAGCUCAUAUAUGAUCCAUUUCACCUAAUUUAGCUCAUAAAUGACAUAUACUUCUUGUUCUAGUCUUCUUCUUGUUCUAGUCUUCUUCUUGUUCUAGUCACCUAUUUCUAACUUUCUUAUUUACCAUUUUGCAGAUUUCAUUCACUUGAUGGAAGCUAGCUUGCUAUGAUGGAGUGCUUGCUUUUCCUUUGAUGAAACUUUGCAUUGUAUCUAGCUUGCUAUCUUCAUGACACUUUGCAUUGUAAUAUAUAUAUGGAUGGAACAAUGUGUAUGGAUGGAACUUCCUUAUGUAUGAACAAUGUGUAUGGAUGAAACUGAUGUGAUAUGUGAUAUGAAACUUAUGUGCUAGAUAUGUGUUGGAUAUGUGCUGGAUAUGAAACUUAUAUAUGUGAUAUGUGCUGCAAAUUGUGGGAUUUAAUAAAAAACAGAAAAAACAGACAAUAUGCAGGCUCUUUGCCGUCUGCCACCGACGGCAAAGAGCCUUUGCCGUCUGCCGCGGACGGCAAAGAAGCCACGUUGCAGCCAACUGUGCUUCCUGGGAGCUGACCCAUUUGGUCAGUUUGCCUACAGUGGCAGACGGCAAAGACUUUGCCGUCCGUGGCAGACGGCAAAGAACCUGCACUUUGCCAUCAGUGGCAGACGGCAAAGAACCUGCCAUCUAGUGAUGUGUAGAUGACAUCAUAAGGCGGACGGCAAAGACCAAAGGCUCUUUGCCGUCUGCGGCGGAUGGCAAAGGUCUGCCGUUAGCCACUUAACGGACUGACAGCGCAAAUAUUGCCGUCCGCCCUCUUUGCCGUCUGCCGCGGACGGCAAAGAGCCUUUGCCGUCCGCCGCCAGGAAGUAGACGGCAAAGCAGCUGUUUACCGUAGCCUUCUUUGCCGGAGCCUUUUGCCGUCCGCGGCUGACGGCAAAGGUCUUUGCCGUCCGCCUUUCGAGCCUUUGCCGUCCGCCAUGGCAGACGGCAAAGUAGCUGUUUCCUGUAGUGACUACUUGUGGUUCCAAAACCCUUAAACCAGCUUUGCCAUGAGAGUCCACCAUACCUACCUAUGGAUUGAGUAAGAUCCUUCAAGUAAGUUGUCAUCUGUGCAAGCAAUAAAAAUUGCUCUCUAAAUAUGUAUGAUUGAUUGGUGUGGAGGAAAUAAGCUUUAUAUGAUUUUGUGAUGUGGAAGAAAUGAAAGCGACGGACUGCAUAAUAAAGGUUCAUAUCAGAAGUGGCAAUAUAAAGUGACGUCCUUUCGCAUUAAGAUUUUGUGCAUCCAACCCUAAAAGCGCAUGGCAACCUCUGCUUCCCUCUGCGAAGGGCCUAUCUUUUAUUAUCUUCUACCUUAUGCAAGAGUCAAGGUGAUCUUCACCUUUCCUUUUUACAUUUUAUCCUUUGGCAAGCAUAGUAUGUUGGAAAGAUCCUGAUAUAUAUAUCUAAUUGGAUGUAAGUUAGCAUGAGUUAUUAUUGUUGACAUUACCCUUGAGGUAAAAGGUUGGGAGGUGAAACUAUAAGCCCCUAUCUUUCUCUGUGUCCGAUUAAAACUCCGUAACCACAAGUAUUGCAUGAGUGUUAGCAAUUGUGAAAGAAUAAAUGAUAGUUGAGUAUGUGGACUUGCUGAAAAGCUCUGACAUAGACUCUUUCUGAUGUUAUGAUAAAUUGCAAUUGCUUCAAUGACUGAGAUUAUAGUUUGUUGGUUCUCAAUAAAGUUUCUGAUUCAUACUUUGCAUUGUGAAUAGAUUAUUACUUGAGCAUAAGAAAUCAUAUGACAUUAUCCAUAUAUGUUGCUGUUAUGAAAAUAAUCAUGAUGCCCUCAUGUCCGUAUUUUAUUUUAUCGACACCUCUACCUCUAAACACGUGGACAUAUUUAUCGUUAUCGGCUUCCGCUUGAGGACAAGCGAGGUCUAAGCUUGGGGGAGUUGAUACGUCCAUUUUGCAUCAUGCUUUUAUAUUGAUAUUUAUUGCAUUUUGGGCUAUUAUUACACGUUAUGUCACAAUACUUAUGCCUAUUCUCUCUUAUUUUACAAGGUUUACAUAAGGAGGGAGAAUGCCGGCAGUUGGAAUUCUGGGCUGGAAAAGGAGCAUAUAUUAGAGACCUAUUCUGCACAACUCCAAAAGUCCUGAAACUCCACGAAAGUUAUUUUUGGAAAUAAUAAAAAAUACUGAGCAGAAGAAAUACGUCAGGGGGGGCUCCACCUGUCCACGAGGGUGGGGGGCGCGCCCUACCCCCCUGGGCGCGCCCCCUGCCUCAUGGGCCCCCUGUUGGCCCUCCGGUGCCCAUCUUCUGCUAUAUGAAGUCUUUCGUCCGAAGAAAAAUCAUAAGCAAGCUUUCGGGACGAGACUCCGCCGCCACGAGGCGGAACCUUGGCGGAACCAAUCUAGGGCUUCGGCAGAGCUGUUCUGCCGGGGACACUUCCCUCCGGGAGGGGGAAAUUAUCGCCAUCGUCAUCACCAACGCUCCUCUAAUCGGGAGAGGGCAAUCUCCAUCGACAUCUUCACCAGCACCAUCGCCUCUCAAACCCUAGUUCAUCUCUUGUAUCCAAUUCUUGUCUCUAAGUCUGGGAUUGGUACCUGUAGGUUGCUAGUAGUGUUUAUUACUCCUUGUAGUUGAUGCUAGUUGGUUUAUUUGGUGGAAGAUCAUAUGUUCAGAUCUUAUAUGCAUAUUAAUACUCCUCUGAUUAUGAACAUGAAUAUGCUUGGUGAGUAGUUACGUUUGUUCCUGAGGACAUGGGAGAAGUCUUGCUAUUAGUAGUCAUGUGAAUUUGGUAUUCGUUCGAUAUUUUGAUGAGAUGUAUGUUGUCUAUCCUCUAGUGGUCUUAUGUGAACGUCGACUACAUGACACUUUUCACCAUUAUUUGGGCCUAGAGGAAGGCAUUGGGAAGUAAUAAGUAAAUGAUGGGUUGCUAGAGUGACAGAAGCUUAAACCCUAGUUUAUGCGUUGCUUCGUAAGGGGCUGAUUUGGAUCCAUAUGUUUCAUGUUAUGGUUAGGUUUACCUUAAUACUUUUGUUGUAGUUGCAGAUGCUUGCAAUAGAGGUUAAUCAUAAGUGGGAUGCUUGUUCAAGUAAGGGCAGCACCCAAGCACCGGUCCACCCACAUAUCAAAUUAUCAAAGUACCGAACGCGAAUCAUAUGAACGUGAUGAAUACUAGCUUGACGAUAAUUCCCAUGUGUCCUCGGGAGCGCUUUUCUCUAUAUAAGAGUUUGUCCAGGCUUGUCCUUUGCUACAAAAAGGAUUGGGCCACCUUGCUGCACUUUAUUUACUUUUGUUACUUGUUGCUCGUUACCAAUUAUCCUAUCACAAAAUUAUAUGUUACCUAUAAUUUCAGUGCUUGCAGAGAAUACCUUGCUAAAAACCGCUUAUAUUUCCUUCUGCUCCUCGUUGGGUUCGACACUCUUACUUAUCGAAAGGACUACGAUAGAUCCCCUAUACUUGUGGAUCAUCACCCACAUAUCAGCGAAAGGAAGUAGAAAGACAGGAGUAACUAGUUACACAUAAAUAUAUUUUUGACAGAGAGAUACUCCUCUGUAAAGAAAUAUAAAGAUCUUUUAUAUCACAACUUUAUACAUAAGAAAAAUCAAGGGGAAUAAUAUAUAACAUAUAUAUUUCUAAAAAAUAGAGUUUUUUUAACACGGUAUAGACGAGUUGGUGAUAAUGGUGUGCCUACCAUCCUGCAAUAUAGGCCGUCCGAUUUAUAUCUGUCGGAUAGGAAGGAAACUAUGGCAAUUAUGCAAAAAGGUACCCACACACCUCUCCACAUUUGCAAAUAAGACCUUUCCUCGUUCAUCCUUUUCUCUCACAAGAUAAAAUACUCAUACAAAUGCAUCUUGAUGUUACGUGCAACACACUGGCAUUAUGGGGGUUCAGUUGAGAAAUACUCAGACAAGCUCAUGGUUCUGGACUUUGGGCCACAGGCCAGUGGGCCUGCAUGUUUGGGGGCCCAUGUGUUCUACCUCAGCGCUUUUCAUAUUGCAAGCGAUCGGUACGACGCUGGUUUUAGAUGUUGUCGCAAGGCGAAUACACAAAAUUGAAUAAAGCACGACAGCUGUUGGAAUGAACUCGAACGACAGUUCCUAACAAGCAAUCAGAGUUGCAAUUCUAUCAACGAUAAUGUCGUACUACUUAUACACACAUGACACUUGUUUCACCAUGCCAGAGUAUUACAUCAAAACCUCUCGGAGGAUAGAGCAGUUCGGCUGUUGCGUGCUGCUACUGAAGAAUUUCAAAGUCUAUUUGGACCAGCUCUCGUUGUCGAGAAAGUUCGAUUUUGACAUCAUCCCCUACCGCAAGAUAUGAUUUAGAUUUGAACCUUGACCAUCCUUUAGCAUCAAUCAUCAUGCGACCAUCCUUUGUACUUACGGUAUAUUGAGCAGGUUCAUUCACACCAAGCCUGCGCAUGGCAAGAGAAACUUGGCCACGGUCACCCGGAUUGUUGAACGACUCCCUCGUUGCUCUAGGAAUUCUCUGUUUGCAAACAAGAAGACAUACACAAAUAGUUAGAUCAACACAGUGAAUCAUGUGAAACAACAUGGAAAGAAAAAAGAACGAAGCACUUGGGCGUCCAAUGCUUACCAAGAAGGUGGACAUGUCGGUUUUGUAAGGACUUUGGUAUAUAAAGUGCGAACUGCAGCCCAGUUUGUUGCCGGUGCAACUGGUGGUUCCAUUGCCACUGCACAGGCCGGAGCAAAUGCAAGUGCAAGUGUUGGUGCAGGUGCCGAAGCCGUUGCUGGUGCCCGUGCUGGUGCAACUGGUAGUGCCGCUAUUGCUGCCGGAGAUGGUGCUCCUUGUAGAGCUGGUGCCGGUCUCGGAGCAAGUGCCGGUGUCGACGCCCGAUCCUCCUGUAGAUCAGCCUGAUCCGCUGACGCGGUUGGUGCCCAAUCCUCAGCUGGAUCUGACUGAGUUGUAGCCGCUGUUAGUGCAAGAGCAACUGCGGGUGCUCGAUCCAUUGCUGAAGGUGGUACCGAUGUGCGAGACAGCGGCGAUCGUGUCUGAUCUGCUAUGAUCAGCUUUCUAACUUGACUAGGCUCUGUGACCGUGAUCCAGUCUUUUUCUUCAUUUCUUUUAAACGCGAGAAGGACUAAUUGUGGCGUGUUUGUUAAACCAAACUGUAGUUCAUCAUAGGGAUUCAGCUUGUACUCAGAAAACAGACUGAUCCAUUUUUUCCAGUAAUAUAAGUGAUGGACAGUGCCUUCGUUACUGACACGACAUAAUAAGUGAAACCUGCAAAAAUAUCCAUCGUAGAGCAAACCAAACGGUUUAUUCUGUGAUGAAUGUCACAUGGCAAAACCUGCAUCAUAAAAUUGCAGCAAAAGAAAGAAAACAUGACAGUAAAUCAAUAAGAUUUACUUGAUGUGACACGAGUGAAUCCUUACCAGGAAAUCACUAUGUUGAAGUACUAAACAGAAGAUUGGUCGUCCAACUACACGUGGCAUGCAGGGCCCCCGCCUACUUCGACAAGCAGGACAGUCCAAAGGUCGUGACAAAUCGUAUGGACCGAACAUCCAUGGGACUGGAAAUCCUGGUGGGUGCGAUAAACCCUGCAAUGCAUAUAGAUAUUGGAGUGUAACCAUAAUUGAUAAACCGUCCUCACAAAAAAUAUGAUCUGGAUACUUCAAAAUAUAGAGACUAAAUUGAGUGGACAGACAUUAACAUAGACUGUUCUCAGGACUCACCACAUACCAAAAGCGGUAGUACUAAACAAUACAUGGUUCACAAACACAAAUAAAGUACUGAACAAUAGUACUUACUACAGACAAGCAAAGUUGCACUAAUUAAACUCUGCAGACUAUUUCUUGCCACCGACCUACGGGAUGAACCCCGCAUAACUGACUAGGCCAUGGCUUCAUGAGAGAUGUCUACCGGCACCAUCACCAUCUCCUCAACCUCGGAGAACCUAAUAGAGUGGUCUUUCCACUCAUAAACAUGACGAUGAAGACAGGCCGCAUCAGAUUUGUCGGGAAGCAUUACAAGAACCACACCCUUCGUAAUCGAAGGCACAGCCAGGAAAUUGUUUUGGUCAAGUACAGCCUUGAGAACACGCCUAACAAUAAUGCUACAGGAAAACACUAGUUCAGGACACGUGGUGACAAGGACACAGCAGCUGGAUAGUUUAGCAGUAGAACUCGUCCUCAGGUCUUCCAGUUCACACGGCAUGACUUUGAGAACUUCAUCUCCACUGCGGACCUGGUUCUAAUUCAAACAGAAACCAAAUAUUUUAUUACUACCUCUAUUCAGAAAUAUAAGAUGAUUCUCGAUAUUUUACUCCAUAUAUGACUACAUAUAUGCAUAGAAAUGAGUGAACAAAGACACUAGAACAUGUCUUCAAAGGCAUGAGAGCAGAGGGAUUAGUUGCUAUAUCCAUAACACAAGUUACUGAUGCAAAUAUACCCUCUUCAAAGGUAGCAUUGAUGUUCAUAAAGUAGUUGCAAGUAAUCUAUAUGAAAUCAGUGUCAACCUCUCGCAUGUUUUGGUCAAAAGAGGAAUUUAGAACCGCCAUUUGGCACACAAAAAUCACAUGCAAGAUCACCUAGAAAGUGGUACUACUAGUACUAGUACUGCGUGUUAGAUGAAAAACACGAUCAAGAUCGAGAAAAAGAUCGUCAAGAAGAGAUAUUACCUGGACUUGCUUAAUGAGGCUGGAGAGGGGGGCUUGGACAGGGCGAUGGCUUUGAGCUUGUCUGCAGUAGUCUCGGCGUGGUGCUUGCGGUUCUUCGUACGAUGAGCCUCGACUGUUUUUGCCAGAGCCAUAGACAUCACUUCGGCCGGUGCUCCAGCGUCCAUCAAGAAACUGUCAAAUAGAAAUAAAAGAAAAGAAACCAUAAUCACAAUCCCAAAAGAAGAAUAGAGAGGGAUUUAUAGGAUCAGUCUUGGGGUUGCAAGACCGGGCCUUGGCCAGAAUCAACACCAUUGAUGCGCUCACCUUUCCUUCUUUGGGAGAGAAGAACAAUGGCAGAAGCAAGUCGGGGUUUUCUUCAAGAAAUGAGGAACAAGAUGAGGGAUAAGCGAGGGUUGGGUAGAGAGGAAGCUGAGAGACAAGAGUGAAAUGAUGGUUGCUUCGUUCGUCCAACUUACUGCUGGAAAGGAGGGGGUUUUGUGAUUUGACGGCUCAUUGGGCAUUACUGUGACGCUUCGAUAGGGGAAGUCUACCGUGUAGUUGGGCACUCUACUACGGAGUAAUUUAGUGCUUGGCUAGUGGACCCUGAUGAUGGUUGUCCCACACGUCGGCGAAACUGAGUAGCAAAGUUCCCGACGACCGUCGAGGAGGAUGCGCAUGGUAAAGCGAGUCCACUGUUUUUUCUGAAGAAAAAAAUGAUUACAGCAAGCGUUUCCACUCUUACGACAGAGGAGUGCGAAACACGGUAGCCACUUGAACAUACACAGUGCUCCUACUACUAGGCAUGUGCAGUGGUUCAUACGUCAGUACAACAUAAUCUUGUUGUUAGUGUAGGAGUAAGAUAUGACGAUAACAAAUGAUGUUGUGCACAUGUCAACGAUAUGAACAGUAAUGUAACUAUAUUGAGAUGAGAAUGCAACCAAACACACCCACACGCUUUUUGCUACAGUGACUGAUCUGCACCAUCUGAUUUUGAUCCAAUGGUCAUGUUGCGCCGAGACAUGGACAUGCCCAUGCAGAGGACGCCUAAACACCACCGAAGUCCCUCUACUUCUCGAAGCGCAUGACGUUGGUGAUGUAGGGUGCAACGGCCCGCAGAGCCCGCUCCCAGUCGACGGGAGCCAGCUCGUCAAAGACGGUGUCGAAUGGAACGAAUGGAUUCCGGUGACAGAGCCCUGAGACGAUUCGCCCGGCAACGGCGACGGCAGCCCGCAACCCUUCCUUGUCCAGAUCCGCCACCACCAUCGCGCGGAGACAGCUUAACUCCUCGGAGAUAUAGGUGAAGAAGGACACCAGGUCAGGAAGCCGCAGCUCAUUGAAGUCAACGGGGUGAUCGAAUGGGUUUAGCCCGACGGCCGGCAUAGUCGCGCUGGCACGACGGUAGGCAUCAUGCAGCCGCAACACGUGCGUGGCAACUUGUUCCACCAAGUGGCUGAGGCGAUCCUGGACCUCGUCACGAUCGGCCCGCUCGCGCUCCAGCAGCCUCCCCUGACGGCCUUUCGUAUCUCCCGCUUUCUGCAACAACGCCACCGACGCCUCGAACAUCUUUGUGGUGGACGCCUGUCGCUUUUGAAGCUCCGUGAACUCCCGCACAUAACGAAGGAGCAUGGCACUCCUCUCCUCCUUGAGCUCACGGAGCUCCACGUCCUUGGCCCUGAGCUCCACAUCCUUGGCCUCGAGCUCCUGUGUCAGGCGCCUCACCUCAGACUCCGUGAUCUGCUGCGCCGCCAUGGCACCAGGUAGAAGCAAUUUGGAGAGGAAGCAAAGGGGGCAAAAUGGCUGAAAGGCAGUGCAAUCUACGGGAAGGCGGAGGGAGCCAGCCGAGGAGCGGGGAAUCUUUAGGUUCUCACCAUGGGAAAACACCAGUCGACGAUUUCUCACGUCAGGGAGCAGUGGGUUUUACAGGCGGAGUCAUCGUGACUAAUUACUGCCGCGCCUGCUUCCGUCAAUCAAAAAAUUAAAAAUCCUGCCGUGCGUGCUCCCGUCAAUAAAAAAAUUAAAAAUCAUGCCGCGCCUGCCGCACCCAAAGACUAGAGCAACGCCGCGGUAGAUAUUUAAAUUUACCUGCCGGAAGGAGACAAAAAAGGGUGAAAAAAUAAAUGUCGUGGCGGCCUAGCUAAUCGGUCGCACUAGCCCAACUAGCUAGCCACCGUGCUUCACUGAUGUACUCGGCGAGAAAGGUGGUCUUUCGUGAUUUGACGACUCAUUUACUUGCUUCGGUGCUACGACCAUGGAGAACCCAGAAAACGUGCGGUAGGGCGUCCCACGUCUCGGCAAGGAAGAAUAUAUGCAUGCACCACCCGGGAGGACCCCGAAACCAUGUGGUGGGGUGUGCCACGUCUCGGCACGGAGGAAAAUGUGCGUGUAAAAAUAUAUCAGACGCAGUAGUACCUAUGGUUCGACCUCGAGACCCAGCCAGUCGGUCGAAAACACCCCACUAGCCACACAGCUUCAUCAUGCUAACGUGGCACGAAGGAUAGGUGUGGUUAGCUCCGUCUCGACCAGCCACAACGUCUCUUGUUCUAGGAGAUUCUUCUAUUUUCCAAGCUUUUUUUAGUUAUAAUAACACCACGGCAAGCUAGCGCUGCUCUUCGUGUGUGCCCGUGCGUCUAAAGGUUAGACGAUGGAGAGGAGAGAGAGGUCGCAGACCUGGGACCCACCAGUAACUGAGUCAACGGUCAUGCAUGUGUUGAUGAGGUACUCCCUCUACUCUACUCAACGUAAUACUGUAUAAAAUCAAGUUAUGGGACAAAGCCAAACAACCGUUGUUGUUUCAGGCUAUCGACUUACGCUUUGUAGUCCAAGUUGCCAGUUCAAAUCUUGUCUUUCAGAUUUGUUAGUUUUAGGUCCAAAUUUGAUCAAUGACAAGUGGGACCCCCGUGUGUUGUUCCGAUAUUUCAGUGUAGGAUGGUUUUUUUUAACAUACACUUUGCGCGGUUAGAAUAUCACAUCCACCCCGCAGCUUAGACAACGGCAUAGAAUAUCACAUCCACCCCGUAGCUUAGAUGCUAUGGUGAUACGAGCAAGGUUGUCAGAAUCGCGAUUUUGAAUCGGAUUGGAGCUCUGAUGGUAGAAUUGUAAAUCAUAGAAUCUUCACUACCAGGAUCGUAGAAACAUAGAUUUUAUGAACCAAAAUUGUAGAAUCAGAUGGGUAAGUUUGGAUCGUAAAGUCAUAGAAUCGUAUAACAGAAUCACGAUUCUAACAACCUUGGAUACGAGUUUUUACAUCAUUGGAAGUGAGAUCUAAUGGCUUGGGAGUAGUCUUUGUAAUUAUGCGCAAUUUCCAAACUCUCCAAAGGUUUUUUUUGCAAAUAAAACAUUCAGGCCUCGUGUGUGCCGCUGCAUCUUGGAUCCAAUGGUUCCCCGUUGCUCAUAUUAGGUGCUCCCCGUAGCUUAAUUAGCCGCUACGGUGAUACGAGCAUCUAGGUCGUAUGAUCUGUGAUCAGAUGGCACAUGCGUAGUACAUGUACUUUCUGCGCAAUUCCGAAACUCUCUCAGUCAUAUAUUGCAAAAACAUUCAAACCUCCUACUGCGGGCCGUUAGAUCUCCGUGAACUCGUAUCAGCAUAGAAUCUACGUUGCGGGAGCACCUCAUAUUCACCCGUGCGAGAAAACAUCAGGUGCUCUCGCAGCUUGGAUCCUACGGUGAUACGAGCUUCGAGGUCGUUUGAUCUGAGAUCCAAUGGCAUGUGAGCAGUCUUUGUGCUUGUAAGCAGUGGCCAAACUCUUUGGGGGCUUUUCUGCAAAAAACCAUUCGAACCACCGAGGAGUUGUUGGGUCACAAAUCCAACGGCUCCAAAGAGCUUGUAUCACCAAAGCAUCUAAGGUGUGGUAGCACAUGAUAUUCUUACAUAAGGAGAAUAUGAUGUCCUCCUUGAUGUUAGAUGCUAUGGUGAUACGAGCUUCGAGGCCGUUGGAUAUGGGAUCCAAGGGCAUCUGAGUAGUUUUUGUACAAAUUGCGUGCAAUUCUCAAACUCAUUAAGGUUUCCUGUAAAAAUAUUAAGACAUCACGUGAGCUGCUAUAUCUCAGAUCUACAUGCUCCAAGCAACUCGUAUCAGCAUAUAGCAUCUAAGGUGCGGGGGCAGAUGAUAUUAUCCCGGGGAGGAGGGGGUGCACAACCAAUCGGUGUUUGGGAGCUAGGAUGGGGACAAAUAUAAUCUAAACAAUCCUAAACAGAGCUUCACAAAUUUAUCUAAGGUCGAGGGGUUAACCCCCGACAAUCUACAUAACUCUGCCUAAACACAACAUUUGCAUGUACUGUAGUACUAGAAUUAAUAUACAUGUUUCAUCUUCCUGUUCAUUUUAAAUAUUGAAUUGAGGACCAUGCAUGUCCUACAUUUUACUCCCUUCGUUCCUAAAUAUUAGUCUUUUUAGAGAUUUCAAAUGGACUGGCACAUACGGAUGUAUAUAGACAUAUUUUAGAGUGUAGAUUCACUCAUUUUGCUCCGUAUGUUGUCACUUGUUGAAAUCUCUAAAAGACUAAUAUUUACGAACACAAGGAGUAUUUUUGAAUUCGUGUCAUACAUGCAUGGUUUGGAAAAAUAGAUGCACUAUACUUAUUGGAUUGUUGUUGUGUUCGUGUGUGUGUGUGUAUGCUUGAUACAUACAAAGUUUUCUCACCACCAUAUUGUUCAUCUUUUAAAUUUGAAUGUGCAAUGAAAAACUUACUAGGGAUACCAUGAAAUGUGAAAUCCACGUUGAGAUCACUAUAUCACAAACUCACUCUAAUUCAAGAACUCGUCAUAAAUCAAUUACCACGUCGAGAUUACUAUUUGCAAGGAAAAUACGGGCAUUGUAAUACACAUAGAUUCGUUCGGCAAUUUAAAAGAUUCCUUUCAUAUUCUCAAAUGGUACCCAACGGCGUACCAGCCAGACCUUGGCUCGUGUUAAUCCUAAAAAAACUGGGCUCGUGUCCUUCUGGUGGCGUGCAUGGUACGCACAUUUGCCAACCCCAACCAGUCGAGCCUCCGCGUUUCGAGUCGAAAUAUCUGGCGGCCAGAAUUCUAGCCCUAGGAAAUUCCCCUCAUGUCCCCGGUCCAUAAUGACUACUGAUGAACAAUGGAGAGAUGAUUUAGUAACUAGACAACGUUACCUACCGUGUCGAGCACGGUUCAAUUCCCUCGGUCGCCGCUCCCCAAGGUCACCCAUCAACUGCAUUGCCUAGUAGUACUGCUACUACACCAGGAUGAGCACAGAAUUGAGCCCAUUUGUUCGUGCCUAGUACUACUUGAGUUAAUAUAUCAGGGACCCCUAAAAAAAGAGUUAAUAUAUCAGGCAAUGCACUGGUGCGGAUGGAUUAUCCUUUUACUCUGCAUAUAUAACUUGUCUGAAGUCUAACUAAGCAAAAUGUUUGACCAUAUCCUUUCUUAAGAAAUACAACAGGACAGAUGUAUCGCUUGAAAAUUUAUUGCAUGAUGCAUGUUAUGAUGUUGUUUCGAAUCCUGGAUUUUAAAUUUCAGAAAAUCCAAAAGUGACCAGAAAUUCAUGAAACUGAGCAUGGUCACGUGAUAUGGCACAAAUAUUCCUUCGUAAUUUUUUUCUUCAAUUUGAGACAAGCUGCUUAUGACAAGUUGCACAAAUGAAUAGCCAAUGUAUUUUGGAACAAAGACCUGUCAUGUUAUGGCGAACGAUUUCACUAUUGAAACCGUGGGUGUUUACGUGCCGCCACGAGUCCCGCUUCUCAUCGGCAGGUGCCGUCCGAGCAAGCGUGUGAGUCGACGGGAGGCGUGCGAGCAGACCGCUGCGCCGGCUGACAGGGAGGCGUGCGAGCAGAACCCUGCGCAGGCUCACCGGGAGGUGAGCCCUUUGACCAGGCUCCGCCGCCCACCUUCAUCCCAACUGCUCCCACUUUUAAUGUCGUCGGCGCCGUAGUUUAAAAUCAACCCCGCACUACCCGGUAUCGCUACAAUCUUCUCUCUUCCUCUCCGAUUCUCCUGUCGUCUACCUCCAACCAGCUUGAUGUAAACGUACGCCAUGCCGCAUCAUGAUGGUCUGCCCUUAGUCUUCCAGUUUCCUGAGGAAGACACCCAGCCGGAGUCUCAAGAACAAAAGGCGCUUUGGGACGAGCUUGAACCGGCCUUGCGGGAAGAUGCCGCGCAUGUCCCCGCUCCCGUUCCGGCUCCCGUCGCCCCGACUGCGCCAGCGCCCAUCCCCGUGGCAUUGAUGGGCUGGGAGCCGCACAUUGUCGCCGAGCUUGAUGCCACGGGAUUCCACGAGGUCCCCACCGACUUUCACGCGCCCGUGCACCUGCCAGCGCAUGCGCCUGCGCAUGCAUUGAUGCGCACGCCCGUGCCGGUGCCGGUGCCUGUGCAGCUACCAGCGCAUGCGCCUGCGCGUGCACUGACGUGCGCGCCCGUGCUGGUGCCCGUGCACACGAAUGUCUCCGCCACGCCGUUGCCAGCGCCUGUCCCCGCGUGGGUGCCAGUGCCCCCCUCAGCGGCAUGGAUGGCCGUUGUCGACCGCUUCCUUGCACCAAUGCCAGUCGCCUCCUCCCGCCAGUUGACUCGCUCCUGGAGACCAAAGUCCAGAACAUUGUGGCCUUCCUUGAAGCUAGGGCCAACGUCUAGGAGUACGCCAACAAUGGCGCAAGACGCCAUCGUCGCCGUCGCCGUCGGUCAGUGGCCCGACAACGCACAGAGCACGGUAGAGGAGCCCCUUCCCACUGCAAGGCGCCCCCCCGGGCUGCCGCCGCAUAAUCUAAAUUUGCCAUGAAAAACGCGGAUUGACAUGCUUAAAAUCCGAACGUUUAUCAUUUCCGUUUAUUUUAGAUUGAUCAUCGUAUGAAUGUAAAGUCGGAGUCAGACUGAAUGAAAUCUAUGGUUUGAUUGAUUGAAUGUUCUGCUAGAGCCGUAUCAAAUUAAAUAUAAAACUUCAUCAAGCCACAUGUAUUCCUUCUCAUCCAACGACCUAGACUGCUUCAAUGUCGAGCGCUCAACAUGUUUAGCGUGCAGUUAAUUUCAUGCCAAAAAUAGUGCUAAUCACAUAAUAACACGCAAAUAAUAUCCUACUUAAUAUCCGCAUGCACUUAAUAUACUUCCAAAUUAACGUGCAUUGCACGUACACAUUGACUAAUACUACUAGUACGUGAAACUGGUGCCGUAACUUGUGAACGCGUCUAGAUAUGGUCAACGGCAACAUUGCCCGCGAGUUCUUCAUGGUUGCCCGUGCAUCUAAACGAAGAAGGCGAUGAGAGAGAGAGAGAGAGAGAGCACACAUGGAACCCACCAGUAAGUGAAGACGAAUAGUACGUGCUAACGAGCCGGUCCCAUUAAUUUACUAAAAAUAAUAUUACAUGUUAUCCAUUAAAUAGGUUGCGGUAAUAUAUAAACAUUAUAUGAACAAAGGGGGUACAACAAACAUUGCUGUUCUACGUAUGUUGCCUAUUGACGUGCGGCUUGAAGGCCCUGGUCGCAUGUUCGAUCCUCGUCCUUUAUUUUUUAAUUUGUAUAUGGGUCCAAAUUUGUUUCAUGACAGGUGGGCCCCUCGGUGUGUAGUUUGUGGCACUUCAAUUUGUGGGUCGAAAUUUGUUCCAUUCGAAGUGGACUAUCGGUGUGUAGUUUGUAGCUUAUUUGUAAUAAUUAGAGUUUUUUGCAAUAAUACGAUGGUGCGACGUUGAAGGCGAGAAAGGACGUGCGAGAGAGCGAUGACCGAGCCAGAGGGAAAUCAAUUGGGGGAUAUGCGGUGGUUGCAACGGUGUUUGGACUAGUUGUGGGCCGAAUGCUAUGAAAAUAUAAUCUACCACCGGAAUAAAUGCCUACAGAAAUUAAUCCAAGGUUGGAGUCCCCGUCGCAAUGUAAAUAGCUCUGGCUUUGCGAGGGAUGGAGAGGUAGCUUCAAUGUGUGGAAGAUACGGCGUGAGAAAGCGAGGUCAAUCGAGAGACAUAUAGAUAGAGAGACAAAGUGAGUGUGGCCCGACAUUCAUUGAAAAGAUAUAUAUGCUCUGGAGAGAUAUUGUUCAAUUGAGCUUUUGGGAAGGGUGAGGGCUGUAAGAUAGAGCUUGAGAGAUGAUCCAGUCACAGACCUGUAGAUAUAUUUUGUGCGUGGGAGGAAGCAAGGUCAAUCGAUUACAUAUAUAAAGGGAGAGAGAUUGGGCGAGUGUGGGUCGUCGUGCAAUCGAAAGAGCGAUACGGGUUGGAGAGAGUGACCUAGAUAGACAAUGUGCGUGAGAGAGUAUACAACAUGAAUAUGUCGAAUUGGGCUCAAACAUGGAGAUAUAUCGUUUGUGUCCGAGAAAGAGCGAGGUCAAUCAAGACAUACAAAGAAAGACAGAGAAAGAGAGGGAGGGAGAGAGAGAGAUUGAGCGAGCGUGGCCCGCCAUGAGGUCGAAAGAGUGGGGGCGGCUUGGAUGGAUUGACCUAGAUAAACAAUCUGCAUGAGAGAGUAUAAUGUGUGUCGAUCGAGGCCCGAACAGGGAGAUAUAUCAUUUGUGUGUGAAAGAAAACGAGGUUAAUCGAGACUUAGAUAAAGAGAGCAAGAUUGAGCGAGUGUGGCCCGCCGUGCGGAAGAAAGAGUGAGACGGUCUCGAGGGAGUGACCUCGAUAGACAACGUGCGUGCGUGCACAUGAGAGGUUGGGGGCUAGAUAGGCAAUGCAUGUAUCUAGCGAGAGAGGGUGGGAGGGAGAGAGAGAGAGACAGAGAGAGAGGGAGCUCGGCAUGGGGUGCAAUGGCGGGCGUGUGAGUUAGAUACAUUUGGUAACAGAGUGGAAAAACGGGGUUGUAUAGUUGAGAGAGUUAGAGAUCGAAACAUGGAGAGAAAGAAUGAACGUGUGUUGGAAACCGAUAGCUUCCUAAGGUGGUUAGGAGAGGAAGAUUGACCUAUACAGGAAGCAUGUAGCGUGUGUGCCGAGGGGGGGGGGGCUAAAAACAACAUUUGAAUGUAGAUAGUACUAGACUUAAUAUCGAUGUUUCAAUUUGGUGUAGAUUGUAAGAUUUGAACUAAGGACCAUGCAUAUGUGUAAUUAUUUCGAAUUCUUGCCAUACUAGGUUUGGAAAAGUUAGACAUUGACUCGAUUGUUGUGCUAUUUUUGUAGGUCAUAUGUUUGAAUCCAUCCAAAAGUUUUCUCACUACCAUGGUGUUCAUCAUAUACAUAUGAAUUUGUAUUAAAAAAGUAGCGUGGAUACAGUGAAAUGCGAAAUCCAUGUUAGAAUUGGAGAUCGCUAUGUGACACACACUCUAAUCCAUGUUAGCGUGGAUACCAUUUUGUUUUUUUUCAAAUAACUCCUUGAUACGUCUCCAUCGUAUCUACUUUUCCAAACACUUUUGCCCUUGUUUUGGAAUCUAACUUGCAUGAUUUGAAUGGAACUAACCCGGACUGACGAUGUUUUCAGCAGACUUUCCAUGGUGUUAUUUAUGUGCAGAAACGAAAGUUCUCGGAAUGACCUGAAACUCCACGGAACGUAUUUUUUGGAAAAUAUUAAAAAUACUAGAAGAAGAAUCCACGUCAGGGGGCCCACACCCUGUCCACGAGGGUGGGGGCGCGCCUGCCCCCGUGGGCGCGCCCCCCUGCCUCGUGGGCCCCCUGACGCUCCACCGAUCUCAACCCCAACUCCAUAUAUUCGUGUUCGGGGAGAAAAAAAUCAGAGAGAAAUAUUCAUCGCGUUUUAUGAUACGGAGCCGCCGCCAAGCCCUAAACUCUCUCGGGAGGGCUUAUAUGGAGUCCGUUCGGGGCUCCGGAGAGGGGAAUCCGUCGUCAUCAUCAACCAUCCUCCAUCACCAAUUUCAUGAUGCUCACCGCCGUGCGUGAGUAAUUCCAUCGUAGGCUUGCUGGACGGUGAUGGGUUGGAUGAGAUCUAUCAUGUAAUCGAGUUAGUUUUGUUAGGGUUUGAUCCCUAGUAUCCACUAUGUUCUGAGAUUGAUGUUGCUAUGACUUUGCUAUGCUUAAUGCUUGUCACUAGGGCCCGAGUGCCAUGAUUUCAGAUCUGAACCUAUUAUGUUUUCAUGAAUAUAUGUGAGUUCUUGAUCCUAUCUUGCAAGUCUAUAGUCACCUACUAUGUGUUAUGAUCCGGCAACCCCGAAGUGACAAUAAUCGGGACCACUCCCGGUGAUGACCAUAGUUUGAGGAGUUCAUGUAUUCACUAUGUGUUAAAGCUUUGGUCUGGUACUCUAUUAAAAGGAGGCCUUAAUAUCCCUUAGUUUCCAUUAGGACCCCGCUGCCACGGGAGGGUAGGACAAAAGAUGUCAUGCAAGUUCUUUUCCAUAAGCACGUAUGACUAUAUUCGGAAUACAUGCCUACAUUACAUUGAUGAAUUGGAGCUAGUUCUGUGUCACCCUAUGUUAUGACUGUUACAUGAUGAACCGCAUCCGGCAUAAUUCUCCAUCACCGAUCCAAUGCCUACGAGCUUUUCACAUAUUGUUAUUUGCUUAUUUACUUUACUGUUGCUACUGUUACAAUCACUACAAAACCCAAAAAUAUUACUUUUGCUAUCGUUACCGUUACUUCCAUAUUACUUUGCUACUAAAUACUUUGCUGCAGAUAUUAAGUUAUCCAGGUGUGGUUGAAUUGACAACUCAGCUGCUAAUACUUGAGAAUAUUCUUUGGCUCUCAAUAAAUUUUGGUUUAAUACUCUACCCUCGAAAACUGUUGCGAUCCCCUAUACUUGUGGGUUAUCACUCCUCAUUAAUUAAUUUAUAGUAUCUUGUUUCGAAUGACUAAUUAUUUGCAAGGAAAACACAGGCAUGGUAAUACAUACAUAUUUUUUUGCAAAUGAAAGAAGAUUCAUUUGCAUUCUCAAAUCUCCUCUCAAAUGUAGGUGCACCAGGAAGACCAGGGUCGUGUCGUGGUGGUCGCAUGUGUGGUACGGUGGCUUAGCACCCAGCCACCCACCCGGACGAUGCUUCGGUGCCUUAAGGCACCUACCUUUGUGUCUAUGACAUGUGGGCCCAACCGGUGGCUGGCCCACAAGUCAGUGACCCAAAGGCAGGUGCCUUUAAGGCACCGAAGCUGCGUCCCACCCACCCCCUCCCUCCCUCCCCCCUCCCCCCCAAAAAGGACGACGACAAAAUAAGUUCGCGCUUCCAUGUUUNNNNNNNNNNNNNNNNNNNNNNNNNNNNNNNNNNNNNNNNNNNNNNNNNNNNNNNNNNNNNNNNNNNNNNNNNNNNNNNNNNNNNNNNNNNNNNNNNNNNNNNNNNNNNNNNNNNNNNNNNNNNNNNNNNNNNNNNNNNNNNNNNNNNNNNNNNNNNNNNNNNNNNNNNNNNNNNNNNNNNNNNNNNNNNNNNNNNNNNNNNNNNNNNNNNNNNNNNNNNNNNNNNNNNNNNNNNNNNNNNNNNNNNNNNNNNNNNNNNNNNNNNNNNNNNNNNNNNNNNNNNNNNNNNNNNNNNNNNNNNNNNNNNNNNNNNNNNNNNNNNNNNNNNNNNNNNNNNNCUUCCAUGUUUCGGAUUGAAAUAUCUGGCAGCCCCAAUUCCAGCCCUCCAAAUCUCCCUUCUCCACCGUCCCCUUCCGUGCCCAGAUUGCUCAAAUCCCCAAUUCGCCGCCAACCCAAGCAAAGUUCGAAUCACCCCUCGUCUCGUCUCUUUCCCCACCUCUGUGUCGGACGACGACGACGAAGACGACAGUCGCGCUUCACCGCCGCACCGGAGCUACCUCAUCUACGCCCUCGUCCACUGCACCGGGUGGUCCACCGACAACGUCGGCCGCCGCAUCUGACGUGCCUCACAGACACCGACUUCCACCGCAUCAGGUGCGCUUCACCGAUGCUGUGUCCCACCUCACCGGGGCUACUUCACCGAGCACAUCGUCACACCUCCGCCCCCCGAGGCCGUUGGGGCUUCACCAACGGUCUCGUCCACCGCAUCGUAGCGCUCCGCUGCCACACAAGAUCUGCAUCCGUGCGUGGCCAGCCAAGUCCAGCGCAUCACACUCAACGUCUCUGAAGUGACCCGCACUCUAGCUAGGCAACCAUGCCCAAACGCCGGCCCGAACUAGGUAUCCACACAUCACUCCCUUGUGCAUUGUUCCGACGAUGUUUGGAUAUCCUUUCACUACUCUCUUAGCUUACACGCCUAUGCAACUCUGACUUUAACUCUUAUUUCUUCUAGAGAUAUCAUCCGAAACAAGCAAUACCAUUUUUUAGCGAAGCAUGACAGCGCUACGGGAUCUGGUACAGAUCCUGCACACCCAUAUAACCUUGUAAGUAUCUGUCCUCCAGUACAACAGCAAGGUCGAUUCCUCUUAUUUGAUCAACCAUUCACCAUGUCAAAAAUGCACAGGGGGAUGCAAGGAGCACAAGGCCUGCACAUCCAAGCAAGUGGUAACAUGGACGUGUACAUGGAACAUCCCAAGCGCAAGCAGAGCAGCAGUGAGCCUGUUCAACGAGCUAGCGUAAGUCCCCGCAUUUCAUUUAAUUCGUACUAGCAUGCGUGUAUGAUUUGUGUGCAGUGGCGGAUCCACGAAUUCAAGUUACGAGGGGCGAACAUUUAACUUAAAAAAUACGAAGGCACUUGCACUCUUGAAAUCAACAUAACUUGAGAAAUGAGAAGCUACAUGCACUUUGAAAACCAGCUAAUGAUCCAAAGUAGUUCAGAUUAUAAAACACUAAAUGAUGCAAGAACCAAAAAACAUUAAAUGCAACAUGGUGUACAAGGACUACUAACAUGGUCUGUACCUGCUUGAAUUAUUCGUUCUCUGGCUGAAAAUAUCGAAGUGUAAUUGCACCUAUAACUAGUGUGCAAACUACAUAUCAAUAUAUCUAUCCUGCACAAGUAUGCCAAUAGUUUCAAACAACAGAUUAGAAAAGUAUUUAUGCUACGUUGUCAUGAUACGGGGACUUUCUGGUAGAUGGCCUCGACGUUUCCUCAAGCCAUGAAAAUGUACUAUAAUUUGCUUGUCAUCAAUGCCUGCAAAUCUCCAUGUCUCUCUCAACAUAGCAAAUCAUCAUUAGACACUAAAUCCUUCAAUGGGAGCUUGCAAAUGCUUGCAUUAGAUCCCUCAUUAGACACUAUAUGUUCAUCACCAGGAGCAUGUAAAAUGUUUGCAACAAAUCCUGCAUUAGCAGUCUGUUCAUUAGACACCUCAGGUUCAAGAACAACAUGAGCCUGUAUGUUUGCACCGGAAACUUAAUUAGAUACAUCAGAUUCAGUCAGUUCAGUAUUGAUUGGGGGAGUUAUAAAAUAAGCAGAAAUUGGUUUCAUUUUCUCAUAGAUUCCCUACAUACAAGCAGUUUUACAACACCGUCAGCUUUAACUAUUGGCCAGAAAUUGAACUAUUGAAUUAGAUAUAAUCAGGGAUGUGAUGUACCUGCUCGUUGCGCAUGCUACUCUUGCAAGCUGCGACUAUCCGUUUGUGCAAGCUCGAUGCCAUGCCCAUGCUGCCACCGCUGCCUCCCACGCAGGCUACACCCAGGGUUGGAUCUUCAUCUUCUUGUCCUUCCGCUCGAUUGAAGCCCGGCGACCACCCUCCAACGAGGGCGCGAGGAAGUGCUGUGUCGGUCUGUCCAGCGGCGGCUAGGUUAGGAGCGAACCAGACUAGAGGCUGCAGCGAACGAAUUGGGAUUUUUCCUGCUGUCGAUCGAUAUGGGAGGCGCUGGUUUGGGCCGCGAGCCUGCUAUAGGGCCUGCCUUGCACUUACGUGCUUGUGUGUUGGGCCGAACUAAACUAGCCUCGGCCAAACUGGAUGACUCAAAUUAGGUGCACACUUUCCAGCCGCCCGAGGCGGCCACCCAUACCAGCCCCUAUGGUGGCGUCGCCCCUUUUUGUGUGUAUGAUUGGGGUAGUGAAAAAUAUUCCAGUCGCGCUUUUGAUUUACCCAUAGAAUGGUUGAAUUGCUUGUUUCUAUGAACUGAGUUCACUAAUAAUGUGAAGGAUGCCAGUCUUUUCAUCCUAUUGUAGAUUGCUUAGAUCUCGAUAUGCCAAAUGUAAUGGCAUGAAAUAUACAGUAAAAGCCAGUGUGAUGUGUGUGGCUACAACUAGUCUGACUACACGUCCUCAUAUAACAUAUCAAGGACGCACCAUCUUACCAGAUUAACCAUUCGACUUACCAAUGCAGUGUGGGAAGAAAGAAGUAUUGGGACCGCGUAUCCAAGCAAUUGAUGCCAUGGACUCCUUCGUAGAACCUUGUAAGCAAAAAAGAAGUUGCAGUGGGCCUGUACAAAGAGCUAGCGUAAGUUCAGUUAUCUGCUUCUCGGAAUUUUAGUUAGCCACUUAUUGCAAAAUUGUGCAAUUACAAUGCUUGGCUUAAUUUAGUUUGCUACUGAUUACAUAAUGCCAUAGCCUGUUAAUCCUAUUAUAGACUGCGCCUAUCUAUGUUUUUGAUACUUACUGUUAAGAAUUACCUGUUUGCCUGAACUUAAAUAGCUACUUAAGCACGUAGAUAGCUGGUCAUAUGUACUUCUAGGGUGCAGCAGAAUUCACGUGUAAUUUACGUUCUGAUACCCUGUUUGUUUAAAUGGUUUGCUGUUAUCACUUGUAGCACUAGUAAUGUUUGCAUGUUUAUAGAUAGACAACUGUCGGGUUUAUAUGAGGGACACCGUCUUUUUAAUUUAUAUAUGUGUUGGAAUCAUUUUGCUUACAUCAAAGAAAUUUACAGAUGUCUGUGUUGCUGGUAAACGGUACCGACUUGUUACUUUAAUACGUUGCCAAAAACUUGUUAGUUUUACUAGUUCAUGUGUAAUGAAAUACAUUGCCAAAAUCUGUUACUUUUACUACUUUGAUGUUAGUUUCUUAUGGCUCUUGCAAAAUUUAUUUAUUGAUUACUAACAUUCAAGUUUGCAGGAUCCAACUGAAACUCUGCUGGCACAACAGGUAUGUUUUCAGAAACUUCCUUGUUUACCUGGUUUGCUGCAGUAACUUGUUGUAAUCAUCUUUCCAACUUCAAGUUUUCAGGAUCGAAUUGGAAGUCCAAUUGCACAGCAGGUACAUUUUCAAAAAUAUAUUUGUGUAACAGGUUUGCUGCUAUAACUUGUUGCUCUAAUCAAGUUACUGACUACUCUACUUUUCAGGAUCCAAGAGAAACUCCAAUGCCACAGCAGGUUCCUUUUGCAAAACUUGUUUGUUUAACUGCUUUGCUGCUGCAACCGGUUGCUCUAAUCACGUUACUGGCUACUCAACUUUUCAGGAUCCAAGAGAAACUCGAGUGCCACAACAGGUACCUUUUGAAAAACUUGUUUGUUUAACUGCUUUGCUGCUGCAACAACCGGUUACAAUGAUGUUAAUAACUACUUUUCAGCAUCCAAUUGAAACUCUUUAAUUCCUUGUUUGUUUAACUGGUUUGCUGUUUGUAACUCCCAGUUGCGAUGUUUUGCUAACUUAAACUUUUCGGAAUCCAAUCGGAACUUUAAUGGCAAAAGAGGUUAGCCCAAGAACAAAGAGCGAUGUCCCCAUGGAUGUUGUAUCAUCCCACAGCAAUAGCACCGGCCAAAUCAUGCAUCAUGAAUUCCCAACUGCUGAUGCUCUAGAGGCUAAGCUAGUGGUAGAAAGAGAUUAUGCUUCUGCACUUAGAGAUGAAGUUGACAUGUUGAGGAAGCAAACAGGACAAUCACAAGCAGUACUCAAGACACCAUUAAAUAUUUGGUGGAUUUCAAAACGAAGCAAGCUGAGACCGACCGCAUUGUUAAGGUCCUGGAGGAAAAAAGGAAAUUAAAUUCCCUCUUGGUAAAUCAUAGGUGAAAUGUUCUUUCCAUCGUUGAAUAACCUUUGUGUGGUUUGUUCAUGUAAUCAAUCAAACCAUUUGUUUUAGAGAUCAUGUAAUAAUUGUUUUCUGCUUUUUGGUUUGUAAUUUUAUUUGAGCACAAGUCUGUAUUAAUUGAUAAGACUCGGAGACAUUUCAUUUUGAUUGCUGUGCCAAACCUACAAAUAUGCCAAUCGGGCUGAAUAUGCAUUCAACAGUAAUAGUAGUAUAGAUGGACCAUAAGUGGCACGCAUCAAAAAGGGCAAAGAUGCUAUAGUAGCUUCGCUAAAAAAAGGAUGUUGUUCUAGGAAAAAAGGUACAGCGGCCUGGCUUAUGUAUGUUAGUUGAUAUUAUUGAUCCAUAUACUCUAUAAGUGUUUAUAUGUCUGUUAGUUAUGUACAUUGUUGGUUGAUUGACUCGGUAUUUGAAUCUUGAUACAUCGCUUGUGUACAUAUCUAAAUGGGAGUACACAUUAUGCUGCGUGUGACAUUUGAGUUGGACAUAAAGUGUUCAAAAUAUUCGAAUUCACCUUAAAAUGGAUUCUAGGUUCUGAAGUUGAGUAUCGGCAUUUGUAAAUCAUAUUCAUAUAUGAUAGUCGAAUACAUCUUUGUUGUGCUUUUGAAGAUAUAUAAAAACACAUAGAAUGAUUUAUAAAGAUUCGUAUAGGAAUACAAAAUGGAUUCGAAUUUAGUUGCCAGGGUAAACGUGGAUGCUUAUAGUCCCAAAAUUCGAAAGAAGCGGCAAAAUGUCAACUCCCACGUCGGCUACCCACAGCCAAGUGUUUGGGAGAUGGAAAUUACUGUCUACCCAUUACACGGACAAUCCAUCGGCCCGAUUUCCACUGCUUACAAUAGGGGUAGGUUAGUAACUUCAAUUAGACGUGACACGACCGCCUCUGAGCCCAUUCCGACACGGUGGGUGCCAAACAUGGGCGGCAAAACACAUUUGAUUCAAGCUCGUCCGGAAGACCUCUGUUUCUCCCUCCAUUUCCCCAUUCAUACACGGUGGGCGGCAAAACAAACUCGACUCGGCCGAAAUCGAUGUAGGCAAAUGUUUUCAAUAGGGGCGGUUUGUAACUUCACUCAGACGUGACACAACCGCCCUACCUGUGAGCCCCGUUCAUACACCGUGGGCACCAACCAUGGGCACCAAUACACCCUAUCCUCGCUCGAAAUCGCUCUGGGCAAAUAUUGGCGAGAUGCGAGAUUACCGUCCUAUCCCCAACUAACGAGACGUCCAAAUUUUAAACGGGGGGCUAAGUUCGUAACUUUCCCAUAUUUCAGACAGGCGCGUCCCAAAAACAUGGUUCCCCAUACCUCUCCCUCCAUUUUCCCAUUCAUACACCGUCCGCGCUAGAACACCAUCCCCACACUAGCCUCCUCCGUCCGCCACCCCAUCCAUCGCCACCGUCCUCCACCCCAUCCAUCACCACCGUCCUCCACCAUGCCAGAGCACCUACCAAGACUGCGUCGUUCACUGCUAGAGAUGGACGUUUCUCAUCCAUGGCGACGGACCAAAAGCCUUGCCUCGCGUCCUCUCGCUUCAUCGGCGCUGUCGUCCUCUUCGCCAGGGCCGCUCACACGACCUUCUCUUCCACCACAACGGGACUUAUCCCUCGAUGCACCCGUCUACCAUUGCAGAUCUGCUUCAACGCCAUCGACAGCCAUCGCACCCCCGAUGCCUACAUGGCGCCGCAAGAGAGGUGGUCUUCAUACCUCCUCAACUUUUUGAUCUCAACUAGAAAAUAGAUCGUAACUUGGUUACUCUACUUUCUUUUCAGCUCUUAGAAUUUAGUUCUUAGUUCAAAGCAAACAAUGGAUGCUAAAUAUCAUUUCUCCGGUUUGCAGCUUUAAAACUGCCACGGCACAAUCAUAAUACGGUUUAAUUGAUUAUGCUUAGGGUUUAAUUGAUCAUGUUGGUUUCAUGGUGUUUUCUUUAAUAGAGAUCAGAGGGGAAACCCUCUUUUGCUAAAAAAAAUGCUUAGGGUUUCCCCCUUUUAUGAUCACUAUACGAUCAGAAUACGUGCUUCGUGUCAUAAUAGCACUGCUCCACCCAGCAAGCUAAAAAGCUUAGUUGUUCAAAUACGAAUCUGAUAUUAUUAAAACAUAGUCGUUUAAUUGGUCAGCUAAAUGUUCCUAAUUUAGUUUCGAAAAUGCAUGUUCGCCGCUCGGGUGUGUAUCUCUAUAGGGUGCCCAUGGUGGGCCGGCCCGCCCUGGGAUUUUGGGUCGUCCCAGGCCCCGAUUCCCCUAUGUUCUGCUGCGCUCUUCCGAUCUCUACUCGCCCCUAGCCGCCUACCUCGCCGGCGACUUGACGUCCCCGGACGGCAUGACUCUAGGAGGAGACGCCGGGCUAGCAGGAGGUCAGGAGCCGCUCGCCCUACAGCGCCACCGCUGCCCGGGCAUGCCGCCGUGCCUACCUUCCCAGUCCGUUCAGGGCUCAGGCGUGCAGCACCCACUACGCCAACCCGAUUUAUCUUGAGAUACGUCCAGAACACUCAGCACUUCAGCAGGCACUCCUCAUCACCCGUUUUCUAAUUGAUUCAUUACUCAUUAGGCAUGACUGUCAUUAGGGUUUGUUGUGUGCUGAGUGCUACCUACACUUAAUGGUUCAGAUGUAUUUCAGUAAUCUUUAGUACCUGUAAAGUUCACAUGGUUUCGAAAUUCCGGCCCUAGGAAUAGACACUAGUCAUUUUGGAAUAUUGGUCGUAGUGACAUUGACCUAGAUUACUACUGCAGGCCAGGUUUGUUGACAAUUUUACUUGUCUUUCUUACUCAUUCGAUAUGAUAUCCAAUUAUUCACGUCGAUUAGUUGCAAACAGUAAGUGCUAGACAAACUUCUUGAUUUAGAUUUUGGACGGUCUCUUACUGCAGUUACAAUUCUGCAUACUUGUCCUAGUGAGCUCACAAGUAAAUGAUUGAUUCAGUACAUCUAUGCUUGCCUUCUCAUAUUUGUUGUCAAUAUUCUUUUAGGGUGGACCACCCUGUUUCAAAAUACUGGAACCGUAGACAUGAGUGAAUAGUAUUUCUCUGUGUGAUCUCUUCCAUCAUGUGUGGGCAACGAACACUGCAUUGUAUAGAAAGAAAGUGUCAUUUCCAGCUUUUACAUAGGCUAUGAUCUUUUACAUGGAAUACAAUCUGCCUACUUGCUUUGUGUCGCACUACCAACACUCCACCCUUGAAGAUAAACAUUAUGCCACUCAUAAUUCCUUGGUUUAUUUGUUCAAAUACGAAUUUGAUAUGAUUCUAAUGUUCCUACUUCAGUUUUGAAAUGUGUGUCUGCCUGCUAUAGAAACAUAAGGGGUUUGUAUUUCUGUGUGUGGUCUGGUCAGCACGGUUGGGGGUUAAACUUUGCAUAUGCAGGGGUUUAUAGGGAGACACUCUUCGAGUUGAAUCCGCAAUGCAUUCCAUAGAUAAUCUGACUACUUUCUAUGUUUUCAUGAAUCUCAGAUUCUGAACAGCAUCAUAAUGAUUAUGAGCUUGCGCGCAUGAAAAGAAUAAAGCAGAACAAUGCCAUGGCUGUCAAACUUGGCAUUAAGGGACUGAAAUCAAGUCUGGAUGCAAUGCAAUGCAAAUGCUCUCCACCGACAGAUUCAUGCUCAGAAUAUGAUCCUAGCAGUGAUUCUGAGCUAGAGGGAGACCUAAGUCAAUGUAGCUCCCUAGUGGAGGAGGCAGAGGAAGAUGCCCUAUCUUAUUCACCCAUCAAGGUGCUUGCUCUAACUUUCCACGGUUAUAUUGGUCGCACAUAUCUUGCAACUGAUGCUUUGCAUUGCUUCUACUUUGUUGCACUGCCAUUAGCUUAGUUUACACAUCGUGUAUGUGAAUAUGCCCUGCCUAUCCAUUUUCAGUACAUAUUCCAUCUGUCAUCAUACCAUAUUUAUCCAUUCAAAUGUUGUUCUUGUGUAUCAGACGUUCAAAAGGAAGAGGGUGAUUGCUGAUCACAGAGGAGCACAAGCAAAGUAUUUGGAAAAGGUAGUGACACCUGAUAAAUCAAAUAGCCCAUUAGGUGUAGUUGCAAUAUCACCUGACCCCCAAACACCCCAACUCUAGCAGACUCUAGCCCUACUACACUGGUCAUUUCUGAUGCCCCAAAUCAGCAGACCCCAACUGCAGCAAACAAUAUGAUGAUGCCAGUUGACAUAGCACCAGCUCUACGAUGCAAAACCCCCAUUCCAGCAAAGAGUACACCAAAUCCAGUUGCCAAAUCCCUUUUGAAACCAGAGGGAGCCCCAAUUGCAGCAAAUAGGACCCCUAUUCCAUUUCUUCCCAGUUUAGAUGACGAAGCUUAUAUUGUUGUCAGGAACUUUGUGCGCAUAUUUCCUUCAUGGAAAGAUUAUACCGCAGACACAGAACAAUUUCCAGUCUUCCCCCGCAACUUACGCGUAAGUAAUGUACUAAUGUUAUUCAUGGUAAUUACUGCAUAUGUUUCUACUGACAGAAGACACAAGAUUUCAUUCUUUUAAAUAGGCGAGGACCAAACUGGAUUGUCAAGAUGAGCAAGGGUUGGUUGCGCUUUUCAAGCACUCGUUGAUGAAGUAUCGUUCCUACCUGAGGCAAGCGCACUUCGAUGGCAAGCUUCUAAACGAAAUUUCUGUAAAGUCUCCGGUGCUACAUUUAUCCGACAGUGACUGGAAUAAUCUUGUUACACAUUGGUCUCGUCUGCAGCGUAAGGUACUGCCUAUGAUAUCACAUCACAAUUUGAACUACAUUUCUGCAUUUGCCUUAACGUCUCACUUGUACGAAAACUGUUAGCAGAAGAACAUUCAUUCUCAAGGGAGCACAGAAUCUCGCAACUAUACUGCACACUGCAUUGCUCUUGUGAGUACCUCUUGCCCUGUAUGACCAUACUUACUUUCAUAGCUGUUUGAUUAUGUAGCAUCACUGCACAUGUUAGCCUUGUUAUUGUCCAUUUGGUGGACAUUAUAAGAUCCGUAUGGACUCUUACAUAAAUUUAGAAUCAACCCAAUGCUUUUGAAGAGGUUUAGCUCUGCAGUCCUCUUGUAAGGACUGAACGUCGUCUAUCACUGUACUUACAUUAACAGCUACUCCCUUCGUCCCAUAAUAUAAGAAUGUUUUGUACAGUACACCAGUGUUCAAAACACUCUUGUAUUAUGGAAAGAGGGAUUGGUUCAUUGUGUAGCAUUCUGCAUCUUAUCUCCCUCGCCCACCAUUUACUAAAAGAUAUCAGAUCUAUAUUUAAUAUUACCAAAAAGUUGAAUACACAGACAAUGCCAGUUGAGAAGUGUAGCCCAUUGGUCUUGUCAGUACAUUUUGUCCUUUAACGCUUGUACUUCCAGGGAUUGGUAGUUGAUUAUGUAGCAUGAAUCUGCAUCUUAUCUUCAUUAUCCUCUAUCCCUUCCAGUAUUAUCAUAUCUAUAAUUACUCUCUACAAAAUGUAGAGUACAGGCAAUGCUUAUGAAGAAGAUUCUGUGCUGAAAUUCUUGAGUUAUCCUUCCCUUGACAUGGAGAAGGGCAUUACAAAGCCGGUGUUAACUGUUAAUCUAAGUCAGUCCUUCUAAAGCCUUUAUCCUAAAUUGUUGUUUAAUUUGCUCAUACUCCCUAUCGUUUACUGUUGUUUAGUUUGCUAUUUCUAUCAAAAUGCAUGUUCGCAAGAACCGUAAGUUCCAAGUUUUACUUGUAAAACCAAAUUCCUUAUUCAUACCAUGCACAUUACUCAAUACUCCCUAUAUGUAUGCUUGUUUUUGUGGAUCUAUAAUCCAGUGUGUGGUGAAGGAGCCCAUGUAUGCACCUUGUCAUCUCCUGUUUUAUCUUACUGAUGUGGCUGAUGAUAUGAACAACAUGCCAUGCACAUUAUCCAAAAUAGAUACAAUGAUUGUCUUUGCCCUUCAUCUAUGCAUUAUGAACAAUGCCAGAUUAUGCUAUUGAUAUUUUGAACUUACUCUUUAUUUUCUAAUUUUAAAUUGGAUGGAAUUGACAACAUAGUUAUCAUCUUUGUUUAUACACGUGGAAAACAUGUCAUCUCUCUGCUUGUUUCAGGGUGAUAUGCCUGAUGGCAUGCACAAGUCUGCUGAAGGCUGUGAGACAAACCCAACAUAUAUUGCAGCAAAGAAGGCAAAACAUCUUGAAGAUAGCGAGACAACCCCAAAGUCUUGUCUUGAUGCAGUGUUCAAGUUACUUGAGACUUGCAGUCAGACAAGCUCACAGAAUUUGUUGUCUGAAUUAGUUUGACUUCUUCUAUCCCAUGUUCUAGUAGAAAGGCAUUCUGCAACUCAACUUUGACUUGAAGUCCUAUCUUUAAGAAAGAUUGCGGAGAACACCAAUGAGAACCUCAUUGCUAAACAGCUACACCAGGAAGCUAUGACCGACAUGCUAGGCCGGUCUCACAGCCUUGCUCAACAGCUUGCGCAGCAGUUCCCGCGCAAGGCUGAUCUUUCUUAAACUGUCUUGGAAGUGGUCUCGGUUCAGUAUUAUUUUGUUACGCUGCAAUGGUGCCCAGUUUUUGUAAUCUGCUUCUUCGUUGCACUUUAUGAUCACUUGUGGCGAACUUCGAUGCCCAGUGGAUGUAAUAUACCACUAGUUACUAUGCCGUAAUUUCUAAGUUACUAUGCCGUAAUUUCUUUAUUGUAUAGUGUAGGUUUAUUCUAAGUUACUAUGCCGUAAUUUCUUUAUUGUAUAGAGUAGGUUUGUUCUUAAUUCCUACUAGUUACUGCCAUCAUUGGCUAUCUGAAAAAAAUCUGAUGUAGUCAACCGGGCCGAUACAUUCGACUCUAACGGGCCUGGUUUUUAGCGGGCCACAAUUGGGCCGGCCUGCAUCUCUCUUGGGCCUGAAUGGCCAUUGGGGCCUUCACACUUUGCGCCAGGCCCAAAACUUACUCCGGCCUAUAUUCGGCCCAAGUUUUAGUUGGGCCUUUUGUGGACCCAGCGCUUAGAUUGGCCCAGGUAGCGUUGGGCCAUUAACAGGCUGAAUAUUCUACUAGCUUGUUACGGCCGAGAAGAAACCAUGGGCCCUUAGUAGGCCGAAAUGCAUGUUGGGCCUCAAUUUUCACUAGUCGUUGACGAGCCUUCAACAGGCUGAAAUGUAGACCGGGCCUUUUUUAGCCCAGUUAUAUGACAGGCCGUUACCAGGCCGAAACAUAUCUUCGGCCUUAGUUGGCCCACUGAUAUCAUGGGCCUUUAAGAGGCCGAAAGCUUAGUACAUGCAUCAACGGGCCGAAUAAUACGACAGGCCUUUAACAGGCCCAAAGUCACGUUGGGCUGAACUGUUGCCACCUUUAUCAUGGGCUGUUAGUGGGCCGGAUGUUGCGUCGGACCAUAUAUGGCCCAUGGGCAGCACAAGCCAUUCCCAGGCCGAAAGACACACCGGGCUGAAAUGGGCCCAUAUCUACAUCGGGCCUCUAAGAGGCCGAAAUUCACUGGGCUGUAAUUGGGCCCAAAUAUUCGGCGAAUAAUUAACGGGCCAGAUCUGGCUUCGGGCCGUAAAUGGGCCUUUAUUAAACAUGCCAUUAUUGGGCAGGCCCACUAGUACCUGAGUAUGUACUACGGGCCUUUGACUGGGCCGGCCUUUUUAACCUAUAUGGGCCUCUGUUGGGCCCUGCCACGUGUCGAUGUAUCAUAGGCAUGUCUCCUCCAAUGGACGGGCGACAUCUGGCCCACCGAGGAGCAGAAACGUGUUUCCUCCGGCCAAUGAGAAUUUUACACGUGGAAAAUCACCAUUGGUCCGGGCUAUUAACGGUUUAUCGGAUCCAAAACCGGACCCGAUAGCUUAACGGCGAGCUGUCACGGUGGAUGCCACGUGUCGGUCACCCUUGACGAAAGCACUUCUAUGACGCGUGAUUUAUCGUCAUGGAAGUGGACACUUCCAUGAUGAUAAUUUUGGUAAUGUCAUGGAACACUUCUACGACAGCAGAGGUAUGACUAUCUUGAUUCUGUCAUAAAUUUGUCACGGAUGUACAUGCAUGAUAGAAAACAUGACCUACUAUGACAAACACGUAUCAUCACGGAAGUGUAUUUUUUUGUAGUGUCCUCCGCCUGCUGGCCAGCCGCUGCCUCCUCCUCAGCAGCAGCCGGCCCGUCUGGUUGCCGCCAUCCAAGACGAAUUCCCUGAAGAACAUGGUGCCUACGUCGUCUUCACAAGUGUGGCCGACGACAAGCACAGUCGAUGUCAGCAGCACCGAGAGGUGAAUGCUGUUGCUUCAGCAGCCCCAGAGUUCAUGCACUGGUCUGAGAAGCCCAUCAGUUGGAGCCGAGCUGAUCACCCGGAGGUGAUGCCUUCUCCGGGGUCCUUUGCCUUGGUGUUGGAUGCCACCUUUGCAACGGAGAGGCGAGCUGCUCGUUUCUCCCAGAUUCUGAUAGACGGCGAUAGAAGCAUCAACAUCCUCUACUGCGACACCAUGGAGAAGUUGUGCAUCAAAGAGAAGCAGCUCCAGCCGAGUCGGACUGUCUUCCACGACAUUGUACCUGGCCUUUCCUGCUCACCAAUCGGCAAGAUCAAGAUAGAUGUCCUCUUCGAAGACAAGAAUCACUUCCGCCGCGAGGCAAUUUGGUUGGAGGUGGUCGACCUGGAGAGCCCUUAUCAUGCACUCCUAGGCCGGCCAGCUCUAGCCAAGUUCAUGGCAGUGCCGCAUUAUGCCUACCUCAAGAUGAAGAUGCUAGGAACCAAGGGCAUUAUCACAAUAGCCGGAGACUACAAGAAGUCGGCCGCCUGCGCUCAGCUAGUAGCCGGCUGGCCGAGUCCCUUGUGAUUGCUGCUGAGAAGAAGCUCCUGGACUGGGUUGUGGCCAUGGCCAGCAAGCAGCCGGACCUGUCACCAUAUCCCAAGGAGUCAGAGACCCAGGGCUCCUUCCAGCCGACCAAAGAAACAAAGAAGAUCCCCUUAGACCCUGAGCACCCGGAGAGGCACGCUAUCGUAGGUACCAACCUCGAUAGCAAAUAGGAAAGCAAGCUCAUUGAUUUCCUCUGGGAGAAUCGGGACAUCUUCGCAUGGUCUCCCAAAGACAUGCCGGGUGUUCCAAUGGAUUUCGCCGAGCAGAAGCUACAUGUCAGAGCAGAUGCAAAAGUCCAACAACCCCUCCACCGCCUGUCAGGGGAGAAGAUAAGAAUUGUUGGUGCAGAGAUAGCCCGAUUUCUAGCAGCCGUCUUCAUUACGGAAGUGUUUUUUCCAGAGUGGCUUGCCAACCUAGUCCUUGUACUAAAGAAGAACAACAAGUGGCGCAUGUGUAUUGAUUACACCAGUCUCAACAAAGCCUACCCCAAAGAUCCAUUUGCUUUGCCGCGGAUAGACCAAGUGGUAGACUCCACAGCCGGAUGCGAGCUGCUGAGUUUUUUGGAUGCCUACUCAGGAUACCACCAGAUCAAAUUGAAUCCGGCCGACUGCCUGAAGACCGCCUUCAUCACACCAUUCGGAGCCUUCUGCUACAUGACCAUGACAUUCGGCUUGAGAAAUGUUGGUGCCAUGUUUCAGCAUUGCAUGCAGAAGUGCCUCCUCAAGAAACUCGGCAGAAAUGCCCACGUCUUUGUAGACGAUAUCGUGGUGAAGACGGAGAAGCGUGGUACCCUCUUGGAAGAUCUCAAGGAAACUUUUGAUAAUCUGCGUCGUUUUCAAAUCAAGCUCAACCGAGAGAAGUGCGUCUUUGGAGUAUCAGCCGGCCAGCUCCUUGGCUUCCUGGUCUCAGAAUGCAGCAUUAAGUGCAACCAUGUGAAGAUCAAAGCCAUCGAGAGGACGGAGAGACUGCUACCUCUUGAGCACUGCGUUGGUUUUCCCUUGAAGAGGAAAGGGUGAUGCAGCAAAGUAGCGUAAGUAUUUCCCUCAGUUUUUGAGAACCAAGGUAUCAAUCCAGUAGGAGGCCACGCGCGAGUCCCUCACACCUUCACAAACAAAUAAAUCCUCGCAACCAACGCAAUAAAGGGGUUGUCAAUCCCUUCACGGUCACUUACGAGAGUGAGAUCUGAUAGAUAUGAUAAGAUAAUAUUUUUUGGUAUUUUUAUGAUAAAGAUGCAAAGUAAAAAAAAGCAAAAUAAAAACGACGCUAGAAAUAACUUGUUGACGGAAGAUUAAUAUGAUGGAAAAUAGACCCGGGGGCCAUAGGUUUCACUAGUGGCUUCUCUCGAGAGCAUAAGUAUUACGGUGGGUGAACAAAUUACUGUUGAGCAAUUGAUAUAAUUGAGCAUAGUUAUGAGAAUAUCUAGGUAUGAUCAUGUAUAUAGGCAUCAUGUCCGAGACAAGUAGACCGACUCCUGCCUGCAUCUACUACUAUUACUCCACACAUCGACCGCUAUCCUGCAUGCAUCUAGAGUAUUAAGUUCAUAAGAAUAGAGUAACGCUUUAAGUAAGAUGACAUGAUGUAGAGGGAUAAACUCAUGCAAUAUGAUAUAAACCCCAUCUUGUUAUCCUCGAUGGCAACAAUACAAUACGUGCCUUGCUGCCCCUACUGUCACUAGGAAUGGACACCGCAAGAUUGAACCCAAAGCUAAGCACUUCUCCCAUUGCAAGAAAGAUCAAUCUAGUAGGCCAAACCAAACUGAUAAUUCAAAGAGACUUGCCAAGAUAACCAAUCAUACAUAAAAGAAUUGAGAGAAGAUUCAAAUAUUGUUCAUAGAUAAACCUUAUCAUAAACCCACAAUUCAUCGGUCUCAACAAACACACCGCAAAAGAAGAUUACAUCGAAUAGAUCUCCACAAGAGAGGGGGAGAACAUUGUAUUGAGAUCCAAAAAGAGAGAAGAAGUCAUCUAGCUAAUAACUAUGGACCUGAAGGUCUGAGGUAAACUACUCACACAUCAUCGGAGAGGCUAUGGUGUUGAUGUAGAAGCCCUCUGUGAUCGAUGCCCCCUCCGGCGGAGCUCCAGAAAAGGCCCCAAGGUGGGAUCUCACAGGUGCAGAAGGUUGCGGCGAUGGAAUUAGGUUUUUGGCUCCGUAUCUGGUAGUUUGGGGGUACGUAGGUAUAUAUAGGAGGAAGAAGUACGUCGGUGGAGCAACGUGGGGCCCACGAGGGUGGAGGGCGCGCCCCCUACCUCGUGCCCUCCUGGUUGAUGUCUUGACGUAGGGUCCAAGUCCUCUAGAUCAUGUUCGUUCCAAAAAUCACGUUCCCGAAGGUUUCAUUCCGUUUGGACUCUGUUUGAUAUUCUUUUUCUGCGAAACUCUGAAAUAGGCAAAAAAACAGCAAUUCUCGGUUGGACCUCCGGUUAAUAGGUUAGUCCCAAAAAUAAUAUAAAAGUGUAUAAUAAAGCCCAUUAAUGUCCAAAACAGAAUAUAAUAUAGCAUGGAACAAUAAAAAAUUAUAGAUACGUUGGAGACGUAUUAAGCAUCCCCAAGCUUAAUUUCUGCUCGUCCUCGAGUAGGUAAAUGAUAAAAACAAAAAUUUUGAUGUGGAAUGCUACUUGGCAUAAUUUCAAUGUAGUUCUCUUAAUUGUGGUAUGAAUAUUCAGAUCCGAAAGAUUCAAGAAAAAAGUUUAAUAUUGAAAUAAAAAUAAUAAUAAUUCAAGCAUACUAACUAAGCAAUUAUGUCUUCUCAAAAUAACAUGGCCAAAGAAAGUUAUCCCUACAAAAUCAUAUGGUCUGGCUGUGUUCUAUCUUCACCACACAAAGUAUUUAAAUCUUGCACAACCCCGAUGACAAGCCAAGCAAUUGUUUCAUACUUUUAAUGUUCUCAAACUUUUUAAAUCUUCACGCAAUACAUGAGCGUGAGCCAUGGACAUUGCACUAUAUGUGGAAUAGAAUGGUGGUUGUGGAGAAGACAAAAAAAGGAGAAGAUAGUUUCACAUUAACUAGGCGUAUCAACGAGCUAUGGAGAUGCCCAUUAAUAGAUAUCAAUGUGAGUGAGUAGGGAUUGCCAUGCAACAGAUGCACUAGAGCUAUAUGUAUAUGAAAGCUCAACAAAAGGAACUAAGUGGGUGUGCAUCCAACUCGCUUGCUCACGAAGACCUAGGGCAUUUUGAGGAAGCCCAUCAUUGGAAUAUACAAGCCAAGUUCUAUAAUGAAAAUUUCCCACUAGUAUAUGAAAGUGAUAUCAUAGGAGACUCUCUAUCAUGAAGAUCAUGGUGCUACUUUGAAGCACAAGUGUGGUAAAAGGAUAGUAACAUUGUCCCUUCUCUCUUUUUCUCUCGUCAUUUUUUUAUUGGGCCUUUUUUUAUGGCCUGUUUUUUUUAGUCCAGAGUCUCAUCCCGACUUGUGGGGGAAUCAUAGUCUCCAUCAUCCUUUCCUCACUUGGGAGAAUGCUCUAAAAAAUGAUGAUCAUCACACUUUUAUUUACUUACAACUCAACAAUUACAACCCAAUACUUAGAAAAAAAUAUGACUCUAUGUGAAUGCCUCCGGCGGUGUACCGGGAUAUACAAUGAAUCAAGGGUGACAUGUAUGAAAGAAUUAUGAACGGUGGCUUUGCCACAAAUACGAUGCCAUCUUACAUGAUCAUGCAAAGCAAUAUGAGAAUGAUGGAGUGUGUCAUAGUAAACAGAACGGUCGAAAGUUGCAUGGCAAUAUAUCUCGGAAUGGCUAUGGAAAUGCCAUGAUAGGUAGGUAUGGUGGAUGUUUAGAAGGAGGUAUAUGGUGGGUGUAUGAUACCGGCGAAAAGUGCGCGGUAUUAGAGAGGCUAGCAAUGGUGGAAUGAAGAAAAGUGCAUAUAAUCCAUGGACUCAACAUUAGUCAUAAAGAACUCAUAUACUUAUUGCAAAAAUCUACAAGUUAUCAAAGCAAAGUAUUACGCGCAUGCUCCUAGGGGGAUAGAUUGGUAGGAAAAGACCAUCGCUCGUCCUCGACCGCCACUCAUAAGGAAGACAAUGAAUAAAUAAAUCAUUCUCCGACUUCAUCACAUAACGGUUCACCAUACAUGCAUGCUACGGGAAUCACAAACUUUAACACAAGUAUUUAUCAAAUUCACAACUACUCAACUAGCAUGACUCUAAUAUCACCAUCUCCAUAUCUCAAAACAAUUAUCAAGCAUCUAACUUCUCAUAGUAUUCAACACACUCAUAAGAAACUUUUUACUAAUCUUGAAUGCCUAUCAUGUUAGGAUUAAUUUCCUAAUUUUAAGAAAAUUACCAUGCUGUUUUGUAGGACUCUCAAAAUAAUAUAAGUGAAGCAUGAGAGAACAAUAGUUUCUAUAAAACAAAACCACCGCCGUGCUCUAAAAGAUAUAAGUGAAGCACUAGAGCAAAAACUAUAUAACUCAAAAGAUAUAAGUGAAGCACAUAGAGUAUUCUAACAAUUUCCGAAUCAUGUGUGUCUCUCUCAAAAGGUGUGUACAACAAGGAUGAUUGUGGAAAACUAACAAACAAAGCCUCAAAUAAUACAAGACGCUCCAAGCAAAACAUAUAUCAUGUGGUGAAUAAAAAUAUAGCUUCAAGUAAAGUUACCGAUGGAAGUAGACGAAAGAGGGGAUGCCUUCCGGGGCAUCCCCAAGCUUUGGCUUUUAUGUGUCCUUAGAUUAUCUUGGGGUACCAUGGGCAUCCCCAAGCUUAGGCUCUUGCCACUCCUUGUUCCAUAAUCCAUCAGAUCUUUCACCCAAAACUUGAAAACUUCACAACACAAAACUUAACAGAAAAUCUCGUGAGCUCCGUUAGCGAAAGAAAAGAAAACACCACUUCAAGGUACUGUAAUGAACUCAUUCUUUAUUUAUAUUGGUAUUAAAACUACUGUAUUUCAACUUCUCCAUGGUUUAUAAACUAUUUUACUAACCAUAGAUUCAUCAAAAUAAGCAAACAACACACGAAAAAACAGAAUCUGUCAAACACAGAACAGUCUGUAGUAAUCAGUAACUAAUGCAAACUUCUGGAACUCCAAAAAUUCAGCCAAGAUAGGAAGUCCUAUACAAUUUGUCUAUUGAUCAGCAGAAAUUGGAAUCAAUAUUUUAUCACGUUCUGGUGAUUUUUAACAAUUAUUUUUGUGAACAGAAAGUUUCUGGAAUUUUCAGCAAGAUCAAAUAACUAUCAUCCAAGAAGAUCCUAUAGGUUAAACUUGGCACAAACAAUAAUUAAAACAUAAAAAAAUCUAACCAGAGGCUAGAUCAAAUAUUUAUUCCUAAACAGAAGCAAAAAGCAAAAAAACUAAAAAUAAAAUUGGGUUGCCUCCCAACAGGCGUUAUCGUUUAACGCCCCUAGCUAGGCAUAACAGCAAGGAUAGAUCUAGGUGUUGCCAUCUUUAAUGGGCAAUUCUUCAAUGAGACAUCUAUCAUCCUUAGGAAUUUCUUUCUUUUUAUUAAUUAUCAAACUUCUAGGUGGGAUUUAACCAACGAAUAAAUCAAUAUGAGAACAAGAGAAAAGGAAUCUUGAACGAACCACCGUGCGAAUUGAAAAUGAACGAAGUAAAGGGGUGAAUCACCGGUAAGAAUUAGAGAACGAAUGAAGAUACUUCAGGGAAUUUGAUACACGAGAACGAAGAGAUCAUGAGCUGAUUAGAGAAUACUUGAACGAUGCACCGGAAGAAUAUGGAGAUGAACGAAGAGACAUCAAUUUAGAAUAAUUGGAGAACGAGGCUGAAAACUUAGAACGAAGAAAUCUUCUGAAAUGAUGGCCUUUGGAUGAUCAAGAAAUGAAAACAACUCAUGAAAUGCUCCGGAUGGGUAUGAAAAGCAUUCUCAUAAUCGAAAACAAUUAUGAGAGGAUGGCAUAAGCUAGAACUAUGAAUCUUCAAGAGAACGGACCAAGAUUUAGGAGAAAUUCUUCUUCGGUCUUCAAAUGUUGAGAAUGAUGAUGAGAAACACCACCAUGAAUUAUUGAGGCACUCCGGAACCAUGAAGAAUAGAAAGGUUGAAUCAACAAUGAAAAGAAUUUGAAAGAUCUGGGAGAAAGACAUAUGACUGAUGAUAAUUCAUUCUUACAUCAAACUUUGCAAUGAAUUUGAGAAUAACUCCGAAAAGAAUUAGAAGAGUCAGGUAAGAUCCUGGGAAAAGACCUGUGGGUUAGGGCCCACUCAAAAGAAACACCGUUGAAAUGAUUACUUGAAAAGGAGAUAGCACCGGUUGAAUUAAAUGGCUUGAAUGAGGUAACAACCUCAAAAUAGUUAGAAUUGAUGCGGAGUGGAAACACGAAUCUUCAGAGAUAUCUUCAGCACUCCGGAACAAUUGAAUAGCAAGCGGGGAAUGAUUAAGAGAUAUACCGGCAUGAGAAAGCAUUUGAAAGGAGGAAAGGGCUAUAAUCAACAUUGAAAGCUUCAAUUGAAUCCACCGGAAAAGAAUACGAGAAUGAAGAAUGAUAAACUUGAAGCUUCCUGAGCAUCUUCCUGAGAAUCACCAGAUAAGAACAUUGAUGGAAAAGAAUGGAGAAACUUCACAUCCAUAAGAUGGUUACAUGCUUAAGAAAUCUGAGUCCUUGAAGAAAGAGGGUGGGAGGGCGGGAAUAACAAAGGCAACUUCGGGCAUAUGGAAUAAACACCGUUGAGAAAACUUAUAAUUGAUCUUCUGGAUGGGGAGAAUGAUGGGAUCAUCUCGAAGAGAAACGCACCGGUUGGAAAUAGAAUUAAGAUGGCAAUCUCGAUGAUCAAGAAGGAUUAGUAUCUACAUAGGAAUAUGAGAAAACCGCUUAGAAAAGGUAGGGAAUCAACACCUGACAAUGAAGAAACUCGAAUACCACAACUUAAAACAAAACAAAGGAUUGGCUCGCAGAAUAAGCCGGAAACAAACAUAUGAUAGAGAUUUCGCCCAAAGUGUUCGUGAUGAGGCCCCACGGGCACGACGUACAGCGGACGUCAUGAAUGACAAACAAGACGUCCCCGAAUCGGCAUAGCCAAGGAUUCUUUAAGACGCCUAGCGACCACUGUAAAUCGACCGUGAAAAGCGAACCACUAGACGUUGGACCCCAAUCUCAAAUCAUACAUCUGUCGAAAAGAUAUUCUAGGAGCUACAAGAAUUCCCACCUAUAAACUCCCGAAACUUUCUGGUUAUGCAAUCAGGUGUUGGGGAUACAGGGGACGCAAUAUAUCUCACCCAAACUAACAAUCCCUAGAUCCAGCUAUAUCCAUCCGUCAACACUUAACCAAGAAAACUCCGGAAAUCGUGUACCUCAACCUUCGAAAAGCAUCCGUUAUACGAGUUAUGGCAAUACUCCCGAACUCCCACCCCAGUACUGGGUGGCGUCGAGGUGAUCUCACCAACAAACUGCAUAAAAGAGAUUUUUGAUGUUGGCGAAACUCAGGUAUUCCAGAACUGCAACGAUAAAAUUGUGAAGACAACACCUCGGAGCUCAACUCCCCGGGACACUGCCACAACCCCUAAAUGUCAGGAGGCACCAAGAACAAUGUUCUCGUCACAAAACCAUCGGAACAAUUCCAAGAUACCCGCAUGAUCCUAAAAAAAUUAGUGAAAUUUGAGGAGAGGAAAGACAAAACAUCUACGUCAGGAGGCCUCACCAGAGCGACGAAGGGACUGAGGAGUAAAAGAAUCCUACUCUCCGAUAUAUAUAAUCCUAAGACUCAAAACAUUUUUGUUCUAGACUCAACAACGCCAGCGAUUCAAUCAAGCAGGGGCUCCUAAGUCGGGGAUGGCUCUGAUUACCAACUUGUAACACCCACGAUGCGGCUAUAUCUCCCACGUGUCGAGGCACGACUUGGAGGCAUAACCGCAUGGUGGUUUUGUCGCAAGAAGGGUCAUCUUCACACAAUCCCAUGUAAUGAACAAGAAUGGGAUAAAGAGAGUUGGCUUACAAUCGCCACUUCACACAAUACAUAAAUAAAACAUACAUCAACCAGAGUACACACAUAGGUCCGACUACGGAACCAAAAGAAAAGAAGACAACCCAAAUGCUAGAUCCGCGAUCGUCCCAACUGGGCACCACUACUGAUCAUCUGGAAAUGAAAUAUAGUAACGACCAAGGUCCUUGUCGGACUCCCACUUGAGCUCGGUUGCGUCACCUGCACUGGUAUCAUCGGCACCAGCAACUGUUUUGGUAGAUUCUGUGAGUCACGAGGAGUCAGCAAUCUCACACCCGCGAGAUCAAGACUAUUUAAGCUUAUGGGUAGGAAAGGGUAGUGAGGUGGAGCUGCAGCAAGCACUAGCAUGUAUGGUGGCUAACAUACACAAAUAAGAGCGAGAAGAGAAGCAACGCAACGGUCAAGAAGCUAGAAGUGAUCAAGAAGUGAUCCUGAAACUACUUACGUUCAAGCAUAACACAAGAACCGUGUUCACUUCCCGGACUCCGCCGGAAAGGACCAUCACGGCUUCACACGCGGUUGAUGCAUUUUAAUUAAGUCAAGUGUCAAGUUCUCUACAACCGGACACCAACAAAUUCCCAUCUGCCACAUAACCGCGGGCACGGCUCUCAAAAAUUUAUACCCUGCAGGGGUGUCCCAACUUAGCCCAUCACAAGCUCUCACAGUCAACAAAGGAUAUUCCUUCUCCCGGGAAGACCUGAUCGGUCUCGGAAUCCCGGUUACAAGACAUUUUGACAAUAGUAAAACAAGACCAGCAAAGCCGCCCGAUGUGCCGACAAAUCCCAAUAGGAGUCGCACGUAUCUCGUUCUCAGGGCACACCGGAUGGGCCAGACGUCGGGUUGGCAUAGACCCUGGUUGCCCAGGGGGCGCCGGACAUCGCCCGGUUUGGACCAGCACUCAGAGGAACACUGGCCCGGGGGGUUAAAAUAAAGAUGACCCUUGAGUCUGCAGAACCCAAGGGAAAAAGGCUUAGGUGGAAAAUGUUAAAACCAAGGUUGGGCCUUGCUGGAGGAGUUUUAUUCAAAGCGAACUAUCAAGGGGGUCCCAUAAAUCCCCAACCGCAUAAGGAACGUAAAAUCAAGAAACAUAACACCGGUAUGACAGAAACUAGGGCGGCAAGAGUGGAACAAAACACCAGGCAUAAGGCCGAGCCUUCCACCCUUUACCAAGUAUAUAGAUGCAUUAAUUAAAAUAAAAGAUAUUGUGAUAUCCCAACAUAAUUAUGUUCCAACAUGGAGCAAUCUUCAACUUCACCUGGAACUAACAUUCUAUAAGAGGGGCUGAGCAGAAGCGGUAACGUAGCCAAACAACGGUUUGCUAGGAAAGGUGGGUUAGAGGCUUGACAUGGCAAUAUGGGAGGCAUGAUAUAGCAAGUGGUAGGUAGCGCGGCAUAGCAAUAGAGUGAACAACUAGCAAGCAAAGAUAGAAGUGAUUUCGAGGGUAUGGUCAUCAUGCCUGAGAUCCCGCAAGGAAGAAGAACGAGUCCAUGAAGAAGACAAACGGACGUAGUCGAACGGAUCCUCACAAUCGCAACGUAAUCGGAACUAUCAAGGAGAAGCGCAACCGAAAAGAAGCAAGCAACCUAAUAAACAAUCAUCACAUAAACAUGGCAUGAUGCACAAUCAAGUAUGAUGCAUGUCCGAUUUAAUGAGGCAUGGCAUAGCAAAAUGCACAAACAACACUACAAAUUAAGUGGAGCUCAAUAUGCAACGAGUUGCCUAUUGACGAAACACCACAUGACUCAUUUAAUUCUCUCUCGGUUAUGUACCCAACAAUAUUAAAUGUUGUUAAACAUGGCAAGAGGUGAAUCAUAUGAAAACUACCUAUCUAGGCAAAUUUAAAUGAGGCCGGAACAACAAACAACAAUUCCGGAAAAUCCUCAUGUCCAUAUUUUAGAUUUGGUACUGUUCUGGCCUAAACACAAUUUUAAUGUUGUUAAACAGCAAAAUAAAGUGCACCAUGUUAAACUAGGCAUUUUUCUACCCCAUUUACAUAUAAAGUUUAUUAAAUUUGGAGCUACGGUUAUUUAGUUAUGAAAUAAAGCAUUUUAGCAUGGCAUUUAAGCAAAUUUAAACAAACAGCAAGUUUAAACAUUUUAAACAUGGAUGAAAGUGGAAUAUUGUGAAACUAGAUGAAAUUCUAAGCAUUUUACAUAUAUAAAUUAUUUACAUAUGCUGCACAGUUCUGGAGUUAUUAAAUGCAUGAUCAUGAUGGUUUUUCUGCAAAACUGCACUCUCUAGAUAAAUAGCUAAAACGUCCAGAGCGGAAAAAAACGAUGCGGGCCGAAUCUGGAGCACUGCUGGGCUGAACAGAAAGGAGGGCUGUGGGGAGUUCACCCAUGGGCUGAGGCCCAGUCGGUGAAGGCAGCAGACUGAGCGGCGGCGCGAGCGAGCUGGGCCUUGGCUGGAUCAAACGAGGAGGUGGAGGGGGCGCGGUCAACGCUCGAGGACGAGCGUUCGCUCGAUGCAGGAUGCGGCUCGAAGCAGAGGAGGACGCAGGCUGCAAUGAAGCAGAGGGACUUGGCGGGGCUGCAGAGACGAGUGGAUCCAGGCGCGUGACGGCGUUCUCCGGCGAGGUGGUACGCGAGCGAAGCUGAAGGAGGCGGCGCAUGUUCUCUGUUCAAACGUAGAGAAAGUUUUAGAGAGAGAAAGAAAUCGGGGAAUAAAGCAAGGAGGCCACGCGGGGGCUUUCUGACCGACGAAGGAAUGGCCAGGAUGCGGCGGAUCUGGGGAACGGCGAGGGGGAACCGCGGCGGUGCAGCGGAUCCAGGCGGAAGGCGAGGAUGUCCGGCGAGGCAGGGACUCGGCCGGUCUUGGUGGUGUACGGCACGACGACGAGGACAACAGCGGCCAUGUCGAACUCCUGCUACAACAAGUACAGGGACAGAGAGAGAUAUGAGAAAGAGCAACAGGGAAGGGAAGAUGCGUGGGAGGAAGGAGAGGGAUGGCCUGGGUGCUGGUCUUGGAAGGUUCGGGCGGCGGAUGGAGCAGCUCCGGCGGUGCUGCUGCUCGGCAUGGAGGUGACGAAGACUUCGGGCGGAGCAAGCGACGGAGGACGGCAACGCGAGCUGCUGGGGAGACGCUGUCCAUGGCGGGCGUCCUGCGUUGGAAAAGACAGAGAGCCAUGCGUGAGAGACCGAAAGAGAAACGCGAGGAAGGAGGAAGCAGAGGCGAGGGCGCGAGGCAGUUCCUUGUGGUGGCUGUUGCUGCUCCGGCCGGCAAACUCCGACGGAAAAACACCGGCGAGGAGGAGGUUCUCGGGCGGCUGGGUUGGAGGAGAUCGAGGAGAGGAGUGGCGGCUGUGGCUGGCAGAUCGAGGUGGGUGGAUGGAUCGGGGGGAGUGCACUGGUUGGGUGGCGGUGGAAAAUCAAGGGAGAGGGUCGGAGAGAAUUUGGAUCGGGAAGAGAUCCCGAGGAAGAGGGAGUUGGUCGGGUGGCGGCGGAUGGGAAGGAUGGAUGGGACAGCUCCCUAGAAAUUAGGGUUCGGUCUGAUUAUAUAGGCAGGGACUGGGUAGGGCUAAUCCGGUCCGUCCGAUUAUAAUCGGGCGGUCGUAAAUAAAUAGGUUAGGUAGUCCGAAUAAUAAAACGGAGAUGUUUUAUAGAUGUUUGGGGAUGAUCCGGACCCAACGGUAACGAUAGCCCAGUUCGGGUUCGGGGAAGUUUUGGACGUGUGCAAGGGGGGUAUGAGCACUGUGCAGAAAGGUUAGGAAGCCAGUGUGACACCCCAAAAAUUUUGACCUUGUUUUGUUAAUUAAAAUUUUGCCAGGAAAUAAAACUUUUCCAUUUGUCAAGAUUUACCCUUUUGUUAUUGUGGAUUUCUACUCCAAGUGGAAAACUUUCAAAAAGGCAUUGUUGGACUUGAAUACUCUCUAUGAUAGAACAAUUCUUUAUCAGUGGAUUUAAAUUUUUGCAAGAGUUGUUUUCUCAGAGCUUUAUUCUUUUAAUGGUUUCUUUGAUUUUGGAGCCUGUUUUGCACUACAACCAUUUGACAAAUGCAUUUAAAAUUUCCACCAAAAUUUGGGGAUGUCAUGUGAUGUUUCCACAUCACCUUUAUGCAAAAAUACCUUUUGGCCAUUGGAGAUUUUGAGCUCUACACCAAUUUUUCCAAUCUGGUCCAGUAGGCACUUUUGCACUGCAACCCAUUUAAAUAUUUCUUUAAAAAUUCUUCCAAGUGUUUGGAGAUGUCAUGUGAUGCAUACAAUUCAACUCUAUGCAAAAACCCAGUGAUGUUCUUUGAAAAAUUUGAGUGAAUCAACCUCUUUUGCAUUCUGGUCCAAUUUGGUGAUUUGUACUGCAACCUUAUUUUAUUUUGCUCUAGUGACCCUGAGCUUUUUCCUACUUGUAGCCCUCCCUUCAAAACCCUUAAGUCCAGAAGAGUGGACUCAUUUGAGGUUUUGAAGUGCAUGCAAUAAACCCUUUUUCUUUCUGUCCAAAACUGGAGUUUUGCAAAACUUGCACUAACAAGUUUCUGGUUUUGCCCAAGUGAUCUUGCCAUCUUCUCCUACAUCUAAAGAGAACCUGAUCUGGAGAUUUUGGCCACUCCAAGAGUUGCCUAAGUGCACUUGGCAUUCUGUCGAACACUUAGUGUGCACAGUCAGUUUUGGGCAUGUUUCCUAGUUUGCACUGUGAACUUGCUCCAAUGACCUAGCAACCAUGUCCACUGAGCUCCUAGCCACCCCUACCCCUGUCCUGUUCAUUGCCAGCUCCACCCUCGCGCUCUAGAUCGCCCUGGCAUUUCGUCGAGCAUGUCCCGUGCGUGCUCUGGGCGCGCCCAGAGCGCACGUUUUGCAUGCGCGCGCACUGAGCCGCCGCGCCGCACUGCCGCACUCGACGCGACCCGUCCCUGGCCCCUGCUCCACCGCUGAACCGCGCACUAGCUCGCCCCCUCUCCACGCCACCCCUGGCCCCCUGCAGCGCCGCUGGCAGAGCCCUUGGCGGCACGCCGGCGUCGGCAGCGGCCUCUGCCAUGUUCGGCACCGCCCAAACCACACCAGCGCGCCAGCUGCCUCUGUGUAUAGCUCGAUCUUAUCCCGAAGCUCGUGGGCACGCGCUCAUCGCCGCCACGUCGCCCUGCAGCUACAGCACGGCUGUCGCCGGCGAUCUUAUCCUCAGCUGCCGCGGCCCAGCCCCGAGCGCCUAUUUAAAGGGUCCCCGAGCUCGUUCAAGACCCCAGGCAACCUCAGACCUUCCCUCUAGAGCUCCCCUAGCAGUGGAUCGACCCGUAGUGGCCAUCUUCCUCGUCUCCGACCAGUUCGGUCACCGCCAAGCUCCGGUGCGAUACGUCGCAACCAGCCACUCCCCCGCCCAACCAACUUCACCAAUAGUUUCCCCUGGUCCUUGCGGAGCUGCCCAGCAUCUCAACCUCGAUCGGAGAUCACCGGCGCCCAAAGCGCACUUUGCUCCCGAACCUCCGUCCACCGCGGAGCUCGCCUCCGGUGACCUCCUCCGUCCCCACCUGCCUAGCACCCACCGAGAGGACCGCCUCGGUCUGGCCGACCCAUCCCUGCCCUCAGAUGCCCUCGAGGAGCCGCCGUUCGUCCCCGACGAUCGCCGGAGCCCCGCGCCGUUCGGGCAGAGAGAAGGGAGGGAGAGGGAGAACGGUCAAACCUGACCAGUGGGCCCCUUGGACCCACUGUCAGUGACCCGCGCGGCCGUUCUCUCUGUUUAAGUGAAAGCGCAAAGAUCCGGAGUACGUCACCUCUGCUUUGAAAACGUAUUUUCCCCGAAGCGUUUUCCUUUUUCUGAUUUUAUUAAAACAGAGAUUUGACCAGACUUUGACUAGCUAUAACUUUUAAAAUAAAACUCCAAAUGAGUUGAUUCUUUUUCCUACCUCUCCCAAAUUUCACCUAGUUUAUUUUAAGAUUUAUUUCAAAAAUAUUUGAGACAACUUUUUGUACUGUGUUUGAAAUAUGUGUUGUUUGGAUAUUUCUCAAAAUAGGAUUUUGGAGAAAAGGGAAAGCUUUCAAAAAGUGCAUCCUUUGCAUACUCUUGAAGGCAAGCAUUUCUGAACUCUGGCAUAAUAUUUUGUGUAGUGUUUUGAUAUGGUUACGGCACCAUUUGACUUGGAGUAUGCAUUAUCUUUUUGUAACGAUAAGGUCCCGUGCAUGAGUACUUUUUGGAGAUAUUUUUGUGGUCAGCAACGGAUACGCCAGUGAUUUGGAUCAUCCUCGUGAGCUCCUCAUGCAUACCAGAAGGAAGUCGGGAAAGUCGUGGUCUUGGGUAGACACGAGCUUGUCCCUAGUCCCUCGUCGAGACGAGUAUGUCCGGUAUGGCAUGGUGAGGCUUGAGGAGUGGUGAUUUAUUUCAUUAAUGGUAAUAUUGUUGGAGGAUACUUGGACCACCUGAGUCGGUCGUAGGUCGAGUCUUGAUCAGUAGCUUCCUUAUUUGUUGGUACCUCCACUUGUCCCUGUCGUAGACGGGGUAUGGUUCAGUAGGUUGUCAAACCCUUACCAAAGCACACACCGUACAGAGAGGCCAUGGUGGAAGAUACCGGGUGCAUCCGGUAGGCAGGCCACCUGGUCCGGGGGCAUGGGUGUUUCCGGCUGGGACCGAGAGGGGGGCACCCCCUUAGAGCGCGCGAAUAGAAAUUUGAUCCCAUGCUACGUCGAGGUUGUAGCCUCCCCACUUAGAGUUUUGCUUGGCAGGUGUCGUGGGUGAUUCCAGACAUCGGUGAGUUAAGCUGGUGUGUGCAGGUCAGGCGUGUUUUCAACUAAAAGACCGUAGGAGGAAUUAGUCCCGAUGGACUAAGUAAAUCCGUUACUCGUGGGAAAAUAGUACUCCCUCUGCAGAGGAUAUAUCCUGUUGGACCGCCAUGUUCUUGAGUAAGGACCACAAUCUGAGCUGGUCAUAGUAACGGUAUUCGGAUGGAGACGAUUUAACUAGAACUCAGUGACGGUUUUCGGAUGGAGACACGGCUAACUGGAUCGUAGUAACGGUAUUCGGAUGGAGAACGAAUUAGCUAGAACUCAGCGACGGUCUUCGGAUGGAGAAACGGCUAGACUAGAUUUUUGUUUAUGACCUGUGACAUCUGAGGAUCAUGCUUUAAUUUUAUUAUUAAUGUGUUCUAACCAUUUACAUUAUGUAUUUUAUGGAGUAUCCCUGGGAUGGUUCUACCUCCUGGAUAUUCACUGUGUUUAUUCUUUUAUAAGCCUUUCUGUGGUGUCGCUCAGACGCCCGGCUGCGGCAUGCUUGUGGUUUAUUUAUUCUUUUAUAAGCCCUUUAUGUGAUGUCGCUCAGACGUCCGGCUGUGGCACGCACUGUCUUUCUUUUUUUGUUAUAAGCCCUUUAUGUGGUGUCGCCCCGACGCCCGACUGGGGCAUUAUUAUUCUUGCAGUUUCCUCUCGAGGAGUCAUUCAGACCCUCGUUUGGCACCGGUAUUAUUAUUACUGCGGCAGCGUUAAUUUAUUUGCAACCUUUCGAGGAGUCAUUUUAGACACUCGCUCAGUGCAUUUCUUUUACUUCCGUAUUGCACGUCCAUAUUUUCCCUGCAUGCGUGCAUCACAGAAUUUUGUUUACUUCAUGGCAGACUUAUCAUCAUAAAUGUUUCGGAGUAUGAUUAUCUCCUGUUAUAUUAUACCCGUGUUCUUAAUGUUUGCGAGUACAUUCAAACGUACUCACUGGCUUGUCCCUGGCUAUUGUCUUGGCCAGAUUUUCGCGCAUGGAGAGAAGCAUCGCGGUGACAGCCUCGGAACCUACGUACUGACGAUAGCAGCCUCGCGAAGAUAGGAGUUAUCCUGGUCAGCUGUUCUUGUGGGAAAUGGAGUCCCAUAGACGCAGAUGUAUCCAACCGCUUCCGCCCUCAACCAUUAGAAACAAAAAAUGUUGUACCCCUAGGCCACAAUGGUCUUGUACUACAUAUUUUUGUACCUUGCUUGGAAUUCUUGUAUCAAGUUGGUGCCUCAUCAGCAAACAGUAAUCCUGGGGCUGGUGAGCACAAAGGCCGUUUUUCUGGGAAAUUACAUCCCGAAAAUCCGGUCGUGACAGCCAGCCAAGAGGGAAACAAAAUCUGGUUGGUCUUGGAACGGUCAACGAAAGCAAGGGGAGACGCCGCAACUACGAGGGGAUGCAAGUUUGAAAACAAAGACGGCAACAGAGUGUCGAUGCAAAUGCGAAUGAUGCCAUGAUGAAUGCAGCAAACAAAUAAAUAACACGGCUAACUCGCAAAACAAGGAAGGCAUCUGAAGCGUCGGUCUCGGGGCGUUACAACACUCCACAACUACAAGAGGAUCUCGUCCCGAGAUCUAGGAUGGCACCGGAGAGAAACGGAAGAAGGAAGAGGUAAAACUAAGUUGCUUCUUUGACAAAUGAGUGAAACCACGAACCUCGAGAGGUUUAACAAUUUGCAAGAAAGGAUGCAAUGGAGAUGAACGAGAUUGCAACCACUCUGUUAGCAAAGAGGAACAAGGAACAUUACGCGAACCUUGUAGGUUGAAAGACAUAAGAAAAUGGUAACAAUGGACAAGAAGUACAUGCAAGCACUCCGGUUGAAAAGAGAUGCAAGACUUGAUAAGAUAAAAAGAACUUGAGCAGAGGACACAACACUCCUGCUAAACGGAUAAGCAAGGAAAAGAACAUGAUGUUUACAAAAUGAGAUGAUGGGUCGAAGAGAGUAAUAUCACAAAGCCUCCGGAAGAAAUAAAUAAUAGAAGAUAGACCCUUGGAAUAAAGAAUGGAGAAGAAAAUGACAACUUCUGCCACAAAUGAGCUUGGAAAGCAUCCUUCCAAGAAGGUUAUAACGGAGUUGUUGGGAAAUCAACAACGAAAAGAACAAUCUUGUUGUGGGCUUAUGGAACACAUCUCAAAAUUAUGAGGUGACAACCCGCCACUAACGGAAACAGUUGAUUGGAUUGAGAUCAACAAGGAGAUGAAAACUUCUUCACCAAGAUGAGAACGAGAAAAUUUGAUCAUUGAUAAACACCACAAAUAGCUACAUUCCUUAGGGAAGGCUAUAGGUGAAAUAUAACCCAAUACAACUCCAACAAAAAGAUUGAUUGGUUGAAAAGAUCUCUUGAACGAAGAUAAAAUGAUGGAUUUAAAUAUGUCACUCUUGAAAACUUUGUGAGUCAUGAACCCGAAGGGAAAUUAUCCAGAAUGACAUAGCACCACCUCAAAAGAUAAGGUAGAAAGAAUUGUACUUCGGAAUGCGAGAUGAAGAAUGCUUGAACUCCUCAAGACAAAACAUGUGUUGAACACCAUGUUUAUUUUAGAGUAUAGCUUGGCGGAUCUUAGCUUCGAGAGAAUUCUUGAAGAACACUUGAAGAAUGAAAGGAACCCUUGACGAACCACCAUGUAGAGCCUCCAUGAAGAACUCCGGUAAUAAAGGAUGAUAAAAAGAAAGAAAAGUUGAAUACACAAGGUGAAGCCUUGCAAUGAUUUAGAUGGAGCUUCGCGACGAGAUAAUGCAGAAAGCUUGGAACUCCGGAAAAGAAAAAGAUGAAGCCUCUCGAACCGAGAAAUGUGACAUGAUGAACAACUCUGGAAAGAAGAAACUAGAUCACUUGGAUGAAACCAUAAUAAGAAUUACGUUAUGCAUAUCCUUCACCAAUUUAAAUUGAUGACAAGCAACAGAUUUGGCAUACUACUUAUUCUCAUAGAAAGGAUUAAGAGAGAUAUAGCGUAAACUUGAGAAGGUCUUGAUGGAACCACCGGUGGGAUUUAACCAACGAAUAAAUCAAUAUGAGAACAAGAGAAAAGGAAUCUUGAACGAACCAUCGUGCGAAUUGAAAAUGAACGAAGUAAAGGGGUGAAUCACCGGUAAGAAUUAGAGAACGAAUGAAGUUACUUGAGGGAAUUUGAUACACGAGAACGAAGAGAUCACAAGCUGAUUAGAGAAUACUUGAACGAUGCACCGGAAGAAUAUGGAGAUAAACGAAGAGACAUCAAUUUAGAAUAAUUGGAGAAUGAGGCUGAAAACUUAGAACAAAGAAAUCUUCUGAAAUGAUGGCCUUUGGAUGAUCAAGAAACGAAAACAACUCAUGAAAUGCUCCGGAUGGGUAUGAAAAGAAUUCUCACAAUCGAAAACAAUUAUGAGAGGAUGGCAUAAGCUAGAACUAUGAAUCUUCAAGAGAACGGACCAAGAUUUAGGAGAAAUUCUUCUUCGGUCUUCAAAUGUUGAGAAUGAUGAUGAGAAACACCACCAUGAAUUAUUGAGGCACUCCGGAACCAUGAAGAAUAGAAAGGUUGAAUGAACAAUGAAAAGAAUUUGAAAGAUCUUGGAGAAAGACAUAUGACUGAUGAUAAUUCAUUCUUACAUCAAACUUUGCAAUGAAUUUGAGAAUAACUCCAAAAAGAAUUGGAAGAGUCAGGUAAGAUCCUGGGAAAAGACUUGUGGGUUAGGGCCCACUCAAAAGAAACACCGUUGAAAUGAUUACUUGAAAAGGAGAUAGCACCGGUUGAAUUAAAUGGCUUGAAUGAGGUAACAACCUCGAAAUAGUUAGAAUUGAUGCGGAGUGGAAACACGGAUCUUCAGAGAUAUCUUCAGCACUCCGGAACAAUUGAAUAGCAAGCGGGGAAUGAUUAAGAGAUAUACCGGCAUGAGAAAGCAUUUGAAAGGAGGAAAGGGCUAUAAUCAACACUGAAAGCUUCAAUUGAACCCACCGGAAAAGAAUACGAGAAUGAAGAAUGAUAAACUUGAAGCUUCCUGAGCAUCUUCCUGAGAAUCACCAGAUAAGAACAUUGAUGGAAAAGAAUGGAGAAACUUCACAUCCAUAAGAUGGAUACAUGAUUAAGAAAUCUGAGUCCUUGAAGAAAGAGGGUGGGAGGGCAGGAAAAACAAAGGCAACUUGGGGCAUAUGGAAUAAACACCGUUGAGAAAACUUAUAAUUGAUCUUCCGGAUGGGGAGAAUGAUGGGAUCAUUUCGAAGAGAAACGCACUGGUUGGAAAUUGAAUUAAGAUGGCAAUCUCGAUGAUCAAGAAGGAUUAGUAUCCACAUAGGAAUAAGAGAACACCACUUAGAAAAGGUAGGGAAUCAACACCUGACAAUGAAGCAACUCGAAUACCACAACUUAAAACAAAACAAAGGAUUGGCUCGCAGAAUAAGCCGGAAACAAACAUAUGAUAGAGAUUUCGCCCAAAGUGUUCAUGAUGAGGCCCCACGGGCACGACGUACAGCGGACGUCACGAAUGACAAACAAGACGUCCCCGAAUCGGUAUAGACAAGGAUUCUUUAAGACGCCUCUCGACCACUGUAAAUCGACCAUGAAAAGCGAACCACUAGACGUUGGACCCCAAUCUCAAAUCAUACAUCUGUCGAAAAGAUAUUCUAGGAGCUACUUGAAUUCCCACCUAUAAACUCCCGAAACUUUCUGGUUAUGCAAUCAGGUGUUGGGGAUACAGGGGACGCAAUAAUCUCACCCAAACUAACAAUCCCUAGACCCAGUUGUAUCCAUACGUCAACGCAUAACCAAGAAAACUCCGGAAAUCCUGUACCUCAACCUUCGAAAAGCAUCCGUUAUACGAGUUAUGGCAAUACUCCCGAACUCCCGCCCCAAUACUGGGUGGCGUCGAGGUGAUCUCACCAACAAACUGCAUAAAAGAGAUUUUCAAUGUCGGCGAAACUCAGGUAUUCCAGAACUGCAACGAUAAAAUUGUGACGACAACACCUCAGAGCUCAACUCCCCGGGACACUGCCACAACCCCUAAAUGUCAGGAGGCACAAAGAACAAUGUUCUCGUCACAAAACCAUCGGAACGAUUCCAAGCUACCCGCGUGAUCCUAAAAAAAAUUUAGUGAAAUUUGAGGAGAGGAAAGACAAAACAUCUAUGUCAGGAGGCCUCACCAGAGCGACGAAGGGACUGGGGAGUAAAAGAAUCCUACUCUCCGAUAUAUAUAAUCCUAAGACUCAAAACAUUUUUGUUCUAGACUCAACAACGCCAGCGAUUCGAUCAAGCAGGGGGCUCCUAAGUCGGGGAUGGCUCUGAUUACCAACUUGUAACACCCACGAUGCGGCUAUAUCUCCCACGUGUCGAGCCACGACUUGGAGGCAUAAUCGCAUGGUGGUUUUGUCGCAAGAAGGGUCAUCUUCACACAAUCCCAUGUAAUGAACAAGAAUGGGAUAAUGAGAGUUGGCUUACAAUUGCCACUUCACACAAUACAUAAAUAAAACAUACAUCAAUCAGAGUACACACAUAGGUCCGACUAUGGAACCAAAAGAAAAGAAGACAAGCCCAAAUGCUAGAUCCCCGAUCGUCCCAACUGGGCACCACUACUGAUCAUCCGGAAACAAAAUAUAGUAACGACCAAGGUCCUCGUCGAACUCCCACUUGAGCUCGGUUGCGUCACCUGCACUGGUAUCAUCGGCACCUGCAACUGUUUUGGUAGAAUCUGUGAGUCACGAGGACUCAGCAAUCUCACACCCGCGAGAUCAAGACUAUUUAAGCUUAUGGGUAGGAAAGGGUAGUGAGGUGGAGCUGCAGCAAGCACUAGCAUGUAUGGUGGCUAACAUACGCAAAUAAGAGCGAGAAGAGAAGCAACGCAACGGUCAAGAAGCUAGAAGUGAUCAAGAAGUGAUCCUGAAACUACUUACGUUCAAGCAUAACACAAGAACCGUGUUCACUUCCCGGACUCCGCCGAAAAGGACCAUCACGGCUACACGCGCGGUUGAUGCAUUUUAAUUAAGUCAAGUGUCAAGUUCUCUACAACCGGACAUUAACAAAUUCCCAUUUGCCACAUAACCGCGGGCACGGCUCUCGAAAGUUUAUACCCUGCAGGGGUGUCCCAACUUAGCCCAUCACAAGCUCUCACGGUCAACGAAGGAUAUUCCUUCUCCCGGGAAGACCCGAUCAGUCUCGGAAUCCCGGUUACAAGACAUUUCGACAAUGGUAAAACAAGACGAGCAAAGCCGCCCGAUGUGCCGACAAAUCCCGAUAGGAGUCGCACAUAUCUCGUUCUCAGGGCACACCGGAUGGGCCAGACGUCGGGUUGGCAUAGACCCUGGUUGCCCAGGGGCGCCGGACAUCACCCGGCUUGGACCAGCACUCAGAGGAACACUGGCCCGGGGGGUUGAAAUAAAGAUGACCCUUGAGUCUGCAGAACCCAAGGGAAAAAGGCUUAGGUGGCAAAUGUUAAAACCAAGGUUGGGCCUUGCUGGAGGAGUUUUAUUCAAAGCGAACUGUCAAGGGGGUCCCAUAAAUCCCCAACCGCGUAAGGAACGCAAAAUCAAGGAACAUAACACCGGUAUGACGGAAACUAGGGCGGCAAGAGUGGAACAAAACACCAGGCAUAAGGCCGAGCCUUCCACCCUUUACCAAGUAUAUAGAUGCAUUAAUUAAAAUAAAAGAUGUUGUGAUAUCCCAACAUAAUUAUCUUCUAACAUGGAGCAAUCUUCAACUUCACCUGCAACUAACAACGCUAUAAGAGGGGCUCAGCAGAAGCGGUAACAUAGCCAAACAACAGUUUGCUAGUAAAGGUUGGUUCGAGGCUUGACAUGGCAAUAUGGGAGGCAUGAUAUAGCAAGUGGUAGGCAGCGCGGCACAACAAUAGAGCGAACAACUAGCAAGCAAAGAUAGAAGUGAUUUUGAGGGUAUGGUCAUCUUGCUUGAGAUCCCGCAAGGAAGAAGAACGAGUCCAUGAAGAAGACAAACGGACGUAGUCGAACGGAUCCUCACAAUCGCAACGUCACCAGAACUAUCAAGGAGAAGCGCAACCGGAAAGAAGCAAGCAACCUAAUAAACAAUCAUCACAUAAACAUGGCAUGAUGCACAAUCAAGUAUGAUGCAUGUCCGAUUUAAUGAGGCAUGGCAUAGCAAAAUGCACAAACAACACUACAAAUUAAGUGGAGCUCAAUAUGCAACGAGUUGCCUAUUGACGAAACACCACAUGACUCAUUUAAUUCUCUCUCGGUUAUGUACCCAACAAUAUUAAAUGUUGUUAAACAUGGCAAGAGGUGAAUCAUAUGAAAACUACCUAUCUAGGAAAAUUUAAAUGAGGCCGGAACAACAAACAACAAUUCCGGAAAAUCCUCAUGUCCAUAUUUUAGAUUUGGUACUGUUCUGGCCUAAACACAAUUCUAAUGUUGUUAAACAGAAAAAUAAAGUGCACCAUGUUAAACUAGGCAUUUUUCUACCCCAUUUACAUAUAAAGUUUAUUAAAUUUGGAGCUACGGUUAUUUAGUUAUGAAAUAAAGCAUUUUAGCAUGGCAUUUAAGCAAAUUUAAACAAACAGCAAGUUUAAACAUUUUAAACAUGGAUGAAAGUGGAAUAUUGUGAAACUAGAUGAAAUUCUAAGCAUUUUACAUAUAUAAAUUAUUUACAUAUGAUGCGCAGUUCUGGAGUUAUUAAAUGCAUGAUCAUGAUGGUUUUUCUUCUAAACUGCACUCUCUAGAUAAAUAGCUAAAACGUCCAGAGCGGAAAAAAAUGAUGCGGGCCGAAUCUGGAGCACUGCUGGGCUGAACAGAGAGGAGGGCUGUGGGGAGCUCACCCAUGGGCUAAGGCCCAGUCGGUGAAGGCAGCAGGCUGAGGGGCGGCGCGAGCGAGCUAGGCCUUGGCUGGAUCAAACGAGGAGGUGGAGGGGGCGCGGUCAACGCUCGAGGACGAGCGUUCGCUCGAUGCAGGAUGCGGCUCGACGCAGAGGAGGACGCAGGCGGCGACGAAGCAGAGGGACUUGGCGGGGCUGCAGAGACGAGUGGAUCCAGGCGCGUGACGGCGUUCUCCGGCGAGGUGGUACGCGAGCGAAGCUGAAGGAGGCGGCGCAUGUUCUCUGUUCAAACGCAGAGAAAGUUUCAGAGAGAGAAAGAAAUCAGGGAAUAAAACAAGGAGGCCACGAGGGGGCUUUCUGACCGACGAAGGAAUGGCUAGGAUCUUGUGGAUCUGGGGAACGGCAAGGGGGAACCGCGGUGGUGCAGCGGAUCCAGGUGGAAGGCGAGGAUCUCCGGCGAGUGUGACACCCCAAAAUUUUGAGCUUGUUUUAUUAUUUAAAAUUUUGCCAGGAGAUUAAACUUUUCCAUUUGUCUGGACUUAUCUCUUGAUUUCAGAACCUUUCUUUUCUUUAAUAUUGUGGAGUUUUACCUCAAGUGGAAACUUUCCCAAAGUAUUAUUGGACUUGUAUGCUCUCUCAAUAAAACAAUUCCUUAUCAGUGGAUUUAUUUGCAUAAUUGUUUUUUUGAACUUUAUUCUUAUAAAAUGAUUUUUCAUAAAUUUGGAGCCUCUGUUGCACUGCAACCAUUUUAAUAAAUGCAUUUAAAAUUUUCACCAAAAUUUGGGGAUGUCAUGUGAUGUUUCCACAUCACUUUUAUGCAAGAACAUCUUUUGGUCAUUGGAGAUUUUGAGCUCUACAUCAACUUUUCAAAUCUGGUCUAGUAGGUAUUUUUGCACUACAACCUAAUUAAAUAUUCUUCUAAAAAUUCUUCCAAGUGUUUGGAGAUGUCAGUAGAUGCACAUGAUUCAACUUUAUGCAAAAACCCAUUGGUGUUCUUUGAAAAAUUUGAGAAAAUCAUCCUCAUCUUUAUUCUGGUCCAGUUUGGUGAUUUGUACUGCAACCCUAUUUUAUUUUGCUCUAGUGCCCAUGAGCUUUUUCCUGCUUGUAGACCACCUUGCAAAACCCUUAAGUCCAGGAGAGUGGACCCAUUGGAGGAUUUUAAGUGCAUGCAAUAAGGCCUUUUUCAUUCUGUCCAAAACUGAAGUUUUGCAAAACUUCCACUAACAAGUUUUUGGUUUUGCCCAAAUGAUCUUGCCAUCGUCACCUACAUCUAGGGAGACCCUAAUCUGGAGUUUUUGACCACUCCAAGAAUUGCCUAGAUGCACUUAGCAUUCUGUCGAACACUUGUUGUGCAUGGGCAGAUUUGGCUUGAUUAUUAGUUUGCUUUGAGAACUUGAUCCCCUGACCUAACCACCAUGUCCCUUGAUCUCCUUACUAGCUGUAACCUAGUCCUGUUAUUUGCCAGCUUCGCUCAAGCACUCUAGGCUGCCCUGGCAUUAUGUCGAACAUGUCCCGUGCGUGCUCUGGGCGCUCCCAGAGCGCAUGUUUUGCACGUGCGGGCGCCCGAGCCGCCGCGUCGCACGGCCGCCUCCCCGCGCCCGCUCUGGCCUCUCCCCACUCGCAGCCAGCACGCCCGCCCCUUCCCUCGCCGCAGAGACACCCUGGUGCCCUACAGCGCCGCCGUCAGGGCUCCCUUGGUGGCAUGCCGGCGUCAGCAGCAGGCUCUGCCAUGGAUGGCGUCGCCCCAGCCACCCGCGCGCGCCAGCUGCUCCCUUGAACAGCCCGAGCUCAUCCACAUACUCGUCGGCACGCGCUCGUCGCCGCCACGUCGCCCUGCAGCUACAGAGCGACGGUCGCCAGCGUUCUUAUCCACGGCCGCCGCGGGACCAACCUCGAACGCCUAUAUAAGGGGACCCCGAGCUCGACCAAGCACUCAUGCAACCUCGUUCUAUCCCCCUAGUGCCCCCAACACCCAGCAAUCGAUGUCGGGAAGCUUUCUUCCCCGCCUCCGGCAGGUUCGGCCGCCGCCGCCCUCCGGUCCCGCUAGUCGCCAACAGAGCCUCCCCAGCUCAGCUAACACCACCACCCGACUCCCCUCGACCUCACGGAGCCGCCCAGCCUCUCAAACGCGACCAAGAACCACCGCAGCCCAGGACCCCAAAACCACCCGAAACCUCCUCCGCCGCGGAGCUCGCCGCCGGCGACUCCUUCCACCCCCGACGACCCAACGACCACCGGGAGGACCGCCCCGGUCUGGCAGGUCCAUCCCUGCCCUCGGAUACCCGCGGGGAGGCACCGUUCGUCGACGGCGAUCGCCGGAGUCCCGCCUCCGUUCGGGCAGAGGAAGAGGAGGGAAGAGAGACUAGUCAAACCUGACCAGUGGGCCCGCUGGACCCACUGUUAGUGACCCAGCCCCGCCACCACAUGUUUAAGUGGUCGCAUACACUCCUGAGUACGUCUCCUCUGCUUCGAAAGCGUAUUUUCCCCCGAAACAUUUUCUUUUUCUGGUUUUAUUAAAAACAGAACUUUGACUAAACUUUGACUAGCUAUAUCUUUUAAAAUAAAACUCCAAAUGAGUUGAUUCUUUCUCCUACCUCCCUCAAAUUUCAUCUAGUUUAUUUUAAGAUUUAUUUCAAAAAUAUUUGGGACAACCUUUUGUACUGUUUUUGAAAUAUAUGUUAUUUGAAUAUUUUUUCAAAAUAGGAAAUGGAGAGAGAAGAAAACUUUCAAAAAGUGCACCCCCUUGCAUACUCUUGAAGGCAAGCAUUCUGAACUCUGGCAUAAUAUUUUUGUGUGGUGUUUUGAUACGGUUACAACACCACCUUGACUUGGAGCAUACGUUAUUUUUUUAUGUGACGAUAAAAUCAUACGCAUGAGUGCAUAAUGGAGAUGCUUUGCUGUUAGAAAUGGAUAUGCUGGUGAUGAUAAUCAUACUCGUAAGCUUCUCAUGCAUACCCGAAGGAAGCCGGGAAAGUCACGGUCUUGGGUAGACACGAGCUUGUCCCUAGUUCCUCGUCGAGACGAGUGUGUCCGGUAUGGCAUGGUGAGGCUUGAUGAGUGGUGAGUUUAUCUGUUAAUGGAAAUAUAUUUUUUGUCAGGAUAAUCAUACGGAGAAUACUUGGACCUCCUGAGUCAGUCAUAGGUCGAGUCUUGUUCAGUAACUCCCCCCUACUUAGUUUUGUACUACCACUCGUCCCUGCCGCAGGUAGGGUAUGGUUCAGUAAGUUGUCAACCCCGUCCUAGCAGACACCGUACAGAGAGGCCAUGGUGGAAGAUACCGGAGGCCUCCGGUAGGCAUGCCACCUGGUCCGGGGGCAUUGGUGUUUCCGGUUGGGACCGAGAGGGGGGGCACCCCUUAGAGCGCGCGAUAUAAAUUUGAUCCCAUGCUACGUCGAGGUUGUAGCCUCCCCACUUAGAGUUUUGCUUGACAGGUGUCGUGGGUGGUUCCAGACACCAGUAAGUUAAGCUGGUGUGUGCAGGUCAGGCAUGUUUUCAAUUAAAAGGCCGUAGGCGGAAUUAGUCCCAAUGGACUAAAUAAAUCCGUUACUCGUGGGAAAAGAGUACACCCUCUACAGAGGUUAAAUCUAUGCGGAUAGCCAUGUCCAAUGGAUAGGACUACAGUCUGAGAUGGGUUUAGUGACGGUCUUCGGAUGGAGAAACGGCUAAACUAGAACAUAGUAACGGUCUUCGGAUGGAGAAACGGCUAAACUAGAACAUAGUGACGGUCUUCGGAUGGAGAAACGGCUAUACUAGAACAUUGAUUAUGACCUAUGACAUAUGAGGAUUAUGUUUAUUAUUAUUAUGGACUAACCAUUUACAUUAUUUGAAUUAUUAAAUAUCCCUGGGACGGUUCUACCUCCUGGAUACUCACUGCGAUUAUUAUUUAUAAGCCCUUUUUGUGGCGUCGCUCAGACGCCCGACUGCGGCAUGCUUGUUAUUUAUUUAUCCUUUAUAAGCCCUUUAUGUGGUGUCGCUCAGACGCCCGACUGCGGCAUGCUUGUUAUUUAUUUAUCCUUUAUAAGCCCUUUAUGUGGUGUCGCUCAGACGCCCUACUGCGCCAUGCUUGUUAUUUAUUUAUCCUUUAUAAGCCCUUUAUGUGGUGUCGCUCAGACGCCCGACUGCGGCAUGCUUGUUAUUUAUUUAUUCUCUAUAAGCCCUUUAUGUGGUGUCGCUCAGACGCCCGACUGCGGCAUGUUUGUCAUUUAUUUAUUCCUUAUAAGCCGUGUCGCUCAGACGCCCGACUGAGGCAUGAUUUAUCUUAUUAUCCUUUCGAGGCGUCGCUUCAGACACUCGAUAGGUGCAUUCUAUUUUUACUCCCGUAUUGCAUAUUCAUAUUUUACCCGCAUGCGUGCAUCGUGCAUUUCGUUUAUUUCGUGACAGACGUUAUGAUCAUAGAAUAUUUCGGAGCAUGAUUAUCCCCUGUUAUAUUAUACCCGUGUUCAAAAUGUUUGCGAGUACAUUCCAAAGUACUCACUGGCUUGUCCCUGGCUAUUGUCUUGGCCAGAUUUCUCGCAUGGAGAUAAGCAUUGCGAUGACAGCCCCGGAACCUACGCAAUGAUGAUAGUAGCCUCGCGAGGAUAGGAGUUAUCCUGGUCAGCUGUUCCUGUGGGAAAUGGAGUCCCAUAGACGCAGAUGAACCACAAACCGCUUCCGCCUUCAACCACUAGAAACCAAGUGUUGUACUCAUAGGCCAGAAUGGUCUUGUACUGCAUAUUUUGUACUUUGCUUGGAAUUUCUGUAUCAAGUUGGUGCCUCAUCAGCUAACAGUAAUCCUGGGGCUGGUGAGCACAAGGGCCAUUUUCUGGAAAAUUAAUAUCCCGAAAAACCGGUCCUGACAAACUUGGUAUCAGAGCCAGGCUGACCAUUGGCUAAUCCUAUCUUAGCCAGGUCAAUAAACCAAGGUUAACCAACCCACCAGACCUUAACCCAACCCCGGAUAAGCUUCUCGUGUAAGAUAGCCACAAAGUGACCCCGACACUUUUGGCAAUCGGUGCCCAACCUAUCAGCCUAGCCUGUCGAUCACGCACCAGUAACCGACACCCAACAUGUCUCAUUCGCAAGCGUGCGAAGGAAGACUCCGUCCCCUUUUCUAUAAAAAGGGCACGCUAGCCUCAACCCAGCACGGCACAGCCUCUUUCCCAAACCAAGCCACGAUGCCUGGCCCCAUUGUUCACAAUGAGACCACAGCCACCAACCUUGGAGGUUUUGUGACCGUGCUCGCAAACCUCACCCGCCGUGCAUAUGCAUUAGAAGAGCCCCCAGAAUAUGUUGUGUACCAAGGACUCAUGAGCGGUGAGAGCCGCCAAUUCUGGGCCACUGUACACAUCUAUGGUAGGGGUCUAUCACCAGAACGCCCCUACAGGUUCACUGGAAGGACCACUUCCUUUGAGCCACAAGCCAUCCAACUGGCAGCUCGAGAAGCUAUAGUUCAACUCCGGCACUUGUCGCCCAGAGUUAACUGUCGCUCGUUCUACUACUACCCUAGCCGUGACGGGUAUGGGAGGCCGCCCCAGGUUGCCAAUGGAGAUCACGAGACGGAUCCUGCACUAUUGCAUCUGGUGCGCUAUGUAAGUGCACUAGAGGAACUGUUCGAUCAAACCACCCUUGAUCUGAUCGCAGCUCGUGGAGAACUGGUUCGCCGAGCCCCGGCGAGAGGAGAAGUGGAGCCCGACGUCGACAACCCAGUCGUGCUGUUCGGACACCCGAUCGAGCCCUUGAGGUCUGCCCCAACCAUCGACCAAAAUACUUUGGUGUCCCCAGAAGUGCUUUGUCGCCUUUUGGGAACACACUCCAACGGGAUUGUGGCAACAACCCCCGCGAUGGUCAUCAUCGCUACCCCGACCCUGCAGCCCCUCAACCUCAUCCGGCUAAUCCCGACGGUGGAACCCGUGGAGAAGCCUCGACGUCCACAAGGCCAGCACACUUAGACAUUAACGAAGUAGACUAAGUCACUCGAGUAGUAACGAGUCUUAAUAUUUCUACGCUUUGUAAUUGUGUGAUCCUGUAUCACCAUUAUUAAAUGUUGUCUUCUUGUGCGCCCCUAUUUCUGAAUAGUAGCCAUGCAUAUGUACGUUAGCGUGCAGUUGCUUUUUUUUUAAAUUCCGGGCGUAGCUACCAAAACCACCCCGACGACACCCACAGUAAUGCGUCACUUUGCCGGAUAUGUGUAUCUGUGACUUUGACCCCCGACCCCAUGGAAUAGAACCAGUUACCCUUCACCACGGUAAAUAACCCAGCCCAAUGCUAUAUAUAAGGCCACCUCAUGACCUUGCCAAGUGCCCAUCACCUUGUGCGCAACACUCUCAGCCAUUUCCUUGCCAUGCCGACCCCCAGUAUUUAUCUGAGAACUCCAGACGCAACCCCGGGUAGAUUUGUUAAAUUAUUGUGGGACUUUACCUGCAGUACCAUGAGUGCCAUCCAUCCACCCCAGUACGAGUUGCUCAAAUCGAGGAUCACCCCAUCCACCUCGAAAUAUUGGGCAGUGGUGCACAUUCCUCCCGCAAACCCAAACCAAGACCCAACAGAAGUCUCCUUCGUGGGGAGAUCCAUGCCGACUCCGCAUAUGGCCAUAGAAGCUGCUGCGUUCGAAGCGCUCGCUCGUCUUCGAUUCGCGGUACCCUAUGCCAGCGAACGAGGGUAUUAUUACUUUCCGAGUCGUGCAGCACCCGGAGAAGUAGCAUCUUUUCCCGGUGGACGAAUUGAGAGAGAUCCAGUACUGGCCAACCUUGCCCAGUAUGUUAUCGCUCAAGAGCGUUUGACACAGCGGGUAAUGGGUUAUCUCCAGAGCCUCGCUGAUUUAAAUCCUCAGAUCGCUAUUGGCAGACCACUGAGGCCUGACCAGGAGAGACGCAUUCACCGGCUAGUCAACCCACUUCCCCCGAUAGAAGAAGAGUGCGCCCCAGUACCAGAGACGUUCUCUCGGGACCCUGUCCAUUUGCCGUUUUCUUUGUAAACGUCAUAGCUAUGUUUAUUUGUGUGUUGCAGCUUAUGAUUGUACCCUGAGCUUGUGCUAUAAGUAAACUCUUGGUUUCAACUAAUGGGAGUAUUAUUUUUAGCGAAUCUCGAGGACGAGAUUUUUUCUUAAGGGGGGUAGUGUUGUGACACCCCAAAAUUUUGACCUUGUUUUAUUAAUUAAAAUUUUGCCAGGAGAUUAAACUUUUCCAUUUGUCUGGACUUAUCUCUUGAUUUCAGAACCUUUCUUUUCUUUAAUAUUGUGGAGUUUUACCUCAAGUGGAAACUUUCCAAAAGUAUUAUUGGACUUGUAUGCUCUCUCAAUAAAACAAUUCCUUAUCAGUGGAUUUAUUUGCAUAAUUGUUUUUCUGAACUUUAUUCUUUUAAAAUGAUUUUUCAUAAAUUUGGAGCCUCUGUUGCACUGCAACCAUUUUAAUAAAUGCAUUUAAAAUUUUCACCAAAAUUUGGGGAUGUCAUGUGAUGUUUCCACAUCACUUUUAUGCAAGAACAUCUUUUCGUCAUUGGAGAUUUUGAGCUCUACAUCAACUUUUCAAAUCUGGUCCAGUAGGUAUUUUUGCACUACAACCUAAUUAAAUAUUUUUUUAAAAAUUCCUCCAAGUGUUUGGAGAUGUCAGUAGAUGCACAUGAUUCAACUUUAUGCAAAAACCCAUUGGUGUUCUUUGAAAAAUUUGAGAAAAUCAUCCUCAUCUUUAUUCUGGUCCAGUUUGGUGAUUUGUACUGCAACCCUAUUUUAUUUUGCUCUAGUGCCCAUGAGCUUUUUCCUGCUUGUAGACCACCUUGCAAAACCCUUAAGUCUAGGAGAGUGGACCCAUUGGAGGAUUUUAAGUGCAUGCAAUAAGGCCUUUUUCUUUCUGUCCAAAACUGAAGUUUUCCAAAACUUGAACUAACAAGUUUCUGGUUUUGCCCAAAUGAUCUUGCCAUUAUCACCUACAUCUAGGGAGACCCGGAUCUGGAGUUUUUGACCACUCCAAGAAUUGCCUAGAUGCACUUAGCAUUCUGUCGAACACUUGGUGUGCAUGGGCAGAUUUGGCUUGAUUAUUAGUUUGCUUUGAGAACUUGAUCCCCUAACCUAACCACCAUGUCCCUUGAUCUCCUUACUAGCUCUAACCUAGUCCUGUUAUUUGCCAGCUGCGCUCAAGCACUCUAGGCUGCCCUGGCAUUAUGUCGAACAUGCCCCGUGCGUGCUCUGGGCGCGCCCAGAGCGCACGUUUUGCACGUGCGGGCGCCCGAGCCGCCGCGUCGCACGGCCGCCUCCCCGCGCCCGCUCUGGCCUCUCCCCACUCGCAGCCAGCACGCCCGCCCUUUCCCUCGCCGUAGAGACACCCUAGCGCCCUAUAGCGCCGCCGUCAGGGCUCCUUUGGCAGCACGCCGGCGUCGGCAGCAGGCUCUACCAUGGAUGGCAUCGCCCCAGCCAUCCGCGCGCGCCAGCUGCCCCCUUGAACAGCCCGAGCUCAUCCACAUACUCGUCGGCACGCGCUCGUCGCCGCCACGUCGCCCUGCAGCUAUAGAGCGACGGUCGCCGGCUUUCUUAUCCACGGCCGCCACGGGACCAACCUCGAACGCCUAUAUAAGGGGACCCUGAGCUCGACCAAGCACUCAGGCAACCUCGUUCUAUCCCCCUAGUGCCCCCAACACCCAGCAAUCGACGUCGGGAAGCUUUCUUCCCCGCCUCCAGCAGGUUCGGCCGCCGCCGCCCUCCGGUCCCGCUAGUCGCCAACAGAGCCUCCCCAGCUCAGCUAACACCACCACCCGACUCCCCUCGACCUCACGGAACCGCCCAGCCUCUCAAACGCGACCAAGAACCACCGCAACCCAGGACCCCAAAACCACCCGAAACCUCCUCUGCCGCGGAGCUCGCCGCCGGCGACUCCUUCCACCCCCGACGACCCAACGACCACCGGGAGGACCGCCCCGGUCUGGCAGGUCCAUCCCUGCCCUCGGAUACCCGCGGGAAGGCACCGUUCGUCGGCGGCGAUCGCCGGAGUCCCGCCUCCGUUCGGGCAGAGGAAGAGGAGGGAGGAGAGACUAGUCAAACCUGACCAGUGGGCCCGCUGGACCCACUGUCAGUGACCCAGCCCCGCCACCACAUGUUUAAGUGGUCGCGUACACUCCUGAGUAUGUCUCCUCUGCUUCGAAAGCGUAUUUUCCCCCGAAACGUUUUCUUUUUCUGGUUUUAUUAAAAAUAGAACUUUGACUGGCUAUAUCUUUUAAAAUAAAACUCCAAAUGAGUUGAUUCUUUUUCCUACCUCUCUCAAAUUUCAUCUAGUUUAUUUUAAGAUUUAUUUCAAAAAUAUUUGGGACAACUUUUUGUACUGUUUUUGAAAUAUAUAUUAUUUGAAUAUUUUUUCAAAAUAGGAAAUGGAGAGAGAAGAAAACUUUCAAAAAGUGCACCCCCUUGCAUACUCUUGAAGGCAAGCAUUCUGAACUCUGGCAUAAUAUUUUUGUGUGGUGUUUUGAUACGGUUACAACACCACCUUGACUUGGAGCAUACGUUAUUUUUUUAUGUGACGAUAAAAUCAUACGCAUGAGUGCAUAAUGGAGAUGCUUUGCUGUUAGAAAUGGAUAUGCUGGUGAUGAUAAUCAUACUCGUAAGCUUCUCAUGCAUACCGGAAGGAAGGCGGGAAAGUCGCGGUCUUGGGUAGACACGAGCUUGUCCCUAGUUCCUCGUCGAGACGAGUGUGUCCGGUAUGGCAUGGUGAGGCUCGAUGAGUGGUGAGUUUAUCUGUUAAUGGAAAUAUAUUUUUUGUCAGGAUAAUCAUACGGAGAAUACAUGGACCUCCUGAGUCAGUCGUAGGUCGAGUCUUGUUCAGUAACUCCCGCCUACUUUGUUUCGUACUACCACUCGUCCCUGCCGCAGGUAGGGUACGGUUCAGUAAGUUGUCAACCCCGUCCUAGCACACACCGUACAGAGAGGCCAUGGUGGAAGAUACCGGAGGCCUCCGGUAGGCAUGCCACCUGGUCCGGGGGCAUGGGUGUUUCCGGUUGGGACCGAGAGGGGGGCACCCCUUAGAGCACGCGAUAUAAAUUUGAUCCCAUGCUACGUCGAGGUUGUAGCCUCCCCACUUAGAGUUUUGCUUGACAGGUGUCGUGUGUGAUUCCAGACACCGGUAAGUUAAGCUGGUGUGUGCAGGUCAGGCGUGUUUUCAAUUAAAAGGCCGUAGGCCGAAUUAGUCCCGAUGGACUAAAUAAAUCCGUUACUCGUGGGAAAAGAGUACACCCUCUGCAGAGGUUAAAUCUAUUCGGAUAGCCAUGUCCAUGGGAUAGGACUACAGUCUGAGAUGGGUUUAGUGACGGUCUUCGGAUGGAGAAACGGCUAAACUAGAACAUAGUAACGGUCUUCGGAUGGAGAAACGGCUAUACUACAACAUAGUGACGGUCUUCGGAUGGAGAAACGGCUAUACUAGAACAUUGAUUAUGACCUAUGACAUAUGAGGAUUAUGUUUAUUAUUAUUAUGGACUAACCAUUUACAUUAUUUGAAUUAUUAAAUAUCCCUGGGACGGUUCUACCUCCUGGAUACUCACUGCGAUUAUUAUUUAUAAGCCCUUUUUGUGGCGUCGCUCAGACGCCCGACUGCGGCAUGCUUGUUAUUUAUUUAUCCUUUAUAAGCCCUUUAUGUGGUGUCGCUCAGACGCCCGACUGCGGCAUGCUUGUUAUUUAUUUAUCCUUUAUAAGCCCUUUAUGUGGUGUCGCUCAGAUGCCCUACUGCGCCAUGCUUGUUAUUUAUUUAUCCUUUAUAAUCCCUUUAUGUGGUGUCGCUCAGACGCCCGACUGCGGCAUGCUUGUUAUUUAUUUAUUCUCUAUAAGCCCUUUAUGUGGUGUCGCUCAGACGCCCGAUUGCGGCAUGUUUGUCAUUUAUUUAUUCCUUAUAAGCCCUUUAUGUGGUGUCGCUCAGACGCCCGACUGAGGCAUGAUUUAUCUUAUUAUCCUUUCGAGGCGUCGCUUCAGACACUCGAUAGGUGCAUUCUAUUUUUACUCCCGUAUUGCAUAUUCAUAUUUUACCCGCAUGCAUGCAUCGUGGAUUUCGUUUAUUUCGUGACAGAGUUUACGAUCAUAGAAUAUUUCGGAGCAUGAUUAUCCCCUGUUAUAUUAUACCCGUGUUCAAAAUGUUUGCGAGUACAUUCCAAAGUACUCACUGGCUUGUCCCUGGCUAUUGUCUUGGCCAGAUUUCUCGCAUGGAGAUAAGCAUUGCGAUGACAGCCCCGGAACCUACGCAAUGAUGAUAGCAGCCUCGCGAGGAUAGGAGUUAUCCUGGUCAGCUGUUCCUGUGGGAAAUGGAGUCCCAUAGACGCAGAUGAACCACAAACCGCUUCCGCCUUCAACCACUAGAAACCAAGUGUUGUACUCAUAGGCCAGAAUGGUCUUGUACUGCAUAUUUUGUACUUUGCUUGGAAUUUCUGUAUCAAGUCGGUGCCUCAUCAGCUAACAGUAAUCCUGGGGCUGGUGAGCACAAGGGCCAUUUUCUGGAAAAUUAAUAUCCCAAAAAACCGGUCCUGACAAACUUGGUAUCAGAGCCAGGCUGACCAUUGGCUAAUCCUAUCUUAGCCAGGUUAAUAAACCUAGGUUAACCAACCCACCAGACCUUAACCCAACCCCGGACAAGCUUCUCGUGUAAGAUAGCCACACAGUGACCCCGACGCUUUUGGCAGUCGGUGCCCAACCUAUCAGCCUAGCCUGUCGAUCACGCGCCAGUAACCGACACCCAACAUGUCUCAUUCGCAAGCGUGCGAAGGAAGACUCCGUCCCCUUUUCUAUAAAAAGGGCACGCUAGCCUCAACCCAGCACGGCACAGCCUCUUUCCCAAACCAAGCCACGAUGCCUGGCCCCAUUGUUCACAAUGAGACCACAGCCACCAACCUUGGAGGUUUUGUGACCAUGCUCGCAAACCUCACCCGCCGUGCAUAUGCAUUAGAAGAGCCCCCAGAAUAUGUUGUGUACCAAGGACUCAUGAGCGGUGAGAGCCGCCAAUUCUGGGCCACUGUACACAUCUAUGGUAGGGGUCUAUCACCAGAACGCCCCUACAGGUUCACUGGAAGGACCACUUCCUUUGAGCCACAAGCCAUCCAACUGGCAGCUCGAGAAGCUAUAGUUCAACUCCGGCACUUGUCGCCCAGAGUUAACUAUCGCUCGUUCUACUACUACCCUAGCCAUGACGGGUAUGGUAGGCCGCCCCAAGUUGCCAAUGGAGAUCACGAGACGGAUCCUGCACUAUUGCAUCUGGUGCGCUAUGUAAGUGCACUAGAGGAACUGUUCGAUCAAAUCACCCUUGAUCUGAUCGCAGCUCGUGGAGAACUCGUUCGCCGAGCCCCGGCGAGAGGAGAAGUGGAGCCCGACGCCGACAACCCAGUCGUGCUGUUCGGACACCCGAUCGAGCCCUUGAGGUCUGCCCCAACCAUCGACCAAAAUACUUUGGUGUCCCCAGAAGUGCUUCGUCGCCUUUUGGGAACACACUCCAACGGGAUUGUGGCCAACAACCCCCGCGAUGGUCAUCAUCGCUACCCCGACCCUGCAGCCCCUCAACCUCAUCCGGCUAAUCCCGACGGUGGAACCCGUGGAGAAGCCUCGACGUCCACAAGGCCAGCACACUUAGACAUUAACGAAGUAGACUAAGUCACUCAAGUAGUAACGAGUCUUAAUAUUUCUACGCUUUGUAAUUGUGUGAUCCUGUAUCACCAUUAUUAAAUGUUGUCUUCUUGUGCGCCCCUAUUUCUAAAUAGUAGCCAUGCAUAUGUACGUUAGCGUGCAGUUGCUUUUUUUUUAAAUUCCGGGCGCAGCUACCAAAACCACCCCGACGACACCCACAGUAAUGCGUCACUUUGCCGGAUAUGUGUAUCUGUGACUUUGACCCCCGACCCCAUGGAACAGAACCAGUUACCCUUCACCACGGUAAAUAACCCAGCCCAAUGCUAUAUAUAAGGCCACCUCAUGACCUUGCCAAGUGCCCCUCACCUUGUGCGCAACACUCUCAGCCAUUUCCUUGCCAUGCCGACCCCCAGUAUUUAUCUGAGAACUCCAGACGCAACCCCGGGUAGAUUUGUUAAAUUAUUGUGGGACUUUACCUGCAGUACCAUGAGUGCCAUCCAUCCACCCCAGUACGAGUUGCUCAAAUCGAGGAUCACCCCAUCCACCUCGAAAUAUUGGGCAGUGGUGCACAUUCCUCCCGCAAACCCAAACCAAGACCCAACAGAAGUCUCCUUCGUGGGGAGAUCCAUGCCGACUCCGCAUAUGGCCAUAGAAGCUGCUGCGUUCGAAGCGCUCGCUCGUCUUCGAUUCGCGGUACCCUAUGCCAGCGAACGAGGGUAUUAUUACUUUCCGAGUCGUGCAGCACCCGGAGAAGUAGCAUCUUUUCCCGGUGGACAAAUUGAGAGAGAUCCAGUACUGGCCAACCUUGCCCAGUAUGUUAUCGCUCAAGAGCGUUUGACACAGCGGGUAAUGGGUUAUCUCCAGAGCCUCGCUGAUUUAAAUCCUCAGAUCGCUAUUGGCAGACCACUGAGGCCUGACCAGGAGAGACGCAUUCACCGGCUAGUCAACCCACUUCCCCCGAUAGAAGAAGAGUGCGCCCCAGUACCAGAGACGUUCUCUCGGGACCCUGUCCAUUUGCCGUUUUCUUUGUAAACGUCAUAGCUAUGUUUAUUUGUGUGUUGCAGCUUAUGAUUGUACCCUGAGCUUGUGCUAUAAGUAAACUCUUGGUUUCAACUAAUGGGAGUAUUAUUUUUAGCGAAUCUCGAGGACGAGAUUUUUUCUUAAGGGGGGUAGUGUUGUGACACCCCAAAAUUUUGACCUUGUUUUAUUAAUUAAAAUUUUGCCAGGAGAUUAAACUUUUCCAUUUGUCUGGACUUAUCUCUUGAUUUCAGAACCUUUCUUUUCUUUAAUAUUGUGGAGUUUUACCUCAAGUGGAAACUUUCCAAAAGUAUUAUUGGACUUGUAUGCUCUCUCAAUAAAACAAUUCCUUAUCAGUGGAUUUAUUUGCAUAAUUGUUUUUCUGUUGUUUUUCUGAACUUUAUUCUUUUAAAAUGAUUUUUCAUAAAUUUGGAGCCUCUGUUGCACUGCAACCAUUUUAAUAAAUGCAUUUAAAAUUUUCACCAAAAUUUGGGGAUGUCAUGUGAUGUUUCCACAUCACUUUUAUGCAAGAACAUCUUUUGGUCAUUGGAGAUUUUGAGCUCUACAUCAACUUUUCAAAUUUGGUCCAGUAGGUAUUUUUGCACUACAACCUAAUUAAAUAUUCUUUUGAAAAUUAUUCCAAGUGUUUGGAGAUGUCAGUAGAUGCACAUGAUUCAACUUUAUGCAAAAACCCAUUGGUGUUCUUUGAAAAAUUUGAGAAAAUCAUCCUCAUCUUUAUUCUGGUCCAGUUUGGUGAUUUGUACUGCAACCCUAUUUUAUUUUGCUCUAGUGCCCAUGAGCUUUUUCCUGCUUGUAGACCACCUUGCAAAACCCUUAAGUCUAGGAGAGUGGACCCAUUGGAGGAUUUUAAGUGCAUGCAAUAAGGCCUUUUUCUUUCUGUCCAAAACUGAAGUUUUCCAAAACUUGAACUAACAAGUUUCUGGUUUUGCCCAAAUGAUCUUGCCAUUAUCACCUACAUCUAGGGAGACCCGGAUCUGGAGUUUUUGACCACUCCAAGAAUUGCCUAGAUGCACUUAGCAUUCUGUCGAACACUUGGUGUGCAUGGGCAGAUUUGGCUUGAUUAUUAGUUUGCUUUGAGAACUUGAUCCCCUGACCUAACAACCAUGUCCCUUGAUCUCCUUACUAGCUCUAACCUAGUCCUGUUAUUUGCCAGCUGCGCUCAAGCACUCUAGGCUGCCCUGGCAUUAUGUCGAACAUGCCCCGUGCGUGCUCUGGGCGCGCCCAGAGCGCACGUUUUGCACGUGCGGGCGCCCGAGCCGCCGCGUCGCACGGCCGCCUCCCCGCGCCCGCUCUGGCCUCUCCCCACUCGCAGCCAGCACGCCCGCCCUUUCCCUCACCGUAGAGACACCCUAGCGCCCAACAGCGCCGCCGUCAGGGCUCCCUUGGCGGCACGCCGGCGUCGGCAGCAGGCUCUGCCAUGGAUGGCGUCGCCCCAGCCACCCGCGCGCGCCAGCUGCCCCCUUGAACAGCCCGAGCUCAUCCACAUACUCGUCGGCACGCGCUCGUCGCCGCCACGUCGCCCUGCAGCUACAGAGCGAUGGUCGCCGGCUUUCUUAUCCACGGCCGCCGCGGGACCAAUGUCGAGCGCCUAUAUAAGGGGACCCUGAGCUCGACCAAGCACUCAGGCAACCUCGUUCUAUCCCCCUAGUGCCCCCAACACCCAGCAAUCGACGUCGGGAAGCUUUCUUCCCCGCCUCCGGCAGGUUCGGCCGCCGCCGCCCUCCGGUCCCGCUAGUCGCCAACAGAGCCUCCCCAGCUCAGCUAACACCACCACCCGACUCCCCUCGACCUCACGGAACCGCCCAGCCUCUCAAACGCGACCAAGAACCACCGCAGCCCAGGACCCCAAAACCACCCGAAACCUCCUCUGCCGCGGAGCUCGCCGCCGGCGACUCCUUCCACCCCCGAUGACCCAACGACCACCGGGAGGACCGCCCCGGUCUGGCAGGUCCAUCCCUGCCCUCGGAUACCCGCGGGGAGGCACCGUUCGUCGACGGCGAUCGUCGGAGUCCCGCCUCCGUUCGGGCAGAGGAAGAGGAGGGAGGAGAGACUAGUCAAACCUGACCAGUGGGCCCGCUGGACCCACUGUCAGUGACCCAGCCCCGCCACCACGUGUUUAAGUGGUCGCGUACACUCCUGAGUACGUCUCCUCUGCUUCGAAAGCGUAUUUCCCCCGAAACGUUUUCUUUUUCUGGUUUUAUUAAAAAUAGAACUUUGACUAAAUUUGACUGGCUAUAUCUUUUAAAAUAAAACUCCAAAUGAGUUGAUUGUUUUUCCUACCUCUCUCAAAUUUCAUCUAGUUUAUUUUAAGAUUUAUUUCAAAAAUAUUUGGGACAACUUUUUGUACUGUUUUUGAAAUAUAUGUUAUUUGAAUAUUUUUUCAAAAUAGGAAAUGGAGAGAGAAGAAAACUUUCAAAAAGUGCACCCCCUUGCAUACUCUUAAAGGCAAGCAUUCUGAACUCUGGCAUAAUAUUUUUGUGUGGUGUUUUGAUACGGUUACAACAACACCUUGACUUGGAGCAUACGUUAUUUUUUUAUGUGACGAUAAAAUCAUACGCAUGAGUGCAUAAUGGAGAUGCUUUGCUGUUAGAAAUGGAUAUGCUGGUGAUGAUAAUCAUACUCGUAAGCUUCUCAUGCAUACCGGAAGGAAGCCGGGAAAGUCGUGGUCUUGGGUAGACAUGAGCUUGUCCCUAGUUCCUGGUCGAGAUGAGUGUGUCCGGUAUGGCAUGGUGAGGCUUGAUGAGUGGUGAGUUUAUCUGUUAAUGGAAAUAUAUUUUUUGUCAGGAUAAUCAUACGGAGAAUACAUGGACCUCCUGAGUCAGUCGUAGGUCGAGUCUUGUUCAGUAACUCCCGCCUACUUUGUUUCGUACUACCACUCGUCCCUGCCGCAGGUAGGGUACGGUUCAGUAAGUUGUCAACCCCGUCCUAGCACACACCGUACAGAGAUGCCAUGGUGGAAGAUACCGGAGGCCUCCGGUAGGCAUGCCACCUGGUCCGGGGGCAUGGGUGUUUCCGGUUGGGACCGAGAGGGGGCACCCCUUAGAGCACGCGAUAUAAAUUUGAUCCCAUGCUACGUCGAGGUUGUAGCCUCCGCACUUAGAGUUUUGCUUGACAGGUGUCGUGUGUGAUUCCAGACACCGGUAAGUUAAGCUGGUGUGUGCAGGUCAGGCGUGUUUUCAAUUAAAAGGCCGUAGGCCGAAUUAGUCCCGAUGGACUAAAUAAAUCCGUUACUCAUGGGAAAAGAGUACACCCUCUGCAGAGGUUAAAUCUAUUCGGAUAGCCAUGUCCAUGGGAUAGGACUACAGUCUGAGAUGGGUUUAGUGACGGUCUUCGGAUGGAGAAACGGCUAAACUAGAACAUAGUAACGGUCUUCGGAUGGAGAAACGGCUAAACUAGAACAUAGUGACGGUCUUCGGAUGGAGAAACGGCUAUACUAGAACAUUGAUUAUGACCUAUGACAUAUGAGGAUUAUGUUUAUUAUUAUUAUGGACUAACCAUUUACAUUAUUUGAAUUAUUAAAUAUCCCUGGGAUGGUUCUACCUCCUGGAUACUCACUGCGAUUAUUAUUUAUAAGCCCUUUUUGUGGCGUCGCUCAGACGCCCGACUGCGGCAUGCUUGUUAUUUAUUUAUCCUUUAUAAGCCCUUUAUGUGGUGUCGCUCAGACGCCCGACUGCGGCAUGCUUGUUAUUUAUUUAUCCUUUAUAAGCCCUUUAUGUGGUGUCGCUCAGACGCCCUACUGCGCCAUGCUUGUUAUUUAUUUAUCCUUUAUAAGCCCUUUAUGUGGUGUCGCUCAGACGCCCGACUGCGGCAUGCUUGUUAUUUAUUUAUUCUCUAUAAGCCCUUUAUGUGGUGUCGCUCAGACGCCCGACUGCGGCAUGUUUGUCAUUUAUUUAUUCCUUAUAAGCCGUGUCGCUCAGACGCCCGACUGAGGCANNNNNNNNNNNNNNNNNNNNNNNNNNNNNNNNNNNNNNNNNNNNNNNCUUUAUAAGCCCUUUAUGUGGUGUCGCUCAGACGCCCGACUGCGGCAUGCUUGUUAUUUAUUUAUUCUCUAUAAGCCCUUUAUGUGGUGUCGCUCAGACGCCCGACUGCGGCAUGUUUGUCAUUUAUUUAUUCCUUAUAAGCCCUUUAUGUGGUGUCACUCAGACGCCCGACUGAGGCAUGAUUUAUCUUAUUAUCCUUUCGAGGCGUCGCUUCAGACACUCGAUAGGUGCAUUCUAUUUUUACUCCCGUAUUUCAUAUUCAUAUUUUACCCGCAUGCGUGCAUCGUGGAUUUCGUUUAUUUCGUGACAGACGUUAUGAUCAUAGAAUAUUUCGAAGCAUGAUUAUCCCCUGUUAUAUUAUACCCGUGUUCAAAAUGUUUGCGAGUACAUUCCAAAGUACUCACUGGCUUGUCCCUGGCUAUUGUCUUGGCCAGAUUUCUCGCAUGGAGAUAAGCAUUGCGAUGACAGCCCCGGAACCUACGCAAUGAUGAUAGGAGCCUCGCGAGGAUAGGAGUUAUCUUGGUCAGCUGUUCCUGUGGGAAAUGGAGUCCCAUAGACGCAGAUGAACCACAAACCACUUCCACCUUCAACCACUAGAAACCAAGUGUUGCACUCAUAGGCCACAAUAGUCUUGUACUGCAUAUUUUGUACUUUGCUUGGAAUUUCUAUAUCAAGUUGGUGCCUCAUCAGCUAACAGUCAUCCUGGGGCUGGUGAGCACAAGGGCCAUUUUCUGGAAAAUUAAUAUCCCGAAAAACCGGUCCUGACAGCGAGGCAGGGACUCGGCCUGUCUUGGUGGUGUACGGCGCGACGAUGAGGACAACAGCGGCCAUGUGGAACUCCUGCUACAGCAAGUACAGGGACAGAGAGAGAUAUGAGAAAGAGCAACAGGGAAGGGAAGAUGCGCGGGAGGAAGGAGAGGGAUGGCCUGGGUGCUGGUCUUGGCAGGUUCGGGCGGCGGAUGGAGCAUCUCCGGCGGUGCUGCUGCUCGGCAUGGAGGUGACCAAGACUUCGGGCGGAGCAAGCGACGGAGUACGGCAACGCGAGCUCCUGGGGAGACACUGUCCAUGGCGGGCAUCAUGCGUUGGAAAAGACAGAGAGCCAUGCGUGAGAGACCGAAAGAGAAACAUGAGGAACGAGGAAGGAGAGGCGAGGGCAUGAGGCAGUUCCUUGUGGUGGCUGUUGCUGCUCCGGCCGGCAAACUCCGACGGAAAAACACCGGCGAGGAGGAGGUUCUCGGGCGGCUGGGUUGGAGGAGAUCAAGGAGAGGAGUGGCGGCUGUGGCUGGCAGAUCGAGGUGAGUGGAUGGAUCGGGGGGAGUGCACUGGUUAGGUGGCGGCGGAAAAUCAAGGGAGAGGGUCGGAGAGAAUUUGGAUCGGGAAGAGAUCCCGGGGAAGAGGGAGUUGGUCGGGUGGCGGCGGAUGGGAAGGAUGGAUGGGACAGCUCCCUAGAAAUUAGGGUUCGGUCUGAUUAUAUAGGCAGGGACUGGGUAGGGCUAAUCUAGUCCAUCCGAUUAUAAUCGGGCGGUCAUAAAUAAAUAGGUUAGGUAGUCCGAAUAAUAAAACGGAGAUGUUUUAUAGAUGUUUGGGGAUGAUCCGGACCCAAUGGUAACGAUAGCCCAGUUCGGGUUCGGGGAAGUUUCGGACGUGCGCGAGGGGGGUAUGAGCACUGUGCAGAAAGGUUAGGAAGCCAGGCAAGAGGGAAAAAAAAUCUGGUUGGUCUUGGAACGGUCAAUGAAAGCAAGGGGAGACGCUGCAACUAUGAGGGGAUGCAGAGUGCCGAUGCAAAUGCGAAUGAUGCCAUGAUGAAUGCAGCAAACAAAUAAAUAACACGGCUAACUCGCAAAACAAGGAAGGCAUCUGAAGCGUCGGUCUCGGGGCGUUACAGUGUCCUUAGAUUAUCUUGGGGUGCCAUGGGCAUCCCCAAGCUUAGGCUCUUGCCACUCCUUGUUCCAUAAUCCAUCAAAUCUUUCACCCAAAACUUGAAAACUUCACAACACAAAACUUAACAGAAAAUCUCGUGAGCUCCGUUAGCGAAAGAAAACAAAACACCACUUCAAGGUACUGUAAUGAACUCAGAUUCUAUACCAAGGAUAUAUCUGUACCAAGGAGUAGCGCCUACAUAAAAAUUGCGGAGAAGAACGGAAGUAGAUUGCUUCCUGGUAGAUCUAUUUUGAGCAUUGCAAAUUCUAUACCAAGCGUCUUUUAGAUUUUCUCCCUCCCUUUGCUUAAAAUUAAGAACUUCAUUUUCGGGAGACAACGGAGAAGAUAGGGGACUAGCCAUAAUGACAAGCAAGCGAAAAAGAGGCAAAUGGAAAAGAGAGGGUGAAUAAAACGGCAAGGGUGAAGUGGGGGAGAGGAAAACGAGAGGCAAAUGGCAAAUAAUGUAAUGCGGGAGAUAAGGGUUUGUGAUGGGUACUUGGUAUGUUGACUUUUGCGUAGACUCCCCGGCAACGGCACCAGAACUCCUUCUUGCUACCUCUUGAGCACUGCGUUGGUUUUCCCUUGAAGAGGAAAGGGUGAUGCAGCAAAGUAGCGUAAGUAUUUCCCUCAGUUUUUGAGAACCAAGGUAUCAAUCCAGUAGGAGGCCAAGCACGAGUCCCUCGCACCUACACAAACAAAUAAAUCCUCGCAACCAACGCAAUCAAGGGGUUGUCAAUCCCUUCAUGGUCACUUACGAGAGUGAGAUAUGACAGAUAUGAUAAGAUAAUAUUUUUGGUAUUUUAAUGAUAAAGAUGCAAAGUAAAAAAAGCAAAAUAAAAACGACGCUAGAAAUAACUUGUUGACGGAAGAUUAAUAUGAUGGAAAAUAGACCCCGGGGCCAUAGGUUUCACUAGUGGCUUCUCUCGAGAGCAUAAGUAUUACGGUGGGUGAACAAAUUAUUGUUGAGCAAUUGACAGAAUUGAGCAUAGUUAUGAGAAUAUCUAGGUAUGAUCAUGUAUAUAGGCAUCACGUCCGAGACAAGUAGACCCACUCCUGCCUGCAUCUACUACUACUACUCCACACAUCGACCGCUAUCCAGCAUGCAUCUAGAGUAUUAAGUUCAUAAGAAUAGAGUAACGCUUUAAGUAAGAUGACAUGAUGUAGAGGGAUAAACUCAUGCAAUAUGAUAUAAACCCCAUCUUGUUAUCCUCGAUGGCAACAAUACAAUAGAUGCCUUGCUGCCCCUACUGUCACUGGGAAAGGACACCACAAGAUUGAACCCAAAGCUAAGCACUUCUCCCAUUGCAAGAAAGAUCAAUCUAGUGGCCAAACCAAACUGAUAAUUCGAAGAGACUUGCAAAGAUAACCAAUCAUACAUAAAAGAAUUCAGAGAAGAUUCAAAUAUUGUUCAUAGAUAAACUUGAUCAUAAACCCACAAUUCAUCGGUCUCAACAAACACACCGCAAAAGAAGAUUACAUCGAAUAGAUCUCCACAAGAGAGGGGGAGAACAUUGUAUUGAGAUCCAAAAAGAGGGAAGAAGCCAUCUAGCUAAUAACUAUGGACCCGAAGGUCUGAGGUAAUCUACUCACACAUCAUCAGAGAGGCUAUGGUAUUGAUGUAGAAGCCCUCCGUGAUGGAUGCCCCCUCCGGCGGAUCUCCGGAAAAGGCCCCAAGAUGGGAUCUCACGGGUACAGAAGGUUGCGGCGGUGGAAUUAGGUUUUUGGCUCCGUAUCUGGUAGUUUGGGGGUACGUAGGUAUAUAUAGUAUGAAGAAGUACGUCGGUAGAGCAACGUGGGGCCCAUGAGGGUGGAGGGCGUGCCCGGGGGUAGGCGCACCCCCUACCUCAUGCCCUCCUGGUUGAUGUCUUGACGUAGGGUCCAAGUCCUCUGGAUCACGUUCGUUCCAAAAAUCACGUUCCCGAAGGUUUCAUUCCGUUUGGACUCCGUUUGAUACUCUUUUUCCGCGAAACUCUGAAACAGGCAAAAAAUAGCAAUUCUGGGCUGGGCCUCCGGUUAAUAGGUUAGUCCCAAAAAUAAUAUAAAAGUGUAUAAUAAAGCCCAUUAAUGUCCAAAGCAGAAUAUAAUAUAGCAUGGAACAAUCAAAAAUUAUAGAUACGUUGGAGACGUAUCAGAGACCCACCCGACUAUGAGACGUCCAGAAGUUCACCAGCUGCUUGGCAUCCAUCAGCCGCUUCAUCAGUCGGCUGGGCGAGAAGGCUCUUCCCCUGUACUAGCUCAUGAAGAAAACCACUCACUUUGAGUGGAAUGACAAGGCGAACGAGGCCUUUCUCUAGCUAAAGAAGAUGUUGACCACGCCGCCUAUCCUGGCGGCCCCGACUGCUAAAGAGCCCAUGUACCUCUUCAUCGCUGCCACCAGAUGGGUGGUCGGUACUGUCAUUGUGGUGGAGCGCCCAGAAGACGACAGAGCACAACCGGUCCAGAGACAUGUGUACUAUUUGAGCGAGGUGCUGUCGGCCUCAAAGCAGAACUACCCCCACUACCAGAAGAUGUGCUACAGCAUGCACUUUGCCGCCAAGAAGCUCAAGCCAUACUUUCAGGAGCACCCAAUCACGGUUGUCUGCACUGCCCCACUUGCUAAGAUCAUAGGCAACAGAGAUGCAUUAGGCCGAGUGGCCAAAUGGGCAAUCGAGCUGCCCCCCUACACCAUCUUCUACCAACCACGCACCGCCAUCAAGUUCCAAACACUGGCCGACUUCCUCGUCGACUGGGCCGAGACCCAGUACCUGCCGCCAGCUCUGGACUCCGCUCAUUGGUGGAUGCACUUUGAUGGCUCGAAGAUGCGCACCGGCUUGGGAGCCGGCGUUGUCCUCACCACUCCCAAGGGUGAUAAGCUCAGAUAUACAUUACAAAUUCACUUUGCCGCCUCUAACGAUGUGGCCGAGUAUGAGGCGCUAGUACACGGACUCCGGUUGGCCAAAGAGAUCGGCAUCCGCCAGAUCCUGUGCUAUGGCGACUCAGACUUGGUGGUCCAACAGUCGUCUGGCGACUGGGACGCCAAGGAUGCAAAUAUGGCAAGUUACCGCUUCCUCGUCCAGCAGAUCAACGGAUACUUUGACGGGUGUGAAUUCCUUCACGUGCCACGGAAUGACAACGAGCAAGCUGAUGCCCUGGCACGGAUCGGCUCCACCCGCCAAGCAAUACUAGCCGGCGUCUCCCUUCAGUGCCUCCGCAAGCCGUCUAUCAAGCCUUCUCCAGAAUCCAAGUUCAUCUUCAUGCCGGCUACUCCCAAAGCAGUCGGAUCCGACUCGGGGGUGCUGCAGCCGGCCCGGGGACUUCACAACCCGGCCCGGGGACUGCAGCAAUCGGCCCGGGGACUCGAACAAUGCAGCAAGCGGCGGCCGACUCCACCCCGCCUCCUCCCAACCCAGCCGCCCUAGUCUUAGUAGCCAUGAUGGCAGUGGAUGAAGUCGAAGCACCAUCAUGGGCGUAGCCCAUCCUCAACUUCCUAGUGAGCAGAGCGCUGCUGGCUGAUGAGAGCUCGGCCCGACAGGUGCAACGCCGAGCAAGAGCCUACACGAUAGUGAAUAGAGAGCUUGUCAGACGCAGCGUGACUGGGGUCUUCCAGCGCUGCGUAGAACCAGAAAAGGGCAAGGCAAUCCUCAAAGAUAUCCACCAAGGCGAGUGCGGCCACCACGCGGCCUCCAGGUCCCUUGUCGCCAAAGCUUUCCGCCAUGGUUUCUUCUGGCCGACUGCUUUGGAAGACGCCAAGGAUUUGGUCAAGAAAUGCAAGGGGUGCCAGAAAUUCAGUUCCAAGCAACAUCUGCCGGCUUCUGCACUCAAGACCACCCCCUCACUUGGCAUGUGGGGGUUGGACAUGGUGGGACCAUUCAAGACAGCACGCGGCGACAUGACCCAUCUGCUUGUUGCCGUGGACAAAUUCACCAAGUGGAUCGAAGCAAAGCCAAUCAAGAAACUAAAUGGUCCGACUGGUGCGACUUUCAUCGCAGAGAUCACCGUCCGAUACGUUGUGCCACACACCAUCAUCACCGAUAAUGGCACAAACUUUGCCAAAGGCGCCUUGGCUUGUUUUUGCGCGAUGCAGGGCAUUCGACUGGACUUAGCGUCCAUUGCCCAUCCGCAGUCAAACGGCCAAGUCGAGCGAGCAAACGGCCUCAUCUUGUCCAGCAUCAAGCCCCGACUGGUGGAGCCACUGGAGCGCUUGGCCGGCUACUGGAUCGAUGAACUGCCGGCCGUCCUCUGGAGCCUCCGCACCACUCCGAACAUGUCAAUCGGAUUCACUCCCUUAUUCCUCGUGUACGGGGCCGAGGCUGUCAUCCCAACUGACAUCGAGUUCGACUCACCUCGUGUCACCAUGUACACGGAGGUGGAGGCGAAGGAAGCAAGAGAAGACGGCGUCGAUAUGUUGGAAAGAGGGCCGGCUGUUGGCAGUCGGCCGGUCCGCCAUCUACCAGCAGAGCCUGCGCCGCUACCACAGUUGGAAGGUAAAGCCAAGAUCCUUCCAAGAGGGAGACCUUGUGCUCUGGCUGAUCCAACGAACAGCCGGUCAGCACAAGCUCUCGGCCCCUUGGGAAGGCCCCUUCAUCAUCAGCAAAGCCUUGGGCAACGACUCCUACUACCUAAUCGAUUCACAAAAGCCUAGGGCACGCAAGAGGGAUGACUCCGGCAAGGAAACAGAGCGCCCAUGGAACGCAAAUCUCCGUCGAAGAUUUUACAGCUGAUGCAGUAUGUACCACGCUACCUUUUGUAUUAAGCGCAAAGACAUCGGGUCCCUCAAGGAGCACUCGGGGGCUACCCUUUUUUAUCUCUAUGAUAAGUUUUAUGCCUAUGAAUGUGUUAUUUCAUUCUUCUGCCUGGAACCGGGUUCCACCAAUCGGCCCGGGGGCUUGCCGCCUUGUACUAUGUCGGUGCUACCUGCAGUCAGACAAGUAGUGUGCCGGCAUCUAAGCCCUCUCUUGCCAUAAGCCGCAGCUCGCAGAGCGACUGUCCGGCUAGCAAGAUCUAAAGUAGGAAAUGGUGCCCAAAUGAAAAAUGGCUAAGGAUAAAAGCACUCACAUAGGCCAAGCCGGCUCCUCACCUAACCGACCGGCUGCUCAGCAGCCGGCUGGUCGGCUUCUUACUUAACUUGCUACGUUCUAAACGGCCAAAGUACUUGUCCUCCCAAAUGGCUAAGUACUUGACCAGGCCACAGACCGCAGAGCGGCUAUCCGGCUGGCCAGGCGGUAGCCAAGGGAAAGCGGCAAAGGAAUAAGCCAAAAGAACAGAAAGCAAGACAAGUCGGAACUCAGCAAAGCACAUCUCGUGUGAAUAAAGUUAUUUUACAUAGCAAGGCUCGUAAGCUAGAGUUCAGCAAGUUUGAAUACACCCCCAGCGGGUGGAACUGCGCAAAUUUAAUGAGCUUGUUCGAGAGAUUACAAAAGCAGGAAAAGACAAGAUAAAACUAGCCACCUAGGCCAAAGGAGUAGCAGGCGGGUCCAGCAGGUUGGUGGAGUUGGCGGCGCCGGCUGGUGGAAUGGCCGACUGGCGAGUCUCAGCCUGGUCAGCAUCAGUAGCAGUCGGUGCACUCGCACGUGGUUCAUUGCUUGAGGCUCGAUCAGGCUCGGGCUGGCCGUUCGCUCCGACCUCUGGUCCGUCGUCUUCACCAUCCUCGCCCUCAUCGCUGGCGGCGAUCUCCUCCAUCGAAUCCUCCUCAUAUACCGGGUUCAUCCCGAACCAGUUGGGCGCCACCUCGGCCCCCUCCUCGUUCAGCUCCAGGACGAACACGGAGGUGUCGGCGAUCGCCGCCGUGCGAUGAGUCGGGUCACGGCUCGCCGCUGCCAGCUCCGGAGUGGCCUCCUUCCAGAAGGUGGCCAGCUGGGCCAAGUCCAGGCCUGGGUACCAGGCCUUGACAAACUCCAGGGCCCUCCGAGCACUGGCAUGAGCCGUACGUCGAGCCCUUCCAAGCCUCGAAGCGGCCAACUACCACCUCCAGCCACUCAACAGUCCGGCUGGGGUGCGCGGGAUCUGAGAGUCCGGCUAGAGGGCAGUCAGCACCUGGGCCCCGAUGCUAUGCAGAUGGCGGAGCAUCCGGUGGGACGGCUGGAGACGAGCAUGGAUGGCGAGAAGUUGCUCGCUGAGGGUCCGAGGUGCAUUGGGAGCGAUUUCCGCACCAGCCCAUCGUGGCUCGUCGCGGUGAGCCUCGAUGGCCUAGCUGGCGGCAACGGCGUGUCCGGGGAAGAAGUCUGCACAAGAAGAAAAAAGAAAUCAGAGGCCAGCUCAUAUAGCAGACGGCGGCUGAAGGAAAGGAAAGAUAACUCACCGUCGAUCAUAUCUUUGAUCUUGCCGUAGCCAUCGCUUAGAGCCUUCUCCUUCUUGGCCCAGCCCGAGUGGUCGGACUUGAACUCGGCCUUGAGCGCCGCCUUGUGUUGAUCCGCCUAGGCUGCCAGCUCCUUGGCCAGGCGGUCGCACUCCUUAACCGCCUUGCGGCACUCCUCCUCCUUGGUGUGCAUCUCAGUUUGGGCUUCGCCCAAGCGCUGCUGCAGGUCAGCGGCCACCCUUGCAGAAGAAUGAAAAGACGAUCAACAAUCAACAAAGAAGAAAAGUGGUCGCCGGAAGAUCCGGCCCGACUGCUCAGCAGUCGGCCUGAAUCUCGGGGGCUACACCCAGUGGGUGCGCUGACGAGCCCCCGCAAGAAAGAGGACGGAGUGCUUACUCCAGCUUUCAGCCAAAUCAGUGGUCCGCUUGGCUAGCUCCCGGACAUGGGAGUUGAAGGCGGCCGCGCGGAUGUUGUGGUAGUCCUGCAAAAAAGACAACAGAAGAGAAAAGGAAAGGUUAGCACUCGGAACUUACCCUUAAGUUCCGAGCCGCCUGCUCAGCAGCCGGCCCGGAACUCGGGGGCUACACCCAGUGGGUGCGCUGGCGCGCCCCCACGGAAGAUUACAAGAAUAAAAAGCAACAAGCAGGAAACAUACCCGGACGGCUGCUCGCGUCGCCAAGAACUCUUUCAUGUACUACUGGAGGGCGGCGCCUUGGGCCUGAAGUUGGGCAUGAACGUCCUGCGCGGCCUUGUUCAGGACGCCCGUUGCGCCCCCAGGAGUCCACUCCGGUGGGGCGGCACUGCUCGCCUCGGCGUCAGGGGCCGAUGAGCUUGUGGUCCCGAUCUCCACCGCCCGCGGUGCUGAAGCCACCUUCUCCACACGACGGCGCAUCGGCAGACCGCGGGAGUCGGGCCCACCACCAGCUCGCUACCGACUAGCGGCACUUGCGGCGCCUCAGCCCGACUAGUCUGGGCAUCGGCGGUCGGCGUGUGCGGAGGCACUUCUGCCCCCACGAUGACGGGGUUGCCCCCUCCCCUCUCCAUGACCGGUUGGUCAUCGCCGGCUCCUCCAGUCGGCGCCUGGCUUUCCGACACCCGUGGCACGGCACGCAGCGGGACGAUGAGCAAUGGAUCCCGGCUGCGGGCUGCCUCCACCUCCCGCGCCUUGGCGGCGGCGUCCGCCUGCUCCUUGGCCGCGGCGUCGGCCUGAGCCUUGGUGGCCGCAUCGGCUUCAGCCUGCGCCGCCUUGGCGGCGUCCGCCUUCUCCUGCCCCGCCUUCUUCCGCUCCUCGCGCGCUUCCCGCGCGUUCCGCUCCGUCGCUGCCUGGAGCUCGGCGUGCGGGUCCAUGCGGCGGGGCUCGGCAGAGCCGUCCGUCGCCCCGAUCACUGAGGCGGCCGGGUCCCGCGGAAGAGAGAGCGGGGCCCUACGAAGGCAUGGCGACACGAAACCAAUAAGAAGACUAGAAGAAAGAAGAAAAUUAAACACGAAAGCAGCAAUGGAAAAGUCGAAGUACUCACCCGGACGCCAACGGGAGCCGCUUCGGGGCCUUCUGGAAUUGGGCCACCUUUGCGGCGGCCUCCUGCCGCAUGGCCGCGGCGGCCGUGUUCUUGGGCUUCUUCGGCCGGCUGCCGAACAGCAACAAGCUAGCUCGGCGCUUUGGUGUGCCGCCUAGUGCAGUCGGCGCGACUGAAGAGCUUGCACCCGCCUUGUCGGCGCCGUGCGUGCGACGCGGAUCGUUCUCCUCUUCAUCAUCGUCCGGCCAGUCCUUGAUGCCGCCUCCUCCGUAGCCGCCUGCUCCCCCACCGCCACCUGUGGCGUUGUCCUCCACCAUGGCUGCCGCCCCCAAGUCGGGGUCGUCCACGUCGCUUCUCGAUCGGUCCGGCAUGAACACGUCGCCUGGCCCUAGAGCGUCGGCGGCCAACUGGGUCGAGAAGACAUGUAUCAUUGCCGACUGAUCAGAUGGCAAAGCAAAAACUCAGACAAGUAAAGAAGAAAAAGAAUUACAGGACUUACUGCAGGCGGCGGGUGUGCGCGGUCGUACGGCGGCUUGCCAAACUGCCAAUCCUUCUCCGACAACUUGCAGUUGGAGAAAUAGUUGACCAGUCGGGCCACCUCCAUGUCCGGCAGCUCCCACGUGCACAUCCGGCACGGGUCCCGGUGCCCACUCAUGCUGCUGAUAAUGUGGGGCCGGGCUUGGAGGGGGAGCACUCGGUGCGCCACAUAGGCGGCCAGCAGGUCCGAGCCCUUGAGGCCCUCCGACUCCGUCAUCACCUGAAGUUGGGCGAGGGCGAUGGAGGAGGUGGCCAACAGGGUGCUCGGCUUGUACCGCCAGUUGGCGCGCGGCUCAACAGGCGGGCCGGCUACAUAGGCCGGCAGGUUGAUGUAGUCCAGCGUCGGGUGAAUGUUCUUGAUAUAAAAAUAGGUCUUCUGCCACUGUUUGGCCGACUGCAGCAGGGAGAUGGCCGGGAAGCGAUUCUCGGCACCCGGACGCCGCACCGCCACGCAAGCUCCGCACUGAGCUGCCGUGCCCUUCGCGGCGGUGCCGAGCUUGAGGUAGAAGCACUCUCCCCAAAGUUCGAGAGUGGGGAGAGUACCAAGGUAGCCUUCGCACAUAGUGACGAAGGCGGCCAGCAGCACCACCGUGUUCGGCGUAAGGUGGUGUGGCUGGACUCGAUAGAAGUUGAGGAAGGAGCGCAGGAAGCCGCUCACUGGAAGGCCAAAGCCACGAAGGAAAUGCGACAGGAAGACAACGCGCUCGUCCUCCUCCGGCGCCGGAAAGAUUUCGGCCUCAGGGGGAACGCGCACCUUCACAUGCACCUCACGGGGCAGGCGUCGCGUCUGGUGGAGGAAGGCGAGAUGGUCCUCGUGCACGUUGGAUCUGUCCCAGGCCCCAGCCCGCGCGCGAGCCAUGUGCUCAGGUGCUCGCCGGAGGCGCGGCGCGGCGACGAACGCUCGAGACCUCGGCGGAGCGACGAGGCCGCGGCGAGAAGAAGCCCAUCGACGGAGAGCUGCGGCAGCGCUUCGGCGUGAGGAAGAGGUGUCGCGGCAGCGGAGAGGAGAAGAGGAAGAGUGCCGAAGGAAAAGGGAGAGGAGGGCGCGCGUGCGUCUGCCGUCCCCCUCCUCCCCCUACUUAGCCCCACGCGGCGGAGCCAAGGGGGCGAGAACAUGGGGGGUCGUGGGAUUAACUGCACGCACUCCCCCCACGAUCCCACAAUUACUGCGCCAGUUACGACGCGCAUUAAUGGCAGCGGAAGCCCAACCGCCCGCCUCAGCCCCAGUGGAUCCACGCGCGUGCCGAGGGCCUGUAGUGGCGGGAUCGGGCCUGCAGCGACGUCCUGUCGCGCACAUGGGCUGGCACGCUGGCUUGACCUCCUAACGCCGCGUGGCGGGCGAGCAACGGGCGGCAGGCCAACCAUCUGGCCGUCAUGUCACCCGACCCCGCGCGACGUUUCAAAUUCGCCAGGCGGGCGGCCUGGCCAUGGCCGACUCCAAAUAGUCAGCACCUCGGAAGACGUACGAAACAAAGCAACCAGACCACUCGGAGUAGGAAGCUGCCGAGGCCCCUCGCCUUUUCAGCCGGGGCGCCCCACAAGCUUCGAGGUCUACUGUCGGAGUAAAUGACCACGGGUAACCUCAUCAGCCCCAUGGUAUUUCAAGACAUCGGGGCCGGCUGCGCCCCUCGAGCGGCAGAGACAGAGGGCCGCCUUCUUGGGGCCGGCUGGUCCAAACGGUCGGCUGCUCGAAGGCGGCGGAAUCCAGAAGACAGCCAGGAAGUGGGCCGACUCCUAGCAGGUGGCUUCCAGGGAGCUCCUAGCAGGCGGCCCCUCGUGUCCUCAAAUUUAGCACCCACAUAAACAUGACGAGACGGGGUAUGGCUACAGUGCAGCCUACCACCCCCGAAUCCAGGGAGGAACGUGGCCACAGUGCAGCGUACCAGGUGGACAUCCCACGUCUGGCGCGGCACUGUUGCCACGCAGCUCGUGACAUCACCAUGACAGAGGGAGCCAUGCUCCCAUGACGGGCUGUCGGUACGGCCCGCAGGCGGCGGGCCCUACCUGUCCGUGAGAAGCCAGAAGGCGGCGAGCCCUGACCAGUCGGCUCAGGGGGAGGCCGGCUCCUAGCAGGCGGCCCUCCCUUUCUUUGAAGUUUGUGCGCCAUUAACCAGAAGAGAUGGGGACUGGCUACAUUGAACGCCCACCAGGCGGCGGGACUGCAGCCACGCUCUCCCCGACAAAUCACACAUUAUCAGCAGCACGGCUACAGUGCUGAGCAGCCAGCAGGACCCGCGAGCGGCGGGCGUGGCCUGUCGGCCAAGUACAAGACAGCGGGCGGGACCCACCAGGCGGCGGGCCCCAGCAGCCGGCGGAAAAGCCGGCCACCAGAGACACUGACAGCCGGGUCCUCCACACGGCCAGAUUACCGUUGUACCCCUGGGGGGUAGGCCUAUAUAAACCCCCCGGGGCACCCAUGCAAACGGUUGAGCUUCUUAGAUAGCACACACACAUAGAGAGAGGAGUAGAACUAGCCUUGCUCCUCUUCCUCCUCUAGCCAAAACAGCUCAAGGAGCAAGCUUGUAGCCACCUUGUUGAGAUAGUGAUCAUGCGGAGACCCCACAGAGCAGGACUAGGGGUGUUAUCUCCUAGGAGAGCCCCGAACCUGGGUAAGAUGCGUCGGCGUACGUGUCUAUGCCUUAUCCCGUUUCCAGGCAAUUGCGACGUAGUACUCUCCCCCACCAUGAUAAGCCAUCCUUUGUCAUAUGUCGCACGAAACCCCCGACAAUACUCUGUUCAUGUCUAUCAGUUUUAUACAUCAGUAUGUAUUUUAUCGAUCAUGAUGAUCGAAUACUUCAUCUAUAUGAAGAUUAUUCCUAAUGUAUCCAAACAAAGAUAUAUUCAUGUGGAACUUAUCAGUCUUCUUUAGACGUUUAGCAUAAAUGUUGUAAUACUUUAAAUCAUGAUUUCAUCAAUAAACCAUCGAAACUUGUUGUAAAUCCAAAACAUAUUCUUAUAAUUACUUCAACAACUAUUGUUCAAAAAUUUAUAAGAAUGCCCAUUGCAUAAUCUAAAACAUAAUGUCUUAUACAACCCUGGAACGUAAUAACUAUUAUUCGAUCCAAAGAUACAUCUUGAAGAUAGACUCCAUCAGUCUUGAGUAGCGAUCCCAUCACCAUCCUUGACAAUCAUUUUGUCUUUAUUUCUUCUCAACUUGUGAGCUUUCUGUAGUUCCUAUGUCAGAUUGCAAAUUAAAAGCAAUCGGUUAGUAUGAAAUACUUAUGACAUACAGAAACAAGUAAAACAACAUUAAUAUCGUAUAACUUGUAUACCUUUGUCUGAAGAACCAUUCUUCUUAUCUGCUAAGUACUUCUUGCAGUUCCGCUUCUAGUAACCCUUUUGUUUGCAGUAGAAACAUUCAGUCUCUUUGUUGGCUCCUGCUACUUCUUGAGAUUGCGUUGGUUUUUUCCUUGAAGAGGAAAGGGUGAUGCAACAAAGUAGAGUAAGUAUUUCCCUCAGUUUUUAGAACCAAGGUAUCAAUCCAGUAGGAGACAAUGCACAAGUCACCGAAUACCUGCACAAACAAACACUAACUUGCACCCAACGCGAUAAAGGGUUUGUCAAUCCCUUCACGGAUAUUUGCAAAGUGAGAUCUGAUAGAGAUGGAUAAACGGUAAAGUAAUAUUUUUGGUAUUUUGGGUUUAUGGAAUGGAAAGUAAAAGAUUACAAAGGAAGUAAAUAGGAAACUAAAAUUGUAGAUCGGAAACUUAUAUGAUGGAAAGUAGAACCGGGGGCCAUAGGUAUCAAUAGAGGCUUCUCUCAAGAUAGAAAAAUAUUACGGUGGGUGAACAAAUUACUGCCGAGCAAUUGAUAGAAAAGCGCAAAGUUAUGACGAUAUCUAAGGCAAUGAUCGUGAAUAUAGGCAUCACGUCCGUGUCAAGUAGACCGACUCCUACCUGCAUCUACUACUAUUACUCCACACAUCGACCGACUCCUGCUUGCAUCUAGAGUAUUAAGUUCAUAGAACAGAGAAAUGCAUUAAGUAAGAUGACAUGAUGUAGUGCGAUAAACUCAAGCAAUAUCAUGAAAACCCCAUCUUGUUAUCCUCGAUAGCAACAAUACAAUACGUGUCGGUUCCCCUUCUGUCACUGGGAUCGAGCACCGUAAGAUUGAUUCCAAAGCUAAGCACUUCUCCCAUUGCAAGAAAAACCAAUCUAGUUGGCCAAACAAAAUCGAUAGUUCGAAGAGACUUGCAAAGAUAUCAAAUCAUGCAUAUAAGAAUUCAGAGGAGAUUCAAAUAAUAUUCAUACAUAAGCUGAUCAUAAACCCACAAUUCAUCGGAUCUCGGCAAACACACCACAAAAGAGUAUUACAUCGAGUAGAUCUCCAAGAACAUCAAGGAGAACAUGGUAUUGAGAAUGAAAGAGAGAGAGAAGAAGCCAUCUAGCUACUAGUUAUGGACCCGCAGGUCUGUGGUAAACUACUCACGCUUCAUUGGAGAGGCAAUGGUGUUGAUGUAGAAGCCCUCCGUGAUCGAAUCCCCGUCUAACAGGACGCCGAAAAAGGCCCCUAGAUGGGAUAUCACGGGAAUAGAAGGUUACGGCGGUGGAAAAGUGCUUUUGUGGCUCUCCUGAUAGGUUUUGGAAUAUUUGAGAAUAUAUAGGUGGAAGAAAUAGGUCGGUGGAGUCACGAAGGGCCCACAAGGGUGGGGGGUGCCCACCGACUUUGUGUCCACCUCGUGGCUUUCCUAAUGUGUACACCAAGUCCUCUGGAUGUCUUCUGGUGAAAAAGCAUCGCGAAGGUUUCAUUCCGUUUGGACUCCGUUUGAUAUUCCUUUUCUGUGAAACUCUAAAAGAAGGAAAACAGGAACUGGCACUAGGCUCUAGGUUAAUAGGUUAGUUCCAAAAAUAAUAUAAAAUAGCAUAAUAAUGCAUAUAAAACAUCCAAAACAGAUAAUAUAAUAGCAGGGAACAAUCAAAAAUUAUAGAUACGUUGGAGACGUAUCAAGCAUCCCCAAGCUUAAUUCCUGCUCAUCCUCAAGUAGGUAAAUGAUAAAAACAUAAUUUUUGAUGUGGAAUGCUACCUAACAUAUUUAUCGAUGUAAUUGCUUCUAUUGUGGCAUGAAUGUUCAGAUCCAUAUGAUUCAAAGCAAAUAUUGACAUAAAAACAAUAAUACUUCAAGCAUACUAACAAGAUAAUUAUGUCUUCUCAAAAUAACAUGGCCAAAGAAAGCUUAUCCCUGCAAAAUCAUAUAGUCUGGCUAUGCUCCAUCUUCAUCAAACAAAAUAUUCAAAUCAUGCACAACCCCGAUGACAAGCCAAGCAAUUGUUUCAUACUUUUGAUGUUCUCAAACCUUUUCAACUUUCAUGCAAUACAUGAGCGUGAGCCAUGGAGAUAGCACUAUAGGUGGAAUACAAGGUGGUUGUGGGGAAGACAAAAAGAGGGAGAUAGUCUCACAUCAACUAGGCGUAUUAAUGGGCUAUGGAGAUGCCCAUCAAUAGAUAUCAAUGUGAGUGAGUAGGGAUUGCCAUGCAACGGAUGCACUAGAGCUAUAAGUUUAUGAAAGCUCAAAAAGAAAACUAAAUGGGUGUGCAUCCAACUUGCUUGCUCAUGAAGACCUAGGGCAUUUUGAGGAAGCCCAUCCUUGGAAUAUACAAGCCAUGUUCUAUAAUGAAAAAUUCCCACUAGUAUAUGAAAGUGACAACAUAGGAGACUCUCUAUCAUGAAGAUCAUGGUGCUACUUUGAAGCACAAGUAUGGAAAAGGAUAGUAACAUUACCCCUUCUCUCUUUUUCGCUCAUUUUUCUUUCUUUUUUUCUUCUUUUUUCUCUUUUUUAUUUAUUUUCUCCUUUCUUUUUUUCUUUCUUCUCCUUUUUUUCUUUUUUUUCCUCACAUGGGACAAUGCUCUAAAAAGGAAGAUCAUCAUACUUCUAUUUACUUACAACUCAAAAAAUUACAACUCAAUACUAGAACAAGAUAUGACUCCAUAUGAAUGCGUCCGGUGGUGUACGGGAUGUGCAAUGAAUCAAGAGCGACAUGUAUAAAAAAUGAUGAAUGGUGGCUUUGCCACAAAUACGAUGUCAACUACAUGAUCAUGCAAAGCAAUAUGACAAUGAUGAUGCGUGCCAUAAUAACGGAACGGUGGAAAGUCGCAUGGCAAUAUAUAUCGGAAUGGGUAUGGAAAUGACAUAAUAGCUAGGUAUGGUGGCUGUUUUGUGGAAGGUAUGUGGUGGGUUUAUAGCACCGAUGAAAGUUGCACGGUACAAGAGAGGCUAGCAAUGGCGGAAAGGUGAGAGUGCGUAUAAUCCAUGGACUCAACAUUAGUCAUAAAGAAAUCACAUACUUAUUGCAAAAAUCUAUUAGUCAUCAAAACAAAGUACUAUGCGCAUGCUCCUAGGGGGAUAGAUUGGUAGGAAAAUACCAUCGCUCCUCCCCGACCGCCACUCAUAAGGAAGACAAUCAAAAAAUAUAUCAUGCUCCAACUUCGUUACAUAAUGGUUCACCAUACGUGCAUGCUACGGGACUCACAAACCUUAACACAAGUAUUUCUCAAAUUCACAACUACUUACUUGCAUGACUCUAAUAUCACCAUCUUCAUAUCUCAAAAUAAUCAUAAGGAAUCAAACUUCUCAUAGUAUUCAAUGCACUUUAUAUGAAAGUUUUUAUUAUAUCCCUCUUGGAUGCCUAUCAUAUUAGGAAUAAAUUUAUAACCAAAGCAAAUUACCAUGCUGUUUAAAGACUCUCAAAAUAAUAUAAGUGAAGUACGAGAGUUUAUCAAUUUCUAUCUAAUAAAACCACCGCCGUGCUCUAAAAUGAUAUAAGGGAAGCACUAGAGCAAAAUUGCCUAGCUCAAAAGAUAUAAGUGAAGCACAUAGAGUAUUCUAAUAAAUCACGAUGCAUGCGUGUGUCUCUCUCAAAAGAUGUGUGCAGCAAGGAUGAUUGUGGAAAACUAAAAAGCAAAGAAUCAAAUCAUACAAUAUGCUCCAAGAAAAGCACAUAUCAUGCGGUGAAUAAAAAUAUAGCCUCAAGUAAAGUUACCGAUAGACGAAGACGAAAGAGGGGAUGCCUUCCGGGGCAUCCCCAAGCUUAGGCUCUUGGUUGUCUUGAAUAUUACCUUGGGGAGCCUUGGGCAUCCCCAAGCUUAGGCUCUUGCCACUCUUUAUUCCAUAGUCCAUCAAAUCCUUACCCAAAACUUGAAAACUUCACAACACAAAACUCAACAGAAAAUCUCAUAAGCUCCGUCAGUAUAAGAAAAUAAAUCACCACUUUUGGUACUGUUGUGAACUCAUUAUUUAUUUAUAUUGGUGUAAUAUCUACUAUAUUCCAACUUUUCCAUAGUUCAUACCCCCCGAUACGAGCCAUAGAUUUAUCAAAAUAAGCAAACAACACAAAGAAAACAGAAUCUGUCAAAAACAGAACAGCCUAUAGCAAUCUGGAUAUUUCGAAUACUUCUGUAACUCCAAAAAUUCUGAAAAAUUAGGACCGCCUAAGCAAUUUGUUUAUUAAUAUUCUUCAAAAAGAAUCGAUAUUUUAUCACGCUCCUGUUAAAAAUGAUCAUUGUUUUCUUGAGCGCAAAAGUUUCUGUUUUUCAGCAAGAUCAAAUCAACUAUCACCGUAAGCUAUCCCAAAGGUCUUACUUGGAACAAACACUAAUUAAAACACAAAACCACAUCUAACCAGAGGAUAGAUGAAAUAUUUAUUGCAAAACAGAACCUAAAAAGCAAAAACAAAAAUAAAAUUGGGUUGCCUCCCAACAAGCGCUAUUGUUUAACGCCCUUAGCUAGGCAUAAAACACGAAUAGAUCUAAGUAUUAUCAUCUUUGGUAUGCAAUACAUAAGUGGCUCUCAUAAUAGAUUCAUAAGGAAAUUUAAUUUUCUUUCUUGGGAAGUGUUCCAUGCCUUUCCUUAAUGGAAAUUGAAAUCUAAUGUUUCCUUCUUUCAUAUCAAAAAUCGCACCAAUCGUUCUAAGGAAAGGUCUACCAAGAAUAAUAGGACAUGUAGGAUUGCAAUCUAUAUUAAGAAAAAUGAAAUCUACGGGCACAUAAUUCCUAUUUGCAACAAUAAGAACAUCAUUAAUCCUUCCCAUAGGUUUCUUAAUAGUGGAAUCCGUAAGAUGCAAAUUUAAAGAACAAUCAUCAAAUUCACGGAAACCUAACACAUCACAUAAAUUUUUUGGAAUCGUGGAAAAACUAGCACCCAAAUCACACAAAGCAUGGCAUUCAUAAUCUUUAAUCUUAAUCUUAAGAGUAGGUUCCCACUCAUCAUAAAGUUUUCUAGGGAUAGAAACUUCCAAUUCAAACUUUUCUUCAAGAGAUUGCAUCAUAGCAUCAACGAUAUGUUUAGUAAAAGCUUUGUUUUGAUUGUAAGCACGAGGAGAAUUCAACAUGGAUUGCAACAAGGAAAUACAAUAUAUUAAAGAGUAAUUAUCAUAAUUAAAUUCCUUGAAAUCCAAAAGAGUGGGUUCAUCACUACCUAAAGUUUUGACCUCUCCAAUCCCACUUUUAUCAAUUUUUGCAUCAAGAUAUAAAAACUCCGAAUCAUUGGGACACCUUCUAACUAAAGUUGACUCAUAUCUAGUCCCAUGUUUAUCAAGAUUUAUAUUUGAAAACAAAGAUUAAAUAUGAGUCACAUCAAUCACUUUAAGAUCUUCAUCAUUAUUUUCACGGAAACUAGAAGAACAUGCUUUUAUAAACCAAGCUUUUUUAGCACGCAUUUUAGCGGUUCUUUAUUUGCGCUCAUCAAUGGAAAUUCUCAUAGCUUUGAGAGACUCAUUGAUAUCAUGCUUGGGUGGAAUAGAUCUAAGUUUCAAAGAAUCAACAUCAAGAGAAAUUCUAUCCAUGCUCCUAGCCAAAUCAUCAAUCUUGAGCAAUUUUUCUUCAUUCAAAGCAUUGAAACUCUUUUGCAAACUCAUAAAUUCUUUAACACUAUUCUCUAAUUCAUAGGGAAUCUUAUUAUAAUUUCCAUAAGAAUUGUUGUAGGAAUUACCAUAAUUAUUAGAGGAAUUACUAGGGAAUGGCCUAGGAUUAAAAUUACCUUUAUAAGCGUUAUUACCAAAAUUGUUCCUACCAACAAAAUUCAAAUCCAUAGAUUCAUUAUUAUUCUCAAUCAAAGUGGACAAAGGCAUAUCAUUAGAAUCAAUAGGAGCACUCCUGCUAGCAAAUAAUUUCAUAAGCUCAUCCAUCUUUCCACUCAAAAUAUUAAUCUCUUCAAUUGCGUGCACCUUUUUACUAGGGGAAGAUCUUUCGGUAUGCCAUUGAGAAUAAUUAACCAUAAUAUUAUAUAGGAGUUUGAUAGCUUCUCCUAACAUAAUUUCCAUAAAAGUACCUCCCGCGGCUGAAUCUAAAAGAUUUCUAGAAGCAAAAUUCAAUCCGGCAUAAAAAAUUUGUAUAAUCAUCCACAAAUUCAAACCAUGCGUAGGGCAAUUUCGUAUCAUCAGUUUCAGCCUCUCCCAAGAUUGUGCAACAUGUUCAUGAUCAAGUUGCUUAAAAUUCAUAAUAUCAUUCCUAAGGGAGAUGAUCUUAGCGGGAGGAAAAUACUUGGAAAUAAAAGCAUCUUUACACUUAUUCCAUGAAUCAAUACUAUUUUUAGGCAACGAUGAAAACCAAGUUUUAGCACGAUCUCGAAGCAAGAACGGAAAUAGCUUCAUUUUAACAAUAUCAUUAUCCACAUCCUUUUUCUUUUGCAUAUCACAUAAUUCAACGAAAUUGUAUAGAUGCGAUGCGGCAUCUUCAUUGGGAAGGCCAGUAAAUUGGUCUUUCAUAACAAGAUUCAGCAAAGCGGUAUUAAUUUCACAAGAUUCCGCAUUAGUAGCGGGAGCAAUCGGAGUACUAAUAAAAUCAUUGUUGUUGGUACUAGAAAAGUCACACAAUUUGGUAUUCUCGUGAGUCAUCAUGACAAAGCAAGCAAUCCAACACAUGAGCACACAAAAAGCAAGCGAAGAAGACGAACAGAAGAGGGGCGAAGAAAAGGUAAAUCUUUUCGAAAAACAUUUUAGAAGUGGGGGAGAGGAAAAUGAGAGGCAAACGAAAAAUAAUGUAAUAAAAGAGAUGAGAAUUUAUGAUGGGUACUUGGUAUGUCUUGGCUUGGCGUAGACCUCCCCGGCAACGGCGCCUAAAAUUCUUCCUGCUACUUCUUGAGCUUGCAUUGGUUUUUCCCUUGAAGAGGAAAGGGUGAUCCAGCAAAGUAGAGUAAGUAUUUCCCUAAGUUUUGAGAACCAAGGUAUCAAUCUAGAAGGAGAUGACGCACAAGUCACAGAAUACCUGCACAAACAAACACCAACUUGCACCCAACAUGAUAAAGGGGUUGUCAAUCCCUUCACGGUUAUUUGCAAAGUGAUAUCUGAUAGAGAUGGAUAAACGGUGAAGUAAUAUUUUUGGUAUUAUUGGUUUAUGGAAAGGAAAGUAAAAGAUUGCAAAGGAAGUAAAUAGGAAACUAAAAUUGUAGAUCGGAAACUUAUAUGAUGGAAAGUAGACCCGGGGGGCAUAGGUUUCACUAGAGGCUUGUCUCAAGAUAGAAAAUAUUACGGUGGGUGAACAAAUUACUGCCGAGCAAUUGAUAGAAAAGCACAAAGUUACGACGAUAUGCAAGGCAAUGAUCAUGAAUAUAGGCAUCACAUCCGUCUCAAGUAGACCGACUCCUGCCUGCAUCUACUACUAUUACUCCACACAUCGACCGACUCCUGCCUGCAUCUACAAAUAUUAAGUUCAUAGAACAUAGCAACGCAUUAAGUAAGAUGACAUGAUGUAGCGGGAUAUACUCAAGCAAUAUGAUGAAAACCCCAUCUUGUUAUCCUUGAUGGCAACAAUACAAUACGUGUCGGUUCCCCUUCUGUCACUGGGAUCGAGCACCGCAAGAUUGAACCCAAAGCUAAGCUCUUCUCCAAUUGCAAGAAAAACCAAUCUAGUUGGCCAAACCAAAUCGAUAGUUAAAAGAGACCUACAAAGAUAUAAAAUCAUGCAUAUAAGGAUUCAGAGGAGAUUCAAAUAAUAUUCAUAGAUAAGCUGAUGAUAAAUCCACAAUUGAUCGGAUCUCAGCAAACACACGGCAAAAGAGUAUUACAUCGAAUAGAUCUCCAAGAACAUCGAGGAGAACAUGGUAUUGAGAAUCAAAGAGAGAGAAGAAGCCAUCCAGCUACUAGCUAUGGACCCGUAGGUCUGUGGUAAACUACUCACUCUUCAUCGGAGAGGCAAUGGUGUUGAUGUAGAAGCCCUCUGUGAUCGAAUCCCCCUCCAGCAGGACACCGGAAAAGGCCCCUAGAUGGGAUCUCACGGGUUCAGAAGGUUGCGGCGGUGGAAACGUGUUUUCGUGGCUCUCCUGAUAGGUUUUGGAAUAUUUGAGAAUAUAUAGGUCGGUGGAGUCACGAGGGGCCCACAAGGGUGGGGGUGCGUCCUACCCCCCUGGGCACGCCCUCCGACCUUGUAGCCGCCUCGUGGCUUUUCUGACUUGUACUCCAAGUCCUCCGGAUGUCUUCUGGUCCAAGAAAAUUCAUCGUGAAAGUUUCAUUCCGUUUGGACUCCGUUUGAUAUUCCUUUUCUGUGAAACUCUAAAACACGGAAAAAACAGGGACUCGCACUGGGCUCUAGGUUAAUAGGUUAGUCCCAAAAAUAAUAUAAAAUAGCAUAAUAAUGCAUAUAAAACAUCCAAAACAGAUGAUAUAAUUGCAUGGAACAAUAAAAAAUUAUAGAUACAUUGGAGACGUAUCAGCUCUGCCCUUGUUCUUCUCCUGGGAAGCGGUCUUACCAGCACCAGUAGAUUUCUUCUUGGAUUUGCCCUUCUUCUUGAAACUGGUAGUCUUGUUGACCAUCAACACUUGUUUGUUCUUCUGCAUCCCAGCUUUCGCAGUUUCGAGCAUAGCAAACAACUGGUUUGCACUUUUAUCCUUCACGUUCAUGUUGUAAUUCAUGAUGAAACCAUCGUAAGAUGGGGGAGUGAAGCAAGCACAAUAUCUGUACCGAGUGUUGGCGGAAUUCCAAAUUCUAGUGAAGCAAGCCUAUCAAUAUAGCCAGCAAGCUUCACUAUAUGCUUACUCACUGAGGAACCCUCUUUCAUCUUGCAUUCCAUCAGGGCCUUGGUUAAUUCAAACCGUUCGGUCCUUGCCUGUUUCUUGUACAAAACUUCCAGUGACCCAAUUAUAAAUUGAGUGGGGGAUCAUUCAAAACGCUUCUAUAGUUCAGGAUCCAUGCAAGUUAACAUGAGGCACUGGAUUGACUCAUAGUUGUCACUACGAGUAGCAUAAGCAGCAACUUCUUCUGGUGCAGCAUCUUUUGAAGGAGCUUCACCUAGGGGUUGAUCCAGCAAGUACUCCUUUUUAGCACUACUAAGAACAAAUCUCAGGUUUUGGAUCCAAUCCGCGUAGUUUCCAUGAUUUGCAGCCACCUUUUCUUUCUCAAGCAUAGGGGCUAAGUUGAACAUAUUGCGAGCCAUCUACAAUUACAAACACACAAAUAAUUUUAAAAAUAAUUCAUAAUUAAUUUACAGCACUUAUUGUUUAAACAAGUUUUAAUAUAAAGUGCACUCUGACUCAAAUUAAUAUCCCUCAUAAUUAAUUGUGAGUGAUUCAAGAUCCAAGUCUACUUCUCUGCCAUUGAUGUGUGCAUCACUGAUGACGAGAAUUUUGACCGGUAGGCAAUCCUUUGCUGAUCAUAUCUCCAUAUGACUCUUGUUCAUCUUUCAAUGAUUUUUUGCUCUGAGCUCAGAACUAUUCUGCCAGAACUUCAAGACAACCCAGUGCAAUCUACAUGUAUGGUCUGACGAUUGUUGCUUUACACCCAACAAUCCAUUUGUACUCAUGUGGACAUGACACACUCCGAAUCGUAAGUGUUAUAGAUGGUUGCUACCCUGGGAAGAGCACAUUUUGACUUGAUAUUUUAGUGAGAGAUCACCCUAAUAAUUGACUAAUAUGCAAUCAAAGGGUGCAAACAACAAAGGGAUAAACAUUUUAGGCAAUUCAUAAUAGCAUGAUAUGGUAUAGCCCUGGGCGCCGGGAGUCCUCCAUGGUCAUCUUCAAUCUCCAGUUGAUGCGACGUGAUGACCACUAUUUUGUUACCGAGGCAAUUGUUUCAAAAACAUUGCCAUGGUGGCAAUCUCAAAAAAUUUUGCCGUGGCGACCGUUUCAGAAAACGUUGUCGUGGAAACAAAAUCUGAAAUUCCGUUGUGGUACGAAAUUAUAGCUCCUCGUCCCGUGCCUGGUACACCUUCUCCUCGUCGGGGUCCUCCGUGUACGUUUUGCCACCAUCACCUGUAACCUAUUUCUACGAUGUUUACAUUAAGGUGGCAAUCCCGUGGCUCCAGCCAUCAUGCCGUGACACGUAGGCCACUUAACAUUACAACAUAUAACCAUAUCAUGCAUAAACUCAUUAUCAUGACGAAGGCUAUACCACAACAUAUGCAAACCCUGCAAAACAAAGUUAGAUGUCCUCUAAUCGAUUUUAGCAAAAUUAUAGUAACAAGGUUAACCAGUUUUAGCAAUUAAGACUACACUACUAGGGAAAACCCUAGUAGCAGUGCUUGAAAUAUGCAUAGCAGUAGCGCUGGGUCCAGCGCUACUGCUAGCUCGCUACAGCUAAGUUGUAGCAGUAGCGCUGGUAUGGGCAGCGCUACCGGUAAGUAUUGUUAGGAGUAGCGCUUCUUGGAUCAGCGCUACUAAUACCUAUCUGUAGCGCUUGUUCAUAGGAAGCGUUGCUGCUAAUCCGGCGCUACUGCUAGGUGCUUUCCAGCGCUACUGCUAAUGUUCCUGCUUUCACCAAUUCGCACCCCUCUACGUAUUUGUGUUGUAUUUAUACAGGCUCUAUACAAUAGUUUCAUCACAUCAUACUAAACAUACACUAUUCUCAUCAUAUCAUAGACAUACAGUAGUCUCAUCAUACCAUCAUCAUCAUUCAACACAAAUAUCAUCAAAUCUCGAAAAUAGCGAUACACAAGUGCGAUCAUGUCAUGUCUCGAAUAAGUGCAACUGCAUGGUCAUGGAACACACACAAGUUUCAUCAUCUCUAUCUAAACCAUGAUGUAGAAGAGAAGAGCGAUCAGCAUGAGCAAGAGCGCGACUAUGUAGUACCGGCGGUCCCGCCCCUGCUCAUGCUGGAGUGUCCACCUCAAGUAAACACUUUCCGCUUCGGCUCUGCUGUCGAACCCUCUGUGGCUAGCACCCGGGUACCUGUGCACCUGGGCUUGAGCGGCUGGCCAGUGGUCGUAGACUCCUGGAACCCUCCCAACAUACACAGCAUAGUAUCCCUUCGCCAUCUCUGAUCUAUGUACCUGCAUCGUGAGUUGAUGAAUUGAACGAUAAUAUGCAACAUAAUGUACUUAAGAAAACAAGGAGGCAUAAUUAGCAAAAUACAAGCAACCAAUAGUAAACAUAAAUGACGAAGUUCCUCAUACCCAAACUAAUUAACUAGAGUGAUCUACGCUAGUUCAGGACCACGGUUUAGUUACAUCACAUAGUUUCGCCGUGCAUAAAUUCAAAGUUUUGCCAUAGAAAGACAGUAGUGACACAUUGUCAUCAACAAUCAGUCCUCCAUGUCGGCGGUCCAAUCUUCAUAGUCUGGGAGGAAGCACCUGAGCUUCUUGAAAGGCUUCAGGUCCAGACGCUGAGCGAGUAGCAGUGCUCGGACAUCUUCCCGCGUGAUUGGCCCAUGGUAGAACAUCCCUGUUGGUUCGAGGACCUGCUUCAUGAUCACUUGGCAAGUUCAAACUGUAUGUGAUAAAACUCAGCUCUGAUUCGAUGAUCCGGUGUCCUUCCUAUGCUUGUGGCCCAGCUGACAAUCUCGGCAUCAUUGGUAGUAGGUGACAUGCGAAGGUGUUGAUUAUCCCUUCUGUACUCGAGUAGGUGAUGCAUGAGGUAGAAUCCAUCAGCCAUACUGGUGUGCGGUUGUUGGAUGCAGCAGAAGUCGGUCUUAUGACCGAAAGCCAGCCCACGAUUCCUGUACUUUUUCACCUUGAUAUAUCCACCAGACAGGCUGAAGGUUAACAGGGCACUAUCGAGAACACUCUUUAUGUGCUUGUAAUCCUUUUUCCUGAGGUUCUCCGAUGAGUCCAAGUACAUCACAUGGGAGUAUUCNNNNNNNNNNNNNNNNNNNNNNNNNNNNNNNNNNNNNNNNNNNNNNNNNNNNNNNNNNNNNNNNNNNNNNNNNNNNNNNNNNNNNNNNNNNNNNNNNNNNNNNNNNNNNNNNNNNNNNNNNNNNNNNNNNNNNNNNNNNNNNNNNNNNNNNNNNNNNNNNNNNNNNNNNNNNNNNNNNNNNNNNNNNNNNNNNNNNNNNNNNNNNNNNNNNNNNNNNNNNNNNNNNNNNNNNNNNNNNNNNNNNNNNNNNNNNNNNNNNNNNNNNNNNNNNNNNNNNNNNNNNNNNNNNNNNNNNNNNNNNNNNNNNNNNNNNNNNNNNNNNNNNNNNNNNNNNNNNNAUGCUUGCAAAGGAAUGAUUAACACUUACGAAAGGAUAUGUGCGGAUGACUUACGUGGGAUGAUAAGGCAAGAGAAUCACUUCCUUGUCCUUAUUAGCGAUCAUGAAUUCGCUGAGGUACUUGCUCGCAUAGUGACGGUGCUCUUUGCAAACUGCCAAGAAGCUCUCGUGCAUAUAGAACGGGUCCGCGAUGCAGAUAUAUUUGAUGUUCUUGAGCCUGAUGAAGUACUUCAGAUACAGUGCAUACAUGCGGAUGAACUGGAAAUCCAGCUUGGUCAUGUGGAACAUGUCGUAGAUGUAGUCAAAUCGCAGGAUGAACUUAUUCGCGGGCCAUCUCUCAACGUACAACCUCCCACCCGGCACCUGAGCCACGUAAAGUGGGUAUCCUGGUUUUUCCGCGACCAUAAGGCUUUUCUCUCUGGCCAGCACAUCUUCAUGGAGUCUCCUUAGAUCAUUGUUCAGUAUGUGCUCUAGCACUUUCGCAGGUAGGAUCGGCUGGCCGGUGACAUGGAAGCGCUGCGCACCUUCGACAGGUAUUCUGUCUUCCAUCCGGGGCUCCAGAGGCGGCUGGCUGCUUGAAGCAGCUCUAGCUCCUUUAGGGCCAUUCUUGUCCGGUCUCCUCCUUUGCUUCUUGGUGGGUGGCGGUAGUGAUCCCACCAUACCUUCCCUAACAACCACCCUAGUGUCGUCGGGCUAAUCAGUGGACGGGCCUCGAGGGGUUGCUGGGUACAGGUGGCAUCUGGAGGCGUCUCCUGCGAGGAUCGCUUGAAGAGAGACUUUUUGCAUUCCGCCUUAGGAUGUUCUGGCUCCGGCAAAUCAGGCAGCAUCAAGUCAUCAUCUCUGCGCUCAUAGCCUGAGUCUUCGCCGUCCUGAGCCAUCAAUCCUCCAUCAUCAUAGGCGGUAUUGAAAUACUUGUCUGGGGCAUCAUCCUCAUCAUCCUCCAUGUCAUCAUCAACAUUUGCUUCUUUAACAACGGGGGCUACAUCAUCUGGCACUAAUGGAGGCUCUCCCUCGCGUCGUCAACUAUCACUCGCCACGACAGGUGCAGGUAAUGUGGUAGGUGGGGUGGUGUUCAUACCUUCUUGAGAAGGUGGCGUUGGCUUGAUACUGGGAGCCUCGAGACGAAGAAGACACUUGGGCCAAGGCAAGAACCAGCUCUUGCAUGCGCCAAUCAUCUUAGGGGUCUCGUCAUCAUCGACUGGUACCAGAGGAGGCAAAUCCUCGAAGCCCGCUAAGACACUGAUCACGUUAACCUUGAAGACGCCAUCGGGCAUCUCUCGGUUGUGGAACAUGCGGUCCUUUGGCUUCACGAUCGUUGCCUUUCCCACGGCCACCUUCUGGUCGUUGAUGUCCUAGAGUAGGGUGCAUGGGGUGUCAUCGGCCUACGAAGGAGACAUGUCUGCGACGUCAAACAUCCGAAAGGCAACUGAAACAGAAGACUAUAGACAUGCUGGUGAAAAGGUAUGACGCGUAAUUACCGUGAGGGUGUCGAGCUCAGCCAGCGAUCAAGGCCCACCGACCAUGCAAGAGACGGAGGUCGGGCUUCUAUGAAUAGGAGCAGGACCUUUUGCAGUUGCUUGAGCAGGUGCUGGUGCUCUGGUGUUCACCGAAUUGCUCCCGACAAAGCUAGGAAGGGGAAAGUCCUCCGGCCGUGCAUUUGGAUUGUUCUUCAUGAAAUCCCAUAGUGCCGGAAGCAAGCUGACCACCGCGUCAGUGACCACUGCAGAGACGGCCCCGAGCAACUCUUCUUUGGUCUCAGCUUUGGUCUUUUCGACCGCAAUCUUGACCUUCUCGUCGAUGCUCUGCUGAGUGAUGACCGAGCCUCUCUUCCUUCUUUCCUCUAGCUCCUCGGGGUACCACGUCUUCCAUGAGGUGCCAUCUCUGACACUGUGCACACGUCCAUAGGACGGCGGCUUGUCCACCGGGACAUUCUUCAGUAUGUUCAGGGCCCGGUUGAAUGGGGUGUCCCACUUGGGCCUUGCCGACGACUGUGAUGACUCGUCGCUUUCGGCUGCCUUUUAGUGCUGCCCUUUCUGCAAAAGGAACGUGGAUGGUUUACUAAUGUGACAAAACUUGCAGUCGAAUUGAUUGGAAGCUAUAAUAUGAUAAUGUGGUAAUAUAACAAUUCCCAGAAGUCUCAUGAACUCCCUCGUGUUCGGGUCCGUGUAAAAGAGCUUUUUUUCUUUGUCCCACUUGUACCGGGCCCUGAUCCGGUCAUGCUCCAGCGGGUCGCCGAACUCCACCAAGGGGUCGGGGAUUCCGUGAUUUUCACGUUCGGCGUCCUCCUAGGCCCAUACGGCCCUCUUCCCCUCGUAACCACGGCUUCCGAGGCGGUGGGGAGGCGUGUUCCUGGCCUGGAGCGCCUUUAUUUUCUUCGACUUUGCCUUGACACUUUCUUUAGCGCAAUUCUCCUUGAAUUUUGCAAAGUUCUCUUCUAUUAUUGACGAAUUGUCAGCAUGAAUCUUGGACCACGGUUCAUUCUUCGCAAUCGCUUUUUUCAACCGAACUUUCCAGGCGGACAAGUCGUUGGUGAACGUCACCAUCGCCUUGUCGUUUAUCUUUGUCAUGGCGAUGUCUUUCCAUGGAUCUUCAUAUUCUUUUUCCUUGCGGUCAGGGAACAAGAACCUAUUGUGCAACUUCUUUAGGAGCAUGUUCUCCAUAUGUGGUAUGAGCCUCAACCUCUCGUCGUAGAUGUUGGCGGUUUCCCUAUGGAUGCAUCCAAGUUGAUUGCCCCAGCACUUGCGCGCUUCCUCCAGCACCGUUGGCUCUAACUUCUUGGGGUGCAUCUCCGUGACCACAAUUUGUCCGAUGCCAAGCUUGUUUCGUCUUCGUGUCCCCUUCUUCUUCGGUGCUUUAUUGGCUACGACAGCAUCGUUGCCGGUCUCGGGGUGGUGUCGGUGCCGGUGCCAGUGUCGGGGUUGGUGCCACUGCCGCCACCAUGCAACCCCAUCUGGUGUUCGUCCAGGUAAUGGAAAUAGUGAUUUGCCGCCUCGAUGGGGUCUUCGAGGCGAGCAGAACCACCCGCGACUUCGGCGUCGGUAGACAUGUUUCCUAUUCAACAACUGUAAAUAAAAGAUAUAAUGAAAUGAAAAAGGGACCUAUAUUUGGUCGGAAUGUUGAUUCAUUCCCCUUCUCGCAAAUUCCGGGUACUCCAUAUGUCCUAGUUUCUAGCACAAGUCAUGCAGAAAAUCACAGAAAUUUUUGGCAUGACCUUUGCUAAAAAGUGGACAUAUGGAGCGCCUAAAAUUUGCCGAAACGGAAAUGAAUCAACAUUCCGGAAAAACAUAGGCCACUCGGAUAUUCUUCGACAAUUGGCACAAUUUCAUAUAACAGAUUUGAUCGAUGCUAUCUCAAGAGAACAUGGCAACAUUAUAUGACAGAUUUCCAAGACUUCGCAAAUUAACCAAGUGUUAAAAACAACAACAUUGUAUAGGCUAUUGCAUUAGUUUUUAUUUGCUACUGUUUUUUUCCUAAAUGAUCUCUCUCUCGCUCUCUCUCUCUCUCUCUCUCUGCUACUGACCCUAAUUAAUUAGCUAUUGCAUUAGCUACUACCCUAAACAAAUUUUCCCUAGCUAAAUUUGCUCAUUUGCUAAAAAAAUAUUGGCCCUAGCUUCUACUGCCCUAAUUAGCUACAGCUUUUUAUAAAUUUUUGCUACUGUUUCUAUAACUAAUUUAUAUACCUACAAAAACUAAUUAGCUGCUGUUUUUUUUAAAUUUUAGUUACUGUUUUUCAUACCUACAAAAACCAAUUUGCUACUGUUUUUUAUUUGCCCUAAACUAAUUUGCCCUAAACUAAAUUGCACUAAACUAAAUUUUCCCUAAACUAAAUUUGCUAAAUUGCCCUAAAAUAAAUUGCUCUCUCUCUGCUACAUCUCCUAGCUAGGGUUCAUACAUCCAACACUUAGAGAGAGAGACAGCAGAGAGCAGAGAUAGAGAGAGAGAGAGAGAGAGGGGAGGGCAGGGGAGAGGAGAGGAGAGGCAAAGGCUUACGGGGCAGUGGAGAGGGCGGCGGCGGCUAGGUCAAGGGCGGGCGCGGGCCAGUGAGNNNNNNNNNNNNNNNNNNNNNNNNNNNNNNNNNNNNNNNNNNNNNNNNNNNNNNNNNNNNNNNNNNNNNNNNNNNNNNNNNNNNNNNNNNNNNNNNNNNNNNNNNNNNNNNNNNNNNNNNNNNNNNNNNNNNNNNNNNNNNNNNNNNNNNNNNNNNNNNNNNNNNNNNNNNNNNNNNNNNNNNNNNNNNNNNNNNNNNNNNNNNNNNNNNNNNNNNNNNNNNNNNNNNNNNNNNNNNNNNNNNNNNNNNNNNNNNNNNNNNNNNNNNNNNNNNNNNNNNNNNNNNNNNNNNNNNNNNNNNNNNNNNNNNNNNNNNNNNNNNNGGGCCAGUGAGGUCGAGGGGGGGCGCAGGGGCGCAGGCCGGCGAGGUCGAGGGCGGGCGCAGGGGCGCGGGCCGACGAGGUCGAGGGAGGGCGCAGGGCGAUGGCCGGCGGCGGCGAGGUCGUGAGGGCGUCGACGGCGGGCACAGGGGCAAGGUGGAGAUGGGGGGGCAAUAGGACUUGGUGAAAUUUUUAGCCCGCGCAGUGCGGGGGUUAACUUAGCUAUAGCGGUAGCGCUGGUUUGUAAACAAUCGCUAUAGCUAAGUUAGCUAUAGCGCUUGUUUACAAACCAGCGCUACCGCUCUCUUUUCCAAUUUUUAUUUUUUAAAUUCUAAAAUACUUAGCUAUAGCGCUGGUCCACACACAAUCGCUACUGCUAUUUUCCUUUUCUAGAUUUUAGUUUUAUUUUAUUUUACUAUUUUCCUUUUGUUUUUUAUUUAUUAUUUUCCUUUUCUUUUCUGUUUACUUUCCUUUUUCUUUUGUACUGCUUUCUCCCUUUUGUUUUUGUUUUUCUCCCGACGGCGGCAUCUCCCUCUCCCCCACUGCGCGAAUAUCACCGGAACCAUGCAUGUCGUGGUAACAUAUCAGUUGACCGAUAACGGUUACUUAAGUGCGUACCCAAAAUAGAUACAUAUAUAUAAAUGUAGGUUUCUGAUCAGCUGCGUCGACGACGUUUCACAUUGAGCUUCUUCCCUUUCUUGUUCGUUGCCGAGUAAUUGAGCCCCUCCUUGUGACUUUUCCGGAGCCAUGGAUUACCAUCUUUCUUAGGUAAUGUAGUAUUGAUUCUUCUUUUCACGUAUGCUUCAUCGUCAUCGUCAUCUUCCCUCAUCGGGUUGCCGUAUUGGUAGUAGUCUUCCUCGUUGGCUACUCCAUCCAUUCCGACGAUGCUCCUUUUGGAUCUCCUCACGACAACACGGCUGGGAUUGGCCAGGUCGGUUAUGAAGAAGCAUUGUGUCACGUGCUUAGCGUGUACCCAUGGCUCAUUUUUGGCGAUGACGUUAACGUUCACGGGAGUGCUCUUCGCGUCGGGUAUAGACAUGGUGGUGAAAUACUUGUUUUCUCUUACGACGUCCUUGGCCCAUCUGACACAGAACAUCGUCACAUCGUGCAUUCCAGCAUAGUCAAGCUCCCAUAUCCCUUCGACCCUUCCGUAGAAUCUCUCAGUUGUGCCGUUGGCGUCAGUCACGCUUUGAAUUGUCACCCAAGAGUUCUGGUAAUCACUGUCCAUGUCUUUGGCCUCUGUGUAGAACGUGUAGCCAUUGAUAUCGUAGGACUGAUAGGUCGCGAGCUUGGGUGCGGGGCCAUGUGCUAAGGCGUGUACGAGCAAUCCGUCCGAACUACCCUCUUCCGGGGGAUUUUCAAGAACUUGUUGUUUAAACUAGUGCAAGAAAGUGGCGUUGUGCUCUACAGUAACUUCUUCGUCCGUCUUGAGCAUCCCCUUAUCACGGUACUUCUUUGCGAUGGUUUCUUUGUGUUGUGCCACAUAAUCAUCUACCACAUCUAGGUGUUGUAGCACUACGAAGUUAGCCCUGUCAAAGUCGUUCCGUAUAUCCGAGUAGUCCACGUGCAAUUCCCUCCGGCCGUUGUUGUGACCAUCUCCUUCGAGCUUCCCAUCGUGCUUCUUGAUGGGCAAACCAACAACAGGGUCUCCGACGCGUAUAUAAUUAUCGCAAAAGGAGACCCACUCAUGCGUCAGAUACCCCUGGAUGAUGCUCCCUUCCGGACGGGACAUGUUACGAACGAAUCCUUUGAUGACCCCAUUCAUCCUCUCGAACGACAUCAUGCUGUGAAGGAAUGUCAGCCCGAGGUCAAUGAUGGCGUCCACGAUGUGGACACACAGAUGCACCAUGACGUCAAAGAAUGCGGGCGGGAAGUACAUCUCAAGCUCACAUAGUAUGACAACGAUCUCUUCCUGUAGCCUUCGGAGCUGCUUCACACUUAUGGACUUUUGAGAUAUAACGUCGAAGAAGUUGCAGAGACCAGUAAGCGUGUCACGGACGUGCUUCUCCAUUAUCCCUCUAAUGGCAACCGGGAGUAUCAGCGUCAUCAUCACGUGACAGUCAUGAGACUUCAUCCGCUGAACCUUUUCUUCUUGGGGUCUAGAAAUCUGCUUAUCUUCCCACAGUAACCAAAACUGACUUUGAUUCUCAUAAGGCACUUGAUGAAUUGAUCGAUCUCCUUCGCACUUAAGGUGAAGUAAGAAGGGGGGCAAUAAUUCUCCUCCUUCUUGUUGACUUUUCUGCCCCUUCCCCCCUCCUCCAUCUCCGUCUCCAUCUCCUCCAUCGACUUUUUACGGUGGAGAUCUUUCCUGAUCUUAAAAUCUUCCAAGUCUUUCCUUGCCUUCGGCCCAUCCUUGGUCUUCUCCGGCAUGUUCAUCAGUGUGCCAAGCAAGAUCUCGAGGACAUUCUUCAUGAUAUGCAUUGGAUCAAGGCAAUGAGGUGUGUCAUGAUUGGGCCAGUAAUCCAAGUCCCAGAAAACAGACCUCGUUUUCCAUACCUUCAGCAGCGGCUCCGACGCCUUUUUGAUCUUUCCCGGCGCGGGGCAUUGUUCCCAGUUUCUGAACAGCUCGUCGAUUUCGGCGCCGCUCCUCUUACGUGGAGGUCCUCGAAGCUCAGCCAACCCAUUGAAUAGAUCUCCACACUUUCUCCACGGGUCAUCCUUCUCGAGCCAUCUACGAGGCCCCAUGUACACGAUUUUCCCGGACCCGCCAUCUUUCGUUGACGUAAGCUGCUGAGACGUUGUAUCAUCCAUGCACCUCGUGCAUCCGCAGUAUCCGUGGCACACCUGGCCUGAGGUGUACCCGUAACUGAGAUAGUCGUGCACCAUCGUCAUCAGCGCGGCUCUCAUAUGGAAAUAUUCUCCUUUGCUGGCGUCCCAUGUCCAUGCCGGUUUUUUCUAUAACGUGUCUAGCUCCUCUUGCAGAAGCCCCAUAUACAGGUUAAUACUAUUUCCCGGUUGUUUUGGCCCUUGAAUCAGCAUGCUCAUGUGUAUGUACUUUGUCUUCAUGCACUUCCAUGGGGGGAGGUUGUACAUCCAUACAAACACGGGCCAUGUGUUGUGGUUGGUGUUCUGGUUUCCAAACGGAUUAAUGCCAUUGGUACUCGCACCAAGCACGAUGUUCCUUGGAUCUUCUGCAGCAAAUCCAUAUACGACGUUGAAUGCUCUCCACUGGCUACCAUCUACGAGGUGUCUCAGCCUCAGAUCAUGUCCAGCGUCAGGCUUCUUCCUCUCCGCGUGCCAGCGCAUGAGCUUUGCUUCCUUAGGAUCUACGAAAUACCGCUGCAGACGGGGAGUGAUCGGAAAGUACCAUACAACUUUCCGAGGAGCUUUCUUUCCUGCCAUUUUUUAUCGAGAAGCAUUGCACACUGGACAACUGGUUUUUCCCGCGUGCUCCCCCGAUAAAUGAUGCAAUUGUUGAUGCAUGCAUGGUACCUAAUGUGCGGCAAAUCAAAAGGGCAAACGAUUUUCUUGGCCUCCUCGACACUAGUAGGACACAGGUUCCCCGCGGGAAGAACUUUAUUAUGUAGAAACCUCAAAUGCUCAUUGAGGCUUUUGUCUGUCCAUUUGUUUUUGGCUUUCGUCUUUAGAAGUUCGAGCGUGAAACUCAAGCGGGUCACCUCGGGAUCACAACCGUCAUACAAUGGAGUCCUCGAGUCUACUUCGAGUUGCGCCAACUUGGCCUCCUCUCUAGAAGCAGCUCUCUCGCUAGUCGUACUCUUGCGAAGGAGGUCUCGAACAUGAGGGUCCUGCACGACUGCACUUAGUAGCAUCAAAGACUGCGGCGUGAUCGCUGCCUCUUCUCCGCCAUGUCCAGACUCUUCUUCGUCCAGAAACUUCUCCACCACCGUCGUCAUUUCCGGACUCUUCCCCGCCAACAUGUCCGGUGCCAUCGUCUUCUUGUCGAUCGGUCAUCUCUUUGUCUAGCCCCAUGUCGUUAUUCCCUGCCAUGUGGAUGUCCUCAUCAUCAUCUUCUUCAGUUAUCCACUGAGUAUAGCCAUCCAUGAAACCAUUCAUCAGCAGGUGCGCCUUUAAAGUGCCACGAUCAAAAGGGUCCAAAAGGACUCCUUCCUUGCAUCUUGCACACGGACAUCUACAGUCCGAUUAUUUGCAUACAUGUCCAUCACCACGGAUUGCAUGUACCGCUCCACCUUCCAUUCACUCACCUUCAUGACCCACUACACAGUAUAACAAGCAAAAGGGUUAUGAAAUAAAUAAUGCAUGCUUCAAAGUCAUAUAUAUAUAAUUUUGGCAUGACCUUGCCUAAAAAUAGGACAUAUGAGUUUGCUCGGAAUUCACCGAAACGGAAAUAAAUCGACAUUUCGGCAAAACAUAAGCAACUCGAGGGCAUGUCACUAGCACAAAUCUCUCCAUAUAUAUAUCCCAAACACACGUAUUCUCAUUCACACACAUAUUCCCAUUCUUAAAUGAACAACUUUUUACUCACCUAUAUAUCUCUCCCGAGAGAGACCGAGAGCACGCGGUUAAUUAGAUGAUGAGAGAGAACGAUCGACAGAGCAUGUGUGGUUGGCUAAAUAGCUAGCUAGAUCUAGUUGUUGGGGAGGAGAGGUGAAUCUAGCUAGCUAACUAAUGGAGAGGGGUUAUGGUGGAUGGGGGCAUUAAUGGGGGAGAGAAGUGAGGUGUAGGAGAAAGAGAGAGGCCAUUUAUGGAGGAGGGUGCCAUUAAUGAGGAGAGAAGAGAGGUAGGNNNNNNNNNNNNNNNNNNNNNNNNNNNNNNNNNNNNNNNNNNNNNNNNNNNNNNNNNNNNNNNNNNNNNNNNNNNNNNNNNNNNNNNNNNNNNNNNNNNNNNNNNNNNNNNNNNNNNNNNNNNNNNNNNNNNNNNNNNNNNNNNNNNNNNNNNNNNNNNNNNNNNNNNNNNNNNNNNNNNNNNNNNNNNNNNNNNNNNNNNNNNNNNNNNNNNNNNNNNNNNNNNNNNNNNNNNNNNNNNNNNNNNNNNNNNNNNNNNNNNNNNNNNNNNNNNNNNNNNNNNNNNNNNNNNNNNNNNNNNNNNNNNNNNNNNNNAUGGUGGAGAGUGGAGAGUGGAGAGUGAAGAGGGGAGAGGGGAAAGGAGGGGGAGAGAGGGCAAAGUGGGGGAGAGGAGGGGGAGGGGUGGGAAAGGUGGCACCAGCCGCAACUACCAGUAGCGCCGCUUAACAAAGCGUGCUGCUGCUAAGGGACUUAGUAGUAGCGCUUUCCAGGAAAAGCGCUACUACUAAGUCGGGCCCAUUAGCAGUAGCGGUGCAAUAAAAAAAGCGCUACUACUAAACUUUUAGUAGUAGCGCUGGAUUCUGUACAGCGCUACAACUCCACCUACCGUCAGUGGGCUCGUCUGGUCCCACAUAGUAGUAGCGUGUUUUUGUUCCCCAGCGCUACUACUAUGGAGAUAUUAGUAGCGCUUGCUAUUUUACAGCGCUACUGCUAAUUAGCAGCAGCGGUUGCUCUUUUACAGUGCUACUACUAAGCUACUGUGUAUAAGCAUUUUUCUAGUAGUGCUAGCCGAAUGAAAUAUGCCCUAGAGGCAAUAAUAAAGUAUUAUUUAUUUCCUUAUAUCAUGAUAAAUGUUUAUUAUUCAUGCUAGAAUUGUAUUAACCGGAAACAUAAUACAUGUGUGAAUACAUAGACAAACAAAGUGUCACUAGUAAGCCUCUACUUGACUAGCUCGUUGAUCAAAGAUGGUUAUGUUUCCUAGCCAUAGACAUGAGUUUUCAUUUGAUUAACGGGAUCACAUCAUUAGGAGAAUGAUGUGAUUGACUUGACCCAUUCCGUUAGCUUAGCACUCGAUCGUUUAGUAUGUUGCUAUUGCUUUCUUCAUGACUUAUACAUGUUCCUAUGACUAUAAGAUUAUGCAACUCCCAUUUACCGAGGAACACUUUGUGUGCUACCAAACGUCACAACGUAACUGGGUGAUUAUAAAGGUGCUCUACAGGUGUCUCCAAAGGUACUUGUUGGGUUGGCGUAUUUCGAGAUUAGGAUUUGUCACUCCGAUUGUCGCAGAGGUAUCUCUGGGCCCACUCGGUAAUGCACAUCACUAUAAGCCUUGCAAGCAUUGCAACUAAUGAGUUAGUUGUGGGAUGAUGUAUUACGGAACGAGUAAAGAGACUUGCCGGUAACGAGAUUGAACUAGGUAUCGAGAUACCGACGAUCGAAUCUCGGGCAAGUAACAUACCGAUGACAAAGGGAACAACGUAUGUUGUUAUGCGGUCUGACCGAUAAAGAUCUUCGUAGAAUAUGUGGGAGCCAAUAUGAGCAUCCAGGUUCCGCUAUUGGUUAUUGACCGGAGAGGUGUCUCGGUCAUGUCUACAUAGUUCUCGAACCCGUAGGGUCCGCACGCUUAACGUUACGAUGACGGUUAUAUUAUGAGUUUAUGUGUUUUGAUGUACCGAAGGAGUUCGGAGUCCCGGAUGAGAUCGGGGACAUGACGAGGAGUCUCGAAAUGGCCGAGACGUAAAGAUCGAUAUAUUGGACGACUAUAUUAGGACUUCGAAAAGGUUCCGAGUGAUUCGGGUAUUUUUCGGAGUACCGGAGAGUUACGGGAAUUCGUAUUGGGCCUUAAUUGUCACGACCGGUUUUCCAAUAAAACAUUUAUUGAGAAACCGAUCCCUUUAAUGGACCAGUAGUGAAGAAUCCUUCUUAUUGGUAGACAAAUUCUUGAUUACAGAAAUAUCCAGGAGUACUAAAUAUAGUACAAGGUUGAGCGGAGGCUGCUCAACAAUUUAUUACAAGCACGCCGAUAUUAUACAUAAAGGCGGAUAUGACACAAGGGGUAUGGUGGCAUAACUACUGACUCGUAAUAAAAGUGGUGGUGGAUAUGUCACAGUGAAGUGGGUGACAGGACUCCUAAAUCUUACAGCUCAUCGAGCGUCGGGGUGAGGCUCGAGGACUUUUAUUUGGGUGGCGGAAGCGUAUAUAAAACAAGUGACCAAAUCCAGGAUCGCACGGGACUGACUGGGACUCCUCUAGGCGUCGGACUCGCUAUCAAACUCAUCAUCCAUGAGAUCGCCUUCGUCGACAUCUGGCCAAAUCAACAAGCCAGGUGAGUACUAUGAAUGUACUCGCAAGACAGUUUGGACAUAAGAUAUAACAAAUGCAAACAUGAUGCACAUGGGCAGAUUAAUAAUGUGCACUCCGAUAAUAAACUUGCACUGCAUGGGAAAUAAAAAGGAAGUCGGGCGGUAGUCCUCCCGAAAUCCCAAAGUAAUACUGAAGGCCAAUCGAGUGUCUGAAAUGACUCCUCGAAAGGGUACAAAUAAAUUAACAAUGCCACAGUCGGGCGUCAGGGCGACACCACAUAAAGGGCUUAUAAUGGAAUAUAAACGACAGUGCGUGCCACAGUCGGACGUCUGAGCGACAUCACGUAAAGGGCUUAUAUCAAAAGUAAAUAACGAGAGUGCCACAGUCGGACGUCUGAACGACAUCACAUAAAGGGCUUAUAUCAAAAGUAAAUAACAAGAGUGCCACAGUCGGACGUCUGAGCGACAUCACAUAAAGGGCUUAUAUCAAAAGUAAAUAACGAGAGUGCCACAGUCGGACGUCUGAGAGACAUCACAUAAAGGGCUUAUAUCAAAAGUAAAUAACAAGAGUGCCAUAGUCAGACGUCUGAGCGACAUCACAUAAAGGGCUUAUAUCAUAACUCGAUAUUCCAGUAGCUCAUGAAGUUAAAUCAUCUCAAGGAAAUACUCAGGUACGAAAUAAUAAAAUGGUUAGUCCAUCCAUAGGAAUAACAUUCAACCGGGUUUACGACUCAAGCUUGCUCACCGGGGAUUUCCACGGAGACUGACACAGGGACAGACACUGAGACUGAUAUGGAUACUGUUUGGAUACAUUGACCCAGGUCCUUGACCAUGGACACGAUGACUCGGAAGGUUUUGACUCUGCAGAGAUUGUACUCUUAACCACAGCCAACGGAUUUCGGUAGUCACAAGGGACUAGUUCCGUUUACGGUAUUUUAGGAGAAACACAUCUAACCAGUACACACCCAUUCCACAUUCCGUUGCCAGGAAUCACCCUAAGCAACGUUCAAGAAAAACCUUGAGACGGGGAGGCUACAACCUCGCGUAGCAUGGGAUCAAAUUUAUAUCGCGCGCUCUAAGGGGUGCCCCCCUCUCGGUCCCAACUGGAAACACCCAUGCCCCCUGACCGGAUGACUGGCUUUAAUCCAGGGCCAUGGAACCCUCAUCUCGGCCCCUCUAUUUGGUGUGUACAAGGAAAGAGGUUUGCAACUUACUAAACCGUAUUCUUUGCAGAAAACAUGUGGCAGCACGGAAGGGGACGAACGGUAACGUGGCUCGGUCCACGUUAACGUCGGGGUUUAACGGUUGACAUAAGACUGGCAUGCUACUACAAUACCAUCUUACUACCUCUCAUGUCACCACAUGAUCAGGUCAUCUCCCAUCAAAAGAUCACGUCAAACUUCGAAGCACACGGGUAGUUUCCUUGCAUGCAACGUGACACUCACCGAUGCCCAUAUGCCAUGCACAAACUAUUCAAGCAAACAUGCAAAACACUCAUCAUAUCAAAGGUUCAAACAUGCUUGCCUGGUUCGGAGAAGUCGGAGUAUAGCUCGGCGAAGUUUGCGGCUCCGUCACCUCCUCCAGUAUCUACGGUAUAAAGAAACCGUAUACUAACGUGAAUACCGUUGCGUGUAUAAAUAUUCUUCGAAAAAAUUUCCAAAUAAAUACUAUAAAAAACUAGACAAAAAUAUAAGACUGACGAAAAAAGAAUCAACCAAAAAGCAUCUUUUGUUUAAAAGAUAUAAGGGUUUUAGUCCAAGGACUAAUCUGUGAUGAAACAGAAAAGAUCCAGGGGCUCGUUUGAAAAGGCAGAAAACGCUUCGGUACGAAAUACGCCAGCCCAGAAGGAAAACAUACUUUGCCCGAAGGCGCCUUCAGAAAACGGUUCGAAGGAAAAGAAAGAGAGGCUGACGGGGGGGUCCCACCCGUCAGGUUCAAACUCCGAACAGGGCUCGCCGGCGCCCGAAGGCUGCGGUGGUCGCCGGCGUUGAUCCACGGCGAGGUAGGGGGAUCGGAGGGUACCUACGGGUUCAGGGUGUCCUUCCGCGUCGGUGCGUGGUGGACUUGACCGUCGGCGAGCACCACGGCGACGGUGGCCUUAUCUCCGGCGGACGGUGGUUCGGGCGAGGGCGGAACUCUCCGGUGGGUGUUGCAAACUCCAAAUUAGGGCGCGGGUUAGAGAGGUGGAUGCACUAGGAGGCUACUGGCAUGAGUUGAGCGGCGGGGGUGCACGCACUGGAGCGAAUCUUGCCGGAUCCCGAAGCGGGUCGAGGCGGCCGGAGUUGGGGAAGAUGACUUCCUCGACGCCUUCCCAGUGGCUUGCCGUGGUUCUUGUGGGGUGGAGAGAUGGUGCGUGUUCGAGUUCGAGCUCGGGACCUCCUUUUAUAGGCGAUCCGAGGAGGUGGCCGUGAACGGGAUAACGCCGGCGAGGAAUUACGGCGAGGCAGAGGUUGGGCAGGAGGUUUAGGUGAUUUGGCAUCACCGUGGUGGUCCACUAGCACCGUUUCUCAGCUAAAACCUCGGUCGAACUUGGGUAAUGCUUCGGUCCUCGACGGAACGGCCGUACGGGCACAACAGUGGCAGGGAGCGCGCUCCGUGCCUCCCAGUUCACGACAACGGCUCUGCAGCGUGCACAUAGGAGGGGACGGCCACGCGGUGGCCUCUGGUGGCUUGGGCGGUGCUGGACGGCGCCGUCCCUCGCUGCGCCUCUCUGGCAGCCGCAGCGGGCGCUGCUGCCGCCGCGCAUGGGGCGAUGCACCUCGGCCAGCUCGCCGCCGACGCCCGCAACCUUCCAAGCGAACGUGCGGUGUGGUGGAUAAGAAGGAGGAACAUGGCGCAAGGUGCCACUGCAGUCACUGGCGAGAUCGACAUGAGUCUCUGAAGAAAACGACAUCGGCUACUGAAACUGUUUCUGAACUCUGAACUUCGACAGGUACAGUGCAUGCCAGGUGUUCGACGAUAUGAUUUGGGCACGAGGAAAAAAAUUCUGGAGCUGGGACUUGGUGAGGUGACCUCUUGAUGCAUCUAGAGGCUGCCUGAAUUUUCUCAAAUUUUUAGGAGAAGAAAACAAGUGAAUUUCACCAAAUUUUGCAAAUAUGGCCCAAACUUGCAGCAAGCACAUUUUGAAAAUUUUGAACUGGAGUCCAGUGGAUCUUCAUGGAUCUUGGUUGAGGGUUCUAAGGACUAGCCAGGGAAACUUGUUUGGAGACAAAACUCAAAGGAAAACUAGUGGUUCCUUUGUAAAUCUCCAAGGGCCAAAAUAGGAGACAGAAAAGAUUUUGAUUAAAAAUAAAUGGAGAUAAAAAUCAUGGGGAAGUUUAACUUGCUGGAUUGGAAGUUUGACUUGACACAAAGUGGGGAGAUGGCCUUUGGGAGGAGUUUUCAACUUAGGUUGUGGCAAGAGAUAAAUUUUGAGAAGGAAAGGAUCACCCCAUAAGCCAUAGGGCUAUUUAUAAAGAAAAGGUUUUCCAAAACUUUCUCAAGGAAAGACACUUGUGUUGAGUCAACACAAGAUGAAAAACCUCCAAGACCAAAGAUCAAGUUUUGGAUGAACUCAAGGAAAAUACUUGUCAUAAAAGAAAAAAAUUUGAGAAGGAGAGUCGUUUAGAAGAAAAAUUUAAAUAACCUCCUUCAAAUCAAAUAAAGGAUUUGAUAAAACCAAACAAAAAAAAUUUUGGGUGUCACAACACCUACCCCCUUAGGAAAAAUCUCGUCCUCGAGAUUUCAGCUGAUCCUCAAAUAGAUGUGGGUACUCUGCGUGAAGAAAAUCCUCUCUUUCCCAUGUUGCUUCAUCCUCGGUGUGAUUGCUCCACUGAACCUUGAAAAAUUUAAUUGUUUUCUGACGGGUCCUCCUUUCAGACUCUUCCAACAUUUUUACUGGCCACUCUCUGUAGGUGAGGUCUGGUUGCAUGUCAAUGCUCUCAUGAGAUACAUGCUUUUCCGGGUUGCUCACACACUUCCUUAACUGUGAAACGUGGAACACGUCGUGGACGUCUGACAGCUCUUUGGGUAGGUCUAGCUGGUAGGCUACUGUACCUCUUCGUGCAACUAUACAGAAGGGUCCAAUAAAUCUUGGGGCUAGCUUUCCUUUAAUUUUGAACCGUUGCAGGCCCCAGGGACACUCGUAGGUAUACAUAUUCACCGGGUUCAAAGCUGACCUUACAAUGUUUUUGAUUGUAAUAGCUCUUUUGUCGGCUUUGAGCUGUCUUGAGUCGGUCCCUGAUUUGUUUAACUUUCUCCUCGGCUUCCUUGAGCAUGCCUGGGCCGAAGAUAUGACUGUCACCUGUUUCUGACCAAUUUAAUGGGGUACGACAUCUCCGUCCGUACAUUGCUUCAAAAGGUGCCAUUUGUAGGCUGGCUUGGUAACUGUUGUUGUAUGCGAACUCGUCAUAUGGGAAGCUUUCCUCCCAACUGGUUCCAUAGGUGAGAACAGAGGCUCUCAGCAUGUCCUCUAGGAUUUGGUUUACGCGUUCAGUUUGUCCAUCAGUCUGGGGGUGGUACGCUGUACUGAAUGCUAGUUGAGUACCCAGAGCUUGUUGUAAAUGAUCCCAAAAUCUAGAGACGAAAUGAGUGCCCCGGUCGGAUAUUAUGGUCUUUGGGACUCCAUGCAGACAAACUAUACGGGAGAGGUAAAGCUUAGCAAGCUUCUGAGUGGAGUAGGUUGUCUUCACGGGAAUGAAAUGUGCUACCUUGGUUAGCCUAUCUGUGAUGACCCAUAUGGCAUCAUUUCCGCGUUGUGAUCGAGGUAGUCCGACGAUAAAAUCCAUUCCAAUCUCGUCCCAUUUCCACUCAGGUAUCCUGUUUGGCUGUAGCAGCCCUGCUGGUUUUUGGUGCUCGGCUUUAAUGCGCUGACACGAAUCACAACAUGCAAUGAAUGUGGCUAUAUCCCUUUUCAUACCGUGCCACCAAAAUCUUUCCUGAAUGUCUUUGUACAUUUUGGUUCCUCCAGGGUGGAUUGAAUAUGGGGCGGUGUGGCUUUCGGUUAGGAUUUGCUGUUUGAGGUCCUCAAUGUUUGGUACGCAAAGUCUGUCCCCGUACCAUAAUACUCCCUCAUUGUCUACGACGAACUCUGAAGCCUUGCCGAGGCUCACUUUUCUCUUUAUACCUUCGAUGCUGGGAUGUCCAUGCUGAGCCUUCUUAAUCCGUUCCAUUAGGGUGGGCUGUAUCUCCAGAUUUGACACGUUGCCCUCGGCGACUAUCACCAUGUUGAGUUUGGCGAGCUCCUGCUGAAUUUCAGGCCUCAAGUUCUGUGGACUGUCGUUGCUCGAGCUGGGGUUCCGACUAAGAGCGUCUGCCACUACAUUUGCUUUUCCUGGAUGGUAGUGAAUGCCGACAUCAUAAUCCUUGACUAAUUCCAACUAGCGUCGUUGUCGUAAAUUGAGCUCUGGUUGCGUUGAAAUAUAUUUAAGGCUUUUACGAUCCGUAUAUAUUUUACAACGAUUUCCCAGCAAAAAGUGACUCCACUCUUUGAGUGCAUGGAUGACUGCUGCUAGCUCCAAGUCAUGAGUAGGAUAAUUUUCUUCAUGCUUCCGUAGUUGCCUGGAAGCAUAUGCGACAACUUUGCCGUCCUGCAUCAAUACGCAUCCGAGGCCCUUCCGGGAUGUGUCACAAUACACUUCAAAACUUUUGUGUAUGUCCAGCACAACCAAAACCGGUGCUGUUGUUAAUUUCCUUUUGAGUUCUUGGAAGCUUUUCUCGCACGCUUCAGUCCAUACAAAUUUCUUAUCUUUCUUGAGUAACUGUGUCAUUGGUUUUGCCACGGUGGAGAAUCCUUCAAUAAACCUUCGGUAAUAUCCAGCCAUUCCUAGGAAACUUCGUACAUCUGUUACGUUGGCUGGUGGUUUCCAGCCAAGUACGGCUUUGACUUUUUCUGGGUCUACGGCAACGCCUUCUUGGGUUAAUACAUGGCCUAGAAAACCAACCUGUCUUAGCCAAAAUUCACAUUUGCUAAAUUUGGCGUACAAUUGAUGUUUCCUUAAUUCUCCCAGUACAAUUCUGAGAUGUUCAGCAUGUUCUUCCGGUGUCUUUGAGUAUACCAGAAUAUCAUCAAUGAACACCACAACAAAUUUGUCCAUAAAUUUCAUAAACACUUUGUUCAUGAGGUGGACGAAAUAUGCGGGGGCGUUCGUCAGCCCAAACGGCAUUACUGUGAACUCAUAUAAUCCGUAUCUGGAGGUGAAUGCUGUCUUAGGGAUAUCUUCUGUCCGUACCUUUAAUUGAUGAUACCCCGAUCUUAAAUCAAUUUUGGAGAACACCUUGGCUUGUGCGAGUUGGUCAAAUAAAUCAUUUAUCUGUGGCAUCGGAUAUUUGUUUUUGAUGGUGACCAUGUUGAGUUCUCGAUAGUCUAUACACAAUCUCAGUGUCCCAUCCUUUUUCUUGGCAAAUAAUACUGGUGAACCCCAAGGUGAGGAGCUGGCUCGUAUAAAUCCCUUGUCCAGUAAUUCUUUUAUUUGCUUCUUUAAUUCUACCAACUCGGAGGGUGCCAUUCUAUAAGGUUUCUUGUAAAUGGGGGUGGUGCCAGGUGCUAGUUCAAUGCUGGACUCUAUAUCCCGGUCUGGUGGCAUGCCAGGUAGUUCUUCGGGAAAUACGUCAGGAAACUCACACACCACUGGAACUUUCCUUAAUUCUGAAAUGUCCACCUUGUUCAACUUUGGUUGCCGUGACCUUGGUCUUUCUUGAGCCGCAACUUUUAUUGUCUUGCCGUGAUGGUGAGUGAGGAUUACAGUCCGAUUGAAGCAGUCGAUAAAUCCCUUGUUGGUGGUUAACCAGUCCAUUCCUAGGAUAACAUCCAGUCCUUUAUUUUCCAACACGAUGAGAUUCUCCUGAAACUUUAGUCUUUCAAACUCAAUAAUCACACCUUGGCAGUAACUCUGAGUGAUCUGCUUAUUCCCGGGGGACUUGAUGAUCAUGGACUUUUUCAAAGGAAGUAUCGGAAAACCAUGUUGCAAAACAAAACUCUUCGAAAUGAACGAGUGAGAAGCUCCAGAAUCAAACAAAACCGUGGCAGGUAUUGUGUUGACAGGGAACGUACCGAGCAUGAUAUCUGGGGCAUUCUGUGCUUCCUCCUUGGUCACAUGGUUCAAGUGACCCUUCUUGUGAUUGUUGUUGGGGUUGAAGUUGUUACGCCUGGGGGCUGGAUUAUUUCCACCAUUGUUUGGCUUGGGGGCCGAGUUCCUUGGCUUUGGGCACUGUUUGGCAUAGUGUCCUUCCUCUCCGCAAACAUAGCAAGUAACACCUGGGCGGUACGUAAAGUCCUUGUCCCUUGAAUGAAAAUGUUUGGUUGGCCUUAGAGCAGUGGUCGUGGAUUUUCUCGCUUCAUUCCUCUGAAUAUCAGUCCUGCUCCGGUUGUUGCGAGCAUGAGUCGUCUUGUCCCUUUUUCGCUUGCGAAUAUCCUCCAGGCUGCGGCGCUCAUUCUCCAAUGUAAUAGCCUUGUCAACCAUUGUUUUGAAAUCUGGAAAGGUGUGUACGACCAGUUGGCACUUAAGUGCUGGCGCCAGGCCGUCCAAAUUUUUUUCCAUCUUUUAUUUUCAGUCAUAUGCUCAUCGUAGGCAUAACGAGAUAGUUGAGUAAACUGACUAUUGUACUCAGUCACUGUCAUGCCUCUCUGCUUGAGGUCAUCAAACUCCCUUUUCUUGAUCUUUAUAAUGCUCCUGGGAAUGUGCGUCCCACGAAAACCUUUCUUAAACUCUUCCCAGGUGAUGUUAUGUUCAUUGGGGUGCAUGUGUAGAAAAUUUUCCCACCAUGCUGCAGCUGCUCCAGUGAGGUAGUGGGGUGCAUAAAGCACCUUCUCACGGUCUGAGCAUUGUGCAAUAAUCAACUUCCUUUCGAUGUCUCGAAGCCAAUCAUCGGCCUCAAGCGGCCUAUCAGAGUGAGCGAACGUUGGAGGACGUGUCUUCUGUAGUUCAGACAACUUGGAAUGCGGUUGGUAUGGUUCACGGUGAUUUCCCAUAUUGAUAACGCGAUUCAUCAUUUCUUGAUGCUGCUGCUGGCUUUGUUCGAAAAGGCGGCAUACUUGAGAAAAUGCUGCCUCGCUGCCCUGCUGACUAGACUGCCCCUGUGUGAAGUUGUUGCUUGUCUGGGUUCCAUAAACUUCUUCCGGUGGAUUUGGCAUGGAACGAGUCCAGGGACGAGGCAUUUUCCACUCUGGGGUAUUUUUUUGCAAAACUCAUGAGAAGAACUGUGUGGCACAAGGAAUAAUUUUUGCAAAAGGCGAAAAUUUAAAAGACCUCAAGAUUUUUUAUUUUAUUUUUUUAAGAAAAAUACUUGAUUGCGCAUGGAGAAGGACUGCUCAGUACAUAAUUUACACUUGAUUCGUAAUUAUACAAUACAUCACUCAGGAUGUGCGUACACAUUCCUAACAUGUUAUUUGGCUAGUGCACUUCUCCGAGUUCCUACAUGAUGCGCACACAAACUACUUCUCACCAAAUCUAUGUACAUAUAAACAUAUCAUACAUGCUGGCACAACGCACGGCUGCUAGGCGCACUCAGUCGGAGAUGGUGAAAAAUUCCCUCGGCCUGCCGAGGGUAAGACCCAGUGGUGCAGGAGACUCAACCUCCUCCUCCUCCCUAAUAGGCUCCAGGCGCGUAGCACUGCGUUGAGGAGCUGGUGCGGGUGCGGCCGGCGGUGCAGCUCUACUUGGAGUAGGAGCAAUGACUUGGUCGAACUCCUCAGUGGUAGGUAGACGGCGAGCGGUGGCUAAAAUGGCAGGUGCAUAGGAUGCUGAGGACGAGACGAAAGUCAGUGGCGGUGCCAUGUGGAGAAGCUCCCUCCUGAUGGCAGAACAGCCCUGAACUGAGUCCAUACGGGCGGCCACAAGGUCGUCCACGAGGUUGUCGAAAGCUGCCUCCAGAGCUUUGAGAUACUCAACAAGCAUCUCGAUAGCCUCAUCUCUCUCUCCCCUAUGGCAGGCGAAUGCAUAGUGACAAGUAUAUGGCACAUGGCAUGGGAGGUAGCGAUAGCGACGAGUCUUCAUCGUAGGAAGAACAUCCUGAAGACGAGCUAUCGCCUCACGGGCGGCCAUCUGCAUGGCAUGCCUCUCCGUAGGCAUGGCCCUUCCCACAAAACGGAAGUGGCGAGACGCAGAACGUCCUCCCUUGAACUGCACCAUGGCCUGGUGCAUAGACACGUCGUCGCUGAGCUUGUGCUGGUAAAGUUUGAACUCUGGACGAGUUGAUGGCCCGAUCGUGAGCUUGGUGAUGGCGACGAGAAGCUUGACAAACCCCUCAGGCACAUUGGUGAACACCCGUGUCUCGCAGUCGUUGCCAGCCAUCUGCAAAAGUAGGCAAAAAUUCUGAAUAGUCAAAUCAUAAAUUUAUGAUGACCAACAGAAAGUAGCUACAUUUGCAAAAAGCUGAAAAAGCACUAAAAACGCUAAUAACCGAUUAGCGAUCGCACCUAGUGGCUUCCUACAGUCAGCCUGGCUCUGAUAGCAAGUUUGUCACGACCGGUUUUCCAAUAAAACAUUUAUUGAGAAACCGAUCCCUUUAAUGGACCAGUAGAGAAGAAUCCUUCUUACUGGUAGACAAAUUCUUGAUUACAGAAAUAUCCAGGAGUACUAAAUAUAAUACAAGGUUGAGCGGAGGCUGCUCAACAAUUUAUUACAAGCACGCCGAUAUUAUACAUAAAGGCGGAUAUGACACAAGGGGUAUGGUGGCAUAACUACUGACUCGUAAUAAAAGUGGUGGUGGAUAUGUCACAGUGAAGUGGGUGACAGGACUCCUAAAUCUUACAGCUCAUCGAGCGUCGGGGUGAGGCUCGAGGACUUUUAUUUGGGUGGCGGAAGCGUAUAUAAAACAAGUGACCAAAUCCAGGAUCGCACGGGACUGACUGGGACUCCUCUAGGCGUCGGACUCGCUAUCAAACUCAUCAUCCAUGAGAUCGCCUUCGUCGACAUCUGGCCAAAUCAACAAGCCAGGUGAGUACUAUGAAUGUACUCGCAAGACAGUUUGGACAUAAGAUAUAACAAAUGCAAACAUGAUGCACAUGGGCAGAUUAAUAAUGUGCACUCCGAUAAUAAACUUGCACUGCAUGGGAAAUAAAAAGGAAGUCCGGCGGUAGUCCUCCCGAAAUCCCAAAGUAAUACUGAAGGCCAAUCGAGUGUCUGAAAUGACUCCUCGAAAGGGUACAAAUAAAUUAACAAUGCCACAGUCGGGCGUCAGGGCGACACCACAUAAAGGGCUUAUAAUGGAAUAUAAACGACAGUGCGUGCCACAGUCGUACGUCUGAGCGACAUCACGUAAAGGGCUUAUAUCAAAAGUAAAUAACGAGAGUGCCACAGUCGGACGUCUGAGCGACAUCACAUAAAGGGCUUAUAUCAAAAGUAAAUAACGAGAGUGCCACAGUCGGACGUCUGAGAGACAUCACAUAAAGGGCUUAUAUCAAAAGUAAAUAACAAGAGUGCCACAGUCGGACGUCUGAGCGACAUCACAUAAAGGGCUUAUAUCAUAACUCGAUAUUCCAGUAGCUCAUGAAGUUAAAUCAUCUCAAGGAAAUACUCAGGUACGAAAUAAUAAAAUGGUUAGUCCAUCCACAGGAAUAACAUUCAACCGGGUUUACGACUCAAGCUUGCUCACCGGGGAUUUCCACGGAGACUGACACUGAGACUGAUAUGGAUACUGUUUGGAUACAUUGACCCAGGUCCUUGACCAUGGACACGAUGACUCGGAAGGUUUUGACUCUGCAGAGUUUGUACUCUUAACCACAGCCAACGGAUUUCAGUAGUCACAAGGGACUAGUUCCGUUUACGGUAUUUUAGGAGAAACACAUCUAACCACUACACACCCAUUCCACAUUCCGUUGCCAGGAAUCACCCUAAGCAACGUUCAAGAAAAACCUUGAGACGGGGAGGCUACAACCUCGCGUAGCAUGGGAUCAAAUUUAUAUCGCGCGCUCUAAGGGGUGCCCCCCUCUCGGUCCCAACCGGAAACACCCAUGCCCCCUGACCGGAUGACUGGCUUUAAUCCAGGGCCAUGGAACCCUCAUCCCGGCCCCUCUAUUUGGUGUGUACAAGGAAAGAGGUUUGCAACUUACUAAACCGUAUUCUUUGCAGAAAACAUGUGGCAGCACGGAAGGGGACGAACGGUAACGUGGCUCGGUCCACGUUAACGUCGGGGUUUAACGGUUGACAUAAGACUGGCAUGCUACUACAAUACCAUCUUACUACCUCUCAUGUCACCACAUGAUCAGGUCAUCUCCCAUCAAAAGAUCACAUCAAACUUCGAAGCACACGGGUAGUUUCCUUGCAUGCAACGUGACACUCACCGAUGCCCAUAUGCCAUGCACAAACUAUUCAAGCAAACAUGCAAAACACUCAUCAUAUCAAAGGUUCAAACAUGCUUGCCUGGUUCGGAGAAGUCGGAGUAUAGCUCGGCGAAGUUUGCGGCUCCGUCACCUCCUCCAGUAUCUACGGUAUAAAGAAACCGUAUACUAACGUGAAUACCGUUGCGUGUAUAAAUAUUCUUCCAAAAAAUUUCCAAAUAAAUACUAUAAAAAACUAGACAAAAAUAUAAGACUGACAAAAAAAUCAACCAAAAAGCAUCUUUUGUUUAAAAGAUAUAAGGGUUUUAGUCCAAGGACUAAUUUGUGAUGAAACAGAAAAGAUCCAGGGGCUCGUUUGAAAAAGCAGAAAACGCUUCGGUACGAAAUACGCCAGCCCAGAAGGAAAACAUACUUUGCCCGAAGGCGCCUUCAGAAAACGGUUCGAAGGAAAAGAAAGAGAGGCUGACGGGGGGUCCCACCCGUCAGGUUCAAACUCCGAACAGGGCUCGCCGGCGCCCGAAGGCUGCGGUGGUCGCUGGCGUUGAUCCACGGCGAGGUAGGGGGAUCGGAGGGUACCUACGGGUUCAGGGUGUCCUUCCGCGUCGGUGGGUGGUGGACUUGACCGUCGGCGAGCACCACGGCGACGGUGGCCUUAUCUCCGGCGGACGGUGGUUCGGGCGAGGGCGGAACUCUCCGGUGGGUGCUGCAAACUCCAAAUUAGGGCGCGGGUUAGAGAGGUGGAUGCACUAGGAGGCUACUGGCAUGAGUUGAGCGGCGGGGGUGCACGCACUGGAGCGAAUCUUGCCGGAUCCCGAAGCGGGUCGAGGCGGCCGGAGUUGGGGAAGAUGACUUCCUCGACGCCUUCCCAGUGGCUUGGCGUGGUUCUUGUGGGGUGGAGAGAUGGUGCGUGUUCGAGUUCGAGCUCGGGACCUCCUUUUAUAGGCGAUCCGAGGAGGUGGCCGUGAACGGGAUAACGCCGGCGAGGAAUUACGGCGAGGCAGAGGUUGGGCAGGAGGUUUAGGUGAUUUGGCAUCACCGUGGUGGUCCACUGGCACCGUUUCUCAGCUAAAACCUCGGUCGGACUUGGGUAAUGCUUCGGUCCUCGACGGAACGGCCGUACGGGCACAACAGUGGCAGGGAGCGCGCUCCGUGCCUCCCAGUUCACGACAACGGCUCUGCAGCGUGCACAUAGGAGGGGACGGCCACGCGGUGGCCUCUGGUGGCUUGGGCGGUGCUGGACGGCGCCGUCCCUCGCUGCGCCUCUCUGGCAGCCGCAGCGGGCGCUGCUGCCGCCGCGCAUGGGGCGAUGCACCUCGGCCAGCUCGCCGCCGACGCCCGCAACCUUCCAAGCGAACGUGCGGUGUGGUGGAUAAGAAGGAGGAACAUGGCGCAAGGUGCCACUGCAGUCACUGGCGAGAUCGACAUGAGUCUCUGAAGAAAACGACAUCGGCUACUGAAACUGUUUCUGAACUCUGAACUUCGACAGGUACAGUGCAUGCCAGGUGUUCGAAGAUAUGAUUUGGGCACGAGGAAAAAAAUUCUGGAGCUGGGACUUGGUGAGGUGACCUCUUGAUGCAUCUAGAGGCUGCCUGAAUUUUCUCAAAUUUUUAGGAGAAGAAAACAAGUGAAUUUCACCAAAUUUUGCAAAUAUGGCCCAAACUUGCAGCAAGCACAUUUUGAAAAUUUUGAACUGGAGUCCAGUGGAUCUUCAUGGAUCUUGGUUGAGGGUUCUAAGGACUAGCCAGGGAAACUUGUUUGGAGACAAAACUCAAAGGAAAACUAGUGGUUCCUUUGUAAAUCUCCAAGGGCCAAAAUAGGAGACAGAAAAGAUUUUGAUUAAAAAUAAAUGGAGAUAAAAAUCAUGGGGAAGUUUAACUUGCUGGAUUGGAAGUUUGACUUGACACAAAGUGGGGAGAUGGCCUUUGGGAGGAGUUUUCAACUUAGGUUGUGGCAAGAGAUAAAUUUUGAGAAGGAAAGGAUCACCCCAUAAGCUAUAGGGCUAUUUAUAAAGAAAAGGUUUUCCAAAACUUUCUCAAGGAAAGACACUUGUGUUGAGUCAACACAAGAUGAAAAACCUCCAAGACCAAAGAUCAAGUUUUGGAUGAACUCAAGGAAAAUACUUGUCAUAAAAGAAAAAAUUUGAGAAGGAGAGUCGUUUAGAAGAAAAAUUUAAAUAACCUCCUUCAAAUCAAAUAAAGGAUUUGAUAAAACCAAACAAAAAAAAUUUUGGGUGUCACAACACCUACCCCCUUAGGAAAAAUCUCGUCCUCGAGAUUUCAGCUGAUCCUCAAAUAGAUGUGGGUACUCUACGUGAAGAAAAUCCUCUCUUUCCCAUGUUGCUUCAUCCUCGGUGUGAUUGCUCCACUGAACCUUGAAAAAUUUAAUUGUUUUCUGACGGGUCCUCCUUUCAGACUCUUCCAACAUUUUUACUGGCCACUCUCUGUAGGUGAGGUCUGGUUGCAUGUCAAUGCUCUCAUGAGAUACAUGCUUUUCCGGGUUGCUCACACACUUCCUUAACUGUGAAACGUGGAACACGUCGUGGACGUCUGACAGCUCUUUGGGUAGGUCUAGCUGGUAGGCUACUGUACCUCUUCGUGCAACUAUACAGAAGGGUCCAAUAAAUCUUGGGGCUAGCUUUCCUUUAAUUUUGAACCGUUGCAGGCCUCAUAGGGGACACUCGUAGGUAUACAUAUUCACCGGGUUCAAAGCUGACCUUACAAUGUUUUUGAUUGUAAUAGCUCUUUUGUCGGCUUUGAGCUGUCUUGAGUCGGUCCCUGAUUUGUUUAACUUUCUCCUCGGCUUCCUUGAGCAUGCCUGGGCCGAAGAUAUGACUGUCACCUGUUUCUGACCAAUUUAAUGGGGUACGACAUCUCCGUCCGUACAAUGCUUCAAAAGGUGCCAUUUGUAGGCUGGCUUGGUAACUGUUGUUGUAUGCGAACUCGGCAUAUGGGAAGCUUUCCUCCCAACUGGUUCCAUAGGUGAGAACAGAGGCUCUCAGCAUGUCCUCUAGGAUUUGGUUUACGCGUUCAGUUUGUCCAUCAGUCUGGGGGUGGUACGCUGUACUGAAUGCUAGUUGAGUACCCAGAGCUUGUUGUAAAUGAUCCCAAAAUCUAGAGACGAAAUGAGUGCCCCGGUCGGAUAUUAUGGUCUUUGGGACUCCAUGCAGACAAACUAUACAGGAGAGGUAAAGCUUAGCAAGCUUCUGAGUGGAGUAGGUUGUCUUCACGGGAAUGAAAUGUGCUACCUUGGUUAGCCUAUCUGUGAUGACCCAUAUGGCAUCAUUUCCGCGUUGUGAUCGAGGUAGUCCGACGAUAAAAUCCAUUCCAAUCUCGUCCCAUUUCCACUCAGGUAUCCUGUUUGGCUAUAGCAGCCCUGCUGGUUUUUGGUGCUCGGCUUUAAUGUGCUGACACGAAUCACAACAUGCAAUGAAUGUGGCUAUAUCCCUUUUCAUACCGUGCCACCAAAAUCUUUCAUGAAUUUCUUUGUACAUUUUGGUUCCUCCAGGGUGGAUUGAAUAUGGGGCGGUGUGGCUUUCGGUUAGGAUUUGCUGUUUGAGGUCCUCAAUGUUUGGUACGCAAAGUCUGUCCCCGUACCAUAAUACUCCCUCAUUGUCUACGACGAACUCUGAAGCCUUGCCGAGGCUCACUUUUCUCUUUAUACCUUCGAUGUUGUGAUGUCCAUGCUGAGCCUUCUUAAUCAAAGGAUCACCCCAUAAGCCAUAGGGCUAUUUAUAAAGAAAAGGUUUUCAAAAACUUUCUCUUUACACAAAGUAGGGAGAUGGCCUUUGGGAGGAGUUUUCAACUUAGGUUAUGGCAAGAGAAAAAUUUUGAGAAGGAAAGGAUCACCCCAUAAGCCAUAGGGCUAUUUAUAAAGAAAAGGUUUUCAAAAACUUUCUCAAGGAAAGACACUUGUGUUGAGUCAACACAAGAUGAAAAACCUCCAAGACCAAAGAUCAAGUUUUGGAUGAACUCAAGGAAAAUACUUGUCAUAAAACAAAAAAAAAUUGAGAAGGAGAGUCCUUUAGAAGAAAAUUUUAAAUAACCUCCUUCAAAUCAAAUAAAGGAUUUGAUAAAACCAAACAAAAAAAAUUUGGGUGUCACAUUAAUGGGCCAUACGGGAAAGGAGAGACAGGCCCCAAAGGUUGGCCGCACCCCUCCCUAUGGACUAGUCCGAAUUGGACUAGGGAGGGGGGGCCUUCCUUCUUUCUCCUUCUCCCUUCCCUUCUCCUAUGCCAACAAGGAAAGGAGGAGUCCUAGUCCCGGUGGGAGUAGGACUCCCCCCUUGGCACGCCCUCCUCCUUGGCCGGCGGCCUCCCCCUUGCUCCUUUAUAUACGGGGGCAGGGGGGCACCCCAUAGACACACAAUUGAUAUACGAUAUUUUAGCCGUGUGCGGUGCCCCCCUCCACCAUAUUACACCUCGAUAAUAUCGUUGCGGAGCUUACGCGAAGCCCCGCGUCGGUAGAACAUCAUCAUCGUCACCACGCCGUCGUGCUGACGAAACUCUCCCUCAACACUCGGCUGGAUCGGAGUUCGAGGGACGUCAUCGAGCUGAACGUGUGCAGAACUCGGAGGUGCCGUGCGUUCGGUACUUGAUCGGUCGGAUCGUGAAGACGUACGACUACAUCAACCGCGUUGUGUUAACGCUUCUGCUUUCGGUCUACGAGGGUACGUGGACAACACUGUCCCCUCUCGUUGCUAUGCAUCACCAUGAUCUUGCGUGUGCGUAGGAAAUUUUUUGAAAUUACUACGUUCCCCAACGGUGGUAUUAGUGCCUGGUUUUAUGCGUUGAUGCUUUGCACGAGUAGAACACAAGUGAGUUGUGGGCGAUAUAAGUCAUACUGCUUUCCAGCAUGUCAUACUUUGGUUCAGCGGUAUUGUGAGAUGAAGCGGCCCGGACCGACAUUACGCGUGCGCUUACGCGAGACUGGUUUCACCGUUACGAGCACUCGUUGCUUAAAGGUGACUGGAGGGUGUCUGUCUCUCUCACUUUAGUUGAACCGAGUGUGGCUACGCCCGGUCCUUGUGAAGGUUAAAACAGCACCAACUUGACAAACUAUCGUUGUGGUUUUGAUGCGUAGGUAAGAACGAUUCUUGCUAAGCCCGUAGCAGCCACGUAAAACUUGCAACAACAAAGUAGAGGACGUCUAACUUGUUUUUGCAGGGCAUGUUGUGAUGUGAUAUGGUCAAGACAUGAUGCUAUAUUUUAUUGUAUGAGAUGAUCAUGUUUUGUAACCGAGUUAUCGGCAACUGGCAGGAGCCAUAUGGUUGUCGCUUUAUUGUAUGCAAUGCAAUCGCCAUGUAAUUGUUUUUACUUUAUCACUAAGCGGUAGCGAUAGUCGUAAAAGCAAUAAUUGGCGAGACGACAACGAUGCUACGAUGGAGAUCAAGGUGUCGCGCCGGUGACGAUGGUGAUCAUGACGGUGCUUCGGAGAUGAAGAUCACAAGCACAAGAUGAUGAUGGCCCUAUCAUAUCACUUAUAUUGAUUGCAUGUGAUGUUUAUCUUUUAUGCAUCUUAUCUUGCUUUGAUUGACGGUAGCAUUAUAAGAUGAUCUCUCACUAAAAUUUCAAGAUAAAAGUGUUCUCCCUGAGUAUGCACCGUUGCGAAAGUUCUUCGUGCUGAGACACCACGUGAUGAUCGGGUGUGAUAGGCUCUACGUUCAAAUACAACGGGUGCAAAACAGUUGCACUUGCGGAAUACUCAGGUUAAACUUGACGAGCCUAGCAUAUGCAGAUAUGGCCUCGGAACACGGAGACCAAAAGGUCGAGGGUGAAUCAUAUAGUAGAUAUGAUCAACAUAGUGAUGUUCACCAUUGAAACUACUCCAUCUCACGUGAUGAUCGGACAUGGUUUAGUUGAUAUGGAUCACGUGGUCACUUAGAGGAUUAGAGGGGUGUCUAUCUAAGUGGGAGUUCUUAAGUAAUAUGAUUAAUUGAACUAAAAUUUAUCAUGAACUUAGUCCUGAUAGUAUUUUGCAAAUUAUGUUGUAGAUCAGUAGCUCGCGUUGUUGCUUCCCUGUGUUUAUUUUUGAUAUGUUCCUAGAGAAAAAUUAUGUUGAAAGAUGUUAGUAGCAAAGAUGCGGAUUGGAUCCGUGAUCUGAGGAUUAUCCUCAUUGCUGCACAGAAUAAUUAUGUCCUUGAUGCACCGCUAGGUGACAGACCUAUUGCAGGAGCAGAUGCAGACGUAAUGAACGUUUGGCUAGCUCAAUAUGAUGACUACUUGAUAGUUUAGUGCACCAUGCUUAACGGCUUAGAAUCGGCACUUCAAAGACGUUUUGAACAUCAUGGACCAUAUGAGAUGUUCCAGGUGUUGAAGUUAAUAUUUCAAGCAAAUACCCAGUUGAGAGAUAUGAAGUCUCCAACAAGUUCUAUAGCUAAAAGAUGGAGGAGAAUAGCUCAAGCAGUGAGAAUGUGCUCAGAUUGUCUGGGUACUACAAUCGCUUGAAUCAAGUGGGAGUUAAUCUUCCAGAUAAAAUAGUGAUUGACAGAAUUCUCUAGUCACCAUCACCAAGUUAGUAGAACUUCAUGAUGAACUAUAGUAUGCAAGGGAUGACGAAAGUAAUUCCCGAGCUCUUCGUGAUGCUGAAAUCGACGAAGGUAGAAAUCAAGAAAAACAUCAAGUGUUGAUGGUUGACGAGACCACUAGUUUCAAGAAAAGGGCAAAGGGAAGAAGGGGAACUUCAAGAAGAACGGCAAGCAAGUUGCUGCUCAAGUGAAGAAGCCUAAGUCUGGUCCUAAGCCUGAAACUAAGUGCUUCUACUACAAAGGGACUGGUCACUGGAAGCGGAACUGCCCCAAGUAUUUGGUGGAUAAGAAGGAUGGCAAAGUGAACAAAGGUAUAUUGGAUAUACAUGUUAUUGAUGUGUACUUUACUAGUGUUUAUAGCAACCCCUCGGUAUUUGAUACUGGUUCAGUUGCUAAGAGUAGUAACUCGAAGGGAGUUGCAGAAUAAACAGAGACUAGUAAAAGGUGAGGUGACGAUGUGUGUUGGAAGUAGUUCCAAGAUUGAUAUGAUCAUCAUCGCACACUCCCUAUACUUUCGGGAUUAGUGUUGAAACUAAAUAAGUGUUAUUUGGUGUUUGCGUUGAGCAUGAAUAUGAUUUGAUCAUGUUUGUUGCAAUACGGUUAUUCAUUUAAAUUAGAGAAUAAUUGUUGUUUUGUUUACAUGAAUAAAACCUUCUAUGGUCAUACACCCAAUAAAAUGGUUUGUUGGAUCUCGAUCGUAGUGAUACACAUAUUCAUAAUAAUGAAGCCAAAAGAUGCAAAGUUAAUAAUGAUAGUGCAACUUAUUUGUGGCACUGCCGUUUAGGUCAUAUUGGUGUAAAGCGCAUGAAGAAACUCCAUACUGAUGGGAUUUUGGAAUCACUUGAUGCUUGCGAACCAUGCCUCAUGGGCAAGAUGACUAAAACGCCGUUCUCCGAAACUAUGGAGAGAGCAACAGAUUUGUUGGAAGUCAUACAUACAGAUGUAUGUGGUCCAAUGAAUAUUGAGGCUCGUGGCGGAUAUCGUUAUUUUCUCACCUUCACAGAUGAUUUGAGCAGAUAUGGGUAUAUCUACUUAAUGAAACAUAAGUCUGAAACAUUUGAAAAGUUCAUAUAAUUUCAGAGUGAAGUGGAAAAUCAUCGUAACAAGAAAAAUAAAGUUUCUACGAUCUGAUCGUAGAGAAGAGUAUUUGAGUUACGAGUUUCGCCUUCAGUUAAAACAAUGUGAAAUAGUUUCACUACUCACGCCACCUGGAACACCACAGUGUAAUGGUGUGUCCGAACAUCGUAACCGUACUUUAUUAGAUAUGGUGCGAUAUAUGAUGUCUCUUACCGAUCUACCACUAUCGUUUUGGGGUUAUGCAUUAGAGACAGCUGCAUUCACGUUAAAUAGGGUACCAUCUAAAUCCGUUGAGACGACAUCUUAUGAACUGUGGUUUGGCAAGAAACCAAAGUUGUCGUUUCUUAAAGUUUGGGGUUGCGAUGCUUAUGUGAAAAGGUUUCAUCCUGAUAAGCUCAAACCCAAAUCGGAUAAAUGUGUCUUCAUAGGAUACCCAAAGGAGACUGUUGGGUACACCUUCUAUCACAGAUCCAAAGGCAAGACUUUUGUUGCUAAAUUCAGAAUCUUUCUGGAGAAGGAGUUUCUCUCGAAAGAAGUGAGUGGGAGGAAAGUAGAACUUGAUGAGGUAAUUGUACCUGCUCACUUAUUGGAAAGUAGUUCAUCGCAGAAACCAGUUUCUGUGACGCCUAUACCAAUUAAUGAGGAAGUUAAUGAUGAUGAUCAUGGAACUUCAGAUCAAGUUAUUACUGAACCUCGUAGGUCAACCAGAGUAAGAUCCGCACCAGAGUGGUACGGUAAUCUUAUUCUGGAGGCUAUGUUACUAGACCAUGAUGAACCUACGAACUAUGAAGAAGCGAUGGUGAGCCCAGAUUCUGCGAAAUGGCUUGAGGCCAUGAAAUCUGAGAUGAGAUCCAUGUAUGAGAACAAAGUAUGGACUUUGAAUGACUUGCCCAAUGAUCGGCAAGCCAUUGAGAUUAAAUGGAUCUUCAAGAGGAAGACGGACGCUGAUAGUAGUGUUACUAUCUACAAAGCUAGAAUUGUCGCAAAAGGUUUUCGACAAGUUUAAGGUGUUGACUACGAUGAGAGUUUCUCACUCCUAUCUAUGCUUAAGUUUGUCCGAAUCAUGUUAGCAAUUGCCGCAUUUUAUGAAAUCUGGCAACUGGAUAAACAAAACUGCAUUCCUUAACGGAUUUAUUAAAGAAGAGUUGUAUAUGAUGCAACCAAAAGGUUUUGUCAAUCCUAAAGGUGCUAACAAAAUAUGCAAGCUCCAGCGAUCCAUCUAUGGACUGGUGCAAGCAUCUCGGAGUUGGAAUAUACGCUUUGAUAAGUUGAUCAAAGGAUAUAGUUUUAUACAGACUUGCGGUGAAGCCUGUAUUUACAAGAAAGUGAGUGGGAGCACUACAGCAUUUCUGAUAAGUAUAUGUGAAUGACAUAUUGUUGAUCGGAAAUAAUGUAGAAUUAUUCUGCAAAGCAUAAAGGAGUGUUUGAAAGGAGUUUUUCAAAGAAAGACCUCGGUGAAGCUGCUUACAUAUUGAGCAUCAAGAUCUAUAGAGAUAGAUCAAGACGCUUGAUAAGUUUUUUCAAUGAGUACAUACCUUAACAAGAUUUUGAAGUAGUUCAAAAUAGAACAGUCAAAGAAAGAGUUCUUGCCUAUGUUACAAGGUGUGAAAUUGAGUAAGACUCAAAGCCCGACCACGGCAGAAGAUAGAAAGAGAAUGAAAGUCAUUCCCUAUGCCUUGGCCAUAGGUUCUAUAAAGUAUGCCAUGCUGUGUACCAGAUCUAUUGUAUACCCUACACUGAUUUUGGCAAGGGAGUACAAUAGUGAUCUAGGAGUAGAUCACUGGACAUCGGUCAAAAUUAUCCUUAGUGGAAUAAGGAUAUGUUUCUCGAUUAUGGAAGUGACAAAAGGUUCGUCGUAAAGGGUUACGUCGAUGCAAGUUUUGACACUAAUCUAGAUGACUCUAAGUCUCGGUCUAGAUACAUAUUGAAAGUGGGAGCAAUUAGCUAGAGUAGCUCCGUGCAGAGCAUUGUAGACAUAGAAAUUUGCAAAAUACUUACGCAUCUGAAUGUGACAGACCCGUUGACUAAAAUUAUCUCACAAUCAAAACAUGAUCACACCUUAGUACUCUUUGGGUGUUAAUCACAUAGCGAUGUGAACUAGAUUACUGACUCUAGUAAACCCUUUGGGUGUUGGUCACAUGACGAUGUGAACUAUGGGUGUUAAUCACAUGGUGACGUGAACUAUUGAUGUUAAAUCACAUGGUGAUUUGAACUAGAUUAUUGAUUCUAGUGCAAGUGGGAGACUGAAGGAAAUAUGCCCUAGAGGAAAUAAUAAAGUAUUAUUUAUUUCCUUAUAUCAUGAUAAAUUUUUAUUAUUCAUGCUAGAAUUGUAUUAACCGGAAACAUAAUACAUGUGUGAAUACAUAGACAAACAGAGUGUCACUAGUAUGCCUCUACUUGACUAGCUCGUUGAUCAAAGAUGGUUAUGUUUCCUAGCCAUAGACAUGAGUUGUCAUUUGAUUAACGGGAUCACAUCAUUAGGAAAAUGAUGUGAUUGACUUGACCCAUUCCGUUAGCUUAGCACUCGAUCGUUCUUAUACAUGUUCCUAUGACUAUGAGAUUAUGCAACUCCCGUUUACCGGAGGAACACUUUGUGUGCUACCAAACGUCACAACGUAACUGGGUGAUUAUAAAGGUGCUCUACAGGUGUCUCCAAAGGUACUUGUUGGGUUGGCGUAUUUCGAGAUUAGGAUUUGUCACUCCGAUUGUCGGAGAGGUAUCUCUGGGCCCACUCGGUAAUGCACAUCACUAUAAGCCUUGCAAGCAUUGCAACUAAUGAGUUAUUUGUGGGAUGAUAUAUUACGGAACGAGUAAAGAGAUUUUCCGGUAACGAGAUUGAACUAGGUAUCGAGAUACCGACGGUCGAAUCUCGGGCAAGUAACAUACCGAUGACAAAGGGAACAACGUAUAUUGUUAUGCGGUCUGACCGAUAAAGAUCUUCGUAGAAUACGUGGGAGCCAAUAUGAGCAUCCAGGUUCCGCUAUUGGUUAUUGACCGGAGAGGUGUCUCGGUCAUGUCUACAUAGUUCUCGAACCCGUAGGGUCCGCACGCUUAACGUUACGAUGACUGUUAUAUUAUGAGUUUAUGUGUUUUGAUGUACCGAAGGAUUUUGGAGUCCCGGAUGAGAUCGGGGACAUGACGAGGAGUCUCGAAAUGGCCGAGACGUAAAGAUCGAUAUAUUGGACGACUAUAUUCGGACUUCGGAAAGGUUCCGAGUGAUUCGGGUAUUUUUCGGAGUACCGGAGAGUUACGGGAAUUCGUAUUGGGCCUUAAUGGGCCAUACGGGAAAGGAGAGAAAGGCCCCAAAGGGUGGCCGCACCCCUCCCUAUGGACUAGUCCGAAUUGGACUAGGGAGGGGGGGCGCCCCCUUCCUUCAUUCUCCUUCUCCCUUCCCUUCUCCUAUUCCAACAAGGAAAGGAGGAAUCCUACUCCCGGUGGGAGUAGGACUCCCCCCUUGGCACGCCCUCCUCCUUGGCCGGCGGCCUCCCCCUUGCUCCUUUACAUACGGGGGCAGGGGGGCACCCCAUAGACACACAAUUGAUAUACGAUAUUUUAGCCGUGUGCGGUGCCCCCUCCACCAUAUUACACCUCGAUAAUAUCGUUGCGGAGCUUAGGCGAAGCCCUGCGUCGGUAGAACAUCAUCGUCGUCACCACGCCGUCGUGCUGACGAAACUCUCCCUCAACACUCGGCUGGAUCGGAGUUCGAGGGACGUCAUCGAGCUGAACGUGUGCAGAACUCGGAGGUGACGUGCGUUCGGUACUUGAUCGGUCGGAUCGUGAAGACGUACGACUACAUCAACCGCGUUGUGUUAACGCUUCCGCUUUCGGUCUACGAGGGUACGUGGACAACACUCUCCCCUCUCGUUGCUAUGCAUCACCAUGAUCUUGCGUGUGCGUAGGAAUUUUUUUGAAAUUACUAUGUUCCCCAACACUAGCUACGUAUGCAAGCACAACAAGGUGAUGUUCUUGAUGCUAGAUUUAGUUUCGGGGUGUGUGAAAGAGAGACUUAAUUAAAAGUCUCAUCCCCCACACUAAACUUCGUCAAUACAUGUGACCCCCUAGAAGAUCAUCCAUCUUCGUCACCCUCUUGUGUACGCGACGGUUCACUAUUCCUGACUAUGAUGUAGCCCAAGGAACUGUUAGCAGAUCGUCGACAGCCAGAGCCGAUCGAUUGUCAGAACCUUGUAGCAAAACUACAUCAUUCUGCCGAUGAACUGAACCGAAGCAACACUCGUGGGAAGCAUAGGAAGAACAUCAACCCUCACAUAUCAGAUGUGAUCUGGAUCGCAACCUACAUAUACGCAUAAACCUGCUCAUGAUGCCACUGUUGGAAACGUAGUAGAAAGCAGAAUUUUUUUGCACCUAUGAUCACCAAGAUCAAUACGAAGAUGCAUAAGGGUUGGGAUCAACGAUUGUUACCAACUCCAGAGUGCGGCAGAAGAAGAAGAGUUGGUGUAGAUCAUGCUUGAAGUCCCUCGAACAAUGAUAACGAUCCCAAGAACCGCCCUCGAAUGAUCCCUCGAACAGAAGACCGAAAGCACGACCUCUCUACUUGGUUGCAAGCGUACGGUCUUCAUGAUCCGGCAGCGCUUUGCUGUCCAGAGCUAAUCGUCGCCGGAGAAUUAGAGAGAGGAGAUUAGAACCACACUAGGCUUCUAGUUAUGAGGAUUAGAGGUGGCUAGGGCUAGCUCUAAUUAGUCUAGGACCAACUAGAACUAGAUUAACUAGAAGAGGCACCCAAAAACUUGUAUCUCAAUAGGGUGGAAAACCUCUAGUAUAUAUACACUAGUAGAAAAAGGGCCAUUUGUCCCGGUUCAUAAGGCCCAUCUGUCCCAGUUGGGGAACCGGGACUAAAGGGUUGUUACUAAUGCCCUAGGCCUUUAGUCCCGGUUCUUAUACCAACCGGGACAGAUGGGCCUCCACGUGGCCGCUCCGGCGAGCCCAGGCAGGAGGGCCUUUGGUCCCGGUUGGUAGCACCAACCGGGACCAAUAAGCUUCCACGCGUCAGCAAUUCAGGGGCUGGUUUUUUUUAAAGGAGGUGGUUUAGGGGUUUUGGGGGUUAAUUUAGGUUGUUAUAGGUAGCUAAUAGAGAGAUGUGUCCUCUCUUAUCUCCGUGCUACUGCUACUGCUAUGCCUAAACAUGACUUAGAUUGAAGUGAGGCAACAUGUGGUGCAUGUCGAAAGUAAUACUAAUCCUAACUUGAUCAAGUUUGGAUUGUACUACUUUCGACAUGCACCACAUGCAUGUUGCCUUCACUUCAAUCCAAUCCAUGUUCAUUUCACCCACUGCUAUAUAAUAACUCUUCAUGCUCGCAUCAUGCAUCAUCAUAAUAACAAGUCCUACUAAUCAUCAUCAUACAACUUCUACUCAUUAUUAAUAACAAGUCAUACGAUCAUCAUCCUGAUAGUCAUCGAACCAACCCUACUUAAUUGUUCUUAGCACAUGAUCAUCAGUAUUAUGUAGGACCUAAAUACCCUAUUUAAGGUAAAAUAGCAUAAAAAAAUAUAGACCCUGACUCUCCAUUAUGGAGAAUGGAGAUCUUCCUGUCUCCAAUUCUUGCGCGGCGCUUCCUUUUGCUUCCAAGAACCUCCUUACGACUGUCCAUACAUUUUUUCCAUUCUCUGAUUAGCAUGUCUCCACUUCUUUUAGAAAUCUGGUAUGGACAGUUGAGAUUCGUAGGAUGACCUGGAUAUAUGUUCAAAACACGAAGGCUGGCAUUCUGAUACAUCAAAUGAGGCACACAAUCCUCUGGGAUUCUCUGUUGAAAAACAUAGUAAUAACUUCAUAGUUAGCAAUGAUGUACUAGUUUUAGAAGUAUGCAAAAGAUGCACAGAUGUCGUAAUAGUAAAAAAUCUUACCAGGGUAUCUCCAUGGUAGUUACCUUAGUUCAACACGUGCACUAGUGGCACGUAUUGACCAUAAUGUUGAGGAGUUUGAUUGUAGAUAUUGUAAUUCUCAAGAUCAGUACAAAAUCCGACCAGAUGAUUUUUCUCCUGAUAAGUUAACUCGAAGCCAUCGGUGUAGUGGGUUUUGUCUACCAUGUUCCGCACAAUGUUUGAACAAUCAAAAUAAGCUGUCAAUGGAAAUAAGAUGUCAACUAUUUUGAAAUAAACAAUAUAAAUUAGUUAAUAAUUAACUAUGUUUGAGAAACUCACAUAGCGGUAGAACUGGAGGCGUAUCAACAAGGACCCAAAUGUCCAUAUUGUCUUGGUCGAUGUCAGGAUCACCAAGAUCCAUGGUGACAAGCAUACCCUCAUCAAAACCAUACAUCUUGCAAAAUGCUUCCCAAUUUUUGCAACCAAAAUGGGUUACACUCUCAGCAUUAUACAGAUUUACUUCAAAAUCCACAUCAUGAUGGGUCCUUAGGUGAAUUUUCUUCAUUUCAAAAUUUUCAUGGUCUUCAAAAUCCAUCCUCUCCAAGACAUAGCGUCUUGGAUGGCAUGGGAUAAGCUAUACUCAAAUUGUAAAAGAUGAAAAUUACACGUUGAAAUAGUUGAAGUCAUGCUUAAUUACGAAAAAAACACUUGUCGUCGUUGCGUACCAUUUCAACAUCAAAGGUCUCCUCGAGCUUAAUGCUGAAGCGCCGAUCAUCGUCCAGGUGAGGCCUGUCGCGCAAACCUCAAUCGUCGUGGCACCAGCCGCACUCCCCCGAGAGACUUUCGUCGUCCGAUGACGACAUUUCCUACGUUCAUAAUUCAAAUAUUAAACUUGUACAAUUAAAUAUAUGUACUACAAAAACUAAAUUAGAUCAUUAUUAUUCAUCACGGGUUGACUAUCGGUUUGUCAAGUCUUUUCUUGAAAACACUCAGCUCACGUGGUGUAUACAUUCGACCGUUGGUGAUGGUCGCUCCUCCAUUUGUCCCCGAGUGCAUUACACCAAAAUGUCUAGCACAUGGGAACGAAGGAGAAGCGACCCCCACGACAACAGUCGGGAUUCUUCAUCCUCUCAUAUAUAUAUGGUGGAAUUCUCCCUCACUGAUUCCUCUCUGACAUUUGUGACCGUCGGUGAUGGUAGCUCCUCCUUUCGUUCCCGAGUGCAUUACACCAAAUUGUCUAGCACACGGGAACGAAGGAGAAGCUACCCCACGACAACAGUCGGGAUUCUUCGUCCUCUCAUAUAUGGUGGAGACUCGACAGACUUAAAGUCAACCCGAAAUAUCAUUUAAUUAUCUUUCUAAAAAAGGUUUUGGCUGGUCUCACCUCGAGGUCGGAGGGUCGGUGACGGGGACGACGGCGGGGAUGAUGGAGGGGGCUCCUAGAUUUCUGCGACAACAAAAACCCUAUAAGCUAUCAACUAAUCAUAUGCAUACGCCUUGCAUAGUGCUCUCCAAUUUUAGCAUUCAAAGUAGGAGUAGUUUUCCAAUUUGAGCAUUCAAUAAGCAAAACCAAAUCAUAAAAUAAAGUAGUAUUAAAAUUUGCAUGCAUUCAAUUAUAAGCAAAACUACAUCAUCUCUUCCGUCCGUACAUCGUCGAAUAUUAUCACUAAUACACCUUGAAUACUAUCAUACAUAUAUAUAGCAUCGCUAGUACAGCUAGAACCGUAGCGCCCGACGGGUAUCGGCGCGGGCGGUGGACACCCAAAGGGAAGGAACCAUCACAGCAUCAUAGCUCCAGUGAGAUCCCUGAAGAACCUGCCAGGUAUUGUCGAACCUGUCCUCCAACGCAACCAUGUAGCAACGGACGUGCUCGUCCUCCUCGCUGACACGGUGACGUACCACCUCCGUGGUGUCCGGAAGCCUAGGCACCGUCACUGGCCCACGCGACCGCCACCAAACAAGGAUCGGGUCAACGACGGGCUGGCUUCUCACCAACCUACGCCCUCCGGAAGGUAGCACCUCCCAAUACCAGCCCGGCGGAGCCCAGUCCCGGACAUGGCCCCUCUGAUCAAGCCGGCCUCCUCCGCCGAGUCGACGACGAGGAUGCGGGAUAGGCAUCGUCGACGUCGAUGCGGGAAUAAUUGCUUGAACUAAAAAAAAUAUACUAGUUCUAUUAAUUUUCUUGCUAAAAAUAAAAUACUUCUAUAGUAAAAUAAAGUAGUUUUAUUAAAUCAACUAGUUCAACUACUAAGCACUUACUAUAAAUAAAAUAAAGUAGUACUUACUAAAAAUAAACUACUUCUAUAGUAAAAUAAAGUAGUUUUAUUAAAUCAACUAGUUCAACUACUAAGCACUUACUAUAAAUAAAAUAAAGUAGUACUUACUAAAAAUAAACUUGUUUAACUAGUUCUAUUAUUUAUCGACCCCCCCCCUCAUGUCGAAGUUAUCGGGGAGGGGGUAUAUCGACAACGACAUACCCGAUAAAAAAUAAGAAGAGGAAGGAGAAGAAAAAAAGAGGAGAAGAAGAAAGGAAUAGAGGAGAAGAUCGAAGAAAAAAAAGAAGAAGAAAAAAGAGGAGAAGAAGAAAGGAAUAGAGGCUCUCCUCUAUUACUUUCUUCUUCUCCUCUUUUUCUUCUUCUUUUUUCCUCUUCUUAUUUAUUUCUCCACUUCUUUCUCUCCUCUUCUUCUCCUUCUUCUUCUCCUUUUCCUCUUCUUAUUUUCCCUUUUCCUCUCCCCCCUCAUCACAUGUCUGAGGAGAAGAAGAAAAAAAAGGAGAAGGAGAAGCAAUAGAGGAGAAAAAAAAUAGAUUUUAGAUUAAAAUCUAUUUUUUUCUUCUCCUCUAUUCCUUCUCCUUCUCCUCUUUUUUUCUUCUUCUUCAUCCUCUUCUUAUUUUUCUUCUUCUUCCUUCUUCCUCUUUUCUUCCUCUUUUCUUCUUUCCUUAAUUUCUUUGCUCGACGACCCUAACCCUAAACAGUACAACUAACUACAACGACUUCGCUUGCAUACAUAUGAACAAAUAUGAUCGAUCAUCUAUGAACAAUAUAAAAACAUCAUAUGAUAUAUGAACAAAAAAUCACAUCUAUGAACAAAAAAAUCAUCUAAUCAUAUAUUUUUUACGGCGGCCACGGCGGCGGUGGCGGGGGGCAGGGCAGGGCACGGGGGCCGGGGCUCACUAGGGACGGCGUCGGCGACGGCAUCGGGNNNNNNNNNNNNNNNNNNNNNNNNNNNNNNNNNNNNNNNNNNNNNNNNNNNNNNNNNNNNNNNNNNNNNNNNNNNNNNNNNNNNNNNNNNNNNNNNNNNNNNNNNNNNNNNNNNNNNNNNNNNNNNNNNNNNNNNNNNNNNNNNNNNNNGGGCAGGGGGCGGCGGCGCGACGACGGCGUCGGGGCAGGGGCGCGCGCGGCGACGGCGUCGGGGCAGUGGGAAGAAGAACUGAACCGAAAAUUUCACAAGUGUGGCUUAUAUAGACAGACCUUUGGUCCCGGUUCGUGGCAGCAACCGGGACCAAAGCACCCCUUUAGUCCCGGUUGGAGCCACCAACCGGGACCAAAGGUCGCUUUUCAGCAGCCCAAAGGGCGGGAAGCAGAGGCCUUUGGUCCCGGUUGGUGGCACAAACCGGGACUAAAGGGUGCGCAUUGGUACCGGUUGUUGGCAUGAACUGGUACCAAUGUACGCCUUUAGUACCGGUUGGUGGCACCAACUGGGACUAAAGGCCUUGUGCUGCCCGCAUCGCGGCACGAAAGUUUAGUCCCACCUCGCUAGCUGAGGGAGCUCAAGAGUGGUUUAUAAGCCCCACUCCCGCUGCCCUCUCGAGCUCCUCUCAAAUGCAGGCUUUCGGGCCUAAACACACUGUAUCUAUAUUGGGCCUUCUACAGGCCUGAAUCCUGGCCCAUGGGUGGGUUUCUAGUCGUAUUCAGGCCGUGGUGGCCCAGUAGGUUGCUUUUUUCUAUUUUUUCCCAGUUUAUUUCUUUUCUUUUUUGCUUUAUUUAUUUUAUUUUGUUUCUACUUACAACAAAAUACUUAUUUAUUCUAUUUUAUGAUAAUUCUUUUUGCUAUUAAAGUUUCUAACAAAAAAAGUUCUUUAUGAAAAUUCUUUUUGCUUUAAAUGAUUUUGAACAGAAUAAACUUUGAUAAUUUUAGUUGCAUCAAUUUUAUAUAAUUUUAGUUUCAAUAAUACUAGAGGUUGCUUAUAAUGUUUUGAACAGAAAAUACGUUGAUAAUUUUAGUUUCAUAAAUUUUAUUUAUGUUAUUAAAGUUUAUUUUAUUUUGUUUCUACUUAUAUAUUUUAUUAAAGUUUAUUUUAUUCUAUUUCUAAUUACUUAUUUAUUUUAUUUUAUGAUAUUUGUUAUUUUCCAUGUAUUUACUGGUUAUUUUGAGCUAUAAGACCCACAUAGCAUGGUAUCAUCAUUUCACCCACAUAGCAUGUGCAAGAAAGUAGAGAGGGUUACGGCAAAAACUAGAUGCACUUCGUGUACAAAACGGAAAAUCUGUUUCGAAGUAUCAGGAUUUCAUACGGAAACUCGUCUGUUACAAAGGGAUUUCAUUUUUUAGAAAUUAUUUGAACUCCAUAGUUUUCCUGUGUUCAAAAUGCACCAUUCAAAGCCACAUCAUCAAUUUUCAACCCUUUCUGACUUCAUUUGUUAUUUUCCAUGCAUUUACUGAUUAUUUUGAGCUAUAAGACCAUGAAACUGAAAAACUUUACAAAUGAACUCUCAAAAGGUUGAAAGUUGUCAUGGUAUCAUCAUUUCACCCACAUAGCAUGUGCAAGAAAGUAGAGAGGUUUACGGCAAAAACUGGAUGCACUUCGUGUACAAAACGGACAAUCUGUUUCGAAGUAUCAGGAUUUCAUACGGAAACUCAUCUGUUACAACAGGCAUUUCAAAUUUACUACGAAAAGGUUGAAAGUUGGCAUGGUAUCAUCAUAAUAGUUGUGGAGAGAAAGUCUUCACUUUUUUUUCGCUUGUUUGAAUUGCUUAUUGCGCCGUAACCAUGGAUAAUCUUCAUCGUUUAUCAGGAUGCUUGGGUCAGCCUUGACUUUGAAGGGAGGAAUUUCAUGAAACUUUUCAUAAUCUUCAGACAUGUAUGUCUUGCCCUCCACUCCCACGAUGUCCCUUUUUCCUGAAAGAACUAUGUGGCGCUUUGGCUCAUCAUAUGAUGUAUUCGCUUCCUUAUCUUUUCUUUUUCUCUGUUUGGUAGCCAUGUCCUUCACAUAGAUAACAUGUGCCAGAUAAUUGGCUGGGAUGAAAGGUUCGUCAGUGUACCCAAGAUUGUUCAGAUCCACUGUUGUCAUUCCGUACUGUGGGUCUACCUGUACCCCGCCUCCUGACAGAUUGACCCUUUUGCACUUAAACAAAGGGACCUUAAAAUCAUGUCCGUAGUCAAUUUCCCAUAUGUCCACUAUGUAACCAUAAUAUGUGUCCUUUCCCCUCUCGGUUGCUGCAUCAAAGCGGACACCGCUGUUUUAGUUGGUGCUCUUUUGAUCUUGGGCGAUCGUGUAAAAUGUAUUCCCAUUUAUCUCGUAUCCUUUGUAAGUCAAUACAGUCGAAGAUGGUCCCCUGGACAACGAGUACAGCUCAUCACAAAUAGUGUUGUCACCUCGGAGACGUGUUUCCAACCAACUGCUGAAAGUCCUGAUGUGUUCACAUGUAAUCUAGUCAUCACACUGCUCCGGGUGUUUGGAGCGCAGACUGUUCUUGUGUUCAUCGACAUACGGGGUCGCCAAGGUAGAGUUCUUUAGAACUGUGUAGUGUGCUUGAGACCAAGAAUGCCCGUCCCUGCAUAUUAUUGAGUCCGCUCCUAGUGUGCCUUUUCCAGUCAGUCUCCCAUCAUACCGCGAUUUAGGGAGACCUAUCUUCUUAAGGCCAGGAAUGAAGUCAACACAAAACCCAAUGACAUCCUCUGUUUGAUGGCCCAUGGAGAUGCUUCCUUCUGGCCUAGCACCUGUUCCAUUCAACAGCUGUAAGAGUUCUUCAACUAAUGGCCUUAGGUACACAUCAAUGUCGUUGCCGGGUUGCUUAGGGCCUUGGAUGAGAAUUGGCAUCAUAAUGAACUUCCGCUUCAUGCACAUCCAAGGAGGAAGGUUAUACAUACAUAGAGUCACGGGUCAGGUGCUGUGAUUGCUGCUCUGCUCCCUGAAAGGAUUAAUGCCAUCCGCGCUUAAAGCAAACCAUACGUUCCUUGGGUCACUUGCAAACUCAGGCCAGAACUUUCUCUCGAUUUUUCUCCACUGCGACCCGUCAGCGGGUGCUCUCAACUUCCUGUCUUUCUUACGGUCCUCACUGUGCCAUCGCAUCAACUUGGCAUGCUCUUUGUUUCUGAACAGUCGUUUCAACCAUGGUAUUAUAGGAGCAUACCACAUCACCUUCGCAGGAACCCUCUUCCUGCGGGGCUCGCCCUCAACAUCACCAGGGUCAUCUCGUCUGAUCUUAUACCGCAAUGCACUGCAUACCAGGCAUGCGUUCAAAUCCUUGUACACACCGCGGUAGAGGAUGCAGUCAUUAGGGCAUGCAUGUAUCUUCUCCACCUCCAAUCCUAGAGGGCAUACGACCUUCUUUGUUGCGUACGUACUGUCGGGCAAUUCAUUAUCCUUUGGAAGCUUCUUCUUCAAUAUUUUCAGUAGCUUCUCAAAUCCUUUGUCAGGCACAGCAUUCUCUGCCUUCCACUGCAGCAAUUCCAGUACGGUACCGAGCUUUGUGUUGCCAUCUUCGCAAUUGGGGUACAACCCUUUUUGUGAUCCUCUAACAUGCGAUCGAACUUCAGCUUCUCCUUUUCACUUUCACACUUUUCCCUUGCAUCAACAAUGACCCGGCGGAGAUCAUCAUCGGGCACAUCGUCUGGUUCCUGUGGAUCUUCAGCUUCCUCUCGAUCUUCAGCUUCCCCCGUUGCAGCAUCACCGUAUUCAGGGGGCACAUAGUUGUCAUCAUCCUCUUCUUCUUCGCUGUCUUCCAUCAUAACCCCUAUUUCUCCGUGCUUCGUCCAAACAUUAUAGUGUGGCAUGAAACCCUUAUAAAGCAGGUGGGUGUGAAGGAUUUUCUUGUCAGAGUAAGACCUCGUAUUCCCACAAUUAGGGCAUGGACAACACAUAAAACCAUUCUGCUUGUUUGCCUCAGCCACUUCGAGAAAAUUAUGCACGCCCUUAAUGUACUCAGAUGUGUGUCUGUCACCGUACAUCCAUUGCCGGUUCAUUUGCGUGUCAAAAGUAAGAAAAUUAGACAAGUAUCUAUCUAAAGUAAGAUUUUUUUCCUUUCAGAAAGAAGAUAAGAACAAGAGGCUCACCACGGUGGUGCCGACGAUGAGAUCGGCGCGGGCGAUCGACGGCGGUGAAGACGAGGAUGGGGCGUGACGGGCCGCUAAACCUAGACAAAUCUCAGAAAAAAUGGAGCUCGGAGGUCGAGCUUCGAGAGGAGAAAGCUUAACUAGUGUGGCUCGGGCAUUUCAUCGAACACCUCACAUGCAUAGGAGGUGAGCUAGAGCACCCAAAUGCCCUUCCUCGCCGGCCAGCAAAAAACAGAGCACUUUGGAGUGCUCUGCUCGCCGGCGAUGGGGUAUAUAUAGGGAACUCAUUUGUCCCGGUUCGUGGCUAGAACCGGGACUAAAGGCCAUCCUUCUGUCCCGGUUUCUGCCACGAACUGGGACCAAUGGUUGUGGGCCAGGAGCGAGGCUCAUUGGUCCCGGUUCAUGCCAAGAGCUGGGACAAAUGGGCCCAGACGAACCGGGACCAAUGCCCACGAGGCCCCGGCCGGCCCCCUGGGCUCACGAACCGGGACAAAUGCCUCCAUUGGUCCCGGUUCGUGGCAGAACCGGGACUAAUGGGCUGGCCAGGCCCGAACAAAAGCCCCUUUUUCUACUAGUGAUAGGUUAGGAGGGGAGGAGAGGGCAACCACAAGGGGGGGAAGAUCCCCCUUGGGGCACCAGCCAAGGCAGGGGAGUAGGACUCCCCCUCCAAGUAGGAUUCGGACCCCCCCCCCCCUUAGGAAAGGGAGGCACCUCCCUUGUUGGGCCCUUGUGGCCCAACUCCUUCUCCACCUCUUGGCCUUAUUUGGCCCGUCGAUAUUAAAUUAAAUGUAUUUUUGUUCUAAGAAUUUUCAGAGCAUAAUAUAUAUAAUUUAACAUCUCCGGAAACAUUUUCUACCUAUAUAAAUUAAUCGGUAAUACCCGUAAUUACCCGAUAUUCACCGAAACCCUUCCGGUGACCCCGAAACGCUUCCGGAACCUCUCAAAACUAUUUCGGAUAUUAAUGAAACUAUUUCAUGAAUACAUUCUCAUUACUCACGUUCCACUAACACUCAUAAGAUCGUGAUUACCUUAAGCUUGUGACCCCGUAGGUUCGGUAAUAAUAGACAUGAACGAAACUCCUUCCUUCAAUGACCGAUAGCGGAACCAUGGACAUCCAUAUCGGUCCCUAUGAUUACACGAAUAAUAUUUGAGUGAACCUUUUGUUAUCAUAUGACGUUCCCUUUGCUUCGCGAUACUUUACAAAACCCGGUGUGCAUCGGUAUCCUCCUGGAUCAUCACCAUGCCCACUAUACCGUUGCUCCUGUUACCGGUUUUGUUCUUCUUUCUCGUUGACGUGUUCCGGCAUCCCUGUGACAUAGUCACCUGUGUCUGGCUAGACGACGAUGGAUGCCAUCACACUGAGAGGGCCUAAGAAUAUCUCUCCAUCGUCGGAGGAGCAAAUCACACUCUUGAGCACGGCCUCUUUACUUGGUUGCAAGCGUACGGGAUGGAGGGAGUAUUUCAUAAAUUGUAUGGGAUGUAAUGUUUCUACCAGUAUAUUUUGAACUGCUUUAUUGUUGCCCAGAGUGAAUAUUUGAUGAUUUCCUUUGUUGUACUCGGUAGGAUUAAUUUGACUAAUCACCAUUUUUUCCAAAAAAGAAAUACCACUAGCUAAAGUACAUGCGUUAUUCAUUAGAUUGUUUGAUCAAACUGCUGGAAUCGCCUAAUACUAUCUCAGUUCAAAACUUUUGAGGAAUCAUGAAGUUAGUGCUAAACAUAUCUUGCUUUAUUUCUAAAUCGCAAGAUAGAAACUGACUGAUCAUUCUGAACAAAAUUCAGCGUUAUUAAAUGCUUGUGUUUAAUUCAGGUGAAUGCUGCACUUAUUGAAACUCUGAAGAAGGGAAGUAGCUUUGGUGCUCCAUGUGCGUUGGCUCAAAUGGUCAUCUCCGCUGUGCCGGGUAUCGAAAUGGUUCGUUUUGUAAAUUCAGGAACAGAAGCUUGCAUGGGAGCACUCCGCCUUGUGCGUGCAUUCACUGGGAGGGAAAGAUCCUCAAGUUUGAAGGCUGUUACCAUGGCCAUGCAGAUUCCUUCCUCGUUGAAGCAGGCAGUGGGGUUGCCACCCUCGGCCUCCCAGACUCCCCUGGAGUGCCUAAGGGAGCCACUGUUGGGACUCUAACAGCACCUUAUAAUGAUGUUGAGGCGGUUAAAAAGCUGUUUGAGGAUAACAAAGGGGAGAUUGCUGCAGUCUUCCUUGAGCCGGUUGUCGGCAAUGCUGGCUUCAUUCCUCCGCAGCCUGCUUUCCUAAAUGCUCUCCGUGAGGUGACCAAACAAGACGGUGCACUUCUGGUCUUUGAUGAAGUGAUGACUGGUUUCCGUUUAGCUUAUGGUGGGGCACAAGAGUACUUUGGAAUCACCCCUGACGUGACAACCUUGGGGAAAAUUAUUGGCGGUGGUCUUCCAGUUGGUGCUUAUGGUGGGCGUAAGGAUAUCAUGGAGAUGGUUGCUCCAGCAGGGCCAAUGUACCAGGCAAGAACCCUGAGUGGAAACCCUCUAGCUAUGACUGCUGGAAUCCACACUCUCAAGCGUCUGAUGGAGCCUGGCACGUAUGAAUACUUGGACAAGGUCACCGGUGAACUUGUCCGGCGGAUAUUGGAUGCGGGUGCUAAAACAGGGCAUGAGAUGUGUGGUGGACACAUCAGAGGCAUGUUUGGAUUCUUCUUCGCAGGUGGCCCAGUGCACAACUUUGAUGAUGCCAAGAAGAGUGACACCGCGAAGUUUGGGAGGUUCCACCGUGGGAUGCUGGAAGGAGUGUAUCUAGCACCGUCCCAGUUCGAGGCAGGUUUUACAAGCUUGGCACACACAACCCUAGACAUUGAGAAAACCGUGGAGGCUGCCGAGGAAGUUCUUCGACGGAUGUAGACAAUUCAGAUUGCAAACUUUUUGGAGCUUUUCCUUCUGUUGUACUCUGUAAGUUGUACGUGGCUGAAGUUUAGUUUUGUAUUGUAUUUUGUUGUGCAGCAGCAGAAGCAGCAGUAUAUUGUCUCUAGACCAUUUCUUUUCUUCUGAAUUAGCAUUUGGGGUGAUUUUGUCUUGGCAAUAAAACUUUGGCUACGACCUCAAUUUUCUUCUCCUAUUCCAUCUACCUGUUCAAUGGAUAUUUUUGCACCAAGUAAAGAAACCAGUAAAUGUAACCGUUGUGUCGUUGCGUGCCUAAAGAUGUUGGAUCAACGGUGCUGGUCGCUGUACAUCUUCUUGUCUCGCUAAAGCCAAAGAAGGAAAAAACAAAAUUUCUACUUGAGCACGUUAUGUCAAAUAUCUUGCCCCAUUCCAUUUUCAGAUAUGAUACUCUUUUCAGGUUGACAUCGUGCUUGGCUGGUGAUAUAUAUUCCCUUUAACUCGCUCUCUUGUGCAACUUGAUUAGGUCCGUCCAAUUGUUAGGAUAGAAGUGCAUGUUGCAAAGGUAUGGGGGUCUCAUUCCGAAAAAGUUUUUUUUUUACCGAAAAAGUACGGGGGUCUCUUUCAUCGAUCGAUUCCAUCUUUUUCCACACAAAGAGAAGGCACAUCAUUCUCUCACUCUUUUUUUCUUUAUCAUGAACAAGCUGCCUCCGUCGCUCCCUUAAUGGAGCCGGCCUAUCAGGAAAUCUUCAUGCAAGUGCCCUUAACAGCCAACAUUUUCUCACUUGUAGUCAUCACCAAUGAACCCAUAAAUUGAUUUGAAGCGCCUGACACCAAAUCUCGUUGUCUUGCUCACAUGGCGAGAAACCCUAACCUCAUUGUCCCAAAAAGACUGCAUGAAUCUAUGUCAAAACUCCAUCGACUUUGUUCCGAUGGACGAACUGGAGGAGAAUCGAAGCUCGAAAGAUCAACUUGAAGAUGAAGCGCCACCAUCCGCCACCUCACCGCUCCGAGGAGAAAUAAUAAACUCUAACCUAAACUACUAGCCCAACCGAGGCACGAGGAGGGCAAUUGGUUCACGUCCAUGGCAGCCUUGCCAAAAUUGGUCACCCCAAUAAUUUGGCAUCAGUUUUUGCCACCAGCGAUUCGCCAACGCGUGGGCAUACAGAGUAAACCGGCUACCAAAAUAUUGACGUGGAUCCGAUAUUUUGGCAUCCUCCAAACGCACGCCAACUCUAGCAGUCAACGUCAAUUAAUUGGCAGGGCAACCCUAGGCUGCAGUCCAAACGCCCCCAGGACUCCCCAUCUCGUUGUCAGCUGCUAGAGUGGCGAACAGGGGGAGGCGGGUCCUCGGGAGCGGAAGGAAUAGAUUGAUUCGAAAAAAAAAACCUAAAAGCCAAGGACACAUCAUUCAUUGUGCUGAAUGCUUAAUUUUGCGGAUAAAAAAAAUACACAAACCAAUACAUCAUCAUGGGGAGCGUCCCCUGGUCACAGUUAGAAGGUGAUAGCAGUUGUCAAUUAGCAACUGUCAUCUCUUCGGGUGUUUGUUGACUGUUUUUUUUUUCAGAAAGACUUUCGAUCAUCAAACAUCAUGCCAGCAUAAAGAACACAGGAAGUAAUAACAAAUAUUUUAUCCAUGUCCCUAGGCCACCUAGCAACACUAUAAACACAGGAGGAGUCAAUGGCGCAAUCAUCACCCCUUCCUCAAGGGAGCCAUACAAACCGUUUUUUUUUUCACGCUUGAAGAAGCCGACAAAUCUUGUUAUAGUAGAUAGUUGGGAAGUCGUCAAGCUAGCUAAGGCCCCGAAGACAUCCCCGGACAAAUCUUGUUAUAGCAAAACAACAACCAUCAUCACUACUACAGAGAAGACAUCCCUUCCUUCCAAUCUCUUCACCUUGUGUAAAUACCAAAAUCACUUGUGAUAAUUUUACAUUAUGGAACAUGAUGCAUAAUUCAUUUUUGUGCAAUUCUGGCAAACUCUUGGUUGUUCAUGUUCAGAUUAGUACUAUGCCGCUAACCGCUCAUGCCGAUCGGUAGCAUGCUCUGUAUUGCAUAUACGUAGGAAAUAAAAUGAAACAUCUGCUCUCUCUCUCUCUCUCUCUCUCCCCCCGCCAGAAUCGAUCUGUUCAUUACAUAACCGUCCAAUUCAGAUCCAACAAAGAUCGGCCCACAAGGUCAGCGAGAGACAAAACAGGGAAACAGCGUUGUUGCGCGGCUGGGAGGCUACACGUAUUGGGGGUUCUCAGCCCGAAUUCUCAAGUUUUGGCGCCGAGGUUGGGUCAGGGGCCCGUGCCCGGCAACUGGUGCCCUGCCCAUCCGAUGGACAGGCCCAUGGAGCCCCUCGUCCUGCCCUCCACAACUUUCGCUUGAAUCUCUCUCAUUCUCUCCCCCUCCCAAGUUAAUUCUCCCCAUCUUUAUGACCAGCUGCCACCAGCCUCCUCCGCUCCUCGCUCGGUUGCGUUUUGCCGGGUAGCUAGCUACCUAGGGCCUUGGCUGGGAAUGUCGGAGGAUGUGGGGAGGAGGAGGAUGCAGCAGCAGCAGCAGGAGGAGGAGGAUGAGAGUUUGAAGGCGGCGGCGGCGGCGGUGGAGGAGGGAGGAGGGAAGACGAAGAGGAAGCGGGGGAGGGUGGAGUUGCGGCGGAUAGAGGACAGGACGAGCCGGCAGGUUCGCUUCUCCAAGCGGCGGAGCGGGCUCUUCAAGAAGGCCUUCGAGCUCUCCGUGCUCUGCGACGCCGAGGUUGCGCUAGUUGUCUUCUCUCCCGCCGGUCGCCUCUACGAGUUCGUCUCGUCCGACACCAGGUAUACCGUAUAUCCGUAUGUAUACUAUAUACUAAUCUAAAUUUUCUCUAGUCAGUUAUCUUUUGUAACUAUCCGUGUGUUUUCUGCUGUUCUUGGCAGCUAGUACUUUUGCCUUUUAUCUUGCACCGGCGUUCUUGUAUGUUCUUGUUUCGGCCGACCACACACAGUUUGGUCUAGAAAAUCAUUGCCGACUGCCGCGGAUCGUGUUUAGGCGCCCGAGUUCGCGAUGGUUAGUUCUCAAACUGAAGGAUCUGUGCAUGUAUAGCCCGACCAAAAAAUAUGAUAUGUAGCUGCCCAUAGCCACGCCGGAUUAUUUUUCUCUGAUUUUAUGUUGCAUUUCUUUGUUUCCAUGGGGAAUGAUUUAUUUCCCACAGGCGUAUCAUUGCAAUUUUGGCAAAAUUAAGCGGGGCGUCCUUCUGUCAGUCUAGUUAAAUAUUUCUCUGUGCCUAAAAGCUCCCACUGCACCUGCACGUCGCGAGUGCUUUUUUCCGUAAUAUACAUUCAGCAGCUAAAUAUGAGAUGCAGCAAUCCUGCUGUAAGACUGUUAUAAGUUACUGUUAACAGUGUGCAUGUUGCCCCAGUACGUACUACUUGUCUGCCAACCUUAAAAGAACACACACUAGUUUGAAUACAUGCAUAAUAUCACUCGUAUAUAAGUGCAAAUUAUUGCAUUUCUACCACCACUGUAUACUUUUCUACGCAGAUUAUGCCAUUUUCUUUUAUUAGGAUUAGCAUACAUAUAUAGUUCUGAUAGUGAAACUGUCCUUGAUUUUUUUUAAAAAGCCCUUUUGUGAAGCUAGUGCCGACCAAUCGUGUUCUAGUGUGAAGUUAUCGGAUCAGUUUCUUUUACCUUGUUAAUAGAUACAAAGUAUUUACUACAGUAUGUUAUUACACUAGAUUCAUUUUAGAUUUCCUAUUUCUAUUCUAUUUUUUUGCAGCGUUGAGCAACUUUUUGGUCGAUGCAAGGACAUUCCCGACACGGUAAUUGAUGAUCUGAAUAUAGCAGCACGAGAUUCCAGCGGUUAUUGCAAUAUACAGGUAAGGAAUAUGUAUGUAUGUGUGUAUAUGUUAGGUUAAUUAAUUAUUCUACCAGCUUCAUAGUUAGAUUCAUGUUUGUAUUAUGUAUAUGUUAUUUUGGGUACACAUAUGAGUAAUUAAACAACUUAUUGUUCAUGUGCUAUCUGCCAAUUGAAUUCAUGAGCCUAACUACAUAUACUCCCUCUGUUUAUUUACUUUGCAUAUAGGUUUGACCUAAGUCAAACUUUAUAAAGUUUAUAAAGUUUGACUGAGUUUAUUGAAAACAGUAUGUACAUUUACAGUUGACAAGUAUAUAUAUUGUGAAAAUAUAUUCAAUGAUGAAUCUGAUGGUAUUGAUUUGGUAUUGUAAACUUAGUCAAAGUAUUCAAGAUUUGACUUAAGAUAAAACUAAUAUGCAGAGGGGGUACAUGUAAAUUAUCUCAAUACUGAUGCACAUGAUUCUCAAGUUGAUUACAAUAUACAUGUGAGGAAUCUUGUUGUGUGCUAAGGUUAUAGGGAGGUAGAGGAAGGGCUCUUGCCCUGGAGGGACGAUAUAAGUGUUAUUCUUCUGAUUCUAGCUUGCUUUAUUCCUCGUAGGGAGUCCUUUUUAUAUAGAGGACUAACCAUCCAAUCUAAGUAGCAAGCUGAAAGAUAUAUUUCCGUAUUAAACAAUACACUACUUAACAUAGGAAUUGGUAUCUUUUUGAUAUCAUAAUUGGGAGUUGCCAUGGUGGUAGGGCCAUGUACUAAUGUACAUAACAUCACACCCCUCCUAGAGAUGCAACUCGUCCUUAAGCUGCUAGGUGGGGCGACCAUGGUUGCAAUCUGGCGAAGUCCAUUGACGAUAUGUGAUUUCGCUGCACCUCAUGGCUCGAACUAGAUAGUAGGGCUUUGGCCCUGUGUUUGAAGUGGAGGCCCUCCUGGCCUAGGGGAAGACAUUGUGUUACUUUGUUCCAACACGAAUAGCCUCGUUGCUAGAAGAUGUGGAAACUCUAUUGCCCCAUCUUCAUUGGUAUGGCAUGUUGGGAAACAUAGUAGAAAACAAAAAAAAUCGCCCUACGAUCACAUAGGAACAAUAUGAAGAUGCAUAUAAGGUUUGGAUCGACGAUUUUUACUGACUCCGGAAUGCAGCAGAAGUAGACGAGUCGGUAUAGAUCGUACUUGGAGUCCCUCGAAACGUUGAUGACGAUCCCUCGAACAGAAGACCAAAAUCACGACAUGUGUACUUGGUUGCAAGCGUACGGUCUUCACGAUCCGGCAGCGCUUUGCCGUCCAGGGCUAAUCGUCGCCGUAGAAUUAGAGGAGGAGAUUAGAACCACACGGGGCUUCUAAUUAUGAAGAUUAGAGGAACUAGGUCUACCUCAAAUUAGAUCAACUAGAACUAGAGGGGGCUCCAAAACUUGAAUCAUCAAAAGGGCCAAUAUCUCAAGUAUAUAUAGGUUAGAGGAGGGGGGGGCAGACUGGCUUCCACCAAGGAGGGAAAGAUCCUCCUUGGGGCACCGACCAAGGGGGGGGAGUUGGACUCCUCAACUCCUCCCCUAGUCCAAUUCGGGGCCCCCAAAAGGAAGGGGGGCGCCACUUCCUAUUGGGCCAUGGUGGCCCAAUACUCCUUCCACCACUAGGCUUUUUAAGGCCCGUUGAUAUUUAUCGAUAAUUUUAAUGUAACACAUCUGGAAACAUUAGAGAACUUUAUUAUUAAUGUAACACAUCUGGAAACAUUUUCCACCUAUAUAUUAUUUAUCGAUAAUAUCCGGUGUUGCCCGAUAAACUCCGAAACCCUUCUGGUGACCCCGAAACGCUUCCUGUUUCUCUUGAAACUAUUCCGAAUAUUAAUGAAACAAUUCCGCAUAUAAAUCCUCGAUACUCUCAUCCUACUAACACUUAGGAGAUCGUGAUUACCUUAAGCUUGUGACCCCGUAGGUUCGGUAAAUCAUAGACAUAAACGGAAUUCCUUCAUUCAAUGACCGAUAGCGGAACCGGGGACGUCCAUAUCGAUCCCUAUGAUUACACGAAUGACAUUCGAGUGAACCUUUGGUUAUCAUGUGAUGUUCCCUUUGCUUCGCGAUACUUUACAAAACCCGAGGUGUGCCGGUAUCCUCUUGAGUCAUGCACAUGCUCAUUAUACCGUCAUCCUCGUUACGGUUUUGUUCUACUUUCUUGUUGAAGUGUUCCAGCAUCCCCGUGACGUAGUCACCUAUGUCUGGCCAUAUGAUAAUUGAUGCCGUCACACUGAGAGGGCCCUAAGAAUAUAUUUCCAUCGUCGGAGGAGCAAAUCCCACUCUCGAGCUAUCUAGUCUCUUGUCAAACUUUCUGAUUGACCAGUAAGUUGUCGUUAUGAUCACCGUGUUACAAAUGAAGUUUGAGCAACCCUAAAUUUCACUUUACGGUAGGAAGUGACUACGAUAUAUACCCUCAUGGUCUAAGGAACUAAAACACAUACUAACACUCCGAGUUAUAACAAUUGAUUUCAGACGAUAUUAUCUCAAAGUAUAACAAACAAGUUUGGGUCGAUUCAAUAUGAUCGUUCUUCUAACAUCAUACUCUCAAUGUUGUUUUAGGACGAUCGUUACACUUAACGAUAUCCUAAGAUCCGGAAAACGUGAUCAUCAACAACACCUGAGCCUGUUUUAGAGGCAAGACUAUGAACCUAUACUUACCGUUUAUCAUUCCAUGGUGCAUAUGAGUUUUCCAUUGAACAACAGAUUCUAGGAUCAUAGCAGUUAUAUCAUAAAAUAUAAAUUCUUAAUUAUGAAAAUAGAAAUAGAAUAAUAGAAUAUAUUGCCUCUAGGGCAUAUUUCCAACAUGGCCUUGAUGCUUCACACUAAUUACUUGAAGGAAGUGUAAUGGCCUUUUAUCAAACCCAUGAUGUAUGAGGUUCCACUGCUCCUGCACGGGAAGAGGCCCACCAACAUACCAUCUCACACUCUGAAUCAUAGGCAUCUCAACCCGCGCCAUGAAGUCCAUCUCGUCCUUGAGCUGCUAGUUGGUGAAGGUGACUAAGUAUUUAAUUACAUGUUCCUUGAUUAUCUAUGAACUAUCUAAGGUGCACAUCAUAAAAAGAGACAUGGGAGAUAAAACCGACUAGACAAUAUGAAGCUUUGCCCCCCAGAAGACAGAAAAGUUGAGGAUCGUGAUGUUGAAGAACAUGCUACGCAAGACAAAACAAAAUUACCAUGCAUGAACCAAACCAAGAUACACAAUUGAGUUGCAAGCAAGGAAAAUAUACCCCUGACAAUCACGUCAAAGCAACAAGAAGUUGGUGAUGUUGAUGAAGUCCUCUGAAUCCCGCAGGAAGGUUAUACCACUCAGCCACGAGGUUGUUCUCCUCGCAUAAUUUUGCCUGAGCAAACGCCAGUGUGUAUGACAUCUCCAAGGUAUCCACCCAUACACAUAGACCAGCAUACCAAGAGCAGUUGGAAACUACAAGAUGGAGUAGCAACAACACACUGGCAACUAGCACUAUAUCCAAUCUAGAGGAGAGGGAGGGGAGGCGGCGCCCAACAUGAGGGGUGUGGUGGCCAGGGAGACUUGGGGUGCCCUCCCUAUGUACACUACGCUCUAUUUACAAGUGGCCAAGGGGUGAGGCGGCCAACCCUAGGGGGAUUCGUACUCCACCAGGGACUCGUUGAUGGAGUCUAACUCCACCAUGUUGCCCCCACCAGGCUGCCUUGCCCCUCAAGCAAACAGGGGUGCAAGCAGGCAGAGGGUCUUCUCGAAUGUUCUAGAACAUUACAAAACCUUCCAAACCUUUCGGAAGCUUCGAUCAUAUUCUAGAACCUUUCGGUACUUCCCGAAACACUUCGAAUAUCACCGGAACACUUCCAAGAUCCUUUGAAACACUUUCGAAACCCUUCUCACUCAUUCUCCAUAAAAUCAUAGCAUUCCCAAACGUUGCUCAAUGUUAAGCAUGUGAAAUGUUCGAGCAUAUGUGGACAUGUCCGGAAAACCUUUCGAUUAAUAAUCGUCAGCGGGAUCUGGUCACCAUAACAAAUCUCACAUAUCAUCGAAGAUCCUUAUCGAGCAAACCUUCUAUCAUCACAUGCAAUUCCUUUUGCCUCACAGUGCAUUACACAACCCGAGGCGAGACUUUGACGGUAUCCUAUAAUCAACUCCUUGUUCAGUAUACCUAAGUAUCCUCGUUACUUGUUUGUACUAUUUUCUCUUCUCCAUAUUCUAGUAUCCUCGUGACUAACUCUUUGGUCACAAUACAUGGCCAGGCAACGUUGGACACCGUAAUAACGAGUGGGCCCAGAGUGUAUCUUUCCAUCGCCUGAGGGGCAAGUACAAAUCUUGAAAUAUCUGGAACCAUGACAUAUUUUUUGAUGUAUCUGAAAGUUACCUUUACAAUUGCAAGUUAUAGAAUUAUGUUUGAUGACCCCGAAGCAUAGUCUUAUUUCAAUCUUUUGCACCAUAAGUGAGAAAUCUUCAACUCUUCGCUUGGUAUCCCAAGUGGGGGACCGAAAUAUGUCAAAGGGAAUUCUCCUUUGCAUUUGAGGGUUCUUAUUAGAGCCUGCAUUUUACCCUGUCGCACAUUGAUUGGGAUCAUAAUGGUUUCUGAUAGUUAUCUUUGAGCCAAGUGUAUCCAAACAUAAGUAUGGAGAGUGUCUUUAAGAAAGACCAACUGCUUAACAUCAUCACUACGAGUACAUCAGAUAAACCAUAAUCAUUAGGGUAGCUCAUAUCACUAUUGUAUUGAACAUCUAAAAGGUCAAGGUGGAGAGAUUACAACUUUGGCUACUACCAUGAACCCGUAAUCCAGGGGGUUGACUACAUACAACUCAUCUUGCAGCGUGGUGAUGAAGAUUGUUUCCCCUUCCGGCAGAGUUCAGGAUCAAGGCCAAAAACAAAGAUUGCAUCUGAAACAUGAUGUGGAGGCGAUGAAAAAUGCUCCAUAAUUAGGGUGAAAGUUUUAGGGUAUUUAUGGAGCAUCAGGCACUGGAGGCCAGCCGGGAGGGUCCCACACGUACUAGGCACCCCUGUAGGCGCCAACAACCUUAGGACGCCUAGGCCCUAUGGGAUCCACCUGGGUGGGGCCAAGGCUCCAGGGUCUUCUGGUGUCUUCAAACUUCCCGAACAAUUUCGAUUUUAAUUUUCCUUAGACUUUCUCUAGGGAUUUUCUUGAAAUUACAAAAAAUAGGGAUAAAGUUGGGAACUAGCACCAGGCACUGGAUUAAUAUGUUAGUCUAAUAAAUUCAACAAGAAUUAUUGCCAAAUGUUAUCUAAUUAAUAACAUUAUAGGAUGAUUCAUACAAAAAGUAUCGGUACGUUUGAGGCGUAUCAUGGUGAAAGAGAUGGACUUUUGGAGGAUGGAUUCAAGAAAUGUGUUUCUUGGUCCUCAAAGAAUCAAAGAAGUGACAUGAAAUCACCCAACACCUUUUUCCUUCCUUUCUUGCAUUUGAUGUCCCUUUAUCUUUGGUGGUAGCUGAAUGGAGUAGAGUGGCUUGCAACAGGUGGAAUGAGUAAGUGGACUAUCUGUUGAAAUACACAACUUGUCUUUCCAGUUGGCUAAAUAUAUACAACUCUAACACCCCCCUCAAAUUCAUGGUGGAUCAACAACACUUAUUUGGAUAGAUAGAAGUCGUGUUGUGCUCUAAUCCAGGCCUUCGCAAAGAAAUCUGCCAAUUGUGUUACUCAAAAGGCACAUACUGAAGAGCAAUAACCUAAUCCUGCAAACCAGCGUGCACAAAAGCAGCAUCAACACCAAUAUGCUUGGUGAGCUCAUGCUUCACAGAAUAGCACGCAAUACUAAUAGAACAUAUACUGUCAGACAAGAGCAGAGUAUGUGUAGUGUCAGAAACACCAAACUCCAAUAGUAACCGCCAUAACCAAGUAACCUCUACGCCAAAAGAGCCACAGUACGCAAGUCACCCUAUACACUCGGACGGGAAACUACAGUCUGUUACUUCGUCUUCCUGGCAAUGAGAGAACCACCAAGAAAAACACAGUAAGCAUAAAGUGAACGACGAUCUGAGGAUCGUUAGCUCAUUUAGCAUCCAAAUAGGCCUGAAGUUGUAAUGAACAGGAAUCGGGAAAGAAUCAAUGGUGAGAUAUCAUGCCAUGAAGAUAUCGGAGAACACAAAGGAGGUGACUAUAGUGAAGCUAAGAGGGGGCAGAGACAAAGUAACUCAAAAUAUGAACUGGAUAAGAGAUAUCCUGACGAGUGACAGCUAGAUAGACAAGACUCCCAACAAGAUUAUGAUAAUGGGUAGAUCAAACAAGGGAUCACCAUAAGUAGCAUGUGAGAUCCAUCGAAGUCUCAAGAAUGCGCUCAUCAGUGAGAGCAGGACAAACACGAAGAUCCUGGAUGUACUUUUCUUGGGAAUAAAAAGGCAUCAGAGGUCAAAGAGACCUCAAACGCAAGUAGCCAAGAGGACCAAGAUCAGACAUAAGAAACUGCUCACUAAGACGGGCCAUCACAAAGGCAAUAUACUUAAGGUCCUCGCUAGUGAUGAUCAUGUCGUCAACAUAUAGAAGAAGUGUCCGACCAUAAGCAGAAAGGUGGACAAACGGCGCUUGAUCAUGAGCACUCGUUGAAAACCCAGUUGCAGUCACCAAACAAGACACUUAAUCAGGCGCAAGGGGCUCGCUUCAGGCCAUAAAUAGAGCGACGGAUAUGACAUACCAUGCCGUUAGGGAACAGAAUACCCAGGUGGGGGCUGCAUGUAAACCUCAUCAUGCAACUCGCCAUUAAGAAAUGCACUCUUAACAUGAAGUUGAGACAUAGACGUGGCGAAUAGAGGCCACACUAAGAAGUGUGCGACCAGUGGUCAUAUGGGCCAAAUGAGCAAAAGUCUCAUUGUAAUCACGACCGUGCUCCUAUUGAAAGCCACGAGCUAGAAGACGAGCUUUAUAACGGUCUAGAGAACCAUUAGAGCGGGUAUUAACCCUGUUGACCGAUUUACAAGUGAUGGGGCAGACAUGGGGAGAAAGAUAAAGAAGAUCCCACAUGUUGUUACAUUCAAGUGCUCCUGUGCCAUCACAAGCUGCCAUUCAGCAGGAUGAACAACAACUUCACAAUAAGAAGUCGGUUCAAGAACAACAACGCCAGGCAGAGAAACCAGGGCGAUCAACAGGCAGUAGCGGACGAGGAUGGAAGCCAUAAGUAGGCUAAGACAAGGAAGAUAGCACAUCGGUAGACGCAUCCACAACACACAAAUGGAGAGUAUAAAAGUGUGGAAACGAUGGAAGAAUACAAGGAGGAUUCACCGGGUAGACUCCGAUGAAGGAGACGAAGAAGUCAUCGAGGAGGAAGGUGCAGAAUCCUGUGACAACUGAGGUGAGGAAACCAUGGGUGGAAAUGUCGUGUCUGGAAUAGUCGAACAAGUAGGGCAAUAGGAUAAAUGGACAAUUGGCUCAACGAGAGCGAUAGGUGUGUCAGAAAAAGUGAGGAAAGAGAUGCACUCCACUAAAAAGGUUGAGGAAGAUGGACGCGGGUAGAAGGGACGAGAAUCAUCAAAAGCCAAAUCCCGAGAAGUACGCAUCUGAUGAUUGAUAGGAUCCCAACAACGAUAGCCCUUAUGCUCAUCACUAUAGCCUAAGAAGACACACUCGAUAGAUCGAGCGGUCAGUUUGGUGUGCUCACGUGGGCAAGUAGAACAUUGCAAACUCAACCAAACAAAUGAAGCACCGAAUAAUCAGGAGAAUAAUCAAAAAUAUGCUCAAAAGGAAUGCCACCCUACAAAGCGGUGGAUGGCUGAAGAUUGAUGAGAUAGGUGGAAGUGGAAAGAGCCUUAGCCCACAAUUGAGGCGGAAGAGAGGCGGCGAUCUUCAAUGCAUGAGUCAUCUCGAGAAGGUGACAAUGUUUGUCCUCAGCCAUGCCAUUCUGAGCAUGAGCACCGCGAUAAGAGAAUUGAGCAAGAGUACCCUGCUUAGCAAGACCUCCAUGCAACAUCUUGGAGAUAUACUCUCUAACAGAGUCAGCAUGAAAUAGACGAAUAGGCAUGGAGAACUGAGUAUGAACCAUGGGAGUGGAAUGCUUAUAAAUAGAUAAAACCUCACAACGAGAAGACAUAAAAUAUAUCCAAGUGUGGCGAGAGAAAUCAUCUAUAAAGAUAAUAUAGUGGCAAUGACCCCCCUUUCGAGCCAAAAGGAGCUGGACCACAAAUCAGAGUGAACAAGCUCGAAAGGGUGCUGAGACACAAUCUGGCUAUGAUGAUAAGGUAGUUGGACCUGUUUGCCAAGCCGACAACCUUGACAGUCUAAAGACACACCACUUGAGACACAUCCACGAAGGCCACGUCGAACUAAGGACAAGAGAUGAGAGCCAUACAAGUCACCAAGGCGAUGAUGCCACUGCUAAAAAGAGCUGGUAGACCAGGCAACAGAGGCGGAAAGACUGACGGCGAUGGCAAUGGAGGGAAGGUGAAGCCAGCUAGGCUCCUAGAGGCCCUGUGAGUCAUGGUGCUAGGGGCCAGCACCAAGUAGAGCAUAUUGUGACUGUCUAGAACGGAGCAUGAGUCAAAGUCGAUAAUGACCCUACAACCAGAGUCAACAAUCUGACCACCAGAAAUGAGCUGGAUGGCAACUUAAGGAACACGAACAACAUUAGUAACAUGAAAAGAUGAAGUGCUAAGAAUGCCUCGGCCAGUAACAGAGUGAUAGCUACAAGCAGAAAUAAAAAUAUGAACAAGAGAAUCGAGAGAUUGAAUAGAGGAUAGAGUGGAUGAAUCAUGUGAAUGAAAAGAUGCUCUUGUAUCAAGGAUCCACUAAGGUGUACCUGCGUGUGUAGAAGGUGGUCUCGCCCUACGAGAAGAGUCGGGAGCAGAACCUAUGGAUGUAGAACUUGAAGAUGCACUUGCAGGCAUCAAAGUCGCGCAAUCUCCUGCUUAGUUAGGGGUGUUAAUAUUCAUGCACUAGCUAACACAAGCAAAAGUCAGUACUUUUGGAAAGGUCUAGGCAAUCCACAUAUACACUUCCACAACCCCUGUACAUGUGACGCGGGAAGUCAAGAUGUGAAUAGACUCAGAGGUAUGGCUCAAGAGGUCUAUACAUGGAUAUAGAGGGGGGAAUAUUGAUUUUUGGAUAAAUUGCAAAUGCUAUGACUUGAAUUCAGGACCUUACGCCCUGUUACCAUGUUAAUAUUCAUGCACUAGGCAACACAGCCAAAAGUUUAAACUAAUGGAAAGGGCUAGGCAAUCUAUAUAUACACUUCAACACCCCUCUCACGUUUGGCAUGGGAAGUCUAACACGUGAAUAGACACAGAGGUAUGACUCAAGAGGCCUAUACGUGGACACGGAGGGGGCAACAACAAUUUUUGGAUAAAUUGCGAAAGUAGGGACUUGAAAUCAAGACCUUAGGCUAUGUAGUCACCAUGUAUUUAGCAUUCAUGGACACCCACAUAUCUGACAUUUGUGAAAGUGGACUAAGAAUAUUUACGUCCAGACUCCUCGAAGGCUUUCUAAACGUCUGGGUGGAUAGCUCGGUCAGGGUCUGAACAAGAGAGAGAAGAAAAAGGCCAUCCAACCGGACUCAUCAAAGUCUCCUCAAACGCUGGGGCUGUCCGGCACUCCACGAAGUCAGUCCAUAUAUGGGGCAGAUAUGGGGAGGCUCAGACACGCCCGGACAUGCCUCCCAUGUUAGCCCAAAAUCCAUUCCACACACCUAACCCCACCUACAACCUCAAAUAUUUUUCUCAUUUUCUCUUUCAUCUCCUGCGUUACCCUAGGUCGGAGAGGAGCUUGGCUGGGUCGGAUAGGAACUCGCUAGCAUGUGCUAGACGCUGCCCCCGUCCCUGCCCUGGCCCUUCGCUGGAGCUCGUGGUUGCAACUACAACAGGCUACCACGCGUGCAUGCAUAGACCAUGAGCGCUGGUUGCAGCUGCGUGCUGUCAUGCGGGCGUGGUGUCCGCUACGUGUAGCCACAACCGCCGCGUGUUUACAUAAGAGUAAAAUUAAGUGAAAGAUCAAAUGACUAACAAAUAUCAUGAUUGACAAUGACACUGUCGCAUUUUGGGAAAUUAAUGAAUUAUGGCAAUGCAUAUAUAUUUGCCUUAUAUUAUUCUCCCACACAUUGACCAAAGCAUGAUGAAAUGAGUUGACAUAGGAGUAAGGAGCAGACUAAGGCAUAACCUAGUGGUGGAAAGGGGUUGCUGCCUUCUCACCCAUCCAGGUUUAAGGCAUGGUACUUGCAAUUUUGGCUUGUUGCACCAAUUAUAUUGUAGGGGCCUCCCUUAUAGUCUUUCUGUCAAAAAGACAUAAGAGGAAGUGCACGAUCAUAUGACUUGAAAAGUAUCAUGAGAAAUAACAUGUUCAUGAGAUAGUAAAUAUCAUGACAAGUGACUUGUUCAUGAGACUGGUAGGCACAGAUAAAAUAACACACCGCCAUCCAAAAAAAUCUUGAAGGUCAAACUCUAGCCAAAACAUAUAACAUAAGUCACAAGCCACUACCAAAUUUGAUAGUAUUGGGCAUAAAUCAUGUUAGCCAUGGUAGCCUUUGUGGCAAUGAUCUCAUUCAUAUGCUUUUCAAUAAAAGCAUUUGAUGGUAGUGCCCCUUGAUUUAUUUUGCUAGUAGUAUUCCAUCCACCAAUGUGGAAUAGCACUGUGUUGGGUUAAAGUCAAGGAUUAUUUCCUCAGGUAUAAGGUGUUGCGACAUAAUGGGAUAUUAAUGGUCAAGCUAAAUAGUUAAAAAUAUCAUUAGGGGGAGAUUUACUUUACCUCCAGUAUAUGUGGACCAUAAUCCCCUUCAUUCCCAAGGACUAAGUCCAACUUAUCAUCAAUGUCAAUUAGAAGGCACUUAGGCCUAUUGUGACACGGGUUUAUGCAAUGGAUGUAAAUGCAUACUCACACAAUGUUUACUAUUACUCCUGUUUUGGGUUCUUCCUCCUUUUAUGUGUUGGUAUAUCGGCCUUAUUUUGAUACACUAGAAGGGCUACACUCAUUCUAUUGGUCUUCUCUGCGAAGGAGCACACAGGGAUGCCACAUUGGCGUAUGGUCCCAUCACCAAACCAUUAUUUGGACUAAACUAUAUCAUUUAGAUUAGAAUAGGGUGCUAGGUGUGCAUUUUGUUAGUUCUUUAACUAAAGUGUUCAUUUACUCCGACUACGAGUUCACAUACCAAUGUCGUAUUUCAUUUGAGUAAUGUAAGUUAAUUAGACGCUACAAUGCAAAAGUUACAAAUAGUUAGGUUUAUAACUAAACUUGUCACACAUAUUGAUACUCUUAGCAAACCUACAAUGUCCAACACGUCACCUACAAUGACAUCAAAAGUCUUGCCACCGACAUAAUGGAAGACACUCGCUUGCAAGCAAACACUACCGAGUACACCUCACUAGCUUCCGGGUUGUUUCCACAUCUUACGCGGCUACCCGACACCACCUUUUAAAGUCGUGUGGUGAGAUUCUCACUCGCUUGCAUUCUGCGAUGCUACACCUUGGACAUUCCUAAGCCGCUAUCGAUCAACAAGGCUAGUGCUCACGACCAAAAUACUUCGUCCACAUCUAUCACUAGCAAAACCUCACUACAUAAAAAUGCAAGUCCUUGUCCUUCUACAAGGAAAUUACUCUCCAAGGCCAUCUCCUCAAACAAGAUAGCGACAAAUAUUCCAAAGUCACCCACUCUAUUAGAAUCGUAUCUUGAAUUUUCACCAUUGAAAUCUUGAGUUUUCACCAUUGAAAGGUAUAUUUGUAUUGGCUAGGCCUUUCCAUUUGUUCGGACUUUUGGUUGCGUUGUCUAGUGCAUGAAGCUUAACAUGGUAUUAGGGCCUAAGGUCUUGGGCUCAAGUCCUGGCUUUUGUAGUUUACCCAAAAAUUGAUGUUGCCCCCUGUGUGUCCACGUAUAGGCCUCUUGAGCCAUACCUCUAAGUCUAUUCACAUGUUGACUUCUUGUGUCACACGUGAGAGGGGGUGUUGAAGUGUAUAUGUGGAUUGCCUAGCCCUUUCCAUCAAUUUGAACUUCGGUUGCGUUGGCUAGUGCGUGAAGCUUAACAUUCACAUCAAAAACCACAUGUGGCAGGAACAAAACUAGAGCUACACAACUAUGUCCCUCAAGGGAGCCACCACUGUCGGCAUCAACCGACACCAGAGUUAAGUUUUCGCCUAUAAUGCCAACUACCACAAAUAAUGUAUAGCACCUGAUGCUCAUAGUAGCUAGUCAUGUCGUGUUCUGUAUAUCAUGUGCUAAUCAACACUCCCAUCUCCCACAGGAAGCUUCCCACUAUAGUACCUUAAGUUAUUAUAGAUAUAGUGGCACAUGCCUAUCCAUUUUAUCCAUGUGAAACCCACUGGAUUGAUAUGCCACGACAAAUACCGCACGUGCCCACAAUCAUGUAUGUGCUCACUCUACCAUCUAUGUGCAUCUAAAUUUCGAACACCAACAAAAUUGAUGUGUCCUAGCUUGCUCCACAUGUGUAGUAGGAUCCCACGUCACUACACAUUGAUCUUAGGAAAACCUAGCCCAUGCAGCAAUAGGACGUUAUAGUCAGGUUCACUUGAGAAAAGAUGUAACCUCCACACCUGAACGGUAGCCAUGUGCACCAUAACUGCCUCCCUCAUUCAUGCCAAAUCAGGAACCCAGCAUUCUAGAUAUGCUAGUUGAUGCACCUCGCUAGGCACCUAUUCUAGAUAUGCAUGCUUUCGCACCUUGCUAUACACCCACCACCACAUCUAGAUGUCACAACCAUAGUGUGCGUUGGUCCAUUCCUUAAGAAGAACAACUCACCAAUUUGGCUGACUUGACCUCGGCAUCAUCAAGGAGAAUGUGGUGUAGGGGUCAUGGCACCUAUGUUUUGCAAGAAACUUAGGAGACUAGUGUGGCCAAAUAGUAUACUAGCACCAAGGUGACAUGCAUGAAUUAUUAUUCUUUUAAGAUCAAUGUCUAUCUUGACAAUUAGUUCCCUGAUACCUGUUUGCUUGAAAGAAUUUUUUUCUUUCAUAUUAGUGCCUUAACAUCCAAGUCCUAACCUUUACUAAAAUUUUCAUGAUGAAAUCUUUGUACUUGGAUCAUAUAGUAAACAUUAAGAUUGAUACGAUGCAAGGUGGUGACCACAAGUGCCCAAAUGACAAUAGAACCUUUCAAGGGAAGUGUAAGCCAUUAUUGAACUUCAGGAGUUAAGGAAGGUUUUUACCAACCCCAUAGCUAUGCAUGUUACUGAAUGCAGCUACAUUCCACCUGAACCAACAUUGGAAGUAACUUAAUCUGUUCGCUUCUUGGCACAUGCUAAUUGUAAAGGGUAGCAAACUAAACUAGUAACUAAACAAGACGAAAAGACAAAAAUAAAAUGAAAUAAGAUUAAAUUUACAUACUAAAUCAUCCAAAACCUAGAACCAACAAUUACUAAAAUAGUAGACACAUUAAAUAGGGGGUUCAAGUUUACAACCAUCCCGAAGGCUCAACAAGGGAUAGAGAGGGGGUUGUAGUGAGAUGUCGCAACGUCAACGAAUAGGGCUAUGAUAAUGAAGGAUGGCAGAUUCUCUCUUUGUAUUUCUCAUUUGUCCUUCCUUCAAGGAUGUGAUGGAUCUUAGUGGUGUGGAGGUAUGGGCUAGGGCACAACCCCCAAAAUGCCUAGGGAUUGAACUAGAAUAGGGUUAGGGCCGGAUACCUCUUGGAGAUGAAUAUAAGAAUCGAGUUGACUCCUCUGUUUUGGUCCAAGAGCUCCAAGGUGAAUUAGAUGCCCCCUAAACCUUAGUUACCUCCCACAUAUGGAAUAAAAACAAAUGUCACCCAAUCAAAGCUUGGAACGUGAAGACUAGGCCUUUUCUCCAGCUCUUCCUGCAUGGUACAUAUGGUCAUACCACCUUGUACGGUCAUACCCGAGCUCGUAUUGUGCUAUGCCCAUUGCUCUAAUGUGCUUAGUUGGUAGCUUGGUCACAUCUUGCAUACAACCUCAAAUAGGGAUGAUCCAAAAAGGAAAUUUGUUAUUUCGUCAUUUGAGCUCAUUUUGAGGACAAUCUUGUUCAAUGUACCAUAUACAGCCACAAAUUGUGCUAUGUUUUACUAAAAAAUGGGUAGCAAUUCCUGGUAAGUGCUUACAAGGGAGAAACAACCAAAAGACCUACAAAAUACAGAAAAAGGGAAACGAAAUAAAAGCAAAACUUAAUGGGAUAUUUUGAGAUAAAUCCCGAGAGUAUCAUGGUUAAACUCAAUGCAAUGGUGAGUAUAAAUAAAACUUAUCACAAUGUAUUGGAGAUAAAGGGGUAUCACAUCAAGGAUACAUGUACCUAUGUUGGCAUCCAUCUUGUCAUAUGACGCAUUGUUUAACUUGUUACCAAAUUCUACACUAAAGUUGUUUAGAGAGGAGACAUGCAAUGAAGAAAGUGUGUUCAAGACAUAAACUAGAAAUUGUUGUCCCCUAUCAUCUCAAUAGAAAAUUAAGGAACAAAACCUAUUAUACCCUAUUACAUCUCAAAAUUCACUACAAUAAGCGCUGCAAAAAGAGAAGCUGACAAAUCAAUGGAAAGCUUUAUCCGAAAGAUAUCAUCAGAAACUCCUAACCAUAGCUUUUGUAUUCCUCAAAUACUUUUCAUCACACUAGCUUCAACCAUAGAGAAGAUCCAUUACAAGAGUAUGAGCUCGCCUUGUCAGCAUCCUAACACCACCUUCAAAAUUGCUUUAUCCUCAUCCCUUUUAAACCUAUCAAAGAGCAAAAUAUGGAAAUCAUCUCAUGAGGGGAUUUAGUGAUGUGCCCCUUCUGAGGCUCAGCUAGUAGAAGAGGACCUAGUCACCUUAGCCUUGGCGGCCAGGAUUUAGUCUUUAUCGGUGGUAGUGACACGGUUUAGACACUAGCAACAAGAUGACAUGCAUAAAUAUUACAUAUGAUUAAGACCAAUGUCUAUCUUGAAAAUUGGUUCCCAAACAUCUUCAUGCUUGAGACUAAGAUAUUUCUUUCAUCUUAAUAUCCUUAACUUACAACUCACUUACUUUGUAGUAAUCUUCUUGUUAAACACUUUCUACUUGAUCAUAUAAUAAACAAGCUAAUUUCUAUGCUACUAGGAUAAAAGAUAUAUCAGAAGAAGUCCUUGUCUUCCAACUCUGUUAGUUUUAUAAUAUCUUUCUUGAUGAAAAGAAAAAUUGCUAUUUUCAAGGAUAAAAUAUAUAUGUCUAAAAGUGGUUGACAUAUCAAUGAUACACCUAUAGUGACAUACAUCUUUUCUACGAUGUAUUGCCCAGAUCUAAAUGAGCAGUUCAAAGAGGAGAAAUAAAUGAACAAAGCAAGUUGCACACACUAAUAUGAAAAAUGUUGUUCCCUAUUAGCUCGAGAUAACACUAAGGGGAUAAACAAGUUAGCACAUAUUACAUCUCAAAGUAACAAUCAUUUGCACUCCUCAAAAUAACUACCAACCGAGUUCAACACAAAUCUAUCCAAGGGGAGACCAAUGGGCCAUCCCAACCAUAUCCAUUGUAUUCCUCAAAUCACCCUUGUAAAAUCAGCUUCGUCCACAAAGGCGGAAGAUUUCUUGCCUCACUAACAAGGCCAAGCUCUUCUUAUUAGCAUUUUAGCAACACCCUUGAAAAUGAUGCGUUCUUCUGUACUUUGUAAAUGUGUCCAAUAUUGAGUAUAAGAAUGUGUCCUGAAAACUAUGUUAUGUGGGAUUGCAAUGAUGUAUCCCUCAUGAUACCUAGACAAUAGAAGAACACCUUCUCCAUAUAUCUAGCCCGACCUCUAAAUGGGCGAGGGGACGCAAAGAGGCAUCAACAACUAGGGUUUUGUCUAACCAUAGUUGUUCGAUGGUCGACACAACAGAUGUGUGUGAACAAAGUAGUGGAUUAUUUAAUAAACAAUAAAAUUACUACGCUUGAAGGAUAUACAAUAUAUAUGAGAUAAAGUGGGAACAUCCAUGGUACACGUAUGUUGACAUCCAUUGUGUCAUAUCAUCUAUUGCACAACUCAUUGUCAAGAUCUAGAAAAAUUCAAAGAGAAUAUCAUAUAGGAAGAAUAUUAGUUAAACACACUUAUCUGAAACCCCUUGUUCCCUAUCAUCUCGAUGAAAAACUGAGGGAAAAGACUAUGAACAACUACCACAUCUCAAAUUUUACUAUCAUAAGAAUUCUCAAAAUUAACCACCAACCAAAUGAAUAAAAACAUUAUCCAAAAGGGGACAAAUUGACCAUCCCAACCAUAAGAUUAAUAUACUUGAAUCACCCUCAUCCUACUAGCUUCACCAACAAGGUAUAGGAUUCAUUGCAUAUAGGAAAAACACCAAUAGAUCAUCUCAUCAGCAUCUUACGAUGGUCCUUCACAUGUAUUUAUCUUCUUUAUUCCUCAAACCUAUCGAAUACUAAACAACAAGCAAUCUGUGAGUUAUCUCAUGUGGAGAUGUAAUGACUUUCAUUUCACGUAAUGCAUCAUUAGGUGUAAUUUGUAGAUGGGCCAACAUAUAACUGAUAGACAAUCCAUAAAGAAGCAAUCUCCCUAUGGAAAAAGGACAUGUUGGGGGGAUCUGUCGCAAGGUUUAGAGGGUUUUUAGGUUUGAUAGUUUAAGCACGAAGAGCUAGUUGAUCCUUACACAAUCAAGCAUAUCAAAUAAGUAGAGAAACAAAAAUAUAACAACUUGCAUGAAUGUAUGUUAGUAAGGUAGAAUGUGCAAACAUAGGUUGAGACGAUGAUGUUGGUGAUGUCCAACACCCACCUUGAUGGAGGCUUCGAACCAAUGGUUCCAGGAUCACAAGGGUCCUGGUUGUGUCGCCCACCAACCGGUCCACGGAGCACAGCCAACCUAUUCCACAAUGCGUUGCACUUAGAAGCCUCACUAAAGGGUUGUUUAGAUACCUAGAUUUUUAUCGAUCGAUUUGCCUAAACACAAUUAUGUUUGCAACUAACUAUUUUUUUGGUUAUCAUAACAAAUUGAAGGAUAAGUAAAUUUUAGUUUUCCUAAAACCAAAAAACGGGUUUAUGGAAAAACUACAAUUAAACAGUUUUCUAUAAACCCCUUAGCAUAUCUCUUGCAGCCAUUCUCAUCCAAUGAAGAUUAGACACAUACUUUUCCCUAACAAAAUUAUUAAUAAAACUAUUUUUCUAAAAAAAAUCCUACUGAGAGCAUUUUAUUAAAACUAGGCGCUAAUUUUGGUUAUCCAAAUAACCAUCGAGGGUAAAUCUUCCUGAAGUUGGCAAUCUCCGAGCCCAUACAAACUGUCUAGUCCUUCACAGGUAGAACUUUAUAGGAACUCAAGGGACUCCUAGCCAUCCGGGUUGCACUCACCAUCCAAGAGUAACAAGCAAAGCAAAGUCACUGGAUAAGAACUCCUUGAAUGAUCAUCAAUCAAACCUUCUCUCAAGAAUCCAAGGAUCACUCUCUCACAAGGAUAGGAUUGUGGUGAAAGGAGAUGAGCUUGAGGUGUAGGCAUUUAGUAAAGGGGAGUUCUUGGCCUUUAAAGAAUCAAGAAAUGAAAAUGGAAUCAUCCAACACUUAAUUAUUUCUUUUUUCUCUCCUUGGAUCUUGCUUCUCUAUGUGGUAGAUGGAUGGAGUGGAGGAAGUGGAUGGUUGAGGUGGAAUGGACAAGGGUGGAUGAGAUGGAUGGACGGAGGCAUGAAAAGGUAUGAGAGGAUAUUCAUAGAGAAGAUCCAAAAUCUGACCGUCACCCAAAAAGUAACUAGAUUCAAAAGUAUCGGAAGAAAACUUGUGGGACUACCGGCCAAUGUUUAGGAACUAGAUGAAAUAUAGUACUCUGGAGUACCGGUGAAAUAAUGAGUGGUGGUUCCGAAUGAAAAAAAGUAGCAGCUUUUCUACAAAGAUAGAAUGAUUCCGAAGUACCAGAUAAAAUUAAUCGCUCAGUUGUACUAUAGUAAACAAAGCAGUUCUAAGAAUAAGAAUUUGCAGAAAAGAAGUAAGACAAAACUCAGUGCUAAGAAUGCCUCGGCCAGUAACUGAGUGAGAUCUACAAACAAAAAUAAAAAUAUGAACAAGAGAAUCGAGAGAUUGAAUAGAGGACAGAGUGGAUGAAUCAUGUGAAUGAAAAGAUGCUCUAGUAUAAAGGAUCCACUAAGGUGUAUCUGCGUGUGUAGAAGGUGGUCUCGCAUUGCGAGAAGAGUCGGGAGCAGAACCUAUGGAUGGAGAACUGGAAGAUGCACUAGCAGGCAUCAAAGUCGUGCAAUCUCCUGCUUAGUUAGGGGUGUUAAUAUUCAUGCACUAGCCAACACAAGCAAAAGUCAGAACUUUUGGAAAGGUCUAGGCAAUCCACAUAUACAUUGCCACACCCCCUCUCACAUGUGAUGCAGGAAGUCAAGAUGUGAAUAGACUCAGAGGAAUGGCUCAAGAGGUCUAUACAUGGAUAUAGAGGGGGAAUAUUGAUUUUUGGAUAAAUUACAAAUGCUAUGACUUGAAUUCAGGACCUUACGCCCUGUUACCAUGUUAAUAUUCAUGCACUAGGCAACGCAACCAAAAGUCUGAACUAAUGGAAAGGGCUAGGCAAUCUAUAUAUACACUUCGACACCCCUCUCACGUUUGACGUGGGAAGUCUAACAUGUGAAUAGACUCAGAGGUAUGGCUCAAGAGGCCUAUACAUGGACACGGAGGGGCAACAACAAUUUUUGGAUAAAUUGCGAAAGUAGGGACUUGAAAUCAAGACCUUAGGCUAUGUAGUCACCAUGUAUUUAGCAUUCAUGGACACCCACAUAUCUGACAUUUGUGUAAGUGGACUAAGAACAUUUACGUCCAGACUCCUCGAAGGCUUUCUAAACGCCUGGGUGGAUAGCUCAGUUAGGGUCCGAACAAGAGAGAGAAGAAAAAAUGCCAUCCAACCAGACUCAUCAAAGUCUCCUCAAACGUUGGGGCUGUCCGGCACUCCAUGAAGUCAGUCCAUAUAUGGGGCGGAUAUGGGAAGGCUUGGACGCGCCAGGACAUGCCUCCCACGUUAGCCCAAAAUCCAUUCCACCCACCAGACCCCACCUACAACCUCAAAUAUUUUUCUCCUUUUCUCUUUCAUCUGCCGCAUUACCCUAGGUUGGAGAGGAGCUUGGCUAGGUCGGAUAGGAACUCGCUAGCAUGUGCUAGACACCGCCCCGUCCCUGCCCUGGCCCUUCGGUGGAGCUCGUGGUUGCAACUACAACAGGCUACCACGUGUGCAUGCAUGGACCAUGCGCGCUGGCUGCAGCUGCGUGCUGCCAUGCGGGCGUGGUGUCCGCUACGUGUAGCCACAACCGCCGCGUGUUUACAUAAGAGUAAAAUUAAGUGAAAGGUCAAAUGACUAACAAAGUAUCAUGAUUGACAAUGACACUGUCGCAUUUGGGAAAUUAAUGAAUUAUGGCAAUGCAUAUAUAUUUGCCUUAUAUUAUUCUCCCACACAUUAACCAAAGCAUGAUGAAAUGAGUUGACAUAGGAGUAAGGAGCAGACUAAGGCAUAACCUAGUGGUGAAAAGGGGCUGUUGCCUUCUCACCCAUCCAGGUUUAAGGCAUGGUACUUGCAAUUUUGUCUUGUUGCACUAACUAUACUGUAGGGGCCUCCCUUACAGUCUUUCUGUCAAAAAAACCAUAAGAGUAAGUGCACGAUCAUAUGACUUACAAAGUAUCAUGAGAAAUAACAUCUUCAUGAGAUAGUAAAUUUCAUGACAAGUGACUUGUUCAUGAGACUGGUAGGCACAGAUAAAAUAACACACCGCCAUCCAAACAAAAUCUUGAAGGUCAAACUCUAGCCAAAAUAUAUAACAUAAAUCACAAGUCACUACCAAAUUUGAUAGUAUUGGGCACAAAUCAUGUAGUAGCCAUGGUAGCCUCUGCGGCAAUGAUCUCUAUCAUAUGCUUUUCAGUAAAAGCAUUUGAUGGUAUAGCCCCUUGAUUUAUUUCGCUAGUAGUAUUCCAUCCACCAAUGUGGAAUAGCACUAUGUUGGGUUAAAGUCAAGGAUUAUUUCCUCAGGUAUAAGGUGCUGCAACAUAAUGGGAUAUUAAUGGUCAAGCUAAAUAGUCAAAAAUAUCAUUAGGGGGAGAUUUACUUUACCUCCAGUAUAUGUGGACCAUAAUCCCCUUCAUUCCCAAGGACUGAGUCCAACUUAUCAUCACUGUCAAUUAGAAGGCACUUAGGCCUAUUGUGACACGGGUUUAUGCAAUGGAUGUAAAUGCAUACUCACACAAUGUUUACUAUUACUCCUGUUUUGGGUUCUUCCUCCUUUUAUGUGUUGGUAUAUCGGCCUUAUUUUGAUACACUAGAAGGGCUACACUCAUUCUAUUGGUCUUCUCUGCGAAGGAGCACACAGGGAUGCCACAUUGGCGUAUGGUCCCAUCACCAAACCAUUAUUUGGACUAAACUAUAUCAUUUAGAUUAGAAUAGGGUGCUAGGUGUGCAUUUUGUGAGUUCGUUAACUAAAGUGUUCAUUUACUCUGACUACGAGUUCACUAACCAAUGUUGUAUUUCAUUUGAGUAAUGUAAGUUAAUUAGAAGCUACAAUGCAAAAGUUACAAAUAGUUAGGUUUAUAACCAAACUUGUCACACAUAUUGAUACUCUUAGCAAACCUACAAUGUCCAACACGUCACCUACAAUGACAUCAAAAGUCUUGCCACCGACAUAAUGGAAGACACUCGUUUGCAAGCAAACACUACCGAGUACACCUCACUAGCUUCCGGCUUGUUUCCACAUCUUACGCGGCUACCCGACACCACCUUUUAAAGUCGCGUGGUGAGAUUCUCACUCGCUUGCAUUCUGCGAUGCUACAUAUUGGACAUUCCUAAGCCGCUAUCGAUCAAGAAGGCUAGUGCUCACGACCAAAAUACUUCAUCCACAUCUAUCACUAGCAAAACCUCACUACAUAAAAAUGCAAGUCCCUGUCCUUCUACAAGUAAAUUACUCUCCAAGGCCAUCUCCUCGAACAAGAUAGCGACAAAUAUUCCAAAUUCACCCACUCUAUUAGAAUCGUAUCUUGAAUUUUCACCAUUGAAAUCUUGAGUUUUCACCAUUGAAAUGUUUAUUUGGAUUGGCUAGGCCUUUCCAUUUGUUCGGACUUUUGGUUGCGUUGUCUAGUGCAUGAAGCUUAACAUGGUAUCAGGGCCUAAGGUCUUGGGCUCAAGUCCUGGCUUUUGUAGUUUACCCAAAAAUUGAUGUUGCCCCCUAUGUGUCCACGUAUAGGCCUCUUGAGCCAUACCUCUAAGUCUAUUCACAUGUUGACUUCUUGUGUCACACGUGAGAGGGGGUGUUGAAGUGUAUAUGUGGAUUGCCUAGCCCUUUCCAUCAAUUUGAACUUCGGUUGCGUUGGCUAGUGCGUGAAGCUUAACAUUCACAUCAAAAACCACAUGUGGCAGGAACAAAACUAGAGCUACACAACUAUGUCCCUCAAGGGAGCCACCACUGUCGGCAUCAACCGACACCAGAGUUAAGUUUUCGCCUAUAAUGCCAACUACCACAAAUAAUGUAUAGCACCUGAUGCUCAUAGUAGCUAGUCAUGUCGUGUUCUGUAUAUCAUGUGCUAAUCAACACUCCCAUCUCCCACAGGAAGCUUCCCACUAUAGUACCUUAAGUUAUUAUAGAUAUAGUGGCACAUGCCUAUCCAUUUUAUCCAUGUGAAACCCACUGGAUUGAUAUGCCAUGACAAAUACCGCACGUGCCUACAAUCAUGUAUGUGCUCACUCUACCAUCUAUGUGCAUCUAAAUUUCGAACACCAACAAAAUUGAUGUGUCCUAGCUUGCUCCACAUGUGUAGUAGGAUCCCACGUCACUACACAUUGAUCUUAGGAAAACCUAGCCCAUGCAGCAAUAGGACGUUAUAGUCAGGUUCACUUGAGAAAAGAUGUAACCUCCACACCUGAACGGUAGCCAUGUGCACCAUAACUGCCUCCCUCAUUCAUGCCAAAUCAGGAACCCACCAUUCUAGAUAUGGUAGCUGAUGCACCUCGCUAGCCACCUUUUCUAGAUAUGCAUGCUUUUGCACCUUGCGAUACACCCACCACCACAUCUAGAUGUCACAACCAUAGUGUGCGUUGGUCCAUUCCUUAAGAAGAACAACUCACCAAUUUGGCUGACUUGACCUCGGCAUCAUCAAGGAGAAUGUGGUGUAGGGGUCAUGUCACCUAUGUUUUGCAAGAAACUUAGGACACUAGUGUGGCCAAAUAGUAGACUAGCACCAAGGUGACAUGCAUGAAUUAUUAUUCUUUUCAAAAUCAAUGUCUAUCUUGACAAUUAGUUCCCUGAUGCCUGUUUGCUUGAAAGAUUUUUUUUCUUUCAUAUUAGUGCCUUAGCAUCCAAGUCCUAACCUUUACUAAAAUUUUCAUGAUGAAAUCUUUGUAGUUAGAUCAUAUAGUAAACAUUAAAAUUGAUACGAUGCAUGGUGGUGACCACAAGUGCCCAAAUGACAAUAGAACCUUUCAAGGGAAGUGUAAGCCAUUAUUGAACUUCAGGAGUUAAGGAAGGUUUUUACCAACCCCAUAGCUAUGCAUGUUACUGAAUGCAGCUACAUUGCACCCCAACCUACAUUGGAAAUAACUUAAUCUGUUCGCUUCUUGGCACAUGCUAAUUGUAAAGGGUAGCAAACUAAACUAGUAAUUAAACAAGACGAAAAGAGAAAAAUAAAAUGAAAUAAAAUUAAAUUUACAUACUAAAUCAUCCAAAACCUAGAACCAACAAUUACUAAAAUAGUAGACACAUUAAAAAGGGGGUUCAAGUUUACAACCAUCACGAAGGCUCAACGAGGGAUAGAGAGGGGGAUGUAAUGAGAUGUCGCAACGUCAGCGAAUAGGGCUAUGACAAUGAAGGAUGGCAGAUUCUCUCUUUGUAUUUCUCAUUUGUCCUUCCUUCAAGGAUGUGAUGGAUCUUGGUGGUGUGGAGGUAUGGGCUAGGGCACAACCCCCAAAAUUCCUAGGGAUUGGACUAGAAUAGGGUUAGGGUCGGAUACCUCUUGAAGAUGAAUAUAAGAAUCGAGUUGACUCCUCUGUUUUGAUCCAAGAGCUCCAAGGUGAAUUAGAUGCCCCCUAAACCUUAGUUACCUCCCACAUAUGGAAUAAAAACAAAUUUCACCCAAUCAAAGCUUGGACCGUGAAGACUAGGCCUUUUCUCCAGCUCUUCCUGCAGGGUACAGAUGGUCAUACCACCUUGUACGGCCAUACCCGAGCUCGUAUUGUGGUAUGCCCAUUGCUCUAAUGUGCUUAGUUGGUAGCUUGGUCAUAUUUUGCAUACAACCUCAAAUAGGGAUGAUCCAAAAAGGAAAUCUGUUAUUUCAUCAUUUGAGCUCAUUUUGAGGACUAUCUCAUUCAAUAUACCAAAUACAGCCACAAAUUGUGCUAUGUUUUACUAAAAAAUGGGUAGCAAUUCCUGGUAAGUGCUUACAAGGGAGAAACAACCAAAAGACCUACAAAAUACAGAAAAGGGAAACGAAAUAAAAGCAAAACUUAAUGGGAUAUUUUGAGAUAAAUCUCGAGAGUAUCAUGGUUAAACUCAAUGGAAUGAUGAGUAUAAAUAAAACUUAUCACAAUGUAUUGGAGAUAAAGGGGGUAUCACAUCAAGGAUAUAUGUACCUAUGUUGGCAUCCAUCUUGUCAUAUGACGCAUUGUUUAACUUGUUACCAAAUUCUACACUAAAGUUGUUUAGAGAGGAGACAUGCAAUGAAGAAAGUGUGUUCAAGACAUAAACUAGAAAUUGUUGUCCCCUAUCAUCUCAAUAGAAAAUUAAGGAACAAAACCUAUUAUACCCUAUUACAUCUCAAAAUUCACUACAAUAAGCGCUGCAAAAAGAGAAGCUGACAAAUCAAUGGAAAGCUUUAUCCGAAAGAUAUCAUCAGAAACUCCUAACCAUAGCUUUCGUAUUCCUCAAAUACUUUUCAUUAUACUAGCUUCAACCAUAGAGAAGAUCCAUUACAAGAGUAUGAGCUCGCCUUGUCAGCAUCCUAACACCGCCUUCAAAAUUAGUUUAUCCUCAUCCUUUGUAAACCUAUCAAAGAGAAAAAUAUGGAAAUCAUCUCAUGAGGGGAUUUAGUGAUGUGCCCCUUCUGAGGCUCAGCUAGUAGAAGAGGACCUAGUCACCUUAGCCUUGGCGGCCAGGGUUUAGUCUUUGUCGGUGGUAGUGACACGGUUUAGACACUAGCAACAAGAUGACAUGCAUAAAGAUUACAUGUGAUUAAGACCAAUGUCUAUCUUGAAAAUUGGUUCCCAAACAUCUUCAUGCUUGAGACUAAGAUAUUCUUUCAUCUUAAUAUCCUUAACUUACAACUCACUUACUUUGUAGUAAUUUUCUUGUUAAACACUUUCUACUUGAUCAUAUAAUAAACAAGCUAAUUUCUAUGCUUCUAGGAGAAAAGAUAUAUCAGAAGAAGUUCUUAGCUUCCAACUCUAUUAGUUUUGUAAUACCUUUCUUGAUGGAAAGAAAAAUUGCUAUUUUCAAGGAUAAAAUAGAUAUGUCUAAAAGUGGUUGACAUAUCAAUGAUACACCUAUAGUGACAUACAUCUUUUCUACGAUGUAUUGCCCAGAUAUCCUUCCUCACUAGUAAGGCCAAGCUCUUCUUAUUAGCAUUUUAGCAACACCCUUGAAAAUGACGCGGUCUUCUGUAUUUUGUAAAUGUGUCCAAUAUUGAAUAUAAGAAUGUGUCUCGAAAACUAUGUUAUGCGGGAUUGCAAUGAUGUAUCCCUCAUGAUACCUAGACAACAGAAGAACACCUUCUCCAUGUAUCUAGCCCGACCUCUACAUGGCGAGGGGACGCAAAGAGGCAUCAACAACUAGGGUUUUGUCUAACCAUAGUUGUUCGAUGGUCGACACAACAGAUGUGUGUGAACAAAGUAGUGGAUCAUUUAAUAAACAAUAAAAUUACUAAGCUUGAAGGAUAUACAAUAUAUAUGAGAUAAAGUGGAAACAUCCAUGGUACACGUAUGUUGACAUCCAUUGUGUCAUAUCAUCUAUUGUACAACUCAUUGUCAAGAUCUAGAAUAAUUCAAAGAGAAUAUCAUAUAGGAAGAAAAUGAGUUAAACACACUUAUCUGAAACCCCUUGUUCCCUAUCAACUCGAUGAGAAGCUGAGGGAAAAGACUAUGAACAACUAUCACAUCUCAAAUUUUACUAUCAUAAGCAUUCUCAAAAUUAACCACCAACCAAAUGAAUAAAAAACAUUACCCAAAAGGGGACAAGUUGACCAUCCCAACCAUAAGAUUCAUAUCCUUGAAUCACCCGCAUCCCACUAGCUUCACCAACACGGUAUAUGAUUCAUUGCAUAUAGUAAAAACAGCAAUAGAUCAUCUCAUCAGCAUCUUACGAUGAUCCUUCACAUGUAUUUAUCUUCUUUAUUCCUCAAACCUAUCGAAUACUAAACAACAAGAAAUCUGUGAGUUAUCUCAUGUGGAGAUGUAAUGACUUUCAUUUCACGCAAUGCAUCAUUAGGUGUAAUUUGUAGAUGGGCCAACAUAUAACUGAUAGACAAUCCAUAAAGAAGCAAUCUCCCUAUGGAAAAAGGACAUGUUGGGGGGAUCUGUCCAAAGGUUUAGAGGGUUUUUAGAUUUGAUAGUUUAAGCACAAAAGGCUAGUUCAUCCUUACACAAUCAAGCAUGUCGAAUAAGUAGAGAAACAAAAAUAUAACAACCUGCAUGAAUGUAUGUUAGUAAGGUAGAAUGUGCAAACAUAGGUUGACAUGAUGAUGUUGGUGAUGUCCUACACCCACCUUGAUGGAGGCUUCGAACCAACGGUUCCAGGAUCACAAGGGUCCUGGUUGUGUCGCCCACCAAGCGGUCCACGGAGCACAACCAACCUAUUCCACAAUGGGUUGCACUUAGAAGCCUCACUAAAGGGUUGUUUAGAUACCUAGAUUUUAAUUGAUCGAUUUGCCUAAACACAAAUAUGUUUGUAACUAACUAAUUUUUUUGGUUAUCAUAACAAACUGAAUGAUAAGUAAAUUUUAGUUUUCCUAAAACCAAAAACGACUUUAUCGGAAAACUAGAAUUAAACAGUUUUCUAUAAACCCCUUAGCAUAUCUCUUGCAGCCAUUCUCAUCCAAUCAAGAUUAUACACAUACUUUUUCCUUACAAAAUUAUUGAUAAAACUAUUUUUCUAAAAAAAUCCUACUGAGAGCAUUUUAUUAAAACUAGGCGCUAAUUUUGGUUAUCCAAAUAACCACCAAGGGUAAAUCUUCCUGAAGUUGGCAAUCUCCGAGCCCAUACAAACUGUCUAGUCCUUCACAUGUAGAACUUUAUAGGAACUCAAGUGACUCCUAGCCAUCCGGGUUGCACUCACCAUCCAAGAGUAACAAGCAAAGCAAAGUCACUGGAUAAGAACUCCUUGAAUGAUCAUCAAUCAAACCUUCUCUCAAGAAUCCAAGGAUCUCUUUCUCACAAGGAUAGGAUUGUGGUGAAAGGAGAUGAGCUUGAGGUGUAGGCAUUUAGUAAAGGGGAUUUCUUGGCCUUUAAAGAAUCAAGAAAUGAAAAUGGAAUCAUCCAACACUUAAUUAUUUCUUUUUUCUUUCCUUGGAUCUUGCUUCUCUAUGUGAUAGAUGGAUUGAGUGGAGGAAGUGGAUGGUUGAGGUGGAACGAACAAGGGUGGAUGAGAUGGAUGGACGGAGGCAUGAAAAGGUAUGAGAGGAUAUUCAUAGAGAAGAUCCAAAAUCUGACCGUCACCCAAAAAGUAACUAGAUUCAAAAGUAUCGGAAGAAAACUUGUGGGACUACCGGCCAAUUUUUAGGAACUAGAUGAAAUAUAGUACUCUAGAGUACCGGUGAAAUAAUGACUGGUGGUUCCGAAUGAAAAAAGUAGCAGCUUUUCUACAAAGAUAGAAUGAUUCCGAAGUACCAGAUAAAAUUAAUCGCUCAGUUGUACUAUAGUAAACAAAGCAGUUCUAAGAAUAAGAAUUUGCAGAAAAGAAGUAAGACAAAACUCAGGAGUACUAGUCGAAAAUGAGUUGCGGCACUGAAACUAAAUUGUGACUAGCAUAGGAGCAAACCGAAAUGACUCGGAAGCGCUGAGGAAAAAUGUUGUGCUUGGAAGUGCGAUAGCAAACGUAUAAUGUUACGUUGGAAUGGUUCGACGGUUAUAGAAUGAAAGAAACUGUGGUCCCAAACUGUUCAAAUUGAGUUUGUUCUGGGGCAAAGAGAAACUCAUACAAAGGAAUGAAUUGUUAAGCUUCAUGCACUAGCCAACGCAACUAAAAGUCCGAACUGAUGGAAAGGGCUAGGCAAUCCACAUAUACACUUCAACACCCCCUCUCACAUGUGACGCGGAAAGUCAACAUGUGGAUAGACUCAGAGGUAUGGCUCAAGAGGCUCAUACGUGGACACAAAGGGGGGCAGCAGCAAUUUUUAAAUAAAUUGCGAAAGCCAGGACUUGAACUCAAGACCUUAGCUCUGAUACCAUGUUAAGCUUCAUGCACUAUCCAACGCAACCAAAAGUCCAAAUUGAUGGCAAGGGCUAGACAAUCCACAUAUACUGUAACAUCCCCUCUCACGUGUGAUGGGGAAGACAAGUCCGAACUGAUGGAAAGGGCUAGGCAAUCCACAUAUACACUUUAACGUGAAUAAGGUGUGAAUUUUGUAGGAUUGUGUCUUAGGAUAUGUUCUUGGAGUUAAGACCAAAGUACUUUACCUUCUCCUCUCUUCACAUUAUGGCCGUCCUACACUCAAUGUGAAUCUUGGAUUGACUAAGAGCAUGUAAAAUACGUGCUAAGAGCUUUAUGUAGACAUCAAGUUGAAAAGUUGCAGGUAGGGUUCAUCAAUGAUCUUCCACUUAUAAAAAGGCAUCAUAAACCAUAAUAUCACAUGCUAUACCAGAAUAAACACAAUGAAACAUUAGUCUCUCAAUUGUUUUGUCAUAAAUUAACAGAACCACUAGAGUAUAUAGAGAUGCACUUUCAACAUGCAUCGACUAUAACAAUUGUACCAAAUAGUUAGGAAUCACGAAAGUGUAAAACAAGGUGCCCCUCCCCACAAAAAAGACCCUAGCAAUGGUGUAGUCGAAACCAAAUGGUAACAAGAUUCCAGGUUGUCAUGAAGAAACAUAGGGAGAUCCAACCAUUUCUACUUUGCAACCGUCUUUGAUGAGUAGAGCAUUCAGGAAAAGUUUUCGUGUGAAAAUUUGAAUCAAUGGGAAUCUUAGCUUUGCAAAUCUAUUUAACACAAAAAGUCCCAACAUUUUUAUGCUCACUGGCGAACAAAGGAUGAUUCGGGUUACUAUGCGGCCCGCCUCAGAGGCGACUGGCCGGAGUGGGAGGGAAUUGUUCUGUUUUUGUUUACAUUUGUUAUCCCAGUAGAAUUUUGUGUCCUGCUUACGGUGGCUAAGCGAAGGCACCCUAAAGUCAUAAUAAUGUCCUUCCCGCCACUCCCCACUCCAGCGGUGCUUCCAACAAUGACAGAAGGUCCAUAAAGCUGUGGUAGCAGCGGAUCCGAUUGGAUUGGGCAGUUUAUUUAGAUGAAGUGGGUGCUAGACCGCUGGUUCGAGCGACAGUGAUGGUGGUUGUUUGGGUGGCGACCAUGACUCGAUGUUCGACCUCCAUUAUCUGGUGGAGGGAUCUAGAUCUGGAAGAAGUGCUCGAAUCCCUCAGUCGGCAUGCUUCUACAAUUCUAGUGAUGACUUUGAUUCCAGGAUGUAGGUUCAAAGGGGCUGAAGUGUCGAUGACUUAUCGUCCGCCUGAAAGAAGGUUUGACCAGCUCCUAGAGGGAGCAGCAGAGACGACGACGCGCCAUCUACUCAUUCCCGAGGUUGAAGACGAUAGAUUCCUCAGGGGCUCUCUUGUAAUUUUUACUAUUCACACGGUUGUUUCUGUAAUGCUGGAAUCUGAAUAAACUGUGCCUCUUUCGCAAACAAAGAUAAAAAAGCCCCUUUCCAAGCCAUCUGUCAAUUAGAGAGGUUUAGGCUGCUUUUGACAUUGCAAUGGAUGAUUAUAAUCCCGUUUUCCCAACUAGUUUUUGUCUAUUUUAGUGUUUGUUUAGUCCGCUUUAGCCUAUCUUUUUGGCUAAUUUUCUAUAGUAGAUGAUAAAAUAAGCACAACACAACACAGUGGAGCAAUCACAAAUUGAGCCUUUCUUUUCGACGAUGGGUGAAUUUUAUUGACUCAAAAUGAAGCAUAAAAGGGAUACAAACACAAUAAGCACACACCCGGCCUAUGCAUAAUUAGGAUCCACAUAUCCAACACCAACACACACAUACACACAAAGAGUCAUGAAUGCAAAUGCAAAAUUCAUACAAGAUCGAAUCUAUGCCUAGGCAGAUGGGGAAGAAGAAAAAGAAACUCUACAGGGAUUAAACAACGAUCGACAAACUCCUACAACACCCAUAUCUGCACCAAUCAUCUAUUCACAUCACGACAAUGAGAGAGGUUCUCCAGUAGCAUUGCCUCCAAGAAGGGAACGACACUCAAGCAUCGCUGUCACUGGAUCCAACCACCAAUGAUGAGAUCCUGGGUUUCACCUUGAAGAUAAAGUCCGAGCAAACCUUAGCAAUGCCUUCAACAAGGUAAUGACGAGAAAACACCACCAUUGCCAGGUAUAACCAACUACGGUCACAUCUAGGGUUUUCACCUCGAAGCUUGAGACUGGGUACUCAAGAAGCAUGACCAAAUCAAAAUCAUCAUGUGUUGUCGCCACCACUUUCCACGAUACUAGCAGCUACAUGUGUAGCACGGUCUCGACGUGAGGCGCUACACGAGUAUCGACCAUGCCCGCAAAAACAGACAAUCAAACUGCUACAAGUGCUAGGAGACACGAAAGGCUCAGUACAGCGAAGGUCAUUAUCAUAAGUUUGAAGAAGAUUGGCGGGUGAGGAAGGUCAUCGGCACUGCGAAAAUCCCAAUCCGGGACACUCCGGCAAUCGCACAUUGUCCUCCUGCUCCUUCAUCCUCGUCUGUGGGGCGGAAUUGGUUAGCAAAACGUACUCGUCGUUGCUGGGGGAUAUGAAGGCCCAAGACCCUCGGACAUAUUACGAGAACGUCCUAGUAGCACAGGACCACAUCGCCAUCUGAGCAUCCGAGCGGAGGGUAGCCUUAUUGGAACGCAGAAGGAGGCCGCUGCCUCCUCCGUACUUGUAGAUGGGAUCGCGACCACCGGCGCCUUGCCACCGGGACUAGGAUUGAAGAUUACUACUCCAACGCCAUCACCGUACGGUCCAACUGCACUCAAGGCUCUCUUGGAUACCGUCGGGGCACCGUCCAACAGCAAUACCCGAUCGUCCGGGUGUAUUGAUCAAGUCAACCAUGGAUCAUUGAGUGGGGUGCCAAUCAUGGAGUAUGGGCCUAUCAUCAGAGACCUAUACAAACGACACAACAAGAAGAAUGGUGGCAAGCCCUUCACAUUGCACCAUGACAAGAACUAGUUGGCAAUGAGAAAUGAAUCCAGAGGAACUUUGAGACCAUGCCGAAGAGGCCAUGGAUUACCAUAUCCGUCGAAGCUGAUGACGAGGAGGAUGAACACCCUUUCAGGAGGCAGGACGGUAAUUAACAAGAUUGCAAAAGAGAGGAAGAAGCAUGGAGGCGUCGACGCCUACAAAGAGGAUCUUGAUGCUAUGAUUGAGAGCAAGAAAGCACUGGCAGCCAAACGCAAAGAAGACAGGACGACGAAGCGGAACGAACUCAAGUGCUUGGAGGACGAGAAGUGGAGGUCCAAGUUGGUGGCCGAAGAGAGGAAGGUGAAGGAGGAGUGUAGGAUUGCACUCAAGGAGGAAAGGCUUGCAAAAGAUAAGAAGGCCGAAGAGAGGGUUAUCAUGUUCAUGGACCCUAACGCGAUGGAUGCCACGGCAAGGAAGUAUUGGGAACUCACUCGUUUAGAGAUCAUAGCCCAAUCGGAGGCCUCUCGUGGGGGUGAUGAUGGUGGCCAUGGGGGUGAUGGUGGUGUCUAUGGAGGUGAUGAUGGUGGUGGCCGUGGGGGUGGUGAUGUUUUCUUUGGAGAUGAUGAGCACGAGAGUGCUUUGAACGUUCAGCCGAAACAUGCCUUUGGUAGGGCUGAAUCCACGACAUAAGACAUGCAAUGUUGUGGUGAUUUUGGAUCAAACUUGACCGAUGUGGUGCCUUUUGGAUGAACUUUGUGCAUGUUUUAAUUUGAAUUUCUUGAUGAUAUGAACUAUAUGCAUGUUUAUAUGGUCGAUUUGUCGUGUACGUGAAUUUGAAUCGUUCGAAUGCUUGAUGAAUUAUUGUGCAAUUCUUUGAAAUGUAUGUGAUAAAGGCUGGAAGAAUUUGUCAAUUUUUUUAGGGAGUUAAAUAUAGGGGUUCAGCUAGGUUCCGCAACCUUUAGCGGAGCAAAUUCUGAAGGAGUUAAGCAUACAGAGGCAUAUAAGGAGUUAAGAUAUAAGGAAUCCGCUAGAGAUGCUCUUAGUGGUAAAAACACUGUUUUGUUUAGGGCCCAAAUGAUACUAUUCUAAUUCUAAGGAAUGAUUUUCAGACCAAGAACAGCCUCUCCCAAUCAUUCUCCAAUAGUUAAGUUGUUGGUAGCAGAUGACCAUCUUCCAAAGUGAAACUAAACCCAGGUGUAAAGAAAGAAACAGUCAAUACAGAUAUUUGACAAGGAAGACGUCACAUAAAAGUUUCUCUUUUAAGCCAAGUAUCGUCCCAGGAGAAUGGGCUUCCUGUUUUAAUCCUAGAUCCUGUUUCUAGCUUCAAUUAAGCACUUGACAAAGGAAACACGACUGUAGAAAUAAAAAGUGUAUGAUGGAGAUGACAUUUAUCAGCGAUUGAAAGCAAUCUCGAAGUAAACAGCUUGCGUUCAAAUUUUCGGGUUUGAAUUCAAUCUUUGAUAGGUCCAUUUUGUUGGCUAAUUAGGUAUAUAACCAGCUGCGGUAGAGAAUUAAUGCUGGUAAAGUUGGUAAGCAUGCAUCGGAGAUUUAGUUCCAACUUCAUACCUGUACUGUUGCAAUGGAUUUAUUCAUGCUUGGUUUCUGUAGCAAGUUACUAACCGGUUCUUUCGAUUCUUUGGACAGCUUGAUCUGAACGAGCAGUCAGCUCCGGAGUCAGUAUCUGAACUAAAUAGCUUCGCCCAAAUGUAAUUACUCAUCCAUCACACAUCCAUACACUGAUCGACGCUGUGCCUAAGAUUAUAUAUUUCGCAUUACACACACUGUCUAAUUUCAGGGCCUUGGAACUAGAUGUUAAAGAGAUGAGCAUUGCUGAGCUAACCCGCUUUGAGGAAAUUGUUACAGAAGCAUUGGCAGCUGUUAAGGUCAGCUAGUUUUUUUAUCUCCAGAACAUUCUAGCGUACAUUUGAAGUUCACCUGCAUAACAAUUUCAUUUGCAAUGUUAAUGAUGGUGCACGUAUAUAUACAAAAAUGUUUGAGAGCUGCUUAUUUUUUUGUGUGUGUGCAGAGCAUCCGUAUUAUGAAGGUGGCUGAGCUCACCCAAACUGAGGUUAGUUUGAGAAUGCUGAAGCUCCAGUAUUUUGUUUUUCUCUAAUGCAACUAAAGUUCCAGUAUUUUUUUUUGAAAAAAAAGAAGAAGAAGAAGAAAAAAGUUUCAGUAUUGAUGGAUGAACAUAGUAAACAUAUCAAUUGUUCAUUCACAGUUAGUCUUCAUACAUUGGUUAAAUUACUUUAUAUUCUUGUUGUUCUUCUGUUCAUAGGCGAGAUUAAAGAGAGAUCCACAGAAGAAAGGGGACAACUGGUCGGGCCAAGAGUCGGGAAAAGAGUGAGGCUGUGAGAACGUUCUGGGAAGGGGAGGGUAUAUACGUAGGCAGUCUACAUCUGCAUCCAGACGUUCAGAACCUGCAGCCAAUGUUCAUGCUUGCAAUAGCCGACUCGGUUUAUUGCCUAAGAUUAGAAUGACCUCCUCAGGAAAGAAGCAGCGGGAGCUCUGCUAGUCUGCUAUAUAUCGCCUAAGAACACCGAGCUCAAGUAUCUUGUAUCAAAUUCAAAUACGCCUUUCUUACGAUACAGCCGGGGCUCUGCUAUUUAUUGCCAUAAGAGCAAUUCGAGAAUCAUCAUGUAUUGUUGUAUUGUAUCGAACAUUUGUUUUCGUUCCGUCCAUGUACAUGAUUGUACUUGCAUUCGUUUGCAUGAGCUCGAGUUCAUAUGGUGUAAAUCCUGGCAAAAUAUUAGUAAGAAGAAAUGAAUUAUCUGACGAAAAGUUGGUAGUUGCUUCCA
rnacentral:lncRNA from 1 species